AGAAAUAGAGUUGAUAGAUAGGGACACCUUGGUGAAUAGCUGGAAGGAAUUUCUUUGAUAUUGUUUUGCAUUAGUGAGACUCUUGUGAGAUUCUCUGUCCACUCCUCUGCAUCUGGCAACUCUUCUAAUUGCGCACCUGCUUUAACCAUGACUUGAGAGUCGUCUUGCAGUAUUUGGAUGGCCAUGUCCCUAAUCAAGUCAUGCAUCUUGACAAGUCCAUAAUCCAUUUGAGCACUUUCCAAUAGGCAGACAUUUUCAAGUCUAUUAAGCAUCGUGUGGCCCUCAUCAAAUGCAUCUCCCCUGCUCCUCUUUCCUUUAAUUAUUCCCUCAUCGAUCAAAUAACCUAUCAACUCCUCCCUUGCAAUCAUAUCAUCUUCAGGAAAUAAUGCACAGUACAAGAGACAUUGCUUUAGUGCUAAAUCACCUAACCGAUCAUAACUAAACCUCAAUAACCUGAAUACUUUCUCAUCUAUGUCCCUAAAUUCUGAUUCUCUCAAUUUGUUCAAUGUGUUUCUCCACUCAUGUGGAUCAUCCACUCCCCUCAAGCUUCCUGCCACUGCAAUAAUUCCCAAUGGCAAACCAGCACAUUCCCUAGCAAUAUCUUUCGCAAUUCCUUCCACUUCUGGUGAAAGUGCUAUGUCACGUCCAAGUUUCUCCAUGAACAAAUUCCAAGCUUCACCCUCAGAAAGUGGCUUCACUUUGAUUUUGUGGUGGCAAGCCAUCCGAUGACAAACCGUUUCUGAUCUAGUUGUCAUAAUCAGCUUGCAUCCUUUCGACAGCACAGGAAUUCCCACUUCAUCAAGCUCAAAAUUGUUCCACAAAUCAUCUAAAAUGAGGAUCCAUUUUUGUUUCGUCCUUAAUUCUUCUGACAAUUUGGCAGCUCUAUGCACAUCAUCAUCUUCGUUUGCAAGGUCUAGAUCAAGACAUUUAGCUAUGAGAUUCUGCAAUCUAGUAAUGCUGAAAUCUUGAGACACAGUCACCCACCAAAUAUUUGGUUUUUGUAGAAGCUCAUUAUGGAUAUGUUUGAGUAUUGUCGUUUUACCAAUCCCCCCCAUGCCAUAAAUGCCAAUGGUUGGGACUUUAUCAUCCAUUAACAAAGACCAUAUCUCCUUCGUUUUCUCUUCAAAUGCUUGACCCACUGGCUUUGUGGAGCUAGUAGGUAAUGGAACUCCUCUAGUCUUGUUGUAUUUCAGACUUUCAGAAGAUCUUGCUCCUGCGCUAGCCUCCUCCAUUGGUUCUGUCCUCACUCUAACCAUGUCCAGCGCAUCAUUGUUUACUGAUGGAGCACAAGGUUGAUCAUAACAUCCUCCAAUGUCAGGACAAAAUUGGGAUGAAUCUCCUCGAGGCUCCAGAAGCUGCACUUGCUCUGUUCUUGGAAUAGUCUCAAAUGCAUCAUGCUGAAAAGAUCCUUCACCUUGAACUCCCACUUGUACUGCUUGUAAAUGCGACUGAAUUCUCUCUUCUCCGGGACCUUGUUCCACGCCUUGAACUCCCACUUGUACUGCUUUGCUCUGUUCCAACACUCGAUCCACGGGUUCUGUCCUCGUUCUGCUCUCGAGUGCCCCUUCGGAAACUCCAUCUUCUUGUGCUCUCAUUCCGGUCAUGCUUGCUACGUCGUUUCCUGCUAUUGCAUGAGAAGAAAUCCUCUCUUCCCCUACCCCGGGUUCUACAACCUGAACUUCUCUUUGUACCCUUCCAAUACCUCCUACCAUUGUUGAGAUUGAACUUGCUGUGAUUUUAUGUCUUUUGUUGCCACCACGCAUAGCUAGAAAGGCUGCUUCUUGAACUUCUUUAGGCACCCCAAGACAAAUGGCAACAUUAUGCCCUUCCUCUCCUGAUAAAUGCCAUUUGAUCCUUGAAAUGGAGGUUUUAUUGGCAAAUGUACGUUGACAAAACUUACACUUCAUCCUACCCUCAUCACUUUCUUCAACAUGAUUCCAAAACGGAUCAUUUGAUCCAACCUUUUCGACCUAUAGAAAAAAGAAGUCAAAGUAUAGAACAAAAAUCAGUUAAAAUAUGGAAUAAAAAUUGACGGAUCAAGUUACAGAACAGAAGUUUCCGGAUUGAGAAACUAUUUUGCUAUCAAAAUUGAUAGUUAGUUUAUAGCACAAUCAUAGGGGAAAAAAGACUACGAUAAUUCAGUUAGACUUCUUACUUGUUGAGUAUUUAAACCCCUAUUUUGACUUUGGAAGGAAGUGUCAGGGCCAGGAUUAGAGGCAUUUGGCAUAGCAGUUUGAUUUUGCAAUCCUCCGGCUUGGAAUUUAUCCAUCUGUGACCUAUAUAUAAAUGAAAUGAUCAUAUUAUAAAAAUUUUCGAUAAUUGGUAGUCUCUCUUAAGCACUAAAAAUCAACGGUGUAUCUAAUUAUCGAAAAAGGUAUUAAUACUAUGCAGAAAAACUAAUUGUUUUUUUUACAGAAAAUACUAAAAAUGAAAAAUUGGAUACCAGGGAGCAGGAGAAGAAGGUCCAGGUUGAUUGAAGCCACCAUGUUGAGAAGUGGUUGCGUUCGGUGUCAUAUAGCCAUGUCCCGGCUGAGGUUGAUGAAUAAAGGAGUUCUGAUGCCUGAAUAAUAUUCAAAUAGUUAAACAUAGAACUGUUAUUCUCACAAAAAAGAGAGAUAGAGAGCUCAAAAAGACUUGAAAGAUCCACGUCAAUUUUGGUCAAGUUCAUUGUUUUCAUGAUUAAAAAAGUGUAUAUUCGAGGUUAAUACCUUUGAUUCAUUGGAGGUUGAGGUCCAGGUAGCAUCGUAGGCACUUGAUUGCUCAUUGGUAACUGAUAAUCAGUCCAUUGUUGGUCCCUAAAUGAGCAACAUUUGUUGGUGAUUUCUUUAUACAUAUGCAUAAUUCUUUGCUAUUAAUCCACUAAGCAUUUGAUAUCAUUUUAGCUUACCUCAAAGGCAUUGAUGGUCCAGGUAACAUGGGAUUGGCACAUUGAGGAUCAAAUAAAUUGGGAUUAGACUGAUACCUAUAUUCAAACAUAAUGAAUUCACUGAUAAGUACAACAACAAGAGGAAGAAGAAGAAGAAGUUAAAUAAUGAUUGAAAAACUUUUUUUUUUUUUCAGAAAAUACUAAACAUGAAAAAUUGGAUACCAGGGAGCAGGAAAAGAAGGUCCAGGUUGAUUGAAUUCACCAUGUUGUGAUGUGGUUGCGUUCGGUGUCAUAUAGCGAUGUCCCGUCUGUGGUUGAUGAAUAAAGGAAUUAUGAUGCCUAAUUCAAUGGACAUUGUAGCAAAUUGGAGUAAGCAUGAGUUCUCACCAUGGUUUCAGGAAAUGAAGUUGGAAACUGAGUUGUUUGUUGAAUACUAUCGUUGAUCACAAUGUUCUGUCCACCUUGAUCAUUGCAUAAUAUGGAGCCUUGGUUGACGUCAGCCGGCCUGCUUCCAUGGAAUAAGAUAGAGGAUAAACAGAAGAAUAACUAAAUUGCAAGCAAUCAUCUUCUGAUAAAAUAUGCUUAAGAAUGACGUACGGUGUCAUAUAGAGAAGUGGUGAUUGAAGACCGAAAAGAUCAUCAUCCAUAGAAGAUGGUGGGAACCCUUCCAUCUGACCAAAAGUACAAGAUGAUUAGUACAUACUGAGGUGAAAAAUGAACAGAAAGCACGUAGCAAAGGAAAAAAAAGAGUAUAUAUAUAUGAGUGGAUUACUGGGUACACACGUUACGUAAGUCAAAAUAAAAGAAAAACAAAUAAAUGGUGAAAAGCAUGUUUUAAUGGCAGUCCCAUUAAUUGGAAAAGAAAAGGGUGAAUCUAAGAAAAGAAAAGCCUAUUUUUUUUAUUUUUAAUAUUAAUAUAUCAAAAAAUAUUAAUUUAAUAGUUUUUUUUCAAAAUAAACAGAUUUUCAAAUGCACUCAAACAUAAUUCUAAGUACAAAAACAAAUUAUAUUUUGCUUGCGGGCAUAACAAUCCUGGCAGUACCGUUGCCGUUUUUUAGUUUACACAUUCUCUGGAGUGUCGAUUCCACAUUGAAGCAAAUUAAAAGAAUAAAAGCAAAUAUUAAAUGAUUUAAUAAAAGUGACUAAUGAAAAAGGUGCUUAAAUUCUACAAACAGCAGAUGGAUAGUCGGAAUCCCUUGAACACAUUUGAUAUUUUAAUUAUUCUUAUUUUGUUUAAUGUAAGGUAAUUACCAAUCAAGUUAAUUCAUUGAAUCAUUGUAAGGAAAAAAAAAGUUGAAAAAUACUGAAUAAAAAUGAAUUGCAGUCCCAUUAAUUGGAAAAGAAAAGGGUGAAUCUAAAAUGAGUUAAAAACACUACUUUACCUACCCCAAUUAUGAAGCUUAUAAGAAGAUGCCUAGAAAAUGUAAACACGUGAAUAUGAGAACCAAUAAUAUACUUUUCUUUUUAAAAAAAUUUUAUUUAAAAAAAUUAAAAUAAUAAUUUUUUUUAAAAAAAUUAUUUUUAAUAAAAAAAUAAUAAUUAAAAAAGAAAAAAAAUUCAAAGUUUUUGAAAAGCAUGUGCUCUAACAAUAACAUAUUAAAUAUGUGAUUAAUAGCAUGUGAUUAAAGGUUUUCAGUCGAUGCCAUUACAUGCAGUCAAAGACUCCAUCCUUACUUUUAAUAAACAAAACCUACACUCAAUAAUAUGUCCUAGUUUUUUUGGCCAGUGUUUUUCCGUGGUUUGAUUAAUUUUUUUAAAAUAUAAAAAUAAAAUGUUAAGAGUGAAGAAAGUUUGCGAGCGAUAUUAUUAAACCUAGUCAGGGAAGUUAAUAUUAAAAUCUUCUAACCUAAUUUUUUAUUUAAUUUAAAUUUUUCGAAGGACGAAAUUAAAAAAAAAUCAAUUACAAAAAUUAAAAGAAAAGAAAAAAAAAACAUAUUCGAUCAAUGAGUAAACCUGUCAAACUUGUGAAUCAAGUAAUUUGGGUUAGUACAUCAAACCCAUGAACCAGGUUAUGGACUUAACUAAGAUUAUAAUUAUUAAAUUUUUUUUUUUUUUAAUAAUAUGAUAACAAAAAUAGAUAAUUGUAAAAUUAAACACCAACCAUACACAUACACACACACUAAUUCGGCAAAACUAUGAAAUAGACAAAAAAAAUAAUUUAAAAAAAAUUAAAAAAAAGGGAAAAAAACAAAAAAAAGUAAAACACUGUCAAUUACUAUUAUAAUUCAUAAUGAAAUGAGUGUGGGUGAAUAGUGAUUCUCUUACACCUUUUAGUUUUUCUUUUAAUUAAUAAAUAAAAAAAAUAUCUCACCAAACCUAAAAUCUAGUAUAAUUUGAAUUAUUUUAACAAACCUGUAAAUCAGGUUAAUCUUAUAAAAAAAAUAGAAUAAAAAUUAAUAAAUUGAAGCUGAAUUAUAACCUGCCUAUAAUAAAAUAAACAAAAACAAUUUUUUUUUUUUUAAAAAGGGCAAAACACCUUGAAUUACGUACUAUUGUAAUUUACAAUGAAAUAGGUGUGGAUAUAUAGUGAUUCUCCCAAGUCUCUUAGCUUUUCUUUUAAUGAAAAUUAAUAACCGUAUAAUAUACUUUCUUGUGGAUGCUCUAUCGUUGCUAAAUUAAAACAUAUAUAUAUUUUUUUAUCUACAUCUAUGUGAAACUUUUUUAAAAUAAAAAUAUUUAAAAAGAUAAUGUUAAAAAAAAACAUUGUUAUUUUAUUUUUAUUUUUAAUAAAUACCAUCAUAAUAUGAUAUGGUUUUCUUUUUUACUCAGGUUAUUCAGUUAAUAUGUGAGUCAACCAGUAAACUAAACUUUGGAAUACGUUUCUUAACUAUUCGUAAGCUUCUUAUUUAUUCUUAGUAAUUAAAAUAUUUUUUUAUUUUUAAUAUUAAUAUAUUAAAAAAUAUUAAUUUAAUAUAAUUUUUAAAUAAUCAGAUUUUUUAAUAAACAUAACUCUGAGUACAAAAACAAAUUAUGUUUAGAUUGCGGGCAUAAGCAUAACAAUCUUGACAGUACCGUUGUUGUUUGGACUUUGAGAAUGAUAAAACAAAAGAGUUAGAAUAAAUUUAAAAUAAAAAAUUAAUUUUCUAAAAAUACUUUUAAAAUAUAAAAACAAACUAAUGAUAAAAUAGACUUUCAUACACUUAUCAAAAUCGCAGGAACGCAACAAUCAGGCAUUAGCUUCAAGCAACCAGAGGGAGCUUCACUGCAGUAGAAAACUUCAACAUAGCUUGAUUUGCUAUCCAAUCUGCACACCAUUGGAUAGCAAUUUCUUUUCAUAACAUUUACCUUUGUAAAAAAUUUCUACUUAUUUUUAGUUUUAAUAUCAAAUUCAGUCUUUAAUAUUUAUCUUCAAAAUUUUAAUAUAAAAUUUGACGGUCAAAAUUUCACUUAUUUUUAAUCAAUUAAAUUGAACAAAAUUUUGUUAAGUCAAACAUCAACUCUACAUUGAAUUGUUUUUAGUUUUAAUAUCAAAUUCAGUCUUUAAUAUUUAUCUUCAAAAUUUUAAUAUAAAAUUUGACGGUCAAAAUUUCACUUAUUUUUAAUCAAUUAAAUUGAACAAAAUUUUGUUAAGUCAAACAUCAACUCUACAUUGAAUUGUUUUUCUUCUUAGACCACAAGAGCUCCAUAACAAGUUUAUUGAAAUAAAUUAUCAAAUGAAAUUAAAGGAAUUAUGAUGCCUUGAUGGAGUUUGAGGCCAAUUUUAUAUGAAACUUAAUGAUAAAAAAAUGUCUAAAUCUCCCAAUUGUUGUCUGUUUGUUUAACAGUAAAGAAUUUGAAGAUGCUCGAGAUCGAUACACUAAACAUAAAACUUUUUGUAUAAUACAAACACUUGCUAAUUCAUUGGACAUUGUAGCAAAUUGGAGCACUCACCAUUGUUUCAGGAAAGGACGUUGAAAACGGAGUUGUUUGUUGAAUACUAUUGUUGAUCACAUUGUUCUGUCCACCUUGAUCAUUGCAUGAUAUGGAGCUUUGGUUGACUGGAACCUCCGGUGGUGGCCUGCUUCCAAGGACAGUGACGACAUUAUAUUGUUUUUUGGCAAUAAUAGGAUAAACCGAAGAAUAACUAAAUUGCAAGCAAUCAUCUUCUGAUAAAAUAUGCUUAAAAAUGACGUACGAGAGAAGCUCAAUGUCGGGCAAUAGUGAUUGAAAAUCGAGCUCAUUCCACAUCAUGUUGACAUCCUCCUCUAUAGAAGAUGGUGGGAACCCUUCCAUCUGACCAGAAAAGAUCAGAAAAGAGAAAAAGAACAGAAAGCACGGAUCAGAAAAGAACAUAUAUAUGACUUACUUGUUGGUUAAAGAAAUUCGGAUGAAAAAUAUGAAAUAUAAAUGUUGUUGUUAAUGAUUUAAUCCUGUCUUUUAAGCUAAAUUAUCAUACUCAAAUUCUUUUUAUGAUAGAUAGAAAGAUGCAGGAUAACUGGUGAACAAAAACCUCUUUCAACUCCUCUUUAUUCAUAAUUUGGGGAGCAAAACAAAUGCAAGAUUCAUUGUUUACUGUUAAACAAACCUCUUUCAACUCCUAUUUAUUCUUUUUUAAUUAUUCUUAUUUUGUUUAUUGAAAGGUAAUUACCGAUCAAGUUAAUUCAUUGAAUCAUUGUAAGAAAAAAAAAAGUUGAAAAAUACUGAAUAAAAAUGAAUGGCAGUCCCAUUAAUUGGAAAAGAAAAGGGUGAAUCUAAAAUAAGGAGUUAAAAACGGCAAAGAAUCUUGAAAAGACGAAAACAAUGAAUUUAGUAUUGAUUUAGUAUGAACUCUCUCCACAAGGCAUGGAUUAUAAAAUCCGAGAAAAAGAUCAAUUUAUUUAUCAUGGAUUCCUUUAAAGAUUCAAACCAUACUUACAUAUAUAAAAACAAAAACACCAACAAGAUGAAGUACAAAUAAUUUACCAACAAGAUUCAGGUGCUGGUUUGCUUGAGCAGUAUUCAGCCAAAAAAAAAAGGAAGAGAAAUCACAGAUCACAGAAGAAUAUAUGGUUUAGAAAAAUAAUAAAGUUGCAGCAUACAUAAAUCUAGUUCGCACUGAUCAUGAGAUGUGGAAAGGAAAAUACGGAAUUGUAUAAUGAGAUGAGAUGUGGAAAAGAAUGUUACAGCAGCCGGCUAGAGCGUAUUUGGUAGUGUAGUAACAGUUGUUUUUCAAAUAGUUUUACAUGCUGAAAUACAUGCAAAUGAUAAUAAUAAUAAGUAAUUAACGUAUUGUUUGAUAGGAAGGAAGUUGCCAGGAAGCAACCCAAACAUAUUACAUUACAAGAUAUAGAAAGUUAACGUGUGGACCCGCCUCCAUGUUCACACUUCGAAGAAGCUGCCAAGAAAAUGUAAACACAUGAAAAUGAGAAAGAAUAGCAUAUUUCCGCUUUUGAAAAAUCAUUCAUCACUUUUAAAUACGCAAAUGAUUAUUAAGAAAAUUCAACGACAACAAUACACUCAAGAGCAAUAUUACAGUAAAGAAAUUAAAUCAAUACAGAUAAAUAAAUGAUCCAAAUAUAAUUAAAGAAUCAAUCCAUUUAAUCGAAAAAAACAUGACUGAAUCCAUAAACUACAUGCCCCUCUUUUUCUAAAGGAGGCAGCCCCACUUUUUCAUCACGUCGCCAUGGUCCCCGUGUCCCACACGUUUUUCAGUGACUUUUUGUCAGUUAAAAUUAUUAAAUGAUUUUUGUGGUGAUUUUAGCCCAGCUUUGGGGUAUCAAGUUUCCACGGAGACAAAUUAAAAGAAUAGAAAAAAAUAUUACAUGGAGACAAAUUAAGAGAAUUGAAGAAAAUAUUAAAUGAUUUAAUAGAGAUUAAAAUUUAAUUUUAAAUACAAAUUAAAAUAAAGCAAGGUGACUAAUGGAGAAAGUAGUGGAAUUCUACAAACAGUAGAGCGUCGGGAAUCCUUGCACUUCGCUUUUGAAAAAUCAUUCAUCACUUUUAAAUACGCAAACGACAACAAUAUACCCAAGAGCAAUAUUACAGUAAAGAGAUUAAAUCAAUACAGAUAAAUAUAUGAUCCAAAUAUAAUUAAAGAAUCAAUCCAUUUAAUCGAAAAAAACAUGACUUUUUCAUCAUGUCGCCGUGGUCCCCGUGUCCCACACGUUUUUAAAUGCGUCCAGGCUGGUUCAAAGUGAAUUUCACGACUCCUGAACCUUGACUUGUCUGUGAGAGCUUCAACUCUACAUUGAAAUGCUUUUUCUUAAACUGUGAGACUCAUAAUAAGCUUAUUGAAAUAAAUUAUUAUAAUGAAAUUAAAAACAAAAAUGCUUUAAAAAAAAACAGAGAGACGCCGUGUUUUCUCUAUUGCUACAUGGUAAAAGUCUGAGCAUAUUUAUUAUUAUUAUUAUUAUUAUUAUUAUUAUUAUUUUAAUAAUAUUACUGUUCUAUCUACCGCCUAGAAAUCAAGAACGCUAGUUUCAUUUAAAAGAUUCUAAAGUUCAUAAAUUAGCAGACAGGACGAAAACACAACAAAUCAUACCCAGAGAAGCAAAAGCCAGAAACAAGCUACCUCAAUUCCUGCUCCACCUGGCUAAGAAAUGCAGCGUGCCCACUUGGAAUUACACAUCAUCCAAAUUCCAGGGCAAAUAAUUGGUUGGAAUUGUUUUCUGAGGAGUCAUCUCAAAUUUGAAAAAUAAAAACAGAAAAUAGAUCCAGCAAAUGAUUCCAAAUAUCUUCUAAAAAGAACAAUGAAAUAUGUUUUUUUAUUUACUGUAAGGAAAGAUAUUAAUGGAAAAAAUAAAAAAAUCAAUUUAAAAAAUAUAUAAUAAGUCAAAAUCUAGACUUAAAAUCUAACUAGGUUCCUAGUUGAAUUGAAUAAUUGAGAGUGAAACGUGUCAAGACUGACACGAGUUCAGAAUAGACUCCACAACAGAAAAAACAAAAAAAAACGAUCCAUAUUGUGGCCCGUAGUAGUAUUCCGGAGGAGAGGGUCAAAGAUGGCGGCUGGUUCAAAGGACGAGCUUAAUCUCAUGAAUCAUUUUUAAACCUUUAUAGUAGGAAUUGACACGUGUCCUCUAAACCCUCCUGUCCAUGGUUGUUAAAAUUGCGUUUUAACUUGUAAAAUUGUAUGAUUUUACGAGUCAAAACAUGCAUUACAGGUUGAAUCGCUUGAAAAAAUCAAAAAUGGAUAAAAUCGGGUUGAAAUCAAGUGAAAUCGCGCAACAUCGUGAUUUCAGGACCGAUUUUGCGAUUUUGACAAAAUUAGGCACUGAAACAAAAUUCCCUCCCUCAUGUCCAGCUGUCUUCACUUUUUUUCAGCCUAUUUGGUCCUUGGACUUUAAUUUUCUAGCAAUGUUUCUUUGUAUGAGCUCCAAACUUUGGUGUUUUUUCAAUUGAACCCCCGAUUCCUUUAAUUAAUUAAAUCAAAGUUUAAUUAAGUCCUCAAACUCAUCAAUUCCUUAAUUAAGCUCAUGAUUUCAUUAAUUAAACUAAUCCAAAUUUUAAUUAAAUUCUCAAAGUUAUUAAUUCUUCAAUUUCUAACAAAUUGACUCUCAAAUUUUAUUUGAAUCAUGUAUUUUAAGAUGCUUGAACUAUGUAUGAAUUUUUAUUUGAAGGCUUGAAAUAUGUAUGAAUUUUUAUUUGAAGCAUGAAUUUUUUUUAAUGUAUUUUAAAAUUCCUUACGAUUUUACGAUCCGAGUUUAUGAACGGCUUUCCGUGUCGUGUUAAAAUCGUGAUUUUAACAACCUUGCUCCUGUCCCUCUUCCGAUCCUUGCUAAACCCCUUGUUCUGGUUGUAAUCAUCCAUUAGCGUAAACCUAUGCUUCUCUUGACUUUGAUCCCAAUAAACCAACCCAUAGAGUUGGUGGUAAUGUAAAUGAUAUUACUUUUUAAAUUAUUUUUAUUUUAAAAAAUAUGAAACUAAUUUUAGGCCCCGUUUAUUUGCUGGAAAGUAGUUUAUUUGCUGGAAAAUAGUUUCUUUUUGGAAAGUGAAUUCCGAGGAAAGUGAAUUAUGAGAAAGUAUUUUUCGAUGUUUGGUAGUGUAAUGAAAAAUAAGUUGGAAAACACUUUCCAGUGUUUGGUUAUGUCAUGAAAAAUGAGCUGAAAAAUAAUUUAUUAAUAUUUUAUUUUUCUCAAGUUUAUUAAAAUAAUGAGGAACAAAUCUUACAAAUUAAAAAGUUGAAUGAGAAUGAAAUUGAAAAAACAAAAUCUAAUUUCAUGAAUUAUCUCAAAUAAAAUAAAUAAUAAUCAAAAUAAUAGAGAUCAAAUCUAAAAAAUUAAUAAAAAAUAAAAGAUGAAGAAAUUAAAAUAAUAAUAAUCAAUAUUUCAUAAAUUAUUUCAAAUAAAAUAAGUAACAAUCAAAAGAAUGAGGAUCAAAUUUGAUAGAUAAAAAAUUUCAAUAAAAAAAUGAUAAGGAAAAAGCAAAUAGCAAUUAUAAAAAUAAGGAUCAAAGUUAAUAUAAAAAUAAAAUUUUAAGAGAUGAAAUUAAAAAAUAAAUAUUUAAAACAAAAUAUAUAUAGCAAUCAAAAGUUUGAGGAUCAAAUUUGAUAUAAUCAGCAAAUAAUGAUAUUUUUAAAUUUUUUCCCAACUUCCGGAAAGUGUUUUCCCUCCAAAUUUUUCAGGAAAAUAUUUUCCUGAAAACCAAGUUAAAUUUUUCUUUUACUGGAAAGUGGUUUCCAUUGACCAACUUUACUAUUGGCAAACAAACACAAGAAAGUUUGGGAAGUGAUUUUCCGGAAAUCACUUUCCGGAAAACAAACAUAGCUAAAGGGAAAACACUUUUCUGAAAACCAAGUCAAAUGUUUCUUUGACUGAAAUUAACCGGAAAGUGUUUUCCGUUGACCAACUUUCCUAAUGACAAACAAACACAUGAAAGUUUGGAAAAUGGUUUCCCGGAAACUACUUUUCGAGAAACAAACAUGACCUUAAUGCGUUGGUAUUAACAAAAAUUUUAAAAAUAUUAUAUUAAUAUAUUUUUAUUUGAAAAAUAUUUUAAAAAAACCGUAUGUAGAAUUACUAAACACCCUUAAGCCAGUGAACAAAGACACUAACGACAAAAUACAAAGGAAAAGGGAUAAAAGCAUAUAUUUGGAGAUGACAAAAGGGCUUUGAGAUCAAAGAGGAUAAGUUUUUUCUUUUUUAAUUUUAAUAAUACUUCUGUUCUUUCUAUCCCAAGAAAUAGAGAAUGCUAGUUUCAUUCAUCAAGAUUCUAAAUCUUAUAUUUAGAUAAAUUAGUAGAAAGGACAAAAACCCUAACAAAGAAAUGCAGCAUGCCCGCUUUGAAUUAUAGAUCAUCCAAAUUCCAGGGUAAAUAAUUCGAGAGUAAUUUGAUAGUGUUUAUAGAUUAAUUAAUGAUAUUUUAUUACUUUUUUAUAUUUAUUUUAAAAAAUAAAGAGAUACAACUAGAAAAAGAAAAAUUCAAGAUGAAAAUAUUCUUAUUAUUUUUUAUGAGUCAUGAAUUAUAUAUAUAUAUUUUUAAAUGAAUCUAGAUAAUAACUAAUAAUAUAUCCCUAGUGAUUCCCCUAAUCAUUAUAAAAUAUUGCGUGGGAAAUGCAGGUGAAGAAUUAGAAACAAGGAAAAAUGUCGAGACAAUGAAAAUUAAUUGUUAUAUAAUUGUACAUGGCAUACACUUUAAAGCUCCGAACCUCAGUAAAUGAUUUAAUAGAGAAUAAAAUUUAAUUUUAAAUGCAAAUUAAAAUAAAGCAGAGUGACUCAUGGAGAAAGCACAACUGGAAUUCUACAAACAGUAGAGCGUCGGGAAUCCUUGCACACCUUUGGUAAUUUAAUUAUUCUUAUUUCGUUUAAUAACUCAAAUAUAAUAAAGAAUUAAUCCAUUUAAUAGAGAAAACAUGACUGAAUCCAUAAACCACAUAAAUCCCUUUUUCUUAUCUGGUGCAAUUCCCAUGCGUCUUCUUUAUUCCAAAUGCCCCUCUUUUCAAAUUAGGCAUCUUCAAUUCAAUCUCCUUUUUCAUCACGUCUCCAUGAUCCCCGUUGUGUCACAAACAAAUUGCCUAAAGUUUAGGACUUUUUAUUGACAGCCACGUACAUGCUUUAGGAGUUUCUUUUUUGAAAUCCUCAUUAGAGGCUAAUUUAUAGCCUUUCAAGAUACCUUUCCAACACGUCAAGAAUCACAGCAAUCCGAUAUGUGAGUGAAAAGUUAUGAUUAAAAUACUAAAAUGUGUGGAAAAGAUACCUUUCCUACGACUUUGCUAAAAUUAUCUGACAAAUUAUCAGGCUUAUAAAAAAGCUUAAUAAAAUCAGAAAAAAAAAUCAUUUUUAUUCAAUAAAAUAAAAAAGAAAACUCAGGUAAUAAAUGUUCAAUUCACUUUCCAGCCAACAAUAAAAAAUGAAAGUAUUUUUAUUCAAUAAUACUUCUUGGCUUACAAAUAAGCUGCCAACAAUUAUAUAAGAAUCAAAUCUCUCCGAUCACAUGAUCGUUUAAAAUGCUCAACACUUAGAAAGCAAAUUUACAGAAUAAUAAGUCUAGCAAACUUCUUGAUAUAUAUAUAUUAUUCAACCAAAUAAUUGCUUGUGACAUAUAGGUGGCGAGCUUCCUAGUAUUAAAAAUUUAAGAUCAUCAAAUAAUUAAACUUUUUAUCCAAAGCAAUAAAUUUUAUGUGUCUAUUUUAAAAUUUGGUUUUCGAAAGAAAAUCAAAAUGACAUAUCAAACAAUACCUAUAAAUCUUUUAUAUUACAGAUUAACUAUAACACCUAUUUAUCAUUCUUAAGGUCAAUAUUUAGGAAUAAAUGAAUAAAAGCUACGUAUCAAUAUUUAAUUUAAGUAAUCUCAAAGACUACUAAUUUAGCUUUUGAUAUUAAAAGGGCGUAUGUCGUUACUCUCUGCCUAGUUGAUGGGGAAAAUAUCAGGUCUUCUAUCUCCACCACUCCCUGCUAACUCUUUUCCUCAUAUCUUACGUUAUAUCUAUCAAGUUUGCUUAAUUAAGAUGGAAUAUUUAUGACUUUUAUAUGUAUUAAAUCAAUUUAAUUGUUUUGACUUAUCAUGAUCAACAUGAAGUCAUCAUAUUAUAAAACCAAAAAUCAAUGGUGUAUCUAAUUAUCAAAAAGGUAUAAAUAUUGCUAUGAAGUUAACGUGUGGACCACCCCAAUUAUGAAGCUCGGAAGAUGCCUAGAAAAUGUAAACACGUGAAUAUUGAAAACAAUAACAUACUUUCCUUUUUAAAAUGUUUUUUAUUUUGAAAAAAAAAAUUUAAUAAAAAAAUUAAUAAUUUAAAAAGUAAAAAAAAUUCAAUUUUGUUGAAAAACAUUUGCUUUAACAAUGACAUAUUAAAUAUGUGAUUAAUUAAGAGCAUGUGAUUCCUUUUGUUUUUAGUUGUUUUUUCAAAAAAAGAUAUAUAGAUUUUUUUAAUGUUUUUUUUUAUAUAAUUUUAAUGUAUUAAUAUUAAAAAUAAAAUAAAUAAAUAAAUAAAUCAUGUAGUCUAUUUCCAAACCAAUCUAAUAUUGGAGGUCGAAAUUAAAAAAAAAACCAAUUAAAAAAAUUAAAAGAUAAAAUUAAAAAAAAAAAACAUAUUCGAUCAGUGAAUAAAUAUAUUAAACCUGUAAAUCAGGUAACUUGAGCUAACACAUCAAACUUAUUAACAAGGUUAUGGAUACCAAUUGAGUUACUUUUAGGAUAUUUUUUUGGCAGCCACGUAUAUGCUUUAGGAGUUCUUUUUAUUAAAUCAAUAUUAAAGUAAAAAAAUUAAAUCAAUACAGAUAAAUAAAUGAACUAAAUGUAAUCAAACAAUUAAUCCAUUUAACAGAAAAAACAUUACUGAAUCCAUAAACUACAUUAAUCCCUUCCUUUUCUUGUUUUUUUUUUUUUCUCUGGUGGAAUUCCCACACGUCUUCUUUAUGGGCAGCCCCACUUUUAAACCCUCUUUUUCAUCACGUCCCCAUGGUCCCCGUGUCCCACACCUUUUCAUCAAAAACCUAAAUUUUAGGACUUCUUUGGCAGCCAUCUAACAAUAUAUAAAAAUAAUAUUUUUAUUUUUAAAAAAUUAUUUUUAACAUCAAUACAUUAAAUAAUCUAAAAAUAUAAAAAAAAUAUUUAAAAAAAUCAAAAUUUUUAAAAACACAAGCAUUCCCAAACAAGAUAACGCGUCAAGAAUCACAACAAUCUGACAUGUGAGUGGAAAGUUGUGAUUAAAACACAUUACUACUUUUAGAUUGAUUUUGACAGCGUAGCAGGAAACGUCAUUAUUGUUAUUUUUAAAAUAUUUUUUUUAUUUAUAAAUAUAUUAAAAUAAAAGUUGUUAAUUUCGUUUCGUUUUAUUUGUAAUGAUUUCAUACUAAUUCAAAAAAUGAAAUAAAACAAAAUAAUUUUUAUCUUAUUUCAAAUAUCAGUCCCUUCCAAAUUUUUCAGCUAAAUUCCGUUUAGAAUGUUCCGGUUUCAUUCCACAUGUUCUGUUCUGGUCUUAAAAAGCUAUUGAAUCAAAUUGAACCUGGUUCAAUUAAUUAAUUAAACCAUCAAAGUAUAAAAAGCUCUUUUUCAUUACUAUUUUCAUUAACUAUGAUAUUAAUUUUUUGAAAUUUGAUUUAUCACUAAUAUUUAUGGUUUAUAUUCAUGUUGUUUUUUUUCAAGUUUAUACUUUGUAGGAAUUUAAGCAAAAAAAAUAGAUGUUUUAGAUCUCAUUAGCCUUGAUAACAUUGACCUAGCUUUAUAUUUAAAAUAUUAGUGUUAAAAUAUUUUAAUUUCAUAAUAUUUUGAUAUUUUAUUGAAGUUGAAUUGUUUUAAGUUAAAAAAUUAUUUAAUUUUAACUAUUUAAAAAUAUUUUAAAUUUUAAAAUUAUAUUUCAUCACGUCUCCAUGAUCCCAGUUGUGUCAAAAACAAAUUGCCUAAAUUUUAGGCUUUAGCAGUUCCUUUUUUGAAAUACUCAUUAGUGAAAUUUCACGACUCCAGCUGGGCCUUGACUUGUCUGUUUAAUUUCUAUUAUUUUUAUUCCAUUUUAGCAUUUUAGCAUUUAAUACUCAUCAAAACCACUAAAACGAAAUCAAGCUCUAGCUUCAAACAACCAGAGGGAGAUUUUAUAGGGAUAAAAUUUUAAAAAUCACGCCUAUGCUACUUUCUAGUUUUAGUAUUAAAUUUAAUAUUUAAAAAAUGUGUUUAUGAAUAUGGGAGUUUCAGGUUUAGAAACCAAAACUGUCAUAUUCAUACUCUCUCUUAGACAUUUUAAAAAUGUGUGUAGAAGAAUACUUUCACUGAUGAUUUAUAAUAUUAGGUUAGUUUAAUGAUAAAUCAAUAUAGUAUUUUUUUUAUUUCUUGGAUUUUCAUCUUGGAGAAAUUCAAUAGGAUGAAAAUAUAAUAUUAAUCAAACUUCAAAUUAUAAUUGUUUAUCUAUCGAGUUAAAAAAAAAUAUGACAAUUCAGUAGUCUUUAAUGAAAUAAAACAAAAUGAAAAAUGUUAUUUAUGUAAUUGUAAGCAUACUAUAUUAUAUUACUUUUACAAAGGGACGAAGGACAUCCUUUGCGUUAGGAUGCUCCCACUCCACUACUGACUCCCACCAUUCUUCUGGAUAUACCACAAUUUCUUUAAGAGAAGGGGGAGGAGAUGGCUGGCCAUUUUCAAGCAACGGAAGACAAAUUGGCAUCCUCUUCAGCUUCUCACAAGACAUUACACUAAUAUCUUCAAGAGAAUUGCAAAUCAGUUUUGCACUGCAAAUGCUUUUCAGUUCUGGUAAGUAAAUCAAUUCCAGAGUUUUUAACUUUGGGAGAAUGACUUCCGUGAUGGAAUUGGAGGUGCUGCUUUCUUCAUCUGUUGUUCCUAUUAUCUCCUCCAUUUUCUCACAGCACCUCACAUCAAUCCUUUCCAGGUUUACGAGGAUUGGCAGCAACACAAGUGGGAACAGCUUCUUCAUACUUUUACACCAUCCACAAUUAAACUCUUUAAGACCAGAAAACGUACCGUUACAUGAUGGCAAUCGUGGUGGAGCAGAGCAGAACCAAGAAGAUGAAACCAAGCUCUCCAUGUUAUCGCAUUCCCGAAUGCUGAUGCGCUCCAGUUCAGUUGCAUUCUCUAAUGACAAAACAUCACAUAAACUUCUUGCAUCGAUGCAUUCACAAAUCAGUCCUUGAAUGCCAUUUAAGAACUUGACCUGAAAAUCUCUAUCUCCUUUGAUACUCAAAUUACCCAACCCAACUGUUUUACUUGGAAAACGUUCAAUGCGUUGCUCUAAAUAUCUAUCCACCUCUGCUACUAAAAUCUUGCAUGUGCUUAAUGAUAGGAUCCCAUCCCGAGAUCUGAGAUACUCCACGAAGUCAGAAAAACCUUCGAAAUGGCACUCCAAAGUUUCCAAAUUUCUCAAGGAUCCUACUUCCUUUCCUUUAACUGUUAUCGGAGCAUAACAUUCCCCUAUAAACUCUUCUAGUACAAAGACUUGCAGGUGAGAGAGUUUUGGUAAUAUCCCACUAGGAAACUCCUUUUCACCAUAUCCAUUCAUUCUAAGAUACCUCAGGUUGGUUAGGCAUUCCAUUCCUUGCGGUAUCUUUUCAAGUGCAGUAUGAGAGAGACUCAAUCUCUUCAGUGCCUGGAGCUUCUCUAAUGAUGGAACACGUCUUAAUUUCUCACAAUGAUUGAGCAAUAAUGCUGUGAGGCUCACCAAAUCAGAAACAGAGUCUGGCAAAUUUCCAAUAUUUGUCCAAGACAGAUCAAGGACCUUAAGCCCAUGCAAUUGCUUGAAAAAUGAAUCCGCAAUAAAUCCCAACCAAUGAUUUUGACAUAGCAAUAGAGUUGAUAGAUAGGGACACCUAGGUGAAUGACUGGAAGGAAUUUCUUCGAUCAUGUUGUCCAUUAGUGAAACUCUCGUCAGAUUCUCCGUCCACUCCUCUGCAUCUGGCAACUCUUCUAAUUGUGCACCUGCUUUGACCAUGCCUUGAGAGUUCUCUAGCAGUAUUUGGAUAGCCAUGUCCCUAAUCAAGUCAUGCAUCUUGACACGUCUAAUAUCAUCAUACUUCCUUGUAGCACUUUCCAAUAGGCAGACAUUUUCAAGUCGAUUAAGCAUCGUGUGGCCCUCAUCAAAUGCAUCUCCCCUGCUCCUCUUUCCUUUAAUUAUUCCCUCAUCGAUCAAAUAACCUAUCAACUCCCCCCUUUUAAUCUCAUCAUCUUCAGAAAAUAAUGCACAGUACAAGAGACAUUGUUGUAGUGUUAAAUCACCUAACCGAUCAUAACUAAACCUCAAUAACUUGAAUACUUCAUUGUCCUUAAAUUCUGAUUCUCUCAAUUUGUUCAAUGUAUUUCUCCACUCAUAUAGGUCAUCCACUCCCCUCAAGCUUCCUGCCACUGUAAUAAUUCCUAAUGGCAAACCAGCACAUUCCCUUGCAACAGCUUUCGCAAUUCUUUCCACUUCUGGUCAAAGUGCUACAUCACGUUGAAGCUUCUCCAUGAACAAAGUCCAAGCUUCUCCAUUAGAAAGUGGCUUCACUUUGAUUUUGUGCUGGCAAGCCAUCCGAUGACAAAUCGUUUCUGAUCGAGUUGUCAUAAUCAGCUUGCAUCCUUCCAACUUUUCAGGAAUUCCCACUUUGUGUAGCUCAAAAUUGUUCCACAAAUCAUCUAAAAUGAGAAUCCAUUUUUGUUUCUUCCUUAGUUCUUCUGACAAUUUGGCAGCUCUAUGCAGUUCAUCAUUUUUUCUUGAAAGAUCUAGAUCGAGAUGUUCAGCAAUAAGAUUCUGCAAUCUAUUAAUGCUGAAAUCUUGAGACACGGUCACCCACCAAACAUUAUCACAAAUAUCUGGUCUUUGUAGAAGCUCAUUAUGGAUAUGUUGCAGUAUUGUGGAUUUACCAACUCCCCCCAUCCCAUAAAUGCCAAUGGUUGAGACUUUCCCAUCCAUUAACAAAGACCAUAUCACCUUCGUAUUCUCUUCGAAUGCUUGACCCACCGGCUUUGUAGAGCUAGUAGGUAAUGGAACUCCUCUAGUCUUGUUGUAUUUCAGACUUUCAGAAGAUCUAGCUCCAGCACCAACCUGCACUGAUCUUUGACUAUUCUCCACAUCCUCCUCCACUGGUUCUGUCCUCGCUCUAACCCGAUUAAUUCUCUCUUCCCCGGCACCUUGUUCCAGCACCCCCUGAACUCCAACUUGUAUCCUUCCAGCACCCCCCGCCAAAUUGCCAAGUACUGCAUUGCUUUGUUCCAACGAUCGAUCCACUGGUUCUGUCCUCGGUCUGCUCUCGAGUGCCCCUUCGGAAACUCCAUCUUCUUGUGCUCUCAUUCCGGUCAUGCUUACUGCGUCGUUUCCCGCUAUUGCAUGUGAAGUAAUCCUCUCUUCCCCUACUCCAGGUUCUACAACCUGAACUUCUCUUUGUACCCUUCCAAUUCCUCCUACCAUUCUUGAAAUUCCACAAUCAUUAACAUUGAUUGAACCUGCUGUGAUUUUAUGUCUUUUGUUGCCACCACACAUAGCUUUCCAGGCUGCUUCUUGAACUUCUUUAGGCACCCCAUGACAAAUGGCAACAUUAUGCCCUUCCUCUCCUGAUAAAUGCCAUUUGAUCCUUGAAAUGGAGGUUUUAUUGGCAAAUGUGUGUUGACAAAACUUACACUUCAUGCUACCAUCAGUCCUAUCUUCAAUAUAAUUCCAAAAUGAAUCCUUUGAUCGAACCAUUUCAACCUAUAUAAAAAAUGUAGAAAUGUAAAGAACUAUAAAGAGCUGCCCUGCAUUUACUGAUGAAGGAAAAGAACAGUGAACUUAGUUCACGAUUGAGAAGAACAAAUGCUUAAGUAAAACACAGAGCUUUGAUUAUCAAAUGUAAAGAACAAAGAGCAGAAUUGAGUUAGUUGGUUACUGCCAUCCCAAGUCUUUAUUUAUAAAGGGAAAGAAACAGAAUUUGAAUGGAAAACAAUAACUAGAAACGUGCCUGCCUUCUUCUCCUUUAUUUAAGGAGAUGAUUACAAGUUAAUUCAAUCCUAGAUAAUCUUAACAAAGAAAUCAAAAACAUAUCCUACACUAGAUAAUAGUCUCAGCUAAAAUAAAGAAAUAAUGCAGCAGUGAAUUACUGCUAAGUCUUCUGCUUCUGCUAGCUUAGGUACCAAGCUUCAACACUCCUCCUUGGUUCCAAAGCUAGUCAUUCCAAUUCUUGCCCUUAGAUCUUCAAACCUGGUUUUACCCAACGGUUUGGUGAAAAGAUCUGCUAGUUGAUCUUCAGAAGUGCAGUAGCACAGUUCCAGUUCUCCUUCUUGUUGAAACUGCCUGAGUGCAUGAAACUUGAUCUUCAUGUGCUUGGUUUUAUCAUGGAAGACAGAGUUUUUAGAAAUGGCUAUAGCUGAUGUAUUGUCACAAAACAAUGUUGUGGGAUUGUGUUGAUUGCAGUCUAAGUCACUUAGCAUCUUCCUCAGCCAUAUCAGUUGUUUUGCUGCUACAUAAGCAGCUAUAUAUUCGGCUUCUGCAGUAGAAUGUGCCACCACCGAUUGUUUCUUUGAAUUCCAGCAAAACAUACUCUUUCCCACAGCAAAACAGUAGCCUGAUGUGCUCAUCAUUCCUUCAUCACUUCCUCCCCAAUCACUGUCUGAAAAACCAACAAGAUUAAUUGAGCCGGACUUCACAAAGUGUAUGCCAAAACCUGCAGUCCCUCUUAGAUAUCUUAAUACUCUCUUAGCUGCCACAAAGUGAUUUUGACUUGGCUCUUGCAUGAACCUGGAAAGAUAAUUCACAGCAAAUUGAAUGUCAGGACGUGUGGCUGCUAAAUACAGCAAACUCCCAAUUAGACUCCUGUAGAUUUUCCCAUCAGCUUUUGGUGAGCCAUCCUCUUUCAUUAGCUUCUGCCCCUGUAUCAUAGGAGUGCUUACUGGCUUGCAAUUGUUCAUUGCAAAACUGUCCAGUAUUUUCAAAGAAAAACGUUGUUGACAAAGAAAAUAACCUUGAUCAGUUUGAGUUACUUCCAUUCCUAAAAAAUAAGUCAACAAACCAAGUUCAUUCAUCUCAAACAUGUCUUUCAUAUUGGUUUUGAAUUCCUCUACAAGCUGCUCCUUAUCCCCUGUGAUUAGUAAAUCAUCAACAUAAACUGAUACAAUUAGUUUAUGUCCAGCAGCAUGCUUCACAUAUAAAGUUACCUCAUUCAUGCUCCUGUUAAAUCCCAAGCUUAAGAGAUGAUUAUCCAACCUGCUAUACCAAGCUCUAGGAGCUUGUUUCAAUCCAUACAAUGCUUUCUUCAGUAAAUAAACCUUGUUUGUUGAAUUAGAUUUUUCAAAACCAGCAGGCUGCUCAACAUAAAUCUCUUCAUCUAGCACCCCAUUCAAAAAUGCAGAUUUAACAUCCAAUUGAAAUAUAUACCAACCGUUUUGUGCUGCUAGAGCAAGCAGGAGUUUCAUUGUUUCAUGUCUGGAAACUGGAGCAAAAGUUUCUGUGAAGUCGAUCCCUGCCUCUUGUGAAUAUCCUUUCACUACAAGUCUGGCCUUAUGCUUGUUGAUCUUUCCAUCUGCAUUUACUUUUGUUUUGAAAAUCCAUUUCACUCCAAUCACCUUCUUAUGAGCUGGUCUGUCAACUAGCAUCCAUGUUUGAUUCUUGUCUAUCAUUGCAAGCUCCUCCUUCAUUGCUGCUAUCCAAACUUGAGAGUUCAUGCUUCUUCAACAUUUACUGGUUCUGCCUCGCUACAUUGCACCUGCUAUAGAUAUCUGAUAGAGAUCUUGUCCCUCUUACUGGUUGAUCAUCACUGUUUUCUGCAGCAUCCAAGUCAGUUUGUUGCUCAAUAUUCCCAGCAACAUCUGUUUGUUGAUUAAUCAUGUUUGCAUCAUCCAACUCAUCUUGUUGCAUCGGUUUUGAUUCUUCAUUUGAUGAAUUUUUCCAGUUCCAAGCUGCAUUUUCUACAACUUUGACAUCUCUAGCAACCACCACUUUGUUAACAUUCAAAUCAUAGAUUUUAUAAGCUUAGAAUUUGUACUAUAGCCUAUAAGAAUCCCUAUAUCAGCCUUUUGAUCAAGUUUCCUUCUUCUGACUUCAGGUUUCAGAACAUAACAAAUACUUCCAAACACCUUUAAAUGAUCAAUACUGGGUUUAAAACCAUACCAGAGUUCAUAAGGAGUUUUAUCUGCCAAAACUCUUGAAGCCAUUCGGUUUAUAAGGUAUGCUGCUGUGUUUACUGCUUCUGCCCAGAAAUUCAAUGGCAACUUCUUCUCAUAGAGCAAGCAUCUAGCCAUCUCCAUCAAUGUUCGGUUUCUUCUUUCACUUACACCAUUCUGCUGUGGUGUGUAGGGAACAGUCAGCUGGUGUUUAAUCCCUUCUUUAGCAAGGUAUGCUUCAAAUUGUCGAGAGGUAUACUCUCCUCCAUUGUCAGAUCUCAAAGUCUUCAAUUUGUUUCCUGUUUCUAGUUCAACUGCUGCCUUGAACUUAACAAACUCAGCAAACACAUCAGCUUUGGAUUUUAGAAAAUAAACCCAGCAAUACCUGCUAAAAUCAUCAAUAAACAGAAGAAAGUACUUUGAACCAUUUAAUGAUUCAUUGUGCAUAGGUCCACACACAUCUGUGUGUACAAGCUGAAGUUUAGAUACUGCCCUGUAUGCAUUUUCUGGAAAAACAGUUCUGGUUUGUUUUCCCAGCUGACAAGCCUCACAUAUAGUUUGCUGCUCCUGAAUAUUUGGCAACCCGUGAGCCAUCUGCUGGUCAGCCAUUCUUUUUAAAGUAGCAUAAUUGAAGUGUCCCAGCCGUUUGUGCCAAAGAACAGAUUCCUUGCACUCAUAAGUAUUAGCACUUAAACACACUUCAUUCCAAUUAACAUUAAAGCUUCGGUUCAUCAUUUUUGCAGACAGUAAAAGCAUUCCAUUUCUAUCUUUAAUGUCACACACUCCAUCAUUAAAAACUAUUGAAUAUCCAGAUUCAAUCAAUUGACCCACACUAACUAGAUUUGGUUGAUCUUAGGCACAUAAAGAACAUUUUUAAGAAUUUUUGUACCUGACAGUGUUUCUACUGCAAUUGCUCCUUUUCCUUCAACUUUCACAAGUCUCCAUUGCCAAUUCUGACUUUAGACAGGUAGCUUCUAUCCAAGUCUCUGAAUAAGCUUAAGUCUGCUGUCAUAUGAUUAGUGCAGCCGCUAUCAAUGAGCCAUGAUGAGUCCUUUGUCUCUGCUGAAUUACAUAUGUCCUGAACUGUGACCAUGAAUAGAAGUUCUUCUUUGACUUCUGAACAAUCGGCUACUUGUGCUUGUUGUUCAGUUUCUGUUUUAUUUUUGCAGAAUCUUUGAUGUGACCAAAUUGCUUGCAUUUUCGGCAUUGAGCAUUCUUGAGCCAACACCAGGCUUCAAGAUGAUUGUUUUCUGACAGUAUUUGCAAGCAGGAAAAUGUUCUUUCUUCUCUUUCCCCCUCAUGAAACUGUUAUUGUUGUUCUGUUGCCAGUUAGCAGAUUUCCAGUCUCUCCCUUUUUCUCUUUUUCCUUCUUGAUUAUUUCUGAAGAUGUUCUUAGCCCGACCCUUAUCCUUGUAAACUGCAACAAGAGCUCCUUCACUUGAUCCUUCUUGUCUAUAUGCUUGCCUUUGCUCCACAGCUUGCAAUGCAUUCACCAAUUCUUGCAGCUUAUCUCAGAAAAAUCUUUAGAAUCUUCUAAAGAACAGAUUUUAUGUUCAAAUUUUCUGGCAAACUCACCAGGACUUUCUCUACAAUUCUAGAGUCUGGAAAAUCUUCUCCCAAGAGUCUUACUUGAUUCACAAGUUUUGAAAUUUGAGAAGAGAAAUCUUUGAUGCUCUCAUUUUCUUUCAUCUUCAGACCUUCGAAUUGUCUUCUCAGAUUCAGAAUCUGCAUCCUUCUUGAUUUCUCAUCACCAUGGAACUCUGCUUUUAAUUUAUCCCAUGUUUCCUUGGCAGAUUUGCAUGCCAUGAUCCUCGUGAAGAUGUCUUCACUUACAGCAUUAUGAAGACAAGAAAGAGCUUUGAAUCUCUUUGCCUUUUCUUCAUUAAAGAACUUCAUCUGUGCAAUUGUGGGAUUGUUACCUAGAGGAGUAGGUUGCCUAUCACUUUCCACUAUCUCCCAUAAAUCAAGAGCUUUGAGAUAGGUUUCCAUUUUUACAGCCCACACACCAAAAUUCUGCCCUGCAAACAAUGGUGUUUUUGCUGGAAAAUUUGCAGAAUCCAUUGCUUAAAAAAAAACUCACUCAAUCUCUCGUGUAUCACUCACCAGCCCUCAAAGUAAAACUUUGAUUUAUCCUCACAGUACUCUCGUGUUUCUCACUCACAAAGAAUCCCUUCAAAGAUCAAAAAAAGCUCUGAUACCAAUUGUAGAAAUGUAAAGAACUAUAAAGAACUGCCCUGCAUUUACUGAUGAAGGAAAAGAACAGUACUUAGUUCACGAUUGAGAAGAACAAAGGCUUAAGAAAACACAGAGCUUUGAUUAUUAAAUAUAAAGAACAAAGAGCAGAAUUGAGUUAUUGGUUACUGCCAUCCCAAGUCUUUAUUUAUAAAGGAAAGAAACAGAAUUUGAAUGGAAAACAAUAACUAGAAACGUGCCUGCCUUCUUCUCCUUUAUUUAAGGAGAUGAUUACAAGUUAAUUCAAUCCUAGAUAAUCUUAACAAAGAAAUCAAAAACAUAUCCUACACUAGAUAAUAGUCUCAGCUAAAAUAAAGAAAUAAUGCAGCAGUGAAUUACUGCUAAGUCUUCUGCUUCUGCUAGCUUAGGUACCAAGCUUCAACAAAAAAAAGGUAAGUCAAAAUAAAGAAUAAAAAUUGAUGCAAGUUACACCAUAUCCAGAUGGAUGAGAAACUACUUCUUCAGUGUUGUUACCCUUAUUUUGCUAUUAAAAUUGAUAGUUAGUUUAUUGCACAAUCAUAGGAGGGAAAAAGACGACGAUAAUUCAGUUAUACUUCUUACUUGUUGAGUAUUUAAACCCCUAUUUUGACUUUGCAGGGAAGUGCCAAGGCCAGGAUUUGAGGCAUUUGGCGUAGCAGUUUGAUUUUGCAAUCCUCGAACUUGGAGGUUAUCCAUCUGUGACCUAUAUAUAAAUGAAGUGAUCAUAUUAUAAAACCUUUCCAUAAUUGGUAGUCUCUCUUAAGCAGUAAAAGUUAAUGGUGUUAAAACACAACAGCUAGAAGUCAAUCAGUACCUAGGCACGAAGUUCUCUUGUUGGACAUUGUCUAUGUUAGGAAUUACAGGUCGAUCGACUUGUCCUUGAUUACAAAAAUAUUGACUCCUGAAUCCAAAACCAUUUGCAAACAAUAUGUUUAGCUUGUUGGGUUCAUGUUCAAGCCAUGAUGUUUCUUUCCUGAUUGAAAAACUAAUUUUUUUUUUAUAUAGAAAAUACUAAACGUGAAAAAUUGGAUACCAGGGAGCAGGAAAAGAAGGUCCAGGUUGAAUGAAGCCACCAUGUUCUGAAGUGGUUGCGUUCGGUGUCAUAUAGGCAUGUCCCGGCUGAGGUUGAUGAAUAUUGGAGUUCUGAUGCCUGAAGAAUAUUCAAAUAGUUAAACUUAGAACUGUUAUGCUGACUUGGUUGAUUUUCUAGUUCCAUUAUGUGCACAAAAAAAGAGAGAUAGAGAGCUCAAAAAGACUUGAAAGAUCCUCGUCAAUUUUGGUCAAGUUUAUUGUUUUCAUGAUUAAAAAAGCUUAAAUUCAUUCAUUGAUUUAAUCAUUGAUUCAUUGGAGGUUGAGGUCCAGGUAGCAUCACAGGCACUUCAUUCAUUGGAGGUUGAGGUCCAGGCACUUGAUUGCUCAUUAGUAACUGAUAAUCAGUCCAUUGUUGGUCCCUAAAUUAGCAACAUUUGUUAGUAAUUUCUUUAUACAUAUAGCAUGGGAUUGGCACAUCGAGGAUCAGAUAAAUUAGGAUGAGGCAGAUACCUAUAUUCAAAUAUAAUGAAUUCAUUUAGUGUAAUACAUUGGCAUCACUGAUAAGAAUAUUAGGCAGAUAAGUAGAACAACAACAAGAAGUUAAAUAAUUAUGAAUAUUAUGUACAAGAAGAAUUUAAAUAAUGAUUAUUCUCACUUAGUUGAUUUUCUAGUUUCAUUAUGUGAAGCAAAUCAGGAGACAGGGGAAACAUGGGGAAGGCAAGGACUCUUGAAAGCUGAUUAAAGCUUAUUAGCUGUAGUUAUUAUUUCCUAUUUAGCUGAUAGGUUCCUAGUCAGAUUAGUAUUAGAUUUCAAUUACGUAUUAGAUCGUAAUUCCUUAGCUGUAGGGUAUUUAAGAGGGGAACAGAACAAAAGAUGGGACAUUAUUUGUAUUCUUGGCAAUUACUUUCUUUAAAUACAAAUUGGAGUGAUUCAUCUACAUAGAUAUUCUGUAUUAAAUUAUUUAUUGUUCUUACUGGGAGCAACGAGAGGUUGUACCGGAGGGCAUUUACAUUAAUAUGUGCAUAAAAAAAAAACAGAGAGAGAGAGAAAGAGAUAGAGAGCUCAAAAGAAGUUAAAUAAUGAUGAAUACCUUGAUGGAGUUUGAGGCCAAUUUGGUUCAUUUUGGUUGAUCCGUGAUGAUAUCGAGCUUUGGUUGUCUGGAACCUCCGGUGGCAGCCUGCUUCCAUGGACAGUGACAUUAUUAGGAUAAACGGAAGAAUAACUAAAUUGCAAGCAAUCAUCUUCUGAUAAAAUAUGCUUAAGAAUGACGUACGAGAGAAACUCAGAAAUAUUGAAUGUAUCUUCAAUGGUGUAUCUAAUUAUAAAAAUGAAGUGAUCAUUGUUAAAUAAUAUUUAUGUAGUCUUAUUUAUUAAGGGUAGAAUAGUACUUUCAGUUUAACCUAUAUAUACUUUAUUUGUAUUUAGGUUAAGACUAUGCAUUCAUAAUAAACAGAUUAUUCAGAAUUGUAGCCUCCUUUUUGUGUUUGAUCUCAAUAAGUUUAACAUGGUAUCAGAGCUGGUUUUAUGAAACGAGGCUUAAUCCCAAAUACAGCUUCGCGGAUCCAAUUUUUUUUUGAAGUGAUAUUUUGUCUUCCGCUUCUACAAAAUUGGGUAUUUCGACAGUUUCUAUAAUUAUUUUGGUAUUUCGACAGUUUCUGCAAUUAUUUUGGUAUUUGCAUUCAGUUUUUGCAAAUUUAUUUUGUGUUUUGGAGUAAUCGUAUAAUUUCGAGAAGAUAUUUGUUUAGUUUUUUGCAAUCUCUAUUCAGUUUCUACAAAUUGGUAUUUAGUUUUCCGCUGCUUUUGCAUUCUGGUUCUUUGUGACUGUUGGUUAUGGCUACUGAAAGAGAUGAUUCGCUUCAAUUUGUGAGUGUGAGGUUGGAUGGGAAGAACUAUUCGUAUUGGAGUUAUGUAAUGCGAAAUUUCCUUAAGGGUAAGAAGAUGUGGGGGUAUGUUAGUGGAACUUAUAUAAUACCUAAGAAUAUUGAAGAGGGGGAUGUUGUUUUGAUAGAUACAUGGGAAGCAAAUAAUGCAAAGAUUAUUACUUGGAUCAACAAUUCUGUUGAGCAUUCGAUAGGUAUGCAGUUGGCGAAGUAUGAGACAACAAAAGAGGUUUGGGAUCAUCUGCAAAGGUUAUUCACACAAUCAAAUUUUACAAAACAAUAUCAAUUAGAGAAUGACAUACGAGCUCCUCAUCAAAAGAAUAUGAGUAUUCAAGAGUUUUAUUCUGCUAUGACAGAUCUUUGGGAUCAAUUAGCUCUUACAGAAUCGGCAAAAUUAAAGGCAUGUGGUGCCUAUAUUGAGCGUAGAGAGCAGCAGCAAUUGGUACAGUUUUUAACAGCACUUCACAGUGAUUUUGAAGGACUUAGAGGUUCAAUUCUGCAUCGUUCUCCACUGCCUUGUGUUGACUUUGUUGUUAGUGAGUUAUUGGCUGAAGAAAUACGUCUUUAGUUUUAUUCUGAAAAGGGAAUUCUUUCUGCUUCAAAUCCUUCAUUAUUAGCAGUGUCUUCUAAGCCAUUCUCUAAUCAUCAGAAUAAGUCUUACACAAGGGUUGGCUUUGAUGAGUGCAAUUUCUGUAAGCAGAAAGGUCAUUGGAAAGCUCAGUGUCCUAAGUUGAGACAGCAUAAUCAAGCUUGGAAGUCUGGCAAUCAAUCACAAUCUAAUGCUCAUAGACCACCUCAGGGUUAUAAACCACCACACCACAAUACUGCAGCAGUAGCUUCCUCAAGCUCUAUUACCGAUCCUAAUAUUUUGGUUGAGCAAUUUCAGAAGUUUCUCUCCUUGCAGCCACAAGCAAUGUCCGCUUCUUCUUCCAUAGGUCAGUUGCCUCAUAGUUCCUCAGGUAUGUCACACUCUAAAUGGGCCUUGGAUUCUGGUACUUCUCAUCAUAUGUCUCCAGAUUCCUCAUCUUUUACCUCUGUGCCCCUUUUGUCCUCCAUUCCUGUUAUGACUACUGAUGGCACUCCUAUGCCCUUAGCAGGUGUUGGUUCUGUUGUCACACCUCACUUGUCUCUCACUAAUAUUUAUCUUAUUCCAAAACUCAAAUUAAAUCUUGCGUCUGUUGGUCAAAUAUGUGAUUCUGGUGAUUAUUUAGUCAUGUUUUAUGGUUCGUUUUGUUGUAUACAGGAUAUGCAGUCUCAGAAGCUGAUUGGGACAGGCCGUAGAGAGAAUGGACUAUAUAUUUUGGAUGAGUUAAAAGUGCCAGUUGCUGCUGCCGCCGCUGCUACUACUACCGUUGAUUUGUCUUCCUUUCGUUUGAGUCUUUCAUCUUCUAGUUUUUAUUUAUGGCAUUCCUGUCUAAGUCAUGUUUCAUCCUCUUGUUUGAGAUUUUUGGCAUCCACAGGAGCUUUAGGAAAUUUGAAAACUUGUGACAUUUCUGAUUGUAGUGGAUGUAAAUUGGCAAAAUUUUCCGCCUUACCUUUUAAUCGAAGUAUUUCUGUUUCUUCUUCACCAUUUGAUUUGAUUCAUUCUGAUGUAUGGGGACCUUCUCUUGUUGCCACAAAAGGAGGGUCUCGAUAUUAUGUCUCUUUUAUUGAUGAUCAUACUCGUUAUUGUUGGGUUUAUUUAAUGAAACAUCAUUCUGAAUUCUUUGAGAUAUAUGUAGCUUUUCGAGCUCUUAUCAAAACUCAAUAUUCUACUAUGAUUAAAUGUUUUAGGUGUGAUUUGGGUGGGGAAUACACCUCUAAUAAAUUUUGCCAAUUGCUUGCCUUAGAUGGAACCACCCACCAAACUUCUUAUUGCUGAAAAAAAAACAUAGGCACAUUGUUGAAACUGCUCGUUCUCUCUUGUUGUCUGCCUUUAUUUCUAGUGAGUUUUCGGGAGAAGUUGUUCUUACUGUUGUAAGUUUAAUUAAUACAAUUUCAUCUUCUCAAGUUCGGGUCUGUCUCCUUUUGAAAAGUUAUAUGGGUAUGUUCCUGAUUAUUCCUCAUUUAGAGUCUUUGGUUGUACUUGUUUCGUUCUUCGUCCUCAUGUAGAACGAAGUAAGUUAUCCUCUCGAUCCGCUAUUUGUGUUUUUCUAGGCUAUGGUGAAGGUAAAAAGGGUUAUCGUUGUUUUGAUCCAAUAACUCAGAAACUUUAUGUGUCUCGUCAUGUUGUCUUCCUUGAGCAUAUACCUUUCUUUUCUAUUCCAUCCACUACUCAUAACCUGACUAAAUCUGAUGUUAUUAGUAUAGAUCCGUUUUCUGAGGAUUCUAAUAAUGAUAUCUCUCCCCAUGUUCGAUCAAUUGGUACUCAUAACUCUGUAGGUACUGGUACUUUACUUUCUGGCACACCUGAAGCUCCAUUCUCAUCUACAGCCCCUCAAGCUUUAUCUGAGAUUGUGGAUCCACCUCCAUGUCAGUCCAUCCAUAUUCGUAAGUCUACAAAACUACCAGAUUUUGCUUAUUCUUGUUAUUCUUCAUCAUUUACUUCCUUUUUAGCUUCUAUUCAUUUACUUCCUAUUCGAGCAAUUUUUUUUGUUUCAACUUAGGCUCUGAUUCUGACUUAGUUUCGUACGAUAUGACCAUCCUGGGUAUAUUCUGUCACUCAUUACAUAUUGAAAAAUUGACGUACACCUUUAAUAGGUCCUAUGGAUCAUUGUUCUUAGAGCAGUUUCUCAGUCAGAUUUGGAUGCUCAACAUUGUCGGAUCAAGAACCUUUUUGACCAACUAGAUUACUGCUAGAUUCUGUUCUCUAAAACAAUUUUAUCUCACUUCAACUCUUUCAUCAAAGAUGUAGUCCUGGACGUGUAGAUAAAUUUGGACUUUUGAAUCGCUUGAUUUCAAUAUCAUAAGCUCAAAAUAUUCUUGUUUGAAUAUCUAACGUGAAGGCAGAGAAUUCUGCCGCGAGAAGGAUAUUGACUCGAGUCUGCUCUAAAAAAACUCUAUUUUUGGCCUAGUUUUUGUGAUUUUUGUUCUUAUUUCAUACUCUCAGUCAUAUCAGGAUUCUCGGCAUUCGUCAGUUUUUGAGUUAGACCUGGAGAUCCCUUUUGACCAACUAAAUUACUGUUAGAUUCUGUUCUGUAAAACGAUUUUAUCUCACUUCGACUUCUUCAUUAAAGUUGUAGUCCUCGAUGUGUAGAUGAAUUUGGGCUUUUGAAUCACUUGAUUCCGAUACCAGAAGCUCAAGAUAUUCCCAUUUGAAUAUCUAACGUGAAGGCAGAAAAUUCUGCCGCGGGAAGGAUAUAGCCCAAGUUCGCGGGGCUGAUUCGAAGGAUUUUUUUUGGACCAAGGACUGAAUCAAAAAGUUUUAAAAUGAGGGAUUGAAUUGAAGAAGGAUAUUGAAAGCUGGAGAGGGAGGAUGGAUCAUCAUAAAUGAUAGGAUUUUUUCCACACCAAUAAGGAAAAUGAGACCUUGCAGCUGCACCAUCCAGCUGAUUUUCUUUCCUUUUUCGCUGCAAAUUCUUGCUGUUUUUCCUUUAUCAUCAUGUCUGAUUUUGGGAGCUGCAACCACGUUUUUUCUGGCCUCAUUUCAAAGGGAGCAGCUGACCCUAUGGAAGGAAAGAAAACAACCACACCCUCCUCUAAAACUAGAAAGAAAUCAGACGUAAAGAACCAGCAUAAAGUCAGAAUAUUGCAGCUUCCUUUUGCAUUUUUUUUUACUGCAAAUCAGUAGGGAUUUACGUCCUAGGAUUAAUGCAUUGAAUCCUUCUUAAAUGGAGACAUUUUUAGACUAUAUAUAAGCCCUCUAAUGACCUAACGGGGGCAGAAAAAGAGAGAGCCGAAAGAGAGUAAAAAAUAGCAGAAAGAGAGCAGAAAAAAUAAACGAAAAACGCAAGAGAGGCAGGGAUUGAAAAAACAUAGAUAACAGGGGAACAUUGAGAGUUUGUUUUUUUCUUUGAUCCUUUUCGUCAAAAAGAGAAAGGAGAAUAGGGAGGCAGGCGACAGUAAAACCAGAAAAGCCAAUAGAACAAAAGAGGAAGUCUUUCUUUGGUUUUUUAGAGGCAAAACGCAGGAGCUUUUCUAUCGGGUUGUGUCUCAUCUUUUGCAUUUGAAACGUGCAGGAUCUGCAGGUAUGAGUCCCGACUUCCUUCAUCUUUGUCAUAUUUAAAGCUUUGUUUGGUUUUUGUUUUUCUGUUUGUUGCUUUUUGUUUUGGGGACGUUUAUUUUCAUCUUAGCAACAAAGUGGCUUGCUUGCAUACUGUCCAUCCCAUGUCUUUGAGUUUAGUUUAUUAUCACUGUUAGAGCUGCGUUUUUUUUUUUGUUUUACUCCCUAGUGAUGAGAAACUGUAAGCUUUAAACAUCCCUUUCUCCCGUCGCUCAAUCGUUCUUUUGCAAUGGAACGCUAAUUAGAAGCAAGUGUUUAAUUAGGUGCAGAAGAGAGGGUUGAAAAAAAAACGUGAGGGAGAGUCCCUUUCUUCAGUUAAUGCCGAUUCUGGGUUCACACCGUUUUCUUUCUUUCUUUUCUUUUCUUUUGUUUUUUGAGUUUGCAGGGAGGGGUCAUGGUUCAUGUUGUAAUUUUAUUUAGCUUGAGGACCUCGUUUUUUUUAUAUGUUUUGUGCACACUGACUUGUGUUUUUUUUUAAUUGGUGUGCCGAAACUUGUUUAUUUGAGAUGAAUUGUUUUAAGCUUCUUGCAAAUUUUGGAAUAGGUGAAUAUUUUUUGUGAUGUUUGUUUAAUCAUGUUAUUCAUUUUUUUUUAAGAAAAAAAAUGGUUUUUUCUUGUGUGUUGCAUACGGCCAUUACCCUAACAUGCUUUGAAUUUUUUUUUAUAUAUAAAAAAAUAUUUGAAGUUUCGAAAAAGGUGUUUUCGCAUGGAUUUCGUAAACAUAACAAAAAUUAUUUUCUUGCAUUUCUGGAUUCUACAACAUGUUUGUAAAACUCCAAAGGGUAUUGGCCAAUAUUUCAAAAAAAAAAAUCCUUUUUUUUUGGGGGGGGAAUUCAUCUAUUAUUCACCGCUAAUGUUUGGAUAAAGAAAUUCUCAAAGGAUGAAUAUCCAAAAUAUUAUUGGGAGUAAUAAAUCCGCACACAUCCUUGAAAGAAGCCUUGAUUAUAAUCGAGGACAUUUCAAUUUUUUUACUCCAAGGUUUAUGAGCCGUGAGAGUAUAAAACAUUAAAAAAUAUAUCUAUAUAUAGGUUUUUUUUUAGCGCCCUAGAUUUCUAAGAUUUUUGUCCCUCCUCCUUGCGAUUUACGAGUGCAAACUUUUGAAAUACUAAGGGAAAAAUGAGCUUUCAAAGCACAUGGAAUCUCCUUGGAUUUCUAUCCUAAUAAAUUUAGUUUGAAUCAAAUCUAGAAAAACAGAUGGGAUUAGAAAACACCAACACUAUAGCAAUUAUAGCGCAAACCAAACACCAAGCAGCUUACCUUAGGUAGGGCGUACUAGGGGUGCUAAUACCUUCCCUUUACGCAACCAGUCCCUUACCUUAGAAUCUCUGAAAGACUAGUUAGGGUUCCUAGUGACCAAAAUACUAGGUGGCGACUCUCAUAUUCACAAUAAAACAAAAGACCCUGAAAUAAAUCGAAAGUCGUCGCUCCGCCACGAGGGUGCGACACUCCUAUUGAGGUUAAUGCAAGGUACUCUUCUUCUGAUGGUUUACCUUUGAUAGAUCCUACUUUAUACCGCACUAUUGUUGGGAGUUUGGUAUAUCUCAUCAUUACUCGUCCAGAUAUUGCAUAUGUUGUUCAUGUUGUUAGUCAGUUUGUUGCUUCUCCUACUAUUGUUCAUUGGGUAGCUAUUCUUCGUAUUUUGCGAUAUCUUCGAGGUACAGUUUUUCAGAGUCUUUUACUCUCAUCCACCUCUUCCUUGGAGUUGCGUGCAUACUCUGAUGCUGAUCAUAGUAGUGAUCCCACAGAUCGCAAGUCUGUUACCGGGGUUUUGUAUCUUUUUAGGUGAUUCUCUUAUUUCUUGGAAGAGCAAGAAACAAUCUAUUGUUUCUCAAUCAUCCACCGAAACAAAAUAUCGUGCCAUGGCAUCUACCACAAAAGAGAUUGUUUAGUUACGUUCGUUACUUGCUGAUAUGGGAGUUUCCUUUUCUCAUCCUACUCCUAUGUAUUGUGACAACCAGAGUUCUAUUCAGAUUGCUCACAACUCGGUUUUUCAUGAGUGAACUAAGCACAUUGAGAUCGAUUGUCAUCUUACUCGUCAUCAUCUCAAGCAUGGCACCAUUACUUUGCCUUUUGUUCCUUCUUCCUUGCGGAUUUCUUUACCAAGGCGCAUUCCAUCUCUCAUUUUCGUUUUCUGGUUGGCAAACUCUCGAUGCUUGUAGCUGCCGCAUCGUGAGUUUGAGGGGAGAUGUUAAAUAAUAUUUAUGUAAUCUUAUUUAUUAAGGGUAGAAUAGUACUUUCAGUUUAACCUAUAUAUACUUUAUUUAUAUUUAGGUUGAGAUUAUACAUUCAUAAUAAACAGAUUAUUCAAAAUUGUAGCCUCCUUUUUGUGUUUGAUCUCAAUAAGUUUAACAAUCAUAUUAUAAAACCUUUCAAUAUUUGGUAGCAUCUCUUAAGCAGUAAAUAUCAAUGGUGUAUCUAAUUAUCAAAAAGGUGUUAAUACCGUGUUAAAACACAACAGCUAGAAGUCAAUCAGUACCUCGUAGAGUUGCCAGAGUUUCGAGGCACGAAGUUCUCUUGUUGCAUAUUGUCUAUGUCAGGAAUUACAGCAGCUUGAUCGUCUUGUCCUUGAUUAGAAAGAAAUUGAAUCCUGAAUCCAAAAUCAUUCGCAAGCAUUAUGAAGCAUUACAAACUUAUGAUUAUCUAGCUGGGUUCAUGUUCAAGCUAUGAUGUUACUUUCCUCUUUGAAAAACUAUUUCUUUUUUUUUUUUACAGCAAAUACUAAAUAUGAAAAAUUGGAUACCGGGGAGCAGGAAAAGAAGGUCCAGAUUGAUUGAAGCCACCAUUUUGUGAAGUGGUUGCAUUCGGUGUCAUAUAGCCUUGUCCCGGAUGAGGUUCAGGAAUAUUGGAGUUCUGAUGCCUGAAUAAUAUUCAAAUAGUUAAACUUAGAACUGUUAUGCUCACUUGGUUGAUUUUCUAGUUCCAUUAUGUGCACACAAAAAAAAGAGAGAUAGAGAGCUCAAAAAUACUUGAAAGAUCCUCGUCAAUUUUGGUCAAGUUUAUUGUUUUCAUGAUUAAAAAAGUGUAUAUAUAUUCGAGGUUAAUACCAUUGAUUUAUUGGAGGUUGAGGUCCAGGUAACAUCGCAGGCACUUGAUUGCUCAUUGGUAACGGAUAAUUAGUCCAUUGUUGGUCCCUAAAUUAGCAACAUUUGUUAGUGAUUUCUUUAUACAUAUGCAUAAUUGUUAGCUAUUAAUCCACUAAGCAUUUGAUAUCAUUUUAGCUUACCUCAAAGGCAUUGAUGGUCCAGGUAGCAUGGGAUUGACACAUUGAGGAUCAAAUAAAUUAGGAUUAAGCUGAUACGGUGAUACCUACAUUCAAACAUAAUGAAUUCACUGAUAAGUACAACAACAAGAGGAAGAAAUGAAGAAGUCAAAUAAUGAUUGAAAAACUUCUUCUUCUUUUUUUUAACAGAAAAUACUAAAAAUGAAAAAUUGGAUACCGGGGAGCAGGAAAAAGAAGGUCCAGGUUGAUUGAAACCACCAUGUUGUGAAGUGGUUGCGUUCGGUGUCAUAUAGCUAUUUCCCGGCUGAGGUCGAUGGAUAAAGGAAUUAUGAUGCCUUGAUGGAGUUUGAGGCCAAUUUUAUAUAAAACUUAAUGAUAAAAAAAUAUCAUAAAAAAGUCUAAAUCUCCCAAUUGUUGUCUGUUUGUUUAACAAUAAACAUUUUGAAGAUGCUCGAGAUAAAUUGAUAAACGAAAACAUAAGACUUUUUGAUCCAAUGGGUGAUACAAACACUUGCUAAUUCAAUGGAAAUUGUAGCAAAUUGGAGUAGGCAUGAGCACUCACCAUGGUUUGAGGAAAUGAAGGUGGAAACUGAUCAGUUGUUUGCUGAAUACUAUCGUUGAUCACAUUGUUAUCCACCACCAUGUUCUGUCCAUCUUGAUCAUUGCAUAAUAUGGAGCUUUGGUUGCCUGAAAACUCCGGUGGCGACCUGCUUAAUUUGUUAUUAGGAACAUUAUUCUUUUUUGGGAAUAAUAAGAAAAACUGUAGAAUAACUAAAUUGCAAGUAAUCAUCUUCUGAUAAAAUAUGCUUAAGAAUGACGCACAAGAGAAACUCAGAUAUAUUGAAUGAAUCUUCUUGUGAUUGAAAAUCGAACUGAUUCGAUGUCAAGUUGACAUCAUCCUCAUUACAAGACGGUGGGACUCCUUCCAUCUGAGGUUUAAAAAAGAACAGAAAGCACAGAUUAGAUAAGAAUAUAUAUAUAGACACACACACACGACUUAUUUAUUUGUUAAAGAAAUUCGGAUGAAAAAUAGGAAAUAUAAAUGUUGCUGUUAAUUAUUUAAUUCUUUGUUUUAAUGCUAAAUUAUUUGUCACUUGUUGUGAACAAGUUUAAUGAAAGAUAAUUAAUACUGAUCAAGUUAAUUCAUGAAUCAGUAAAAAACAACUUCAUUGAAUCAUUAUGUCAGAAAAAUAUUGGAUAAAAAUAAUUAAUGGCAGUCCCACAGGGCAUGGAUUACAAAAUCUAGUAUUGGAAAAGAAAUCCCAUAUAUAAGGAGUUAAAAACAGCAAAGAAUUUUGAAAAGACAAAAACAAUGAAUUCAAGGUUUAGGGUUAAUUUGGUAUGAACACCACAAGGCAUAGAUUACAAAAUCUGAGAAAAAGAUCGAUUUAUUUAUCAUGGAUUACUUUAAAGAUUCAGACAAGAUGAAGUACAAUUAAUUUACCUGGAUUCAAGAUGUUCUUCAAGUGCUAGCUGGUUUGCUUAAGCAGUGAUCAGCCAAAAGAAAAGGAAGAGAAAUCACAGAUCAGAGAAUAAUAUAUGGUUUAGAAAAAUAAUAAAGAUGCAGUAUACAUAAAUCUAGUUCGCACUGAUCAUGAGAUGUAGAAAGGAAAAUAGGGAAUUGUACAAUGAGAUGAGAUGUGGAAGAGAAUGUUACAGCAGCUAGCUCUUUUACAUAAUAUUAUUUAUUAGUAAGGUCGCCUCAAUAAUAAUUAAUUAACGUAUUGUUUGAUAUAUUAUAAGAUAUAUAAAGUUAACGUGUGGACCAGCCCCAAUGUUGAAACUUCGAAGAAGCUGCCAAGAAAAUGUAAACAAAUUAAGGUUCCAUUUGUUUGCUGGAAAGUAUUAUUUUUUUUGAAGUAAAUUUCGAGUAAAGUGAAUUCCGGGAAAGUAUUUUCCGAUGUUUAGUGUAAUGAAAAAUGAGUUGGAAACACUUUCCAGUAUUUGGUUAUGUCAUAGAAAAUGUGUUGGAAAAUAAUUUAUUAAUAUUUUAUUUUUCUCAAGUUUAUUAAAAUAAUAAGAAACAAAUCUUACAAAUUAAAUGGUUGAAUGAUAAUGAAAUUGAAAAAAAAAUAUAAUUUCAUAAAUUAUCUCAAAUAAAAUAAAUAAUAAUCAAAAUAAUAGAGAUCAAAUCUAAAAAAUUAAAAAAUAAUAAAAGAUGAAGAAAUAAAAAUAAUAAUAAUCAACAUUUCAUAAAUUAUUUCAAAUAAAAUAAGUAACAAUCAAAAGAAUAAGGACCAAAUUUGAUAGAUAAAAAAUUUCAAUAAAAAUAUGAUAAGAAAAAAGCAAAUAGCAAUUAUAAAAAUAAGAACCAAAGUUAAUAUAAAAAUAAAAUUUUAAAAGAUGAAAUUGAAAAAUAAAUAUUCAAAACAAAAUAUAUAUAGCAAUCAAAAGUUUGAGGAUCAAAUUUGAUAUAAUCAGUAAAUAAUGACAUUUCUAAAUUUUUCACAACUCCCGGAAAGUGUUUUCCCCCCAAACUUUUCAGGAAAACACUUUCCUGAAAAGCAAGCCAAAUUUUUCUUUUACUGGAAAGUGUUUUCCAUUGACCAACUUUUCUACUGGCAAACAAACAAAAGAAAGUUUGGAAAGUGAUUUUUCCGGAAAUUACUUUCCGGAAAACAAACACAGCUAAAAAGAAAAUAUUUUCCUGAAAAUCAAGUCAAAUUUUUCUUUGACUGAAAAGUGUUUUCCGUUGACUAAAAAGUGUUUUCCAUUGACCAACUUUUCUAAUGAUAAACAAAUACAGGUGUAACUGGACGACAAAACAGAGUGACCAUUUCUUUUUCUAACAACAGGAAAGUUUGGAAAAUGGUUUCCCGGAAACUACUUUCCGGGAAACAAACAUGGCCUAAAUUUUCUAAAAAGAACAGCAUAUUUCUGCAUGCUGUGAAUUUUUUAAAAAAAUAUUUUUUAUUUAAAUAUAUAUUAAAAUAAUUUUUUAAUUUUUUUUUAUAUUGUCACAUAAAUACAAUUCAAAAAUAUUAAAUACAAACAGUCACUUGAUAUAAUUUUACAGAUUUUUAAUUAGUCUCCCUCAUUUGAGCCAUGUCAUGGUUAAUAGUUAUCAGAAGAACCAACACCCCGACAAAAAUAAUAAUAAUUUCACAGUUGAACAAUGUUUUUUAAAAAACUUGAUAUUUUUUUAUUUUAAAUUAAAAUUUUUAAUAUUUUUAGAUUGAUUUGACAUUUUAAUAUUCAAAAUAAAUUUUAAAAAAUAAUAAAAAUUAUUAUUAAUAUAUUUUUAAAUAAAAAAUAAUUUAAAAAAUAAUUAUUAUCACCAUCAAACAUUAUCUUAUUCCAUGAUAGCAUACCUGAACUUUUCCACAACAAUGGAAAUUAUUAUUUUUUCCAACACCCUUCUACAGAUUUAUAUUCUUAGCCCUCGACCUAUAAAGUAUGAUUUGCUAGCCAAUCUGCACACUAGUUUCUAAUUAAUACAAAGAUGAUCGUGUUUUUUUGUUGCCAAAAUUGUGGGCCAAUAAUUUUCCAUUUUUUUCCGAGUUUUUUAGUGAUUUUUUUUUAUCUCAAAUUCAUAAAUUAAAAAAUUAAUAAAAUAAAAUUUUGAAUUAAAAUUAAAAACCAAAAUUAAAAUGCAAAAUGCAAAAACUCCAGGGAACAGAAUUUUGAAAAACACACCAAGCUACUUUUUUAUUUCAGUAUCAUAUUUGGUGUUCAAAGUUUCAAUUAUUUUUAAUGAAUUAAAUUGAAUAAAAUUUUAUCAAAUCAAAUACCAACUUAAAUUAAUCGUUGAAGCUUUUUUUUUUUUUUUACCUUGAGAACUUCAUAAUUAAUUAAAAUAAAUUAUUAACCUCAAAUUCCCAUGAAUAUAAAAUUAAAAAUAAAAUAAUCAGCUCAAAUAAUAAUUAAUUAACGUAUUGCCUGAUAGUAAGGAAGUUGUCCGGAAGCAACCCACCGCUCACCUACCAAACAUGAGAGUGUUCGGAGAUUAUUUGGUUUUUUGUUUUUUAUGGCCAUAUAAAAAAUAUAUAUUUUUAAUUUUAAAAAAUAUAAUGUAUAUUUUAAAAAAUUAUUUUUUUAAUAAAAAAAUUAUCACAUCUCCGUACCAAAUACACAUAUUAUAUUAUAAGAUAUAAAAAGUUAACAUGUGGACCCCCACCAAUGUUUAAACUUCGAAGAAGCUGCCAAGAAAAUGUAAACACAUGAAAUUUUCAAAAAAGAAUAGUAUAUUUAUGCAUGCUGUAAAUGUUUUUUUAAAAAUAUUUUUUAUUUAGAAAUAUAUUAAAAUAAUAUUUUUAAAUUUUUUACAUUUUAUAUCAUAAUAUCAAAAUAAUUAAAAAUAUUUAAAAUAUAUUUUUAAAAAAUACAUUGGGAUUGUAAAGUUAAACCAGUUCUAACGUUUAAAUUGUUUUAAAAAUAUUUUAAAAAUAUAAAAAUAAACAGGGUUUAAGGUGCAUUUGAAUGUGUCUGCCUUUGAGUGUGUCUAUCAGAGCCGAGUGAUUUUACUUAACCAUGAAUUUUUUGUGAGACAAAUUAUAAUGAAUUUUUUUCUAUUUUACUAAUAUACCCAAGGUGUUUAUAACUAGAUGCUACUUGCUGAGGUGGAUAUUAGCAAUAUCAAAAUUAACUGUAAUGUUAAAACUUUGGAAAGCUAUUUGAGGCAACACCAUGCCCACCAACAUCACCCCAACAAAAAAAGAUGAAUUUUUGUACCUCCCAUAAAGAAAAUAGAUAGAGGUAUGAAAUUUUAUUCUAAAUAUAUUCUUAUAAAAAUUUUAAAAUUCCAAAUCAUGUACAUAUUCUGCACAUCACACAUAAUGACAUCUUUGUUUAGCGAUGGAGCACAGAGUUGAUCAUAAUAUAUAUCUUCCAUGGUCAAGACACAAUGGAUCUGUUGGUUGAGAUGGAUCUCCAUCACAGCCCAACAUCAUUAGCGCUUAUCAAAAGAAGAAGAUUUCGAAUCAGUCCAUUCAUUUCCAUCUGUAGGCAUCUUUCUCAAACAUCAAGGAGAAUUACUUCUAGAUUCUGAGUUGCCACUAAAAAACAAAAAACCCUUACGAACUAGUUCGUCUUCCAAUCCUUAAAUUAGUUUCCUCGUUGUUUUUCACAAUUUUUUAAGAAAAAAAAAUAAAAAAGGAAAAAUAAAAAUAUGAUCAUAAGCUAUAUAUCUAACACUCAUUUUAAAGAAAUUGAUAAUCCAAGAAUUUAAACCUAGCCAGUUAGCUAUAGGACACACAACUCGCUAGGGAUACGAUGAACCUUUUUUUGAUGGCCUUGUAACCCAGCAGAUUGGAAAAAAUAACAACGCUCCUAGGCCAAGCCCGCGAACAUCACCCCCAGCAUAUUGGAAAAAAUGCUCAUAACCAUUUCGGAAAAAACACACCUAGGCUACCAUGGUAUGCUAGAAAGUGGAAAUAAAUCGAUAAUAAUCAUGAAAUAAAUCGUAAGCAGAAAAGAAAAAUAAAUAAAAAUUGUUCAUACUACUCCAUCUUGAUUGAUGGGAAUGACUUCUGACUUGCAUACAUAUGUAAUAUGUAAGACUCCUGCUAAAAUUAUCUGAUAAAUUUUCGUGAAAAAAAAUAAUAAAGUCAGAGAACAACCAUGAAAUGCUUCUUAAAUUAAAUCAAAUGGAGAAGAAAACUCAGGUAAUAAAUGUUUAAUUCACUUUCAAGUGACAAUAAAGAAUGAAAGCAUUUCUAUUCAAUGAUAUUUCUUGGCUCACAAAUAAUCUAUCAACAAUUAUAUGAGAAUCAAAUCUCUCCAAUCACAUGCUCAACACUUAGAAAGCAAAUUUACAGAGUAAUAAGUCUAAUAAACUUCUUGAUGUAGUGCAACAGAUAAUUCUAAAUUUAUUAAAUAGACUCAUUAACAUUUUUUAUGUAUUUAUUGACAUAAAUAAUUCCAAAUUUAUCUAAUUAAAUAUAUACAAAACGUGGUUAGUAUAACUAAACACACUGACUUUUGGCUACCAAACUAGUUUUGGCAUUAAGUGGCUUGUCCCCAGAACCUGGGUCCCAAAUGCCAGCAACCGAACAUAAAAAGGUUUCAACCCCAUGGUGCCUUUUCCCUUGUUGUAAAUAUAAAAUAAAAUUUAAGUCAAGGAGGUCCAGUCUUAAAUGCUCCAAACAUUAUCCUUGUAUCAAGCUUAUGUGAUCCAAGAAUUCAUAUUUAUUAUAAAAUUAUAAUUUAAUAUGAGUUUUUAUCUUAUGAUUCAAGAAGUUUCUAUUGUAUAUUCAAGAAUUUUAAGUUUGUAGUCAAUUUUAUAAUUCAUAAAAAUAUUUGAUCCCUGAAUUAGUUUUCUAAAUGCCUUGCAUAAAUUCUUAAGAGUAAAAAUAUUUUAACAAUAGUUGUCGUGCUAAAAAUGAUACUCUAUUGAACUUUUAUUUCUAAUUCUAUUUUUUAAGUUUUUGAUUUUUGUAAAAUUGAUUGGAAAAAAAAAUCAGGUCAUGUGGGCGCUUAACUCGAAUCAGCAAAAUCAAAGAAUCAAGUGAAUAAUAAAUUUCAAUAUUCAGAGUUGAAGACCGGUGGAGCAAAAUCCGACUCUAGUCUAGAGCGUGUUUGGGAACGUCGUGCAAAUCGUAUUGCUUCAAAAUUAAAAUUUUAUUUGUUUAAAAUUAAUUUUUUUAUGUUUUGAAAUCGUUUUGAUGUGUUGAUAUCAAAAAUAAUUUUUUUAAAAAAAUAUUAUUUUGAUGUAUUUAUAAGGAAAAAACACUUUCAACCGCAAACCGCUCGUUUGAGAUUGUGGUAGUGAUUGUGGUUCAAAGUGUUUUUCGCUUAGAAAUACAACAAAAUUAUUUUUUUUUAUUUUAAAAAAUUAUUUUUGAUAUCAACACAUCAAAACGAUCUAAAAACAUAAAAAAAAAUUAACAAAAAAGAAAUUCAAAGUUUAAGUAAACAUGAUUUCCAUGGCAUUCCCCAAUAUGCCCGAAUCAAAGACAUUCUAAUCUCGUUACUUUUUAGAGAUCUCUUAAUUUUCAAGAGAACCUUAACCAUCCCUUUAUGCAAGUGUAUGCUUUGCCAAACAAUCCUUCAGGAGAAUGGGUUCUCAAACAUGCCAAAUUGUUUUUCAAAUAAUUCAAAAUUCCUAAAACAAACACUAUAUUAAAUUCAUCUAUAUCGGCAUGGGUUGAUCUAUCCAACCUAGUAAUAUGUCAUAGGAUUGGAAUCUGAUUAUGUAACAAUAGGGAAAAAAUGUCAGAUUUUUGUUUUUUUUAUUGGAUUUACUUUCUAUGUGGUCAAUCUUGCCAUUAUCAUGAGUUUCUAAAGUUAACAUAGGCUGAUUUUAAUAUUUUUCAGGUUUUUUUUUUAUUUUUUUAAUAUUAUUUUUUUAGAGUUGAUCUUUAUGAUUUUUUUAUGGAACAAUAGGGAAAUUUUUUUUAUAAAUUAUUUAUUUAAUUAUAUGAUAAAAAUAAAUGCUCCUCAAAUUGAGUAUCAUUUUUAAAAUAAUUCUAUAAAAAAUAAAUUAUAUUUAUUUAAGAUUAUAAUAAUUCUAUAAAAAAUAAAUAAAAAUAAAUCAUAUAGUUUAUUUACAAAGCAAUCUAAUAAUAUUAAAGAAUAACAUAAAAAAAUAAAAAAAAAUAUAUCAGAGAAAUCACAUAAGUUUGAUAGCAAGGAAGGAAGUUGCUGAGAAGGAACCCGCCGCUUACCUAACAAACAUUAUAUUAUAAGAUAUAGGAAGGUAACGUGUGGACCCCCUAAUGUUGAAACUUUGAAGAAGCUGCCUGUAAAAUGUAAACACGUGAAUAUGAGAAAGAAUAGCAUAUUAAGGUAGUAGAUAUCUCUUCCAUUUUUUUCCUCUUCAUAAUGCAUGGAUUUAAGUUGCUUGGAGAUUUCAUUAAUGAAAUUAUUAUUUUUUUAUUUUUAAUAUUAGUAUAUUAAAAAAUAUUUUUUCAAGAUAAAUAAUUUUUAAAAAUAUAUUCAAACACAAUUUUAAAUAUAAAAAUAAAUUAUGUCUUGAUUCUAUCGUAACAAUCUUCAUCUUCAAAGAUAAAUUAUUAAGAUCGUGACCUAUGUUCUCGAUUGAACUAGGAAGGUAUGGACUCUAAAUCCUAUAUAUAUAGAUAAAUUAGUAGAAAGGACAAAAACCCUAGUGCAAAAGUCCUAUAAACUAGCCAAACAAAUCAUACCCAGAAAAUCAAAAGCCAGAAACAUUCUAGCUCAAUUUUUGCUCCCCCUAGCUAAGAAAUGCAUAAUGCCCGCUUUGAAUUAUAGAUCAUCCAAAUUCCAGGGUAAAUAAUUGGAGAGUAAUUUGAUAGUGCUUAUAAAUUAAUUAAUGUCAUUUUAUUAAUUAUUAUUUUAUAUUUAUUUUAAAGAAAUAGAGAGAUAAACUAGAAGAAGAAAAAUCCAAGGUAAAAAUAUUCUUAUUAUUUUUUGUGUUUGUUUUUUUAAGUGAAUCCAAAAAAUAACCAAUAAUAAAUGACUAAUUACAUCCAAAGAAUAAUGCGGUGACGGUAGCACAGCAUUGAUUCUACAUGGGGACAAAUUAAAAGAAUAGAAGAAAAUAUUAAAUGAUUUAAUAGAGAAUAAAAUUUAAUUUUAAAUGCAAAUUAAAAUAAAGUAGAGUGACUAAUGGAGGAAGUACUGGAAUUCUACGAACAGUAGAGCGUCGGGAAUCCUUGCACACCUUUGGUAUUUUAAUUAUUCUUAUUUCGUUUAAUAACUCAAUAGGAUGAAAAAAAAAUAUUAAUCAAACUUCAAAUUAUAAUUAUUUAUCAUUUGAGUUAAAAAAAAAUAUGACAAUUCAGUAGUCUUUAAUGAAAUAAAAAAAAAUAAAAAAUGUUAUUUAUGUAAUUGUGCUUAACUUUACAAAGGGACGAAGGACAUUCUUUGCAUUAGGAUGCUCCCACUCCACUACCGUCUCCCACCAUUCUUUUGGAUAUACUAUGAUUUCUUCAAGAGAAGGGGGAGGAGAUGGCUGGCCAUUUUCAAGCAACGGAAGACAAAUUGGCAUCCUCUUCAGCUUCUGACAACGGAAUACAUUAAUUUCUUCAAGAGAAUUGCAAAUCAGUUUUGCACUACAAAUGCUUUUCAGUUCUGGUAAUUCAAAUAAAUUCAGAAUUCUUAACUUUGGGAGAAUGACUUCCGUGAUAGAAUUGGAGGUGCUGCUUUCUUCAUCUGUUGUUCCUAUUAUCUCCUCCAUUUUCUCACACUCAUUAACUUCAAUCACUUCCAGGUUUACCAGGUUUGGCAGCAACACAAGUGGGAACAGCUUCUUCAUACUUUUACAUCUAACAUAAUAAAACUCUUUAAGACCAGAAAACAUACCAUUAUAUGAUGGCAAUGGUGGCGGAUCAAAGCAGAAACAAGAAGAUGAAACCAAGCUCUCCAUGCUAUUGCAAUCCACAAUGUUGAUGUGCUCCAGUUCAGUUGCAUUCUCUAAUGACAAAACAUCACAUAAACUUCUUGCAUCGAUGCAUUCACAAACCAGUCCUUGAAUGCCAUUUAAGAACUUGACCUGAAAAUCUCCGUCUCCGUUGAUACUCAAAUUACCCAACCCAACUGUUUUACUUGGAAAAUUCAAUGCUUGCCAAAUACACCCACCUCUCCUACUAAAAUUUUGUAUGUGCUUAAUGAUUGGAUCCCAUCCCGAGAUCUGAGAUACUCCACGAAGUCAGGGAAACCUUCGAAAUGGCAUUCCAAAGUUUCUAAAUUUCUCAAGGAUCCUACUUCCUUUCCUUUAACUGUUAUCGGAGCAUUCGUAAAAUUUUCUAGUACAAAGACUUGCAGGUGAGAGAGUUUUGGUAAUAUCCCACUAGGAAACUCCUUUUCACCACAUCCAUGCAUUCUAAGAUACCUCAGGUUGGUUAGGCAUUCCAUUCCUUGCGGCAUCUUUGCAAGUGCCCGAGUAUCAGAGAGAUCCAACCUCUUCAGUGCCCUGAGCUUCUUUAAUGAUGGAACAUAUCUUAAGUUCUCACACAUUUUGAGCAAUAACGCAGUGAGACUCACCAAAUCAGAGACAGAGUCUGGCAAGUUUUCAAUACCUGUGCAAGACAGAUCGAGGACCUUGAGCCCAUGCAAUUGCUUGAAAAAUGAAUCCGCAAUCAAUGCAACUUUAUUUCACAUAGAAAUAGAGUUGAAAUGGACACUUGGUGAAUACUGGAAGGAAUUUCUUGAUCUUGUUUUUCAUUAGUGAAACUCGUCAGAUUCUCCGUCCACUCCUCUGCAUUUGGCAGCUCUUUUAAUUGCGCACCUGCUUUAACCAUAACUUGAGAGUUGUCUUGUAGUAUUUGGAUGGCCAUGUCCCUAAUCAAGUCAUGCAUCUUGACACAUCUACGACCAUCGUCCAUUUUAGCACUUUCCAAUAGGCAGACAUUUUCAAGUCUAUUAAGCAUCGUGUGGCCCUCAUCAAAUGCAUCUCCCCUGCUCCUCAUUCCUUUAAUUAUUCCCUCAUCAAUCAAAUAACCUAUCAACUCCUCCCUUUCAAUCUUACCAUCUUCAGGAAAUAAUGCACAGUACAAGAGACAUCGUUGUAGUGCUAAAUCACCUAACCGAUCAUAACUAAACCUCAAUAACUUGAAUACUUUCUCAUCUAUGUCCCUAAAUUCUGAUUCUCUCAAUUUGUUCAAUGUAUUUCUCCACUCAUGUAGGUCAUCCACUCCCCUCAAGCUUCUUGCUACUGUAAUAAUUCCCAAUGGCAAACCAUCACAUUCCUCUGCAAUAGCUUUUGCAAUCCCUUCCACUUCUCGCGAAAGUGCUUUGUCACGUCCAAGUUUCUCCAAGAACAAAUUCCAAGCUUCUCCAUCAGAAAGUGGCUUCACUUUGAUUUUGUGAUUGCAAGCAAUUCCAUGACAAACCGUUUCUAAUCGAGUUGUCAAAAUCAACUUGCAUCCUUCCAACUUCUCAGGAAUUCCCACUUUGUCUAGCUCAAAAUCAUUCCACAAAUCAUCUAGAAUGAGAAUCCAUUUUUGUUUCUUCAUUAGUUCUUCUGACAAUUUGGCAGCUCUAUGCAGAUCAUCAUCUUCGCUUGAAAGGUCUAGAUGAAGACGUUUAGCAAUAAGAUUCUGCAAUCUAUUAAUGCUGAAAUCUUGAGACACAGUCACCCACCAAACAUGAUCACAAAUAUCUGGUCUUUGUGGAAGCUCAUUAUGGAUAUGUUGCAGUACUGUGGAUUUACCAACUCCCCCCAUCCCAUAAAUGCCAAUGGUUGGGACUUCAUCAUCCAUUAACAAAGACCAUAUCACCUUCGUAUUCUCUUCGAAUGCUUGACCCACCGGCAUUGUAGAGCUAGUAGGUAAUGGAACUCCUCUAGUCUUGUUGUAUUUCAGACUUUCAGAAGAUCUAGCUACAGCACCAACCUGCACUGAUCUUCGACUAUUCUCCACAUCCUCCUCCACUGGUUCUGUCCUCACUCUAACCCGAUUAAUUCUCUCUUCCCCGGCACAUUGUUCCAGCACCCCCUGAACUCCCACUUGUAUCCUUCCAGCAGCCCCUGCCAAAUUGCCAAGUACUGCAUUGCUUUGUUCCAACGAUCGAUCCACUGGUUCUGUCCUCGGUCUGCUCUCGAGUGCCCCUUCGGAAACUCCAUCUUCUUGUGCUCUCAUUCCGGUCAUGCUUACUACGUCGUUUCCUGCUAUUGCAUGUGAAGUAAUCCUCUCUUCCCCUACUCCGGGUUCUACAUCCUGAACUUCUCUUUGUACCAUUCCAAUUCCUCCUGUGAUUUUAUGUCUUUUGUUGCCACCACACAUAGCUUUCCAGGCUGCUUCUUGAACUUCUUUAGGCACCCCACGACAAAUGGCAACAUUAUGCCCUUCCUCUCCUGAUAAAUGCCAUUUGAUCCUUGAAAUUGUGGUUUUAUUGGCAAAUGUAUGUGGACAAAACUUACACUUCAUGCUACCAUCAUCAGCCCUUUCAACAUAAUUCCAAAAUGAAUUCUUUGGUCCACCCAUUUCAACCUGUAGGAAAAAACAAAAGGGGAGGGGGGGGGUUUAAAAUAUAGAAUAAACAUAAGUCAAAAUAAAGAAUAAAAAUUGAUGCAAAUUACAGCAUAUCCGGAUGGAUGAGAAACUACUUCUUCAGUGUUGUUAUUUUGCUAUUAAGAUUGAUAGUUAGUUUAUUGCACAAUCAUAGAAGGGAAAUAUACGAGGAUAAUUCAGUUAGACUUCUUACUUGUUGAGUAUUUAAACCCCUAUUUUGACUUUGCAGGGAAGUGCCAAGGCCAGGAUUUGAGGCAUUUGGCCUAGCAGUUUGAUUUUGCAAUCCUCGGACUUGGAGGUUAUCCAUCUGUGACCUAUAUAUAAAUGAAGUGAUCAUAUUAUAAAACCUUUCCAUAAUUGGUAGUCUCUUUUAAGCACUAAAAGUUAAUGGUGUUAAAACACAACAGCUAGAAGUCAAUCAGUACCUAGGCACGAAGUUCUCUUGUUGUACGUUGUCUAUGUUAGGAAUUACAGCAGCUCGAUCGACUUGUCCUUGAUUAGAAAAAUAUUGACUCCUGAAUCCAAAAUCAUUUGCAAACAAUAUGUUUAGCUUGUUGGGUUCAUGUUCAAGCUAUGAUGUUUCUUUCCUGAUUGAAAAUCUAUAUUUUUUUUUUUGGAGAAAAUACUAAACAUGAAAAAUAGGAUACCGGGGAGCAGGAAAAGAAGGUCCAGGUUGAAUGAAGCCAUCGUGUUCUGAAGUGGUUGCGUUCGGUGUCAUAUAGCCAUGUCCCGGCUGUGGUUGAUGAAUAUUGGAGUACUGAUGCCUGAAUAAUAUUCAAAUAGUUAAACUUGGAACUGUUAUUCUAACUUGGUUGAUUUUCUAGUUCCAUUAUGUGCACAAAAAAAAACAGAGAGAUAGAGAACUCAAAAAGACUCGAAAGAUCCUCGUCAAUUCUGGUCAAGUUUAUUAUUUUCAUGAUUAAAAAAGUGUAUAUUCAAAGUUAAUACCAUUGAUUCAAUGGAGGUUGAGGUCCAGGUAGCAUCGCAGGCACUUGAUUCCUCAUUGGUAACUGAUAAUUAGUCCAUUGUUGGUCCCUAAAUUAGCAGCAUUUGUUAGUAAUUUCUUAUACAUAUACGCAUAAUUCUUUACUAUUAAUCCACUAAGCAUUUGAUAUCAUUUUAGCUUACCUCAAAGGCAUUGAUGGUCCAGGUAGCAUGGGAUUGGCACAUCGAGGAUCAGAUAAAUUAGGAUGAGGCAGAUACCUAUAUUCAAAUAUAAUGAAUUCAUUUAGUGUAAUAAAUUGGCAUCACUGAUAAGAAUAUUAGGCAGAUAAGUAGAACAACAACAAGAAGUUAAAUAAUUAUGAAUAUUAUGUACAAGAAGAAUUUAAAUAAUGAUUAUUCUCACUUAGUUGAUUUUCUAGUUUCAUUAUGUGAAGCAAAUCAGGAGACAGGGGAAACAGGGGACUCUUGAAAGCUGAUUAAAGCUUAUUAGCUGUGGUUAUUAUUUCCCAUUUAGCUGAUAGUUUCCUAGUCAGAUUAGUAUUAGAUUUCAAUUACGUAUUGGAUCGUAAGUCCUUAGCUGUAGGGUAUUUAAGAGGGGAACAGAACAAAAGAUGGGACAUUAUUUGUAUUCUUGGCAAUUACUUUCUUUAAAUACAAAUUUGAGUGAUUCCUCUACAUAAAAAUUCUGUAUUAAAUUAUUUAUUGUUCUUACUGGGAGCAACGAGAGGUUGUACCGGAGGGCAUUUACAUUAAUAUGUGCACAAAAAAAAAAGAGAAAGAGAGAGAGAUAGAGAGCUCAAAAGAAGUUAAAUAAUGAUGAAUACCUUGAUGGAGUUUGAGGCCAAUUUGGUUCAUUUUGGUUGAUCCGUGAUGAUAUGGAGCUUUGGUUGUCUGGAACCUCCGGUGGCCUGCUUCCAUGGACAGUGACAUUAUUAGGAUAAACGGAAGAAUAACUAAAUUGCGAGCAAUCAUCUUCUGAUAAAAUAUGCUUACGAAUGACGUACGAGAGAAACUCAGAAAUAUUGAAUGUAUCUUCAAUGGUGUAUCUAAUUAUAAAAAUGAAGUGAUCAUAUUAUAAAACCUUUCAAUAUUUGGUAGCCUCUCUUAAGCAGUAAAUAUCAAUGGUGUAUCUAAUUAUCAAAAAGGUGUUAAUACCGUGUUAAAACACAACAGCUAGAAGUCAAUCAGUACCUCGUAGAGUUGCCAGAGUUUCGAGGCACGAAGUUCUCUUGUUGCAUAUUGUCUAUGUCAGGAAUUACAGCAGCUUGAUCGUCUUGUCCUUGAUUAGAAAGAAAUUGAAUCCUGAAUCCAAAGUCAUUCGCAAGCAUUAUGAAGCAUUACAAACUUAUGAUUAUCUAGCUGGGUUCAUGUUCAAGCUAUGAUGUUACUUUCUUCUUUGAAAAACUAUUUCUUUUUUUUUUACAGCAAAUAGUAAAUAUGAAAAAUUGGAUACCGGGGAGCAGGAAAAGAAGGUCCAGAUUGAUUGAAGCCACCAUGUUGUGAAGUGGUUGCAUUCGGUGUCAUAGAGCCAUGUCCCUUCUGAGGUUGAUGAAUAAAGGAGUUCUGAUGCCUGAAUAAUAUUCAAAAUAGUUAAACACAGAACUGUUAUUCUCACAAAAAGAGAGAUAGAGAGCUCAAAAAGACUUGAAAGAUCCUCGACCUCGUCAAUUUUGGUCAAGUUCAUUGUUUUCAUGAUUAAAAAAGUGUAUCUUCGAGGUUAAUACCAUUGAUUCAAUGGAGGUUGAGGUCCAGGUAGCAUCGCAGGCACUUGAUUGCUCAUAAUUGGUAACUGAUAAUUAGUCCGUUGUUGGUCCCUAAAUUAGCAACAUUUGUUAGUGAUUUCUUUAUACAUAUGCAUAAUUCUUUGCUAUUAAUCCACUAAGCAUUUGAUAUCAUUUUAGCUUACCUCAAAGGCAUUGAUGGUCCAGGCACCAUGGGAUUGGCACAUUGAAUAUCAAAUAAAUUAGGAUUACGCUGAUACCUAUAUUCAAACAUAACGAAUUCACUGAUAAGUACAACAACAAGAGGAAGAAGAAGAAGGAAGUUAAAUAAUGAUUGAAAUUUUUUUUAUUUUUUUUUCAGAAAAUACUAAACAUGAAAAAUUGGAUACCAGGGAGCAGGAGAAGAAGGUCCAGAUUGAUUGAAUUCACCAUGUUGUGAUGUGGUUGCGUUCUGUGUCAUAUAGCGAUGUCCCGUCUGAGGUUGAUGAAUAAAGGAAUAAUGAUGCCUAAUUCAAUGUAGCAAAUUGGAGUAAGCAUGAGUACUCACCAUGGUUUCAGGAAAUGAAGGUGGAAACUGAGUUGUUUGUUGAAUGAUAUCGUUGAUCGCAUUGUUCUGUCCACCUUGAUCAUUGCAUGAUAUGGAGCCUUGGUUGACUGGAACCUCCGGUGCCGGCCUGCUUCCAUGGAAUAAUAUAGAGGAUAAACUAAAGUAACUAAAUUGCAAGCAAUCAUCUUCUGAUAAAAUAUGCUUAAGAAUGACGUACGAGAGAAGUGGUGAUUGAAGAUCGAAAAGAUCAUCAUCCAUAGAAGAUGGUUGGAACCCUUCCAUCUGACCAAAAGUACAAGAUGAUUAGUACAUGCUGAGGUGAAAAAAGAACAGAAAGCACAUAGCAAAGAAAAAGAAAAAGUAUUAAUUAAAUAACUCUAAAACGCGUGGUGUUUUCACUGUAGCCAUCAUUGUAUUUUUUUUUUUAACAGUUUUUCUGUAGCAUUUUUUUUUCUGCUUUUUUUUCCUACUUUUGUUUCUUCUUCAUUUUUUUUACAUUUUUUUUUUUUUUUUUUACCCAAAAUUUUCUUUUUUUUUUCUUUUUCAAAUUUUUUUUUCAAAAUUAUCUUUGCUAAUUUUUUUAAAUAUUGAGCUGGUUGAAAAUUUAACUAUAUAUCUUUUUUCAUUAAAACAUUCUGGAUUGCUAUAAUGUAUUCAUACAUUGUUUUUUUUUUCUUUCUGAUUUGUUUAUUCUUUUUUUAAAAUGGUCUUUGUAGAUUUUUUUUUAUAUUAAGUUGGUUGAGAAUUUAGCUUUGUAGUUUUUUUUUUUUUAAAAAAAAAACAAUAUGGAUUGCUACAGUGUUUCCCUACAUAGUUUUGUUUUGCUGUAGUGUUCCCCACAUAUUUUUUAAAAAAUUAUCUUUAUCGAAUUUAUUUUUUCAAUAUUGAGUUGUCUGAUAAUCUAGCUUUACCUUUCCCCACAUGGUUUUUUUUUAUGUUUUCAUUUCUUUUUCUUUUUUUCCUCAAUUGUCAUUUUUUACAUGUUUUUUUUUGUUUUUUUCAGAAUUAUUUUUGUUGAUUUUACUUUUUUUGCUAUUGAGCUGGUUGAAAUUUUAGUUUUUUUGGUUUUUUCUUUAAAACACUGUAGUUUUCCCCGUGUGUUUUUUUUCUCGCCUUUGUUUCCUUUUUUUUACAUGUUUUUUUUUCAUUUCUUUUACCCAAAAUUGACUCUUUUUUUUUUUUUAAAUAGUCUUUGUCAGGUUUUUUUAUAUAUUGAGCUGGUUGAGAACUUAGCUUUUUAGCUUUUUUUUUUAAAAAAAAAAAACACUAUGGAUUGCUACAGUGUUUCCCUUACAUGGUUUUUGUUUGGCUGCAGUGUUUCCCCCACGUGUUUUUUUUUUAAAUUAUCUUUGUCAAAUUUAUUUUUUCAAUAUUGAAUUGGUUGAGAAUUUAGCUUUAGCUUUCCCCAUGUUUUUUUUUUCAUUUUUUUAAAUUUUUCCCAAAAUUGUCUUUCUUCUUUAUAUUUUCUUUUUUUUUUCAUAGUUAUUUUUGUUGAUUUUUUUUUUUACUAUUGGGCUGAUGUAUAAUUUAGUUUUUUUUAUUUUUUUUCUUUAAAACACUAGAUUGCUGCAGUAUUUCUCUACAUGGUUUUUUUAUUAAAUAAUUUUUUUUUUAGAAUUAUCUUUGUCGAUUUUAUUUUUUUCAUAUUAAGCUGAUUAAGAAUUUAGCUUUGUAGUUAUUUAAAACACUGAAGAUUGCUACAGUGUUUUCCCACAUAAUUUUUGGCUUGCUACAGUGUUUCCCUAUACAUUUUUUUGUUGAUGUUUUUUUUUUUCAAAUAUGUUUUUGUCAAAUUUAUUUUUUUCAUACUGAACCGGUUAACAAUUUGGCUUUUUUUCCUUAAAACAUCGUUGAUUGCUACAGUGUUUUCCCAUAUGCUUUUUUUCCUUAUGUUUUUUUUUUUUAAAAAAAUUGUCUUUGUCGUUUUUAUUGUUUUUGAUAUUGAGCUGGUUAAAAAUUACAACUGUAGAUUUUCUCAUGAAACACUAUAGAUUGUUAUAGUGUUUCCCUGGAUGUUUUUUUUCCUUUUGUUUUUUUUUAUAUAUUUAUCAAAAUUAUCUUUAUUGAAUUUUUUUUUAAUAUUGAGCUGGUUAAGAAUUAUAGUUGUAUAUUUCCUCACAAAACACUACAGAUUGCUACAGUGUUUUUUUAAAUGAUUUUAACAUUUAGCUGGUUGAAAAUUUAGCUUUAACUUUCCCCACAUGUUUUUUUUUCUAUUUUUUUAUUAUUUUCUUUUUGCUUUUUGUUCUUCCAAAAUUGUCAUCUUCUUUUUUUCAUUGUUUUUUUUUCAUAAUUGUUUUUGUCGAUUUUUUUUUUAAUAUUGAGCUGGUUGAGAAUAUAGCUUUAUAGUUUUUUCCUUUAAAAUAUUGUGGAUGGUAACAGUUUUUUUUUAUAUGAUUUUUUUCACAAAUCCACAAUAAUGCACAAGCAUGCUACAAGCCCGCGGCAUUGCGCGAGCAUGUCACGCCUUUUAAUAAUAUAUUUACUUAUUAAUAUAUUAUAUUAUUAUAAUUAUAAAUAUAAAUAUUAUUAUAUUGUGUUAUAUUAUAUUGUAUUAUAUAACUAUUUUUUUUAAUGAAUUUUUUUUGUUUGAUUUAGUUUGUUAAUGUUAAAAAAAUUUUAUUUAGUUAUCAGAUUAUCAGAUUUAGUAUUAUAUAACAAGUUAUUUUUUUUAUUUAGUUUAGUUUGUUAAAGUUAAUUUUCUUUCUAUUUAAUUAUCAGACUUUCAUACUUUCAUGACAGGUGUCUUGGGCUUGACGGGUUAACUUGGUUUGAUGGGUUAACCCAGUUAAUUCUGAGUAAAUCCGUCAUUUGUUUUUCUAUUUAGUUAUCAAACUUUCAUGAUGUGAAUCCCAAGUUUUACGGGAUAACCUGGUUUAAAGAGUUAACCCAAUUAAUUCAUUUUUUUUUUCUUUUUCUUCAUUAGUUUUUUCCUUUAAGUUGAUUUUUUUUCUUUGUUUUUUUUUAAUUAAUCUAUUUAAUUAUCACACUUUUAUGACACGACUUUAUAGCUAGACCCACAUCCAAUAUUCUUGAGUCCGGUGUUGCAGUCAGGCUCACUUAAUCUUGGGUCAUGCAAGUUUAAUUUUAUUAUUAAUAUUAUAAAUAUUACUCAUAGGUCAGGCGUUGUAGUCAAACUCAAGAUUCUUGGAUAUAGCUUUGCAAAAAAACCCAAAAUUUUUAAAUUUUUAUUUGUUUUAAUAUUUUUUAUGCAAAAAAUAGACCCGCGGCAUCGCGCGCGGGUCAAGUAUCUAGUAUAUAUAUAUAAAAUGUUAAGAGUGAAGAAAGUUUGUUGGCGAUAUUAUUAAACCUCGUCAGGAGAGUUAAUAUUAAAAUCUUCUAACCUAACUUUUUAUUUAAUUUAAAUUUUUAAUUAAAUUAUAUGAGAAUUAACUCAGUUUAAAUCGAUCAAUAUCUAAAUACAACUUAGAAAACUAGUAAAACAUGGCUUAGCUUUUAAAAAAAUUUUCUAGACAAUAACUUUUAAAAAAACAAAUAUUGAAACAAUGACAGAUUUGAUCGAUCCCAGUCCCUCGCGACCUGGGUCAUGGAUUCUAUUGGGUUUGGUAAUUUUUUAUAAGCUUUUUUUAUUUAAUUAUAUGAUAAAAAUAGAUGCUAUCAUCCUAAAAUAAAUAUUUAUUUAAGAUUUUGAUAACCCUAUAGAAAGCAAACAAAAAUAAAUCAUUUAGUCUAUUUCCAAAUCAAUCUAAUAUUGAAAGACAAAAUUGAAAAACAAAAAUAAAAAAAAAUAAAAAAACAGAAACAAAAAAAAACAUAUUCGAUCAAUGGGUGAACCUGUCAAAUUUAUGAAUCAGGUAAUUUAGGCUAGCACAUCAAACCUAUGAACCAGGUUAUGGACUUAACUAGGAUUAUAAUUUUUUUUUUAAAUUAUUUUUAUUUAAUAAUAUCAUAACAAAAAUAAAUAACUGUAAAAUUAAAUACCAACCCAAUAUAUAUAUAUAUAUAUGCUAAUUUGGCUCAUAUAUGAAAUAGACAAAAAACGUUUUUUAAAAAAUGAUAAUAAAAAGGAAAGAAAAGGCAAAACAUUAUCGAUUACUAUUGUAAUCCAUAAUGAAAUGAGUGUGGGUGAAUAGUUAUUCUCUUACAUCUUUUAGUUAUAUAUAUGCUAAUUUGGCCCAUAUAUGAAAUAGACAAAAAAAGUUUUUUAAAAAAUGAUAAUAAAAAGGAAAGCAAAGGAAAAAUAAUAAAAAAGGCAAAACAUUAUCGAUUACUAUUGUAAUCCAUAAUGAAAUGAGUGUGGGUGAAUAGUUAUUCUCUUACAUCUUUUAGUUUUUCUUUUAAUUAAUAAACAAAAAAAUAUCCCACCAAACAAACUAGUGUAAUUUGAGUUAUUUUAACAAACUUGUAAAUCAAGUUAAUCUUAUAAAAAAAUAGAAUAAAAAUUAAUAAAUUAAAGCUGAAUUAUAACCAGCCUAUAAUUAAUAAAUUGUAAAUCCCGGCUGAGGUUGAUGAAUAAAGGAAUUAUGAUGCCUUGAUGGAGUUUGAGGCCAAUUUUAUAUAAAACUUAAUGAUAAAAAAAUAUCAUAAAAAUUGUGUAAAUAUCCCAAUUGUUGUCUGUUUGUUUAACAGUAAACAAUUUGAAGAUGCUCGAGAUCGAUACACUAAACAUAAAACUUUUUGAAUAAUACAAACACUUGCUAAUUCAAUGCACAUUGUAGCAAAUUGGAGCACUCACCAUUGUUUCAGGAAAGGAAGUUGGAAACGGAGUUGUUUGUUGAAUACUAUUGUUGAUCACAUUGUUCUGUCCACCUUGAUCAUUGCAUGAUAUGGAGCUUUGGUUGACUGGAACCUCCGGUGGCGGCCUGCUUCCAUGGACAGUGACGACAUUAUAUUGUUUUUUGGCAAUAAUUGGAUAAACCGAAGAAUAACUAAAUUGCAAGCAAUCAUCUUCUGAUAAAUAUGCUUAAAAAUGACGUACGAGAGAAACUCAAGCUCAGACAGUGGUGAUUCAAAGUUGUCAACCUCCUCCAUAAAAGAUGGUUGGAACCCUUCCAUCUGACCAGAAAAGAUCAGAAAAGACAAAAAAAAACUGAGGUCUAAAAGAACAGAAAGCACAGAUCAGAAAAGAAUAUAUAUAUAUAUAUGACUUUCUUGUUUGUUAAAGAAAUUCGGAUGAAAAAUAUGAAAUAUAAAUGUUGUUGUUAAUGAUUUAAUCCUUUGUCUUUUAAGAUAAAUUUUCAUACUCAAAUUCUUUUUAUGAUAGAUAGAAAGAUGCAGGAUAACUAUUGAAGGUAGAAGAGCUGAUUGUUUUGACGGGGUGAACAAAAACCUCUUUCAACUCCUCUUUAUUCAUAAUUUGGGGAGCAAAACAAAUGCAAGAUUCAUUGUUUACUGUUAAACAAACCUCUUUCAACUCCUAUUUAUUCUCUUUUAAUUAUUCUUAUUUUGUUUAUUGAAAGGUAAUUACCGAUCAAGUUAAUUCAUUGAAUCAUUGUAAGAAAAAAAAGUUGAAAAAUACUGAAUAAAAAUGAAUGGCAGUCCCAUUAAUUGGAAAAGAAAAGGGUGAAUCUAAAAUAAGGAGUUAAAAAAGGCAAAGAAUCUUGAAAAGACGAAAACAAUGAAUUCAGUAUUGAUUUAGUAUGAACUCUCUCCACAAGGCAUGGAUUAUAAAAUCCGAGAAAAAGAUCAAUUUAUUUACCAUGGAUUCCUUUAAAGAUUCAAACCAUACUUACAUAAUAAUUUACCAACAGGACUCAAGUGCUGGUUUGCUUGAGCAGUAUUCAGCCAAAAGAAAAGGAAGAGAAAUCACAGAUCACAGAAGAAUAUAUGGUUUAGAAAAAUAAUAAAGUUGCAGCAUACAUAAAUCUAGUUCGCACUGAUCAUGAAAUGUAGAAAGGAAAAUAGGGAGUUGUAUAAUGAGAUGAGAUGUGGAAGAGAAUGUUACAGCAGCAAGGUCGCCUCAAUAAUACUAUUUAUUAGUAAGGUCGCCUCAAUAAUAAUAAUUAAUUAACGUAUUGUUUGAUAGGAAGGAAGUUGCCACGAAGCAACCCAAACAUAUUACAUUAUAAGAUAUAGAAGCCCCCAUGUUCACACUUCGUAGAAGCUGCCAAGAAAAUGUAAACACAUGAAAAUGAGAAAGAAGCAUACCCCAUCUCGUGAAGUUCUACGUGUACGUAUUUAACUUUACAAUAUUCUUUGCUGUGAAAAUAUAUCAUGUAUAAUUAAUAAAUAAUAUAAGUGCUUAUACAUCUUCUUUUCUUUUCUUUUUUUAACUUUAAACAGAGAGGUGGCUGCCCCAAUACAUUCGGCCUGCCGACACUUAUUUUUUUGGGAGUAUUAAUUCCGUGAUGGAAUUGGAGGUGCUUCUUUCUUCAUCUGUUAAUCCUGUUAUCUCCUCCAUUAUCUCACAAUCACUAGCAUCAAUCAUUUCCAGGUUUAUGAGGUUUGACAGCAACACAAGUGGGAACAGCUUCUUCAUACUCUUACAUCCAUAACAAUAAAACUCUUUAAGACCAGAAAACAUACCGUCAAUGCUACGGGUUGUUGCAAAGUAAAUAGGAAACUUCAUCCAUAGACAAAUCUUUUCUGAUCGGGUUGCAAGAAUAUCUAGACCAUCUAAAAUCAGAACCAAUUUCUGUUUCUCCAUUAUUUCCUUUUUCAAUUCUACCACCCUAUGCAGCUCCUCAUCUUCAUUAGAAAUAUUCAGACCAAUACGUCUUUCAUUUCCACCAUGUUCUGCACAUCACACAUAAUGACAUCUUUGUUUAGCGAUGGAGCACAGAGUUGAUCAUAAUAUAUCUCUUCCAUGGUCAAGACACAAUGGAUCUGCUGGUUGAGAUGAAUCUCCAUCACAACCCAACAUCAUGAGUGCAAAUAAUGGUGGAGCCAGAAUAAAUAAAAAGCAAAGAUUUGCAUGUGGCUAGUGAAGGAGAAUGAUGCUGGCAAAGCAGGACCGACAAUGGAACUCCAUGAAGAACAGCAAAAAAAGCAUGGGAUUUUGACGGUGCCGCUCAAAAGUGUGGAUGCGGUUUACGAGGUUUGACAGCAACACAAGUGGGAACAGCUUCUUCAUACUCUUACAUCCAUAACAAUAAAACUCUUUAAGACCAGAAAACAUACCAUUAUAUGAUGGCAAUGAUGGUGGAGCAUUGCAGAACCAAGAAGAUGAAACCAAGCUCUCCAUGCUAUUGCAAUCUUGAAUGUUGAUGUCCUCCAGUUCAGUUGCAUUCUCUAAUGACAAAGCAUCGCAUAAACUUCUUGCAUCGAUGCAUUCACAAACCAGUCCUUGAAUGCCAUUUAAGUACUUGACCUGUAAAUCUCUCUCUGUUGAUACUCAAAUUACCCAACGCAACUGUUUUACUUAAAAAAACUCAAUCCUACCUAAUUUAUUUUAAAAAAAAAUUAUGUUUUUUUUAUUGCGGCAUAACAGUGUUGGCAGUACCGUUGUUGUUUGGAGUUUGGAGUUUGGACUUUGAGCAGCAGUAGAUAUCUCCAGCGUACUGUUACCUGCCGGCUAGAAAAGGUAUGUUGCUGUUUUUAAGUUUACUAGAGAGAGGGCAGAAAGCCUUGAGAAAAUAAUUUCACAUUCUGUGUGGUAGAAACCUGAUUCCACCCAAAAAAAAAAAAUAACACGGUAAUUGAAGCAAAUUAAAAGAAUAAAAGAAAAUAUAAAAUGAUUUAAUAGAGAACAAAAAUUAAUUUUCAAUGCAGAUUAAAAUAAAGCAAAGUGACUAAUGAAAAAGGUACUUAAAUCCUACAAGCAGCAGAUAGAUAGUCGGAAUCCCUUGCGCACACAUUUGAUAUAUAGAUAAUUAAAUCAACAUUAAACCAAAUUAAUGUAACCCUUUUGAAAAAUCAUCCACUCCUUUUUCAUCAGAGACUAACUUGUAGCCCUUUACGAUACCUUUCCAACGUAUCAAGAAUCAGAGCAAUUCGAUAUGUGUGUGGAAAGUUACGAUUAAAAUACUUUAAGUGUAUCUAGGUUAUUUCUAAGAAAAAAAACAUUACUUUAAGUUUAUCCAAGCUGCUGUUUAAAAAGUCAAGAAAAUAAAGUUUUCGAUUAAAAUAAAAUAAAAUAAAAACUUUGAGGGGAAAAAAAAGCACGCCUAUGAAGCUUGAUAGUAUAUCAAAUUAGAGGCUCGAUUAAAAAAUGCCCUUUAAUUUCUAUUAUUUCUAUUCACAUUUUAGCAUUUUAUUCCAAUGACAGAGCAUUUGGAAUGCACUUUCAUAGACUCAUCAAAACCCCAGGAACGCCAUCAAGCAUUAGCUUCAAACAACCAGAUCGGGAGCUUCAGUGCAGUAGAAAACUUUAACAUCUGCUAUGAAGCUUGAUUUGCUAUCCAAUCCACACACAAGUUUUCCAUUGAUACAAAGAUACUGUAUUUUUAACCAUCUAGUAAGUGAUCCAGUGGUAAGAGUUAAGGACCAAAAAGUUUGUUUUUUCUUGUGAUUUCAGGUUCAAGCCUUAUUGUUGCCAAUAUUAAUGGUCACGGGAGACUUACUUGGUCAUUAACUUUAAAAUCCGUGAGAAUUAUUCAAGGUGCGCGUAAGUUGGCCUGGAUACUGUAUUUUUAACCAUCUAGUAAGUGAUUUGCUAUCCAAUCCACACACAAGUUUUUCAUUGAUACAAAGAUACUGUAUUUUUAACCAUCUAGUAAGUGAUCAAGUAGUAAGAGUUAGGGACUAAGAGGUUUGUUUUUUCUUGUGAUCUCAGGUUCGAGCCUUAUUGUUGCCAAUAUUAAUGGUCACGGGAGACUUACUUGGUCAUUAACUUUAAAAUCCGUGAGAAUUAUUCAAGGUGCGCGCAAGUUGACCUGGAUACCCCCAAUAAAAAAAAAUAUUGUAUUUUUGUUGCUGGGAAAUUGUCAACCAAUAACUUUUUAUCUUGUUUCCAAGUUUUCUAGAUGACUUUUUUCUUUCAUCUCAAAAUCAUAAAUAAAAAGUAAAUAAAAUAAAAUUUUGAAUCAAAAAUAAAAAUAAAACAAUAAAACAUGCAAAAAGUCUAGGGAUCAAGAUUUUAAAAACCAAGCCUAUGCUACUUUCUUGUUUUAAAUAUUCAAAACAAGGCUCCAUUAUCAUAUAUUCAUAGAGACAUAUAUACCAAUGUAGCUUUUGAUGUUUACCGGUUUGGAUGUCUAUAUGCUUUUAAAUAUUUUUUAAAAUUUAUAUUUGUUUUUAAAAAAUAUUAAAUUAAUAAUUUUUUUAGUUGUUCUUAAUGAUUUUGAUGUAUUGAUAUUAAAAAAAAUCUAAAAAAUUAUUUUUAAAAAAUACUUAUAUAACAUUAUCAAACACAUGAUAACCUUGUCCAAAAGCUUUCUACCGAGCAUAAAAUGGUUUUCAACCCAAUCAUACUUUGUCCUCAUUAUAAAUAUAAAAUAAAGUUCAAGUGAAGUAGGGUCCAAUCUUAAAUGGUUCAAACAUUAUUGUUAGAACGUGACAGUGUCCCAUCAUUAGUAGUGUAGCACGUGCCAUGUCUUAAGCUUAUGUGAUCCGAAAACAAGGCAAUUGGUGUUUGAUGAAAUUAGCUCACUAAAAAUAAAAUAAAAUAAAAUCCUCUGUGAACUAAUUAAUUACUCAAUUAAUUCCUAAAUUAGUUUUUUUUAUUGUUUUUCACAAAAUUUAUAAAAAUAAAAAUAUUUUAUUAGAUAUUUUAGAUACUCCACUAUUAUAAUAUUUUAUUUAAGUUUAGAUUUUUAUUUCAAAAUUGAAUUUUAUUUAAUGUAACAAGUAUUAUGAUGUUUUAUUUUAUCUGAUAAAUUUUGAAGUAUUAUUUGAUUUUAUUAAUUUUUAAAAAAUAUAUUUUAAAAAAUUAUGAAAUGAUGUGCAAAAUUUAUAUGUUCCAAAACUUAACAUAAAUAUGAUGUUUUUAUAGCACUGCUUUUACAUUGUCGGUCAUGUACCCUAAAGUCGUUUCAUCACAAUAAUGAACAAUACAACAAACAUUGUUGCUAUGCCUAACUCUUGAUUGUCUCCGGUCCUCCAAGGCAUUCCUCCACUCCUUGGUUAACUAUCUCAUGGAGGUUAACUCCCUCCAACUCUCCUACCGAUAAAGUAAGGAAGCCAUUUACACUUCAUAAGAAACCCUAAUAUAACAAACAGAGGAUCUGUAAGUUUCAGAGAACGACAUCAAUUUAAUUACGCGAAGUUCAAUCUUUUUUCCUCUACAAAUUAAAUCAUGUACGUAAACCUGUUACCUACAUUUUGUAAUAUUUCUGGAUCUGCUCUUUGAUUCAUCAAGGACAGAGUUGAUUGCAGCUUCGUCAUAGAAAAGUUCGUCUUCUUCAUCUUCUUGGUUGGCGAGGAAAUAUAAGUGGACUCUUCUCCAGUUUAAGGAUUCCAACCUAGCACAUGAAUGAUAAAGGGCAGAGUCAUCAUUUAAAUAAUAAAGGGACGAAGGACAUCCUUAGCAUUAGGAUGCUUCCAUUCCACCACUGACUCUCACUAUUCUUUUGGAUGUACUCCAUCACUCUAAGAGAAGGGGGAUGAGAUAGCUGGCCAUUUUCAGCAUCUGACAAUUUGUUAUCCCAAUUUAUUGGAGAGAGUCGCAGAUCAAACUCUUUAAAAAUAGAAAUAUACCAUGAUAAGAUGGAGAUGAUGGUGGAGCGAAGCGGAGCAGAGCCAAGAAGACGAAAUCAAGCUCUCCAUGUUAUAGCACUUCCAAAUGUUGAUACUGGCAUUUAUUGAAAUGAAACUUAAAAUCAACUGUUUUGAAGCCAUUUGAUAGCUAAGAACUCAGAAUCCAUGAGAUGAAGUAUUUGGCAAAGCCUUCCCCGUGAUUGGAGCAACCUCACUAAUUUAUCGACGAAAUGGCUAAAAUUGUCUACCUCUUAACUAAUCUUUAGCAAAUUAUCUGAAUUAGGUUUUACCGAAACGAAAAUAAUAAAUUUGUUCUAUUACUAUCAACUGCCAGAACUCCUGACAAGUAAUUACGACCAGUUUUUUAACAUCCAAGCUCUUGUAAUCUCACAAACGCUUGAGACCCAAACCCAAUCAACAGAUCAGAGAACCUUCAUUUGUUAAGGCUCCAUGCACCAGAACCGGAGAAGGAGCUAGGCUGCGGGGUGUUCGAUGGUUGAAAAGGGAACGUGAAUUGUGCUGGAGAGCAUGCCGGUGGCGAUGUGUUUGGAGCUUAGCCUGGUGCUCUCCAAAUCCUUACUAAAUUAUUAGAAAGUAACAUUAUAACAUUUUUAAAUCUGUUUAAAUUUUUUGGUUUAAGAUAAUUUUUUAAUAUUAUAAGUCAUUUAUUAAGUUAAUUCAAAUUAAUUAUUUUUAUUAAAAUAAUAUCAUUUCAUUUUUUUAAUUAAUCUGGUCAGAUAUAAUAACUAGGUUUGAUUGAAUCGGUCAAAUUUUACAAAUCAAUAUCUUAUAUGGUUUAAUUAUAAACCCAAUCUAAGUUAAAUUUUGGCUAAAGAAUACAUUUUGGAGAGUUGAAUCAAUAAUAUUGCUUUAUAUCACAGCUAGGCAGAUAGCAGAAGGCUAGUGACUGCUGGGCAGAAAGCCUUAAUUAGGAAAUAACUUCAUAUUCUGGGGGUAGAAACCCCACGAACGCAAUCAAGCAUUUGCUUCAAACAAUAAGAGGGAGCUUCAUUGCGGUAGGAAACUUCAACAUCUAUUAUAAAAAUGCAAUCAAACAUAAUUCUGAGUACAAAAACAAAUUACGUUUUGAUUGCGAGCAUAACAAUCUUGGCAGUAAGUACCAUGAUCUUUUCCAAUUGAGUUAAUCCCACAUUGAAAAGAUACUAUGUUAUCUUUUUAAGUUGAAGUAUUUAAACCAAAAGGUUUUUUAUCCCACAUUGAAAAAACAUGAUGUUUUUCCUUGGAAACAUAGAGUUUAUAUGCUAAUGGGUUUCAAAUCCCACAUUGAAAAAACAUAACUUUUUUCAUGGGAAUAUAGAGUAUAUAUAUGAAAGUGCUUCAAAUCCGACAUUGAAAAGAUAUUAUGUUAUCAUUUUAAGUUGAAGUAUUUAAAUCAAAAGGUUUUUUUAUCCCACAUUGAAAAAACAUGAUUUUUUCCUUGGGAACAUAGAGUAUAUAUACUAAUGAGUUUCAAAUCCCACAUUGAAAAAACAUAACUUUUUUCAUGGAAACAUAGAGUAUAUAUAUGAAAGGGCUUCAAAUCCCACAUUGAAAAGAUACUAUGCUAUCCCUUUAAGUUGAAGUAUUUAAACCAAAAUGUUUUUUUAUCCCACAUUGAAAAAACAUGAUUUUUUCCUUGGGAACAUAGAGUAUAUAUACUAAUGGGUUUCAAAUCCCACAUUGAAAACAUAUAAGUUUUUUCAUGUGAACAUAGAGUAUAUAUAUGAAAGGGCUUCAAACCCCACAUUGAAAAGAUACUAUGUUAUCAUUUUAAUUUGAAAUAUUUAAACAAAACAUUUUUUAUCCCACAUUUAAAAAAAAAAACAAAAAACAAGUCUCGUCUGGGUUCGCCCGGGUUUGGCCGGGCUGUUGCCACAACCGGUCUUUUAUUAAACCCGGACAGGUCCAGCCACCGGGUCCCGGGUCGACCCGUCGGGCCGGGUUUAAUAACACUGCUUUUAAACCCUCUUUUUCAUCACGUCCCCAUGGUCCCCGUGUCCCACAUGUUUUCAUCAAAAACCAAAAUUUUAGGACUUCUUUGGCAGCCAUCUAAAAAUAUAUAAAAAUAAUAUUUUUAAUUUUAAAAAUUAUUUUUAAUCAAUACAUUAAAAUAAUCUAAAAAUAUUAAAAAAAAUCAAAAUUUUAAAAGCACAAGCAUUCCCAAACAAGGUAAUGCGUCAAGAAUCACAACAAUAUGACAUGUGAGUGGAAAGUUGUGAUUAAAAAGCAUUACUACUUUUAGAGUGAUUUUUGACAGCGUAGCAGGAAAUGUCAUUAUUGUUAUUUUUAAAAUAUUUUUUUUAUUUAUAAAUAUAUUAAAAUGAAAGUUGUUAAUUUCGUUUUGUUUUAUUUGUAAUGAUUUCAUACCAAUUCAACAAAUAAAAUAAAACAAAAUAAUUUUCAUCUCAUUUCAAAUCUCGGUCCCUUCCAAAUUUUUCGGCUAAAUUCCGUUCAGAAUGUUCCGGUUUCAUUCCACAUGUUCUGUUCCGGUUUUAAAAAGCCAUUGAAUCAAAUUGAACCUGGUUCAAUUAAUUAAUUAAACAUCAAAGUAUAAAAAGCUCUUUUUCAUUACUAUUUUCAUUAACUAUGAUAUUAAUUUUUUAAAAUUUGAUUUAUCACUAAUAUAUAUGGUUUAUAUUCAUGUUGUUUUUUUUUCAAGUUUAUACUUUGUAGGAAUUUAAGCAAAAAAAAUAGAUGUUUUAGAUCUCAUUAGCCUUGAUAACAUUGACCUAGUUUUAUAUUUAAAAUAUUAGUGUUAAAAUAUUUUAAUUUCAUAAUAUUUUGAUAUUUUAUUGAAGUUGAAUUGUUUUAAGUUAAAAAAUUAUUUAAUCUUAACUAUUUAAAAAUAUUUUAAAUUUUAAAAUUAUAUUUCAUCACGUCUCCAUGAUCCCCGUUGUGUCAAAAACAAAUUGCCUAAAUUUUAGGCUUUAGCAGUUCCUUUUUUAAAAUCCUCAUUAGUGAAAUUUCACGACUCCAGCUGGGCCUUGACUUGUCUGUUUAAUUUUUAUUAUUUUUAUUCCAUUUUAGCAUUUCAUACUCAUCAAAACCACAGGAACGCAAUCAAGCUUUAGCUUCAAACAACCAGAGGGAGAUUUUAUAGGGAUAAAAUUUUAAAAAUCACGCCUAUGCUACUUUCUAGUUUUAGUAUUAAAUUUAGUAUUUAAAAAAUGUGUUUAUGAAUAUGGCAGUUUCAGGUUUAGACAUUUUAAAAAUGUGUGUAGAAGAAUACUUUCACUGAUGAUUUAUAAUAUUAGGUUACUUUAAUGAUAAAUCAAUAUAGUAUUUUUUUUUUAUUUUUUGGAUUUUCAUCUUGGAGAAAUUCAAUAGGAUGAAAAUAUAAUAUUAAUCAAACUUCAAAUUAUGAUUGUUUAUCUAUCGAGUUAAAAAAAAAUAUGACAAUUUAAUAUUCUUUAAUGAAAUAAAAAAAUGAAAAAUGUUAUUUAUGUAAUUGUAAGCAUACUAUAUUAUAUUACUUUAUAAAGGGACGAAGGACAUCCUUUGCGUUAGGUUGCUCCCACUCCACUACUGACUCCUACCAUUCUUUUGGAUAUGCGUCGAUUUCUUUAAGAGAAGGGGGAGGAGAUGGCUGGCCAUUUUCAAGCAACGGAAGACAAAUUGACAUCCUCUUCAGCUUCUCACAAGCCAUUACACUAAUUUCUUCAAGAGAAUUGCAAAUCAGCUUUGCACUGCAAAUGCUUUUCAGUUCUGGUAAACCAAACUUUGGGAGAAUGACUUCCGUGAUGGAAUGAGAGGUGCUGCUUUCUUCAUCUGUUGUUCCUAUUAUCUCCUCCAUUUUCUCACAAUCAUUAACUUCAAUCCUUUCCAGGUUUACGAGGUUUGGCAGCAACAUAAGCGGGAAUAGCUUCUUCAUACUUUUACAUCCAUAACAAAAAAAAUCUUUAAGACCAGAAAACGUACCAUUACAUAAUGGCAAUCGUGGUGGAGCAGAGCAGAACCAAGAAGAUGAAACCAAGCUCUCCAUGUUAUGGCAUUUCCGAAUGCUGAUGCGCUCCAGUUCAGUUGCAUUCUCUAAUAACAAAACAUCACAUAAACUUCUUGCAUCGAUGCAUUCACAAAACAAUCCUUGAAUGCCAUUUACGAACUUGACCUGAAAAUCUCCAUCUUUGUUGAUACUCAAAUUACCCAACCCAACUGUUUUACUUGGAAAACUUCAAUGCAUUGCUCUAUAUCUACCCACCUCUCCUACGAAAAUCUUGCAUGUGCUUAAUGAUAGGAUCCCAUCCCGAGAUCUGAGAUACUCCACGAAGUCAGAAAAACCUUCGAAAUGGCACUCCAAAGUUUCCAAAUUUCUCAAGGAUCCUACUUCCUUUCCUUUAACUGUUAUCGGAGCAUCAUCUCCAUAAACUUUCUAGUACAAAGACUUGCAGGUGAGAGAGUUUUGGUAAUAUCCCACUAGGAAACUCCUUUUCACCACAUCCAUUCAUUCUAAGAUACCUCAGGUUGGUUAGGCAUUCCAUUCCUUGCGGCAUCUUUUCAAGUCGAGUACGAGAGAGAUCCAACCUCUUCAGUGCCCUGAGCUUCUUUAAUGAUGGAACAUAUCUUAAGUUGUCACACUUACGGAGCAAUAACGCAGUGAGACUCACCAAAUCAGAGACAGAGUCUGGCAAGUUUUCAAUACCUGUCCAAGACAGAUCGAGGACCUUGAGCCCAUGCAAUUGCUUGAAAAAUGAAUCCGCAAUAAAUCGCAACAUAUGAUUUUUACAUAGCAAUAGAGUUGAUAGAAAGGGACACCUUGGUGAAUAGCUGGAAGGAAUUUCUUCGAUCUCGUUUCUCAUUAGUGAAACCAUCGUCAGAUUCUCCGUCCACUGCUCUGCAUCUGGCAACUCUUUUAAUUGCGCACCUGCUUUAACCAUGACUUGAUAUUCGUCUUGCAGUAUAUGGAUGGCCAUGUCCCUAAUCAAGUCAUGCAUCUUGACACGUCUAAUAUCAUCAUAAUCCAUUUUAGCACUUUCCAAUAGGCAGACAUAUUCAAGUCUAUUAAGCAUCGUGUGGCCCUCAUCAAAUGCAUCUCCCCUGCUCCUCUUUCCUUUAAUUAUUCCCUCAUCGAUCAAAUAACCUAUCAACUCCUCCCUUUCAAUCUCAUCAUCUUCAGGAAAUAAUGCACAGUACAAGAGACAUUGUUGUAGUGCUAAAUCACCUAACCGAUCAUAACUAAACCUCAAUAACUUGAAUACCUUCUCAUCUAUGUCCCUAAAUUCUGAUUCUCUCAAUUUGUUCAAUGUAUUUCUCCACUCAUGUGGGUCAUCCACUCCCCUCAAGCUUCCUGCCACUGCAAUAAUUCCCAACGGCAAACCAGCACAUUCUCUAGCAAUAGCUUUUGCAAUUCCUUCCACUUUUGGUAAAAGUGUUAUGUCACGUUCAAGUUUUUCCAUGAACAAAGUCCAAGCUUCUCCCUCCGAAAGUAGCUUCACUUUGAUCUUGUGGUGGCAAGCCAUCCGAUGACAAACCGUUUCUGAUCUAGUUGUCAUAAUCAGCUUGCAUCCUUUCAAUAGCAUAGGAAUUCCCACUUCAUCAAGCUCAAAAUUGUGCCACAAAUCAUCUAAAAUGAGAAUCCAUUUUUGUUUCGUCCUUAAUUCUUCUGACAAUUUGGCAGCUCUAUGCACAUCAUCAUCUUCGUUUGCAAGGUCUAGAUGAAGACAUUUAGCUAUGAGAUUCUGCAAUCUAGUAAUGCUAAAAUCUUGAGACACUAUCACCCACCAAACAUGAUCACAAAUAUCUGGUCUUUGUAGAAGCUCAUUGUAGAUAUGUUUGAGUAUUGUCGUUUUACCAAUCCCCCCCAUCCCAUAAAUGCCAAUGGUUGAGACUUCAUCAUCCAUUAACAAAGACCAUAUCACCUUUGUAUUCUCUUCAAAUGCUUGACCCACUGGCUUUGUGGAGCUAGUAGGUAAUGGAACUCCUCUAGUCUCACAAGAGCUACCUCUCUCCAGAUGCUGCACUUGUUCUGUUCUCGGUAUAGUUUCAGAUCCAUCAUGCAGACGCUCCACAUCCUCAUCUUCCUGCAUUAAAUACGUAGAGAUUUCAUUCAGCUGCUGCUCCUUUGAAAGGGCAGAGUGUAUCUGAACCCAAGUGCCAUCAGCAAAUUGAUCCACUACAUCUGUUCCUGGUGUUGCUUCUCCUCUAUUCUCAUAAGGAGAGACACUUCUGUCAACAUGCUGAAAAGAUUCUUCACCAGUGUACUCCAUGCCUUGAACUCCCGCUUGCAUCCUUCCAGCAUCCCCUGCCAAAUUAACAAGUACUGCAUUGUCUUGUUCUUGAGGACAGGUGGAAAUGGCAUAAUCAUUAACAUUGCUUGAACUUGCUAUGCUUUUAUGUCUUUUGUUGCCACCAUUCAUAGCUAGAAAGGCUGCUUCUUGAACUUCUUUAGGCACCCGACCACAAAUGCCAACACCAUGCCUUCUCUCUCCUGAUAAAUGCCAUUUGAUCCUCGAAAUGGAAGUACCAUUGGCAAAUACAUGCCUACAAAACUUACACUUCAUGCUUCCAUCAUUCAUAUCUUCAACAUGAUUCCAAAACGGAUCAUUUGGUCUAACCAUUUUGUCCUAUAGAUAAAAAGGGUCAAAAUAUUGAAUAAAAAUUAAUGGAAGUACAUUAAUUGGAAAAGGAAGGUUGAAACUAAAAUAAUAAGUUACAAACGGCAAAGAAACUAAGAAGGAAAAAAAAUGAAUUCAAGGUUAACUUGGGGUCAAUUUAGUAUGAACUCCAUAAGGCAUGGAUUGUUACAACUGAGAAAGAUCAAAUUAUUUAUUUUUGGAAGCUUUUGAUGAUCCUAACUCCAAAGUUUCUCAUUAGAAUUUCUACAACUUGUGUUUUACUUGAAAGAUUCAAACCAGAGUUACAUGUGAAAAACAAAAUGAAGAAGAUGGAGUAUAAAUAAUUUACCUGGAUUCAAGUAGUUCUUCAAGUGCUGGUUUGCUUAAGUAGUAUUCAGGAAGAAAAACAAGAUCAGAGAAGAAUAUAUGGUUUAAAAAUAACAAGGAAGUUGCAAGAUGAUGAGCUCCAGAUGAUCAUCGGAAAGGUUUAAGAAAUUUGAUGAGGGAAAUUGGAAAUCAAUGGUAUAAUGAGAUGAGAUUUGGAAGAGAAUGUUACAGUAGCAAAGAUUCUUUUAUUGUUUGACAAGAAGUUGCUAGGAAAAAAGCCAUAACUUUCCUACCAAAGAUUAUAUUACAAGAGACAACAAGUUGCUGUACACCUCUAUUUCGCUUUUCAUUUGUCUACCGCUGCAUAUAAUUAAAAUCUUCAACAAAAGAAUCAGAAGAUAAAAAUUAUUUAAAAAAAAAACAUUUCUGACAAUAAUGCCAAACACUUUAACUCGUGGACCCACCCCAUUGUUGAAACUUUGAAAAAGCUGACCAAAGUCUAGGACUUCGAUGAUACUUAAAUAAUGUUCCUACCGUUACAUAACUUAAAGAAUAUAUAUAUACAUAACUUAAAGAAUACACACACACAAAGCAGCACAAACAAUAAUAAUAAUUUUGGAUGCAAAACAAGGUUUUUUUAAAAUUUUAAUCAAUUUUUUUUAUAAUUUAAUUUUUUCAAUUAUUUUUUAUUUCAAUUUUCUCGAUUUUUGUCUCAUCCCUACCCAUCAGUGUAUUAAUUAGCCAUUCCUUUCCUUGCAUGUUCUCCUUUUUUUUUUUUCUUUUUUUUUUUCUAUGGCGCAAUUGCCAAAAAAUACCUCUUUUUGUAAAGGAGACAGCCCUCCUUUUUCAUCGCGUCUCCAUGAUCCCACAUGUUUUCAUCAAAAACCUAAAUUAUAAGAAUUCUUAGGCAGCCACGUACAUGCUUCAGGAGUUCUUUUUUCAAAAUCCUCAUUAGAGAUUAAUUUAAAACAAAUUAAAAUAAUUAUGAUUAAAAUUAUUAAAAUAAUUUAAAAAUAUAAAAAAUUAUUUAAAACAAAUUAAAUAUUUUAAAAACACAACAUUCUCAAACAAGAUAACACGUCAAGAAUCACAACAAUCCGUUAUAUGAGUGGAAAGUUGUGAUUAAAAUACUAGAGUGAUCACUUUUAGAAUGAUUUUGACUAUGUGAAAGUGAAUGUGAUUGUUGUUAUUUUUUUAAAAUUUUUAAAUAUUUUUAUUUAAAAAUAUAUUAAAAUAAUAUAUUGUAUUAUAGAAUAACUCAAAAAUUAAUUCUAUGUAUUCAAUCUUCACAAACUUUAAUAUGUAUUAAGUUAGAUUUGUGUAAUUGAUUUAUCAAGUUUGCUUAAUCAAGAUGGAAUAUUUAUGAUUAUUUUAAUCUUUAGUGUCUUCUCUCCUGGUACAUGGUAAAAGCCUGGGCAUUUUUUUCUUUUUUAAUUUUAAUAAUAGUUCUGUUCUUUCUAUCCCAAGAAAUCAAGAAUGCUAGUUUCAUUCAUCAAGAUUCUAAAUACUAUAUACAGAUAAACUCAAGAAUGUAUCUUCUCUCUCUCUCUCUUUAUUUUUAAUCCAUAUUAUAUAUAUAUAUAUAGUUAAAUAAUUUAUUUAUAAUUAAUGAUAUAAGAUGAUUUAUAAUAGUGAAUAGAUCUAUUAUUUUUUUAGGUUACUUUAAUGGUAAAUCAAUAUAGUAUUUUUUUGGAUUUUCAUCUUGGAGAAGCUGAAUAGGAUGAAAAUAUAAUAUUAAUCAAACUUUAAAUGAUAAUUAUUUAUCUAUCGAAUAAGAAUAUCCUUGUUGAUUUAAAGGACUAUUUUCAUAUCAAAAAUAAUUAUGUUUUGCACCUGAUUUUUAACAAAAAUGAUUGAAAAAAUGAUAUAUUAUUGAAUAUGAGCAAAUUUAAGAUUACAAAAAUGAUUAGUAUUUUUACAGAUGCAUAAAAUUGAUAAAUGAUGCAACAAAUUAAGAAGGAUACGUAUUAUUACAUUUAACGCAGUAAUUAACCAUUCUACAUAUUAAUUGUUUCAAGAAAAAAAGGUCCUUUGGACAAUACCUUGGAAAUACAAUUCAAAAAUACCCUUUAAUUUCUAUUUUUUUUAUUUAGCAUUUUAUCCCAAUGAUAGGACAUUUAGAAUGCACUUUCAUACAACCAGAGGGAGCUUCAGUCAGUAGAAAACUUCAACAUCUACUGUGAAGCUUGAUUUGUUAUCCAAUCUGCACACCAGUUUUUAUCCCACUGCAGUAGAACUUUUUAUCUUUUUCCAAGUUUUUUUUUGGGUGAAUUUUUUUCUUUCAUCUCAAAUUAACUUGUGAAUAAAAAAAAUAAAAUUUUAAACCAAAAUAAAAAAUAAAAAAUAUAAGAUGCAAAAAAUUAUAGGGAUCGAAAUUUUAAAAAUCACGCAUAUGCUUCUUUCUAGUUUUAGUAUUAAAUUUGUUCGUAGAAGUUUCAUUUAUUUUUAAUCAAUUAAAUUGAACAAAAUCUUGUCAAGUCAAACAUAAACUCUUUAUUGAAUCGUCUUUUCUUUUUGGAUAAUAAGAGCUUCAUAAAAAGCUUAUUAAAAUAAAUUAUUAAAUGAAAUUAAAAACAAAAAUGCUUUUUUUAUUUAAAAAAAAAACAAAACAGAGAGACAUCUACCGUGUUUUCUCUAUUGGUACAUGAUAAAAGUCUGAAAAGAUUUUUUAUUAUUAUUUUAAUUUUAAUAAUAGUACUGUUAUUUCUACCGCCAAGAAAUCAAGAAAGCUAGCUAAUUUUAAUACAAUGCUAGAGUUCUUAACUUUGGGAGAAUGAAUUCCGUGAUGGAAUUGGAGGUGCUGCUUUCUAUUAUGCACUGAUCAUGAGAUGUGGAAGAGAAUGUUACAGUCGCUAUCUCUUUUACAUAAUAUUAUUUAUUAGUAAGGUCGCCUCAAUAAUAAUUAAUUAACGUAUUGUUUGAUAUAUUAUAAGAUAUAUAAAGUUAACGUGUGGACCCGCCCCAAUGUUGAAACUUGGAAGAAGCUGCCAAGAAAAUGUAAACACAUGAAAUUUUCUAAAAAGAAUAGCAUAAUUAAAAAAUAUAUUUUUUAUUUAAAAAUACAUUAAAAUUAUUUUUUUUAUCAGCACAUCAAAAUAAUUUAAAAAUAUUAAAAAAUAUAUUUUUAAAAAAAUCAAAAAUUUUAAAAAAAACAUUAUGACUGUAAAGAUAAACCAGUCAAUAUUCUCAAGGUAGCAAUUACUAAUUGGGAUAAAAAGAAAUUAAAAGAAAAAUUAAAGGUUUUGAGUCAACGCCAUUACCAAUAUUCGCUUGCAGGUGUGUAUGGUAGUUCUUAUGCUUCUGCCUUUGAGUGUGUAUAUUAGAGCAGAGUGAUUUUAUUUAACCAUGAAAUUUUGUGAGACAAAUUAUAGUGAAUGUUUUUCUAUUUUACCAAUAUACCCAAGGUCUUUAUAACAGAGUGAUGCUACAUGCUGAGGUGGAUAUUAGCAACAGAGGAAAGCAUACAAAAGUAACAAAAAAAAAACAUCAAAUGAAAAAAAAAAAAACAACCUUUAGAAACACGCGUCUUUGGAUUAACAUUCUUUUAGUUUAUUUUUUAUGUUGUUCAUAAAGACAGAAAAAACUUUAAAAUACAAAUUAAAAAAUCUUGAGGAAUUGAUUAACCAAUCCUGUUAGUUUUUUUUUUUUCUAUGAAGACAGAAAAAACUUAAAAACACAGAUUAAAAUAAAGAUUUAAUAGAGAAUGAAAUUUAAUUUUAAAUGCAAAUUAAAAUAAAGCAGAGUGACUAAUGGAGAAAGUACUUGGAAUUCUACAAAGAGUACAGCGUCGGGAAUCCUUGCACACGUUUGGUAUUUUAAUUAUUCUUAUUUCGUUUAAUAACUCAAUUGGAAGUUCAAUUCCCAGAAUUUCUGCUUUUGAAAAAUCAUUCAUCACUUUUAAAUAACGCAAAUGAUUAUUAAGAAAAUUCAACGACAACAAUAUACUCAAUAGCAAUAUUACAGUAAAGAAAUCAAAUCAAUACAGAUAAAUAAAUGAUCCAAAUAUAAUCAAAGAAUUAGUCCAUUUAAUAAAAAAAACAUUACUGAAUCCAUAAACUACAUAAUUCCCUUUUCUUUUUUCUUUUUUCUUCUUCUUCUCUGGUGCAUUUCCCACACGAAAUACUCAUUUCAAAUUAGGCACCCCCCUUUUUCUAAAGGAGGCAGCCCCCAAUUUUCAACCUCGUUUUCCAUCACGUCUCCAUGAUCCCCGUUGUGUCACAAACAAAUUUUCUAAAUUUUAGGCUUUAGGAGUUCCUUUUUUGAAAUCCUCAUUAGAUGCUAAUAUCUAGCCCUUCAAGAUACCUUUCCAACGCAUCAAGAAUCACAGCAAUCUUAUAUGUGAGUGGAAAGUUAUGAUUAAAAUACUAAAGUGUGUGGAGGCUGUUUCCAAAAAAAAAAAAGAACAUUACUACUACUUUAAGUGUAUCUUUUGAUGUUUCCGGUUUAUAUUGAUAUAUUAUUCAUGUGAAUAAUAUAAGAGAAUUGCACUUAAAAAAUAAUGAACAAUUUUUUUUUUUAGUAUGUUAAUUUUUUCAAUAUUUUUUUUUAAAAAACACUAGUUUAGAGUGAAUUAAAUUCACCCGCAUUGUAACAUCAAUUUUAUACUUGAUAAUAUUUUAUCUAAUUUUAUUACAUGUUCAAAAAAUUAUGAAAACUGUAGUUCUUGUCGGAUGUAUUUCGUACAUAAUGGAAUUGUAGAUGGUUUCAUAGAAUAAUAAAAAAUAUUUUAUAUAAAGUAUAAUUUAUUUCAUGAUUUAAUAGCAAUAGUUAAAUCUACAAUAUUUAAAUUAAAAAUCAUCAAUAUUAAUAUAUAUUUUUUAAAAUUAUUUUAUAAUUUCAAUUUCAAAAACAUUCUUAACCAAACACAUUAAAUUACUUUUUUUUCAACUUCAAUUUCAAUCACAAUACUAAACACACUAAAAGUUUUAGUUAUAAACUAGCCCAACAAAUCAUACCCAGGGAAGCAAAAGCCAGAAACAAGCUACCUCGAUUCUUGCUCCACCGGGGUAAGAAAUGCAGCAUGCCCACUUGGAAUUAUAGAGCGUCCAAAUUCCAUGGCAAAUAAUUGGUUGGAAUUGUUUUCUGAGGGGUCUUUUCAAAAUCUGAAAAUAAAAACAGAAAAUAGAUCCAGCAAAUGAUUCCAAAUAUCUUCUAAAAAGAACGAUGAAAUAUGUUUUUUUAUUUACCGUAAGGAAAGAUAUUAAUGAAAUUUUUUUAUAAAAAAAAUCAAUUUAAAAAAUAUAUAACAAGUCAAAAUCUAUACUUAAAAUCUUUCUCGUAUUAAAUUCUUAAUUCAAUCAAAUAAAAUAUUAAUUUAAUAAAACAUAGUUAAGUUUUUGAUAGUUGAAUAUUUAGUAUAACGGUGACGUACUACUUAUUAUUUCUAUUAUUUUUAUUCCAUUUUAGCAUUUUAGCAUUUCAUACUCAUCAAAACCAUUGGAACACAAUCAAGCUUUAUCUUCAAACAACCAGGGAGAUUUUAUAGGGAUAAAAUUUUAAAAAUCACGCCUAUACUACUUUCUAGUUUUAAUAUUAAAUUUAGUAUUUAAAAAAUGUGUUUAUGAAUAUGGCAGUUUCAGGUUUAGAAACCAAAACUGCCAUAUUCAUACUCUUUUAGACAUUUUAAAAAUAUGUGUAGAAGAAUACUUUCACUGAUGAGUUAUAAUAUUAGGUUACUUUAAUGAUAAAUCAAUAUAGUAUUUUUUUUUAUUUUUUGGAUUUUCAUCUUGGAGAAAUUCAAUAGGAUGAAAAUAUAAUAUUAAUCAAACUUCAAAUUAUAAUUGUUUAUCUAUCGAGUUAAAAAAAAAAUGACAAUUCAGUAGUCUUUAAUGAAAAAGAAAAAAAAAAUGUUAUUUAUGUAAUUGUAAGCACGCUAUAUUAUAUUACUUUACAAAGGGACGAAGGACACCCUUUGCAUUAGGAUGCUCCCACUGCACUAUUGUCUCCCACCAUUCUUUUGGAUAUGCAUUGAUUGUUUUAAGAGAAGGGGGAGGAGAUGGCUGGCCAUUUUCAAGCAACGAAAAACAAAUUGGCAUCCUCUUCAGCUUCUCACAACCCAUUACAGUAAUAUCUUCAAGAGAAUUGCAAAUCAGUUUUGCACUGCAAAUGCUUUUCAGUUCUGGUAAGUCUACCAAUUCCAGAGUUAUUAACUUUGGGAGAAUGACUUCCGUGAUGGUAUUGGAGGUGCUGCUUUCUUCAUCUGUUGUUCCUAUUAUCUCCUCCAUUUUGUAACAGAACCUCACAUCAAUCCUUUCCAGGUUUACGAGGUUUGGCAGCAACACAAGCGGGAACAGCUUCUUCAUACUUUUACAGCCAUGACAAAAAAACUUUUUAAGACCAGAAAACGUACCGUUACAUGAUGGCAAUCGUGGUGGAGCAGAGCAGAACCGAGAAGAUGAAACCAAGCUCUCCAUGUUAUUGCAAUCCCGAAUGGUGAUGCGCUCCAGUUCAGUUGCAUUCUCUAAUGACAAAACAUCACAUAAACUUCUUGCAUCGAUGCAUUGAAAAAUCAGUCCUUGAAUGCCAUUUAAGAACUUGACCUGAAAAUCUCUAUCUCCGUUGAUACUCAAAUUACUCAACACAACUGUUUUACUUGGAAAAUCUUCAAUGCAUUCAUAGAAAUGUCUACCCAACUCUCCUACUAAAAUCUUGCAUGUGCUUAAUGAUAGGAUCCCAUCCUGAGAUCUGAGAUACUUCACGAAGUCAGAAAAACCUUCGAACUGGCACUCCAAAGUUUCCAAAUUUCUCAAGGAUCCUACUUCAUUUCCUUUAACUGUUAUAGGAGCACCAUCUUGCCUAAACUCUUCUAGUACAAAGACUUGCAGGUGAGAGAGUUUUGGUAAUAUACCACUAGGAAACUCCUUUUUACCAAAUCCAUUCAUUAUAAGAUACCUCAGGUUGGUUAGGCAUUCCAUUCCUUGCGGUAUCUUUUCAAGUGCAGUAUGAGAGAGACUCAACCUCUUCAGUGCCUGGAGCUUCUCUAAUGAUGGAACACGUCUUAAUUUCUCACAAUUAUUGAGCAAUAAUGCUGUGAGGCUCACCAAAUCAGAGACAGAGUCUGGCAAAUUUCCAAUAUCUGUCCGAGACAGAUCGAGGACCUUAAGCCCAUGCAAUUGCUUGAAAAAUGAAUCCGCAAUAAAUCCCAACCAACGAUUUUCACAUAGCAAUAGAGUUGAUAGAUAGGGACACCUAGGUGAAUGGCUGGAAGGAAUUUCUUCGAUCAUGUUUUCCAUUAGUGAAACUCUCGUCAGAUUCUCCGUCCACUCCUUUGCAUCUGGCAACUCUUUUAAUUGUGCACCUGCUUUGACCAUGCCUUGAGAGUUCUCUAGCAGUAUUCGGAUGGCCAUGUCCCUAAUCAAGUCAUGCAUCUUGACAUGACUAAUAUCACUUUCCAAUAGGCAGACAUAUUCAAGUCGAUUAAGCAUCGUGUGGCCCUCAUCAAAUGCAUCUCCCCUGCUCCUCUUUCCUUUAAUUAUUCCCUCAUCGAUCAAAUAACCUAUCAACUCCUCCCUUACAAUCUCAUCAUCUUCAGGAAAUAAUGCACAGUACAAGAGACAUUGUUGUAGUGCUAAAUCACCUAACCGAUCAUAACUAGACCUCAAUAACUUGAAUACCUUCUCAUCCAUGUCCCUAAAUUCUGAUUCUCUCAAUUUGUUCAAUGUAUUUCUCCACUCACGUAGGUCAUCUACUCCGCUCAAGCUUCCUGCCACUGUAAUAAUUCCUAAUGGCAAACCAGCACAUUCCCUUGCAACAGCUUUCGCAAUUCCUUCCACUUCUGGUGAAAGUGCUACAUCACGUUGAAGCUUCUCCAUGAACAAAGUCCAAGCUUCUCCAUUAGAAAGUGGCUUCACUUUGAUUUUGUGCUGGCGCUGGCAAGCCAUCUGAUGACAAACCUUUUCUGAUCGAGUUGUCAUAAUCAGCUUGCAUCCUUCCAACUUUUCAGGAAUUCCCACUUUGUGUAGCUCAAAAUUGUUCCACAAAUCAUCUAAAAUGAGAAUCCAUUUUUGUUUCUUCCUUAGUUCUUCUGACAAUUUAGCAGCUCUAUGCAAUUCAUCAUUUUUUCUUGAAAGAUCUAGAUCAAGAUGUUCAGCAAUAAGAUUCUGCAAUCUAUUAAUGCUGAAAUCUUGAGACACAGUCACCCACCAAACAUCAUCACAAAUAUCUGGUCUUUGUAAAAGCUCAUUAUGGAUAUGUUGCAGUAUUGUGGAUUUACCAACUCCCCCCAUCCCAUAAAUGCCAAUGGUUGAGACAUCCCCAUCCAUUAACAAAGACCAUAUCACCUUCGUAUUCUCUUCGAAUGCCUGACCCACUGGCUUUGUAGAGCUAAGAGGUAAUAGAAGUCCUCUAGUCUUGUUGUAUUUCAAACUUUCAGAAGAUCUAGCUCCAGCACCAACCUGCACUGAUCUUCGACUAUUCUCCACAUCCUCCUCCACUGGUUCUGUCCUCACUCUAACCCGAUUAAUUCUCUCUUCCCCGGCACCUUGUUCCAGCACCCCCUGAACUCCCACUUGUAUCCUUCCAGCACCCCCUGCCAAAUUGCCAAGUACUACAUUGCUUUGUUCCAAUGAUCGAUCCACUGGUUCUGUCCUCGGUCUGCUCUCGAGUGCCCCUUCGGAAACUCCAUCUUCUUGUGCUCUCAUUCCGGUCAUGCUUACUCGUCGUUUCCUGCUAUUGCAUGUGAAGUAAUCCUCUCUUCCCCUACUCCGGGUUCUACAACCUGAACUUCUCUUGUACCCUUCCAAUUCCUCCUCCCAAAUUUUCAAUCUCAUUGUUUUGUUCUUGUGGACAAGUUGAAAUUCCACAGUCAUUAACAUUGACUGCACUUGCUGUGAUUUUUUGUCUUUUGUUGCCACCACAGUACAUAGCUAGAAAGGCUGCUUCUUGAACUUCUUUAGUCACCCCACGACAAAUGGCAACACCAUUCCCUUCUUCUCCUGAUAAAUGCCAUUUGAUCCUUGUAAUGGCAGUUUUAAUGGUAAAUGUAUGUGGACAAAACUUACACUUCAGUACUUUAUUGAUUAAUGAUCCAACCAUUUUAUCCCUCUUUUCAACAUAAUUCCAAAACCGAUCAUUUGAUUCAACCUAUAGAAAAAAAAGGGGGGGGGUCAAAAUAUAGAAUAAAAAUCACAUCUGGAUGGAUGAGAAACUACUUCAGUGCUAUUACCCUUAUUUUGCUAUUAAAAUUGACAGUCAGUUUAUUGGAAAAAGACGACGAUAAUUCAGUUAGAAUUCUUACUUGUUGAGUAUUUAAACCCCUAAUUUGACUUUGCAAGGAAGUGUCAAGGCCAGGAUUUGAGGCAUUUGACCUAGCAGUUUGAUUUUGCAAUUCUUGGACUUGGACGUUAUCCAUCUGUGACCUGUAUAAAAAUGAAGUGAUCAUAUUAUAAAACCAAAAAUCAAUGGUGUUAUUAUAAAACCAUUCAAUAUUUGGUAGUCUCUCUUAAACAGUCAAAAUCAAUGGUGUAUCUAAUUAUCAAAAAGGUUUUAAUACCGUGUUAGAACACAACAGCUAGAAGUCAAUCAGUACCUCGUAGAGUUGCCAGAGUUUCGAAGCAGGAAGUUCUCUUGUUGCAUAUUGUCUAUGUCAGGAAUUACAGCAGCUUGAUCGACUUGUCCUUGAUUAGAAGGAAAUUGAAUCCUGAAUCAAAAACCAUUCGUAAGCAAUAUGAAGCAUUACAUACUUAUGAUUAUCUUGUUUGGUUUAUGUUCAAGCUAUGAUGUUACGGAAAAUACUAAAAAUGAAAAAUUGGAUACCGGGGAGCAGGAAAAGAAGGUCCAGGUUGAUUGAAGCCACCAUGUUGAGAAGUGGUUGCGUUCGGUGUCAUAUAGCCAUGUCCCGGCCGAGGUUGAUGAGUAUUGGAGUACUGAAGCCUGAAUAAUAUUCAAAUAGUUAAACUUAGAACUGUUAUUCUCACAAAAAAGAGAGAUAGAGAGCUCAAAAAGACUUGAAAGAUCCUCGUCAAUUUUGGUCAAGUUCAUUGUUUUCAUGAUUAAAAAAGUGUAUAUUCGAGGUUAAUACCUUUGAUUCAUUGGAGGUUGAGGUCCAGGUAGCAUCGCAGGCACUUGAUUCCUCAUUGGUAACUGAUAAUUAGUCAAUUGUUGGUCCCUGAAUUAGCAACACUUGUUAGUAAUUUCUUUAUACAUAUGCAUAAUUCUUUGCUAUUAAUCCACUAAGUAUUUGAUAUCAUUUUAGCUUACCUCAAAGGAUUGGCACAUUGAGGAUCAAAUAAAUUAUGAUUAGGCUGAUACCUAUAUUCAAACAUAAUGAAUUCACUGAUAAGUACAACAACAAGAGGAAGAAGAAGAAGAAGUUAAAUAAUGAUUGAAAAACAUUUUUUUUUUUUUUCAGAAAAUACUAAACAUGAAAAAUUGGAUACCAGGGAGCAUGAGAAGAAGGUCCAGGUAGAUUGAAUUCACCAUGUUGUGAUGUGGUUGCGUUCGGUGUCAUAUAGCCAUGUCCCGUCUGAGGUUGAUGAAUAAAGGAAUAAUGAUGCCUAAUUCAAUGGAAAUUGUAGCAAAUUGGAGUAAGCAUGAGUACUCACCAUGGUUUCAGGAAAUGAAGUUGGAAACUGAGUUGUUUGUUGAAUACUAUCGUUGAUCACAUUGUUCUGUCCACCUUGAUCAUUGCAUAAUAUGGAGCCUUGGUUGUCUGCCGGCCUGCUUCCAUGGAAUAAUAUAUAGGAUAAACUGAAGUAACUAAAUUGCAAGCAAUCAUCUUCUGAUAAAAUAUGUUUAAGAAUGACGUACAAGAGAAAUAGUGAUUCAAGAUCGAACUCUGUCAAGUCAUCCAUAGAUGGUUGGAACCCUUCCAUCUGACCAAAAGUACAAGAUGAUUAGUACAUACUGAGGUGAAAAAAGAACAGAAAGCACAUCUGAGUGGAUUACUGGGUACACACGUUACAUAAGUCAAAAUAAAAGAAAAACAAAUAAAUGGUGAAACGCAUAUUUUAAUGGCAGUCCCAUUAAUUGGAAAAGAAAAGGGUGAAUCUAAGAAAAGAAAAGCCUUUUUUAUUAUUUUUAAUACUAAUAUAUCAAAAAAUAUUAAUUUAAUAUAUUUUUUUAAAUAAACAGAUUUUAAAAAACAAAUUAUAUUUUGAUUGCGGGCAUAACAAUCCUGGCAGUACCGUUGCCGUUUUUUAGUUUACACAUUCUCUGGAGCGUCGAUUCCACAUUGAAGCAAAUUAAAAGAAUAAAAGCAAAUAUUAAAUGAUUUAAUAAAAGUGACUAAUGAAAAAAGUGCUUAAAUUCUACAAACAGCUGAUAGAUAGUCGGAAUCCCUUGAACACAUUUGAUAUUUUAAUUAUUCUUAUUUUGUUUAUUGAAAGGUAAUUACCGAUCAAGUUAAUUCAUUGAAUCAUUGUAAGAAAAAAAAAAGUAGAAAAAUACUGAAUAAAAAAGAAUGGCAGUCCCAUUAAUUGGAAAAGAAAAGGGUGAAUAAAAAAUGAGUUAAAAACACUACUUUACCUACCCAAUUAUGAAGCUUAGAAGAAGAUGCCUAGAAAAUGUAAACACAUGAAUAUGAGAAACAAUAAUAUACUUUUCUUUUUAAAAUAUUUUUUAUUUAAAAAAAUCAAAGUUUUUGAAAAGCAUGUGCUCUAACAAUAACAGAUUAAAUAUGUGAUUAAUAGCAUGUGAUUAAAGGUUUUCAGUCGAUGCCAUUACAUGCAGUCAAAGACUCCAUCCUUACUUUAAAUAAACAAAACCUACACUCAAUAAUAUGUCCUAGUUUUUUUGGCCAGUGUUUUUCCGUGGUUGGAUUAAUUUUUUUAAAAUAUAAAAAUAAAAUAUUAAGAGUGAAGAAAGUUUGUUGGGCGAUAUUAUUAAACUUGUUCAGGGGAGUUAAUAUUAAAAUCUUCUAAUCUAAUUUUUUAUUUAAUUUAAAUUUUUAAUUAAAUUAUAUGAGAAUUAACUCAGUUUAAAUCGAUCAAUAUCCAAAUACAACUUAGAAAACUAGAAAAACAUGGCCUAGCUUUUAAAAAAACUUCUAGAUAACUUUUUUUUUUAUAUAUAUAUAUGCUAAUUCGGCCCAAAUAUGAAAUAGACAAAAAAAAAAUUAAUGAUAAAAAAAAGGAAAGAAAAGGAAAAAAAACAGAAAAAGCAAAACACUAUCGGUUACUAUUGUAAUCCAUAAUGAAAUGAGUAUGGGUGAAUAGUGAUUCUCUUACACAUUUUAGUUUUUCUUUUAAUUAAUAAAAAAAAAUAUCCCACAAAACCUGAAAACUAAUAUAAUUUGAAUUAUUUUAACAAACUUAUAAAUCACGUUAAUCUUAUAAAAAAAUAAAAUAAAAAUUAAUAAAUUAAAGCUGAAUUAUAACCAGCCUAUUAUUAAAUAAACAAAAAAGGCAAAACACCUUGAAUUACAUACUAUUGUAAUUUACAAUGAAAUAGGUGUGGAUAUAUAGUGAUUCUCCCAAGUCUCUUAGCUUUUCUUUUAAUGAAAAUUAAUAACCGUAUAAUAUCUUUCUUGUGGAUGCUCUAUCGUUGCUAAAUUAAAACAUCUUUUUUUUCUUUAUCUACAAUUAUGUGAAACAUUUAAAAAAAAAAAACAUUGUUAUUUUAGUUUUUUUUUUAAUAAAUACCAUCAUAAUAUGAUGUGGUUUUGUUAUUUACUCAAGUUAUUCAGUUAAUAUGUGAGUCAACCAGUAAACUAAACUUUGGAUUACGUUUCUUAACUAUUCGUAAGCUUCCUAUUUAUUCUUAGUAAUCAAAAUAUUUUUUUUAUUUUUAAUAUUAAUAUAUUAAAAAAUAUUAAUUUAAUAUUUUUUUAAAAUAACCAGAUUUUUUAAUAAACAUAACUCUGAGUACAAAAACAAUCAUGUUUAGAUUGCGAGCAUAAGCAUAACAAUCUUGACAGUACCGUUGUUGUUUGGACUUUGAGAAGGAUAAAACGAAAGAGUUAGAAUACAUUUAAAAUAAAAAAUUAAUUUUUUAAAAAUACUUUUAAAAUACAAAAACGAACUAAUAAUAAAAUAAACUUUCAUACACUUAUCAAAAUCCCAGGAACGCAACAAUCAGGCAUUAGCUUCAAGCAACCAGAGGGAGCUUCACUGCAGUAGAACACUUCAACAUAGCUUGAUUUGCUAUCCAAUCUGCACACCAGUUGGAUAGCAAUUUCUUUUCAUAACAUUUACCUUUGUAAAAACUUUCUAUUUAUUUUUAGUUUUAAUAUCAAAUUCAGUCUUUAAUAUUUAUCUUCAAAAUUUUAAUAUAAAAUUUGACGGUCAAAAUUUCACUUAUUUUUAAUCAAUUAAAUUGAACAAAAUCUUGUUAAGUCAAACAUCAACUCUACAUUGAAUUGUUUUUUCUUCUUAGACCACAAGAGCUCCAUAACAAGUUUAUUGAAAUAAAUUAUCAAAUGAAAUUAAAGGAAUUAUGAUGCCUUGAUGGAGUUUGAGGCCAAUUUUAUAUAAAACUUAAUGAUAAAAAAAUAUCAUAAAAUUUCUAAAUCUCCCAAUUGUUGUCUGUUUGUUUAACAGUAAACAAUUUGAAGAAGCUCGAGAUCGAUACACUAAACAUAAAACUUUUUGCAUAAUACAAGCACUUGCUAAUUCAAUGGACAUUGUAGCAAAUUGGAGCACUCACCAUUGUUUCAGGAAAGGAAAUUGGAAACGGAGUUGUUUGUUGAAUACUAUUGUUGAUCACAUUGUUCUGUCCACCUUGAUCAUUGCAUGAUAUGGAGCUUUGGUUGACUGGAACCUCCGGUGGCGACCUGCUUCCAUGGACAGUGACGACAUUAAUUGGAAAAGAAAAGGGUGAAUCUAAAAUAAGGAGUUAAAACAGCAAAGAAUCUUGAAAAGACGAAAACAAUGAAUUCAACGUUUAGGGUUAAUUUAAUCAGUAUGAACACCACAGGGCAUGGAUUAUAAAAUCUGAGAAAAAGAUCUAUCUAUUUAUCAUGGAUUACUUUAAAGAUUCAGACAAGAUGAAUGACAAAUAAUUUACCUGGAUUCAAGAUGUUCUUCAAGUGCUAGCUGGUUUGCUUGAGCAGUGAUCAGCCAAAAGAAAAGGAAGAGAAAUCACAGAUCACAGAAGAAUUUAUGGCUUAGAAAAAUAAUAAAGUUGCAGUAUACAUAAAUCUAGUUCGCACUGAUCAUGAGAUGUGGAAAGGAAAAUAGGGAAUUCUAUAAUGAGAUGAGAUGUGGAAAAGAAUGUUACUGCCGCUAGCUCCCUUAAAUAAUACUAUUUAUUAGUAAGGUAUUGUUUGAUAGGAAGGAAGUUGCCAGGAAGCAACCCAAACAUUACAUUAUAUGAUAUAGAAAGUUAACGUGUGGAACCGCCCCCUUUGAAGAAGCUGCCAAGAAAAUGUAAACACAUGAAUAUGAGAAAGAAUAGCAUAUUUCUGCAUUGUGUGAAUUUUUUUUUUUUAAUUAUUUUUAUAUUGCAAUGUAAAAACAAUUCAAAAAUAUUAAUUACAAACGGUCACUUGAUAUAAUUUUACAGACUUUUAAUUAGCCUCACUCAUUUGACCCAUGUCAUGGGUUAAUGGUUCUCAGCAACUCUCCAUUCCGUGACCUUUCUGGCCCUACCUAGAACAACCAACACCCCGACAAAAAUAAUAAUAAUUUUACAGUCGAAUCAUGUUUUUUAAAAACUUGAUAUUUUUUUAUUUUAAAUUAAUUUUUUUAAUAUAUUUAGAUUAUUUUAACAUUUUAAUGUUAAAAAUAAAUUUUAAAAAAUAAUAAAAAUAUUAUUUUAUUAUAUUUUUAAAUUAAAAAAAAAACAAUUAUUAUCUCAAUAUCAAACAUUAUCUUAUUCUAUGAUACUAUCCUUGGAACUUUUCCACACCAAUGGAAAUUUGUUUUUCCCAAACACCCUUCUACAAAUUUAUAUUUUUAGCCCUCAGACCUAUAAAGUAUGAUUUGCUAGCCAAUCUGCACACUAGUUUCCCAUUAAUACAAAGAUGAUCGUGUUUUUUUGGUGCCAAAAUUGUCGGCCAAUAAUUUUCCAUUUUUAUCCGAGUUUUUAAUGAUUUUUUUAUCUCAAAUUUAUAAAUUAAAAAAUUAAUAAAAUAAAAUUUUGAAUCAAAAUUAAAAAUCAAAAUUAAAAUGAAAAUGCAAAAACUUAGGGAACAGAAUUUUGAAAAACACGCCAGGCUACUUUUUGAUUUCAGUAUCAUAUUUGGUGUUCACAGUUUCAAUUAUUUUUAAUGAAUUAAAUUGAAUAAAAUUUUAUCACAUCAAAUACCAAUUUAAAUUAAUCUUCUUCUUUUUUACCUUUUUACCUUGAAAACUUUAUAAUUAAUUAAAAUAAAUUAUCAACCUCAAAUUCCCAUGAAUAUAAAAUUAAAAAUAAAAUAAUCAGCUCAAAUAAUAAUUAAUUAACAUCUUGCCUGAUAGCAAGGAAGUUGUCAGGAAGCAACCCACCGCUCACCUACCAAACAUGAGAGUGUUUGGAGAUUAUUUUGGUUUUUUUUUUUAUGGCCAUAUAAAAAAUAUAUAUUUUUAAUUUUAAAAAAUAUAAUGUAUAUUGAAAAAAAUUAUUUUUUAAUAAAAAAAAUUAUCACAUCUCCAUACCAAACACCCAUAUUAUAUUAUAAGAUAUAAAAGUUAACGUGUGGACCCCACAAAUGUUGAAACUUCGAAGAAGCUGCCAAGAAAAUGUAAACACAUGAAAUUUUCAAAAAAGAAUAGUAUAUUUAUGCAUGCUGUAAAUGUUUUUUAAAAAUAUUUUUUAUUUAUAAAUAUAUUAAAAUAAUAUUUUUAAAUUUUUUACUUUUUAUAUCAUAAUAUCAAAAUAAUUAAAAAAUAGUAAAAAUAUAUUUUUAAAAAACACAUUAGGAUUGUAAAGAUAAACCAGUUCUAACAUUUAAAUUGUUUUAAAAGUAUUUUUAAAAUAUAAAAAUAAACAGUGUUUAAGGUGUAUUUGGUAGUUUUUAUCCUUCUGCCUUUGAGUGUGUCUAUCAGAGCAGAGUGAUUUUACUUAACCAUGAAAUUUUUGUGAGAUAAAUUAUAAUGAUUUUUUUUUCUAUUUUACUAAUAUACCCAAGGUGUUUAUAACUAGAUGCUACUUGCUGAGGUGUAUAUUAGCAACAGAGGAAAGCAUACAAAAGUAACAAAAAAAAAAAUGGAUAGUAAAGACGAAAGCAUAUCAAGCUAACAAAAUCAACCCCACCAAUUCUCAAAUAUUCAGAUUUUAAAAAACAGAAGGAAAUAAUAAUUUAAGAAGAAACAUGUUUUCAAGCUGUGUCAAAUGCAGAAUGCUUUAAUUAAUACGAGGAAAAUCUUGUUGAUAAUAUAGUUCGGUAUAGCGCACUGCCAGUUUAAAAUUACAAUCAUUAUUGAUUUUUAAAGUAUUUUUUAUUUAAAAAUAUAUAAUAAUUUCAGAAUCAUGUUUUUUAAAAAAUUAAAAUUUUUAAUAAUUUUAUAUUAUUUUAACAUUUUAAUGUUAAAAAUAAAAUUUAAAAAAUAAUAAAAAUAUUAUUUUAAUAUAUUUUUAAAUAAAAAAAAUAAUUUUAAAAAAAUUAUUAUCACAUUAUCAAACAAUAUCUUAUUUUAUGAUAGUAUACAUGAACUUUUCCCCACCAAUGGAAAUUUUUUUUCCCAACACUCUUCUACAUAUUUAUAUUUUUAGCCCUCGAUCUAUAAAGUAUGAUUUGCUAUCUAAUCUGCACACUAGUUUCUUAUUAAAAAAGUUGGUAUUCCGCUAAUUGUUGUGGUUGUGAUUUGAAAAAAAUUAUUUUAUAAAAAUUAUUUUUAAUUGAGGUUGGUUUAAAAAAAAUAAAUGUUUGGUUAAAAUUAUGGUUGAAAUUAAGGUUGAACAAAAAAUAGUUAGUGUUUGGUUAAAAAUGCUUUUGAAAUUGAGGUUAUAAAAUAAUUUAAAAAUAUAUAUAUUAAUAUUGAUGCCUUUUAAUUUAAAUAUUAUAGAUUUAACUAUUUCUAUUACAUCAUGAAAUAAAUAAUAUUUUAUAUAAAAAUAUUUUUUAUUGUUCCAUUAAACUAUCUAUAAUUCCAUCAUGUAUGAAAUACGUCUAACAAGUACUACAAUUUUCAUAAAUUUUUUAAGAGCGUAACAACAUCAGAUAAAAUAAAAUCAGGAACAAAAUUGAGAUUGCGAUCAAUUUCUGUAAAUGCGGCAUCAUAAAGCGAUCUCCGUUUAAUUUAUGUAGUCAUUGAAUAAUGUUUAACACUAGUUUUCUGAAUAAAAUACAAUUAAAAAUUAAAUUUUUUUUUAUUUUUUUUUAUUUUGUUGGGUCAGACUUGAUUUAAUAUAUUUUUAACGUUGAACUGGAUUGGUCCAAUCGAAACAGUGGAACAUGCUCCACUGUUCCAUGCAUAAAACCCAUGACCAGGGAUUACAAGAAGCAACAACGAGCUGCUUUUUGCAACUUAUAGCUGUGCCACAAUUAAUAGUGGAACCCACUGGCAUAACUGUGGCAGGAGAAUUACCAAAUAAUAAAAAUUGUGGUUGCGGGUCAACUUUAUCUACAGCUACAAUACCAAAAUUAAGAACCAAUAAUAUUUAGUAAUUUUUUCUAUCUUAAAUUUAUAAAUUAACAAAAUAAAGUUUUAAAUUAAAAUUAAAAACCUCCAGUAAACAGAAUUUUGAAAAACACACCAGACUACUUUCGAUUUCAAAGUUUCAAUAAUGAUAGGAAGGAAGUUGCCAGGAAGCAACCCACCGCUCACCUACCAAUGAGAGUUAACGUGUGACCCGCCCCAAUGUUCAAACUUCGAAGAAGCUGCCAAGAAAAUGUAAACACAUGAAAUUUUCAAAAAAGAAUGGUAUAUUUAUGCAUGCUGUGAAUUUUUUUUAAAAAAAAUAUUUUGGCAUUUUAAUGUUAAAAAUAAUUUUUUAAAAAUUUUUUAGAUUAUUUUUACAUUUUAAUGUUAAAAAUAAAUUUUAAAAAAUAAAAAAUUAUUAUUUUAAUAUAUUUUUAAAUAAAAAAAUUAUUAUCACACCAUCAACCAUUAUCUUAUUCUAUGAUAGUAUACCUGAACUUUUCCACACCAAUGGAAUUUUUUUUUUUCCAACACCCUUCUACAGAUUUAUAUUUUUAGCCCUCGACCUAUAAAGUAUAAUUUGCUAUCCAAUCUGCACACUAGUUUUCCAUUAAAAAAUUACUAUUUUAAGUGCGUCCAGACUGGUUCAAAGUGAAUUUCACAACUUUUCUGUGAGAGCUUCAACUCUACAUUGAAAUGUUUUUUCUUAAACUGUGAGAGCUUCAUAAUAAGCUUAUUGAAAUAAAUUAUUAUAAUGAAAUUAAAAACAAAAAUGCUUAAAAAAAAACAGAGAGACGCCGUGUUUUCUCUAUUGCUACAUGGUAAAAGUCUGAGCAUAUUUAUUUAUUUAUUUUUAUUUUUAUUUUAAUAAUAUUACUGUUAUAUCUACCGCCUGCAAAUCAAGAACGGUAGUUUCAUUUAAAAGAUUCUAAAGUUCAUAUUUAGAAAAAUUAGCAGAAAGGACGAAAACACAACAAAUCAUACCCAGAGAAGCAAUAGCCAGAAACAAGCUACCUCAAGUCUUGCUCCACCUGGCUAAGAAAUGCAGCGUGCCCACUUGGAAUUACACAUCAUCCAAAUUCCAGGGCAAAUAAUUGGUUGGAUUUGUUUUUCGAGGAGUCAUCUCAAAUUUGAAAAUAAAAACAGAAAAUAGAUCCAGCAAAUGAUUCCAAAUAUCUUCUAAAAAGAACAAUGAAAUAUGUUUUUUUAUUUACGGUAAGGAAAGAUAUUAAUGGAAAAAAUAAAAAAAAUCAAUUUAAAAAAUAUAUAAUAAGUCAAAAUCUAGACUUAAAAUCUAACUCGUAUCAGGUUUCUAGUUGAAUUGAAUAAUUGAAUAAGAAGGUGGGAAUGGGAGACAGCAAAAGGUGUCAAACAGAAAAAAAGAAAAGAAAAAAAAGAUCCAUAUUCCAAAGGAGAGGGUCAAAGAUUGCGGCCGAUUCAAAGGACGAGCUUAAUCUCAUGAAUCAUUUUUUAACUUUAUGUAAGACUUGACACGUGUCCUCUAAACCCUCCUGCCCUCCGAUCCUUGCUAAACCCUUGUUCUGGUCGUAAUCAUCCAUUAGCGUAAACCUAUGCUUCUCUGACUUUGAUCCCAAUAAACCAACCAUGGAGUUGGUGGUAAUGUAAUUGAUAUUACUUUUUUAAAUUAUUUUUAUUUAAAAAAUAUCAAAUAAUUUUAAUGUGUUGGUAUUAAAAAAAUUAAAAAAUUAUUAAUAUAUUUUUAUUUGAAAAAUAUUUUUUAAAAACCAUAUGUAGAAUUACUAAACACCCUUAAGCCAGUGGACAAAGACACAAACGAAAAAUACAAAGGAAAAGGGAUAAAAGCAUAUAUUUGGAGAUGAUAAAGGGCAUUGAGAUCAAAGAGGAUAAGUUUUCCAGUGAUGGGAUUGGAUGUUGAUGAAAGAUUGUGUGGAUAAGAGCAUAGUAAUUAAUUUUACUAAAAAGUUCUUCAGUGACCUAAUUCUGGCCCAACAAAAUUAUCAUUAUCCAAUAACAAUUUGAUUAAUUCAGUGUUGCUUAAUCCCAGUUUGCUAUUGCGUUUUAAAUGGUAUUGGUUAAAUUUUAUUUUUUUAUAUAUUAUUUUGAUGGGUUGAUAUAAAAAUAAUUUUAAAAAAAUAAAAUAAUUUUAAAAAUAUUAUUAUAACACCAACUUAUGAAAUUUUCUUUAUUGAUUAGUGAAUUUGAUUAGACUAAGAAUCUCCAUCACAGCCCAACAUCAUUAGCUUAUCUGCCAUCCCUUUCAAGAGAAGAAGAUUUCGAAUCAGUCCAUUCAUUCCCAUCUGUAGCAUCUUUCUCAAGCGUCAAUGGAGAAUUACUUCUGGAUUCUGAGUUGCCAAUAAAAAACAAAAAACCCUUAUAAACUAGUUCGUCUCCCAGUUCUUAAAUUAGUUUCCACAUUGUUUUUCACAAUUUUUAAGAAAAGAAAAAAAAAAUAAAAAAUGAUCAUAAGCUAUAUAUCUAACACUCACUUGAAAGAAACUGAUAACCAUGCAAGCAUUUUACAUGGCAGUAUUUGAUAUGGGGUAAGAUUUUGGAGACAAAUUAGAGUACUCAAAUUGAAUGUACUAGGUGAAUUGCCUGCGCGGUGCUGCGGGUUAUAACAUGAACUGAGCAAAAUCUAAAGGCACUGAGAUCAAACUGAGCAACCACACAGAGUAAAUCUGAAAACAUUGUAACCAUUGAGAUCGAAACUGAGCAACCAUUUUGGAAAAAAUAAAAUUUAAAUUAUUUUUUUAAAUGUUUUUUAAUCAUUUUAAUAUUAAUUAAAUAAAAUUUUAAAAAAAAUUAUUUUAAUAUAUUUUUAAAUAAAAAAUAUUUUGCAACGCAACUUUUACCUCACUUAAAUAAAUCCUUAUUCUAUUGCACAUAAACAUAUGUUUUCAUGUAUAGUGGAUUAACCAAUCUUUUUAGUUUUCUUAUAUUAUUCAUAAAGAUCGAAACGCUUAAAAAUAAAAUUUUAAUAAUCAAGAGAAAAAAAAAUAGUUGAAUUUUUGUACCUUCCACAAGAAAAAUAGAUAGAUGUGUGAAAUUUUAUUCUAAAUAUAUUCUUAUAAAAAUUUCAAAAUUCCAAUUCAUGUUACUCGAUUAUUAUUCUUUUUUUAAGUUUCUUCUCUCUCUCUUUUUUUUUCUUUUUAAUCUGUAUUAUGCAUUUUUAAAAUAUAAUUUAUUGCUAGUUAAUGAUAUAAGAUGAUUUGUACUAGUGAAUAGAUCUAUUAUUUUAUUAGGUUACUUUAAUGAUAAAUCAAUAUAGUAUUAAUUUGUUUUUGGGAUUUUCAUCUUGGAAAUACUCAAUAGGAUGAAAAUAUAAUAUUAAUUAAACUUUAAAUUAUAAUUAUUUAUCUAUCCAGUUAAACAACUAUGACAGUUCAAUAGUCUUAAAAGAUAAUGAAAUAUAUAAAAAAAUGAAAAAUAGUAUUUAUGUUAAUUGUAAGCACACGAUAUAAAUAAGGAAUAUUUCAUAUUAAUAAACGCUUUACGAGUCCAAUCAAUCAGAUGUUAAUUAACAUAAAGAAAUUAACAUGGUGUUUGCAGAGAAUGAAUUGUAGAAAGAGAGAUUGAGAGUGUGAGCAAUAAAAGAUGAUGCUUACCCUUUAUUCUAUAUUAUAUUAUAAUAUAGAUCGAGAAGAUAACCUUACAGGAAAAAGACAUCCUUUGCGUGAGGAUGCUCCCCUCCAUUACUGUCUCCCACCAUUCUUUUGAACUUACAUAGAUGUUUUUAAGAGAAGAAUAAAAGAAUAAAAGAAAAUAUAAAAUGAUUUAAUACAGUACAAAAAUUAGUUUUCAAUACAGAUUAAAAUAAAGCAAAGUGACUAAUGAAAAAAGUACUUGAAUCCUACAAACAGCAGAUAGAUAGUCGGAAUCCCUUGCGCACACAUUUGAUAUAUAGAUAAUUAAAUCAACAUUAAACCAAAUUAAUAUAACCCUUUUGAAAAAUCAUCCACUACUUUUAAAUAAUUAAUUAUCCCUAUUAAGAAAAUCCAAUGACGACAAUGUAUUUAAGGAGCAAUAUUAAAGCAAAGAAAUUAAAUCAAUACAGGUAAAUAAAUGAUCCAAAGAUUAAUCCAUUCAAUAGAAAAAAACGUAACUGAAUCCAUAAACUGCAUAAAUUCGGAGAAGAAUACUUCUCAACAACAAAUUGAGAAUGAUAAAACAAAAGAGUUAGAAUAAUUAGAAAUCUGAUCAAUUUAGUUACCCAUCACUGUAUUAGUCAUUCCUUUCCUCAUCUGUGCUCUCUUUUUUUCCCUCUCUCUAGUGCAAUUCCCACACGUCUUCUUUAUGCCAAAUAGCCCUCUUUACAGAGGAGGCAGCUCCCUUUCUCAAAAGCAGGCAGCCCUCUUUUUUAAUCAGAGACUAACUUGUAGCACUUUACGAUACCUUUCCAACGCAUCAAGAAUCAGAGCAAUCCGAUAUGUGUGGAAAGUUAUGAUUAAAAUACUUUAAGUGUAUCAAGGCUGUUUCUAAGAAAAAGAACAUUACUUUAAGUUUAUACAGGCUGCUGUUUAAAAAGUCAAGAAAAUAAAGUUUUGGAUUAAAAUAAAAUAAAAUAAAAACUUUAAGGAAAAAAAAAAAGCACGCCUAUGAAGCUUGAUAGUAUAUCAAAUUAAAUAGAAGCUCGAUUAAAAAAUGCCCUUUAAUUUCUAUUAUUUCUAUUCACAUUUUAGCAUUUUAUUCCAAUGACAGAGCAUUUGGAAUGCACUUUCAUAGACUCAUCAAAACCCCAGGAACGCCAUCAAGCUUUAGCUUCAAACAACCAGAGGGAGCUUCAGUGCAGUAGAAAACUUCAACAUCUACUAUGAAGCUUGAUUUGCUAUCCAAUCCACACAUCAGUUUUCCAUUGAUACAAAGAUACCGUAUUUUUAACCAUCUAAUAGUAAAAGUUUGUAAUCAAGGGGUUUGCUCCCUCUGUGACCUUAGGUUCGAGCCUUGUGGUUAUUAAUAUUGAUGAUCAUUAACUUCAAGAUCUAUAAGAACUGGAAGCUUACUUGGUCAUUAACUUCAAAAUCCGUGAGAAUUAGUUAAGAUGCGUGCAAGUUGGCCCGGAUACCCUCAAUUAAUAAAUUAAAAAAAGCUGUAUUUUUGUUGCCGGAAAAUUAUCCACCAAUAACUUUUUAUCUUUUUCCAAGUUUUAUAGGUGACUUUUUUCUUUCAUCUCAAAAUCAUGGAUCAAAAGUGAAUAAAAUAAAAUUUCGAAUCAAAACUAAAAAUAAAAAAAUAAAACAUGCAAAAAGUCCAGGGAUCAAGAUUUUAAAAAUCACGCCUAUACUACUUUCUAGUUUUAAUUAUGCGAAGUUCAAUCUUUUUUCCUCUACAAAUUAAAUCAUGUACGUAAACCUGUUACCUACAUUUUGUAAUAUUUCUGGAUCUGCUCUUUGAUUCAUCAAGGACAGAGUUGAUUGCAGCUUCGUCAUAGAAAAGUUCGUCUUCUUCAUCUUCUUGGUUGGCGAGGAAAUAUAAGUGGACUCUUCUCCAGUUUAAGGAUUCCAACCUAGCACAUGAAUGAUAAAGGGCACAGUCAUCAUUUAAAUAAUAAAGGACAUCCUUAGCAUUAGGAUGCUCCCAUUCCAUCACUACUCUCGCUGUUGUAACCCAUUUUUGGGUCCCCACAUAUAAAAUAAUAAAAUAUAAAAAAAUUCAAAAAAAUAUAUUACAAAAAAAAUAUAACAGUGAAAAAUGCCAGAGCGUCAUAAACAUGCUAAAAAAAUUGUUUGAAGAUUUUCAAAAAUAUAAAAAUUAUUUUUUGAUAGUAUAUCAUUAACUGAUGAGAGCCCCGAUGAUAAAGAAAAUUCAAUUUGUGGAAGAAAAAUGCAAAAUCAGAAGUUUAUGGACUCAAUUAAAUUUUAUUGAAGGUUUAAUUGAAUUUAUGGAGAUUUUAAUUGCAAGAAAAAUUGAUUUGGAGUUAAUUUGGGCUUUAAUUAGGAAGAAAUUAAUUUUCUGGGGUCAAAUUAUAAUUUUGGAAGUUAAUUUGGUCAAAUCAGGGGCUUAAUUGCAUAAAUUAUUGAAGUUUAUGGCCAAUUAGGGACUUAAUUGAAGAAAUCCGAGACCAAGGACUACAUUGUAAAAACGCGCGAAAAUGGAGGGCCGAAAUUUGAAUCUGAUGCUUUUGGCGCCUUUUCCUAUUAAAUGAAACGGCGCCGUUUCAUUCACUGUUGCAAAAAAAAAAAAAAACAGAAGCCCAAAACGGUGCCGUUUUGACGGCACUGUAGCUCUUCUUCUUCCCCUGGACACACGAGGCAGGGGAAGAAGAAGAUUUUUUUCUUCCCCUUUUCGCCUAAUUACUUUCCUUCUGCUCAAAAAGACGCCGAAACAAGGACACCACUUGCCGACCACUUUCCACGUGUUGGACGGGCGUUGGACGGGCGGCAGCACACCGGCCACCACCAUGACGUCCCCCCCCUGUUUUUCGCCUAUAAAACAGGGGAGGAAGAGAAGAAAAAAAAAAAAAACAGAGGGAGAAGGAGAGAGAGGAGAGAAGAGAUAGAAGAGAGAGAAGAGAAGAGGAGAGAAGAAGAAGAAGAAGAGAAGCAGCAGAAGAAAACGAAGAAAACAGAAGAGAGAGAGAGAGAGAGAGAGAGAGAACCACCGCCGGCCUCCGCCACCAUCGCCACCGUGCCUACGCCGCCAGCAGCACCGCCACGACGCACCGCAGGUAAUCUCUCGCCGCCCUGUCGCCUUCUCCUUUGCUGCCUCCCCGUUUGCAUGCAGAACGUGAAUUAAUUCACGUUCUGCAGCUGAAGAGGCUGGUUACUGUGCUUAGCACAGUAACCAGCCCAUUUGGUAAUGGGCCGGUUGGCCCAGCCCACUGAUAUGGGCCGGACCCGGCCCAUUUCAAAUUUUUUUUUCCAGAAGUUUUACAAUUUUUCCAGCACAUUUUUUUUUAAUCAAUUUUGCUUAAUAUCGGUAUGUAUUUUACAUUGUGAAAAUAUAAAUUCGGUAUUAAAAUACCCGGUUUUCGUCCCGCGGUACUGUUCACACGUCACUAUUCAUACGGUACUGUUCAUACGGUACUGUUCACACAUGCAUAAAAAAAAAAAAUCAUGAAAUAAUAUUUUACACUAGUUUUCUGAAACACAAUUAAAAAUAAAAAAAUAUUUUUUUUAUUUUAUUAGAUUUAAUAUAUUUUUAGCGUUGAACCGGAUUGGUCCAGCCAAUACCGUGGAGCCAUCAAUGCAUAAAACCCAUGAACAAGGAACCAAUUCUCUAUUGUUCAUGUGAAGAGUGAAUCAUGACUUCACUGUUCAUGGGUUGUCUCGUUACAAGAAGCAGCAAAGAGUUGCUUCUUGUAACCCAUGGCUAUACCACAAUUAAUGGAGGAAUCCACUAGCAUAAAACUAUGCCAAGAGUAUUAUCAAACAAGAAAAAUUGUGGUUACGGGUAAACCUCGUCCACAGUCACAAUAUCAAAAUUAUCGGCCAAUAAUUUUUCGAGUUUUUAGUAAUUUUUUAAUUUUAAAUUUAUAAAUUAAUAAAAUAAAAUUUUAAAUCAAAAUUAAAAAAACUCCUUGAAACAGAAUACACCAGACUACUUUUUGAUUUCAAAGUUUCAAUAAUGAUAGGAAGGAAGUUGCCAGGAAGCAACCCACCGCUCACCAACCAAUGAGAGUUAACGUGUGGACCAGCCCCAACGUUCAAAUUUCGAAGAAGCUGCCAAGAAAAUGUAAACACAUGAAAUUUUCAAAAAAGAAUAGUAUAUUUAUGCAUGCUGUGAAUAUUUUUUUAAUAUUUUUUAUUUAAAAGUAUAUUAAAAUAAUUUUUUAAAUUAUUAUUUUUUUAUCCACCCAUCAAAAUAAUUUAAAAUAUUAAAAAAUUAUUUAAAAAAAAAUCAAAAUUUUUAAAAAACACAUUGUGUGUGGUAAAGAUAAACCUGUUCUAGAUUAAAAGAGUGUUUGGUUGUGCGUUUCAACCUGCGUUUCACCAAAUUUUGAAUUUUUUUUUUGCUAAAAUUGAGUGCGGUUUGUACUUUUUGGAUCGUUUUGAUGUGCUGAUGUUAAAAAUGUUUUUUAAAAAAUAAAAAAACAUCAUUGGCAUGUAUUUCAGCACAAAAAACUAUUUGAAAAGUAACCGCUACCACAUUACCAAACACACUCUAAAUGUGCAAAUGAGAGUGAGACUCAAAUCUAAUUACGUAACAAUUAUUAAUUGGGAUGAAAAGAAAUUAAAAGACAAAUAACCAAUAUUCUCAAGGUGUAUUUCGUAGUUCUUAUGCUUCUGCCUUUGAGUGUGUAUAUUAGAGCAGACUAGCAGAGUGAUUUUACUUAACCAUGAAAUUUUAGCGAGACAAAUUAUAGUGAAUGUUUUUCUAUUUUACCAAUAUACCCAAGGUGUCUAUAACAGAGUGAUGCUACAUACUGAGGUGGAUAUUAGCAAUAGAGGAAAGCAGUGUUGUAAAAUCUAGACCGGGCUAGCAGGUCAACUAGAGAACUAGACUAGUCCGGGUAGGAUAAAAAACCGGCCAAAAAAAAGAGGUAUAUAUAUUAAUUUUAUUGAACGAUCACCCGAGUAGGAACAUACAAAUGUAACUAAACAAAAUAAUAGCAAAGACGAAAGCAUAUCAAGCUAGCAAAAUCAACCCGCCAUUUCUCAAAUAUUCAGAUUUUAAAAAACACAGGCAUAAUAAUUUAAGAAAAAACAUGUUUUUCAAGCUGUGUCAAAUGCAGAAUGCUUUAAUUCAUGCGAGGAAAAUCUUGUUGAUAAUAUAGUCUGGUAUAGUACAAUGACAAUUUGAGAUUAGAAAGGAUUUUUUAUUUAAAAAUAUAAAUAAUAUUUUUUUAUUUUUUUAAAAUUUAUUUUUAAUAUUAACACAUCAAAAUAAUCUAAAAACACUAAAAAAUAAUAAUUUAAAAUAAAAAAAUAAAAAAAUUAACUUUUUUUUUAAAUACAUUUACAAUAUAAAAUAAAAAAUGAUCGUAGUAUUUGCCUGGUGGCCUCCCUCGGGACACAACGCUGCACUUCCUUAAAUGAAAAUAUUUAAGUCGGUAGCUGCAUGAGGUUUUACCUCAGGGUUUAAAGCAUCAGACCUCAUCCUCAAUGAACAUGAACCCACUCUGUAGAUUAUUAGUUUUUAUUUUUAUUUUAUUUUUCAAUCCAAGUACUCCAUGGCUGGACCUUAUCGUCUUGAUCCAGAAAUUGAUUGCCAAGAAUCACUUCGUACAGUAAACAGACUUUGUACAGUAAAUAUAAUUUUAUCUUUAAUUAAUUGGUUGGAAUUGUUUUCUGAGGAGUCAAUUCAAAAUUUGAAAAUAAAAACAGAAAAUAGAUCCAGCAAAUGAUUCCAAAUAUCUUCUAAAAGAACAAUGAAAUAUGUUUUUUUUAUUUACUGUAAGGAAAGAUAUUAAUGGAAAAAAUAAAAAAAUCAAUUUAAAAAAUAUAUAAUAAGUCAAAAUCUAACUCGUAUCAGGUUCCUAGUUGAAUUGAAUAAUUGAGAGCGAAACGUGUCAAGACUGACACGAGUUCAAAAUAGACUCCACAACAGGAAAAAAAAAAAAAAAAAGAUCCAUAUUGUGGCCCGUAGUAGUAUUCCGGAGGAGAGGGUCGAAGAUGGCGGCUGGUUCAAAGGAUGAGCUUAAUCUCAUGAAUCAUUUUUUAACCUUUAUCGUAAGACUUGACACGUGUCCUCUAAACCCUCAUGUCCCUCUUCCGAUCCUUGCUAAACCCUUGUUUUGGUCGUAAUCAUCCAUUAGCGUAAAGCUAUGCUUCUCUUGACUUAAUUUGAUCCCAAUAAACCAAUCCAUGGAGUUGGUGGUAAUGUAAUUGAUAUUACUUUUUAAAUUAUUUUUAUUUAAAAAAAUAUCAACAUAAUUUUAAUGUGUUGGUAUUAAAAAAAAUUAAAAAUAUUCUAUUAAUAUAUUUUUAUUUGAAAAAUAUUUUUUAAAAAACCGUAUGUAGAAUUACUAAACACCCUUAAGCCGGUGGACAAAGACACAAACGACAAAAUACAAAGGAAAAGGGAUAAAAGCAUAUAUUUGGAGAUGAUAAAAGGGCAUUGAGAUCAAAGAGGAUAAGUUUUUCAGUGAUGGGAUUGGAUGGUGAUGAAGGAUUGUGUGGAUAAGAGCAUAGUAAUUAAUUAUUUACUAAAAAGUUCUUCAGUGACCUAAUUCCGUGGCCCCACAAAAUUAUCAUUAUCCAAUAAACUAUUUGAUUAAUUCAGUGUUGCUUAAUCCCAGUUUGCUAUUGCGUUUUAAAUGGUUACUGGUUAUUAUAACACCAACUUAACUUAUGGUAAUUUUCUUUAUUGAUGAGUGAAUUUGAUUAGAUUUAAGAAUCUCCAUCACAGCCCAACAUCAUUAGCUUAUCUGCCAUCCCUUUCAAGAGAAGAAGAUUUCGAAUCAGUCCAUUUAUUCCCAUCUGUAGGCAUCUUUCUCAAGCAUCAAGGAGAAUUACUUCUGGAUUCUGAGUUGCCAAUAAAAAACAUAAAACCCUUAUAAAGUAGUUCGUCUCCCAGUCCUUAAAUUAGUUUCCUCAUUGUUUUUCACAAUUUUUAAAGAAAUUUUACGACUGCUGGGCCUUGACUUGUCUGUUUAAUUUCUAUUAGUCUUAUUCACAUUUUAGUAUUUUAUGCCAAUGAUAGAAUGCACUUUCAUAGACUCAUCAAAACCACAGGAACGCAAUCAAGCUUUAGCUUCAAAACAACCAGAGGGAGAUUUAGUGCAGUGGAGAACUUCAACAUCUACUAUGAAGCUUGAUUUGCUAUCCAAUCUUCACGUUAGUUUUCCAUUGAUACAAAGAUACUGUAUGUGUUUUUGUUGCCAGAAAGUUGUUCGAUCAAUAACUUUUUAUCUUCUUCCAAGUUUUUUUUUUUGUGUGAUUCUUUUUUCCUUUCAUCUCAAACUCAUGAACUAAAAGUUAAACAAAAUAAAAUUUUAGAUAAAAAAAAAAAAUAAAAAAUAUAAGAUGCAAAAAAUUAUAAGGUAAACAAUAAACUAAAUUUAGAAUAUGUCUCUUACUAUUCGUAAGCUUCCUAUUCCUUUUUAGUUUUUCUUAAAGUUAUUCUAUUUGAUGUCAUGAGUGUUCCAUUGAGAGAUAAAAAAGAAGACAAAUUCCCAUCCUCUUCACCUUCUUACAAUGCAUUACAGUAAUAUCUCUAAGAGAAUUGUAAAUCAAUUUUUGCAUUGCAAAUACUUUUCAGUUCCGGUAAAUCAAACAAUUUCAGAAUUUUCCAAGAUAAACAGAUUUUUAAAUACACUCAAACAUAAUUUUAAAUAUAAAAACAAAUUAUGUUUUUUUGAUUGCGGCAUAACAGUGAUGGCAGUACCGUUGUUGUUUGGACUUUGAGCAGCAGUAGAUAUCUCCAGCGUACUGUUACCUGCCGGCUAGAAAAUGUAUGAUGCCGUUUUUUAGUUUAAUAGAGAGAGGGCAGAAAGCCUUAAGAAAAUAAUUUCACAUUCUGUGUGGUAGAAACCUGAUUCCACCCAAAAAAAAAAAAUAACACGGUAAUUGAAGCAAAUUAAAAGAAUAAAAGAAAAUAUAAAAUGAUUUAAAAGAGAACAAAAAUUAAUUUUAAAUGCAGAUUAAAAUAAAGCAAAGUGACUAAUGAAAAAAGUACUUCAAUCCUACAAACAGCAGAUAGAUAGUCGGAAUCCCUUGCGCACACAUUUGAUAUAUAGAUAAUUAAAUCAACAUUAAACCAAAUUAAUAUAACCCUUUUGAAAAAUCAUCCACUACUUUUAAAUAAUUAAUUAUCCCUAUUAAGAAAAUCCAAUGACGACAAUGUAUUUAAGGAGCAAUAUUAAAGCAAAGAAAUUAAAUCAAUACAGGUAAAUAAAUGAUCCAAAGAUUAAUCCAUUCAAUAGAAAAAACAUGAAUGAAUCCAUAAACUGCUUAAAUUCGGAGAAGAAUACUUCUCAACAACAAAUUGAGAAUGAUAAAACAAAAGAGUUAGAAUAAUUAGAAAUCUGAACAAUUUAGUUACCCAUCACUGUAUUAGUCAUUCCUUUCCUCAUCUGUGCUCUCUUUUUUUCCCUCUCUCUAGUGCAAUUCUCUCACGUCUUCUUUAUGCCAAAUAGCCCUCUUUACAGAGGAGGCAGCACCCUUUUUCAUCAGAGACUAACUUGUAGCCCUUUACGAUACCUUUCCAACGCAUCAAGAAUCACAGCAAUCCGAUAUGUGUGUGGAAAGUUACGAUUAAAAUACUUUAAGUGUAUCUAGGCUGUUUCUAAAAAAAAGAACAUUACUUUAAGUUUAUCCAGGCUGCUAUUUAAAAAGUCAAGAAAAUAAAGUUUUAGAUUAAAAUAAAAUAAAAUAAAAACUUUAAGGAAAAAAAAAAAGCACGCCUAUGAAGCUUGAUAGUAUAUCAAAUUAAAUAGAAGCUCGAUUAAAAAAUGCCCUUUAAUUUCUAUUAUUUCUAUUCACAUUUUAGCAUUUUAUUCCAAUGAUAGAGCAUUUGGAAUGCACUUUCAUAGACUCAUCAAAACCCCAGGAACGCCAUCAAGCAUUAGCUUCAAACAACCAGAUCCGGAGCUUCAGUGCAGUAGAAAACUUUAACAUCUACUAUGAAGCUUGAUUUGCUAUCCAAUCCACACAUCAGUUUUCCAUUGAUACAAAGAUACCGUAUUUUUAACCAUCUAAUAUUAAGAGCGUGUGAUAAAGGGGUUUGCUUCCCCUAAUAUUAAGAGCGUGUGAUAAAGGGGUUUGCUUCCCCUGUAGUUUCAGGUUCGAGCCCUGUGGUUAUUAAUAUUGAUGACCAUUGAAGGCUUACCUGGUCGUUAAUUUCAAGAUCCAAGAAAAUUAAUCGAGGUAUGGACAAACUGGCUUAAACACUCAAGUGAAUAAAAAUAAAAUAUUUUAUUUUUGUUACCGGAAAAUUGUCAACCAAUAACUUUUUAUCCUUUUCCAAGUUUUUUAGGUGACUUUUUUCUUUUAUCUCAAAAUCAUGGAUAAAAAAUGAAUAGAAUAAAAUUUCGAAUCAAAACUAAAACUAAAAAAAUAAAAAAUGCUAAAAGUCUAGGGAUUAAGAUUUUAAAAAUCAUGCCUACGCUAACUUCUAGUUUUAAAUAUUUAAAACAAGGCUCCAUAUAUUAUCAUAUAUUCAUAGAGACAUACCAAUGUAGCUUUUGAUGUUUACCGGUUUGGGUAUGUCCAUAUGCUUUUAAAUAUUUUUUAAAAUUUAUAUUUGUUUUAAAAAAAUAUUAAAUUAAUAAUUUUUUAGUUGUUUUUAAUGAUUUUGAUGUAUUGAUAUUAAAAAAAAUCUAAAAAUAUAUUUUUAAAAAAUAUUUUAUAUAACAGUAUCAAACACAUGAUAACCUUGUCCAAAAGCUUUCGACCGAGCAUAAAAUGGUUUUCAACCCAAUCAUACUUUUUCCUCAUUAUAAAUAUAAAAUAAAGUUCAAGUGAAGUAGGGUCCAAUCUUAACUGGUUCAAACAUUAUUGUUAGAACGUGACAGUGUCCCAGCAUUAGUAGUGUAGCACGUGCCAUGUCUUAAGCUUAUGUGAUCCGAAAACAAGGCAAUUGGUGUUUGAUGGAAUUAGCUGUCACUAAAAAUAAAAUAAAAUAAAAUCCUCCGUGAACUAAUUAAUUACUCAAUUAAUUCCUAAAUUAGUUUUUUUAUUGUUUUACACAAAAUUUAUAUAAAUAAAAAUAUUUUAUUAGAUAUUUUAGAUACUCCACUAUUAUAAUAUUUUAUUUAAGUUUAGAUUUUUAUUUCAAAAUUGAAUUUUAUUUAAUGUAACAAGUAUUACGAUGUUUUUUUUAUCUGAAAAUUUUUGAAAUAUUAUUUGAUUUUAUUAAUUUAAAAACAAAUAAUAUUUUAAAAGAGUACGAAAUGUUGUAUAAAAUUUAUAUGUAUUUAUUUUCUGAUAUACGUGUUCCAAGAAUUAGCAGGGAUACGAUGUUUUUACAGCAGUGCUUUUAUGUUAUCGGUCAUGGACCCGAAACACGGUUCAUGACAAUAACGCAAAACACAACAAACAUUGAUGCUAUGCUGAAUCCUUGAAGUGCGUCUAACAAAAUCUCAAUAUCCGGAAUGCCUCUUCUUCCAUGGCAUCUUGCCUAACUCUUGAUUGUCUCAGGUCCUCCAAGGCAUUACUCCACUCUUUUUUUUUUUUUUUUUUUAUUAAUGUGGAUGUCUGGACCAGCUUGCACACACCUCGACUAAUCACACGGGCCUUGAAGUUAACAACCAUGUAAGCCUCUAGUGGCUAUUAUAUGAAUAUCCAUAGAGCUCGAACCUGAGACCACAAAAAAAAAAAAACUCUUAAUUUCAAACUCUUAUCACUAGACCACUUUCUAGAUGGUUGCAUUCCUCCACUCCUUGGUUAACUAUCUCAUGGAGGUUAACUCCCCCCAACUCUCUUACGGAUAAAGUAAGGAAGCCAUUUACACUUCAUAAGAAACCGUAAUAUAACAAACAGAGGAUCUGUAAGUUUCAGAGAACGACAUCAAUUUAAUUAUGCGAAGUUCAAUCUUUUUUCCUCUACAAAUUAAAUCAUUUACGUAAACCUGUUACCUACAUUUUGUAAUAUUUCUGGAUCUGCUCUUUGAUUCAUCAAGGACAGAGUUGAUUGCAGCUUCGUCAUAGAAAAGUUCGUCUUCUUCAUCUUCUUGGUUGGCGAGGAAAUAUAAGUGGACUCUUCUCCAGUUUAAGGAUUCCAAUCAAGCACAUGAAUGAUAAAGGGCAGAGUCAUCAUUUAAAUAAUAAAGGAUCGAACAUCCUUAGCAUUAGGAUGCUCCCAUUCCACCACUGACUCUCACCAUUCUUUUGGAUGUACUCCAUCACUCUAAGAGAAGGGGGAUGAGAUAGCUGGCCAUUUUCAAGCAACGGAAGAUGAAUUGCCAGCCUUUUCAGCAUCUGACAAUUUGUUAUCCCAAUUUGUUGGAGAGAAUCGCAGAUCGAACUCUUUAAAAAUAGAAAUAUACCAUGAUAAGAUGGAGAUGAUGGUGGAGCGGAGCGGAGCAGAGCCAAGAAGACGAAACCAAGCUCUCCAUGUUAUAGCACUUCCAAAUGUCGGUACUGGCAUUUAUUGAAAUGAAACUUAAAAUCAACUGUUUUGAAAGCCAUUUGAUAGCUAGGAACUCAGAAUCCAUGAGAUUAAGUAUUUGGCAAAGCCUUCCCCGUGAUCGGAGCAAUCUCACUAAUUUAUCGACGGAAUGGCUAGAAUUGUCUUCCUCUUAACUAAUCUUUAGCAAAUUGUCUUAAUAUGGUUUUACCAAAAAGAAAAUAAUAAAUUUGUUCUAUUACUAUCAACUGCCAGAACUCCUGACAAGUAAUUACGACCAGUUUUUUAACAUCCAAGCUCUUGUAAUCUCACAAACGCUUGAGACCCAAACCCAAUCAACAGAUCAGAGAACCUUUAUUUGUCAAGGCUCCAUACACUUUCUCGACAAGAACCGGAGGAGGAGGCUGUGGGGAAUUCGAUGGUUGAAAAAGGAACGUGAAUUAUGCUGGAGAGCAUGCAGGUGGCGAUGUGUUUGGAGCUUAGCCUGGUGUUCCUCCAAAUCCUUACUAAAUUAUUACAAAGUAACAUUAUAAUAUUUUUAAAUCUGUUUAAUUUUUUUGGUUUAAGAUCGUGUUUUUUUGUUGUUGAAAAAUUAUCCUUACAAAGUAACUUUUUAUCCUUUUCCAAGCUUUAUGGUGAUUUUUUUAAUCUCAAAUUCAUGAACAAAAAAAGGUAGCAGCGUGAAGCCUCGCCAAAAGCCCAAGAUUAAAAUAACCAUGCUCCUAGCCCAAGCCCGCCAACAUCACCCCCAGCAGAUUGGAAAAAUGCUCAUAACCAUUCCGGAAAAACACACCUAGGCUACUAUGGUAUACUAGAAAGUGGAAAUAAAUCGAUAUUAAUCAUCAAAUAAAUCGUUAGCAGAAACCAAAAAUAAAUAAAUAAAUUGUUCAUGCUACUCCAUCUUAUUGAUGGGAAUGGCUUUUGACCAGCAUACAUACGACUCUGCUAAAAUUAUCUGACAAAUUAUCAGGCUUAUAAAAAAACUUAAUAAAAUUAGAAAAAAAAUUAUCAUUUUUAUUUAAUAAAAGAAUAUUAAAAAUAUUAAUUUAAUAUUUUUUUUAAAAUAAACAGAUUUUUAAAUGCAAUCAAACAUAAUUUUGAGUACAAAAACAAAUUACGUUUUGAUUGCAAGCAUAACAAUCUUGGCAGUAAGUACUUUUAUGAUUUUAUUUUUGCAGCCACGUACAUGCUUUAGGAGUUCUUUUUAUUAAAUCAAUAUUAAAGUAAAAAAAAUUAAAUCAAUACAGAUAAAUAAAUUAACUAAAUAUAAUCAAACAAUUAAUCCAUUUAACAGAAAAAACAUUACUGAAUCCAUAAACUACAUUAAUCCCCUUUCUUUUCUUUUCUUGUUUUUUUUUUCUCUGGUGGAAUUCCCACACAUCUUCUUUUUUUUUUCUCUGGUGAAAUUCAAUAGGAUGAAAAUAUAAUAUUAAUCAAACUUCAAAUUAUAAUUGUUUAUCUAUCGAGUUUAAAAAAAUAUGACAAUUCAGUAGUCUUUAAUGAAAUAAAAAAAAAUAAAAAAUGUUAUUUAUGUAAUUGUAAGCACACUAUAUUAUAUUACUUUACAAAGGGACGAAGGACAUCCUUUGCAUUAGGGUGCUCCCACUCCACUACUGACUUCCACCAUUCAUCUGGAUAUGCCUCGAUUGUUUUAAGAGAAGGGGGAGGAGAUGGCUGGCCAUUUUCAAGCAACGGAAGACAAAUUGGCAUCCUCUUCAGCUUCUUACAAAAAAAUACCUUAAUAUUUUUAAGAGAAUUGCAAAUCAGCUUUGCACUGCAAAUGCUUUUCAGUUCUGGUAACCUAUCCAGUUGCAGAGUUGUUAACUUUGGGAGAAUGACUUCCGUGAUGGAAUUGGAGGUGCUGCUUUCUUCAUCUGUUGUUCCUAUUAUCUCCUCCAUUUUCUCACAAUUGGAAACUUCAAUCCUUCUCAGGUUUACGAGGUUUGGCAGCAACACAAGCGGGAACAGCUUCUUUAUACUUUUACAGUAAUAACAAAAAAACUCUUUAAGACCAGAAAAUGUACCGUUACAUGAUGGCAAUCGUGGUGGAGCAGAGCAGAACCAAGAAGAUGAAACCAAGCUCUCCAUGUUAUGGCAUUCCUGAAUGCGGAUGUGCUCCAGUUCAGUUGCAUUCUCUAAUGACAAAACAUCACAUAAACUUCUUGCAUCGAUGCAUUCACAAAUCAGUCCUUGAAUGCCAUUUAAGAACUUAACCUGAAAAUCUCUAUCUCCGUUGAUACUCAAAUUACCCAACCCAACUGUUUUACUUAAAUUUCCAAACAAUUUCUCUUUCAAACUAAGCACCUCUCCUACUAAAAUUUUGUAUGUGCUUAAUGAUUGAAUCCCAUCCCGAGAUCUGAGAUACUCCACUAAGUCAGAAAAACCUUUGAAAUGGCACUCCAAAGUUUCCAAAUUUCUCAAGGAUCCUACUUCCUUUCCUUUAACUGUUAUCGGAGCAUCUUCGAUAAACUUUUUCUUCAGUACAAAGACUUGCAGGUGAGAGAGUUUUGGUAAUAUCCCACUAGGAAACUCCUUUUCACCACAUCCAUUCAUUCUAAGAUACCUCAGGUUGGUUAGGCAUUCCAUUCCUUGCGGCAUCUUUUCAAGUCGAGUACGAGCGAGAUCCAACCUCUUCAGUGCCCUGAGCUUCUUUAAUGAUGGAACAUAUCUUAAGUUCUCACACAUUUUGAGCAAUAACGCAGUGAGACUCACCAAAUCAGAGACAGAGUCUGGCAAGUUUUCAAUACCUGUGCAAGACAGAUCGAGGACCUUGAGCCCAUGCAAUUGCUUGAAAAAUGAAUCAGCAAUAAAUCGCAACCAAGGAUUUUUACAUAGCAAUAGAGUUGAUAGAUUGGGACACCUUGGUGAAUAGCUGGAAGGAAUUUCUUCGAUCUCGUUUCUCAUUAGUGAAAGCAUCGUCAGAUUCUCCGUCCACUCCUCUGCAUCUGGCAACUCUUUUAACUGCACACCUGCUUUAACCAUGACUUGAUAUUCGUCUUGCAGUAUAUGGAUGGCCAUGUCCCUAAUCAAGUCAUGCAUCUUGAUAUAUCUAGUAUCAUCAUAAACCAUUUGAGCACUUUCCAAUAGGCAGACAUAUUCAAGUCUAUUAAGCAUCGUGUGGCCCUCAUCAAAUGCAUCUCCCCUGCUCCUCAUUCCUUUAAUAAUUCCCUCAUCGAUCAAAUAACCUAUCAACUGCUCCCUUUGAAUCACACCAUCUUCAGGAAAUAAUGCACAGUAUAAGAGACAUUGUUGUAGUGCUAAAUCACCUAACCGAUCAUAACUAAACCUCAAUAACUUGAAUACCUUCUCAUCCAUGUCCCUAAAUUCUGAUUCUCUCAAUUUCUUCAAUGUAUUCCUCCACUCAUGUAGAUCAUCCACUCCCCUCAAGCUUCUUGCCACUGUAAUAAUUCCUAGUGGCAAACCAGCACAUUCCUUUGCAAUAGCUUUCGCAAUUCGUUCCACUUCUGGUGAAAGUGCUACAGCACGUCCAAGUUUCUCCAUGAACAAAGUCCAAGCUUCUCCAUCAGAAAGUGGAUUCACUUUGAUUUUACGGUGGCAAGCCAUCCGAUGACAAACCGUUUCUGAUCGAGUUGUCAUAAUCAGCUUGCAUCCUUUCAACUUUUCAGGAAUUCCCACUUCGUGUAGCUCAAAAUUAUUCCACAAAUCAUCUAAAAUGAGAAUCCAUUUUUGUUUCUUCCUUAGUUCUUCUGACAACUUGGCAGCUCUAUGCAGUUCAUCAUUUUUUCUUGAAAGAUCUAGAUCAAGAUGUUCAGCAAUAAGAAUCUGCAAUCUAUUAAUGCUGAAAUCUUGAGACACAGUCACCCACCAAACAUUAUCACAAAUAUCUGGUCUUUGUAGAAGCUCAUUAUGGAUAUGUUGCAGUAUUGUGGAUUUACCAACUCCCCCCAUCCCAUAAAUGCCAAUGGUUGGGACUUUAUCAUCCAUUAAGAAAGACCAUAUCAUAUUUGUAUUCCAUUGGAAUGCUCGACCCACUAGCUUUGUUGAGCUAGUAGGUAAUGGAACUCCUCUAGUCUUGUUGCAUUUCAGACUUUCAGAAGAUCUAGCUCCUGCGCCAGCCUCCUCCAUUGGUUCUGUCCUCACUCUAACCAUGUCCAACAACGCAUCAUGCCUAUUUACAUCAUUGUUUACUGAUGGAGCACAAGGUUGAUCAUAACAUCUUCCAAUGUCAAGACAAAAUUGGGAUGAAUCUCCUCGAGGCUCCAGAAGCUGCACUUGCUCUGUUCUUGGAAUAGUCUCAAAUGCAUCAUGCUGAAAAGAUCCUUCACCAGUGUUUUCCAUGUCAUUUUCUGCUUGUAAAUGCGACUGAAUUCUCUCUUCUCCGGGACCUUGUUCCACGCCUUGAACUCCCACUUGUACUGCUUUGCUCUGUUCCAACACUCGAUCCACGGGUUCUGUCCUCGUUCUGCUCUCGAGUGCCCCUUCGGAAACUCCAUCUUCUUGUGCUCUCAUUCCGGUCAUGCUUACUACGUCGUUUCCUGCUAUUGCAUGAGAAGAAAUCCUCUCUUCCCCUACCCCGGGGUUCUACAACCUGAACUUCUCUUUGUACCCUUCCAAUACCUCCUACCAUUGUUGAGAUUGAACUUGCUGUGAUUUUAUGUCUUUUGUUGCCACCACGCAUAGCUAGAAAGGCUGCUUCUUGAACUUCUUUAGGCACCCCAAGACAAAUGGCAACAUUAUGCCCUUCCUCUCCUGAUAAAUGCCAUUUGAUCCUUGAAAUGGAGGUUUUAUUGGCAAAUGUAUGUGGACAAAACUUACACUUCAUCCUACCCUUAUCACUUUCUUCAACAGAAUUCCAAAACGGAUCAUUUGAUCCAACCUUUUCGACCUAUAGAAAAAAGAAGUCAAAGUAUAGAACAAAAAUCAGUCAAAAUAUGGAAUAAAAAUUGACGGAUCAAGUUACAGAACAGAAGUUUCCGGAUUGAGAAACUAUUUUGCUAUCAAAAUUGAUAGUUAGUUUAUAGCACAAUCAUAGGGGAAAAAAGACUACGAUAAUUCAGUUAGACUUCUUACUUGUUGAGUAUUUAAACCCCUAUUUUGACUUUGGAAGGAAGUGUCAGGGCCAGGAUUAGAGGCAUUUGGCAUAGCAGUUUGAUUUUGCAAUCCUCGGACUUGGAAGUUAUCCAUCUGUGACCUAUAUAUAAAUGAAAUGAUCAUAUUAUAAAAAAUUUCGAUAAUUGUUAGUCACUCUUAAGCACUAAAAAUCAAUGGUGUAUCUAAUUAUCGAAAAGGUAUUAAUACUAUGCAGAAAAACUAAUUGUUUUUUUUACAGAAAAUACUAAAAAUGAAAAAUUGGAUACCGGGGAGCAGGAGAAGAAGGUCCAGGUUGAUUGAAGCCACCAUGUUGAGAAGUGGUUGCGUUCGGUGUCAUAUAGCCAUGUCCCGGCUGAGGUUGAUGAAUAAAGGAGUUCUGAUGCCUGAAUAAUAUUCAAAAAGUUAAACAUAGAACUGUUAUUCUCACAAAAAAGAAAGAUAGAGAGCUCAAAAAGACUUGAAAGAUCCACGUCAAUUUUGGUCAAGUUCAUUGUUUUCAUGAUUAAAAAAGUGUAUAUUCGAGGUUAAUACCUUUGAUUCAUUGGAGGUUGAGGUCCAGGUAGCAUCGUAGGCACUUGAUUGCUCAUUGGUAACUGAUAAUCAGUCCAUUGUUGGUCCCUAAAUGAGCAACAUUUGUUGGUGAUUUCUUUAUACAUAUGCAUAAUUCUUUGCUAUUAAUCCACUAAGCAUUUGAUAUCAUUUUAGCUUACCUCAAAGGCAUUGAUGGUCCAGGUAACAUGGGAUUGGCACAUUGAGGAUCAAAUAAAUUGGGAUUAGACUGAUACCUAUAUUCAAACAUAAUGAAUUCACUGAUAAGUACAACAACAAGAGGAAGAAGAAGAAGAAGAAGUUAAAUAAUGAUUGAAAAACUUUUUUUUUUUUUUCAGAAAAUACUAAACAUGAAAAAUUGGAUACCAGGGAGCAGGAAAAGAAGGUCCAGGUUGAUUGAAUUCACCAUGUUGUGAUGUGGUUGCGUUCGGUGUCAUAUAGCGAUGUCCCGUCUGUGGUUGAUGAAUAAAGGAAUUAUGAUGCCUAAUUCAAUGGACAUUGUAGCAAAUUGGAGUAAGCAUGAGUUCUCACCAUGGUUUCAGGAAAUGAAGUUGGAAACUGAGUUGUUUGUUGAAUACUAUCGUUGAUCACAAUGUUCUGUCCACCUUGAUCAUUGCAUAAUAUGGAGCCUUGGUUGACGUCAGCCGGCCUGCUUCCAUGGAAUAAUAUAGAGGAUAAACAGAAGAAUAACUAAAUUGCAAGCAAUCAUCUUCUGAUAAAAUAUGCUUAAGAAUGACGUACGGUGUCAUAUAGAGAAGUGGUGAUUGAAGACCGAAAAGAUCAUCAUCCAUAGAAGAUGGUGGGAACCCUUCCAUCUGACCAAAAGUACAAAAUGAUUAGUACAUACUGAGGUGAACAAAGAACAGAAAGCACGUAGCAAAGAAAAAAAAAAAGUAUAUAUAUAUGAGUGGAUUACUGGGUACACACGUUACGUAAGUCAAAAUAAAAGAAAAACAAAUAAAUGGUGAAAAGCAUAUUUUAAUGACAGUCCCAUUAAUUGGAAAAGAAAAGGGUGAAUCUAAGAAAAGAAAAGCCUUUUUUUUAUUAUUUUUAAUACUAAUAUAUCAAAAAAUAUUAAUUUAAUAUUUUUUUUUCAAAAUAAACAGAUUUUAAAAAACAAAUUAUAUUUUGAUUGCGGGCAUAACAAUCCUGGCAGUACCGUUGCCGUUUUUUAGUUUACACAUUCUCUGGAGUGUCGAUUCCACAUUGAAGCAAAUUAAAAGAAUAAAAGCAAAUAUUAAAUGAUUUAAUAAAAGUGACUAAUGAAAAAGGUGCUUAAAUUCUACAAACAGCAGAUGGAUAGUCGGAAUCCCUUGAACACAUUUGAUAUUUUAAUUAUUCUUAUUUUGUUUAAUGUAAGGUAAUUACCAAUCAAGUUAAUUCAUUGAAUCAUUGUAAGGAAAAAAAAAAGUUGAAAAAUACUGAAUAAAAAUGAAUUGCAGUCCCAUUAAUUGGAAAAGAAAAGGGUGAAUCUAAAAUAAGGUGUUAAAAACACUACUUUACCUACCCCAAUUAUGAAGCUUAGAAGAAGAUGCCUAGAAAAUGUAAACACGUGAAUAUGAGAAUCAAUAAUAUACUUUUCUUUUUAAAAAUUUUUUAUUUAAAAAAAUUAAAAUAAUAAUUUUUUUUUAAAAAAAUAAUAAUUAAAAAAGAAAUAAAAUUCAAAGUUUUUGAAAAGCAUGUGCUCUAACAAUAACAUAUUAAAUAUGUGAUUAAUAGCAUGUGAUUAAAGGUUUUCAGUCGAUGCCAUUACAUGCAGUCAAAGACUCCAUCCUUACUUUUAAUAAACAAAACCUACACUCAAUAACAUGUCCUAGUUUUUUUGGCCAGUGUUUUUCCGUGGUGGGAUUAAUUUUUUUAAAAUAUAAAAAUAAAAUGUUAAGAGUGAAGAAAGUUUGUUAGCGAUAUUAUUAAACCUAGUCAUGGAGUUAAUAUUAAAAUCUUCUAACCUAAUUUUUUAUUUAAUUUAAAUUUUUAAUUAAAUUAUAUGGAAAUUAACUCAGUUUAAAUCGAUCAAUAUCCAAAUACAACUUAAAAAACUAGAAAAACAUUAAAAAAACUUAUAGAAAACAACGUUUUUUAAAAAAAAAAUAUUGAAACAAUGAAAGAUUUGAUUGAUCCCAGUCCCUCACGACUGGAGUCAUAGAUUCUAUUGAGUUUAGUAAUUUUUUAUAAGUUUUUUUUAUUUAAUUAUAUGAUAAAAAUAGAUGCUUAAAAAAUUGAGUAUCAUCCCUAAAAUAAAUAUUUAUUUAAGAUUUUAAUAACCCUAUAGAAAGCAAACAAAAAUAAAUUAUUUAGUCUAUUUCCAAAUCAAUCUACUAUUGAAGGAUGAAAUUAAAAAAAAAAUCAAUUAAAAAAAUUAAAAGACUAAAAAAAAAAAAAACAUAUUCGAUCAAUGGGUAAACCUGUCAAACUUGUGGCUAGUACAUAAAACCUAUGAACCAGGUUAUGGACUUAACUAAGAUUAUAAUUAUUUUGGCUAGUACUGUCAAAAUUAUUUUUUUUUAUAAUUAUAAUCUUAGUUAAGUCCAUAACCUGGUUCAUGGGUUUGAUGUACUAGCCACAAGUUUGACAGGUUUACCCAUUGAUCGAAUAUGUUUUUUUUUUUUUUAGUCUUUUAAUUUUUUUAAUUGAUUUUUUUUUAAUUUCAUCCUUCAAUAGUAGAUGAUAAAAAAAAUAUAAAAUAAAUAAUUGUAAAAUUAAACAUCAACCAUACACACACACACUAAUUCGACCAAAAUAUGAAAUAGGCAAAAAAAAAAAAAAUAAUUAAAAAAAAGGAAAGGAAAGGGAAAAAAAAACAGAAAAGGCAAAACACUAUCAAUUACUAUUAUAAUCUAUAAUGAAAUGAGUGUGGGUGAAUAGUGAUUCUCUUACACCUUUUAGUUUUUCUUUUAAUUAAUAAAUAAAAAAAAUAUCCCACCAAACCUGAAAACUAGUAUAAUUUGAAUUAUUUUAACAAACCUGUAAAUCACGUUAAUCUUAUAAAAAAAUAGAAUAAAAAUUAAUAAAUUAAAGCUGAAUUAUAACCCGCCUAUAAUAAAAUAAACAAAAACAAAUUUUUAAAAACAAAAAAAAAGGGCAAAACACCUUGAAUUACGUACUAUUGAAAUUUACAAUGAAAUAGGUGUGGAUAUAUAGUGAUUCUCCCAAGUCUCUUAGCUUUUCUUUUAAUGAAAAUUAAUAACCGUAUAAUAUACUUUCUUGUGUUUGCUCUAUCGUUGCUAAAUUAAAACAUAUAUUUUUUUUUUAUCUACAUCUAUGUGAAACUUUUUUAAAAUAAAAAUAUUUAAAAAGAUAAAUGUUAAAACAAAAACAUUGUUAUUUUAAUUUUUUUUUUAAUAAAUACCAUCAUAAUAUGAUAUGGUUUUCUUUUUUACUCAGGUUAUUCAGUUAAUAUGUAAGUCAACCAGUAAACUAAACUUUGGAAUACGCUUCUUGACUAUUCGUAAGCUUCCUAUUUAUUCUUAGUAAUCAAAAUAUAUUUUUAUUUUUAAUAUUAAUAUAUUAAAAAAUAUUAAUUUAAUAUUUUUUUAGAAUAAUCAGAUUUUUUAAUAAACAUAACUCUGAGUACAAAAACAAAUUAUGUUUAGAUUGCGGGCAUAAGCAUAACAAUCUUGACAGUACGGUUGUUGUUUGGACUUUGAGAAUGAUAAAAUAAAAGAGUUAGAAUAAAUUUAAAAUAAAAAAUUAAUUUUUUAAAAAUAUUUUUAAAAUACAAAAACAAACUAAUAAUGAUAAAUAGACUUUCAUACACUUGUCAAAAUCACAGGAACGCAACAAUCAGGCAGGCAUUAGCUUCACUGCAGUAGAAAACUUCAACAUAGCUUGAUUUGCUAUCCAAUCUGCACACCAGUUGGAUAGCAAUUUCUUUUCAUAACAUUUACCUUUGUAAAAACUUUCUACUUAUUUUUAGUUUUAAUAUCAAAUUCAGUCUUGAAUAUUUAUCUUCAAAAUUUUAAUAUCAAAUUUGACGGUCAAAAUUUCACUUAUUUUUAAUCAAUUAAAUUGAACAAAAUCUUGUUAAGUCAAACAUCAACUCUACAUUGAAUUGUUUUUUCUUCUUAGACCACAAGAGCUCCAUAACAAGUUUAUUGAAAUAAAUUAGCCAUGUCCCGGCUGAGGUUGAUGAAUAAAGGAAUUAUGAUGGCUUGAUGGAGUUUGAGGCCAAUUUUAUAUAAAACUUAAUGAUAAAAAAAUGUCUAAAUCUCCCAAUUGUUGUCUGUUUGUUUAACAGUAAACAAUUUGAAGAUGCUCGAGAUCGAUACACUAAACAUAAAACUUUUUGCAUAAUACAAACACUUGCUAAUUCAAUGGACAUUGUAGCAAAUUGGAGCACUCACCAUUGUUUCAGGAAAGGACAUUGGAAACGGAGUUGUUUGUUGAAUACUAUUGUUGAUCACAUUGCUCUGUCCACCUUGAUCAUUGCAUGAUAUGGAGCUUUGGUUGACUGGAACCUCCGGUGGCGACCUGCUUCCAUGGACAGUGACGACAUUAUAUUGUUUUUUGCGAAUAAUAGGAUAAACUGAAGAAUAACUAAACUGCAAGCAAUGAUUUUCUGAUAAAAUAUGCUUAAGAAUGACGUACGAGAGAAGCUCAGAAAUAUCUUCUAGUGAUUGAAUACCCAGCUGAUCCCAUGUCAUGUUGUCAACCUCCAUAAAAGAUGGUUGGAACCCUUCCAUCUGACCAGAAAAGAUCAGAAAAGACAAAAAAAAACUGAGGUCUAAAAAGAACAGAAAGCACAGAUCAGAAAAGAAUAUAUAUAUAUAUAUAUAUAUAUAUGACUACUUGUUUGUUAAAGAAAUUCGGAUGAAAAAUAUGAAAUAUAAAUGUUGUUGUUAAUGAUUUAAUCCUUUGUCUUUUAAGAUAAAUUAUCAUACUCAAAUUCUUUUUAUGAUAGAUAGAAAGAUGCAGUAUAACUGUUGAAGGUAGAAGAGCUGAUUGUUUUGACGGGGUGAACAAAAACCUCUUUCAACUCCUCUUUAUUCAUAAUUUGGGGAGCAAAACAAAUGCAAGAUUCAUUGUUUACUGUUAAACAAACCUCUUUCAACUCCUAUUUAUUCUUUUUUAAUUAUUCUUAUUUUGUUUAUUGAAAGGUAAUUACCGAUCAAGUUAAUUCAUUGAAUCAUUGUAAGAAACAAAAGUUGAAAAAUAUUGAAUAAAAAUAAAUGGCAGUCCCAUUAAUUGGAAAAGAAAAGGGUGAAUCUAAAAUAAGGAGUUAAAAACAGCAAAGAAUCUUGAAAAGACGAAAACAAUGAAUUCAACGUUUAGGGUUAAUUUAAUCAGUAUGAACACCACAGGGCAUGGAUUAUAAAAUCUGAGAAAAAGAUCUAUCUAUUUAUCAUGGAUUACUUUAAAGAUUCAGACAAGAUGAAUGACAAAUAAUUUACCUGGAUUCAAGAUGUUCUUCAAGUGCUAGCUGGUUUGCUUGAGCAGUGAUCAGCCAAAAGAAAAGGAAGAGAAAUCACAGAUCAGAGAAGAAUAUAUGGUUUAGAAAAAUAAUAAAGUUGCAGCAUACAUAAAUCUAGUUCGCACUGAUCAUGAGAUGGGGAAAGGAAAAUAGGGAAUUCUACAAUGAGAUGAGAUGUGGGAGAGAAUGUUACAGCAGCAAGGUCGCCUCAAUAAUAAUAAUUAAUUAACGUAUUGUUUGAUAGGAAGGAAGUUGCCCGGAAGCAACCCAAACAUAUUACAUUAUAAGAUAUAGAAAGUUAACGUGUGGACCCGCCCCAUGUUCACACUUCGAAGAAGCUGCCAAGAAAAUGUAAACACAUGAAAAUGAGAAAGAAUAGCAUAUUUCUGCAUUGAGUGAAUUUUUUUUUUUAAAAAUUAUUUUAUAUUUAAAAAUAUAUUAAUUUUUUUUUUAUAUUGCCACGUAAAAACAAUUCAAAAAUAUUAAUUACAAACGAUCACUUGAUAUAAUUUUACAGACUUUUAAUUAGCCUCACUCAUUUGAACCAUGUCAUGGGUUAAUGGUUCUCAACAACUCUCCAUUCCAUGACCUUUCCGGCCCUACCUAGAACAACCACCAUCCCGACAUAAAUAAUAAUAAUUUCACAGUUGAAUUAUGUUUUUUAAAAAACUUAAUAUUUUUUUAUUUUAAAUUAAUUUUUUAAAUAUUUUUAGAUUAUUUUGACAUUUUAAUGUUAAAAAUAAAUUUUAAAAAAUAAUUAUUUUAAUAUAUUUUAAAUAAAAAAAUAUUAUCACACCAUCAAACAUUAUCUUAUUCUAUAAUAGUAUACCUGAACUUUUCCACACCAAUGGAAUUUUUUUUUUCCAACACUCUUCUACAGAUUUUAUAUUCCUAGCCCUCGACCUAUAAAGUAUGAUUUGCUAUCCAAUCUGCACACUAGUUUUCCAUUAAUACAAAGAUGAUCGUGUUUUUUUGUUGCUAAAAUUGCCGGCCAAUAAUUUAAGAGGUGCGUUUAUUUAAGAGGUACAUCAGUUAAUGAGUUUGGAGUACAAAUUUAUAUUUUCCAUUUCUAUAAAGAGAUAGUGUUUUUUUUUUCUGCCAAAAAUUAUCAACCAAUAAUUUUCCAUCAUUUUCCGAGUUUUUCAGUGACUUUUUGUCAGUUAAAAAUAUAAAGAUUUUUGUGGUGAUUUUAGCCCAACUUUGGGGUAUCGAGUCUCCACUGAGAAAUUAAAAGAAUAGAAAAAAAUAUUACAUGGAGACAAAUUAAGAGAAUAGAAGAAAAUAUUAAAUGGUUUAAUAGAGAAUAAAAUUUAAUUUUAAAUGCAAAUUAAAAUAAAGCAAGGUGACUAAUGGAGAAAGUAGUGGAAUUCUACAAAGAGUAGAGCGUCGGAAUCCUUGCACACAUUUGAUAUUUUAAUUAUUCUUAUUUCGUUUAAUAACUCAAUUGGAAGUUCAAUUCCCAGAAUUUCCGCUUUCGAAAAAUCAUUCAUCACUUUUAAAUACGCAAAUGAUUAUUAAGAAAAUUCAACGACAACAAUAUACUGAAGAGCAAUAUUACAGUAAAGAAAUCAAAUCAAUACAAAUAAAUAUAUGAUCCAAAUAUAAUAAAGAAUUAAUCCAUUUAAUCGAAAAAAACAUGACUGAAUCCAUAAACUACAUGACCCCUUUUUCUAAAGGAGGCAGCCCCACUUUUUCAUCACGUCGCCGUGGUCCCACACAUUUUUAAGUGCGUCCAAGCUGGUUCAAAGUGAAUUUUACGACUCCUGAGCCUUGACUUGUCUGUGAGAGCUUCAACUCUACAUUGAAAUGUUUUUUCCUAAACUGUGAGAGCCUCAUAAUAAGCUUAUUGAAAUAAAUUAUUAUAAUGAAAUUAAAAACAAAAAUACUUAAAAAAAAAACAGAGAGACGCCGUGUUUUCUCUAUUGCUACAAGGUAAAAGUCUGAGCAUAUUUAUUUAUUUAUUUUUAUUUUUAUUUUAAUAAUAUUACUGUUAUAUCUACCGCCUAGAAAUCAAGAACGCUAGUUUCAUUUAAAAGAUUCUAAAGUUCAUAUUUAGAUAAAUUAGCAGAAAGGACGAAAACACAACAAAUCAUACCCAGAGAAGCAAAAGCCAGAAACAAGCUACCUCAAUUCCUGCUCCACCUGGCUAAGAAAUGCAGCGUGCCCACUUGGAAGUACACAUCAUCCAAAUUCCAGGGCAAAUAAUUGGUUGGAAUUGUUUUCUGAGGAGUCAUCUCAAAUUUGAAAAAUAAAAACAGAAAAUAGAUCCAGCAAAUGAUUCCAAAUAUCUUCUAAAAAGAACAAUGAAAUAUGUUUUUUUAUUUACUGUAAGGAAAGAUAUCAAUGGAAAAAAAAAAUCAAUUUAAAAAAUAUAUAAUAAGUCAAAACCUAGACUUAAAAUCUGACCCAUAUCAGGUUCCUAGUUGAAUUGAAUAAUUGAGAGCGAAACGUGUCAAGACUGACAAGAGUUCAGAAUAGACUCAUGAAUCAUUUUUUAACCUUUAUGGUAAGACUUGACACGUGUCCUCUAAACCCUCCUGUCCCUCUUCCGAUCCUUGCUAAACCCUUGUUCUGGUCGUAAUCAUCCAUUAGCGUAAACCUAUGCUUCUCUUGACUUUGAUCCCAAUAAACCAACCCAUAGAGUUGGUGGUAAUGUAAUUUGUAUUACUUUUUAAAUUAUUUUUAUUUAAAAAAUAUAAAAUUAAUUUUAAUGUGUUGGUAUUAAAAAAAAUUAAAAAUAUUUUAUUAAUAUAAUUUUAUUUGAAAAAUAUUUUAAAAAAACCGUAUGUAGAAUUACUAAACAUCCUUAAGCCAGUGGACAAAGACACAAACGACAAAAUACAAAUUAAAAGGGAUAAAACUUAAAAGCAUAUAUUUGGAGAUGAUAAAAGGGCAUUGAGAUCAAAGAGGAUAAGUUUUCCAGUGAUGGGAUUGGAUGGUGACGAAGGAUUGUGUGGAUAAGAGCACAGUAAUUAAUCAUUUACUAAAAAGUUCUUCAGUGACCUAAUUCUGUGGCCCAACCAAAUUAUCAUUAUCCAAUAAACUAUUUGAUUAAUUCAGUGUUGCUUAAUCCCAGUUUGCUAUUGCGUUUUAAAUGGGUAUUGGUUAAAUUUUAUUUUUUUAUAUUUAUAUAUUAUUUUGAUGUGUUGAUAUAAAAAUAAAUUUAAAAAAAUAAAAAUAAUUUUAAAAAAUAUUAUUAUAACACCAACUUAUGAUAAUUUUCUUUAUUGAUUAGUGAAUUUGAUUAGACUUAAGAAUCUCCAUCACAGCCAACAUCAUUAGCUUAUCUGCUAUGUUAGAGAAUAAUAUAAAUCAUAUUCUGGGACCUCAUCUAACAGCUUAAGCUAUUAGGUUGAGAUGGUUCUUUGACAUGGUAUUAGAGCCUUGAUGACCAAGCGGUCACGAGUUUGAAUCUCACCAUCCCCAUUUAUUUGAUAAAAAUUAAGCACAAGACAAUGUAGACCUGUGCAAGUUUUAAGCCCAAAGAGCUUUCACUUGAGGGGGUUUGUUAGAGAAUAAUAUAAAUCAUAUCCUGUAACCUCACCUAACAACUUAAGCUAUUGGGAUGAGAUGAUUCUUUACAUGCCAUCCCUUUCAAGAGAGAAGAUUUCAAAUCAGUCCAUUCAUUCCCAUAUGUAGGCAUCUUUCUCAAGCAUCAAGGAGAAUUACUUCUGGAUUCUGAGUUGCCAAUAAAAAACAAAAAACCCUUAUAAACUAGUUCGUCUCCCAGUCCUUAAAUUAGUUUCCUCAUUGUUUUUCACAAUUUUUUAAGAAAAAAAAUAAAAAAAGGAAAAAUAAAAAAAUGAUCAUAAGCUAUAUAUCUAACACUCAUUUUAAAGAAAUUGAUAACCAUGCAAGCAGUUUACAUGUCAGUAUUUGAUAAGGGGUAAGAUUUUGGAGACAAAUUAGAGUACUCAAAUAGAAUGUACUAGGUGAAUUGCCCGCGCGGUGCUGCGGGUUAUAACAUGAACUGAGCAAAAUCUAAAAGUACUGAGAUAGAACUGAGCAACCACAGAGAGUAAAUCUGAAAACAUGGUAAGCAUUGAGAUCGAACAGGGCAACCAUUUGGAGUAGGCUGUUAGCACGCUGCCAGAACAAUUCAAAAAGGGCCUAAGAUUAAACAUCCUGAGUGCAAAUAAUGGUUGAGCCAGAUGAAAUAAAAAGCAAAGAUGCUGGCAAAGCAGGACCGACAAUGGAACUCCAUGAAGAACAGCAAAAAAAGCAUGGGAUUUUGACGGUGCUGCUCAAAAGUGUGGAUGCGCGGUCUAAGCCCAGAAGGUCUCCUGUUGCGAGGAAAUAGUGUUAGCUUUCAUCUAAAAGAUGAUAGGUAUUGCCAGGCCAACGCUUAGGGAAAGCAAGGUAAUGUGCAAAAGAAUUGGAGCAAUUAACUGUAAUGUUUAAAACUUUGGAAAGCUACCUGAGGCAACACCAAGCCCACCAACAGAUUGUAAAAAUGCUCAUUACCAUUUUGGAAAAAAUAAAAGUUAAAUGAUUUUUUGUUUUUGUUUUUCAAUCAUUUAAAUAAGAUGAUAUUAAAAAGAAAUUUUAAAAAAUAAAAAACAUUAUUUGAAUAUAUUUCUAAAUAAAAAAUAUUUUCCAAUACAACUUCUAUCACUCUUAAACAAACCCUUAGUCUAAUGCAGAGAACAUGUCUUCAUAUACAUUAUACAGUGGAUUAAUCAAUCUUUUUAGUUUUUUUAUAUUGUUCAUAAAGAUAAAAAAAAAUAGUAUCUAUUAUUUUAUUAGUGAUGAUAUAAGAUAUAAGAUGAUUUGUAUAUAUAUAUUUUUUCCAAUACAUGUCUUCCUUUUUUUUCUUUUUAAUAUAUAUUUUUAAAAUAUAAUUUAUUGCUAGUUAAUGAUAUAAGAUGAUUUGUAUUCGUCAAUAUCAAUAGAUCUAUUAUUUUAUUAGGUUACUUUAAUAAUAAAUCAAAAUAGUAUAUAUAUAUAUAUUUGUUUUUUUUUUCUGGGGGGGAGAUUUUCAUCUUGGUGAUACUCAAUAGAUGAAAAUAUAAUAUUAAUUAAACUUCAAAUUAUAAUUAUUUAUCUAUUCAGUUAAAACAAAUAUGACAGUUCAAUAGUCUUAAAUAAUAAAUAUUUCAUAUUAAUAAACGCUUAACGAGUCGAAUCAAUCAGAUGUUAAUUAACAUAAAGAAGUUAACAUGGUGUGUGCAGAGAAUGAAUUGUGGAAAGAGAGAUUGGGAGAGUGUGAGAACUAAAAGAUGAUCCUUACCCUUUAUGGCUUUAUUCUAUAUUAUACUAAGGGACGACUGACCAUAACAUUACAAGGGGACGAAGGACAUCCAUUGUUUUGGGAUUCUCCCACUCCACCAGUGUCUCCCACCGUUCUUUUGGAUAUGCUCGGAUGUAUUUAAGAGACGGGGGAGGGGAUGGUAGGCUAUUUUCAAGCAACGGAAGAUAAAUUGGCAUUCUCUUUAACUUCUCACAAUACUUUACAUUAGGGGUGUUCAAAAAAAUCGAUUAACCAAAAAAACCGAGAAAACCGAUAAAAAAUUAACCAAGAAAACCGAACCGAGAUAGAAAACCGAUUAAACUGAUUGUUAAAACCAUAAAAUCUUGCCAGGUUCGGUUCGGUUCCGGUUUGACCUCUUAAACCGAUGAACCGAACUGGUAGUAUAAAUACCACGCACACAGUCACACACAAACACAGUCACUUGACACUCAGUAACCCUAAAUCUAAUUAACAUUCUGAACUGAAGAAUGAAGCCGCUGCCCACACCAAAAACUCAAAGAGCAAAGAGCCAAAGACUCUUCCUUCUGCCCACAGAGCCCCACACCAAAGACGAUUUAUCGUCUUCUCCCUUCUGCUGUUCUGCAUCUGUCUUGCCCUUCACCAUCAAAUUUCAUCCUUCCUCUUCUCCCUUCCGCAUCUGUCUCUUCCAUCGAUUUGCAUCCUUCCUUUGUCUUCCCUUCUGCAUCUGUCUUGCCCCCUGCUUCUCUCUUCACUUGCAGGUUGCAGCAGAACGACAGGGCUCCUCCAUUGGUAAGAUUAUCUUCGUGUGCUUAACUGCUUAUAAGUCCAACAUAAUUAUUUUCAAACUUUGAUGCUUCUCAGUUCUCUGACCUUUGCUUCUCUUUUUUUUAUCCUCAGGUUCACCCCCUUUUCCAUUUAAUCAAGAACUAGGGUUUUUGCUUCUUUCUUCAGGUUAGUCCCUCCUUCCCUGCCCUAUCUUCUUUUUGUUAAUUUAUGUUGGUAUUGAAAUAUGCUUGUUCAUUUAUGUUGGUAUUGAAAUAUGCUUGUUAAUUGUUAUAGUUUUUUUGUUAGUUUAUCAAUUAGUCAAAUACUCAAAUGUGUUUGUCACCUGUUACAACAUUUUUUUUUUCAUGUUUGUCGCCUGUCGGGUGAAUGAGUGAAUAACUAAAUAUGUUUUUUCAUGAUUAUCGGGGAAUCGGGGAUUGGGUUUUUUCUAAACCGAAAAGAAUUGGGUUUUUUCAUGACUGUUCCUUCAUUUUUGGUUCCCAUAGCAUGAAUGUCAGACCGAUUAGUAGGGAGAAACAUAUUCACUCAUUCCCAUAGCAUAAAUACUAAUCUGACAUUCAUGCUUAUUUAUUUUAAAAAAGAAUUAUGAUUCUCAGACCGAUUAAAGUCCAAUUUGCUGGUUCAAACAAUUUUCUCCCUACUGCCACUGCCAGCUUCUCAUAUGAAGUUAUUGAUGGUUAUUUUGAGGAUUCAGGUGUAUCAUCUACUUGAAGUAUUUUAAUCUAGAAUCCCAAACUAUUCACAUUUUUCUAGGGGAUGGUAAAUGAGAGUUGGCAUUAUACAUAAUACUAAACUCCUCCAAUGCUACAGUACAGCUAAAAAAGUAGAAUUUGUUGCAGCAGUGAUAAAUUUUAAAUUCUACACAUAAUUUUAAAGAGACUAACAAACAAAACUAGUUCAUUAAUAGCUGCACAGACAAAUAUACAAGGCAUCUUUCUCAAUUAAUUUUUUUAGAUCACAAAACACACUUUCAGUUUCAGUUCCAGUUCAAUUAAUAGCUGCAAAUAAUGUUUUUUUUCAUUAUUUUAUAAUCUGUUUUAAUUUCAGAUGGAUAAUCGGGAAGAUCAUACACCAAUUGAAUCAAAUCCUUCAAGUUCAGAACCCCAUUCUUUUCCUAUUCCAGCUCCAGUCCUAGUUGCUACUUCUAGUACAAAUAGCAACGCUGAAAGUGAAGGUAAUCCAGCUUCUAGAUCUAAUAAAGAAAACACAUCUCAGAUUUGGGAUCACUUUAAAAAAAUUAGAUGGUAAUGUUAAGCGCUCCUAGGGCUGCAUGUAUGUAUUGUGGAAAAGAUUAUGCAUGCCAUACUAUACUUAAUGGGACUAGUAACAUGUGGAGUCAUCUAGGUGUAUGCAAAAAAGUUUCCUUUUGUGAUUGACCGAAAACAAAAACUUUUAGUCUUACAACCUAGCCUAUAAUAAAAGGGGGUAAUAUGGAGAGGAAAAUCUGGUGACUAUUAAGGCGGUGGGUUAUAGUUAUGAAGAGUGUAGGAAAGCCCUAGGAAAAAUGAUUAUACUUGAUGAGCUACCUUUUAACUUUGUUGAAAACCAAGGAUUUAAAUCAUUUUGUCAAGUAAUGCAACCUAGAUUUGAUGUUCCUUCUCGUUUGACGAUUUGGAGAGAUUGUUUAAAAAUUUAUGUAGUUGAGAAGGAAAAAUUAAAGAAAGCUCUUAAGGAUCAACGUGUAUGUUUAACAACCGAUACUUGGACAUCAAUCCAAAAUAUUAAUUAUAUGUGUUUGACUGCCCAUUGGAUUGAUGAAGGUUGGAACUUGAAUAAAAGAAUUCUAAACUUUUGUCAAGUUUCUAAUCAUAAAGGUGAAACAAUUGGCCAAACAAUUGAGAGUUGUUUGUUAGAAUGGGGAAUUGAUAACAUUUUAACAGUUACAGUAGACAAUACAAGUUCAAAUAAUUUGACAAUAAAAUAUUUGAAGAGAGUAACAAGUAAUUGGGCAACUAAUAUAUUGUCAAAUGACUUCAUGCAUGUUAGAUGUUGUGCACAUAUUGUUAAUCUUAUUGUAUGUGCGGGAUUGAAAGAUAUUGAUGAUUCAGUUGUUAAGAUUAGGAAUGCAGUGAGGUUUGUUAGAUCUUCUCCUUCUAGACAACUUGUUUUUAACCAAUGUGCGGAGAGGUUGAAAAUUGGGAGUAAAAAAUCUGUUUGCUUGGAUGUUGCAACUAGAUGGAACUCUACAUAUAUGAUGCUAGAUGGCUGUAAAUUUGAUGUGGUUUUUAUGAGGUUAGAAGAAACGAUCCUAGGUAUUUGAGUUACUUUGAGGUUGAUUCAAAAGGAAAACAAAAAAACUUAGGUCCUCCUGCUUUAGAAGAUUGGGAAAAGGCUAGAUCUUUUGUCAAGUUCUUGAAACUAUUUUACACGGUUACAUUGAAAUUUUCUGGCUCAUUGUAUGUGACAUCUAAUUCUUUCUUCAUGAAUUGAUUUCCAUGCACACAAGCAUAUCUCAACUUUGUAGAAGUGAAGAUGUUUAUGUAAGUAAAAUGGCCAAGAAUAUGAUGGCAAAGUAUAAAAAAUAUUGGGGGGAUCAAGAUACACAAAACUUUUUGUUGUAUGUGGCGUUGUGUUAGAUCCACGUUUCAAAUUGAAGUAUGUGAGAUUUUGUUUUGGAAGAUUGUAUGAUGUUGAAGAGGCUGAAAAUUUUACAAUUAAGGUUAAAGAUACUUUGCUAAGGUUGUUUGAGCAUUAUAUGAAUGUUGAUGAGAAUGUUGAGGUGUUCAGUGUUGGAACUAGUAUAAAUGAAAAUGUUAAUGUUGAUUUAAUGGUGGUAAAUGAUGAUAUGUUGGAUGACUUUCUCAAUUCAAAAAACAUUUAGAGGAAGAAGGGGUGUCAAAAAAAAAAUGAGGUUGAGAGGUAUUUGGGUGAUGAUUGUGAGGAUCCUAAUGAUUUUAAAUUAGAUAUUUUGGGUUGGUGGAGGUGUAAUGCUACAAAAUACAAGAUUCUUUCUAAGGUGGCACAACACGUGUUAGCUAUUCCGGUAUCUACAGUUGUUUCUGAAGUAGCUUUCAGUACUGGUGGUCGUAUUUUAGAUCCAUUUCGAAGCUCUUUAUCUCCAUCGACAGUGCAAGCACUGGUUUGUUGUCAGAAUUGGUUGAGUUUAGCAUCAAUUCCAAUCAACAUCAGCAAUUACAUGGAUUAUAUUGAAAAUUCUGAGAUGAUUGAGUCAGGUAAUUUCUUUUACAAAUUUAAAUGUAGUUAUUUUAUAAUAUCAUUUAUUUACAUAUGUUUAAUCUAACUUUUUAAUUUAUGUUUUUGUAGAAUUUGGUGAAAGUUUAAAAAUCUCAACUGAUUGUUUGUAAGCAGUAUUGGUGGCUUGGUGCAAUUUUGGAAUAUAAUUAUUCUGGGUAAUUAAUUUACUUUACCUUGUUAAUUCCCUUUAACAUUUUUCAUACUUAAAUUAAUUCUUUCAAUAGUUGAACUCUAAUAUGUUGCUGAUUUGCUAGUGUUUUUUUUUAUAUAUAGCAUUAUCCUUACUAGAAUUUUUGGAUACCCAUGCUGCUGUUGCUGGAAUUUUUGGAUGCUAGUCUUGUGUUUUUUUUUUUCAAUUUAUGCCGGAUGUUUAUGAUAAUUUAUUGAUGGUUACUAAUGUAUUCGCUUGUUAAUGUUAACUUUUCUAGUGCGAACAAACUUUUAAUUUGAGGUGUUCAAAUUUGAUCAUGCAUCUUGCAUAUUGAAAUUGAUUUAUUGCAUUGCAUACAUAUUGAAAUUGAUUUAUUGCAUUGUAUCUGUCAAAUUAAAUUCAUGUCUAAAUUCAUGUGAAGAAUUAAAUGGUUUACAUUCCUUGGAUAUAUGAUUUUCUCAGCAUAGCUCAUUGCCUGCCUGUAAAGUGUAAAUCAUUUGAACAACUUCAGGCUUAUAAACCAGGAAACAAAACAUGAAAAAUAAAUUUAUUUGUCAUCAGUCUUGGGAUGCCCCUUGAAUUUGAAGUUGUCUGCAUAAGUGCAUAUGCAUUAACCUGAAAGGAGAAGAAAAUUCGGAGUGACCAGGAGAAGAAGAGCCUUGCAGAUGGCACUUCCACAUUGCAUGCAUAUUGAAAGAUAAGUGUUCACUGUUCAGUAGGGAAUUCCUGUUUAUGGCAGCCAAGCUGUGAAUUAAUUCAGGUUUCUGUAACUUUUAAAACUCAAUUUACUGUAAGGCUAAGUGAAUUUUAAAAAAACUGAAAAAAAACCCGGAUUUAAUGAAGGGAUUAGGUUUCCCGGUUUUUUCCAAAAAAAACCGGAUUCAACCGAACCAGACCGGCUCGGUUUGAACCGGUUUCCGGUCCGGUUCGGUUAAAAUUUAUCUAAAAUAUUGAAAUUCGGUUCGGUUGGUUUUUUAAGUCUAAACCGAACCGAAUCGAACCGUGAACACCCCUACUUUACAUCAAUAUCUUUAAGAGAAUUGCAAAUCAAUUUUGCACUGCAAUUGCUUUUCAGUUCUGGUAAAUAUCUCAAUCUUAGAGCUCUUAACUUUGGGAGUUUUAAUUUUGUGAUGGGACUCGAGGUGCUGCUUUCUUCAUCUGUUGUUCCUAUUAUCUCCUCCAUUUUAUCAUAGUACCUCACUUCAAUCCUUUCUAGGUUUACGAGGUUUGGCAGCACCACAAGUGGGAACAACCUCUUCAUACUUUUACAUCCAACACAAUAAAACUCUUUAAGCCCAGAAAACAUACCAUUAUAUGAUGACAAUGGUGGUGGAGCAGACCAGAACCAAGAAGAUGAAACCAAGCUCUCCAUGCUAUUGCAAUCCUCAAUGAUGAUUUCCUCUAGUUCAGUUGCAUUCUCUAAUGACAAAACAUCACAUAAACUUCUUGCAUCGAUGCGUUCACAAUCCGGAACUUGAAUGUCAUUUAAGAACUUGACCUGAAAAUCUCCAUCUUUGUUGAUACUCAAAUUACCAAACCCAACUGUUUUAUUUGGAAAAUCAUCCAUGUCUACCCAACAAUCCACCAUUCCUACUAAAAUUUUAUAUGUGCUUAAUGAAAUGGCAUUUCAAAUUUUCCAAAUUUCUCAACUGUUAUCGGAGCAUAACUAGUCCCCAUAAACUCUUCUAGUGCAAAGACUUGCAGGUGAGAGAGUUUUGGUAAUAUCCCACUAGAAAACUCCUUUUCACCACAUCCAUUCAUUCUAAGAUACCUCAGGUUGGUUAGGCAUUCCAUCCCUUGCGGCAUCUUUUCAAGUGCAGUACAAGAGAGAUUCAACCUCUUCAGUGCCUUGAGCUUCUUUAAUGAUGGAACAUGUCUUAAGUCCUCACACUUUCUGAGCAAUAAGGCAGCGAGACUCACCAAAUCAGAGAUAGAGUCUGGCAAUUUUCAAUACCUGUGCAAGACAGAUUGAGCCCAUGCAAUUGAUUGAAAAAUGUAGUGAUUGUCAAUUAUUUUAUCUUGACCACUGGCAAAAAUUUGUUAGUACAUGAUUUCUUGUAACAAAUUGCCACGUAUCACCAUACUCCCUGUUUUUUUCCUGCUGAAAUAAGUCUUUGGAUCUGUUUUGGUGGGACUAAUAUCAACAUAAAAUGAGUAUCCCUAUUUUUCAGGCAUCAGAAUAUUAUGCUCACUUGGUUGAUUUUAUAAAGGAGUUCUGAUGCCUGAAAAAUAUUAUGCUCACUUGGUUGAUUUUCUAGUUCCAUUAGGUGCAUAAAAAAGAGAUAGAGAGCUCAAAAAGACUUGAAAGAUCCUCGUCAAUUUUGGCCAAGUUCAUUGUUUUCAUGAUUAAAAAAGUGUAUAUUCGAGGUUAAUACCAUUGAUUCAAUGGAGGUUGAGGUCCAGGUAGCAUCGCAGGCACUUGAUUCCUCAUUGGUAACUGGUAAUUAGUCCAUUGUUGGUCCCUAAAUUAGCAACACUUGUUAGUAAUUUCUUUAUACAUAUGCAUAAUUCUUUACUAUUAAUCCACUAAGCAUUUGAUAUCAUUUUAGCUUACCUCAAAGGCAUUGAUGGUCCAGGUAGCAUGGGAUUGGCACAUCGAGGAUCAAAUAAAUUAGGAUGAGGCAGAUACCUAUAUUCAAAUAUAAUGAUAUUAGGCAGAUAAAUAGAACAACAACAAGAAGAAGUUAAAUAAUGAUGAAUAUUAUGUACAAGAAGAAUUUAAAUAAUGAUUAUUCUCACUUAGUUGAUUUUCUAGUUUCAUUAGGUGAUGCAAAUCAGGAGACUCUUGAAAGCUGAUUAAAGCUUAUUAGCUGUAGUUAUUAUUUUCCUAGUUAGCUGAUAGUUUCCGAGUCAGAUUAGUAUUAGAUCGUAACUCCUUAGCUGUAGGGUAUUUAAGAGGGGAACAGAACAGAAGAUGGGGCAUUAUUUGUAUUCUUGGCAAUUGCUUUCUUUAAAUACAAAUUGGAGUGAUUCCAUAGAGAUUCUGUAUUAAAUUAUUUAUUGUUCUUACAGAGAGCAACGAGAGGUUGUACCGGAGGGCAUUUAGAUUAAUAUGUGCACAAAAAAAGAGAGAGAGAGAGACGGAGAGCUCAAAAGAAGUUAAAUAAUGAUGAAUACCUUGUUGGAGUUUGAGGCCAAUUUGGUUCAUUUUGGUUGAUCCAUGAUGAUGAUGUUCCAUCUGAACCUCCCAUUGUUGUCUGUUUGUUUUAUAAUAAACAAUUAGAAGAUGCUCGAGAUAAAUAUUAUGUAGCAAAUUGGAGCACUCACAUUGUUCUGUCCACCUUGAUCAUUGCAUAAUAUGGAGCUUUGGUUGUCUGGAACCUCCGGUGGCGACCUGUUCUGUCCACCUUGAUUAUUGUUUUGUUGGGGAAUAAUAGAAAAAACUGAAGAAUAACUAAAUUGCAAGGAAUCAUUUUUUGAUAAAAUAUGCUUAAGAAUGACGUACGAGAGAGGCACAGGUAUAUUGAAUAUAUCUUCUAGUGAUUGAAGAUCGAACUCAUUUGAUGUCCAGUUGAUCAUGACAUCAUCCUCCGCAGAAGAUGGUGGGAACCCUUCCAUCUGAGGUUUAAAGAAGAACAGAUAAAACAGAUAAUAAAUAUAUAAGUGGGUACACCUUGUUAUAUCUAAGUCAAAAUAAAAGAAAAACAAAUAAAUGGUGAAAAGCACCUUGUUCUAUCUUAUAAUAUAAUAUUUGAUGGGGGUAUAUAUUAUAUUAUUACAAAUUACAAAUAUAACGAUCAUAACUAAGCCUCAAUAACUUGAAUACUUCCUUGUCCCUAAAUUCUGAUUCUCUCAAUUUGUUCAAUGUAUUUCUCCACUCAUAGGUCAUCCACUCCCCUCAAGUUUCCUGCCACUGUAAUAAUUCCCAAUGGCAAACCAGCACAUUCCCUUGCAACGUCUUUCGCAAUUCCUUCCAUUUCUGGUGAAAGUGCUAUAUCACGUCCAAGUUUCUCCAUGAACCAAGUCCAAGCUUCUCCUUUAGAAAGUGGCUUCACUUUGAUUUUGUGCUGGCAAGCCAUCCGAUGACAAACCGUUUCUGAUCGAGUUGUCAUAAUCAGCUUGCAUCCUUCUAACUUUUCAGGAAUUUCCACUUUGUGUAGCUCAAAAUUAUUCCACAAAUCAUCUAAAAUGAGAAGCUAUUUUUGUUUCUUCCUUAGUUCUUCUAACAAUUUGAGAGGUCUGAGAUGAACAUCAUCUUCACUUGAAAGGUCUAGAUCAAGAUGUUUAGCAAUAACAUUCUGCAAUCUAUUAAUGCUGAAAUCUUGAGACUUAGUCACCCACCAAACAUGAUCACAAAUAUCUGGUCUUUGUAGAAGCUCAUUAUGGAUAUGUUGCAGUAUGGUUGUUUUACCAACUCCCCCCAUCCCGUAAAUGCCAAUGGUUGGGACUUCAUCAUCCAUUAACAAAGACCAUAUCACCUUCUUAUUCUCUUCAAAUGCUUGACCCACUGGCUUUAUAGAGCUAUUAGGUAAUGGAACUCCUCUAGUCUUGUUGUUUUUCAGACUUUCAGAAGAUCUAGCUCCUGGGCCAGCCUGCACUACUGAUCUUCCACUAUUCUCAACGUACUCUUCCUCCACUGGUUGUGUCCUCACUCUAACCAUGUCCUGUGCAUCAUGCCUAUUUACAUCAUUGUUUACUAAUGGAGCACAAGGUUGAUCAUAACAUAUUCCAAAGUCAAGACAAAAUUGGGAUGCAUCUCCUUGAGGCUCCAAAAGCUGCACUUGCUCUGUUCUUGGUACAGUCUCAAAUGCAUCAUGCCAAAAAGAUCCUUCACCAGUGUUUUCCAUGCCAUUUUCCGCUUGUAGAUGCGAUUGAAUUCUCUGUUCUCCUGGAUCUUGUUCCAUGCCCUGAACUCCCACUUGUAUCCUUCCAAUACCUCCUCGCCAAAUUGCCGAGUACUGCAUUGCUUUGUUCCAACGAUCGAUCCACUGGUUCUGUCCUCAGUCUGCUCUCGAGUGCCCCUUCAGAAACUCUCUCUUCUUGUGCUCUCACUCCGGUCAUGCUUACUAUACGUCGUUUCCUGCUAUUGCAUGUGAAGAAAUCCUCUGUUCCCCUACUUCGGGUUCUAAAACCUGAACUUCUCUUUGUACCCUUCCAAUACCUCCUCCCAAAUUCCACAGUCAUUAAAAUUGAUUGAACUUGCUGUGAUUUUAUGUCCUUUUUUGCCAUCAUUCAUAGCUUUCCAGGCUGCUUCUUGAACUUCUGUAGUCACUGUUGCUACCCAAUUUUUGACCCAUGUUUUGAUAAUUUUUCAGAAAAAUCCAAAAAUAGAGAAAAACAUCGAAAAGCCAAAAAAAUACUUUUUUAAUAUAUUUGCGUUGUUUUUAGCUGUUGCUACCCAAUUUUUGACUCAUGUUUUGAUAAUUUUUCAGAAAAAUCCAAAAAUAGAGAAAAACAUCGAAAAGCCAAAAAAAUACUUUUUUAAUAUAUUUGCGUUGUUUUUAGCAUUUUCAGCGUCGUAAAAAAAAAUUUAAAUUUUCAAAGGUUUUUCGAACGCGUGCAACUUUUCACGCGUCAUUUUUAAUCAUUGAUUUUCCUCAUUGAGUCGACGUUGAUAUUGCUCAUUUUAAAAAAAUACAAACAAAUUAAGAAAAAUCAAAUUUACAAAAAGAAAGAAGUUGAGGGACCAAUUUUGAAAACCUAGCAAUAUUUUUGCCUAUAAAUACUGGUCUUCAACACACACAAAAGAGGGGGGGACAAUUUUGCACAUUCAGAAAAAACACAAAAAAACCUAACCCUAAACCUAAACCUAUCUCUAACCAAAAAAAAAAGAAGCCGCCGGCCCCCCAGGCUUUUGAUUUUUCCUUCCCCACAACAGCUAACCGAAAUCUCUAGCCUUCCACCAACUCCUCCUCCCUUGCCCUCUGCCAAACGGACAAACUCUCAGCCCCUCACCCCACACAAACCAGCCGCCCCACCCAUUCAGUUGGCCACUCUCUUUUCUCCAGCCAAAGCCAUCGCCCCCUUCUUCCUCUGGUCUCCCGACAAACCCAACAAUACCCUUUCUUCUCCGGACGACCGACCGCAACAACCCACACCGCCUCUCCGUCCGAUCUAUUCACUUCACAACCCGGAAGAAACCCACUAUCAGGCCCAAUCUUCCCCUCAAUAGCGUCUUCUUCGCCUUCGGUCUCUUCAACAGCAAUGGCCACAGACCAGCCAAGACCGAACAUCUAUUUCAACCGGUCGGUCGCAGAUCCACCCAUCAUCAACGACCUAGCAACGGCCACAGAAGACCAUCACUGCUAGAUCGGCCAUCAACAGAAGCCUAGUCGUCGGUGACCCCUUGGUCUUGCCGCCGCUGAAAUAGAGAAGGGAGAAGGUAGAGAAAUUGGAGUGAGCUAAAAAAGGAAAACUUAAACAGAUAGAAAAAAGAAAGAAAAUUAAAAUCGAUUGCCUUUUGUGUUUUUUUUUUUUGCAGAUAACGGUGGUUGUCACCACUGGCGAGGAAAAGAAGAGGGGAAGAAUUCGAUCCAGAUCCCCCCUGUUGCUGGGUUUUUCUCGUGGCAGUGGCACGUGGAGCAACGCGCCGCCACUGUUCCGGCCCUGCACUGUUCCUGAUUUUGUUUGAGAGGUUGUUUUUUUGUAACUUUAAGUUUGUUUAAUGUAAUAUAUUUUUAUUUUUUAGUUUUUUAUAAUUUGUACUUUGUAAAUGUGGAUUAAAAGAAAAGGAAAAGAAAAGAAACGAAACAAAAAAUAUAUAGUAAAAGUGAGUGUGUGUUUGGAUUUUCAUUUAUUUAUGUAUGUAUGUAUGUAUGUAUGUUUUUUUUUUAUGAUAAAAUCGCAAAGAUUAAAUAAGAAUUUAAUAUUUUGAUUUGCUCACAGUCUAGAAUUAUUAACUUAUACGUAAGUUGUAUUUCUAAUAUCUGAUGAAAAGACAAAAUUUUAAAACUUCUUUAACACGUCAAAGCCACGAAGCAACUUACCUCAGGUAGGGUGUGUGUUAGGGGUGCUAAUACCUUCCUUAACCACAACCAGUCCCUUACCCGUGAAUCUCUGACAAGACCAUUACACCCGGGUUUCCUAGUAGCCCUCAAUUAAAUACAAGGUGGCGACUCCAACGAACCAAAUCAAAGCAAACGCAUAACGAGAAAAAAUUGCCAGCCGACGCCGUGCGGGUGACGUGUGGCAGUCACCCCAAGACAAAUGUCAACACCACGCCUUCUCUCUCCUGAUAAAUGCCAUUUGAACCUUGAAAUGCAAAUUUUACUGGACCAUGUACGCUGACAAAACUUACACGUCAUGCUACCAUCAACCCUAUCUUCAACAUAAUUCCAAAAUGGAUCCUUCGAUCCACCCAUAGAAAAAGAAGGGGGGGGGGAGGGUCAAGGCUAGGAUGGAUGAGAAACUACUUCAUUGCUGUUACCUUAUUUUGCUAUUAAAAUUGAUAGUUAGUUUAUUGCAUAAUUAUAGGGGGGGAAAGACGAUGAAAAUUCAGUUAGACUUCUUACUUGUUGAGUAUUUAAAUCCCUAAUUUGACUUUGCAGGGAAUUGUCAAGGCUAGGAGUUGAUGCAUUUGGCAUAGCAGUUUGAUUUUGCAAUCCUGGGACUUGGAGGUUAUCCAUCUGUGACCUGUAUAAAAAUGAAGUGAUCAUAUUAUAAAACCUUUCGAUAAUUGGUAGUAUCUAAUUAUCAAAAGGGUCUUAAUACGUACUGUAUUAAAACACAACAGCUAGAAGUCACCUAGUAGAGUUGCCAAAGUGCCGAGGCCCGAAGUUCUGUUGUUGCAUAUUAUCUAUGUUAGGAAUUACUGCAGCUUGAUCGUCUUGUCCUUGAUUAGAAAGAAAUUGACUCCUGUAUCCAAAAUAAUUCGCAAGUAAUACAAUACGAGAUUUAAUAGUUUUACUGACGGAAUUUUUUCAUCGGCGUAAGACACAUAUUCCGUCGGUAAUUAAUUUACCAACGAAAUCACCAACAGAGAAUCUUUCAUCGGUAAUUUUUUGUCCGUCGGUAAAUCUAUUGGUAAUGAAAAAAAUUUAUUACUGAUGGAUUUACUAAUGGAACAUAAGCGUCGGUAAUAAUAUUUUUUUAUUACCAACGAAUUUACCAACGGACAAAUUAUAAAAUAUUUAAAAACAUUUUAAAAAAAAUCAUUUUAUAAAAUUAUACUCAAAAUGCUUGGAAAAAAAAACAAGAAAAUCAACUCAAACAAAUUUGCAACAAAUAAAUAAAAUGAAAAAAAAAAUUCAACUAAAAAAAUUCAUAUGAAAAAAAUGAAGUUGCAAUUGCUAAAAAUUUAAAAAUCCUAUAAAUAUAUCAACAAAAAUUGAUCUCAUAUGAAAAAAUAAAAUCUCACAACAACAUUUAUACAAUUAUUAAGAACAAAAACAAUUAAAAAUAAAAUAAAAGGCAAAUAUAGUGAAAACAAUCAUGAAAAAAGAAGAAAAAAGAAAAAUCUUACCUUAAUGUAGUUGCAAGUGAAGCUAAGGAGAGAUUUUUUUUUCGUAAAGCAUAUUAAUUAAAAAAAAAACUAAGAGGAUAAAAGAAGAAAGAAGAAGAAGACAUACCUGAGCAUGGAGGAAAAGAGAAGGAGAUGAGGAGAGAAAAGAAGACAAAGAAAUAGAUAUUGAUGUUUUUUACAUAUAGUGAAGAAGAAGAAGAAAUGAGUUUCUUUUUUGUGAAAUAAGGGGAUUCAGAUUUUUUAUUGGGGCACAUUAGCGACGGAUUUAUUGACGAAUAAUUGAAUAUUAAUAUUUUUUAAUUAUUUCGUCAGUAAUUCCAUCGGUAAUAUUUAAUAUAAAUUUUUAAUUUCGUAAAAAGCUUUCAGAAACCGCCAACAAUUAUCGAUGAUUUUUCAAUCCUUCGGUGAUUCCGUCUGUAAUAUUUAAAUGAAAAUUUUGAAUUACUUGAAUUUUUUCAGAAAACCGCCAAAUAAGACCGACGACUUUUCAAUUCGUCGGUGAUUUUGUCUGUAAAGAACAAGAAUUAACAGUGCAAUUGAAAAAGUGAACAGUUCUGGAGCUCUCUGGAAAAUACUGACGAAAAAUUCUGUUAGUGAUUUCCUUCGUAAUUGACAUGAUGAACAGUGUUCACAGUUUACCAAAGAAUUUACCGACGGAAUAAAUUCUGUCGGUAAUUACGUUGGUAAAAAUGACAUAUCAUCAUUUAUUGUUUUACUUUGUUUUAAUUUUUUUCCCCACUGUAAUUCCCUCGAUAUAUACCGAGGGAAUAUUUCCGUCAGUAAAAUCCCUCGAAAAUAUUUCCUUUGUAUUUAUCGAUUUUCUGGUAGUGAUAUUAAGCAUUACAAACUUAUGAUUAUCUUGCUGGGUUGCUGGGUUGAUGUCCAAGCUAUGAUGUUGCUUUCGUAAUUGAAAAACAAAUUUUUUUUAAUAGAAAAUACUAAAUAUGAAAAAUUGGAUACCGUGGAGCAGGAAAAGAAGGUACAGGUUGAAUGAAGCCACCAUGUUGUGAAGUGGUUGCGUUCGGUGUCAUAUAGCCAUGUCCCGGCUGAGGUUGAUGAAUAAAGGAAUUAUGAUGCCUUGAUGGAGUUGGGGGCCAAUUUAGUUCAUUUUGGUUGAUCCAUGAUGAUGAUGUUCCAUCAAAACCUCCCAUUGUUGUCUUUUUGUUUAACAAUAAACAAUUAGAUAAAUAUUUUUGUAUAAUACAAACACUUGCCAAUUCAAUGGACAUUGUAUCACAUUGGAGUAAGCAUGAGUACUCACCAUGGUUUCAGGAAAUGAAGUUAGAAACUUAGCUGUGUCACACGUGUGCGACAUCGUGGUGAAAACAUUCACUCUCGAAUUCUAUUUUUUAUGGAAAAUGUGUGGAGACAAGGAAUUCUUGCUCAAAACUGUCAUUUUUUAUCAAAACCGAGUCCCCCGGGUCAAUACGGGUCAAACCAUAUUGACCAGGGUAAAAAAUGAGUUUCCAUGACGUUUCGGGUCAAAACCGUCAUUUUCGAUCAAAAUCGUCAUUUUGGAUCAAAACCGAGUCCAUCGGGUCAAUAUGGGUCAAACCAUGUCAACCGGGAUAAAAAAUGAGUUUUCAGGUUGUUUCGGGUCAAAACUAUUAUUUUUCGGUCAAAACCCGGUUCACCGGGUUGAUACCCCUCAAAUGUUGUUUUCUGUGUUUCAAUAUAUAUUUUUUUUUUUUGCGGUUGAAAUGGGCUUUUUCUAAUACUGAUUUAAGUUUUUCAGUUUUAUUUAUAUAAUUAUUUAUUAUUAUAUAUAAUAAAACAAAAUUAAUAAUACAAAAAUUUAUUAUAGCGUCAGUUGCUGCGGUGCAUUAUUUUCCUUCGAAAUGAAUUCAUUGUCCCCUGCUCAUUGGCUAUAAAUAGCCACGACAUCAGAGGGAAAAAAAAAGAAAAAAAAAAGAAAGAAAGAAAAGAGAGUAUUACUAUUUGAAUUGUUUUUAGUUUUUCUUCACGAUAGUAAGAUAUUGUUUUUUAUUAAAAACAAGUUGAAAAAUAUCAAAAAUAUCCUAACCAUUUGAUCUAAUAGUGUUAAUUCUGGACCUUUGAUUUAAUAGGAUACAAUAGGGUUUACCAUACUAGAUUAAAACCCAAAUCCAUCUAAGCCUUUGAAAUAAUCUGCCUAUUGAUUCUAUCGUGCCAUGUCACCCGGUGUACCGAGCUUUCAGUGCAUCGCGCCACAACAGAUCAACGCUCAGCUCAUCCAGACCGUCUGAUCAACUUGCAGAUAAAGCCAAUCACAGCUGAAGGAUCAGUUCAUCCGCGAUCCAAUGGCUCACAACCUUCAGCUGCACCGGUGUCCCAUACUCGCGUUCACACCGAGCACAAUCUCGGAGCCUCUCUCUCCUCUCGACGGUGAUUCUCUCUCUCUCAUCCGAUCUCCCAUUUCCGGUCGUGUGAAGCUUUCAAACCACCACAGAAAGGUUGCUACCUUGCUAUAAAGCAAAACCCCGGCGGUUUUCAGCGUUUUCUCCGCCUCAUCUAGCCGGAAAACGACCGCGAUUUCGUCAACCACCCGAAACUUUAAACCGACGAUUCUCCCUCGUCAGCCAUCAACAGCCGUCGAAACCACCUUCAUCAGAAUACUCUCCAUCAGAUCUACUAGAAUCAACCAUUCGUUGGUUGGAAAUCUUGCCGGAAAAUUUCGCCGCCUCCAACAGUAACCGCGCGUGAGCCACACGCGCCACCAGGGGUAUUUUCAUAAUUUUCCAAGAAAUCCAAGGGUAUUUCAGUCUUUUACCUAUACAGUGGCACUCAAGUAAUUUUUUGAAAUUCCUAACAGUUUUUAUUUUAUUUUUAUAUAUAAGUAUUUGUAAAUUCUCUUGCAUGUAAAAAAAACCAAAAAAACCAAAAAUAAAUAUAAAAGGAAUAACGACGCGGGUCCAACACCCAUCUUAUCAUGUCAUCGUUCAUGGGUCCAAAGCCCAAUUAUCAAGUAUGGUUAUACCCAUUUCUCAACGAUAUCAAAAUAUUUUUUGUUUUAUAAAUGAAUAUUGUUUGUCGGCAUGUCUCUUUUUACAGAAAAGGACUGAUGUCAAGGAUAUUUAUACCAAAUAUGGAUUAUGUCCAUUAUUUCCUUUUGAUAAUCCAGACGUAACUCUCCUUUUUAGGGUCAAAUGUCAAUAUUUUAGACAAAUCUCCUAUUUUUAGGGACUAAUGUCAUUUUUAACGUGUCUCCUAUUUUUAGGGACCGACGUUAACCAUUUAAAAAAAAAACAAAAUUGCAAAUAAGCUCAAAAUAUAAUAGCAUUUGAAUCAAAUAAAAAACACACAAGUAAGGGUAACCUUUCUUUUGAAAGGAUGUUUUAAGGGUGGUGUCUACCUUCCCUUAAUCAUAACUAACCCAGUACCUGAAUCUCUGGGACCAGUGUCUAAUUUGGGAUUUCUAGUUCCCUCAUAUUACUAGAUGGCGACUCCAAUAAAAUAUUCAUUUCCCCCAAUCAAAAAAAAAAAUCUUUUUGUUAAAUAAACAAAAAAGCGGAGCCGUCGCCCGACGUCGUGUAUCGAUAGAAUGGCGACUCCGCUGGGGACCUAGGGUUGAACCAACUACUUGUGUGUGCUUUUCAUUUGUUUUUUUAUUAUUGUUAUUUAUUUUUUGAGCAUUUAUUUUAUUUGCACUAUUUAUUUUAUGCAAUAUCAAUUGUAAAUCAUUUCAUUUUUUAAUUACACAUGCAUGCAUGUUAUUUAUUUGUGUAUUCACACACUUCAGUGAACCCAUAAAAGCUCUGGACCCGAGCUCGUCCUUUUUAAGAUUAGAAAAGAAAGAUUCAGGUGGCAAGUGUGACUUAUGUCCACUGAUGCUCAUUUGGACUUUCGCUUGGAUUGUAACUCACCCUAUACAACGGGUAUUGUGGAAUUUUCUUCCCAUACUCAUGUUGUAUAAGGUUAAGAGGCCGACUACCCCAUGGGUAAUUCGGGCAAUCUAAGAACCAAAAAAUAUCUUUAGGGAUAGACUAAAUUGAGCCAAAUCUUAUGAGCUAGAUCCUAUCAAUUAGAUAUACCUUUUAGGACACAAACAAAUGUCAAUGCAUUAACAUACAUGUUUAUAUACAUUUCAUAUUCUCAUUAAAUCUCCACCGAUCCUUAUAGGAAGUGUGAGAAAAAAAACAUUACUAUUGAGGAAUUUUUGACCAGAUCAGAAUUGAACCAACAUGAUGAAGGGGAUUGUUUGCCAUCAGAAUAUAGCAUCAUAUUUCUCCCCUAAAUCGGUUCAAGUCCCUGUAGGUUUGGAGUCCUCAGUGAGAACUUUCUUAAGAGAAUCUGAUCUGGUCUGUUCCUCGUCAUAAGUUUAAAAAAAAAAAAAAUUUGAAACCAAUAACACACAUGCAUAAACCAUAUGGCAUUUUUGCAUCCAUUUGUGCAUUUCAUUUAGUUUACUUGCAUUCACUCAGGUUGAAAUAUAGGUCCCCCAAAAGGCCGUAAAAUUCAUUACACUCGACAACGAAGGAAGAUAAUGGAGAACGAAGAAAGGGCACACCUAGAGGCUCAUUAUCAAAGAGAGUUGGAGAACAUGAAAAAUGAUAUAGCACGACUUACAAGUCUACUCGAGCAGACCCUAGUAUCCAAGUCUGGGGAAGGUACCUCUACUCAGCCGGCAGUUGCAACUCCAUCUAUAUCUAUGCCAUCAGCUCCCUUUGUAUUCCCGCCUCAAAAUUUAGGGGCAAAUCCCUCUUCAUUUGAACAACAGUUCACUGCCAAUGUUCCACCAGCACAAGUGCCAGUUACUAUAAACCUGGCAACUGAUGACCCACAAAGGAUGAAAUUCUCUGAAAAUGUCGAUUAUGAUAAAUUGACCGCUCUAGAAGAGAGAUUGAAGGCAGUAGAAGGGGCAGACUUAUAUGAUCCUGUUUAUGCUGCAGAAAUGUGUUUAGUUCCAAAUGUAGUUGUACCCAGAAAAUUUAGGGUACCAGAAUUCAUCAAGUAUACUGGAACUGAAUGCCCAGUCACUCAUCUUAAAUCUUAUUGCAAUAAGAUGGCAGAAGUAGUGAAUGAUGAGAAACUUCUCAUCCAUUUCUUUCAAGACAGUCUUUCUGGAUCGGCAUUAAGCUGGUAUACAAGGCUGGAUAACACCAAGAUCAGAAAGUGGAAAGAUUUGGUAAAAGCCUUUGUGGAGCAGUAUAAAUUCAACAUGGAGGUAGCCCCGGACAGGUCAAGCUUGUUAGUCAUGGAAAAGGGCAGCAAAGAGACUGUAAGAGAAUACGCUUUGAGAUGGCGUGAAAAAGCAUCUCAUGUACAACCCUCUUUGUUAGAAAAAGAAAUGGUCACUCUUUUUUCUAACACUUUUAAAUCUCCCUACUUUGAACACCUGGUGGGUAGUUCGCUCAGCAUUUCUAUGAUGCUGUAACUAUCGCUGAGAGAAUAGAACAAGCGAUAAGAGCGGGGAGAAUGUCAGAGCCUACUGAGAAGAAAGGCUUUAUUGGGAAAAAGAAGGAUUCUGAGGUGAACAAUGUGGAAGGAGUGUAUAAGGGUAAGAAAACAAAUUACCACCAUUAUAACUUCCAAAUGCCUACCCAACAAGUUGCAAGUGUAAACUUCACUAAACCUUUCCCUACCAACCAACAAAACCAACCACUGACCAACAAAGUAACCAGAUCGUUAAUCCUCCAAGAAGGAAUUUUCAAAGAACCCAAGAACGACUGCCACCAUUACCACUUCCUUUGGGAAAUGUACUCAAAGUUGUUGAGUAUUGGGCAAGUAGCUCCCGUUCCCUUAACCCCACUGCAACCUCCAUACCCAAAUUGGUAUAAGCCAGAUCUGAAAUGCGAGUAUCAUGCUGGCGUGGCAGGGCAUAACAUUGAAAGUUGUAAUGCAUUUAAAAACAAGCUUCUACAAUUGAUAAAAGCUGGAUGGAUAACUUUUGAUGAUUCACCGAAUGUAAAUUCCAAUCCUUUGCCCAAUCAUGCCACAAGCAGUGGAGGAGUGAAUGCUGUAGGAAUGGAGGGUAAGAAGGAAAGAGUUUUGAAGGUUUCCAUGGAAAGACUGUAUGGUAUGUUGGUACAGUCUGGUUAUUUAUCUGAGUUUGAACCAGUGAUGAAUGAAAAUAACUACUGUAAGUUUCAUGGCAAGGUGGGACAUCACAUUGAUGAUUGUGAAGAAUUUCACCAAGAAGUGAAAAGGAUGCUGACUUUCGGCAUGUUAAGGAUAGAGAGUGAAGAAGAGAGUAGUGAAGUUGGGAUGAUAGGCCGUCAGGAGACAAAAAUGGAAGUUUGUAGACUCCAACCAACUGUGGGUGGUCCACCAAAACUAAUCCUGACCAAGCCUGUAUGCACAAAUAGUGAAAGUUAUGGCUCAAUGCCUUACAAUUAUGGGUAUUCUUUCAACAUUAAGAACCCUACUCCCAUCUUUCAUCCUGAAAUCGGUGGUUUAACUCGAAGUGGUCGGUGUUUUACACCAGAAGAAUUAGAAAGGCAGAGGAAAGCCAAAGGAAAAGAGAUAGUUGAUGCUUUUAAAGGCAUGGAAGUGAACAAGCCUAUAAGUGAAGACGAGUCUAAUGAGUUUCUGAAGUUGAUGAAGCAUAGUGAGUAUAGUGUGGUGGAUCAAUUGAAGAAAACUCCUGCUAGAAUCUCUUUAAUGUCACUUAUCUUGAGUUCUGAGUUACACCGUAAAGCAUUGCAAAAGGUGUUGAAUGAAGCAUAUGUGCCACAGGAUAUUACUCAAGAUACAAUGGAACAUUUGGUGGGAAGAAUUCAAGCCUCUAAUUACUUAUACUUCACAGAAGAUGAGCUAGACUCGGAAGGGACUGGGCAUAACAAGCCUUUGUACAUCACCGUGAAAUGUAAAGACUAUUUGAUCGGCAAAGUGCUUGUGGAUAAUGGUUCAGCGUUGAAUGUGCUACCAAGGCAUAUAUAGAUGAGAUGCCAAUUGAUGCUACUUACAUGAGACCAAGCACAAUAACAGCUAGAGCAUAUGAUGGUUCUCCUAGAAGGUGAUAGGGGCCAUUGACAUUGAAUUGUUUAUAGGGCCUCAGAUGUUUUUAUAACCUUACAAGUGAUGGACAUCCAUCCUUCGUAUAGUAUGUUAUUGGAAGGCCAUGGAUACAUGCCGCUGGGGCUGUGACAUCAUCUCUACACCAAUGUUUGAAGUACAUUAUCAAUGGUACUCUAGUGAAAGUUAAGGCAGAAGAAACCUUAUCCACGAUAAGGAAUGUGUCGGUCCCUUAUAUUGAAGCAGAAGAUUGCAAAGAUGGAAAUCUCCAUGCUUUCGAGAUUGUGAACACUGAAUGGGUACCAGAGAAUACAUGGUGUUAAGAAGACCAAUUAUUUCUGAUACUGCCAGAAUGAUAGCUAAAUACCUUUUGAAAUAUGGGCUACCAUUCUAGAAUGAUCCAAUUGCUGGAAAUCUUAAGAGAGUCAACAUAAUGAAAAUUAAGGCUGCUGAUCAGAAUUUUGGGCUUGGCUUCAAGCCUAAGAAAGAGGAUUGUUGCUACCCAAUUUUUGACCCAUGUUUUGAUAAAUUUUCAAAAAAAAAAAAAUAAUAAAAAAAUAAGGGUUUACAUGUGGCGAUAACAUAGAGCAUCAGGGCUAAUAUUAAGGGAGCAAUAUGUUUAGGAGAUAAUUACUGAAUCAUAUAUAAUUACUGCAAUAUAAAAUACCAUAGAUAUAUGAUUUGAUUUGUGCUUGUUAGGGAAAAUAAUCACUGCAAUAUAAAAUACCAUAUAUAUGGGAUUUGUUGGUGCUGAUUAUAGAAGACAAUCUCUGCAAUAAGUAUUGCAAUAUUUCCUUAAAUAACACGUGUAGAGAUUUUCUGUAUAAAUGAACAUCCAGUCAUAAUAAAAGAGAGGAGGAGAAAAUUUAGAAGGGGAGCAAUUUUAAAAAACAAAAAAAAAGGGGCAAGCCACAAAAGAGAAAACCUAUUUUUUUUCCUCCUGGCCGAAGCCAAGCCGUGCCUCCACCUUUGGCCUUGCGAUUUUGUUUUUUUUUUUACACAGAGACCAACCCCUCUCCCUUGGAAACCGACCAAAACCAGAUCCCCCUUAGCUGCCACUUUCUCCCCUUGGCCAUUUCAUUUUCCCUCUUCAGCCGACCAUUAGAGCAGCAGCCCCUCUCCUUUUGCAACCAAAACCAAAUCUCCUCCCUCACUUCUUCUUCUUCUCCCAGACCCACAGACACUCGGACACAAGCCUCUUUUCCCCUGUCUCAGCCGACUUAGAGCAUCCGGCCACCACCUCCUCAUCUCUCUCUAUCAGUUGCAGCCCCUUCGCUAGACCUUAAUACCCCAGCCUGCAACCACCGUAAACACCAUUUACAAGCCUUCCCUCUCUGUCAACACAGCCCACAUAGCCCCCAGAAACGACUCUCCACUCAUCUUUUUUUUUCCCCUCAGUUCAACCCCGCUUGAUAACAUUCACUACCAGAAAAUCGCUAAAUACCAACGGACAUACCGACGGAAUUUUUUCUGUCGGUAUUUUUCGGCCGAAAUCACCGACGGACAAUAUUCGUCGGUAAUUCAGUCGGUCAUUACCGACGAACUCCGUCCGUCGGUAAUUACCGACCGAAUUACCGACCGAAAAUUCAGAAUUAAUGAAAAAAGGGCGGGCAGUGGCGCGGAGGUUUUGGCGGGUGAUGUUUCCGACGGAAUCACCGACGGAAUUAAAAACUGGGGCCCGUACGCGUGAUGGGACCUAUUCACCGUCAAAAAAUACCGACGGAAUCACCGACGGAUUUGAAAUGCCAGAUCCGUACCGGUGAUGUGACGGGUGCACCGUUAAAAAUACCGACGGAAUCACCGAGGGAUUUGAAUAGCAGGUCCGUGCGGUGACGUGUCGAUUGCCCGUUAGAAUUACCGACGGUUUGCCGACGGAUUCACCGACGGAAUCCGUCGGUAAGUCCGUCGGCAAAAGUGAAUAUAUGGCACUCUGCCGACACUCUCCUCCCCCAUUUCUCCUUCUUCUUCCUAAUCCUAACCCUCCCCAUCUGCAAAAUAACCAGCCCCCCCUCGCCCCAAAACAAAAAUUUCCUCAUCUCAGCACAACAAGUUGUUUUGUUUUGUGGUCACAGCAUCCGUGUUCUGAUUUACCGACGGAUUUUAUCAUUUUUUGUAAGUAAUUCUAUCUUUUAAAAUUUUAACAUUUAAAUGUCAAUUUUAUUGUUUUUUUAGUAUAUGUAUUAUUUUUUUUUAGUAGAUGUACAUGUUUUAUUGUUAUUUCUCAAACAAACUUGUAGUAUAUGAAUGUAUAAUUUUAUACUUGUUAUGGUUUGUUUUAGAUUUUGUAAGAUUGUAUUUGUUUGAAAAUUGUUAAAACUUAAUUUGUAGAAUUACCGAAUUACAUGUUAUGUUUUGAAAUAAUUAAGAGCUUGCUUAAUUAAUGGGUCCUUUUUAUAGAGGUUCGAUAGAAGUCAUGGAUGAUCGUUCAUGGAUGUAUCUAGAUUCACCCCAAGGAUUGCGGAGGAUGGAUUAUUGUAACGGGGUUCAGGGUUUUAUUAAUUUCGCAACAUCUAUUCCCAGAAAUUUUACUGGAGGCGGUAUUAGGUGUCCAUGCAGGAAGUGUCAAAAUAAAAAGUAUCUGCAUCCAGAUGUUGUAAUGAUGCAUCUUCUACACAAAGGGUUUGUGGAGGAUUACGAGUGUUGGUAUGCACAUGGAGAGGUAUUUGUUAGUAAUAGGAGAAUGGGAGAAACGGUGGUUGGGUCAACUUCUAGUGCUAGCAACGUGCAUGAAGCGGCAAAUGACAACACUAAUCCUUACAGAAACAUGGUUAUGGAUGCAAUGAGAAUGAAUCAAGAUAAUGUCAAUCAAUGUCCAAUCGUAGAAGAAGAACCUAAUGCAGAGGCAGCUAGGUUUUUUGAUUUGUUGAAAGAUUCUGACGAACCAUUAUGGGAUGGCUGCACAAACCACAGUAAAUUAUCGGCUGUGGCACAGGUGUUCACCAUCAAGUCAGAUCACGGGUUGAGUGAGGCCGGGUAUGACAAAAUUAUUGAUUGGGCAAGAAGCAUUUUACCAGAAGGGAACAGGCUCAAAGAGAACUUCUAUGCUGCGAAGUCCAUGAUGAAACCCCUCGGUUUAGGAUACCAGAAAAUUGACAUGUGCCCUAACUUCUGCAUGUUAUACUACCUUGAAAAUGCUGUGAUGACCGAGUGCAUGACAUGCGGGCAUUCCCGUUACAAACCCAGAACUGGCAGGGGGAAGACUCUAGUGGCAUAUAAAAAACUUAGAUAUUUCCCGAUCACACCUAGACUGCAGAGGUUAUUUAUGUCACCAAGGACUGCUGAGCACAUGACAUGGCACCAAACACACGAUGUCGUUGAUGGUGUGAUGGUGCAUCCUUCUGACGGCGAAGCGUGGAAACGCUUUAACAGUGUUCAUCCUGACUUUUCUGCUGAAUCAAGGAAUGUUCGACUUGGGUUGUGUACAGACGGGUUCAACCCAUUUGGGUCAUUUGCUGCUCCCUAUUCUUGUUGGCCGGUCAUUCUCACAGUUUAUAACUUGCCACCGGGAAUGUGUAUGAGGCCGGAGUUCAUGUUUCUAUCUACUGUCAUACCCGGUCCAAGCAGCCCGGGGCGGAAUAUAGAUGUUUGUCUUCGACCGUUGAUAGAUGAGCUGGCGCAGUUGUGGUCCUCCGGAUCUCUGACUUAUGAUAUAUCGAGGAAACAAAAUUUCCUUAUGAGGGCGGCUUUGAUGUGGACUAUCAGUGAUUUUCCAGCUUAUGGAAUGCUUUCUGGUUGGAGCACGCAUGGGAAACUCGCAUGUCCAUACUGCAUGGAAAACAACAAGGCAUUCACGCUAGCAAACGGAGGUAAAGCUUCUUUUUUUACUGUCACCGUCGCUUCUUGCCACUUAAUCACAGGUUCAGAAAGAACAGAAAAGAUUUCUUUGUUGGUAGAGUUGAAAAAGAUGUUGCAUCCCCGCGUCUUUCUGGUGAAGAAUUGCAUCAUGUUGUAUCAGAGUACGGUGACAUUGUGUUUGGCCUUCAAUCAGGUAAGCAAAAGUUUCCUGGUUUUGGUUUGACCCAUAAUUGGGUAAAGCGAAGUAUCUUUUGGGAGCUUCCGUAUUGGAAGACUAAUCUUCUCCGCCAUAACCUUGACGUCAUGCACAUCGAAAAGAACGUGUUUGAGAAUAUUUUCAACACCGUCAUGGAUGUGAAGGGGAAGACAAAGGACAACAUGAAGGCUAGAUUGGAUAUAGCUUUAUACUGUAACCGUAAAAAUAUGGAGUUGGUUUAUGACGAGUCACGGGUUGCAAAACCAAGGGCAAGCUUCGUGUUAGAGAAAAACGCACAACUGCUAGUCUACAAAUGGCUUAAGAGUCUGCGUUUCCCGGAUGGACAUGCAUCGAACAUAUCAAGGCUUGUUAACAUAGAGGACUGCAGAUUGUAUGGAAUGAAGAGCCAUGACUGCCACGUGUUUAUGCAAACACUCAUCCCAUUAGCUUUUCGUGAUUUGUUGCCAAAGGGAAUAUGGGAUGCACUAACGGAGAUCAGUCAUUUCUUCAGAGAUAUAUGCUCCAGCAAGAUGAAUGUUGAGCACAUUGAGAUGCUUCAAACGAAUAUCAUCGAGACACUAUGCAAACUUGAGAUGAUAUUCCCUCCUUCAUUUUUUGACUCAAUGGAGCAUCUCCCUAUACAUCUACCGUUCGAGGCAAAAGCUGGAGGACCGGUCCAGUAUAGAUGGAUGUACCCAUUCGAACGGUGAGAUAUUACAGUUGCAAUGGAAUUCAUAUCUUAAAGUAUUUUCUAUGUUUUUCUUAUUUGAAAAUACUUGAAUUGUACUUCAAUGCAGGUACUUGUUUAAUCUAAAAAAAAAGGUUAAGAACAAGGCGCAUGUUGAGGCUUCGAUAUCUGAGGCCUAUAUUGUUGAAGAGAUAUCAACAUUUAUCUCGUACUAUUUCGAACCUCAUCUGAGAACAAGAAUCAAUCGCGUUCCACGGCAUGACGAUGGCGGUGAAGUGCCUUCCAGUGGGAACUUGUCAAUAUUCUCCAAUACUGGACGACCCACACCUAAAAAUGCCGUAAGAGGAAGAUAUUUGUCGGAAAUAGAAUUCAAACAAGCACACAACUAUGUUCUAUUUAACUGUGAUGAGCUGAGACCAUUUAUUCAGUAAGUCUAUAUAUGUGUAAUAGUAAUUAAACUUUGUCAGUAAUAUACUGUUAAUUAUAUAUUGUAAUAUCAUACACUCAUUAUCACUUGCAGGCAACAUCGACAAUAUUUGCUCUCCAAUAACUCGCAGCUGACCGAAUCCCAGAUCUUUCAAUUACAAGAUGAACAAUUUGCCACAUGGUUCAGAACACAUGUAAGCACUAUCACAAACUCAUUCUAACGUAUGCAUGUCAUUACGAGAUUCUCGUUCAUUUACCGUGUAUUGAUGUACAUUUAAUUACAUAUAUUUACAAGGUUUAUCAAAUGGGAAGGAGUGCGCCCAAGUCAUUGUCUUCACUAAGCCUCGGCCCUGAAAGAAAAGUUAAGUGCUACAACGGGUAUUUUGUCAAUGGAUAUGUUUUCCAUACUGAAGAAUACGGGCAAGGAAGAAAGACAUACAACUGCGGUGUUUGUGUUAAGGGAUCCACAAGUAGCCAGUUAGAAGUUGACUACUAUGGUAGAUUAGAAGAGGUCGUCGAACUGCAAUAUCAUAGCGAGCAGAAUAAAGUGUUUUUAUUCAAAUGCUAUUGGUAUGACACGACGGACAGAGGAAUCAGAGUUGAUCCGCACCAUGGUCUGGUCGAAAUCAACUCAAAAGCUAGACUCCGCAACAUAAACGAUGUCUUUGUUUUCGCAAAGCAAUGUCAACAAGUUUAUUACACAUACACCCCUUCAUUUAGAAAGGAUCGUUCAAGAGUUGAUUGGUUGUCCGUUUUAAAAACGAAACCACGGGGUCGUGUCGAGGUUGUUCAGGAUGAGAACGAAGACACAAGUGUGCGAGAUGAAGUCUUUCAAGUUCGUGAGUUGGUUGAACCAUAUCGAGUUGCUCCUUCGAUUGAAUUGGAAGAAAAUUCAAAUUUUCGAGUUCUCGAUGAUAGUCUUGUUGAUAUUGACGGAGAGGAGUUGAAUGUUGUUCUCAGCUCUAGCGGACAAGCAAAUGUCGAUGAAGAAGAUGAUAUCCAUAUUGAAGAUUGCGAUGAAGAUGAUGACAAUUCAAUUGAGGAAGAAGAAGAAAAUUCCGACUAAUUAUGAAAAUGAAGCCCUAUGUAAAAACAUUUGUCUCAUGUAAUUUAGAUUAUUGAUGAUGUAUUUUGUAAAACAAAAUAUUUUGUUUAAGCAAUGUGGUUUUGUUUUAUGUGAUGGACAGUUUAUCAGUUAAGUUUUGCAGGAAGGUAAACAGGCAAUACAAAGACAACCUUUCCUGCAUAAUGCAAUACCGACGUCCAUGCCGACGGACUCACCGUCCGUCGGUAUCUCACAGAGAGUUCGAAAAUAUUUACAACAAAAUGCCACAAUGACCGACGGCCAUGCCGACGGAAUAACAUCCGUCGGCAUCUCACAGUAAGCUCGAAAACAUAAAACCACCAUCGACGGUAUUACCGACGGCGUAGCUCCGUCGGUAAUUUGUCGGUUACCCAUUUUACCGACAGAAUUACCGACGGACCGCGCGUUUCCCAAAGUGCGUUAAUUAAUGCGCCCCUGAACUUGUCAGAUUACCGACGGAAUCACCGACGGACUUCGAAAAUUUUGGAGGGCUUUUAAAAAUUCGGGGCGAAAUUCGAAAAAUACCGACGGAAUUUUGACCUUUUACCGACGGAUUUGUAACCUGUUACCGACGGAUGUUAAUUCCGUCGGGGAGUCCGUCUGUAAAAUUGACCUAUAAGUUCCACCCCCGCCACUUCGCCUCAUUUUUUCUUCUUCUCCCCGCCGCUUCUUCUCUUCUCCUGCGUUUUUCAGCCUAGAUUUUUCAUUUUUUCCCCCUCAAUCCUUAAACACUUUCACCUUUAAUCUCUAGCAAGAUUUGGUGUUGUAAAUCUUCAUUAUAUUAAAAGGUAUGUGUUUUUUUUCUAAUUUAUUUUAUUUUAUUUUUAGUUGUUUUUAUUUUUGUUGUGUUGGUGUUUUUUGUUGCAAUGUAGAUAAAGUUUUGAAUUUGACACAUUAUUAAGGUAUGUAUAUUUCGUUCCUUUUUUUUUUGAAUAUUUUUUGAAUUUGUUGAAUAUUUGUUAAUUUAAUUGUUGAAUAAUUGAAUUUAAUUGUUGAAUUUCUUGAAUAUUUUUUGUUGUUGUGUUGUUAGAAUUUUUAUUAGGUAAUUUAACUUAGAAUUAGUUAAAGUUGAAUUUUUUGAAUAUUUUUUGAAUUUUUUGAAUUUGUUGAAUAUUUGUUAAUUUAAUUGUUGAAUAAUUGAAUUUAAUUGUUGGAUUUAUUGAAUAUUUUUUGUUGUUGUGUUGUUAGAAUUGUUAUUAGUUAAUUUAACUUAGAAUUAGUUAAAGUUGAAUUUUUUGAAUAUUUUUUGAAUUUGUUGAAUAUUUGUUAAUUUAAUUGUUGAAUAAUUGAAUUUAAUUGUUGGAUUUAAUUGAAUAUUUUUUGUUGUUGUGUUGUUAGAAAUGUUAUUAGGUAAUUUAACUUAGAAUUAGUUAAAGUUGAAUUUUUUGAAUAUUUUUUGAAUUUGUUGAAUAUUUGUUAAUUUAAUUGUUGAAUAAUUGAAUUUAAUUGUUGGAUUUAUUGAAUAUUUUUUGUUGUUGUGUUGUUAGAAUUGUUAUUAGGUAAUUUAACUUAGAAUUAGUUAAAGUUGAAUUUUUUGAAUAUUUUUUGAAUUUGUUGAAUAUUUGUUAAUUUAAUUGUUGAUAAUGAAUUUAAUUGUUGGAUUUAUUGAAUAUUUUUUGUUGUUGUGUUGUUAGAAUUGUUAUUAGGUAAUUUAACUUAGAAUUAGUUAAAGUUGAAUUUUUUGAAUAUUUUUUGAAUUUGUUGAAUUUGUUAAUUUAAUUGUUGAAUAAUUGAAUUUAAUUGUUGGAUUUAUUGAAUAUUUUUUUUGUUUGUGUUGUUAGAAUUGUUAUUAGUUAAUUUAACUUAGAAUUAGUUAAAGUUGAAUUUUUGAAUUUUUUGAAUUUUUUGAAUUUGUUGAAUUGUAAUUGUUAAUUUGUUGAAGUAUAAUUUGUUGAAUUUAUUGAAUUUAUUUUUUGUUAUAUUUUUUAUUGUUUUGAAUAUAAUUAUUGAUUAAUUUGUGAAUUGUAAUUGUUAACGUUGAAUUUAUCUUAGGAUUAAUAGUUGAAUAUGUUGGAAUAAUUAGUAUAGAUUGGUUCGAUUGGUUGUGGCUAUUGUUAAUAUUUGCAGGUUUGUGGAUUUGGGUAGUAUCUUUUUUAACUUUUGAAUUUUAUUUUACAAUUAUUAAUAUAAAAUUGUUUAGAUGCGCAAAAUGAAAACCAGAGCUGGUCGUCAAGUCGAAUCAAGUUCGUCUAGCAGCGAUGAUGAUGUUUCCUUAGGUGCCUCUCAAAAAGAGGCACCUACACCACCUGCGCCGUCAACCGAUGCUGCCUCUUCCAGCAAUGUUUCACAUCGCAGACGCGGCAUGCCUUCGUAGCGGAAUCAAUUUACCCGCCAGUUCGAGGCACAGUGGAAGGACGAUCUUUCAAUGUAAGUUUGUUAAUGUUUUAGUUUUUUUUAUAUAAAAAAAACAAAUUUAAAACAUAAUUUAUGAAGUAAUCACAAAUUAAUUUCAUUUCUUUUCAGGUUCACAAACAUUGAGGCCGCCCGAUUAAUAUCAUCGGCGUUUAAAGCGUCGAUGGAGAUUCCAUUGUUUCAAUGGAGUCAGAUAUCCAGACAUCCUGAAUGGAUGCCUCAAAUCAAUGCAUGGUUUCGUAGAUUUGAGGUUCGUGUUAAUAUAUAAUUUUCAGCUUAUUUGUAAUUAUAAAUUCAUGUUAUAAUUGUAAAUAAAUUAUUAACAUUUUAAAAAAUUAUUUUUUUAUAUACAGCAUCGAUUCUGCUGGGACGAUGAACAUGACAGUGUUGUGAGGAGGGUGUGGGAAAAUCACGCGGCAAUUAGGUAACAUCGAAAACAAUACGACUUUUUUUUACAUAAUUAUUUAUGUUUUGAAAUGUAAUUUUUUCGUGCGUGAAUUAGGUUGCGUGAUUUUUGGUAUGACGCCCAGAAAAAAGCAAAAAAAACAGCGAGGGAUAAGGGGUUACAAGGCUGGAACGAUGUUGCGGUUUGGAGGGAUUUCAAACCAAUAUACAUCCCGGAAGAUAUAUGGCCGCACUAUCUUCAGCACGUGACGUCUGAGCGGUUCACUCGACGCUCACAGUCCGGUGCCGGCAACCGGAAUCGGCAAAUUCAUGGCUCGGUUACAACGCACACCGGCGGCUCCGUUCCGUUUGCUGCACAUGCAAAACGGAUGGUAAGAUUAAUUUAAAUGAAAUAUAUCGUUCAAUUAAUUUGUUGUUAAUACAUUUUUUUCAUUAUAUAUAGGCUACGUCUCUUGGACGUGAGCCGAGCCCUAUGGAGCUGUUUGUGGAGACGCACGUGCGGAGUCAUGACCGCCAAAAGGGGACGCAACAGUUCGUUGACAACCGUGCUCAAUAGUUUGUGGUGUGUUUGUUUAACCAUUUUAUUUUGUAAGUUAUUAUUAUGUUUAUUGAAUUGAAUAUGUUUUUUUUUUUUUCAGGAGACCUAUAAUAAUCGGUUGAGGGAGAGAUACGGGGAUGAUCCUUCGACCCAUCCGGAAUUCGAUCCGGAUUUGUGGAUGGAGGCUGGAUCGUCAGGUGGACCCGAUAAAAAUCGGGUUUACGGGCUCUCCAACACUACCGCUGCCAAGUUGCGGUCGACCGGUACUGCUUCAACCGGUGGGAGCUCCCAAUCUGUAUCGAGCUCCCAAUCUAAGGAGUUUGUGGCCUUGCAGCAAAGGUGCGACCACCUAUCAGAGGCGUACACACAACUCAAAGAAGAGCAAAGAUUGGAACGAACAACGCAGAGCAGAGUCUGAACAACAAAGAGCGGCCUAUGAAGAGCUUCGUCAAAUGGUCAUGAACAUGACACAAGCGGAACAUGUGCGCCUAAUCCUUUUUGGCCGCCUAACCCCCACCCUCCUCCUCCUCCUCCUCCUCCUCCUCCUCCACCUUUAUAUUAAUUGUUUUUUUUUUAAACACAUUCAUUUUGUAAUGAAUAUUAUUUAACUUUGAGUUUUUGUUGCUUAAUAUAAUUUUAUUUGCAUAAUUGGUUUGUAUUACUAUUAAUUUAUAUUAUUUUUUCUAAUAAUUAAAAAAAAAAAUUACACAGGGAUUUACCGACGGAAUAAAUCCGUCGGCAUUGGACAGUGUCUGAGGUAUGCCAUCCCAUCACCGACAUACUCACCGACGGAAAUAAUCCGUCGGUAUAAAAAUACCGACGAAUUUACAGACGGAUUUAUUCGGUCGGUAUGAAAUAUCACCGACACUUUUGCCGACGGAGUUAGUCCGUCGGUAUUUACAUAACACCGACGGAAUGUAUUCCGUCGGUUAUUCCAAGCGGGAAACUUUUUUUUUGGCGCGCACAGGCCGUCGGUAAAACCGUCGGUAAAUGUGUUUUUUUUUAUUACCGAUGGAUAUAGCGACGGAAUGUGGAAUCACCGACAAAAGGUAUUCCGACAGGAGUAUUCCGUCGGUAAUAUAGUCGGUAAAUAAUUUACCGACGAACGUUCUGUCAAACACCGACGGAAAAUUUCCGUCGGUAAAACUGUGAAAUCUUGUAGUGGAAUCUCUGAAAUACCAGUUAGGUUUCUUAGUGACCAAAAUACUAGGUGGUGACUCCAAAGAACCAAAUCAAGCAAAAACGCAUAACGAGAAAAAUCGCCAUCGGAAGCCGCGCGGGUGACGUGCUUGUUUGAUCAAAAUUUAAUCAACAAUGCUUGUUUGAUCAUGAUAUUGUGUUGUUUUCCUUUUUCAACUUUUUAAAUCGAGGUUCCAAAUGUCAAUGGGAUUUUAUCUUUUUUUUUUUAGCCAAACUUUUCCCUUUAAUGAGAUCAUGCCUUUUCAAAAGUUCAUCUUGGUGGUUUUACACAUCACUUUCUUUUUCAAAGCGAAUCUUCCAUAACUACACCUGCACUUUACACUGAGAAUGAAUGGCCGGACUUUAAAGAAUCCAUAUUAGUUAUAGAGGAGGAGGAAUGAUAGGAAAAUAACAUUAGGGGAUUCACAAAAAUUAAUAACAUGAACAAGCUUGAAAACCUGCUAGAGAGGAGCUUGAAACCAUAGAUGUGGGUGAUGAAGAAAUCAAGAGAGAGUUGAAGAUACGGACUUUGAUCACCCUUAAAAAAAGAGAAGAGUUAUGUAGAUGUUUUUGCUUGGUCCUAUAAGGAUAUGCCUGGUUUGUAUAGGGUACCACUAGUAGAAGGAUGGAAGUUGGUUAAGCAAAGGUUGAGAAGGACUAAUCCGAAUAAAGGCAGAAAUUGAAAAACAGUGGAACGCCGAUUUUCUAGAAGUAGUCAAGUAUCUGCGAGUGUGUCCAACAUAGUGGUAGUAUCUAAAAAGGAAGAUAAAAUCAGAGUUUUUAUGGACUUUAGAGAUUUAAAUCGGACUAGCCCUAAAGACAAUUUUGUCUACCACACAUAGAUAUGUUUGACAAUGUAGCACGUAGCUCCACAUAUUCCUUUAUGGAUGGAUUUUUGGGCUACAAUCAGAUAAAAAUGACUUGAGGAUAAUGAGAAGAAACCUUUGUAACACCAUGAGGAACCUUUUACUAUAAAGUCAUGCCAUUUGGGUUAAAGAACAUUGGGGCCACCUACCAAAGGGCCAUGGUAACUUUAUUACACAACAUGAUGCAAAAAGAGGGUUAAAGUAAACGUGGAUGACAUGAUCUAGAGAGGGAGAGAAUCAUGUCCAAAUAUUGAAGGAAUUAUUUGAAAAAACUAAGGAGGUACAAAGUUGAGGCUUAACCAUGCAAGGUGUUUAUUCGGGGUGAAAUCUAGGAAGUUGGGAUUUAUGAUGAGUGACAAAUGGAUAGAAGUGGACCUUGAUUAAGUAAAGGCUAUUCAAUCUAUGCCAACUCCCAAUACUAAGAAGGAUGUAAGGAGGUUAUUGGGAAGGUUGAAUUACAUUGCUCGGUUUAUAUCCCAAUUAACCAUGACUUAUGACAUCAUCUUCAAUUGUUAAGGAAGAAGAAUCUUGGAAUUUGGAAUAAGAGUGUGAAGAAGCUUUCGCAAAAAUCAAGCAAUACCUACCGAAUCCACCCCUAUCUAUCAAGCUAAAUUGCAAAAUGGCAAGUUCUACUAGCUGAGUACGACAUAGUAUAAAUGACAAGGAAAGCCAUGAAUGUCAUCACCAAUCACCUAGCUGACCAUGCUGUGGAAGAUUUUGAGCCGUUAAAAUUUGAUUUUUCUGAUAAAGAUGUGCUUUCAGUUGAGGAAGGGAAAUCAGAUUGGUGGAUUAUGUACUUUGAUGGUGUUGUGGUAACGAAGUGGGGGCAGUGCUAAUCUCUCUUGAUAAGAAACAUUAUCCGGUUUCAGUUAAGUCGCAGUUUGGGUGCAAUAAUAACAUAGGAGUAUGAAGCUUGCAUUCUCAUUUUAGAGGUGGCAUUGGAGCAGAAUAUUAGAAAGAUAGAUAUGUAUGGAGACUCGAUUUUGAUUAUUACUAAGAGAAAGGAAAAUGGCAAACCAAGGAUGAGAAGUUAAGACCUUACUAAGAAUACAUGUCUAAAUUGGCUAGAGAAUUUAAGGAAAUAAAGUUCACCCAUCUAGAAAAGGAAAGAAACCAUUCUAACGCUUUGGUCACGCCAGCUUCUAUGGCUAGAAUAGACUUUGGGCACAAGGUACAACCGGUACACAUUGAUAUAAGAAAUAACUUAGCUCAUUGUUGCUCCGUUGAAAGAGAAAUAGAUGGAAACCCUUGGUACUAUGAUAUCAAGAAUUUCAUCCAAAACCAGACAUAUCCCAUGGGGGCAUCCAAAAUCAACAAGAAGACUUUGAGGAGAUUGACAAUGGAUUUUUAUCUUGGUGGGGAAACUUUGUAUAAGAAAUCAUAUGACGGAACUUUGUUGAGAUAUUUGGAUGACGUAGAGGCAAAAGGUGUUAAAGAAAUUUAUGGAAAGAGAUUUGAUAUGUCGAUAUGGUCCACUAGAAAAUAUUAUAACUAAUAAUGCGCAUAACUUCAAUAGCAAGAUGAUAAUAGAACUCUGCGCUAAAUGAAAAAUUAAGCAUUCCAAUUCCUCGCCAUAUAGGCCAAAGAUGAAUGGUCCAAAAAUGUCAAGAAGAUCAUUUAGAAGAUGGUAGUCACUUACAAGGAUUGGCAUGAGAUGUUGCCAUUUGCCCUUCACGCAUACCGCACCAUAAUCUGAACUUCAACAGGAGCCACCUCGUACACUUUGGUAUAUGGAAUGGAGGCGGUGAUGCCUUUAGAAGUGAAAACCCCCUUAUUAAAAAUAUUGGUAGACUUUGAGUUUAAAAGAGUUGGACUGGGUAAAAGUUAGAUAUGAAUAGUUGAAUCUGAUCAGUGAAAAGAGGAUAGCUGCAAUUUGUCAUCAUCACGGAUGGCCAAAUCAUAUGAUAAGAAGCUUCGACCUCGAGGAUUCCAUAAAGGAGAUCUUGUACUGAAGAAAAUAUAGCCUUUAUCAGGAGAAGAUCAGAGUAAAUGGGAAGCAAACAAUAAGGGCCCUUACAUGGUGAUUAGUACUUAAAAGUGCAUAUUUAUCAAGGUUUUGUAUCAUCAUUUUGCACUUAAAGUAUCAAUAACUCCUUAAUUAAAGCAUGUUUUAUAAUAACAAGUCUAAUACUAUAAAAUGCCCUAAUAUAUGGUAAAUGUUCAUCUUAAAUGCAGGCUUAUCACAUAAAUCAAAGGAUUGAUUGAUGAAUUCAACUACUGAAAUUUUGAAGAUAAAGAAGAGUGAAGCUUAGAAAAGAGAUAUUGGUGUAGUCCAAACUGGAACACUAUUCGGUAUUUGGGUCAUAUCUCGAGUUCUAGAUGUAAAAAUGAUCUCAAAUUUUUACAAAACCUUGGUGAGACAUAGGCCUACAACUUUCAUGUGAACAUAAAAAUCUAACAAGGCCGUUUUCAAGUCCAAAUCAAAGCAACAACGGAGAAGUCCGAAUCUGUCCUGUAGCCCGUACACUGUUCAGUGUUUGGCCCAUAUCUGGAGUUCUAGAAGUCCAAAUUACCUCUACUUUUUUUUCCUGGAAAGCUGUGUCAAUUUUCUACAACUUUCAUGUUUUCCAGUGGACCCAGUUCGGAUGGUAGCAUUUUUGUUUUAUUUAGAAAAGAAGAUAAGGAUUUUCACCAAGUCAAAAGUUGGCACCCACUCAACAAUUAGUCAUCAAAUCAAUAAUUCCGAAUUUUGGCCUAUAAAAGGAGGCAUUUGCCAUGUAUUUGGUGGCUUGGUUGUUCAGAUCAAGCUCAUGCUCUUUAUUUCUCUCUUUAUAUUUUUUUUUGUAAUUCUUAAGUUUUGUUUUCAUUAAUUUCUUGUUUAUGCUUUUCAUUUCCUUUCCUUUCCUUUCCUUAGUUAACUUGUAUCUUAUUUAUGUUCUUGUUUUGUUUAUUUAUGUUUCUCUUCUUCAUUAUGUUUAGCUAAGUUUAUUAUGUCAAGGUGAAAAGGUUACACUAAUGGUGUAAGAACAAGUAUGGUGUAAACUCAAUAUGGAUCUUAAUGUUUAAUAUUAACAUGUCUUAUCUUUUUAUCUUACUAAUUCUUAAUACCUUGCUUGUUAAAUGGUUAAUCUAGAUUUGUGUUGUAUAACAUUUGAUACAUCAAAUGCUUGGCACUCUCAUAGCCCAACAGUAUGGUAUUACCUACACCUGGGCUAUGAAAAUAACUUGAUUUGUUGUUAACAUCAGUUAAUAUCAUGAAUUCCUGACAAUAUUUAAAAGUUUGGUGUUAUGUAAUUAAGAUAAUUAAUAUGAUCAUGUUAAUAAUUUAUAAUGAGCUAUUAAUGAGAAAUCAUUCGAUUGGAACCUCCUUUGUGUGUGGUUUCCAGUUGAAUCAUAAGAGUUUAUACUAUACUUGUUUGAAAUACCAUUGGUGGAUUCUCUAACCUUGACAUUUGUUUUUAUCAUUGUUAAUCCUUACAUUAAUCUUUCAUCUCAAAGUUCUCAUUAAUUUCUUCAUCAUCUUCUUCUUCUUCUUUUAUUAUUAUUAUUAUUAUUAUUAUUACUACUACUACUACUACUACUAUUAUUAUUAUUUACAUUCUGUUUAUAUUAUAUAAUAUAUCUCUUUGAUCUUUUCAUAAACUUAGUAUAUAGGCUGGAAACCUGUGACCCGAUCUUUUAGAUCAUUCUCAGGUAUAACAACGCCACGUACUGAGUAUUAUUAUUAUUGUCAUUAUUAUUAUUAUUAUUAUUACUAUUACUAUUAUUAUUACUAUUACUAUUAUUGUUAUUAUUAUUGUUAUUAUUGUUAUUAUUGUUAUUAUUGUUGUUAUUAUUAUUGUUGUUGUUGUUGUUAUUGUUGUCUUGUUAUUUAUAAUUUAUACAAUUAACCUCUCUGUGGUUCGACCCCGGUCUUGCCGGGUUAUUUAUUACUUCGACACUCCUGCACUUAAGAGAAGACAUCAAUCUUUUGGUCGUGUCAAGUUUUUGGCGGCCAACUUUUGACUUGGUGAAAAUCCUUAUUUUCUUGUCUGAAUAAAACAAAAAUGCUACCAUCCGAACUGGGUCCUCUGGAAAACAUGAAAGUUGUAGGAAAUUGACUCAGAUUUCCAGGAAAAAAAAAAAACAUGGAGGUGAUUUGGACUUCUAGAACUCCAGAUAUGGGCCAAACACUGAACAGUGUUCAGGCUGCAGGACAGAUUCAGACUUCUCCGUUCUUGCUAUGAUUUGGACUUGAAAACGGCCUUGUUAGAUUUUUAUGUUCACAUGAAAGUUGUAGGCCUAUGUCUCACCAAAUUUGUGUAAACAUUUGAGGUCAUUUGGACAUCUAGAACUCGAGAUAUGACCCAAAUACCGAAUAGUGUUCCAGUUUGAACUGCACUAACAUCUCUUUUCUAAGUUUCACCCUCUCUUUAUCUUCACAAAUUUCAGUAGUUGAAUUCAUCAAUAAAUCCUUUGAUUUAUGUGAUAGGCCUGCAUUUAAGAUGAACAUUUACUAUAUAUUAGGGCAUUUUAUAGUAUUAGACUUGUUAUUAUAAAACAUGCUUUAGUUAAAGAGUUAUUGAUACUUUAAGUGCAAAAUGAUGAUAUAAAACCUUGAUAAAUAUGCACUUUUAAGUACUAAUCACCUAACCACACACAGAGUUUAGCUUUGGUUAAAGGGAAUCGCCAAAUGGGAUUUCAGGUUAACUAAGUUACACACCGACUUUGCUUUAGAUUAAAAGAGAUUGCCAGAUGAAAUCUCAGGUUAACCCAAUCAAAAGGGUAGGUUGCCCGUGAAAAUAGACCAGCGUGCGUAUGUGGGCAGGUCGCCAUUGAAAAUAGACUAGUUUUGAGUGUGUAUGAACAAGUCAUCUAUGAAAAUAGGCAAAAUUUUCUUUAAAAAGUGAAGUCCUUAAAUGAGUGGAUCACUCAGCAAUCAAAGAAGACUUUUUUUUUCCCUUUCUUCUUUACAAGCUUACUAUGCAAAACAUUAAGGAGUUUUGCUUCGUAAGCAUUGUAAAGAGGGGGCAUCUGUUGCUAUCCAAUUUUUGACCUAUGUUUUGAUAAAUUUUCAAAAAUAAAAAAAAUAAGGGUUUACAUGUGGCGAUAACAUAGAGCAUCAGGGCUAAUAUUAAGGGAGCAAUAUGUCAAGGAGAUAAUUACUGAAUCAUAUAUAAUUACUGCAAUAUAAAAUACCAUAGAUAUAUGAUUUGAUUCGUGCUUGUUAUGGAAAAUAAUUGGGAGAUUGAAGAAGCCCAGUUGUUUUCAAGAAGUAAUGAAUAAGCGUCUGCUUAUAUUUGCUUUUAUGUGCUUUGUGUGCUUUGCUUUGUGUUUUUGUACCUAGUUGAAAAUCUUGGCUCAAGAUGUCAACAUAAGGUCUUUUCAUAAUUAUUGAGUCAGCUUUUAAAAUAAUAUUGAGAUCCUGUAUUUUCUUCAACAAUUGUUAUCUUCUUUUGUUUUGUUUGGCUAUAAGAUACGCAUUUACACUAAAAACACCUUCUGCUUUCAGGAAUUCUGAAAGUGAAUCCUCCAUAAAUCCACAAACAUAUUGCAUUGAAAAUGAAUGGCCAAACUUUGAUAAAGAUGAGAUUGCAAUGGACGAAGAGGAAUGGAAUGAAGAUUAUAUGAAAGAGUUUCCUAGAUAGGUAGAACAGUCUGAGCAUGCUUGGAAACCUACAAAAGAAGAAUUAGAGGUGAUAAAUGUAGGCACCGAGCAAGAUAAAAGAGAGCUAAAGAUUGGAACUCUGAUUACUACAGAAGAAAGAUGCAGUUUAACCUCAUUACUACAAGAGUAUAUGGAUGUGUUUGCCUGGUCUUAUGCAGAUAUGCCUGGUUUAGACAUUGAUAUUGUAGUACACAGAGUGCCUUUGAUAGAAGGAUGUAAACCUGUCAAGCAGAAAUUGAGAAGAAUUCGCCCGGAUAUUCUACUCAAGGUCAAGGCAGAGAUAAAGAAGCAGUGGGAUGCUGGUUUUCUAGAAGUCAUUAAAUACCCUCAAUGGGUAUCGAACAUAGUGGUUGUACCAAAGAAGGACGACAAAAUCAGAGUAUGUGUAGACUUCAGGGAUCUAAACAAAGCUAGUCCAAAGGAUAAUUUUCCUUUGCCUCACAUAGAUGUCUUGGUAGACAAUGCUGCUAGAAGCUCAACUUAUUCCUUCAUGGAUGGAUUCUCCGGGUAUAACCAGAUUAAAAUGGCUGAAGAAGAUAAAGAGAAGACCACUUUUGUCACACCAUGGGGAACAUUUUGCUACAAAGUGAUGCCAUUCGGGUUAAAGAAUGCUGGAGCCACAUAUCAAAGGGCAAUGGUGACACUUUUUCAUGAUAUGAUACACAAAGAGAUUGAAGUGUAUGUGGAUGACAUGAUUGCCAAGUCUACGAAUGAAGAAGAUCACGUUCAGAUUCUAAGAAAAGUAUUUGAUAGACUAAGGAAGUAUCAUUGAAAUUGAAUCCUGCAAAUGCUCAUUUGGGGUGAAGUCUGGAAAGUUGCUAGGGUUUGUAAUAAGCAAUAAAGGAAUAGAGGUCGAUCCUGAUAAAGUGAAAGCAAUUCAAGCAAUGACAGCUCCUAAAACCGAAAAAGAAGUAUAUUGCACGAUUCAUAUCUCAGUUAACAGCAACAUGUGAGCCAAUUUUUCGAUUGCUUCGAAAAAAGAAUCUUGGUACUUGGGACAAAGAUUGUCAAUAAGUUUUUGAUAAAAUAAAGCAAUACUUACAGAAUACACCUUUAUUAGUGCCACCUGUGCCUGGAAGACCUUUGAUCUUGUAUUUGACAGUAACUGAGGAAGCAAUGGGUUGUGUGUUGGGACAACAUGAUGAGUCUGGAAGAAAGGAGCAAGCUAUCUAUUAUCUGAGUAAGAAGUUUACCGAUUGUGAAUCCAGAUAUACUAUGAUUGAGAAGCUAUGUUGUGCUCUUGUAUGGAGCACGAAGCGUCUUCGACAAUAUAUGUUGUAUUAUACCACUGGUUGAUCUCAAAAAUGGAUCCUCUUAAAUACAUCUUUGAGAAACCUUACUUGUCAAGUCGAAUAGCAAGGUGGCAAGUAAUGUUGGCCGAGUAUGACAUUGUAUACAAGACAAGAAAAUCCGUAAAAGGAAGUGUAAUUGCUGAUCAUUUGGCAGAUAAUGCUAUCAAAGAUUAUGAGCCUUUGAAAUUUGACUUCCCGGAUGAGGAUGUGUUGAUAGUAGAAGAAGACAAAGAGAAGAAUGAUUGGUGGAUUAUGUAUUUUGAUGGGGCAGUGAAUGUAUCUGGCAAUGGAGCAGGGGCUGUGAUAAUCUCACCUGACCAGAAGCAAUAUCCCAUCUCAAUCAAACUACAAUUUGAAUGUACCAACAAUACUGCUGAAUAUGAGGCUUGUAUCCUUGGGUUAGAAGCUGCUUUAGAGAUGAAAAUAAAGAAGCUUGAUGUCUAUGGGGAUUCAAUGUUAAUAAUCUGUCAAGUGAAAGGCGAAUGGCAGACCAAAGAAGAAAAAUUGAUCCAUAUCAACAAUAUCUCUCAAAACUAACUGAGGGCUUUGAUGAGAUAGAUUUACCCAUAUGGGAAGAGACAAAAACCAGUUUGCUGAUGCUUUGGCAACCUUAGCUUCUAUGGCCAAAAUUGAUUACGGAAUCAGGGUACAACCAAUCCCAUUGAGAUUAAAAAUUUUCCAGCUCAUUGUUGUUCACUUGAAGGAGAAAUAGAUGGGAACCCAUGGUUUUAUGACAUCAAGCGGUUUAUCCAAUAUCGAGAAUAUCCCUUGGGGGCAUCUAAAGCAGAUAUGAAGACCUUGAGAAGGUUAGCCAUGGAAUUUUACCUGGAUGGAGAAAUUCUAUAUAAAAGAUCAUUCAACAAAACUUUACUAAGAUGUCUAGAUGAAAUCGAAGCUAAGGUAGCAUUGCAAGAAAUUCAUGAAGGAAUUUGUUCAACUCAUGCAAGUGGGCACAUGAUGACUAGACAAAUGCAACGAUCUAGGUACUUCUGGAUGACCAUGGAGAAAGAUUACAUCGAUUAUGUCAGAAAAUGCCAUAAAUGUCAAGUGUAUAGUGAUAAGAUAAAUGCACCUCCAGCUCCUUUGUUUAAUAUGACAUCAUCAUGGCCAUUUGCAAUGUGAGGAAUAGAUAUGAUUGGUCCAAUCAACCCAAAGGCCAGCAAUAGGCAUCAAUUUAUCUUAGUAGCCAUUUAUUACUUCACAAAGUGGGUGGAGGCCAGCUCUUAUGCUCAUGUAACUCAAAAAGUGGUCAAGUGCUUCAUUGAGAAAGAUUUGAUAUGUCAGUACAGUUCACCUGAGAAGAUAGUGACCGACAACGCCUAAAAUUUGAAUGGAAAAAUAAUCAUAAAAUUAUGUGUGAAGUGGAAAAUUAAACAUUCAAACUCAUCUCCUUACAUACCAAAGAUGAAUGGUGCUGCCGAAGCUGCAAACAAGAAUAUCAAGAAGAUUAUCCAGAAGAUGAUAGUCACUUAUAAGGAUUGGCAUGAGAUGCUUCCUUUUGCUCUGCAUGCAUAUCGUACAGCAGUAAGGACAUCCAUUGGAGCUACACCUUACUCAUUAGUAUUUGGGAUAGAAGUAGUGAUGCCUUUGGAAGUAGAAAUUCCAUCUUUGAGGGUAAUAAUAGAAUCUAAACUAGAAGAAGCUGAAUGGGCUAAAGUGAGAUAUGAGCAGCUAAACAUGAUAAGUGAGAAAAGGUUGGCUGCAAUUUUCCAUCACCAGUUAUACCAAAGAAGGAUGGCCAAAGCAUAUGACCGGAAAGUCCGACCAAGAGAAUUCAAAGAAGGGGAUCUUGUACUAAGAAAAAUCUUACCAUUACCAAGUGAAGACCGAAGCAAGUGGGCACCAAACUAUGAAGGCCCAUAUGUAGUGAAGAAAGCAUUCUCCGGAGGAGCUCUGUUGUUAACUAGGAUGGAUGGAGAUGAUUUACCUAGGCCUGUGAACUCUGAUUCUGUGAAAAAGUAUUAUGUAUGAUGUGUUUCAUCCAAUCAAAUCAAUGAAGUUUUGGCCAGGAAAUUCUCUUUGCAUAUACCUCACCAAAAAGCCCAUGCAUGAUCUCAAUGGCUCAACAAUUUGAUCUUUCAAACUUUUUUACAGGAGAAUCCAUUCUUCUUAAAUGAGGUUUUAAAAGAACUGAUUUUGUUUGUGAUUUCAAUGAAAUAAAUCAAUGAUUUUGUUUGGAAUAAUGUUCAGAACAAUUCCCUUGAAAGAGAUGACCAAACAAGUCAAAAACAUGCAAUUGGAACAACUAUCACCCAAAUUAUGUCUUGGAUCCACAUUUUAUCAGCAUGAAUAAUGGUUGGUAGUACAUUAGUUUGUCAUGGACUCCAAAACAUGGUAUCUUACAAAUCCAAAGCAUUACGGGAUGUGGACAAAGUUUAUUGGUUUUAACUGAUCUUACUUGAAAUGAGGAAAGGCCAUCUUUGAUAUUCCUUUCACUUUCUUUAAAAUUAUCCUUUGCAGUCCCAAUUUGAGCCGAGUCUAUUUAAAGUUUUUUUCUUUCACAAGAACCUUAACUAAGAUCACACCCUACACUAGGGGGCAAAAAGAGAAAUAUGAUUAAGAAAUUGUCUUGAAGGCAUGUGAGCUUAUAAAGAAAGUCUGACAACAAAGAAUUCAAUAAAAUUCCAAACAAUUGAGAGAAUUCCUAACAAAUAUGGGAAUAACAAAAAAAAACAGAAGUUCCUCAUUUGGAAUAUUUAGCAUCAUUUUUGUUGUCAAGGUAGCAAAAAAAAUGCCAAGACAAGAUAAUAGUGAUCUAUAGUUUAUAAGCCCUUAAACACUUUUUUGAGCUUAUGGAAUACUCUUUCUUUUAUAGCCUUGAGCCAUAAAAUACAUUACGUGCCUUUGAAGUCCUUUCUAAUCAAGUAAGCAACCUGGAUCAAUAAACGGCGUUCUCAAAAUAUAAGAGACUUUUCCAUAAAGAGUCAUGGCGUAGCAAAUAAUUACUCGUUAUUAUUCAUGCUGUUAAAAAGAGUGUUUCUAAAAUAAAGGCAAAUUGUUUCUUUUCUCUCACCUUCAAGCAAUCGCUUGAACACUUUGAAAACCAAAGCAGAAGUCAUCUCAUCACUUACCUUCAUCUUAGAUUACUUUUACUAAGAGAUUUGACAUAAAGCCCAGAGUUGCCUGAACAUUGUUAUAAACAGACAUUGAGAGUUUCAGUUUUCGAGAACAAAACAGAUCUUUUGAAAAAUCAUUUUUGAAAAAAGGUUUUCUUUGUAAGAAAAAUGAAUAUAUGGCACACUACGGCACCAUUAGAAAAUCAGAGAUUCUAAUGACAAACAAGAGCAAAGGAGGAAAUGAAUGAGGCAGUUAAUUCUCCCAGGGGGUAGAGAAGCAGUUACCAGAUCCUUAAUGGCACAAAGAAAUUUGCUUCCCUAGUGGAAAAUACACAUGAUAAAACUGUGGACUUCUUCCAGCAUGAGGACUGAAAUAGUAUGAUUUGCAGUAUCUAUGAAAGGAGAUUGUUGACUCUCACAAUAUGAUCAGUUAGACAACAAGAUAACUGAUACAUCUUCAGUAAGAGAAAUGCAGAUGAAAUCCCAGGUGAAGCGGGAUAAUCCUCAUAUAUUGACCAUAUGAAUUGGUUAAAGAAUCUUCAAUAAUGGGAAUGUUGCCUAUAGAACAAUGUCGGGCCAGGGAGAAGCUAAUUCUUCAGUGAAGUUACCAAUAGAGAAAAGUGCAGUGACUGUUGGGAAACUCAAACAAAGCUUAUCUUAGAAAAUGAACAACAUGGGUCGGCUUGAGUAGAUUUGAAGUACGCGUAAUCAAAAGAGCUCACUAAAAAUCAAGAUCCUUAAACAAGAUGAACGGGGAUCUAUAUUUCAAAAACAGGUAAGAUGCACUGCAUAUCUUCUAACUUCAUGAGAAUUGCACAUUUGUUUUGCAGAUAUUUCACGAAACAAAAUUCCUAACGGGAUCCAACGAGAUUCAGAUGAAAUGAAGUUCUUCUAAAUCACAUCAAAUAUGACAAUGCCACAAAAGCAAAAUUCAUGAAUGUAGACAAGAAACAUGGAUUUUUAUUCAUGGAAAAAGGGUUUACAAGUACAAACGUUAAACACUGCGAGGACGAUUAGGGAUAUUUUCAUCUUGAUGAUUAAGCAUUACUCGAAAUUCCUCAAAUUGGUUAAUUAUGCGCUCCAUCCUUUCCUCGAACUCGAGGUGUCGUGUGUUAACAUAGUCCCUCCAAAAGUCAGCAAGUGCAUUGAGCUCUUGGUUUCUCCUCUCCAAUUCGUUUUUGUGACGUCUCUCAUCACAUAGUCUUUUCCUUAAAUUCUCAAUUUGAUUAUGGAGCUCAGGAAUUUGAGUAUUCAACUCAAGUUUUCUGGCAUGAAGACACUCCGCAACGUUCACCAAAGACGAAGUUGCUCUGAGACUGAGAGCAAGUGACUGAUUCACUACUUCAAUAUCGGUCCUGGCUGCCAGCAUCAUUUCAUCACGAGGAAGGGUCAUGUCUCUAGCCACGGCUAUAGCAAUAUCUUCGUUGUCCAUUACAGUAUCCGCUAUUGUAACUGGACGACCAUUCACUUCAAAGGUAGUACGCCAAACUACAGGCUCUACAGCAGGAACAAGGUCUGGAUUAGCAUUGGAAGAAGAGGAAGACAUGGUUAAAACUUCAAAAGUUAAGAACUUUGAAAUUAUUGAAAAUGGGAGAAGUUGAUGAUGUCUUUUGCCAAAUACUACGUGAUUUAUAAGGAAUUUGCUCCUACCAUCAUUUUGAAUAGAAGCUCAAAUCUUAGUAGUACAUAUAAGACUUUUUGAAGAAGCUUUCAUCAUUUCUGAGAUCGAUUUGCAAAUCAGAUCUCAGCCGUACAUAUAAGACUUCCUUAAGAAGCUUUCAUCAUCUUUGAGAUCGAUUUGCAAAUCAGAUCUCAGCCGUACAUAUAAGACUUUCUUGAGAAGCUUACAUCACCUUUGAGAUCAAUUUACAAAUCGGAUCUCCACCGUGCAAGUAUGACUUCCUUUAGAAGUUUUCAUUAACCCUGAAACCAAUGCUGAAAUCACUUUCAUGUAUUUCACAAAAUCAAUGCUGAAAUCACUUUCAUGUAUUUCACAAAAUCAAUGUUGAAAUCACUUUCAUGUAUUUCACAAACAGGUUGGUCACCUAGAAAAUAAGACCAAUGCUGAAAUCACUUUUAUGUAUUUCACAAAAAUAAUGUUGAAAUCACUUUCAUGCAUUUCACAAAUAGGUUGGUCACCUGGAAAAUAAGACCAAUGUUGAAAUCACUUUCAUGUAUUUCACAAGAACAAUGUUGAAAUCACUUUUAUGUAUUUCACAAACAGGUUGGUCACCUGGAAAAUAAGACCAUUGUUGAAAUCACUUUCAUGUAUUUCACAAAACCAUUGUUGAAAUCACUUUCAUGUAUUUCACAAACAGGUUGGUCACCUGGAAAAUAAGACCAAUGCUGAAAUUACUUUCACGUAUUUCACAAAAUUAAUGUUGAAAUCACUUUCAUGUAUUUCACAAACAGGCUGGUCACCUGGAAAAUAAGACCAAUGUUGAAAUCACUUUCAUGUAUUUCACAAAAUUAUUGCUGAAAUCACUUUCACGUAUUUCACAAACAGGUUGGUCACCUGAAAAAUAAGACCAAUGCUGAAAUCAUUUUCACGUAUUUCACAAAAUCAAUGUUGAAAUCACUUUCAUGUAUUUCACAAACAGGCUGGUCACCUGGAAAAUAAGACCAAUGUUGAAAUCACUUUCACGUAUUUCACAAAACCAUUGUUGAAAUCACUUUCAUGUAUUUCACAAAAUCAAUAUUGAAAACACUUUCAUGUUUUUCACUUGGGCAGGUCGCCUAGAAGAAUAGACCAACUGAAAAAUCUGUGUAUUUUUCAACACCUACAUCGUUUUUCUUUACAAAACUUACUAUGCAAAGUCAAAAGAAAAUGAAUUUUCCAAUGUCUUUGCACCGUAAGCAUUGUAAAGAGGGGGCAACUGUUGUAACCCAAUUUUUGAUUCACUAAGAUUUUCUUGAAUGUUAUUUUAUUUCUAUUAUUAUUCAUGAAAUAAAAAAAAUUUAAGAAAAAGUUUAAUAUUCAUUUUUCUCGAGUCAACCGCAUCUUUCCAUAAAAAAAACACCGAUUUCACAGGGUCAAUACAGGUCACACCAUGUCAAUCAGGGUAAAAAAAGAAUUUUCAUGACGUUUCGGGUCAAAACCGUCAUUUUUGGUCAAAACCAUCAUUUUUUAUCAAAAACCGAGUCCACCGGGUCAAUACGAGUCAAACCAUGUCGACCAAGGUAAAAAAUAAGUUUUCAUGACAUUUCGGGUCAAAACCGUCAUUUUUUAUCAAAACCGAGUCUACCGGGUCCAUACGGGUCAAACCAUAUCAAUCGGGGUGAAAAAUGAGUUUUCAUGACGUUUUGGGUCAAAACCAUCAUUUUUUUAUCAAAAUCGAGUCCCCCGGGUCAAUACGGGUCAAACCAUGUUGACCAGGGUAAAAAAUAAGUUUUCAUGACGUUUCGGGUCAAAACCAUCUUUUUGGUCAAACCCCUUAAAUGUUUUUUUUUUGUGUUCCAAUAUAAAUUUUUUUUUUUUUGCGGUUGGAACAGGUUUUUUCUAAGACUGAUUUAAGUUUUUUUGUUUUAUCUAUAUAAUUAUUUAUUAUUAUAUAUAAUAAAACAAAAUUAAUAAUACAUAAAUUUAUUAUAGUAGGUGGGUUAGUUGAUGCAGUGCAUUAUUUUCCUUCGAAAUAAAUUCAUUGUCCCCUGCUUAUUGGCUAUAAAUAGCCACGACAGAGGAAAAAAAAAAGAAAAAAGAAAGAAAGAAAGAAAAGAGAGUAUUACUAUUUGAAUUUUUUUUGUUUUUCUUCACGAGAGUAAAAUAUUGUUUUUUAUUAAAAACAAUUUGAAAAAUACCAAAAAUAUCCUAACCGUUCGAUCUAGUAGUGUUAAUUUUGGACCUUUGAUUUAAUAUGAUACAAUAGGGUUUACCACACUAGAUUAAAACUCAAAUCCAUCUUAGCCUUUGAAAUAAUCUGCCUUUUGUUCCUGUCGUGCUACGUCACCCGGUGUACCGAGCUUUCGGUGCACCGCGCCACAACAGAUCAGUGCUCCGCUCAUCCAGACCGUCCGAUCAACUUGCAGAUCAAGCCAAUCACAACCGAAUGAUCGGUUCAUCCGCGAUCCAACGGCUCACAACCUUCAGCUGCACCGGUGUCCCAUGCUCGUGUUCACACCGUAGCACAAUCUCAGAGCCUCUCUCUCCUCUCGACGGUGAUUCUCUCUCUCUCAUCCGAUCUCCCAUUUUCGGCCGUAUGAAGCUUUCAAACCACCACAGAAAGGUUGCUACCUUGCUAUAAAGCAAAACCCCGGCGGUUUUCAACGUUUUAUCCGCCUCAUCUAGCCGGAAAACGGCCGCGAUUUUGUCGACCACCCGAAGCUUUAAACCGACGAUUCUCCCUCGUCAGCCAUCAACAGCUGUCGAAACCACCUUCAUCAGAAUCCUCUUCAUUAGAUCUACUAGAAUCAACCAGUCGUUGGCUGGAAAUCUCGCCGUCUCCAACAGUAACCGCGCGUGAGCCACACGCGCCACCAGGGGUAUUUUCAUAAUUUUCCGAGAAAUCCAAGGGUAUUUCAGUCUUUUACCUAUACAGUGGCACUCAGGUAAUUUUUUGAAAUUCCUAACAGUUUUUAUUUUAUUUUGAUAUAUAAGUAUUUGUAAAUUCUCUUGCAUGUAAAAAAAAACAAAAAAAAACCAAAAAUAAAUAUAAAAGGAAUAACGACGCGGGUCCAUAAAACAUAUUAAAUUCUUCUUUAAUCCUUGCAAUUUUAUCAUAAAUAAUAAUAAUAAAAAAACAUCCAUAAAACAAAUACCAACACACAAAUAAAAAUUCAAUACUAAACAAAAAAAUUACAUCAACCAAUUUAAAAUUACAAAACAGCCCCUAAAACAUCCUAGGGAUUCUGGAUCAGUGCACGGGAAUAGUGGCGCGGGUCUUCCCACACGCCGUCGCGAAUAAGGCCGGAAAACGGGUGGAUCUGGCUCAGCUUCCUUUCUUUUUCCCUUCUCUGCUGGUGGUGACACCCACCGUCACCUGCAAACGAAGAAAAGAACACAGGCAGUCGAUUUUAUAUUUUUUGUUUUUGUUUUGCAGAUCUGCUUCUCUGGUUCGGUUUUUUUUUUCUGCAUCUCAGUGUCUUUUCGUUUCCCCUUGUUCUCCAUUUCAAACGACCGGCAGUGUGACCAUAGGGCUGCUGGCCUUUGGGUUUUGUCCGAUCUGCAACUGUUGGUGGCCGGUGAAUCUGUGGACGGUGUUGUUAUGGCUGACGGAAGAAAGCGGACCGAUUUGGGAUCUGUGGGUGCCGCUGCCGGGCUGCUAUCAGACGGUUGAAGGGGAGAAGGCUGGGUCGGCUGAGAGAGAUGCGAACUUGUGGGGGAGAUGGAGGCAGGUUCAGGAGCUGCUAUGGGUGAAGAAGAGUUAGUGUGGGUUUGUGAGGGAGAGGGGGUUGUGAGCCAGGAAGAUUUGGUGUGGUGAGGGGCUGAGAAUUUGUGUCUCUAGUAAGGAGGACCGGUUGAGAGGAGAAUGAGGUGACUGGUCUGUGGGGCUGAGACGAAGAAGGGGUUGCGGUGUGGCUGCUAGGUGAGGGAGAAGAAGCUUUGGUCGGGUCUGUCAGAGAAAAACAAGUCAAGCCAGGGGAGGGGGGCGGUCGGCUUGGUUUUGGGUAAAAAAAAUCAAACUCUGGGGGGCGGCUGUGUUUGGGAUUUCUUAGGGUUUUUUUGUGGUUUAGGGUUUUUUUUUUUUUUUUUGUAUUUUCCUGAUGUUUCAAAAUUGCCCCCAUUUUGUGUGAGUUGAAAACCAGUAUUUAUAGGCAAAAAUGUUGCUAGGUUUUCAAACUUGGUCCCUCAACUUCUUUCUUUUUGUAAAUUUGAUUUUUCUUGUAUUUUUUGAAAACGAGCAAUAUCAACGUCGACUCGAUGAGGAAAAUCAAUGAUUUAAAACAUAACGCGUGAAAAGUCGAACGCGUUUGAACGACCCUUAAAAAUUUUAAUUCUUUUUAGACGACGCUAAAAAUGCUAAAAACGACGCAAAUAUAUUAAAAAGGUAUUUUUUGGAUUUUCAAUGUUUUUCUCUAUUUUUGGAUUUUUCUGAAAAUUUAUCAAAACAUGGGUCAAAAAUUGGGUAGCAACAGAUGCCCCCUCUUUACAAUGCUUACAAAGGAAAACUCAUCAAUGUUUUGCAUAGUAAGCUUUGUAAAGAAAAACUUGUCUUCUUAUCUUCAUAACUUGCUCAAUAUCCACUCAUUUAAAGACCUUACUUUUUUCUUUUUCUAUUUCUUUCUGUCUCUCUCUCUCUCUCUUUUUCAUUAACUUGAGAUCCCAUAUGGCGACCUCCUUUACCAAAACCAAAGAAUGUUGUAGCUCGGUUAACCUGAAAUCCCAUAUGGAGAUUCCCUUUAACCAAAGCUACAUGAGAUCCCAUCUAGUAACCUCAUUUAAUUGGAACUAAAAAAUGUGUGUAGCUCGGUCAACCUGAAAUCCCAUCUGGCGAUUCCCUUUAACCAAAGCCUCAUGAGAUGAUCUGGAUGCCUGGAUAUCUGACUCCAUUGAAACAAUGGAAUCUCCAUCGACGAUUUAAACAUCGAUGAUAUUACUCGGGCGGCCUCAAUGUUUGUGAACCUAAAAAGAAAUGAAAUUAAUUAAAUAGUGACUUCAUAAAUUAUGUUUUAAAUUUGUUUUUUUUUAAAAAAACAAACUAAAACUUUAACAAACUUACAUUGAAAGAUCGUCCUUCCAUUGUGCCUCGUACUUGCGCUGUGAAGGCACGCCGCUUCUGCGAUGUGAAACAGCGCUGGAAGAGGCAGCAUCAGCUGAUGGCGCAAGUGGUGUAGGUGCCUCUUCUUGAGAGGCACCUAAGGAAAUAUCUUCCUCGCUGCUAGACGAACCUGAUGCGACCGGACGUGAAGCUCUAGUUUUCAUUCUGUGCAUCUAACCAAUUUUAAUAAUUAUAUAAUUAAAUUAAAAUGUUAAAAAAAAUUCGGCAGCACCUCCCCUAUACUUAGAUACUACCCAAAUCCACAAACCUGCAAAUAUUAACAAUAGCCACAACCAAUUGACCCAAUCUAUACUAAUUAUUCCAACAUAUUCAAUUACUAAUCCUAAGGUAAAUUCAACAUUAACAAUUACAAUUCAACAAAUUAUUCAAUAAUUAUGCCAAUACAACAAUAAAAUAUAUUCAAUAAAUUAAAAAAGAAUUAUAAACUAACAAUUAAAAUCAAUGGAAACAAUUAAACACAAAUUAUGCAAUAAUAGAGUAAAAUUACUAAGUAUUCCAACAUAUCCAAAUACUAAUUCUAAGGUAAAUUCAACAUUAACAAUUAUAAUUCAAAAACUUAUUCAAUAAUUAUGGCAAUACAACAAUAAAAUAUAUUCAAUAAAUUAAAAAAAAUUAUAAACUAACAAUUAAAAACAAUGAAAAUAAUUAAACACAAAUCAUGCAAUAAUAUAGUAAAAUUACUAAUUAUUCCAACAUAUGCAAUUACUAAUUCUAAGGUAAAUUCAACAUUAACAACAAAUAUUCAACAAAUUAACUAACAACAAUUAUGCCAAAACAACAAUAAAAAAUAUUCAAUAAAUUUAAAAAAAAACUAUAGACUUUAGGGAAGAAAUAUGCAUACCUUAAUAAUGUGUUGAAAAAAAAAAUUUAUCUACAUUACAAAAAAAUACAACAAAACAAAAAACAUAAAAAGCAUAAAAAUAACUAUAAAUAAAAUAAUAUAAAAUAGAAAAAAACACAUACCUUUUAAUGUGAUGAAGAUUCACAACCAACCUUGCUAGAGAUUCAACAAAGCUUGAAGGCUUGAAGAUUUGAGAGGAAAAAAAUCAAAAUUUUAAGUUAAACCUUAGAAACGGAGGAGAAGAAAAAAUGAACUGAAGGGGCGGCCGGAUGAACUUAUAGUGCAGUUUUACCGACGGAUUCACCGAUGGAAAUAUAAAAUUAUUAUUAUUUAAAUUAAAUCCGUCGGUAACACGCUAAAAAUCCGUCGGUAAUUUUUGGAUUUCGCACCGAAUUUUUUAAUUACCCUCCAUAUUAAAAUCCGAAUUUUUAAAUCCGUCGGUAUUCUGACAUGGUUAAAGGUGCAUUCAAUCCACACCCUUUGGAAUUCGCACAUUCCGUUGGUAUUUUUGUCGGUAAAAUUGCCCACCGACAACUUACCGACGGACCUAUUCCGUUGGUAUAAACGUCGGUGAUUGUGGCAUUUUGGUGUAAUUAUUUUCAAACUCUCUGUGAGAUGCCGACGGACGGUGGGCCGUCGGUAUGGACGUCGGUGAUUGUUCAAUGUACAAGAGAUGUUGUGUUUGUAUUUUCUAUUUACCUUCCUGUAAAAAAUUCAAUGAUAAAUUGUCCAUCGCACAAAACAAUAGCAACAGUUCUUAAACAAUAAAUAUAUAUUUCAUGCUACAAAAUAUAUCAUCCAUAGUGUAAAUUACAUGAAGAAAAGGGUUUUACACAGGGCCUCGUUUUGAUAGUUACUCAGAAUUAUCUUCUUCUUCGUCAUCAAUUGAAUAGUCAUCACCUUCAUCGCAAUCUUCAAUAUGGAUAUCAUCUUCUUCAUCGACAUUUGCUUGUCCGCUAGAGCUCAAAACAACGUUCAACUCCUCUACGUCAACAUCAACAUCAACAUCAACAAGACUAUCAUCGGAAACAUGAAAAUUUGAAUUUUCUUCCAAUUCAAUCGAAGGAGCAACUCGAUAUGGUUCAACCAACUCACUAACUUGAAAGACUUCAUCCUGCACACUUGUGUCUUCGUUCUCAUCCUGAACAACCUCGACAUGACCCCGUGAUUUCGUUUUUAAAAUGGACAACCAAUCAACUCUUGAUCGAUCCUUUCUAAAUGAAGGGGUGUAUGUGUAAUAAACUUGUUGGCAUUGCUUUGUGAAAACAAAGACAUCAUUUAUGUUGCGGAGUCUAGCUUUUGAGUUGAUUUCGACCGGACCAUGGUGCUUAUCAACUCUGAUUCCUCUGUCCGUCGUGUCAUACCAAUAGCAUUUGAAUAAAAACACUGUAUUCUGCUCGCUAUGAUAUUGUAGUUCGACGACCUCUUCUAAUCUACCAUAGUAGUCAACUUCUAACUCGCUACUUGUGGAUCCUUUAACACAAACACCGCAGUUGUAUGUCCUUCUUCCUUGCCCGUAUUCUUUAGUAUGGAAAACAUAUUCAUUGACAAAAUACCCGUUAUAGCACUUAACUUUUCUUUCAAGCCCGAGGCUUAGUGAAGACAAUGACUUAGACACACUUCUUCCCAUUUGAUAAACCUUGUAUACAUGUAAUGUACAUCAAUAAACAGUAAAUGAACGAGAAUCUCGUAAUGACAUGCAUACGUACAGUAAUUUUGCAAGUUAGAAUGAGUUUGUGAUAGUGCUUACAUGUGUUCUGAACCAUGUGGCAAAUUGUUCAUCUUGUAAUUGAAAGAUCUGGGAGUCGGUCAGCUGCGAGUUAUUGGAGAGCAAAUAUUGUCGAUGUUGCCUGCAAGUGAUAAUGAGUGUAUGAUUUCACAAUAUAUAAUUAGCAGUAUAUUACUGACAAAGUUUAAAUAGUAUUACACAUAUAUAAACUUACUGAAUAAAUGGUCUCAGCUCAUCACAAUUAAAUAGAACAUAAUUGUGUGCUUGUUUGAAUUCUAUUUUCGACAAAUAUCUUCCUCUUACGGCAUUUUUAGGUAUAGGUCGUCCAGUAUUGGAGAAUAUUGACAAUUUCUCACUGGAAGGCACUUCACCGCCAUCAUCAUGUUGUGGAACACGAUUGAUUCUUGUUCUCAAAUGAGGUUCAAAAUAGUAAGAGAUAAAUGUUGAGAUCUCUUCAACAAUAUAGGCCUCAAAUAUCGAAGCCUCUACAUGCGUCUUGUUCUUAACCUUUUUCUUGAGAUUAAACAAGUACCUGCAUUGAAUUACAAUUCAAGUUUUCCAAUUAAGAAAAGCAUAUAAAAUACUUUUAGAUAUGAAUUCCAUUGCAACUGUAAUAUCUAACCGUUCGAAUGGGUACAUCCAUCUAUACUGACAUGUAAUUCGGUAAUUCCACAAAGUUUUAACAAUUUACAAAUAAAUACAAUCUUACAAAAUCUAAAACAAACCAUAACUACAAGUAUAAAAUUAUACAUUCAUAUACUACAAGUUUGUUUGAGAAAUAACAAUAAAACAUGUACAUCUAUUAACAAAAAUACAUAUACUAAAAAAACAAUAAAAUUUACAUUUAAAUGUUAAAAUUUAAAAAGAUAUAAUUACUUACAAAAAUUGAUAAAAUCCAUCGGUAAAUCAGAACACGGAUGUUGUGAUCAAAAAACUUUAAGAAAUACAACUUGUUGUGCUGAGAUGAGGAAGAUUUUUGUUUGGGGGUGAGGGGGGGGCUAGUUAUUUUGCAGAUGGGGAGACUUAAGAUUAGGAAGAAGAACGAGAAAUGGGGGAGGAGCGUGUCGGCAGCGUGGCCAUAUAUUCACUUUUUUCGACGGCCUCAUCGAUGGAAUAACAUCGUCGGUGCAUAUGUCGGUUACUCCAUCGGUAAUUUUGACGGGAAAUAGACACAUCACCGCACGAACACGCUUUUCAAAUCCCUCGGUGAUUCCGUCGGUAUGUUUGACGGUGCACCCAUCACAUCACCCGUAUGGAUCUGGUAUUUCAAAUCCGUCGGUGAUUUCGUCAGUAUUAUUGACGGUGAAACGGUCCGAUCACACGUACAAGUCCCUAGUUUUGAAUCCGUCAGUGAUUCUGUCGGAAAAAUCACCCGCCAAAACCUCCGCGUCAGCUGCCCGCCUUUUUUUCAUUAAUUAUGAACUUUCUGUCUGUAAUUUCGACUGAAAAAUACCGACAGCAAUAUUGUGUCGGGGAGUCCGUUGGUGUUUAGCGAAUUUAUGGUAGUGAACUAAAAACUGCGUAUAGCUCGGUCAACCUGAAAUCCCAUCUGGCGAUUUCCUUUAACCAAAGCCACCUGAGAUCCCAUCUGGCGACCUCAUUAAACCACAACCAAAAAAUAUGCGUAGCUUGGUCAACCUGAAAUCCCAUCUAGCGAUUCCCUUUAACCAAAGCUACUUGAGAUCCCAUCUGGCGACCUCAUUCAACUGAAAUAAAAGAAUGUGUAAAACGCGGUUUCAUUGUAAUGGGUGACCAACCCAGGUGGAAAGAAUGUGAAAAACAGUCUCAUUAUGAUGGGUGACUACCCAGAUGGAAAGAAUAUGAAGUGCGGUCUCAUUGUAAUGGGUGACCUACCCAAGAAAAAGAAAAGAGUGGUCUCAUUGUAAUGGGUGACCUACCCAGAAAAAAAACAUGGAGAAUUGGUCGCAUUGUAAUGGGUGACCUACCCAAAAAAAUGUUGGUCUCAUUGUAAUGGGUGACCUACCCAAGUGAAAGAAUGGUCUCAUUGUAAUGGGUGACCUACCCAGAUAAAAAACAAGGAGAAUUGGUCGCGUUGUUCUGGGUGACCUACCCAGAAAAAUUUUGGCGAGGGCUCAAAGGCGCACUCAAAAGGAGGUAGGGUUAGAAAACGCACUACCCGAGAAGUGAGGGCUCAAAAGCACACUCAAAAGGAGGUAGGGUUAAAAAAUGCACUACUUGAGAAGUGAGGGCUCAAAGGCGCACUCAAAAUAAGGUAGGGUUAGAAAACGCACUACCCAAGAAGUGAGGGCUCAAAGGCGCUCUCAAAAUGAGGUAGGGUUAGAAAACACACUGCUUGAAUGGUGGUGGCUCAAAGGCACACUCAAAAGGAGGUAGGGUUAGAAAAUGCACUACCUGAGAAGUGAGGGCUCAAAGGCGCACUCAAAAGAAAAUAAGGGCUCAAACGGUGCACUUGAAAUGAGGUUGGGUUAGAAAACGCACUAUCCGAAUGGUGGUGGCUCAAAGGCGCACUCAAAAUGAGGUAGGGUUGGAAAACGCAGUACCCGAAUGGUGGUAGCUCAAAGACACACUCGAAAUAAGGUAGGGUUGGAAAACACACUACCUAAAAGGUGGUUGAUUAGUACUUAAAAGUGCAUGUUUAUUAAGGUUUUAUAUCAUCAUUUUGCACUUGAAGUAUCAAUAACUCCUUAACUAAAGCAUGUUUUAUAAUAACAAGUGUGAUACUAUAAAAUGCCUUAAUAUAUGGUAAAUAUUCAUCUUGAAUGCAGGCUUAUCACAUAAAUCAAAGGAUUGAUUGAUGAAUUCAACUACUGAAAUUUUGAAGAUAAAGAAGGGUGAAGCUUAGAAAAGAGAUGUUGGUGCAGUCCAAACUGGAACACUAUUUGGUAUUUGGGUCAUAUCUUGAGUUCUAGAUGUCCAAAUGAUCUCAAAGUUUUACACAGAUUUGGUGAGAUAUAAGCCUACAACUUUCAUGUGAACAGAAAAAUCUAAGAAGGCCUUUUUCAUGUCCAAAUUAUAGCAACAACGGAGAAGUCUGAAUCUGUCUUGCAGCCCAGACACUGUUCAGUGUUCAGCCCAUAUCUUGAGUUCUAAAAGUCCAAAUGACCUCAACUUUUUUUUCCUGGAAAGCUAAGAGAAUUUCCUAGAACUUUGAUGAUUUCAUAUGAUUCCAGUUCUGAUGUUAGCAAUGACGUUUUAUUCAGACAAGAAGAUAAGGAUUUUCACCAAGUCAAGAUGUGGCCACCCACUCAACAAUUAUUCAUCAAAUCAAUAGUUCCAAAUUUUGGCCUAUAAAAGGAGGCAUUUGCCAUGCAUUUAGGCAUCUUGGUUUCCAGAUCAAGAUCAUGCUCUUGCUUUCUCUCUUUGUAUUGCUUAUGUUUUGCUUUCAUUAAUAUCAAGUUUAUGCACUUCAUUUCCUUUCCUUUACUUAGUUAACUUUUUUCUCAUUUAUGUUCUUAUCUUGUUCAUUUAUGUUUCUUUCUUUCAUUAUGUUUACCUAUGUUAAUUAUGUCAAGGUGAAAAGGGUACACUAAUGGUGUAAGAAUAAGUAUAAUAUAAACUUAACAUGGACCUUAAUGUUGGAUACUAACAUGUUUUAUAUUUGUUAUCUUGUUCACUUUUAAUACUUUGCUUGUUAAAUGGUUAAUCUAGAUUUAUGUUGUAUAACACUUGGUACAACAAAUACUUGGCACUUUCAUAGCCCAUACUGUAUGGUAUAACCGACACCUGAGCUAUGAAAGGAACUUGAUUUGUUGUUAACAUAAGUUAUAAUCAUGAAUGCCUGACAAAAUUUACAAGUAUUAGCAUUAUUCGAAUAAGAUAACUAAUGUAAUCAUGUUAACAAUUUACAAUCCGAUUGGAACCUCCUUUGUGUGUGGUUUUCAAUUGAGUAAUAAAAAGAGUUUAUAUUAUACUUGUUUGAAGUACCAUUAGUAGAUCCUCUAACCUUGACAAUUAUUUUAUGCUUGUUUAAUCCUUACAUCAAUAUCACAUCCCAAAGCUCUCUUUAUCUUAUUAUUAUUGUUAUUGUUGUUGUUGUUGUUGUUGUUGUUGUUUAUAAUUUAUAUAGUUAACCUCCAUGUGGUUCGACCCUGGUCUUGCCGGGUUAUUUAUUACUUCGACACUAUUGCACUUGGAAGAAAACAUCAAUCUUUUGGGUCGUGUCAAGUUUUUGGCGCCGUUGCCGGGGAGGUAAAUUCUUGUAUAAAUUAUAAUAUUUAUUUUAUUUUGUCUUUUCAUUUUUCAUUUUAUCUAACUUUUGUUUCUUUUCCUUCUCUUUUAUUUCCUUCCUUAUAUUCUCUUCUUACACGUGCAUGAGAGUUUGGUCAUGUACAUUAAGUGGUAGACUUUGUAGGGUAUCCUCAGAAACAUUUUACCAGUGUUGGGAUAGGUAUCGAGACUUGCUUAAUACUUGCCCUCAUCAUGGUUUUGAAACAUGGAGAUUGGUUUCAUUUUUUUAUGAAGGUUUAACACCUAGAGAUAGGCAAAUGGUUGAAUUGAUGUGCAAUUGAACUUUCGAAGAUAAAGACCCUAAUGAAGAAAUGGAGUACCUAGACUUGCUAGCCGAAAAUGCUCAAAAUUGGGACACCACAUGUACUUAUAAGGCACCAAGUAAAACUCAACCUCAUACAUCUAGUGGAGGUAUGCACAACCUUAGGGAAGAUCAUGACCUCCAAGCCAAGUUUGCAUCUUUAGCUAGAAAAGUCGAAUCACUUGAAUUGAAAAAGAGUGGUCAAUUAAAAUCUUUCAAGACAUUGUGUGUCAAAUCUGUGAAACAAGAACACUCAACAAAUGAUUGUCCAACUUUGCCUUCUUUUAGGAAUGCCUCCAUGAACAAGCCCAUGCUUUAAACAGUUUCCAAAGGCCCAACAUAACCCAUACUCACAAACGUAUAACCCUGGUUGGAGAAAUCACCCAAAUUUCAGUUGGAAGAGUGAUAACAAUAAUGCAAACUUCACAGCCACCGUUUCAAGCAUACCAUAAUUUCCAAAAUUCUCAUGGAUAUGCACCUCCUUAUGCUCCACCUCCUAGAAGAAAUCUUGAGGAAACAUUGCAUGCAUUCAUUGAAAAGCAGGAGACAAUCAACACUCAACUUGCUCAAAGCAUGACUGAUUUUAAAGAUGCUCUUGCAAAAUUAACAUCUGCUCUCAGUUUUCAAGAAAAAGGUAAGUUUCCUUCUCAACCACAAUAAAAUCCAAAGGGGCAAUAUAAUGCAAAUGCAAGUAGUUCUGGAAGCCAACACAUGGAUCAAGUCAAAUCAGUCAUCACUCUUCGUAGUGGUAAGGUUAUUGAAAAACCCACUCUUGAACCUUGUGAGAAAGAUGAAGAGUCUAUCUUUGAGGGUAAGAAAAGGGUUGAACCUGAACAUUUCCUCAUGCCAUGACCAAACAAAGGAAAGUCAAUCACAAUUCUGAAAUCCUUUAAAUUUUCAAACAGGUAAGGAUCAAUAUACCUUUGUUGGAUGCUAUUAAACAUGUUCCUUCCUAUGCUAAAUUUUUGAAAGAUCUGUGCACUGUGAAGAGAAAACUGAAUGUGAAAAAGAAAGCCUUUUUAGCCGAACAAGUAAGUGCCAUUCUUCAUAACAAUAAUGCUUUGAAAUAUAAAGACCCUGGUUGUCUUACAAUUUCUUGCUUUAUUGGAGAACAAAAAAUUGAAAGAGACUUACUUGAUCUUGGAGCUAGUGUGAGUUUACUUCCAUAUUUAGUCUUUCAAAGUCUCAAUCUAGGUGAGUUAAAACCAACCUUUGUAACUCUUUUACUUGCUGAUAGAUCUGUAAAAGUGCCUAGAGGAAUAGUUGAGGAUGUGUUAGUACAAGCUGAUAAAUUCAUUUACCAUGUAGAUUUUGUUGUCUUGGAUACACAACCUGUUGAAGCAUGUAAUUCAAUUCCUGUCAUUUUAGGACGUCCAUUUCUUGCCACUUUUAAUGCAUUGAUUAAUUGUAAGAAUGGACUGAUGAAGCUAUCAUUUGGAAACAUGACAUUGGAGAUGAAUAUUUUCAACAUUUACAAGCAACCUGGAGAUGAUAAUGAUUUACAGGAAGUGGACUUUAUUGAAAAAUUAGUUCAUGAUCAAUUUCAAACCACUUCUAGUGAAACUGAGAUUGAUGAAUCUGAUGAUUUGCAAAUGGUCUAUUUUCAGGAAGAAUCAAAGGCAUGCAAUUGGAGACCACAAAUUGAAGAAUUGCCACCACGAUCAAUUGAGCCCAUACCUUCAAGUGUUCAACCACCAAAACCUGAUUUGAAGUCGUUACCAUUUAAUCUCAAAUACUCAUUUUUGGGAGAAAAUGAAACUUUUCCGGUAAUAAUCUCUUCCAAACUUAAUGCACAUCAAGAAGGUAAGUUAUUACAGACUUUGAAAAUGCACAAAAAUGCAUUAGGAUGGACCAUAGCUGACAUAAAAGGAAUUAGCCCUUUGAUUUGCACACACAGAAUUUAUUUGGAGGAAAAUGCUAAACCCUCUAGAGAAAUGCAACGAAGGCUUAAUCCUAAUAUGAAAGUAGUGAAAAAUGAAGUCAUUAAGCUUCUAGAUAAUGGAAUCAUUUAUCCUAUUUCUGACAGCAAAUGGGUAAGUCCUACCCAAGUUGUACCUAAAAAGUCUGGAGUCACUGUGAUAACAAAUGAGAAAAAUGAGUUAAUUCCAACGAUGAUUGUUACUGGUUGGCGCAUGUGCAUUGACUAUAGGAAACUUAAUUCAAUGACUAGAAGAUCAUUUCCCUUUACCUUUCAUGGAUCAAAUCCUAGAAAGAGUUGCAGGUCAUGAAUUCUAUUGUUUCCUAGAUGGCUAUUCAGGUUACAAUCAAAUUGAAAUUGCAUUGGAAGAUCAAGAGAAGACUACUUUCACAUGUCCAUUUGGUACUUUUGCAUAUCGAAGAAUGCCUUUUGGGUUAUGUAAUGCACCAGCCACGUUCAGUGUUCAGCCCAUAUCUUGAGUUCUAGAAGUCCAAAUGACCUCAAAUGUUUACACAAAUUCAGUAAGACAUAGGCCUAUAACUUGCAUUUGGACAUCAAGAUCUAAGAAGGCCGUUUUCAAGUCCAAAUUAUUCAACAACGGAGAAGUCUGAAUAUGUCCUGCAGCCCAGACACUUUUCAGUGUUCAGCCCAUAUCUUGAGUUCUAAAAGUCCAAAUGACCUCAAAUGUUUACACAAAUUCAGUAAGACAUAGGCCUAUAACUUGCAUUUGGACAUCAAGAUCUAAGAAGGCCGUUUUCAAGUCCAAAUUAUUCAACAACGGAGAAGUCUGAAUAUGUCCUGCAGCCCAGACACUGUUCAGUGUUCAGCCCAUAUCUGGAGUUCUAGAAGUCGAAAUGACCUUAUCUUUUUUUUCCUGGAAAGCUAAGAGAAUUUCCUAGGACUUUUAUUUGGACAUCUAGACCCAGUUCUGAUGCUAGCAUUUUUGUUUUAUUAAGACAAGAAGAUAAAGAUUUUCACCUAGUCAAAAGUUGGCCACCCACUCAACAAUUAGUCAUCAAAUCAAUAAUUCUGAAUUUUGUCAUAUAAAAGGAGUCAUUUGCCAUGUAUUUAGGGGCUUGGUUUUUCAGAUCAAGUUCUUGCUCUUUAUUUCUCUCUUUAUAUUUUUUUUGUAAUUCUUAAGUUUUGCUUUCAUUAAUAUCUUGUUUAUGCUUUUCAUUUCCUUUCCUUUCCUUAGUUAACUUGUAUCUUAUUUAUGUUCUUGUUUUAUUUAUUUAUGUUUCUCUUCUUCAUUAUGUUUGGCUAAGUUUAUUAUGUCAAGGUGAAAAGGUUACACUAAUGGUGUAAGAACAAGUAUGGUAUAAACUCAACAUGAACCUUAAUGUUUAAUAUUAACAUGUCUUAUCUUUUUAUCUUACUAAUUCUUAAUACCUUACUUGUUAAAUGGUUAAUCUAGAUUUGUGUUGUAUAAUACUUGGUACAACAAAUGCUUGGCACUCUCAUAGCCCAACCGUAUGGUAUUACCUACACCUAGGCUAUGAAAGGUACUUGAUUUGUUGUUAACAUCAAUUAACAUCAUGAAUUCUUGAUAAUAUUUAAAAGUUUGGUGUUAUGUAAAUGAGAUAAUUAAUAUGAUCAUGUUAAUAAUUUAUAAUGAGCUAUUAAUGACAAAUUGGCCAAUUGGAACCUCCUUUGUGUGUGGUUUCCGGUUGAAUAAUAAGAGUUUAUACUAUACUUGUUUGAAAUACCAUUGGUGGAUCCUCUAACCUUGAUAUUUAUUUUUAUCAUUGUUUAAUCCUUACAUUAAUCUUCCAGCUCAAAGUUCUCAUUAAUUUUUUCCUCCUCUUUUUAUUGUUAUUAAUAUUAUCACUAUUAAUAUUAUUAUUAUUAUUAUUAUUAUUAUUAUUAUUAUUAUUAUUUACAUUCUGUUUAUAUUAUAUAAUAUAUCUCUUUCAUCUUUUCAAAAACUCAGUAUAUAGGCUGGAAACCUGUGACCCGAUCUUUUAGAUCAUUCUCAGGUAUAACAACGCCACGUACUGAGUAUUAUUAUUAAUAUUAUUAUUAUUAUUGUUAUUAUUGUUGUUAUUGUUGUUGUUGUUGUUGUAUUAUUGUUAUUUAUAAUUUGUAUAAUUAACCUCUCUGUGGUUCGACCCCGGUCUUGCCGGGUUAUUUAUUACUUUGACACUCCUGCACUUGGGAGAAGACAUCAAUCUUUUGGUUGUGUCAAGUUUUUGGCGUCGUUGCCGGGGAGGUAAAUUCUUGUACAAAUUUUAGUAUUUAUUUUGUUUUUUUCUUUUCACUUUUCUUGUAUCUAACUUUGUUUCUUUUGUUUUGUUUCUUUUUCUUUUGUUUUCUUCUUCCUUUUAUUCUUUUUCUACACGUGCAUGAGUGUUUGGUCAUGCAUAUUAAGUGGUAGACUUUCUAGGGUAUCCUCAUCAUUUUCAGAAAAUAUGGCCGAAGAAGAUAACCAGUUACUUCAUAAUGAGAAUAAUGAGAAUAACCGUGUUAGGACACUUAGAGACCACAUGAAUCCCAUAAGAACAAGUGCACCCUCAUGCAUAGUUUUCCCUCCUGAUGCAUCUCAUUUUAAUUUUAAGCCAGGCAUUAUUCAACUUUUACCUUCUUUUCAUGGCUUAGAUCUAGAAAAUCCAUACUUGCAUUUGGAGAAUUUGAGAAGUUUGUAACACCUAUAAUGACUUAAAUUGUAGCAUGAAUACCAUUAGAUUAAAGCUUUUUCCUUUUUCAUUAAAAGAUAAAGCUAAAACAUGGCUACAAAAUUUAGGUCAGGAUCCAUUCGUGCUUGGGAUGAAAUGCAACAACAAUUUUUAAAGAAGUUUUUUCCAUCUCACAGAACAACUCUUUCAAAAGACAAAUCACCACUUUCACUCAAAAACCAGGAGAAACAUUUUACCAAUGUUGGGAUAGGUAUCGAGACUUGCUUAAUACUUGCCCUCAUCAUGGUUUUGAAACAUGGAGAUUGGUUUCACAAUUUUUAUGAAGGUUAACACCUAAGAUAGGCAAAUGGUUGAAUUGAUGUGCAAUGGAACUUUUGAAGAUAAAGACCAUAAUGAAGCAAUGGAGUACCUAGACUUGCUAGCUGAAAAUGCUCAAAAUUAGGACACUACAGGCACUUAUGAGGCACCAAGUAAAACUCAACCUCAUACAUCUAGUGGAGGUAUGUAUAACCUUAGGGAAGAUCAUGACCUCCAAGCCAAGUUUGCAUCUUUAGCUAGAAAAGUCGAGGCACUAGAAUUGAAAAAGAGUGGUCAAUUAAAAUAUGUUCAAGACAUUGUGUGUCAAAUCUGUGAAACAAAUGAACAUGCAACCAAUGAUUGUCCAACUUUGCCUUCUUUCAAGGAAUGCCUCCAUGAACAAGCCCAUGCUUUAAACAGUUUCCAAAGGCCCAAUCAUAACCCAUACUCGCAAACAUACAAUCCUGGUUGGAGAAAUCACCCAAAUUUCAGUUGGAAGAGUGACAACAAUAAUGCACAAACUUUACAGCCACCGUUUCAAGCACACCAUAAUUUCCAAAAUUCUCAUGGAUAUGCACCUCCUUAUGCUCCACCUCCUAGAAGAAAUCUGAGGAACGUUGCAUGCAUUCAUUGAAAAGCAAGAGACAAUCAACACUCAACUUGCUCAAAGCAUGACUUUUAAAGAUGCUCUUGCAAAAUUAACAUCUGCUCUCAGUUUCAAGAGAAAGGUAAGUUUCCAUCUCAACCACAGCAAAAUCCAAAGGGGCAAUACAAUGCAAAUGCAAGUAGUUCUGGAAGCCAACACAUGGAUCAAGUCAAAUCAGUCAUCACUCUUCGCAGUGGUAAGGUUAUUGAAAAACCCACUCUUGAACCUUGUGAGAAAGAUGAUGAGUCAAUCUCUGAGGGUAAGGAAGGGGUUGAACCUGAACAUUGUGAAGAAAAGACUGAUUCUCCGCCAGCACUUCCAUUUCCUCAUGCCAUGACCAAACAAAGGAAAGUCAAUCACAAUUAUGAAAUCCUUGAAAUUUUCAAACAGGUAAGGAUCAAUAUACCUUUGUUGGAUGCUAUUAAACAUGUUCCUUCCUAUGCUAAAUUUUUGAAAGAUUUGUGCACUGUGAAGAGAAAACUGAAUGUGAAAAAGAAAGCCUUUUUAGCCGAACAAGUAAGUGCCAUUCUUCAUAACAAUAAUGCUUUGAAAUAUAAAGACCCUGGUUGUCCUACAAUUUCUUGCUUUAUUGGAGAACAUAAAAUUGAAAGAGCCUUACUUGAUCUUAGAGCUAGUGUGAAUUUACUUCCAUAUUCGGUUUUUCAAAGUCUCAAUCUAGGUGAGUUAAAACCAACUUCUGUAACUCUUUUACUUGCUGAUAGAUCUGUAAAAGUGCCUAGAGGAAUAGUUGAGGAUGUGUUAGUACAAGGUGAUAAAUUCAUUUACCCUGUAGAUUUUAUUGUCUUGGAUACACAACCUGUUGAAGCAUGUAAUUCAAUUCCUGUAUUUUAGGACGUCCAUUUCUUGCACUUCUAAUGCAUUGAUUAAUUGUAGGAAUGGACUGAUGAAGCUAUCAUUUGGAAACAUGACAUUGGAGAUGAAUAUUUUCAACAUUUACAAGCAACCUGGAGAUGAUAAUGAUUUACAGGAAGUGGACUUUAUUGAAAAAUUAGUUCAUGAUCAAUUUCAAACCACUUCUAGUGAAACUGAGAUUGAUGAACCUGAUGAGUUGCAAAUGGUUAUUUUCAGGAAGAAAAGGCAUGUAAUUGGAGACCACAAAUUGAAGAAUUGCCACCACGAUCAAUUGAGUCAUACCUUCAAGUGUUCAACCACCAAAACUGAUUUGAAGCCGUUACCAUUUCAAUCUCAAAUACUCAUUUUUGGGAGAAAAUGAAACUUUUCCGGUAAUAAUCUCUUCCAAACUUAAUGCACAUCAAGAAGGUAAGUUAUUACAGACUCUGAAAAUGCACAAAAAUGCAUUAGGAUGGACCAUAGCUGACAUAAAAGGAAUUAGUCCUUUGAUUUGCACACACAGGAUUUAUUUGGAGGAAAAUGCUAAACCUCUAGAGAAAUGCAACGAAGCUUAAUCCUAAUAUGAAAGAAGUAGUGAAAAAUGAAGUCAUUAAGCUUCUAGAUAAUGGAAUCAUUUAUCCUAUUUCUGACAGCAAAUGGGUAAGUCCUACCCAAGUUGUACCCAAAAAGUCUGGAGUCACUGUGAUAACAAAUGAGAAAAAUGAGUUAAUUCCAACUAGGACUAUUACUGGUUGGCGCAUGUGCAUUGACUAUAGGAAACUUAAUUCAAUGACUAGAAAAGAUCAUUUCCCUUUACCUUUCAUGGAUCAAAUCCUAGAAAGAGUUGCAGGUCAUGAAUUUUAUUGUUUCCUAGAUGGCUAUUCAGGUUACAAUCAAAUUGAAAUUGCAUUGGAAGAUCAAGAGAAGACUACUUUCACAUGUCCAUUUGGUACUUUUGCAUAUCGAAGAUGCCUUUUGGUUAUGUAAUGCACCAGCCACGUUUCAAAGAUGCAUGCUUAGCAUAUUCAGUGAUAUGGUUGAACGUUUUCUUGAGAUUUUUAUGGAUGAUUUUUCUGUUUUUGGUGAUUCAUUUGAUGAUUGUUUAACUAACUUGGAAAAGGUUUUGAACAGGUGUGAAGAGAAGAAUCUUGUACUGAAUUGGGAAAAAUGUCACUUUAUGGUAACAAACGGCAUUGUACUUGGUCACAUUGUUUCAUCGAAAGGAAUUGAGGUUGACAAAUCUAAAAUCGAGUUAAUUGCCAACUUACCAACACCAAAAUCUGUUAAAGAUGUUAGAUCAUUCUUAGGACAUGCUGGUUUUUACAGAAGGUUCAUCAAAGAUUUUAGUGUAAUAUCUAAACCAUUGUGUAACCUUCUAACAAAGGAAAAUGUUUUUGAAUGGACUGAACAAUGUGAAAAAGCCUUUGUUAAACUUAAAGCUUGCUUACUUCUGCUCCUGUCAUUCAACCUCCUGAUUGGUCACUACCUUUUGAAAUAAUGUGUGACGCUAGUGAUUAUGCCGUGGGUGCUGUCUUGGGACAAAGAAAAGAUAAGAAACCUUAUGUGAUUUACUAUGCAAGUAAAACUUUAAAUAGUGCUCAAAUGAAUUACACUACCACUGAAAAAGAAUUACUUGCAGUAGUAUUUGCAUGUGACAAGUUCAGAUCUUAUCUUGUUGGCUCACCUGUUGUUGUUUUUAGUGAUCAUGCAGCAUUGAAAUAUCUUCUCUCUAAGAAAGAUUCUAAGGCUAGAUUGGUGCGGUGGAUUUUGUUACUUCAAGAAUUUGAUAUCACAAUCAAAGACAAGAAAGGCACCGAAAAUGUUGUCGCGGAUCAUUUGUCAAGAUUGACAACCGAUUCGAGAUCUGACAUCACACCAAUCGAUGACUACUUUCCUGAUGAAUCUUUAUUUUCUGUCUCUACGAUGCCUUGGUUUGCUAAUAUUGUUAAUUUUCUUGUUUCAGGACAAUUGCCAGCUCAUUGGAGUACCCAAGACAAAAGAAAGUUCUUGAACGAAGUGAAGAACUUUUAUUGGGAUGACCCUUAUUUAUUCAAAUAUUGUCCUGAUCAAAUAUUUCGAAGAUGCAUUCCUGACAAUGAGGUAAGUAGUGUCAUUAAAUUUUGUCAUUCUGAGGCAUGUGGGGGUCAUUUCUCAUCAAGAAAGACAACUGCAAAAAUCUUACAAAGUGGAUUUUACUGGCCCACCAUGUUCAAAGACUCACAUGCAUUCUGUAAGACUUGUGAAAAUUGUCAAAAGUUGGGAUCUAUUUCGAAACGUCACAUGAUGCCUUUAAAUCCUAUUCUUGUCAUUGAGAUCUUUGACUGUUGGGGUAUAGAUUUCAUGGGUCCAUUUCCUCCAUCAUUUGGUUUCUUGUACAUAUUGGUCGUAGUAGAUUAUGUUUCAAAAUGGAUAGAGGCAAUUCCAAGUCGAACCAAUGAUCACAAAACAGUGAUAAAGUUUUUGAAAGAAAACAUUUUAAGUCGAUUUGGAAUCCCUCGAGCCAUGAUAAGUGAUGGUGGAACACAUUUUUGCAAGUCAUUUGAGUCUUUAAUGAAGAAAUAUGGAAUCACACACAAAGUUGCCACCCCUUAUCACCCUCAGACGAGUGGACAAGUAGAACUUGCUAAUAAGUAGAUUAAACAGAUCUUAGAGAAAACAGUGAACCCUAAUCGGAAAGACUGGUCUUUAAGACUUAAUGAUGCACUUUGGGCUUAUCGAACUGCGUAUAAAACAUCAUUUGGUAUGUCACCUUAUAGACUAGUAUAUGGAAAACCUUGUCACUUGCCUGUGGAAAUUGAACAUAAAGCUUAUUGGGCUAAUAAAGCUUCCAAUUCGAACAUUGAUGAUGCUAGUCAGCUACGAAAAUUGCAAAUAAAUGAGCUUGAGGAAAUAAGAAAUGAUGCAUAUGACAAUUCAAGAAUUAAUAAAGCAAGACUCAAAGAGUUUCAUGACAAGAAAAUACUGAGAAAAACAUUCAAUGUUGGUCAAAAAGUCUUGCUUUAUAAUUCUCGACUCCAUUUAUUUCUUGGAAAACUAAGAUCAAGAUGGAGCGGUCCUUUUAUUGUGAAACAUGUGUAUCCAUAUGGGGCCUGUGAUAUAGAAAAUCCAAAGAAUGGAAAUGUUUUCAAGGUAAAUGGGCAUCGGUUGAAAGUUUAUUUUGACAAUUUUUCAGUUGAAAAUGACUAUUGAAUUGAGUGAUCCUGUAUAUAAAGAUUGAUUCUUUUUCUCACAUUGUUUUGUGUUUUGUUUUGGUGUAUCUUUUUUUUUGCUAGUUUCUCUCACCCCGGUCAAAUGGCGGAUAACGGUACUCCAUGACUCUUAAGUCGGUUCUUUUAGUUUCCCAUGAUAACUUAUAUCUGUGUAUAUAAUUGUGCAAUUCUCUGCUCUUUCUUCUUUCUUUGAAUCUCUCAUCCAAUUCUCAUUUGAAAAUGGACACCACUCUUGAAAAAUUGAAAAAUUAUUUUCCCGCUCUGCCUCAAAAUGCGAUUACAAAAAUUUACCGUGCUAGAUGUGCGAGAUUGAGGUUGUUAAUGAAUCAUGGAAUUCUUGAAGAUAUUCAUUGGCUAAUUGAAGCAAAGGUUCGGUUAUCAGGUGAGUCCUCCAAUUCUUUCAUUUCACACAUGCCUGGAACAAGUAAAAGCACUUUUGCAAAGAAACGUCGUGCAAAACGACUACAACUCUGUCACAAAUGUGCCAGAUGGACUUGUAAUGCGACAUGUCGUUCUUUAGGAAUGGUAUCUGUAAACCGUGAAGAUAAAAUACAAUUCAUUAAGGAUGGCCUGAGUAAGGGGUCUUUAGAUAAUCUUCUAUUGACUCUUGAGACGCACCCUAGUGGAGAUGUGCAUCGUGCAAUUUAUGAUUUAUGGCCCCAAUUCCAUAAAGAACAUGCUCGACUUAGUCUUGGGAAUCUGACUAAAAAAGACCCUGUUUGCCAGUUUUUAAGAAAACUGGAUGGGAAGCCUAUCCCCGACCCAGAUAGGGCGUUUAAGCUGUUCUUGGACGUAAAACCAAGGGAAGAUGUGAGCCACAAUCACAACUACCUAUACAUACAUGAUUUGUCAAGCCGUUUUUGGACAUAAAACUAAGGGAAGAUGUGAGCCAUAAUCACAACUACCUGUACAUACACAUGCCUUUUUCAAAUAAAUAAAGAGAGAGAGAGAGAGAAAGAGAGUGAGACUACGGUUGGCCUACAUAUAGGUGGUAUGAUUGCAUUUUCAAUUUCUCAUCUAUAAAUUCUUCUCUUCCUUCCCUUCAUUUCUACUCAACCCAUACUUUCAUCAAAUAUAGAAGUGUGUAGAAAUGGCAGGUUCCUCAAGUCAUAACAUAAACAAUAUUUGUGUUUUCGGUGGAUCAAGUCUUGGGAAAGAAAAAAAGUUUUUAGAAUCAGCAAAUCAUCUUGGUCAGGUAUUAGCUGAGCGAAAGAUUCAUUUAGUGUAUGGAGGAGGCAGCCUUGGGUUAAUAGGGGGAGUGUCAAUAGCUGCAUUUUUAGGAGGUACUCAAGUUUUGGGGGUAGUCCCCAAAGCUUUAGCAUAAGGGGACAUCAUUGGAAAAACAAUUGGAGAGGAAUUACAAGUCCCCAUAAUUUCUGAUCGACUGAAUGCCAUGUUUAACCAUGCUGAUUCCUUCAUUGCCUUACCAGGUGGUCUGGGCACAUUGGAAGAGAUCUUUCAUAUUUCCUCUUGGGCCCAACUGCACAUUCACCAUAAACCCAUAGGUUUGUUAAAUGUUAAUGGUUUUUAUGAUAAGUUGUUGUCUUUUCUUGUUCAUGCUAUGGAACAGGAAUUUCUAACAUCUUCAGCACGACAAAUCAUAAUCUCUACUGCUACUGCUGAACAAUUGAUUGACCAACUACAAUCUUUCAUCCCUGUAAUUAAUCCCUCCAUGAGUCGCAUAAAAUUGGUCAACUAAGAGAAAGCCGUAAAAAGCUUAGAUGUGGAUUUGAGCUUCGUUUGUAAAAACUUUGUGUCUUUUGGUUUUAUUAUUGUGUUUUGUUGUUUCUUAUAUUUGUUUAAGUGUGUUUCAGGUUUGUCAGUGUUCGUUAUUUCAGGUGAUGUCUUCUAUACUCUAUCUUUCUACCUUAAGACAUUGAGGACAAUGUUUCAUUUUGGUUGGGGGGAAAGGGUAGUAGUUGAUAAUUAAAAAAAAAAAACUAAAACGGUGGAGCAUAAGGAGGUGCAUAUCCAUGAGAAUUUUGGAAAUUAUGGUGUGCUUGAAACGGUGGCUGUGAAGUUUGUGUAUUAUUGUUAUUACUCUUCCAACUGAAAUUUGGGUGAUUUCUCCAACCAGGGUUAUACAUUUGUGAGUAUAGGUUAUGGUUGGGCCUUUGGAAACUGUUUAAAGCAUGGGCUUGUUCAUGGAGGCAUUCCUUAAAAGAAGGCAAAGUUGGACAAUCAUUUGUUGAGUGUUCCUUGGUUUCACAGAUUUGACACACAAUGUCUUGAACAGAUUUUAAUUGACCACUCUUUUUGAAUUCAAGUGCUUCGACUUUUCUAUCUAAAGAUGCAAACUUGGCUUGGAGGUCAUGAUCUUCCCUAAGGUUGUGCAUACCUCCACUAGAUGUAUGAGGCUGAGUUUUACUUGGUGCCUCAUAAGUAUCUGUGGUAUCCCAAUUUUGAGCAUUUUCGGCUAACAAGUCUAGGUACUCCAUUGCUUUAUUAGGGUCUUUAUCUUUAAAAGUUCCAUUGCACAUCAAUUCAACCAUUUGCUUAUCUCUAGGUGUUAAACCUUCAUAAAAAUGUGAAACCAAUCUCCAUGUUUCAAAACCAUGAUGAGGGCAAGUAUUAAGCAAAUCUCGAUACCUAUCCCAACAUUGGUAAAAUGUUUCUCCUGGCUUUUAAGUUAAAGUGAUGAUUUGUCUUUUGAAAGAGUUUGUUCUGUGAGACGGGAAAAACUUCUUUAAAAAUUUUUGUUGCAUUUCAUCCCAAGCACGAAUAGAUCCUGGUCUCAAAUUUUGUAGCCAUGUUUUAGCUUUAUCUUUUAAUGAAAAAGGAAAAAGCUUUAAUCUGAUAGUGUUCAUGCUACAAUUUGAGUCAUUAUAGGUAUUACAGACCUCCUCAAAUUCCCUUAAAUGCAAGUAUGGAUUUUCUAGGUCUAAACCAUGAUAAGAAGGUAAAAGUUGAAUAAUGCCUGGCUUAAAAUUAAAAUGAGAUGCAUCAGGAGGGAAAACUAUGCAUGAUGGUGCACUUGUUCUUGUGGGAUUCAUGUGGUCUCUAAGUGUUCUCAUACGAUUAUUCUCAUUAUUCUCAUUAUGAAGUGAUUGAUUAUCUUCUUCGGCCAUAUUUUCUGAAAAUGAUAAGGAUACCCUAUAAAGUUUACCACUUAAUGUACGUGACCAAACUCUUAUGCACGUGUAAGAAGAGAAUAAAAGGAAGAAAAUAAAAGAGAAGAAAAAGAAACAAAAGUUAGAUAAAAUGAAAAAUGAAAAGAGAAAAUAAAAUAAAUAUUAUAAUUUAUACAAGAAUUUACCUCCCUGGCAACGAUGCCAAAAACUUGACACGACCAAAAGAUUGAUGUCUUCUCCCAAGUGCAGGAGUGUCGAAGUAAUAAAUAACUCGGCAAGACCGGGGUCGAACCACGAAGAGGUUAAUUGUAUAAAUUAUAAAUAACAAUACAACAACAACAACAACAAUAAUAACAACAACAAUAACAAUAAUAGUAAUAAUAAUAUUAAUAGUAGUAAUAAUAAUAAUAAUACUUAGUAGUAAUACUAAUAAUAAUUAUAAUAGUAAUAAUAAUAGUAGUAAUAUUAAUAAUAAUAAUAGUAAUAAUAAAGAGAGCUUUGAGAUGUAAAAUUGAUGUAAGGAUUAAACAAUGAUAAAAACAAAUGUCAAGGUUAGAGGAUCCACUAAUGGUACUUCAAACAAGUAUAGUAUAAACUCUUAUUACUCAAUUGGAAACCACACAUAAAGGAGGAUCCAAUCAAAUUAUAAAUUGUUAACAUGAUUACAUUAGUUAUCUUAUUCGAAUAAAGCUAAUACUUGUAAAUGUUGGCAGGCAUUCAUGAUUAUAACUUAUGUUAACAACAAAUCAAGUUUCUUUCAUAGCUCAGGUGUCGGUUAUACCAUACAGUAUGGGCUAUGAAAGUGCCAAGUAUUUGUUGUACCAAGUGUUAUACAACAUAAAUCUAGAUUAACCAUUUAAUAAGCAAAGUACUAAAAGUGAACAAGAUAACAAAUAUAAAACAUGUUAGUAUCCAACGUUAAGGUCCAUGUUAAGUUUAUACUAUACUUAUUUUUACACUAUUAGAGUAUCAUUUUCACCUUGACAUAAUUAACUUAGCUAAACAUAAUGAAAGAAAGAAACAUAAAUGAACAAGAUAGGAACAUAAAUGAGAAAGAAGUUAACUAAGUAAAGGAAAGGAAAUGAAGUGUAUAAACUUGAUAUUAAUGAAAGCAAAACAUAAGAAAUACAAAGAGAGAAAGCAAGAGCAUGAUCUUGAUCUGGAAACCAAGAUGCCUCAAUACAUGGUAAGUGCCUCCUUUUAUAGGCUAAAAUUUGGAACUAUUGAUUUGUUGACUAAUUGAUGAGUGGGUGGCCACAUCUUGACUUGGUGACAAUCCUUAUCUUCUUGUCUGAACAAGACAUCAUUGCUAACAUCAUAAUUUUCCCAGAAUCCUCAGGAAUGUUCUAGGAAAUUGUCUCAGCUUUCCAACAACAAAAAAAGAUGAGGUCAUUUGGACUUCUAGAACUCAAGAUAUGGGCUGAACACUAAAUAGUGUCUGAGCUGCAAGACAGCUUCAGACUUCUUCGUUGUUUCUAUAAUUUGGACUUGAAAAAUGCCUUCUUAGAUCUUGGUGUCCAAAUGAAAGUUGUAGGCCUAUGUUUUACCUUUCCAUCCAUAUAAAAUGGACCUAAAUCCGAGAUCUAGAGCUCCAGAUAUGAUCCAAUUACCGAGCAAUGUUCCGGUUUGGAUUGCACCAGCAUCUCUUUUCUAGGUUUGGCCAUCUCUUUGUCCUUUCACUUUCAAUGCUUAAACUAAUCAAUCAAUCCUUUUAUUUAUGUGAUAGUCCUGCAUUUAAGAUGAGCAUUUACUAUAAAUUAAGGUAUCUUAUAGUAUUAAACUUGUUAUUAUAAAACAUGCUUUAGUUGAGUUAUUGAUACUUCAAGUGCAAAAUGAUGAUAUAAAACCUUGAUAAACAUGCACUUUUAAGUACUAAUCAGUCACCUUAUAGACUAGUUUAUGGAAAACCUUGUCACUUGCCUGUGGAAAUUGAAUAUAAAGCUUAUUGGGCUAUUAAAGCUUUCAAUUCAAACCUUGAUGAUGCUAGUCAGCUGCGAAAAUUACAAAUAAAUGAGCUUGAGGAAAUAAGAAAUGAUGCAUAUGACAAUUCAAGAAUUCAUAAAGCAAGAAUCAAAGACUUUCAUGACAAGAAAAUACUGAGAAAAACAUUCAAUGUUGGUCAAAAAGUCUUGCUUUAUAAUUCUCGACUCCAUUUAUUUCCUGGAAAACUAAGAUCAAGAUGGAGCGGUCCUUUCAUUGUGAAACAUGUGUAUCCAUAUGGGGCCUGUGAUAUUGAGAAUCCAAAGAAUGCAAUGUUUUCAAGGUAAAUGGGCAUCGUUUGAAAGUUUAUUUUGACAAUUUUUCAGUUGAAAAUGACUCUAUUGAAUUGAGUGAUCCUGUAUAUAAAGAUUGAUUCUUUUUCUCACAUUGUUUUGUGUUUUGUUUUGGUGUAUCUAUUGUUUUGCUAGUCUCUCUCUCACCCCGGUCAAAUGGCGGAUAACGGUACUCCGUGACAUAAGUCGGUUCUUUCAGUUUCCCAAAUAACUGAUAUCUGUAUAUAUUUGUACAAUUCUGUGCUCUUUCUCCCUUCUUUGAAUCUCGUCUCCAAUUCUCUUUUGAAAAUGGACACCACUCUUGAAAAGUUGAAAAGGUAUUUUCCGCUCUGCCUCCAAAUGCGAUUACAAAAUUUACCGUGCUAGGUGUGCAAGAUUGAGGUUGUUAAUGAAUCAUGGAAUUCCUGAAGAUAUUCGCUGGCUAAUUGAAGCAAAGGUCGAUUAUCAGGUGAGUCCUCAAAUUCUUUCAUUUCACACAUGCCUGGAACAGGUACAAGCACUUUUGCAAAGAAACGUCGUGCAAAACGACUGAAAGUCUGUCACAGAUGUGCCAGAUGGACUUGUAAUGCGACAUGUCGUUCUUUAGGAAUGGUAUCUGUAAACCGUGAAGAUAAGAUACAAUUCAUUAAGGAUGGCCUGAGUAAGGGGUCUUUAGAUAAUCUUUUGUUGACCCUUGAGACGCAUCCUAGUGGAGAUGUGCAUCGUGUAAUUCAUGAUUUAUGGCCACAAUUCCAUAAAGAACAUGAUCGACUUAGUCUUGGGAAUCUGACUAAAAAAGACCCUGUUUGCCAGUUUUUAAGAAAACUGGAUGGGAAGCCUAUCCCCGACCCAUAGAGGGCGUUUAAGCCGUUCUUGGACGUAAAACCAAGGGAAGAUGUGAGCCACAAUCACAACUACCUGUACAUACAUGAUUUGUCAAAAUAAAUAAAUAAAGGAAGAGAGAGUGUGAGACAACAGCUGGCCUACAUAUAGGUGGUAUGAUUGCAUUUUCAAAUUCUCAUCUAUAAAUUCUUCUUUUCCUUCCCUUCAUUUCUACUCAACCCAUACAUUCAUCAAAUAUAGAAGUGUGUAGAAAUGGCAGGUUCCUCAAGUCAUCACAUAAGAAAUAUUUGUGUUUUCGGUGGAUCCAGUCCUGGGAAAGAAAAAGAGUUUUUAGAAUCAGCAAAUCAUCUUGGUCGGGUACUAGCUGAGAGAAAGAUUCAUUUAGUGUAUGGGGGAGGUAGCCUUGGGUUAAUGGGAGGUGUGUCAAUGGCUGCAUUUUGGGAGGCAGUCAAGUUUUGGGGGUUGUCCCCAAAGCUUUAGCAAAUGGGGACAUCAUUGGAAAAACAAUUGGAGAGGAACUACAGGUCCCACAAUGUCUGAUCGACUAAACGCCAUGUUUAACCAUGUUGAUGCUUCAUUGCCUUACCAGGUGGUCUGGGCACAUUGGAAGAGAUCUUUCAUAUUUCCUCUUGGGCCCAACUGCACAUUCACCAUAAACCUAUAGGUUUGUUAAAUGUCAAUGGUUUUUAUGAUAAGUUACUGUCUUUCCUUGAUCAAGCUGUGGAACAGGAAUUUCUAACAUCUUCGGCACGACAAAUCAUAAUCUCUGCUGCUACUGCUGAACAAUUGAUUGACCAACUACAAUCUUUCAUCCCUGUCAUUGAUCCCUGCAUGAGUCGCCUAAAUUGGUCAACUAAGGAAAGCCGUAAAAAGCUUAGAUUAGAUUUGAGCCUUCAUUUGAAACCUUGUGUCUUUUGGUUUUAUUAAUAACAUAUUAUUUUGUUUUGUUACUUAUAUUUGUUUAAGCGUGUUUCAGGUUUGUCAUUGUUCGCUGUUUCAGGUGAUGUCUUCUAUACUCUAUCUUUCUACCUUAGGACAUUGAGGACAAUCUCUCGUUUUGGUUGGGGGGGGAGGGUAGUAGUUAAAAAAACAAAAAACCUAACUUACUAACUGUUUUUGCUAUUAUUAAAACCAUUUGACAAAAUUGUUGUUAGGAUGGCAGAGUAUGGAGUCGGUUUUAUUAACUCUUGAGAUGCAUCUUAGUAAGUAUCCUUAUUAGGAUGGCAGAGUAAGGAGGAAAUUUUAUUGACUCUAGAGACGCAUCUUAGUAAGUAUCAUUACCAAGGUCUAUCAUAAUACUUCUUGAAAUAUUCAGGUUUACAAACUCUCACAUUGUUAUCACUUGAUUCUGCUCAUAUACUCAUUUAACAAGUAUUCUUAAACCUUCAUUUUCACACACACACUUUAACAUAUGAUUGUGGGUUGCACAUUGGAUUAUUACAUUAAUUAUGUUCUUUUGUUGAAGGUAACAACUAAGGGAAAUGGAUAGUAUAUAAAUUGCAAGAAAAAAAAAUAAUACAAAAAAAAUUGAUAAUAUUGAUGAUAAUAAAAACGUAGAUAAGUUUGGUUUCGUAGCCUCCUUAACCUAAGCAAUUAAGCCUGAAAGGGUGUUUUAACACCUAAUACCCUAAAGUCAACUGACUUGGGAGCUAUUGGCCCAAAGCUUGUUACAUGGGUUAUGGAGAAAGGCUUAAGGGAAUCAAACAUUUCACUAUCUACGUAUCAGUAUCUGCAACUCGAGUUGCUAAGCUCGUAGGGUUGUCUCAACACCUAAUGCCCUAAGACCAACUGGUCUGGGAGUCAUUAGCCUAAAACUCGUUACAUGGGUUAAAGAUACAUUGUGUUUUAAGUUGUAUGUGUAUUCAAAAAAAAAAAAAAAUAAUAAUAAUAAUAAUAAUCCUAACCCAAGGAAGUUAACCUUAAACAUUCGAACAUAAUAUUGUUUUCUUCCAACAAAAGCCCCAUCGUCUAUGUUUUCAUACAUUGAGCACAUAAAAAGAAGGUUUAUUAAUAUCUUGUUUAAGAAGUAUGAAGCAGAAAUAUAAAUUUAAUGAGAGUUUGUUUAUCUGGAUAGAUUAAUGGAAGUUGAAUGAUGAAUGCCUUGCUUUAUGGAACUUGCAAAUUGUUUUUUCUAUUUUAACGCUUUGAUUAUUAGGGACUAGUAAUAAGCUGGUUGGGGGGUGAUUAAUACUUAAAAGUGCAUGUUUAUUAAGGUUUUAUAUCAUCAUUUUGCACUUGAAGUAUCAAUAACUCCUUAACUAAAGCAUGUUUUAUAAUAACAAGUGUGAUACUAUAAAAUGCCUUAAUAUAUGGUAAAUAUUCAUCUUGAAUGCAGGCUUAUCACAUAAAUCAAAGGAUUGAUUGAUGAAUUCAACUACUGAAAUUUUGAAGAUAAAGAAGGGUGAAGCUUAGAAAAGAGAUGUUGGUGCAGUCCAAACUGGAACACUAUUUGGUAUUUGGGUCAUAUCUUGAGUUCUAGAUGUCCAAAUGAUCUCAAAGUUUUACACAGAUUUGGUGAGAUAUAAGCCUACAACUUUCAUGUGAACAGAAAAAUCUAAGAAGGCCUUUUUCAUGUCCAAAUUAUAGCAACAAUUGGAGAAGUCUGAAUCUAUCUUGCAGCCCAGACACUGUUCAGUGUUCAGCCCAUAUCUUGAGUUCUAAAAGUCCAAAUGACCUCAACUUUUUUUUCCUGGAAAGCUAAGAGAAUUUCCUAGAACUUUGAUGAUUUCAUAUGGUUCCAGUUCUGAUGUUAGAAAUGACAUUUUAUUCAGACAAGAAGAUAAGGAUUUUCACUAAGUCAAGAUGUGGCCACCCACUCAACAAUUGUUCAUCAAAUCAAUAGUUCCAAAUUUUGGUCUAUAAAAGGAGGCAUUUGCCAUGCAUUUAGGCAUCUUGGUUUCCAGAUCAAGAUCAUGCUCUUGCUUUCUCUCUUUGUAUUGCUUAUGUUUUGCUUUCAUUAAUAUCAAGUUUAUGCACUUCAUUUCCUUUCCUUUACUUAGUUAACUUCUUUCUCAUUUAUGUUCUUAUCUUGUUCAUUUAUGUUUCUUUCUUUCAUUAUGUUUACCUAAGUUAAUUAUGUCAAGGUGAAAAGGGUACACUAAUGGUGUAAGAAUAAGUAUAAUAUAAACUUAACAUGGACCUUAAUGUUGGAUACUAACAUGUUUUAUAUUUGUUAUCUUGUUCACUUUUAAUACUUUGCUUGUUAAAUGGUUAAUCUAUAUUUAUGUUGUAUAACACUUGGUACAACAAAUACUUGGCACUUUCAUAGCCCAUACUAUAUGGUAUAAUCGACACCUGAGCUAUGAAAGGAACUUGAUUUGUUGUUAACAUAAGUUAUAAUCAUGAAUGCCUGACAAAAUUUACAAGUAUUAGCAUUAUUCAAAUAAGAUAACUAAUGUAAUCAUGUUAACAAUUUACAAUUCGAUUGGAACCUCCUUUGUGUGUGGUUUCCAGUUGAGUAAUAAAAAGAGUUUAUAUUAUACUUGUUUGAAGUACCAUUAGUGGAUCCUCUAACCUUGACAAUUAUUUUAUGCUUGUUUAAUCCUUACAUCAAUAUCACAUCCCAAAGCUCUCUUUAUCUUAUUAUUAUUGUUAUUGGUGUUGUUGUUGUUGUUGUUAUUGUUGUUCAUAAUUUAUAUAGUUAACCUCCUUGUGGUUUGACCCCGGUCUUGCCGGGUUAUUUAUUACUUCGACACUCUUGCACUUGGGAGAAGACAUCAAUCUUUUGGUCAUGUCAGUGGUGAUGAAACACCGAUCUAACAAUGUUGAAAAUAAUGCAUUAUGAUCAAUAUGCAUGUAUACUUACCUGAGAAAAAUAGGUCCCCAUUUCUUCAUGAUGUCUUUCUUUUCUCAAAAGUUGGAGUGUUAGCAAUGAACUUCGAUGGCUUUUUGGCUCUUGCUUACUCGAGUCAUCUAUUGUGAUCUUGACCUCUAGGAAGGACUUGUGAUCAUCAUACUUCUUUGUCCUCCACCCUUUAUCUCAAAGGUUGCCGAUUUUGCCCAGCAGUUUCUUAGAAAGGGAAUCGUGGAGCCAGCCUUACCAGAUAUAUAUAUUUUUUUUGCUCCCCAACUUGAUCAUGCCCCCAAGUGUUCAAUUCAGGUUUGGGGAUGAGGCUAUGUGAAGGAAGGUUUGACAAGGAGUUUUUUUCAUGCAAAAUUUUUGGAAUUCCAAAGCUAUUCCAGACACAGAAAUCAGUUUGACAUCGAUUCAAAGCAAACUCAUUAUGAAGAAAUUCAAGUGAUUCCUAUAGAGAGGUUAUUCGAAGUGAUGAAAACUUUUUGUUUUGCUUUUGGUGAAAAAUAUGAAGUGACAUUUGGCUGGUCGAAAUGGUUCAAUAUGAGACUUUCAAAGAACCAGUCUUGAAAGCAUUCAUUUUAUUUGCAUGAAUAAUGAUUUGGUUCACAUGAGAAAGCAUUGCCUACUGAUCCAGAUUGCUUGCCUUUGAUCAGAAAGGACUUAAUUAGGCACGUAAUGUAGGCUGGGGCUCUUGGUUAUGAAGAAAAUGAUAUUUGUAGGCUCAAAAGGUGUUUAAGGGAUUUCAAGACUAAGGAUCACCUGUGCUUGUUUCCUGACCUUUUAUCAUUUGAAUGUCUUUCCAAAACUAUCUAUUGUGCCCCCUAGUGUUGGGCUUGGACUUUUUCUCUUUGUUUUUGUUCUCUUCAUUUGGUUUUGAGCAUCAUCGUAUUGGUUUCUUUUUUUUUCUGCUCAAAAUCAUUGGAUCCUUUGGAUUUUUCUUCAUGCCCCCAAGCUUUGUUUGGGCACCUUUGAUGAUUAAGAAUUUUUGUUGAUGCCCCCUAGUGUUGCUCGGGCACUUUCAAUCAUUAAGGUUUUUUUUUUCUAUAUCAUCGCACUUGCCCCCAAUGUGGGGUGUAAUCCUAGCCAAGGUUAUUCAUCUCAAGAAAAGUAUUAGGCUCAAAAGGGGACUGCAAAUGAUAUAUUUUAGCCUCGUGAACGGAUUAUCAAAAAUGGCCUUUCCUCGUCUCAAACUUAUGCACUUAGGAUCGGUAAGCUUUGCUUUCAUGCGAGUAUGCAACGUAAUUUCUCAUUAUUCAUUCAAAUAAAACUCAACUUUUGGAGUCACAUCAUGAUGUGUGUUUGGUUUUUUUUUUUGUGUUUUGUGUUUUUUUUUUGUUUUGUUUUCUAGGUGUAUGGUUACCUUUCUAAGGAAUCACCUGAAUUUCUGGAACUCAUUUGUUUUUUGGACAAACAUCAAUAUGAUUUCUAUUUUUGUACUAAACUUUGAAUUCCUAAAAAUCCUGAUGUGCGAUCAUGCAUAAUUUUGGAUGAAAGGGGAAACAUACCCAAGGAUUCUUGGUGUAAUGGCUUCAUACUUAACAGUUACGCUCAAUAUGUUCUUUUUAUGAAACAACAAAAAAAUGAAGGUAUGUUAUGAAUACAGGAAAACACAUUAUCUUAUUAACAAGAAAGGCUCAUUUGACAGGGAAAGUUUUUUUUUUUUUAUGAAAUUUUGAGCCAAAUUACCAACUAGAACAGGUUGAAACAAAAAUCAAGAAGUUUUCUAGGCAUGAUCAAACUAAGGUUUUUCUUUUUUCAGAACAACAACAGGCUCCAUUCUGUACUGGCGGUGCAAUUCCCUUUUAGUCCGCCUUCCCACAAAAGAUUUUGUAGAAAUACAGGAUUGUGUUGAGGCUCUUGACUACGUUUGCCCUCAAUUUCUUCGAGCUGAGUCGUUGUUAGGUUUUGAACAAAGAUGAUAGGUCGAUUGAAAGGAAACUUUCCUAGAAUUAUGUUUCAGUAUUUGCUCGAGUAAGCUAGAGGCAAGUCAAACUUGUCUUCAGAAACUCCAACUCUUCUUAAAAAGGGACCUUUCAGCGAACACACUCUUCAUCUUUCGUGCUUUUUGCUCAAAGUCGGGUGUUGUAGACUCGUAGGGGACCUACUUUUCAUCCCGGUGCAUGCAUGGCAAAUGAAUGAACAUGUGAUCUAUAUGAUGAACUCGCCCUUCAAGGGGCGACAAUAUGGUCAUAACUCUUGUAUGAUGGAACAAGAAUUGUGAUUUUUGCCCAAACUCUACAAUGAAAAUUUUCGAAGUGACGGCCAAUGUGUCACCCACAAGUCUUGAGUUCAAGAUGCUUCAAGAAGGGUUUGCUCUAAUGCAAAUAACGAUAACACAUACAACCUAAGGACAAGUUCUAUUUAUUAUGUGAACAUGGGUAGGUUUUCUACCUGGUCUCAAGAGGGUCUCAUAUAUGCCCAGUGAUGUUCUUCAUAAAGACAGUAUGGGGGCGUUGCAAGGAAUAGUUAAGGCACGUAUACCCACCAUUACCAAGCAGGCACUCAGAUAUGAGUUGGGUGUUUCACGCAUCUGAACCCCGACCAAUAGUCUUAGGGCAGAUUGCUAGUUCCCCACCUAUCCUAAAAGCUUGUGUGUGCUUUCAAAAUUAAAACAAUGUGAUGCAUGAGACAAUUCUAUAAAAUGCAUGGAAAAAAAAUAUUAACAAAAAGAUAAAAAUGCAAAAACUUAAACACAUCAAAUACACAAAGCUUAGUCCAAUAAUGUCAGAAACAGUACCUUCCCUAGUGGAGUCGCCAUUCUGUCGCACGUCAGAAAAUCUGUGCGGCAUCGGCUUGGCCAUUUUUUCAUUGUGCAUUGUGCAUUGCUUUGCUUUGAUUCGUUGGAGUCGCCACCUAGUAAUUUAUUAAAGACUACUAGGAAACCGAAUGUACUGGUCUUGUCAGAGAUUCGCGGGUAAGGGACUAGUUGUGGUUAGGGAAGGUAUUAGCACCCCUAACGCACCCUACCUGAGGUAAGUUGCUUCGUGGCUUUGACAUGUUAAAGAAGUUUUAAAAUUUUGUUUUUUCAUCGGAUAUUAGAAAUACAACUUACGUAUAAGUUAAUAAUUCUGGACCGUGAGUCAAUCAAAAUAUUAAAUUCUUCUUUAAUCUUUGCAAUUUUAUCAUAAAUAAUAAAAAUAAUAAAAACAUCCAUAAAACAAAUACCAACACACACAUACACUUUCACUAUAUUUAUUUCUGUUCUUUUCUUUUUUUGGUUACAUCCACAUUUACAACAUAUAAAUAAAAAUUAAUACUAAACAAAAACAUUACAUCAACCAAUUUAAAAUUACAAAACAUCCCCUAAAACAUCCUAGGGAUUCUGGAACAAUGCACGGGAAUAGUGGUGCGCGUCUUCCCACGCGCCCCGGCCACUAGCGGCGUGUGGGUUCACGCGCCGCCGCGAACAAGGCCGGAAAACGGGUGGAUCUGGCUCAGCUUCCUUUCCUUUUCCCUUCUCUGCUGGUGGUGACACCCACCGUCACCUGCAAACGAAGAAAAGAACACAGGCAGUCGAUUUUAUAUUUUUUGUUUUUGUUUUGCAGAUCUGCUUCUCUGGUUUGGUUUUUUUUCUGCAGCCAGUGUCUUUUCGUAUCCCCUUGUUCUCCGUUUCAAAUGGCCGGCAGUGUCACCAUAGGGCUUGUCGCACCUCAAAAAAAAUCCCGCGCGGCGUUCGAUGGCGAUUUUUUCGUUUGUUGUUGCUUGAUUUGGUUCUUUGGAGUCGCCACCUAGUAUUUUGGUCACUAGGAACCCUAACUGGUCUUUCAGAGAUUCUAAGGCAAGGGACUGGUUGCGUAAAGGGAAGGUAUUAGCACCCCUAGUACGCCCUACCAAAGGUAAGCUGUUUGGUGUUUGGUUUUCUCUAUAAUUGCUAUGGUGUUGGUGUUUUCUAAUCCCAUCAAUUUUCCCAAGUUUGAUUCAAAUAAAAUUUGUUUAGAUAGAAAUCCAAGGAGAUUUCAUGUGUUUUGAAAGCUCAUUUUUCCCUUAGUAUUUCAAGAGUUUGCAACUCGUAAAUCGCAAGGAGGGACAAAAAAUUUAGAAAUCUAAGGAAAUUCAAAGCGCUUUAAAAGCCUCAUUUUGCCUUAGUAUUUCAUACUUUCACGGCUUGUAAACCGUGGAGUCAAAAAUUUGAAAUUUUGAAAUGUCCUCGAUUAUAAUCAAGGCUUCUUUCAAGGAUGUGUGCGGAUUUAUUACUCCCAAUAAUAUUUUGGAUAUUCGUCCUUUACGGAUUUCUUUAUCCAAACAUUAGCGGUGAAUAAUAGAUGAAUUCCCCCUACCCAAAAUAAGAUUUUUAUAGUUUUUAGAAUACUGGCCAAUACCCUUUGGAGUUUUACAAACAUGUUGUAAAAUCCAGAAAUGCAAGAAAAUAAUUUGUGUUUAAGAAAUCUAUGCGAAAACACAUUUUCAAAACUUCCAAUAUUUUUUUUUAUAUAAAAAGAACAUUCAAAACAUGUUAGAGUAUUGGACGUAUGCAUGAAAACAAAAACAUUUUUUUUAAUAAAUAUUUUUUUGUUGACGAAAACCGGGUAUUUUAAUACCGGAUUUGUAUCUUUGUAGUAUAAAAAUACAAACCGAUAUUAAUCAAAAUACGGUAAUAAAAUUGCAGAAAAAUCACAAAUUCUUUAAAAUAAUUUUUUAAGAAUUUUUAUUUUUUUAAUAAACAAUUUUUAGGUUUGGCCUCGUUUGGCCCAUAUGGCUGGGCUAGACCUAGCAGGCCUAACCGGGUCACUGGCCUGAGCCAGUGUCCUGGGUGGAAGCUCACGUGUGCAUGCUUAGUACCAUAUACAAAUGGUACUGUUUAAGUGAAUUAUAAUUCGCUAUGAACAGUCAAAAUGCAAAAGGAAACCACGCAUAGUAACAUGCAAAAGAAAACCACGCAUAGUAAUAUAUGGUACUGUUCAAGUGAAUUAUAAUUCACUUGAACAGUAACAUUUGCACUUCACUGUUCAACUGAAUUAUAAUUCACUUGCACAGUGAAAAUGCUAAAGGAAAUCACAUGCACAGAGAUGCAAAACGCUUACCUGGACGUGGAACCGAAAGGAACGAAGACGAUGUCGAACACUCACAGUGAUGCUGGUGGCGGUGGAGAGGAAGCCGACGAGGGCUCACGGUGGUGCUGACUGUGGUAGUGGCUGGUUUGGCAGUGGCGUUGCUGUGGCUCCUCUUCCUCUUCCUUACUGUUUUGGCGCUGCUUCUUCUCUUUAUUUCCUUUGCUCCCUCUGUCAACAAGGUUCUUCUCUUUCUUCAACAGCUUCGCGGAGAUGCUGGUGGUGGCAGCCUGGGAAGUGGCCUGGAUGGUGGCCAGCCCUUCUUCCUCUUCUUCUGUGCGUUUUUCUCUUCAGCUCUGUUCUCCUCUGUUUUCGUUUCUUCCUUCCGCUUUUCACAGGGCUGUUGUUGACUGAGAUGGCAAUGGCAGCUGGUGGUUGGCCUUCCUCUUCUCUGCUGCUUCUGCGUUAUUUCUUCUGUUUGUCUAGUCACCUUGCUUCUCUGCUUCUUCUUCCAAGCAGCGGUUCUAAGAGCAAGGUGGGCGGUGGCAGUAUUAUUUCAAAUGGUGGGAAUAGAGAGAAAGAGAGAGGUUAUAGUUCUUCUCUUCCCCUCUGUUUUCCUCCUCUCUUUUGUUCCCGGUGUUCUCCCUCUCUCGUCUCUCGUUCCAAAAAAGCCCCCCCUCCUGUUGCUGGUGUCAAGAGCAGUAUUUAUAGGCUAGAAGGGAGCGGGCUGUUGAUGCGCGUGGGGAGCAGGGGAGCGGCCAGUGUCUUCUGUCGGUGGCCCAACGGCGUGGGGCCUCGGUUGGUUGGUGGGCUAGAGGGACCGGCAAAAAUUAAAAAAAAACUUCUUUUUCCUUCUUCCCCGCUGCAUGUUCGGGGGGAAGAAGAAAGGGGAAUAGUGCCGUUCAAAACGGCAUCGUUCGGCCCUUCUCUCUCUUUGAGUUUUUUUUUAAAUGUAUGAAACGGCGCCGUUUUGGAGAAAACGCGUCGUUUCAUUUAAAUGUGGCACCAGAACGCGCCAAAUUUCAAAUCAGCCCUUAAUCAUCUUUUUUCCUUUCAAUUGCAUCCCUGCCAAUUUCUGUCCCCGUCCCUAUAGUUGGCCACGUUUUCCACCUUGGUCCUUGGCCUCUAAUUUAUGCAAUUUAGCCCUCAAUUGAUCAAAAAACUUCCAAUUUCUUCAAUUAGGCCCCUGGAUCAAUUCAAUACAGCCCCCCUAUUUACGCGCCUUUUCCAAAUUGGUCCCUGGUUUCGGAUUUUCUCAAUUAAGCCCCUAAUUGGCCAUUAAACUUCAAUAUUUAUGCAAUUAAGCCCCUGAUUUGACCCAAUAAAAUCCUAAAAAAUAUAUUUUGGCCCUAGAACUUAAAUUUCUUCUAAUUAAAGCCCAAAUUGACUUAAAAAUCAAUUUUCCUCGAAAUCAAAUCCUCUAUAAAUCCAAUUAAAAAUCCAAUUAAGUCUAUAAACAUCCAAAUUUGGGCUUUUCUCCUCAAAAUUUAAAUUUUCCUUCUAAAUAGGGCCCUCAUCCUUCAAGAAUAUACUGUCAAAAAUCCAAUCUUUGUAUUUUUAUACUCCUUGACCAAUUUUCUGACCAUCUUCUGAGUGCUUCUGCCUUCCGUUAUUUUUCUAACCUCCUUUGGCUAUUUAUUUUAUUUAUUUUUGUGGGGACUCGAAAAUGGGUUACAACAGGGCUGCUGGCCUUUGGGUUUUGUCUGAUCUGCAACUAUCGGUGGCCGGUGAAUCUGUGGACGGUGCUGCUAUGGCUGACAGAAGAAAGCGGACCAAUUUGGGAUCUGUGGGUGCCGCUGUCGGGCUGCUAUCGGGCGGUUGAAGGGGAGAAGGCCGGGUCGGCUGAGAGAGAUACGAACUCAUGGGGGAGAUGGAGGCAGGUUCAGGAGCUGCUAUGGGUGAAGAAGAGUUAGUGUGGGUUUGUGAGGGAGAGGGGGCUGUGAGCCGGGAAGAUUUGGUGCGGUGAGGGGCUGAGAAUUUGUGUAUCUGGUAAGGAGGACCGACUGAGAGGAGAAUGAGGUGACUGGUCUCUGGUAAUUUGUGUUCUUUUUUUGUAUUUUCCUGAUGUUUCAAAAUUGCCUCCAUUUUGUGUGAGUUGAAAACCAGUAUUUAUAGGCAAAAAUAUUGCUAGGUUUUCAAACUUGGUCCCUCAACUUCUUUCUUUUUGUAAAUUUGAUUUUUCUUGUAUUUUUUGAAAACGAGCAAUAUCAACGUCAACUCGAUGAGGAAAAUCAAUGAUUUAAAACAUAACACGUGAAAAGUCGAACGCGUUCGAACGACCCUUAAAAAUUUUAAUUCUUUUUAGACAACGCUAAAAAUGCUAAAAAUGACACAAAUAUAUUAAAAAGGUAUUUUUUUGGAUUUUCGAUGUUUUUCUUUAUUUUUGGAUUUUUCUGAAAAUUUAUCAAAACAUAGGUCAAAAAUUGGGUAGCAACAAGCAUCAUGCAAGUAAUUUCAAUAUUGAUUAAUAAGAAUAUCCUUGUUGAUUUAAAGGACUAUUUUCAUCAUUCAUAUCGAAAAUAAUUAUGUUUUGCACAUAAUAUUUAACAAAAAUGAUUGAAGGAAUGAUAUAUUAUUGAAUAUGAGCAAAUUUAAGGUUACAAUCUAUUAGUAUUCUUACAACGGAAGGAUUACCACUCAAACUUUACAAAGGGACGAACGACAUCCUUUGCGUUAGGAUGCUCCCACUCCACUACUGUCUCCCACAAUUCUUUUGGAUACACUAUGAUUUCUUUAAGAGAAGGGGAAGGAGAUGGCUGGCCAUUUUCAAGCAACGGAAGACAAAUUGGCAUCCUCUUCGGCUUCUAACAACGGAUUACAGUAAUUUCUUUAAGAGAAUUGCAAAUCAGUUUUGCACUGCAAAUGUGUAACAACCCUAAUUUUUUUAUUAGUUUAUUCGUUAAUCUCCCCCCUAUAAAGGGUAGAUGAAGCAAACUUUUUAUUUUUUUUUUACUCGCCGAAAUGUCUAACGAAAUUUCAGAAGGGUCCCCUCUAUACCGGGAGAUCCCAAGUUAUCGACAAUGUACCUGCACACAUUUUGAAUCACAUCACAUCCAUGUUUAGUACAAUCAACUGCAUAACUCAUUCUAGAUUAUGCUCAGGACCAUAUUCGUUCCCAAACUCCAUCUUACAUCACACAUAAGUUAAUAAUUAAAAGAGCCAAUUUCAGCAUGAAAUUUCAUAUAUAUAUAUAUAUAUAUAUAUAUAUAUAUAUAUAUAUAUAUAUAUACACAACACAGUUUAAUAUUCUAACAUAGUCUAGUACAUUCUAAUAUCCCAAGCAUAGGUUGAUACAUUUAAUAUUUCAGAAACAAAAUAUUACGAAUAGAAUAUUCCAUAUAGGUUACAUGUUUACUACAUGACAAAAUUAUACCACAAAUCCCUAAGUUCCUAACUUAUACAAAAAAGGAUCAAAGAACUUUAAAUCUAUUCCUGACGUGAAUGGGAGGGACCUGCAAAAAUAUAAAUUUUUCAUAUAAUUAAAAACAAAUGAUUAAAAUACAAGCAAUUUACAGAAUAAAAUUAAACAGCAUAUAUAUCUACUUAAAUCAUAUGAGAUUCUAAAUACAACCACAAACCUCUUUUAAUGGUUAUAUAAGAAUUCUUUAUUCUUCUUUCUUUCUUUUUUUUCUGUUGACUACUUCUCCCCCCCCCCUCCUCAUCAGAAAGACUAUUGCCGACUCCAAUGACCUCCAUUAGUGUCUUUAGUUGCCCGUCCAGGAACAACUAAUUAGUUUCAUGAAAAUAUGAGAUUCUAAACGUUUGUGUCAUUAACUAUUUUUAAAACUAAAAUAGUUAAUCAUUGUUUCAUAUUACCUUGGGUGAUUCUCAGGUAUGCCGAUGUCAAGAUUCUUGACAUCAUUAGCUUUCACCUCAGAAAGCUAAUCAAGUAUAUAAAUUUUGCCGAUAUCGACGUCACCCGCCGAUAUCAUUAACUAUUCUGAAACCGAAUAGUUAAUCAAGUUUGUAAAUUUUGCCGAUAUCGACAUCACGUGCCGAUAUCAUUAACUAUUCUGAAACUGAAUAGUUAAUCAAGUUUAUAAAUUUUGCCGAUAUCGACGUCACCCACCGAUAUCAUUAACUAUUCUGAAACCGAAUAGUUAAUCAAGUUUAUAUUUCUCCUCUCAUGUACCAGUAAUGCCGAUGUUAUCCAGCUUGGUUAACAUCAUUAGCCUCCCAUAUCAAGGACAAACAAAUCAAAUUCGAGAAACAAUCUUUACCAAAAUUCGUUGUUACGAUCUAUUUCCUCCAAAAGAACCCAUAAAUUAAAUCUAGUCCUCCGUUUCAUUUUAUUUCAUUUUUUUUCCUCGUCAAUAAGCAUCAAAUUUUUAUAGUUCAAAAGUUAGUUAAAAUGAUUAUUAACUAGAGGAGAUAUAGAUACCAAGUACCUACUUGUUGUGGACGCUCGACUUGCGUUCCCUUGUGGUUGAUGUACUCCUCCUGCGGUUCCUCCUGAAACCAAAAACACCCAUCAUUAUUCCAUAUUAGUCCACAUAUCACACGCAAUAGCAACAUUGGAAAUAAUAUUGAUUUCUCUUUUACCAAAUCUUUUCUUUCUCACUUACAUUUCCUCAUUAUUAUCCUUUAACUUUUCAGCUCAUUAGUAGUCCAAGUGGAUAUCAUAAAUUCAAUUUUGAUCACAGUUUAUUCUUUUUGAAGAUCAAGACACACUUUAUGAAGGGCAAGAAAACAAAUUCUACCCUUAAUAUGGCUAAAUUUUGCCAUUUCAUCAACUUGGCCGAAUCUGCCAAUAGGGGUGGCAGCUUGACCUCUCCUCAAUUUUUUAUUUGUAUCUGGAGUUCUAGAACUCCAAAUUAGGCGGGGUCAGAUUCGUUGGAAAGCUAACAUACAACUUCUAUGAGGGGACCCUCCCUGAAUUCUGUAGUUUUCAGGUGCAAAAUCCCCCCAGGAAACAGGGCAACGAACCUGCCCUGUUUUGUUAAUGGAGAAAGUAUCUCCAAUUCAUCUUAAAUCCCUGCUUCCUCAUCAGUCACAGCCAUGCCUUCCUUUUAUUCAUGGCAUUCCCGUCUCAUUUUAUGUCCUCUUAAGGUCACUUGUACCAAAUUAAUUAAUUAAGCACAUCAUAAGUUCUCAUUCCCUCUCUACAGUAUCCAGCAGAGAACGUGGCCAAGGGAACCAAGAGUUCCCUUCCUCUCUUUUAUGCACUCAUUUCUUCUUUUUCUUUAAGGCACUUAGAUUAUUCUAAUCCAUUUAACCUCACUCAUUUCUACAUUUUCCCAAUAUUUUAUGUUAAAGAACCCUAAUUCCCAAUUCAAGAAAGGCAUAAACUUCUAAUCAAAUUGAAGUUGAUUUCAUAGAAAUUGGAAUUGCAACUCCUUACUUGGAUGGAAAUCUAAACUUUACUUCACAAAUUUUAGAAGAAUCUUAGCCUUCUUCUCCUUGUAUGUAGUCAACCACUCUUCCCCCUCUUUUCUUCACCAAUUCUUCACUUUUCUUCUUGUUAAUUCUUCCACCCGAUUGUGUUCCUCCACUUAAUAAUUCCAAGGCUUAUUUGGGUUUACUAAUUUUAGGUGUUUACUCCAAGUUUUGAUGAAAGAAAAAUCUGAAAUUCUCCCCUCCUCCUUAUUCUUAUUAUCAUCCGGCCAUGGAUGAGAGAAGGGAUGGGUAUUUAUAGUCCCAUCUCUUCUUAAUUCCAUUUUGGCCCCAUCUUUCACCCCUUUUUUUAUUUCUUUAUUUUGUAUUUUUUUUUUUUUGCUUUAUUUUAUAUUAUAACAUUUUGAAUUAUUAUAAACCUCUCCCUCUUUAUAUACUUUAUUCUCGGGCUUCAUAAAAUGCUUUUCAAUUCUGGUAAACCAAACUAUUCCAAAGUUCUUAACUUUGGGAGAAUGAAUUCCGUGAUGGAAUUGGAGAUGCUGCUUUCUACAUCUGUGUUCCUAUUAUCUCCUCCAUUUUCUCACAAUCACUAACAAUAAUCACUUCCAGGUUUAUGAAGUUUGGCAGCAACACAAGUGGGAACAACUUCUUCAUACUGUUACAUCCACCACAAUAAAGCUUUUUAAGACCAGAAAACAUACCAUUAUAUGAUGGCAAUGGUGGUGGAGCAGAGCAGAACCAAGAAGAUGAAACCCUGCUCUCCAUGCUAUUGCAAUCCCAAAUGUUGAUUUCCUCCAGUUCAGUUGCAUUCUCUAAUGACAAAACAUCGCAUAAACUUCUUGCAUCGAUGCAUCCACAAACCAGUCCUUGAAUGCCAUUUAAGAACUUGACCUGAAAAUCUCUAUCUUUGUUGAUAAUCAAACUACCCAACCCAACUGUUUUACUUGGAAAAUCAUUAAAGUCUCCCCAAAAAUCUUUAUCCACCAUUCCUACAAAAAAUUUGUAUGCGCUUAAUGAUUGGAUCCCAUCCCGAGAUCUGAGAUACUCCAUGAAGUCAAAGAGACGUUUGAAAUGGCAUUCCAAAGUUUCCAAAUUUCUCAAGGAUCCUACUUCCUUGAGAAAUAGAGUGGAUAGAUUUGGACACAUUGGUGAAUGGCUGGAAGAAAUUUCUACGAUCUCGUUUUGCAUUAGUGAAACUCUCGUCAGAUUCUCAGUCCACUCCUCUGCAUCUGGCAACUUUUUUAAUUGUGCACCAGCUUUAACCAUGCCUGUAGAGUUCUCUAGCAGUAUUUGGAUGACCAUGUCCCUAAUCAAGUCAUGCAUCUUGACACAUCUACUAUCAUCUUCCAUGGAGGUAGCACCUUCCAAUAAGCAGACAUUUUCAAGCCUAUUAAGCAUCGUGUGGCCCUCACCAAAUGUAUCUCCCCUGCUCCUCUUUCCUUUAAUUAUUCCCUCAUCGAUCAAAUAACCUAUCAACUCCUCCCUUUCAAUCAUAUCAUCUUCAAGAAAUAAUGCACAGUACAAGAGACAUUGUUGAAGUGCUAAAUCACCUAACCGAUCAUAACUAAACCUCAAUAACUUGAAUACUUCUGUGUCCCUAAAUUCUAUUUCUUUCAAUUUAUUCAAUGUAUUCCUCCACUGAUGGAGGUCAUCCACUCCCCUCAAGCUUCUUGCCACUGUAAUAAUUCCCAAUAGCAAACCAGCACAUUCCCUAGCAAUAGCUUUAGCAAUUCCUUCCACUUCUGAAACUGUCAUGUCAUGUCCAAGAUUCUCCUUCAACAAAGUCCAAGCUUCUCCCUCAAAAAGUCGCUUCACUUGGAUUUUGUGAUUGCAAGCAAUUCCAUGACAAACUGUUUCUGAUCGAGUUGUCAAAAUCAGCUUGCAUCCUUUCAAUGAGACAGGAAUUCCCACUUCGUGUAGCUCAAAAUUAUUCCACAAAUCAUCUAAAAUGAGAAUCCAUUUUUGUUUCUUCCUUAGUUCUUCUGACAAUUUGGCAGGUCUGAGCUGAACAUCAUCUUCGCUUGAAAGGUCUCGAUGAAGAUGUUUAGCAAUAAGAUUCUGCAAUCUAUUAAUGCUGAAAUCUUGAGACAGAGUCACCCACCAAACAUGAUCACAAAUAUCUGGUCUUUGUAGAAGCUCAUUAUGGAUAUGUUGCAGUAUUGUUGUUUUACAAACUCCCCCCAUCCCAUAAAUGCCAAUGGUUGGGACUUCAUCAUCCAUUAACAAAGAACAUAUCACCUUCUUAUUCUCUUCAAAUGCUUGACCCACAUUUAUAGAGCUAGUAGGUAAUGGAACUCCUCUAGUCUUGUUGUUUUUCAGACUUUCAGAAGAUCUAGUAGGUAAUUGAUCUUCCAUUUCUGCCCUUCCCCUUGCAGUAACUCCUACUAUUGUUGUAAUUCCACAGUCAUUAACAUUGACUGCAGUUGCUGUGAUUUUUUGUCUUUUGUUGCCACCACACAGAGCUAGAAAGGCUGCUUCUUGAACUUCUUUAGCCACCCCACGACAAAUGGCAACACCACGCCUUUCUUCUCCUGCUAAAUGCCAUUUGAUCCUUGAAAUGGAGGUUUUAUUGGCAAAUGUAUGUGGACAAAACUUACACUUCAUGCUACCAUCAGUCGUAUAGUCAAUAUAAUUCCAAAAUGGAUCCUUUGAUCUAACCAUUUCAACCUAUAUAAAAAAAAGGUAGGUCAAAAUAAAGAAUAAAAAUUGAUGCAAGUUACACCAUAUCCAGAUGGAUGAGAAACUACUUCUUCAGUGUUGUUACCCUUAUUUUGCUAUUAAAAUUGAUAGUUAGUUUAUUGCACAAUCAUAGGAGGGAAAUAGACGAGGAUAAUUCAGUUAGACUUCUUACUUGUUGAGUAUUUAAACCCCUAUUUUGACUUUGCAGGGAAGUGCCAAGGCCAGUAUUUGAGGCAUUUGGCCUAGCUGUUUGAUUUUGCAAUCCUCGGACUUGGAGGUUAUCCAUCUGUGACCUAUAUACAAAUGAAGUGAACAUAUUAUAAAACCUUUCCAUAAUUGGUAGUGUCUCUUAAGCAGUAAAAGUUAAUGGUGUUAAAACACAACAGCUAGAAGUUCUCUUGUUGCACAUUGUCUAUAUUAGGAAUUACAGCAGCUUGAUCGACUUGUCCUUGAUUAGAAAAAUAUUGACUCCUGAGUCCAAAAUCAUUUGCAAACAAUAUGUUUAGCUUGUUGGGUUCAUGUUCAAGCUAUGAUGUUUCUUUCCUGAUUGAAAAACUAAUUUUUUUUUUUUAUAUAUAGAAAAUACUAAACAUGAAAAAUUGGAUACCGGGGAGCAGUAAAAGGAGGUCCAGGUUGAAUGAAGCCACCAUGUUCUGAAGUGGUUGCGUUCGGUGUCAUAUAGCCAUGUCCCGGCUGUGGUUGAUGAGUAUUGGAGUACUGAUGCCUGAAUAAUAUUCAAAUAGUUAAACUUAGUCCAGUUAGUAUCGCAGGCACUUGAUUGCUCAUAAUUGGUAACUGAUAAUUAGUCCCUUGUUGGUCCCUAAAUUAGCAACAUUUGUUAGUAAUUUCUUUAUACAUAUACGCAUAAUUCUUUGCUAUUAAUCCACUAAGCAUUUGAUAUCAUUUUAGCUUACCUCAAAGGCAUUGAUGGUCCAGGUAGCAUGGGAUUGGCACAUCGAGGAUCAGAUAAAUUAGGAUGAGGCAGAUACCUAUAUUCAAAUAUAAUGAAUUCAUUUAGUGUAAUAAAUUGGCAUCACUGAUAAGAAUAUUAGGCAGAUAAGUAGAACAACAAGAAGAAGAAGUUAAAUAAUGAUGAAUAUUAUGUACAGGAAGAAUUUAAAUAAUGAUUAUUCUCAAUUAGUUGAUUUUCUAGUUUCAUUAUGUGAUGCAAAUCACGAGACAGGGGAAACAUGGGGAAGGCAAGGACUCUUGAAAGCUGAUUAAAGCUUAUUAGCUGUAGUUAUUAUUUCCUAUUUAGCUGAUAGUUUCCUAGUCAGAUUAGUAUUAGAUUUCAAUUACAUAUUAGAUCGUAACUCCUUAGCUGUAGGGUAUUUAAGAGGAGAACAGAACAAAAUAUGGGACAUUAUUUGUAUUCUUGGCAAUUGCUUUCUUUAAAUACAAAUUGAAGUGAUUCCUCUACAUAGAGAUCAUGUAUUAAAUUAUUUAUUGUUCUUACUGGGAGCAACGAGAGGUUGUACCGGAGGGCAUUUACAUUAAUAUGUGCACAAAAAAAAAGAGAGAUAGGGAGAUAGAGAGAUAGAGAAAGAGAGAUAGAGAGCUCAAAAGAAGUUAAAUAAUGAUGAAUACCUUGAUGGAGGUUGAGGCCAAUUUGGUUCAUUUUGGUUGAUCCGUGAUGAUAAGGAGCUUUGGUUGUCUGGAACCUCCGGUGGCAGCCUGCUUCCAUGGACAGUGACAUUAUUAGGAUAAACGGAAGAAUAACUAAAUUGCAAGCAAUCAUCUUCUGAUAAAAUAUGCUUAAGAAUGACGUACGAGAGAAGCUCAAGGUCGGGAAAUAGUGAUCCUCGUCAAUUUUGGUCAAGUUUAUUGUUUUCAUGAUUAAAAAAGUGUAUAUGUAUUCGAGAUUAAUACCAUUGAUUCAUUGGAGGUUGAGGUCCAGGCACUUGAUUGCUCAUUGGUAACUGAUAAUUAGUCAAUUGUUGGUCCCUAAAUUAGCAACACUUGUUAGUAAUUUCUUUAUACAUAUGCAUAAUUAUUUGCUAUUAAUCCACUAAGUAUUUGAUAUCAUUUUAGCUUACCUCACAGGAUUGGCACAUUGAGGAUCAAAUAAAUUAGGAUUAGGCUGAUACCUAUAUUCAAACAUAAUGAAUUCACUGAUAAGUACAACAACAAGAGGAAGAAGAACAAGAAGUUAAAUAAUGAUUGAAAAACUUUUUUUUUUUCAGAAAAUACUAAACAUGAAAAAUUGGAUACCAGGGAGAAGGAGAAGAAGGUCCAGAUUGAUUGAAUUCACCAUGUUGUGAUGUGGUUGCGUUCGGUGUCAUAUAACCAUGUCCCGUCUGAGGCUGAUGAAUAAUGGAAUAAUGAUGCCUAAUUCAAUGGACAUUCAGGAAAUGAAGUUGGAAAUUGGAGUAAGCAUGAGUACUCACCAUGGUUUCAGGAAAUGAAGUUGGAAACUGAGUUGUUUGUUGAAUACUAUCGUUGAUCACAUUGUUAUGCCCACCUUGAUCAUUGCAUAAUAUGGAGCCUUGGUUGACUGGAACCUCCGAUGCCGGCCUGCUUCCAUGGAAUAAUACAUAGGAUAAACUGAAGAAUAACUAAAUUGCAAGCAAUCAUCUACUGAUAAAAUAUGCUUAAGAAUGACGUACGAGAGAAGUAGUGAUUCAGGAUCGAACUCUGUCAAGUCAUCCAUAGAAGAUGGGAGGAACCUUUCCAUCUGACCACAAGUAAAAGAUGAUUAGUACAUACUGAGGUGAAAAAAGAACAGAAAGCACAUAGCAAAUUAUAUAUAUAUAUAUGAGUGGAUUACUGGAUACACACGUUACGUAAGUCAGAAUAAAAGAAAAACAAAUAAAUGGUGAAAAGCAUAUUUUAAUGGCAGUCCCAUUAAUUGGAAAAGAAAAGAGUGAAUCUAAGAAAAGAACAUAUAUUUUUUUUAAUAUUAAUAUAUCAAAAUAUAUUAAUUUAAUUAUUUUUUUUCAAAAUAAACAGACUUUCAAAUGCCCUCAAACAUAAUUCUGAGUACGAAAACAAAUUAUGUUUUCAUUGCGGGCAUAAGAAUCUUGACAGUACUGUUGCCGUUUUUUAGUUUAAAUUGGUGUUUUAGUGUUUUUUUUAUUGUUUUGAUGUGUUGAUGUCAAAAAUAAAAAAUAAAUUUUAAAAAAUAUCAGUCUCAAGUCAAUGGUUUUAAAACUAUGAUAAUAAUUAUUUUUAUUUUUAAGUUGACUCGGUCAAUGAUCGACCUGACCUGUGACCUAGGUCUUCCCCGUAUCAACCUCGAGUCAGAUUUUAAAACUAUGAUAAUAAUUAUUUUUAUCUUUGCAUUGACUCAAGUCAAUGGUCAACCCGAUCCAUAGCCCGGGCUUUACUCCAAAUCAAUCCCUUAAUCGGGUUUUAAAAUUAUAAUAAUAUUCAUUUUUAGUUUUGUAUUGACUCGAGUCAAUGGUCAACUUGAUCCAUGACCCAGGCUUUACUCCAAAUCAAUCCCUUAAUCGGGUUUAAAAAUUAUAAUAAUAUUUAUUUUUAUCAUUAUGCUAACCUGAAUCAACUCAGAUUAACUUUUGUGCAAAGAAUUAAAUGAGCUUAUCCUACCUCUUUUAAUGGGACAGAGAAUUCUUAACUAGAAUAGCAUCAGAUAGGACAUAAAUUAAUUUUUGUAUUGUCUAAAGAUACAUCAAACAAUUCAUAAAAAAAUUAUCAUGUAUAUAUACAGAAUCCAUCAUUGUACUAUAUAUCAAAUACUACCUAAAUAUUGUUGUUAAUGAUUUAGCCAUUUUAUCCUUCCAGAAUUAGAACAACAUUAUUUUAAAACAUUGAACAAUUGAGGAAGUCCUACAAACAGUUUAAAAAUCAAACUCAAAUUCUUUUAAUGAGACAAGAUCCUAAAACUCUAGAAUUGAAAAAAGGAGAAUGAAUUGAGGAAGUCCUACAAACAGUUUAAAAAUCAAACUCAAAUUCUUUUAAUGAGACAAGAUCCUAAAACUCUAGAAUUGAAAAAAGGAGAAUGAAUUGAGGAAGUCCUACAAACAGUUUAAAAAUCAAACUCAAAUUCUUUUAAUGAGACAAGAUCCUAAAACUCUAGAAUUGAAAAAAGGAGAAUGAAUUGAGGAAGUCCUACAAACAGUUUAAAAAUCAAACUCAAAUUCUUUUAAUGAGACAAGAUCCUAAAACUCUAGAAUUGAAAAAAGGAGAAUGAAUUGAGGAAGUCCUACAAACAGUUUAAAAAUCAAACUCAAAUUCUUUUAAUGAGACAAGAUCCUUAAACUCUAGAAUUGAAAAAAGGAGAAUGAAUGUAGAAGAGUUGAUAGGGUGAACAACCCUUUUUCAACUCCUAACUAUACAUAAUUUGGGGGAUCAAAACGAAUGAAAAAUUAAUUCCCUUGAUUUUAACCCUUAGUUACUUAUCAUAAAACAUAAACAAAAAAUUUGAUAUUUUGCCUUUGGCCCUAGUUUCAAAACAAGAGUUUCCCUAGUGCUAUAAAAUUCUUUGGCUAUGCAAUUGAUCUCGAACUAGGUGUGCAGCGAGUGCAGCCUAGUGCACACUCUUUCCUCCUUAAUAUUGAGAUAAGACUUGUCAUUCACUCUCAGCGCUACUAAUCAAGGUGUAACAUUGCCUAAACACCUUGAGUGUAGGUUAUUCCUCCAGCAUUCUGAAGAAUUUAUCGAAUGCUGAUUGAAUAGUCCAUCCAUUGGAGUGAAGCUGAGCCAGACUCUGAUUGUAAUAUCUAAGCAUGUCCUUCACAAAACGUUGUAUAAUAAACGAGUAUUCAAACUCAUUCAUGCAUAUGGAGAUGUAAUUAAAAACUUACCCCCAUUGCAUUUAUUGGUGACCCUUGAGCCACGGACACCAAGUUCUUGCAACACAACCAGGUAAUCUUCUAGUUAUUAGAGAUUGGUCUCAUUUACUUUGCCAAGAGUAAUUGUGCUCAUGACAUUUGUAGAGGUCUAGGCACUCUUUCUUUCCCUUUGGGAUUUGAAACCUCUUAGGGACUCCUAUCUUCCCUGAUGGGGUCACCGAAUCGGAAAUAUUAUUUACGCAUACGAAUGAUCAUAGACGAUGGAGGAUAGCCCAGACAAUUGAGAGAUCGGGCUUUAACUUAUAUUUUGGGUUUAAUUUAUAUGAACUUUUAGAUGAGUUAUAUUAAUUUGUCUUUAUUUGUUGGGCUUGAUUUAAUUAUUGUUAAGUAUUUUAUUUAGUGGGCUAUAAGCCCAAUUGCUUAUUGUAGUUAGGGUUUUAGUAUAAAUACCCUACUUUUCUAAAUGUUAAGGGACUUUUGAUGAUUAAUGAAAAUUUACAAGUUUUGCAUAUUUCCAAUCCCCUCUCUUCCUCUUCUUUAGCUUCUUUCUUUCUCCAAAGCUUCUUUCUUUUCUUGCUUUAAUUCUUUUUAUUUGUUGUCCUGUGUCAAAUUUAGUAUCAGAGCACGACUUUUAAUUCUUCUUCUUCUUCUUUUCCAUAUGUAAAAAACAUCAAUAUCCAUUUCUUUCUCUUCUCUUCUCUCCUCAAUUCCUUCUUUUCUCCUCCAUGCUCAUGUAUGUAUUCUUCUCCUUUCUUCUUUUUUCUUCUCAUCUUUUUUAAUUAAUAUACUUAAUGAAAUUUUUUCUCUCUUCUUAGCUUCACUUGCAACCACAUUAAGGUAAGCUUCUAUUUUUUUUUUCAUGUUUUGUUUCACUAUAUUUGUUUUUUUAUUUUAUUUUUAAUUGUUUUUGUUCUUAAUAAUUGUAUGGAUAUUGUUGUGGGAUGUUUUUUUUCAUAUGAUUUUCUUCUUAUUUUUUCCAAGCGUUUUGAAUAUUAUAGAGUGUUGAUUUAUAUUAAUUUAAUUAUUUUAUAGUUUUGUAAAAUGGUUUUUUUUAUAAAAAAAAUUUAAAUAAUUACCGACGGAAUUGCAUAGGUAUGUUCUAAGGGAAAUAUUGACGGAAUGAAGCGGAUAAUUUUUUUUUUGCAUACCUUUUCCGUUAGUAAAUCCAUCGACAAUAAUAUUUUUUAUUAUCAACGGACUUACUGAUGGACAAAAAAGUAUCGACAAAAGAUUCACCGACGGAGCAUUUUCAUCGGUGAUUUUGUUGGUAAAUUAAUUACCAAAGGAAUGAUAGUAUAAAUACCAACAGAAAAUUCCAUCGGUAAAUCUAAAGAUAGUGUGGAUUUGUGCAAAUUUCAUGUCUAAAGAGCUUUAACUUGAUGAGGUGUAGAAGACAUACUUUUCCUAUUAAAUAUUCUAACAUGAAUUUCACUUCAUCGUGCAACAAUGACCGUUCUCAGUUAGAUUGUCAUCGAAGAUGACACUUCAUAAAAACCUAAAAUUAAAAGUGAUUUCUCAAAUAAUUCCUUACAGCCAUGAAAUAUUCAUACAUUCUCAUAGCAUUUCAAGUUCCCAUUCCAAAGGACCAUUAGCAUUUAUACUUUCUCAACAAACCUUCCAUUCAACAGAAAACAAAUACUUAAAAACUAAAUCAAAAUCGAAUUGUCAUGGCGCCAUCUUCAUUAAUUUGAAAUUACCUCAAAAUAUAUAUAUAAAAAAAAUUAAUUAAAUUUAGUACCUGUGUUUGCUUGAUCUUAAUGAGAAGUUCCUUUUGCAUGUUAAGAGCUUGUUCUAGAAUCUUCGUGACUUCUAAAGCUUGUUCUAGAAUCUUCGUGACUUCUAAAACUUGUCCUCCAAUCUUCUCUCCAGCGCUCGAAACCCUACCGAAGUAUGCCCCCAUGAAAUCUUCGAACGCUACAAUCGACGGAUCCGUCGCUGAAGCAUCAUCCCCGCCACUCCCCGCCACACUUCCCCCUCUCAACGAACGUGCUUCUAAUCGCGCCGCCGCCGAUUCUAGCCUAGCCAUUAGCCUCUCCUCCAUUAGCCUAAAGAUUCAAACAAUAGUUAAAUAUAAAAAACAAAAAUUAACACCAACAAGAUGAAGUACAAAUAAUUUACCUGGAUUCAAGAUGUUCUUCAAGUGCUGGUUUGCUUAAGCAGUAAUCAGAGAAAAAAAAAAGAGAGAGAAAUCACAGAUCAGAGAAGAAUAUAUGGUUUAGAAAAAUAAUAAAUUUGCAGUAUACAUAAAUCUAGUUCGUAUUGAUCAUGGGAUGUGGAAAGGAAAAUAGGGAAUUCUAUUGUGAGAUGAGAUGUGAUGUGGAAGAGAAUAACGUAUUGUUUGACAGGAAGCAACCCACCGCUUCCCUACCAAACAUUAUAUUAUAAGAUAUAGAAAGUUAAGUGUGGACCCACCCCAAUGUUUUGUUUUUUUUAUUAACAUGUAUGUCCGGGUUAGCUUGCACGUACCUCGACUAACUCCACGAGCCCUGAAGUUAACGAUCAUUUAAGCUUCCAGUAACUAUCAUAUUAGCCGUAAUGCUCGAACCUGAGACUAUAAAAAAAGUAAAUUUUUUAAUCUGAGGCUAUUAUCAUUAGAUCACAUACUAGAUAAUUAACCCACCCAAUGUUCAAACUUUGAAGGAACUGCCAUGAAAAUGUAAACAGAUGAAUAUGAGAAAGAACAACAUAGCAUACUCCUGCAUGUGUGAAGUUGUUUAUGAUAUUAUUUUUUAUUUAAAAAUAUAUUAAAAUAUUAUUUUAAUUUUUUUUAAUAUCAACAUAUUCAAAUAAUUAAAAAAAAUUAAAAAAAAUUAAAAAAUUAAAAAAAAAAUUACUGCGACUGUAAAGACAAACCAGCUGUGACAAUGCUAAUAAGUGUGAGAUUGAUAGCAAAGACGAAAGCAUACCAAUGCAACAACCACAUUCUCAAAUAUUCAGAUUUUAAAAACCACAUCGAAAUAUAGUUUUAAAGUUGUGUCAAAUGCAGAAUGCUUUAAUUAAUACGAGGAAACUCUUGUUAAUAAUAUAGUUAUAUACAGGCACCGCUAUAAAUAAUUUGGUAUUACAGUAAUAAUUAUUUUUUAAAGUAUUUUUUAUUUAAAAAUAUAUUAAAAUAAUAUUUUUUUUAUAUUUUAAAAUUUAUUUUUGAUAUUAACAUAUUAAAACAAUAUAAAAAUAUCUAAAAAAUUAACUGGUUCAAAGUGAAAUUACCCGACUGCUGUGCCUUGACUUGUCUGUUUAAUUUCUAUUAUUGUUUUUCACAUUUUAGCAUUUUAUUCCAAUGAUAGAAUGCACUUUCAUAGACUCAUCAAAACCACAGGAACGCAAUCAAGCUUUAGCUUCAAACAACCAGAGGGAGAUUCAGUGCAGUGGAAAACUUCAACAUCUACUAUGAAGCUUGAUUUGCUAUCCAAUCUUCACAUCAGUUUUCCAUUGAUACAAAGAUACUGUAUGUGUUUUUGUUGCCAGAAAGUUGUUCGAUCAAUAACUUUUUAUCUUUUUCCAAGUUUUUGUUGUGUGAUUUGUUUUUCCUUUCAUCUCAAACUCAUGAACUAAAAGUUAAACAAAAUAAAAAUUAAAAAAUAUAAGAUGCAAAAAAUUAUAAGGUAAACAAUAAACUAAAUUUUAGAAUAUGUCUCUUAGCUAUUCGUAAGCUUCCUAUUCCUUUUUAGUUUUUCUUGAAGUUAUUCUAUUUGAUGUCAUGAGUGUUCCAUUGAGAAAUAAAAAAGAAGACAAAUUGCCAUCCUCUUCACCUUCUUACAAUGCAUUACAGUAAUAUCUCUAAGAGAAUUGUAAAUCAAUUUUUCCACUGCAAAUACUUUUCAGUUCCGGUAAAUCAAACAAUUUCAGAAUUUUCCAAGAUAAACAGAUUUUUAAAUACACUCAAACAUAAUUUUAAAUAUAAAAACAAAUUAUGUUGUUUUGAUUGCGGCAUAACAGUGUUGGCAGUACCGUUGUUGUUUGGACUUUGAGCAGCAGUAGAUAUCUCCAGCGUACUGUUACCUGCCGGCUAGUGGAACCACUGCUGGGUUAGAAAAGGUAUGUUGCCGUUCUUAAGUUUACUAGAGAGAGGGCAGAAAGCCUUAAGAAAAUAAUUUCACAUUCUGUGUGGUAGAAACCUGAUUCCACCCAAAAAAAAAAAAAUUAACACGGUAAUUGAAGCAAAUUAAAAGAAUAAAAGAAAAUAUAAAAUGAUUUAAUAGAGAACAAAAAUUAAUUUUCAAUGCAGAUUAAAAUAGAGCAAAGUGACUAAUGAAAAAGGUACUUAAAUCCUACAAGCAGCAGAUAGAUAGUCGGAAUCCCUUGCGCACACAUUUGAUAUAUAGAUAAUUAAAUCAACAUUAAACCAAAUUAAUAAAACCCUUUUGAAAAAUCAUUCACUACUUUAAAAUAAUUAACCCUAUUAAGAAAAUCCAAUGACGACAAUGUGUUUAAGGAGCAAUAUUAAAGCAAAGAAAUUAAAUCAAUACAGGUAAAUAAAUGAUCCAAAGAUUAAUCCAUUCAAUAGAAAAAAACAUGACUGAAUCCAUAAACUGCAUAAAUUCGGAGAAGAAUACUUCUCAACAACAAAUUGAGAAUGAUAAAACAAAAGAGUUAGAAUAAUUAGAAAUCUGAACAAUUUAGUUACCCAUCACUGUAUUAGUCAUUCCUUUCCUCAUCUGUGCUCUUUUUUUUCCCCUCUCUCUAGUGCAAUUCCCUCACGUCUUCUUUAUGCCAAAUAGCCCUCUUUACAGAGGAGGCAACCCCCUUUCUCAAAAGCAGGCAGCCCUCCUUUUUCAUCAGAGACUAACUUGUAGCCCUUUACAAUACCUUUCCAACGCAUCAAGAAUCACAGCAAUCCAAUAUGUGAGUGAAAAGUUAUGAUUAAAAUACUUUAAGUGUAUCUAGGCUGUUUCUAAGAAAAAGAACAGUACUUUAAGUUUAUCCAGGCUGCUGUUUAAAAAGUCAAGAAAAUAAAGUUUUAGAUUAAAAUAAAAUAAAAUAAAAACUUUAAGGAAAAAAAAAAAGCACGCCUAUGAAGCUUGAUAGUAUAUCAAAUUAAAUAGAAGCUCGAUUAAAAAAUGCCCUUUAAUUUCUAUUAUUUCUAUUCACAUUUUAGCAUUUUAUUCCAAUGACAGAGCAUUUGGAAUGCACUUUCAUAGACUCAUCAAAACCCCAGGAACGCCAGAUCGGGAGCUUCAGUGCAGUAGAAAACUUUAACAUCUACUAUGAAGCUUGAUUUGCUAUCCAAUCCACACAUCAGUUUUCCAUUGAUACAAAGAUACUGUAUUUUUAACCAUCUAAUAAUAAGAGUUUGUGAUCAAGGGGUUUGCUCCCCAUAUGGUUUUAGGUUCGAGCCCUAUGGUUGUCAAUAUUGAUGGUCAUUAACUUUAAGAUCUGUGAGAACUGAAGGCUUACUUGAUUAUUAACUUCAAAAUCCGUGAGAAUUAGUUAAGGUGCGUUCAAGUUGGUCCGGAUACCCCCAAUUAAUAAAAAAAAAAAUGCUGUGUUUUUGUUGCCGGAAAAUUAUCCACCAAUAACUUUUUAUCUUUUUCCAAGUUUUCUAGGUGACUUUUUUCUUUCAUCUCAAAAUCAUGGAUUAAAAGUGAAUAAAAUAAAAAUUUGAAUCAAAACUAAAUAUAAAAAAAUAAAACAUGCAAAAAAUAUAGGGAGAUUUUAAAAAUCACGCCUAUUCUACUUUCUAGUUUAAAAUAUUCAAAACAAGGCUCCAUUAUCAUAUAUUCAUAGAGACAUACCAAUGUAGCUUUUGAUGUUAACCGGUUUGGGUAUGUCCAUAUGCUUUUAAAUAUUUUUUAAAAUUUAUAUUUGUUUUAAAAAAAUAUUAAAUUAAUAAUUUUUUAGUUAUUUUUAAUGAUUUUGAUGUAUUGAUAUUAAAAAAAAUCUAAAAAUAUAUUUUUAAAAAAUACUUUAUAUAACAGUAUCAAACACAUGAUAACCUUGUCCAAAAGCUUUCCUCAUUAUAAAUAUAAAAUAAAGUUCAAGUGAUGUAGGGUCCAAUCUUAAAUGGUUCAAACAUUAUUGUUAGAACGUGAGAGUGUCCCAGCAUUAGUAGUGUAGCACGUGCCAUGUCUUAAGCUUAUGUGAUCCAAAAACAAGGCAAUUGGUGUUUGAUGAAAUUAGCUGUCACUAAAAUAAAAUAAAAUAAAAUCCUCUGUGAACUAAUUAAUUACUCAAUUAAUUCCUAAAUUAGUUUUUUUAUUGUUUUUCACAAAAUUUAUAAAAAUAAAAAUAUUUUAUUAGAUAUUUUAGAUACUCCACUAUUAUAAUAUUUUAUUUAAAUUUAGAUUUUUAUUUCAAAAUUGAAUUUUGUUUAAUAUAACAAAUAUUACGAUGUUUUAUUUUAUCUGAUAAAUUUUGAAGUAUUAUUUGAUUUUAUUAAUUUAAAAAAAUAAUAUUUUAAAAGAGUACGAAAUGUUGUAUAAAAAUUUUAUGUAUUUAUUUUCUGAUAAACGUGUUCCAAGAAUUAGCAGGGAUACGAUGUUUUUACAAUAACGCAAAACACAACAAACAUUGAUGCGAUGCUGAAUCCUUGAAGUGCGUCUAACAAAAUCUCAAUAUCCGGAAUGCCUCUUCUUCCAUGGCAUCUUGCCUAACUCUUGAUUGUCUCAGGUCCUCCAAGGCAUUCCUCCACUCCUUGGUUAACUAUCUCAUGGAGGUUAACAAACAGAGGAUCUGUAAGUUUCAGAGAACGACAUCAAUUUAAUUACGCGAAGUUCAAUCUUUUUUCCUCUACAAAUUAAAUCAUGUACGUAAACCUGUUACCUACAUUUUGUAAUAUUUCUGGAUCUGCUCUUUGAUUCAUCAAGGACAGAGUUUUUUAACAUCCAAGCUCUUGUAAUCUCACAAACGCUUGAGACCCAAACCUUUAUUUGUCAAGGCUCCAUACACUUUCUCGACAAGAACCGGAGGAGGAGGCUGUGGGGUAUUCGAUGGUUGAAAAUGGAACGUGAAUUAUGCUGGAGAGCAUGCAGGUGGCGAUGUGUUUGGAGCUUAGCCUGUGUUCUCCAAAUCCUUACUAAAUUAUUAGAAAGUAACAUUAUAACAUUUUUAAAUCUGUUUAAAUUUUUUGGUUUAAGAUAAUUUUUUAAUAUUAUAAGUCAUUUAUUAUGUUUAUUCAAAUUAAUUAUUUUUAUUAAAAUAAUAUCAUUUCAUUAUUUUAAUUAAUCUGGUUAGAUAUAAACUAGGUUUGAUUGAAUCGAUCAAAUUUUACUAAAUCAAUAUCUUAUAUGGUUUAAUUAUAAACUCAAUCCAAGUUAAAUUUUAGAUUUUGUGUUUUUUAAAACAAAUCGUACGGGGUUUAACAAUUAUAUAUGCUCUUAUCUUUAACUUUACUUUGAAGUGUAUAAACUUUCACACUCGUGUGUGUGUGUGUGUGAAGCUUUGUGGUGGCUAAAGAAUACAUUUUGGAAAGUUGAAUCAAUAAUAUUGCCUGUGCUUGUCAAGGAAUUUAACAUCCCAAAUUUAAUGAACGAAUAUAACAUCCCAAAUUUUACCACUAAUAUUGCCUGUGCUUGUCAAGGAAAAAGAUUGACUGUAGAGAAAAAUUUAAUGAACGUCAUCCUCGUGGAUGCUAUAAUCUGUAAUUAGUGGCAAGGCUUUAAUAAUCACAGCAGCAGAAGAUGAUAUAUUGUACAAAUAGAUUGAAGAAACAGGAGGCCUACGCAUUUAAUUUGGGUGGAGAUUCAGUAAUCAAAAUAUCUUUUUAUUUUUAAUAUUAAUAUAUAAGAAAAUAUUAAUUUAAUAUUUUUUUUCAAAAUAAACAGAUUUUCAAAUGCAAUCAAACAUAAUUCUGAGUACAAAAACAAAUUACGUUUUGAUUGCGAGCAUAACAAUCUUGGCAGUAAGUACCAUGAUCCUUUCCAAUUGAGUUAAUUUUAGGAUUGUUUUUGGCAGCCACGUACAUGCUUUAGAGUUCUUUUUAUUAAAUCAAUAUUAAAGUAAAAAAAUUAAAUCAAUACAGAUAAAUAAAUGAACUAAAUAUAAUCAAACAAUUAAUCCAUUUAACAGAAAAAACAUUCAUGAAUCCAUAAAACUACAUUAAUCCCUUUUCUUUUCUUGUUUUUUUUUUCUCUGGUGGAAUUCCCACACGUCUUCUUUAUAGGCAGCCCCACUUUUAAACCCUCUUUUUCAUCACGUCCCCAUGGUCCCCGUGUCCCACACGUUUUCAUCAAAAACCUAAAUUUUAGGACUUCUUUGGCAGCCAUCUAAAAAUAUAUAAAAAUAAUAUUUUUAUUUUUAAAAAAUUAUUUUUAACAUUAAUAUAUUAAAAUAAUCUAAAAAUAUAAAAAAAUAUUUAAAAAAAAUCAAAAAUUUUAAAAACACAAGCAUUCCCAAACAAUGUAACGCGUCAAGAAUCACAACAAUCUGACAUGUGAGUGGAAAGUUGUGAUUAAAAAACAUUACUACUUUUUCGUUUGUUUGCUGGAAAGUAGAUUUCUUUUGGAAAGUGAAUUCCGGGGAAAGUGAAUUCCGGGGAACUAUUUUUCGAUGUUUGGUAGUGUAAUGGAAAAUGAGUUGGAAAACAUUUUCCAGUGUUUGGUUAUGUCAUGGAAUAUGAGCUGGAAAAUAACUUAUUAAUAUUUUAUUUUUUUCAAGUUUAUUAAAAUAAUAAGGAACAAAUCUUACAAAUUAAAACGUUGAAUGAAAAUGAAAUUGAAAAAAAAUAUAAUUUCAUAAAUUAUCUCAAAUAAAAUAAAAAAUAAUCAAAAUAAUAGAGAUCAAAUCUAAAAAAAAAAAAGAUGAAGAAAUUAAAAUAAUAAUAAUUAACAUUUCAUAAAUUAUUUCAAAUAAAAUAAGUAACAAUAAAAAAAUUGAAGACCAAAUUUGAUAGAUACAAAAUUUCAAUAAAAAAAUGAUAAGGAAAAAGCAAAUAGCAAUUAUAAAAAUAAGGACCAAAGUUAAUAUAAAAAUAAAAUUUUAAGAGAUGAAAUUAAAAAAUAAAUAUUCAAAACAAAAAAUAUAUAUAUAGCAAUCAAAAGUUUGAGGAUCAAAUUUGAUAUAAUCAGCAAAUAAUUAUAUUUUUAAAUUUUUUACAACUUCCGGAAAGUAUUUUCCCCUCAAAUUUUUCAAGAAAACACUUUCCUGAAAACCAAGGCAAACUUUUCUUUUACUGGAAAGUGUUUUCCAUUGACCAACUUUCCUACUGGCAAACAAACACAAGAAAGUUUGGAAAGUGAUUUCCCGGAAACCACUUUCCGGAAAACAAACACAACUAAAGGGAAAACACUUUCCUGAAAACCAAGUCAAAUUUUUCUUUGACUGAAAUUGACUGGAAAGUGUUUUCCGUUGACCGGAAUGUAUUUUCCGUUGACUAGAAAGUGUUUUCCGUUGACUAGAAAGUGGUUUCCGUUGACCAACUUUCCUAAUGACAAACAAACACAGGAAAGUUUGGAAAAUAGUUUCCCAUAAACUGCUUUCCGGGAAACAAACAUAGCCUUAGAGUGAUUUUGACAGCAUAGAGGAAAUGUCAUUAUUGUUAUUUUUAAAAUAUUUUUUUUAUUUAUAAAUAUAUUAAAAUGAAAGUUGUUAAUUUCGUUUCGUUUUAUUUGUAAUGAUUUCAUACCAUUUCAAAAAAUGAAAUAAAACAAAAUAAUUUUCAUCUCAUUUCAAAUCUCGGUCCCUUCCAAAUUUUUUGGCUAAAUUCCGUUCAGAAUGUUCCGGUUUCAUUAAACAUGUUCUGUUCCGGUCUUAAAAAGUCAUUGAAUCAAUUAAUUAAUUAAAUCAUCAAAGUAUAAAAAGCUAUUUUUCAUUGCUAUUUUCAUUAACUAUGAUAUUAAUUUUUUAAAAUUUAAUUUAUCACUAAUAUAUAUGGUUUAUAUUCAUGUUUUUUUUUUUCAAGUUUAUACUUUGUAGGAAUUUAAGCAAAAAAAUAGAUGUUUUAGAUCUCAUUAGCCUUGAUAACAUUGACCUAGCUUUAUAUUUAAAAUAUUAGUGUUAAAUUAUUUUAAUUUAAUAAUAUUUUGAUGUUUUAUUGAAGUUGAAUUGUUUUAAGUUAAAAAAUUAUUUAAUCUUAACUAUUUAAAAAUAUUUUAAAUUUUAAAAUUAUAUUUCAUCACGUCUCCAUGAUCCCCGUUGUGUCAAAAACAAAUUGCCUAAAUUUUAGGCUUUAGCAGUUCCUUUUUUUGAAAUCCUCAUUAGUGAAAUUUUAGACUUGUCUGUUUAAUUUCUAUUAUUUUUAUUUCAUUUUGGCAUUUUAGCAUUUCAUACUCAUCAAACCACUGGAACGCAAUCAAGCUUUAGCUUCAAACAACCAGAGGGAGAUUUUAUAGGGAUAAAAUUUUAAAAAUCACGCCUAUGCUACUUUCUAGUUUUAGUAUUAAAAUUAGUAUUUAAAAAAUGUGUUUAUAAAUAUGGCAGUUUCAGGUGUAGAAACCAAAACUGCCAUAUUCAUACUCUCUUAGACAUUUUAAAAAUGCGUGUAGAAGAAUACUUUCAUUGAUGAUUUAUAAUAUUAGGUUACUUUAAUGAUAAAUCAAUACAGUAUUUUUUUUCAUUUUUUGGAUUUUCAUUUUGGAGAAAUUCAAUAGGAUGAAAAUAUAAUAUUAAUCAAACUUCAAAUUAUAAUUGUUUAUCUAUCGAGUUAAAAAAAAUAUGACAAUUCAGUAGUCUUUAAUGAAAUAAAAAAAAUGAAAAAUGUUAUUUAUGUAAUUAUAAGCAUACCAUAUUAUAUUACUUUACAAAGGGACGAAGGACAUCCUUUGCAUUAGGAUGCUCCCACUCCACUACUGUCUCCCACCAUUCUUCUGGAUAUACAAAGAUUUCUUUAAGAGAAGGGGGAGGAGAUGGCUGGCCAUUUUCAAGCAACGGAAGACAAAUUGGCAUCCUCUUCAGCUUCUCACAACGCACUACACUAAUAUGUUCUAGAGAAUUGCAAAUCAGUUUUGCACUGCAAAUGCAUUUCAGUUCUGGUAAUUCAUACAAUUCCAGAGUUAUUAACUUUGGGAGAAUGACUUCCGUGAUGCAAUUGGAGGUGCUUCUUUCUUCAUCUGUUGUUCCUAUUAUCUCCUCCAUUUUCCUACAGCACCUCACAUCAAUCUUUUCCAGGUUUACGAGGUUUGGCAGCAACACAAGCGGGAACAACUUCUUUAUACUUUUACACUUGUAACAAUAAAACUCUUUAAGACCAGAAAACAUACCAUUAUAUGGUGGCAAUCGUGGUGGAGCAGAGCAGAACCAAGAAGAUGAAACCAGCUCCAUGUUAUGGCAUUCCCGAAUGUUGAUGCGCUCCAGUUCAGUUGCAUUCUCUAAUGACAAAACAUCACAUAAACUUCUUGCAUCGAUGCAUUCACAAAUCAGUCCUUGAAUGCCAUUUAAGAACUUGACCUGAAAAUCUCUAUCUCCGUUGAUACUCAAAUUACCCAACCCUACUGUUUUACUUGGAAACAUUUCAAUGCAUUGCUCGAAAUAUCUACGCACCUCUCCUACUAAAAUCUUGCAUGUGCUUAAUGAUAGGAUCCCAUCCCGAGAUCUGAGAUACUCCAUUAAGUCAGGGAGACCUUCGAAACGGCAUUCCAAAGUUUCCAAAUUUCUCAAGGAUCCUACUUCCUUUCCUUUAACUGUCAUCGCAUCAUCUUCGCGGCAAUAAAUCUUCUAGUACAAAGACUUGCAGGUGAGAGAGUUUUGGUAAUAUCCCACUAGGAAACUCCUUUUCACCACAUCCAUUCAUUCUAAGAUACAUCAGGUUGGUUAGGCAUUCCAUUCCUUGCGGCAUCGUUUCAAGUCGAGUACGAGAGAGAUCCAACCUCUUCAGUGCCCUGAGCUUCUUUAAUGAUGGAACAUAUCUUAAGUUGUCACACUUACGAAGCAAUAACGCAGUGAGACUCACCAAAUCAGAGACAGAGUCUGGCAAGUUUUCAAUACCUGUCGAAGACAGAUCGAGGACCUUGAGCCCAUGCAAUUGCUUGAAAAAUGAAUCCGCAACAAAUCUCAACCCUUUAUUAUCACAUAGAAAUAGAGUUGAUAGAUAGCGACACCUUGGUGAAUAGCUGGAAGGAAUUUCUUCGAUCUCGUUUCUCAUUAGCGAAACCAUCGUCAAAUUCUCCGUCCACUGCUCUGCAUCUGGCAACUCUUUUAAUUGCGCACCUGCUUUAACCAUGACUUGAUAUUCGUCUUGCAGUAUAUGGAUGGCCAUGUCCCUAAUCAAGUCAUGCAUCUUGACACGUCUAAUAUCAUUAUAACCCAUUUGAGCACUUUCCAAUAGGCAGACAUAUUCAAGUCUAUUAAGCAUUGUGUGGCCCUCGUCAAAUGCAUCUCCCCUGCUCCUCUUUACUUUAAUUAUCCCCUCUAAGAUCAAAUAACCUAUCAACUCCUCCCUUUCAAUCUUAUCAUCUUCAGGAAAUAAUGCACAGUACAACAGACAUUGUUGUAGUGUUACAUCACGUAACCGAUUAUAACUAACCCUUAACACUUGGAAUACCUUCUUAUCCCUAAAUUCUGAUUCGCUCAAUUUCUUCAAUGUAUUUCUCCACUCAUGUAGGUCAUCCACUCCCCUCAAGCUUCCUGCCACUGUAAUAAUUCCCAAUGGCAAACCAGCACAUUCCUUUGCAACAGCUUUCGCAAUUCGUUCCACUUCUGUGAAAGCACAUGCCACGUCCAAGUUUCUCCAUGAACAAAGUCCAAGCUUCUCCCUCAAAAGUGGCUUACCUUGAUUUUGCGGUGGCAAGCCAUCUAUGACAAACUUUCUGAUCGAGUUGUCAUAAUCAGCUUGCAUCCUUCCAACUUCUCAGGAAUUCCCACUUCAUGUAGCUCAAAAUUAUUCCACAAAUCAUCUAGAAUGAGAAUCCAUUUUUGUUUCUUCAUUAGUUCUUCUGACAAUUUGGCAGCUCUAUGCAGAUCAUCAUCUUCGCUUGAAAGGUCUAGACGAAGACGUUUAGCAAUAAUAUUCUGCAAUCUAUUAAUGCUGAAAUCUUGAGACACAGUCACCCACCAAACAUGAUCACAAAUAUCUGGUCUUUGUAGAAGCUCAUUAUGGAUAUGUUGCAGUAUUGUUGUUUUACCAACUCCCCCCAUCCCAUAAAUGCCAAUGGUUGGGACUUCAUCAUCCAUUAACAAAGACCAUAUCACCUUCUUAUUCUCUUCAAAUGCUCGACCCACUGGCUUUAUAGAGCUAGCAGGUAAUGGAACUCCUCUAGUCUCACUUGUGUUGUAUUUAAGGCUUAUAGAAGAUCUAGCUCCAGCGUCAGGCCGCACUGAUCUUCCACUAUUCUCCAUAUCCUCCUCCACUGGUUCUGUCCUCACUCUAACCAUGUUCUGCACAUCAUUCAUAAUGACAUCAUUGUUUACUGAUGGAGCAAAUAGGUGACACAAAGGAUCUGUUGGUUGGGAUGAAUCUCCUCGAGGCUCAUCAGCUUGAUUAAUUGAUGGCCUCUCACAAGAGCUACCUCUCUCCAGAUGCUGCACUUGUUCUGUUCUCGGUAUAGUUUCAGAUCCAUCAUGCAGACGCUCCACAUCCUCAUCUUCCUGCAUUAAAUACGUAGAGAUUUCAUUCAGCUGAACCCAAGUGCCAUCAACAAAUUGAUCCACUAAAUCUGUUCCUCUAUUCUCAUAAGCAUCAACUCUGAGUCUCCAAGGAGAGACACUUCUGUCAACAUGCUGAAACGAUCCUUCACCAGUGUAUUCCAUGCCUUGAACUCCCGCUUGCAUCCUUCCAGCAUUGUCUUGUUCUUGUGGACAGGUGGAAAUGGCAUAAUCAUUAACAUUGCUUGAACUUGCUAUGCUUUUAUGUCUUUUGUUGCCACCACGCAUAGCUAGAAAGGCUGCUCCUUGAACUUCUUUAGGCACCUCACCACAAAUGCCAACACCAUGCCCUCUCUCUCCUGAUAAAUGCCAUUUUAUCCUCGAAAUGGAAGUACCAUUGGCAAAUAAAUGCCCACAAAACUUACACUUCAUGCUUCCAUCAUUCAUAUCUUCAACUUCUUUCCAAAACGGAUCAUCUGAUCUACCCAUUUUGUCCUACAGAUGAAAAGGGUCAAAAUAUUGAAUAAAAAUUAAUGGAAGUACAUUAAUUGGAAAAGGAAGGUUGAAACUAAAAUAAUAGGUUACAAACAGCGAAGAAACUAAUAAGAAAAAACAAUGAAUUCAAGGUUAACUUGGGGUCAAUUUGGUAUGAACUGCAUAAGGCGUGGAUUGCUACAACUGAGAAAGAUCAAAUUAUUUAUUUUUGGAAACUGUUGAUGAUCCUAUCUCCAAAGUUUCUCAUUGAAAUUUCUACAACUUGUGUUUUCCUUGAAAGAUUCAAACCAGAGGUACAUGUGAAAAACAAAAUGAAGAAGAUGGAUUAUAAAUAAUUUACCUGGAUUCAAGUUGUUCUUCAAGUGCUGGUUCGCUGAAGUAGUAUUCAGGAAGAAAAACAAGAACAGAGAAGAAUAUACGGUUUAAAAAUAAGAAGGAAGUUGCAAGAUGUUGAGCUCCAGAUGAUUCGAUUCAAUCAGAAAAGGAAGCACUGAUCAUCAGAAAGUUUAAGAAAUUUGAUGAGGGAAAUCGGGAAAUCAAUGGUAUAAUGAGAUGAGAUUUGGAAGAGAGCGUUACAGUAGCUAAGAUUAUUGUAUUGUUUGAGAAGAAGGAAGUUGCUAGGAAGGAAGCCACAAACUUUACCUACCAGAGAUUAUAUUAUAAGAUAUGGCAAGUGGCUGUACACCUCAAAUUUGUUUUUCUUUUGUCUAGCGCUGCAUAUAAUUAAAAACUUCAACAAAAGAAUCAGAAGCUAAUUGCUGUCUGAGUUAACGUGUGGACCCACCCCAUUGUUGAAACUUUGGAAAAAGCUGGCCUGAAAAUGUAAGAGCCUGAAGCUUAGCUUCAAGAGCUGUAAAGCAUUGACCGUCAUUAUCUGAUCCACUCCAACUUCCAUUCCCUAAAAAUUUCACACCUUAGCACAAACAAAAGGCCGUUUUAUAGAUAACUUAAGAAAUUUUGCCCACGCUUAGUUUCGAGGUGUCAGCAACGUUCUUCUGAGCAUAAAUUCUUCUUUAAAACAAAAGGCGUAUAUGGUUAUUGUAAGGCAUAAUCCCGCAAAGUGUUCCAGUUUUUUUGCCUCUAUGACAUGGAUAUGACAUCUCAUUAGUGAAAAAGCUAAAUGCUGUUUAUUGCACGCUGCUAGUUGGGAUAUACAGAACUCAGUUCAACCCAGCAAGUCGCUGCAUCAGACUUAAAACUCCAUAGCAGUCAGCACAAUCUAUGAAGAUAAAAUUGAAAAAAAACAAUCAAUGUAAACACAUGAAAAUGAGAAAGAAUAGCAUAUUUCCGCUUUUGAAAAAUCAUUCAUCACUUUUAAACACGCAAAUGAUUAUCCCUAUUAAGAAAAUUCAACGACAACAAUAUACUCAAGAGCAGGGGCGGAACUAGGGGAGAUAGGCAGGCGCCCGGCCCCUGCAAAAUAUUUUGAAGGUUUGUAUUUUUAAUGUUUAAAUAUAAUAUAAUAUAUUUUUAAUUUAAAUAGAUAAGAUUUUUAAUAAUAAAUUAUAUUUUAAGUUUUGGCCUUCCUGUUAUAUCAUUUCAGCUCCGCACCUGUCCGAGAGCAAUAUUACAGUAAGGAAAUUAAAUUAAUACAGAUAAAUAUAUGAUCCAAAAAUAAUUAAAGAAUCAAUCCAUUUAAUCGAAAAAAACAUGACUGAAUCCAUAAACUACAUGCCCUUCUUUUUCUAAAGGAGGCAGCCCCACUUUUUCAUCACGUCGCCAUGGUCCCCGUGUCCCACAUGUUUUUAAGUGCGUUCAGGCUGGUUCAAAGGGAAUUUCACGACUUGUUUGCGAGAGCUUCAACUCUACAUUGAAAUGUUUUUUCUUAAUCUGUGAGAGCUUCAUAAUAAGCUUAUUAAAAUAAAUUAUUAUAAUGAAAUUAAAAACAAAAAUGCUUAAAAAAAAACAGAGAGACGCCGUGUUUUCUCUAUUGCUACAAGGUAAAAGUCUAAGCAUAUUUAUUUUUUUUAUUUUUUUAUUUUUUAAUAAUAUUACUGUUAUAUCUACCGCCUAGAAAUCAAGAACGCUAGUUUCAUUUAAAAGAUUCUGAAGUUCAUAUUUAGAUAAAUUAGCAGAAAGGACGGAAACACAACAAAUCAUACCCAGAGAAUCAAAAGCCAGAAACAAGCUACCUCAAUUCCUGCUCCACCUGGCUAAGAAAUGCAGCAUGCCCACUUGGAAUUACACAUCAUCCAAAUUCCAUGGCAAAUAAUUGGUUGGAAUUGUUUCCUGUGGAGUCAUUUCAAAAUUUGAAAAUAAAAACAGAAAAUAGAUCCAGCAAAUGAUUCCAAAUAUCUUAUAAAAUAACAAUGAAAUAUGUUUUUUUAUUUACUGUAAGGAAAGAUAUUAAUGGAAAAAAUAAAAAAAAAAUCAAUUUAAAAAAUUAUAAUAAGUCAAAAUCUAGAUUUAAAAUCUAACUAGUAUCAGAUUCCUAGUUGAAUUGAAUAAUUGAGAGCGAAACGUGUCAAGACUGACAAGAGUUCAGAAUAGACUCGUGAACGUGUCCUCUAAACCCUCCUGUCCCUCUUCCGAUCCUUGCUAAACCCCUUGUUCUGGUCGUAAUCAUCCAUUAGCGUAAACCUAUGCUUCUCUUGACUUUGAUCCCAAUAAACCAACCCAUAGAGUUGGUGGUAAUGUAAUUUAUAUAACUUUUUAAAUUAUUUUUAUUUAAAAAAUAUCAAAUUAAUUUUAAUGUGUUGGUAUUAAAAAAAAUUAAAAAACAUUAUAUUAAUAUAUUUUUAUUUAAAAAAUAUUUUUUAAAAAACCGUAUGUAGAAUUACUAAACACCCUUAAGCCAGUGGACAAAGACAAAAACGACAAAAUACAAAGGAAAAGGGAUAAAAGCAUAUAUUUGGAGAUGAUAAAAGGGCAUGAGAUCAAAGAGGAUAAGAUUUCCAGUGAUGGGACUGGAUGGUGAUGAAGGAUUUUUUGGACAAGAGCAUAGUAAUUAAUCCUUUACUAAAAUUUUUUAUUAUUUUAAUAUAUUUUUUAAUAAAAAUUAUUUUUAAAAAAUUAUUUCAAUGAUAAUUUUCUUUAUUGAUUAGUGAAUCUGGUUAGACUUAAGCCCUACGAGGAUCAAAUGUUGCGAGGCGAGCAACUCCAUUUUAUUUUCCAGUUCAGGAUAGUUUUCUGAAAUAAUAAUAAUAAAAAAAAGAGCUAUAACAUAAAAAUCAUCUGAGCAAAAAGCCAAGAAAAGUGGCCCAUGCUGCGUAAGGUUUAAGAAAGAAAAUAGUUUUGAUUGUUGACCGAGAAGAGGAGCACACGCUUAUGCUUUUUUAUGAACAGAGAGGUGGCUGCCCCAAUAUAUUCGGCCUGCCAACUCUUAUUUGUAUGGUCGUCUGUUUCUCCAUGUCUCAAUAUUUUUUUAUAAAAAAACCACCACUUCUCCAUAUUAUAUUAUAAGAUAUGAAAAGUUAACGUGUGAAACUUCGAAAAAGCUGUCAAGAAAAUGUAAACACAUGAAAAAUAUUUUUUAAAAAAAACCCAAAAAUCAUCUGAGCAAAAAGCCAAGAAAAGUGGCCCACGCUGCGUGAGUUUUUUAUUCAAGAACCUAGCUAGAGCUUAGCUUCAAGAGCGGCGAGGACUAAGCUAGGAAUGAUGCCUCUCACUCCUCCCCCGUCAAUGCUAAGGGUUGUUGCAAAGUAAAUAGGAAACUUCAUCCAUAGACCAAUCUUUUCUGAUCCAUAGACAAUGGAUCUGUUGGUUGAGAUGAGUCUCCAUCACAACCCAACAACAUUAGCUUAUCUGCUAUCCCCUUUAUGAGAAGAAGAUUUCGAAUCAGUCCAUUCAUUCCCAUCUGUAGGCAUCUUUCUCAAACAUCAAGGAGAAUUACUUCUGGAUUCUGAGUUGCCACUAAAAAACAAAAAACCCUUAAUGAACUAGUUCGUCUCCCAGUACUUAAAUUAGUUUCCUCAUUGUUUUUCACAAAUUUUUAAGAAAAAAAGAAAAACUAAUAUACUUGAGGUAUUAUAACAAACCUGUAAAUUACAUUAAUCUUAUAAAAAAACAUAAUAAAAAUAAAUAAAUUACAAAGUUGAAUUUUAAAUCAGCCCACUAAUAAAAAAAACAAAAAAAAAACAAAACACAUUGGAUUACUUAUUAUAAUUUACAAUGAAAUAGGUGUGAAUAAAUAGUACUUCUCCCAAGCCUCUUAGCUUUUCUUUUAAUGAAAAUUAAUAACCGUAUAAUAUCUUCCUUGUGGAUGCUCUAUCGUUGCUAAAUUAAAACAUCUUUCUUUUUUAUGUGAAACUUUUUUAAAAUAAAAAUAUUUUAAAAAAACAUUGUUAUUUUAAUUUUAUUUUUAAAAUAAAUACCAUCGUUUUAGUUUUUAUAAAUAAAUAAUAUGAUGUCGUUUUUUUUUACUCAGGUUAAUCAGUUAAUAUGUGAGUCAACCAGUACGUUUCUUAGCUAUUUAUUAGCAAUCUAAAUAUUUUUUUAUUUUUAAUAUUAAUAUAUCAAAAAAUAUUAAUUUAAUAUUUUUUUAAAUAAACAGAUUUUUAAAUGCACUCAAACAUAAUUAAGAGUACAAAAACAAAUUAUGUUUUGAUUGCGAACAGAAAAAUCUUGACAGUACCGUUGUUGUUUGGACUUUGAGAAAGAUAAAACAAAAGAGUUGGAAUAAUUGGAAAUCUGAACAAUUUGGGUACCCUUCACUGUAUUAGCCAUUCCUUUCCUUGCCUGCUCUCCUUUUUUUUUUUUUUUUUUUUUCUCUGGCGCAAUUGCCAACAAAUACCCUUUUUCAUUAUGUCUCCAUGAUACCCUUGCGUCAAAAACCUAAAUUUUAGGACUUUUUAGGCAGCCACGUCCAUGCUUUAGGAGUUUUUUUUUCGAAAUCCUUAUUAGUGGCUAGCCUUUUAAGAUACCUUUCCAACACGUCAAGAAUAACAGCAAAAUAUGAUACGUGAGUGGAAAGUUAUGAUUAAAAUAUUUAACUGCAUCCAAGCUAUUUCCAAAAAAAUAAAAUAUUAUUACUUUUAGUGUAUCCAAGCUAUUUAAGAAUAUAUCAAAGUAAAUAGAAUUUCAAUUCAAAAAUACACAUUAAUUUCUAUUAUUUGUAUUCACAUUUUAGCAUUUUAUUUCAAUAAUAGAGUAUUUAAGGGUGCUUAGAAGUUUAAUAUCAAUUAUUUUUCAAAAUAUUUUUUUUAUGAAUAUAUCAAAAUAAUAUUUCAUUAUUAUUUUUUUAAAAAUAUUUUUAAUAUCAACACAAUAAAAUAAUUUAAAAACACAAAAGAGUUAAAAAGAGACAUCUACCUUGUUUUAUCUGUUGGUACAUGGUAAGAGUCUAAGCAUAUUUAUUUAUUUAUUUAUUUUUAUUUUAAUAAUAGUCCUGUUAUUUCUACCGUCAAGAAAUCAAGAACGAUUCAAAAGAUUCUGGAGUCCAUGUUUAGAUAAAUUAGCAGAAAGGACAAAAAUCCUAUAAACUAAAAUCCUCAAUUCUUGCUCCACCUGGCUAAGAAAUGCAGCAUGCCCCCUUGGAAUUACACAUCAUCCAAAUUCUAGGGCAAAUAAUUGGUUGGAAUUGUUUUUUGAGAGUCAUCUCAAAAUUGAAAAAUAAAAUCAGAAAAUAGAUUUUCAACACAAUCAUGCUUUUUAUUUAUUAUAAAUAUAAAAUAAAGUUGAAGUGAAGUUGGGUCCAAUCCUUAAAUGGUCCAAACAUUAUUGUAAGAAUGCGACAGUCCAAUCUGAAAGGUUUUGGAUGCAAAACACAGGCUGCAACGCAGAUGGAGCAAGAAAUUCCACCCCAAGAAAAAUCCAAAUAUAAGUUAUUCCAACUUUCUUUCUAUCCCAAGAAAUCGAGAAUACUAGUUUCAUUCAUCAAAAUUAUAAAUCCUAUAUUUAGAUAACAAAAAUCCUAGUGCAAAAUACCUAUAAACUAUAUUAUAAGAUAUAAAAAACUAACGUGUGGAGUCUGUGGACCGACCCAAUGUUCAAACUUUGAAGAAGCUGCCAAGAAAAUAUAAACACAUGAUUAGAGAAAGAAUAGCAUAUGGUCGUCUGUUUCUCCAUGUCUCAAUAUUUUGUUAUAAAAAAACCACCACUUCUCCAUAUUAUAUUAUAAGAUAUGAAAAGUUAACGUGUGCACCCACCCCAAUGUUGAAACUUCGAAGAAGCUGCCAAGAAAAUGUAAACACAUGAAAAAUAUUUUUUAGAAAAAACCCAAAAAUCAUCUGAGCAAAAAGCCAAGAAAAGUGGCCCACGCUGCGUAAGUUUUUUAUUCAAGAACCUAGCUAGAGCUUAGCUUCAAGAGCGGCAAGGACUAAGCUAGGAAUGAUGCCUCUCACUCCUCCCCCGUCAAUGCUAAGGGUUGUUGCAAAGUAAAUAGGAAACUUCAUCCAUAGACAAAUCUUUUCUGAUCGGGUUGUAGGAAUCACUGAAUCAGCUUGCAUCCCUUAACUUGGACAGGAACUCCCAGCUUCUGUAUGCCAAAAGUCUCGCUCAUACCAUCUAAAAGCAGAACCCAUUUGAUAAUAGAUAUUGGAGAAAAAUUAGAGUACACAAAUAGAAUGUAAAAUUUAGAAAACUGUUUUGAAUUAUGCUGGAGAGCAUGCCGGCGGCGAUGAGUUUGGAGCUUAGCCUGGUGUUCUCCGACGGUUUCAACUCAUGCAUUCAAUUCCAAGCAAUAGCUGUGAUUUCGUAAUCUGUAUUUUGAGCGACUUUUUGGAGAGGGAGGGGCAGCGCGGGAACGAAAAGGUAGCAGUCUCAAGCCUCGCCAAUAGCCCAAGAGUAAAAAUAACAUGCUCCUAGCCCAAGCCCACCAACAUCACCCCCAACAGAUUGGUAAAAUGCUCACAAGUCACAACCAUUUUGAAAAAAAAAAAAUAAAAAAUCAUAUAUAUAUUUUUUUGCUUUAGGAUCAUUUGAUGUCAAAAAUAAAAAAAAUAUUAAAAAACUUAAAAGCUAGGUAUUAUCAAAAUGUGAAAGGGGCAAAAGCUAGCUUGGAAAUUCUGAGAUUAUCUUAGAAAUUGCUAUUAAAUAUUAUGGCAGAAGGUAUACUUCGACGCCACCAUUGAAGUAACACUGAUCUAAAAACAUUAUAUGCCACACCGCAAACUAAUAACAAUGGUAUACUAGAAAGUGAAAAUAAAUCGAUAUUAAUCAUGAAAUAAAUCGUUAGCAGAAACCAAAAAUAAAUGAAUAAAUUGUUCAUACUACUCCAUCUUAUUGAUGGGAAUGAAUUCUGACCUGCAGGACUCCUGCUAAAAUUAGCUGAUAAAUUAUCAUGAAAAAACUUAAUAAAGUCAGAAAAAAAAAAGAUCAUGAAAUGCUUCUUAAAUUAAAUAAAAUGGAGAAGAAAACCCAAGUAAUAAAUGUUCAAUUCACUUUCAAGUUAAAAAUAAAGAAUGAAAGCAUUUCUAUUCAAUAAUACUUCUUGCUCACAAAUAAGCUGGCAACAAUUAUAUGAGAAUCAAAUCUCUCCAAUUACAUGGUCGUAUAACUUCAAGAUUCCUAGGUCAACUCUAUUCAACUGUGCAGGUGGACAACAAAUUUACAAUCCAAGAAAAAAAAUUAGAAAGCAUCCCUCAAACAGGUUGGAAAAGAUACUAGAGGCAAAAGAUUAUAAGCAAUAGUAGCAGAGAAUAUAAAAAGCAUUAUUGUAGCAGAAAAAUGUGAUAUAAUUACCAGAAAAGCUCAUCCUAACUUCCCUGGCUAGUGCUUACGAUGGCAGUUUCAGGUUUAGAAACCAAAACUCAUCCAACAAAAAAAUGUAUGUUCAGUUCAUACUCUCUCAGAGGCAUUUAAUAUAGAAUCUUAUCCUUCCUCAUUUGAUCUUCUCAAUGCUGUGGUGGAAGAAUACUUCUGACAUGUUUACGAUGUUUGUUGUGAUUUGAAUUGACCAGAAUUCAAGAAUGUUCGAAGAGAUGAAUUCAUUGGCGAUGAAAUACCUUACUUUUAUUGAUUUAAUUUUCUAUUUCCUGUAUUCUGCUAUGGAAAUGAAUUAAUCUUCAUUGUGAAAAUGUUCCUAAAUUCUUACAUUUUUAUUAACAAUAAGAGAUGAAGAGGAGGCGAAGGUAUAAUGCAACCAACAAAUGAUACAGAAUAAGCUCAGACCAAGAGAACAAUCGACGCAAUUGUCCCUUCCACUUUUUGUCUCUCUUCCUUGAACUCAUAACUUAAGCAUCCAUCCCUUUUACUCAGACAAAACCACCGGUCACUAGUAAAAAACUUCAUUUUGAUAUAUAUAUUUUUAAAAUUGAUAGAAAAAACCACUUUAUAUUGUUCAUAAAGACGGAAAAAACUUAAAAAUACAAAUUAAAAAAUCUUGAGGAAUUCAUUAACCAAUCCUUUUAGUUUUUUUUAUGUUUUCUAUAAAGUCAGAAAAAAGUUAAAAAUACAGAUUAAAAAAUCCUGAAGAAUAUAGAAAAAUAGGAUGAAUUUUUUGUACGAGGAAAAUAGAUAGAGGUAUGGAAUUUUAUUCUAAAUAUAUCCUUAUAAAAAUUUCAAAAUUCCAAGUCAUGUAAUUCGAUUAUCAUUCAUUUUUUAAAUUGUAUUCUCUCUUUUGUUUUUCUUGUAUAUAGAUUUUAAAAGAAUAAUUUAUUGCUAGUUAAUGAUAUAAGAUGAUUUGUACUAAUGAAUAGAUCUAUUACUUUAUUUGGUUACUUCAAUGAUAAAUCAAUAUCAAUAUAGUGUUUGUUUUUGUAUUUUUUGGAUUUUUAUCUUGGAGAAACUCAAUAGGAUGAAAAUAUAGUAUUAAUCAAACUUCAAAUUAUAAUUAUUUAUCUAUCGAGUUAAAAAAAAUAUAUGACAAUUCAAUAGUCUUAAAAAGAUAAUGAAAUAAAUAAAUAAAUGAAAAAUGUUAUUUAUGUAAUUCUAAGAACACAAUAUAAAAAAGAAAUAUUUCAUAUUAAUAAACGCUCUUUCUAUGAAUUCAUGUUAGGCUUCGAUUUUUCUUUGAAAUAUGGAAUUGGCAAUACAAUUUCAAACCGACCCAAAUCCAACCAUUGAGCAUCUUUAAUCCAAAAGCAUCAUGCAAGUAAUUUUAAUAUUAAUUAAUAAAAAUAUCCUUGUUGAUUUAAAGGACUAUUUUCAUCAUUCAUAAAAAAAAAAAUUAAAAAGAAAAAUAUUCAAUUUUUUUGAAAAACGUGUGCUUUAACAAUGUUUUUAAAUAUUAAAUAUGUGAUUAAUUAAGAGCAGGUGAUUGCUUUUGUUUUUAGUUGUUUUUCAAAAAAAGAUAAAUAGAUUUUUUUAAUGUUUUUUUAUAAUUUAAAUAUAUUGAUAUUAAAGAUAAAAUAAAUAAAUUUAAAUAAAUAAAAAACAAUUAUUGAACAUGAAGCGAAUCUGAUUACGUAACAAUUACUAAUAGGGAAAAAAUUAGGAGACAAAUUAAAGGUUUUCAAUCGUUGCCGUUACCAAUUUGUUGCUGAUUAGAGGCACACGGAGUCAAAGACUCCAUCCUUGCUUUUAAUGAACAAAACCUAGUGCUAGUUUUGGUGGCUGGUGUUUUUCCGUGCUGGAUUAAUUUUUUAAAAAUAUUAAACCAGUAAAUUAAUAUACUUGAGUUAUUAUAAUAAACCUGUAAAUUACAUUAAUUUUAUAAAAAAAUAUAAUAAAAAUAAAUAAAUUACAAAGUUGCCCACAAAUGAAAUAAACAAAAAAAAAACACAUUGAGUUACUUAUUAUAAUUUACAAUGAAAUAAGUGUGAAUAAAUAGUAGUUCUCUCAAGUUUCUUAGCUAUUCUUUUAAUGAAAAUUAAUAACCGUAUAAUAACUUCUUGUGGAUGCUCUGCUAAAUUAAAACAUUUUUUAUUUAUUUACAACUAUGUGAAAAAAUUUUAAAAUAAAAAAUUUUAAAAGAUAAUAUUUUAAAAAACAUUAUUAUUUUAGUUUUUUUUUUUUAAAAAUACCAUCGUUUUAAUUUUUAUAAAUAAAUAAUAUGAUGUGGUUUUGUUUUUUACCCAGGUUAAUCAUUUAAUAUGUGAGUCAACCAAUGCGUCUCUUAGCUAUUCGUUAGUAAUUAAAAAAUAUAUAUAUUUUUUAAUAUUAAUAUAUCAAAAAAUAUUAAAUAAAUAUUUUUUUUAAAUAAAUAGAUUUUUAAAUGUACUCAAACAUAAUUCUAAGUACAAAAAUAAAUUAUAUUUUGAUUGCAAGCAUAACAAUCUUGGCUGUGCCGUUGUUGUUUGGACUUUGAGAAUGAUAAAACAAAAGAGUUGGAAUAAUUGGAAAUCUGAACAAUUUGGGUACCCUUCACUGUAUUAGCCAUUCCUUUCCUUGCCUGCUCUCCUUCUUUUCUUUUCUUUUUUCUUUUUUUUUUCUCUUAAUUUUCAAGAGAGCCUUAACCAUUCCUUCAUGCAAGUGUACGCUUUGCCAAACAAUCCUUUAGGAAAAUGGGUCGCCCUCCCUCCGACGACUUGCCAUAACAGAGAUUAAUUAUUUUAUUAAAAUAAUAUCAUUUUGUUUUUUUAGUAAUCCAAUUAGAUAUGAACUAGGUUAGUUUAAUUGAUCGAUUAAAUUCCACCCAAUCAAUAUCUUAUUUAGUUUAAUUACAAAUCCAGUCCAAGUUAAAUUUAAAAUUUAAAAUUUAAAAUUUUUAAAAUAAACACGGUUUAACAAUUAUUUUCUUAUCUUUAACUAAACUUUAAAGUAUGUAAACUUUCACACUCGGUGUGUGUAUAUUAUUCAACCAAAUAAUUGCUUGUGUCAUAUAUGUGUAGAGCUUUCUAGUAUUAAAAAUCUUAGAUUAUCAAAUAAUUAAACUUUUUAUCCAAACCAAUAAAUUUUAUGUGUCUAUUUUAAAUUUUGGUUUUAAAAAGAAAAUCAAAAUAAUAAAUCAAACAAUACCUGUAAAUCUUUUAUAUUACAGAUUAGCUAUAACCAGUGCACCCAUUUAUCAUUCUUAAGGUCAAUAUUUGGAAAUAAAUAAAUAAAUAAAUAAAAACUACGUACCAAUAUUUAAUUUAAGUAACCUCAAAGACUGCUAAUUUAGCUUUUUGAUAUUAAAAGGGCGUAUGUUGUUACUCUCUGCCUAGUGAUGAGACAAAUAUCAGGUCUUCUAUCUACACAAUAGUUAGAUGUGGAAAGGGUUAGAGGGAAUUUUUUUUUUUAAAAAAAGAAGAAGAAGCAAAACACCUUGAAUUACGUACUAUUUUUAUAUAGUGAUUCUCCAAGUCUCUUAGCUUUUCUUGUAAUGAAAAUUAAUAACCUUAUAAUAUCUUCCUUGUGGAUGCUUUAUCGUUGCUAAAUUAAAAUAUCUUUUUUCAUUUACAACUAUGUGAAACUUUUUAUUUAAAAAUAAAAAUAUCAAAAAAGAUAAUGUUUUUAAAAAAUAUUAAUUGUUAUUUUAGUUUUUUUAAAAUAAAUACCAUCAUUUUAGUUUUUAUAAAUAAAUAAUAUGAUGUGGUUUUGUUUUUUACUUUGGAAUACGUCUCUUAACUAUCUGUAAGCUUCCUAUUCGUUUUUAGUAAUUAAAAUAUAUAUAUAUUUUUUUUAAUAUUAAUAUAUCAAAAAAUAUUUUUUUAAUAUUUUUUUAAAACAAAAAGAUUUUUAAAUGCACUCAAAUAUAAUUCUGAGUACAAAAACAAAUAUAUAUUUUGAUUGCGGGCAUAGCAAUCUUGGCAGUGAUAAAACAAAAGAGUUAGAAUAAAUGGAAAUCUGAACAAUUUGGCUACCCAUCACUGUAUUAAUCAGCCAUUCCUUUCCUUGCAUGUUCUCCUUUUUCUUUCUUUCUAUCUUUUUUUUUUUUUUUUCUUUGGAGGCAGCCCUCCUUUUUCAUCACGUCUCCAUGAUCCCACACGUUUUCAUCAAAAACCUAAAUUAUAGGACUUCUUAGGCAGCCACGUACAUGCUUUAAGAGUUCUUUUUUCAAAAUCCUCAUUAGAGGCUAAAUUAAAACAAAUUAAAAUAAUUGUGAUUAAAAUAAUUAAAAUAAUUUAAAAAUAUAAAAAAUUAUUUAAAAAAAAUUAAAAUAUUUAAAAACACAACAUUAUGAAACAAGAUAUCAUGUCAAGAAUCACAACAAUCCAACAUAUGAGUGGAAAGCUAUGAUUAAAAUAAUAGAGUGCAUCUUCACUUUUAAAAUGAUUUUGACGAUGAUUUAUAAUAGUGAAUAGAUCUAUUAUUUUAUUAGGAUACUUUAAUGAUAAAUCAAUAUAGUUUUUUUUUUUUUGGAUUUUCAUCUUGGAGAAACUCAAUAGGAUGAAAAUAUAAUAUUAAUCAAACUUCAAAUUAUAAUUAUUUAUCUAUCGAAUAAGAAUAUCCUUGUUGAUUUAAAGGACUAUUUUCAUAUAAAAAAUAAUUAUGUUUUGCACCUGAUUUUUAACAAAAAUGAUUGAAAAAAUGAUAUAUUAUUGAAUAUGAGCAAAUUUAAGAUUACAAAAAUGAUUAGUAUUUUUACAGAUGCAUAGAAUUGAUAAAUGAUGCAACAAAGAAGGAUACGUAUUAUUACAUUUAACGGAGUAAUUAACCAUUCUACAUAUUAAUUAUUUCAAGAAAAAAAGGUCCUUUGGACAAUACCUUGGAAAUUCAAUUCAAAAAUUCCCUUUAAUUUCUAUUUUUUUUUAAUCAUUUUAGCAUUUUAUCCCAAUGAUAGAACAUUUAGAAUGCGCAUGGAACGCCAUCAAGCUUUAGCUUCAAACAACCAGAGGGAGCUUCAGUGCAGUAGAAAACUUCAACAUCUACUGUGAAGCUUGAUUUGCUAUCCAAUCUGCACACCAGUUUUUAUCCCACUGCAGUAGAACUUUUUAUCUUUUUCCAAGUUUUUUUUUGGGUGACUUUUUUUCUUUCAUCUCAAAUUAACUUGUGAAUAAAAAUAAAUAAAUAAAAUAUAAAAUACAAUUUUAAACCAAAAUAAAAAAUAUAAGAUGCAAAAAAUUAUAGAGAUCGAAAUUUUAAAAAUCACGCCUAUGUUUUUUUUCUAGUUUUAGUAUUAAAUUUGUUCGUAUAAGUUUUAUUUAUUUUUAAUCAAUUAAAUUGAACAAAAUCUUGUCAAGUCAAACAUAAACUCUUUAUUGAAUCGUCUUUUCUUUUUGGAUAAUAAGAGCUUCAUAGAAAGCUUAUUAAAAUAAAUUAUUAAAUGAAAUUAAAAAUAAAAAUGCUUUUAAAAAAAAAACAAAACAAAACAGAGAGACAUCUACGUGUUUUCUCUAUUGGUACAUGAUAAAAGUCUGAAAAGAUUUAUUAUUAUUAUUAUUAUUUUAAUUUUAAUAAUAGUACUGUUAUUUCUACCGCCAAGAAAUCAAGAAAGCUAGCUAAUUUUAAUACAAUGCUGGAGUUCUUAACUUCGGGAGAAUGAAUUCCGUGAUGGAAUUGGAGGUGCUGCUUUCUAUUAUGCACUGAUCAUGAGAUGUGGAAGAGAAUGUUACAGUUGCUAUCUCUUUUACAUAAUAUUAUUUAUUAGUAAGGUCGCCUCAAUAAUAAUUAAUUAACGUAUUGUUUGAUAUAUUAUAAGAUAUAUAAAGUUAACGUGUGGACCCGCCCCAAUGUUGAAACUUGGAAGAAGCUACCAAGAAAAUGUAAACAAAUGAAAUUUUCUAAAAAGAAUAGCAUAAUUAAAAAUAUAUUUUUUAUUUAAAAAUAUAUUAAAAUUAUUUUUUUUAUCAACACAUCAAAAUAAUUUUAAAAUAUUAAAAAAUUAUUUUUUAAAAAAUCAAAUUAAAAAAAAAACACAUUAUGACUGUAAAGAUAAACCAGUCAAUAUUCUCAAGGUAGCAAUUACUAAUUGGGAUAAAAAGAAAUUAAAAGACAAAUUAAAGGUUUUGAGUCAACGCCAUUACCAAUAUUCGCUUGCAGGGUGUAUGGUAGUUCCUAUGCUUCUGCCUUUGAGCGUGUAUAUUAGAGCAGAGUGAUUUUAUUUAACCAUGAAAAUUUUGUGAGACAAAUUAUAGUGAAUGUUUUUCUAUUUUACCAAUAUACCCAAGGUGUUUAUAACAGAGUGAUGCUACAUGCUGAGGUGGAUAUUAGCAACAGAGGAAAGCAUACAAAAGUAACAAAAAAAAAACAUCAAAUGAAAGAAAAAAAACAACCUUUAGAAACACGCGUCUUUGGAUUAACCAAUUCUUUUAGUUUAUUUUUUAUGUUGUUCAUAAAGACAGAAAAAACUUUAAAAUACAAAUUAAAAAAUCUUGAGGAAUUGAUUAACCAAUCCUGUUAGUUUUUUUUCUUUUCUAUGAAGACAGAAAAAACUUAAAAACACAGAUUAAAAUAAAGAUUUAAUAGAGAAUGAAAUUUAAUUUUAAAUGCAAAUUAAAAUAAAGCAGAGUGACUAAUGGAGAAAGUACUACUGGAAUUCUACAAAGAGUACAGCGUCGGGAAUCCUUGCACACGUUUGGUAUUUUAAUUAUUCUUAUUUCGUUUAAUAACUCAAUUGGAAGUUCAAUUCCCAGAAUUUCUGCUUUUGAAAAAUCAUUCAUCACUUUUAAAUAACGCAAAUGAUUAUUAAGAAAAUUCAACGACAACAAUAUACUCAAUAGCAAUAUUACAGUAAAGAAAUCAAAUCAAUACAGAUAAAUAAAUGAUCCAAAUAUAAUCAAAGAAUUAGUCCAUUUAAUAGAAAAAACAUUACUGAAUCCAUAAACUACAUAAUUCCCUUUUCUUUUUUCUUUUUUCUUCUUCUUCUCUGGUGCAUUUCCCACACGAAAUACUCAUUUCAAAUUAGGCACCCCCUUUUUCUAAAGGAGGCCCCCAAUUUUCAACCUCGUUUUCCAUCACGUCUCCAUGAUCCCCGUUGUGUCACAAACAAAUUUUCUAAAUUUUAGGCUUUAGGAGUUCCUUUUUUGAAAUCCUCAUUAGAUGCUAAUAUCUAGCCCUUCAAGAUACCUUUCCAACGCAUCAAGAAUCACAGCAAUCUUAUAUGUGAGUGGAAAGUUAUGAUUAAAAUACUAAAGUGUGUGGAGGCUGUUUCCAAAAAAAAAAAGAACAUUACUACUACUUUAAGUGUAUCUUUUGAUGUUUCCGGUUUAUAUUGAUAUAUUAUUCAUGUGAAUAAUAUAAGAAAAUUGCACUUAAAAAAUAAUGAACAAUUUUUUUUUUUAGUAUGUUAAUUUUUUCAAUAUUUUUUUUUAAAAAACACUAGUUUAGAGUGAAUUAAAUUCACUCGCAUUGUAACAUCAAUUUUAUACCUGAUAAUAUUUUAUCUAAUUUUAUUACAUGCUCAAAAAAUUAUGAAAACUGUAGUUCUUGUCGGAUGUAUUUCGUACAUAAUGGAAUUGUAGAUAGUUUCAUAGAAUAAUAAAAAAUAUUUUAUAUAAAGUAUGAUUUAUUUCAUGAUUUAAUAGCAAUAGUUAAAUCUACAAUAUUUAAAUUAAAAAUCAUCAAUAUUAAUAUAUAUUUUUUAAAAUUAUUUUAUAACCUCAAUUUCAAAAGCAUUCUUAACCAAACACAUUAAAUUACUUUUUUUUCAACUUCAAUUUCAAUCAUAUUUUUAACCAAACACCUAUUUUUUCAAACAAAUCUCAACUAAAAAUAUUUUUUUUCAAAUCACAACCAUAAUAUGUAUCGCAAUACUAAACACACUACAGGUAAUAAACUAGCCCAACAAAUCAUACCUAGGGAAGCAAAAGCCAGAAACAAGCUACCUCGAUUCUUGCUCCACCGGGGUAAGAAAUGCAGCAUGCCCACUUGGAAUUAUAGAGCGUCCAAAUUCCAUGGCAAAUAAUUGGUUGGAAUUGUUUUCUGAGGGGUCAUUUCAAAAUCUGAAAAUAAAAACAGAAAAUAGAUCCAGCAAAUGAUUCCAAAUAUCUUCUAAAAACAACGAUGAAAUAUGUUUUUUUAUUUACCGUAAGGAAAGAUAUUAAUGAAAUUUUUUUAUAAAAAAAAUCAAUUUAAAAAAUAUAUAACAAGUCAAAAUCUAUACUUAAAAUCUUUCUCGUAUUAAAUUCUUAAUUCAAUCAAAUAAAAUAUUAAUUUAAUAAAACAUAGUUAAGUUUUUGAUAGUUGAAUAUUUAGUAUAACGGUGACGUACUACUUAUUAUUUCUAUUUUAGCAUUUUAGCAUUUCAUACUCAUCAAAACCAUUGGAACACAAUCAAGCUUUAUCUUCAAACAACCAGGGAGAUUUUAUAGGGAUAAAAUUUUAAAAAUCACGUCUAUGCUACUUUCUAGUUUUAAUAUUAAAUUUAAUAUUUAAAAAAUGUGUUUAUGAAUAUGGCAGUUUCAGGUUUAGAAACCAAAACUGCCAUAUUCAUACUCUUUUAGACAUUUUAAAAAUAUGUAUAGAAGAAUACUUUCACUGAUGAGUUAUAAUAUUAGGUUACUUUAAUGAUAAAUCAAUAUAGUAUUUUUUUUUUUUUUUUUGGAUUUUCAUCUUGGAGAAAUUCAAUAGGAUGAAAAUAUAAUAUUAAUCAAACUUUAAAUUAUAAUUGUUUAUCUAUCGAGUUAAAAAAAAUAUGACAAUUCAGUAGUCUUUAAUGAAAAAGAAAAAAAAGAGGUUAUUUAUGUAAUUGUAAGCACGCUAUAUUAUAUUACUUUACAAAGGGACCAAGGACACCCUUUGCAUUAGGAUGCUCCCACUGCACUAUUGUCUCCCACUGCACUAUGGCUGGCCAUUUUCAAGCAACGAAAGACAAAUUGGCAUCCUCUUCAGCUUCUCACAACCCAUUACAGUAAUAUCUUCAAUAGAAUUGCAAAUCAGUUUUGCACUGCAAAUGCUUUUCAGUUCUGGUAAGUCUACCAAUUCCAGAGUUAUUAACUUUGGGAGAAUGACUUCCGUGAUGGUAUUGGAGGUGCUGCUUUCUUCAUCUGUUGUUCCUAUUAUCUCCUCCAUUUUCUCACAAUCUUCAACUUCAAUCCUUUCCAGGUUUACGAGGUUUGGCAGCAACACAAGCGGGAACAGCUUCUUCAUACUUUUACAGGUAUAACAAGAAAACUCUUUAAGACCAGAAAACGUACCGUUACAUGAUGGCAAUCGUGGUGGAGCAGAGCAGAACCAAGAAGAUGAAACCAAGCUCUCCAUGCUAUUGCAAUCCCCAAUGUUGAUGUGCUCCAGUUCAGUUGCAUUCUCUAAUGACAAAACAUCACAUAAACUUCUUGCAUCGAUGCAUUGACAAAUCAGUCCUUGAAUGCCAUUUAAGAACUUGACCUGAAAAUCUCUAUCUCCGUUGAUACUCAAAUUACCCAACCCAACUGUUUUACUUGGAUAAUCUUCAAUGCAUUCCUCUAAAAAUCUACCCACCUCUCCUACUAAAAUCUUGCAUGUGCUUAAUGAUAGGAUCCCAUCCCGAGAUCUGAGAUACUCCACGAAGUCAGAAAAACCUUCGAAAUGGCACUCCAAAGUUUCCAAAUUUCUCAAGGAUACUACUUCCUCUACUUUAACUGUUAUCGGAGCAUCAUCUUGCGGCAUAAAAUCUUCUAGUACAAAGACUUGCAGGUGAGAGAGUUUUGGUAAUAUCCCACUAGGAAACUCCUUUUCACCACAUCCAUUCAUUCUAAGAUACAUCAGGUUGGUUAGGCAUUCCAUUCCUUGCGGCAUCGUUUCAAGUCGAGUACCAGAGAGAUCCAACCUCUUCAGUGCCCUGAGCUUCUUUAAUGAUGGAACAUAUCUUAACUUGUCACACUCACGCGGAGCAAUAACGCAGUGAGACUCACCAAAUCAGAGACAGAGUCUGGCAAGUUUUCAAUACCUGUCCAAGACAGAUCGAGGACCUUGAGCCCAUGCAAUUGCUUGAAAAAUGAAUCCGCAACAAAUCCCAAGAACCGAUUUUCACAUAGCAAUAGAGUUGAUAGAUAGGGACACCUAGGUGAAUGGCUGGAAGGAAUUUCUUCGAUCUUGUUUGCAUUAGUGAAACUCUCGUCAGAUUCUCCGUCCACUCCUCUGCAUCUGGCAACUUUUAAUUGGCACCUGCUUUAACCAUGCCUUGAGAGUUCUCUGCAGUAUUGGAUGGCCAUGUCCCUAAUCAAGUCAUGCAUCUUGACACGUCUAUAUCAUACUCUAACUCUUUUAGCACUUUCCAAUAGGCAGACAUUUUCAAGUCUAUUAAGCAUCGUGUGGCCCUCAUCAAAUGCAUCUCCCCUGCUCCUCUUUCCUUUAAUUAUUCCCUCAUCGAUCAAAUAACCUAUCAACUCCUCCCUUUCAAUCAUCAUCUUCAGGAAAUAAUGCACAGUACAAGAGACAUUGUUGUAGUGCUAAAUCACCUAACCGAUCAUAACUAAACCUCAAUAACUUGAAUACUUCAUUGUCCCUAAAUUCUGAUUCUCUCAAUUUGUUCAAUGUAUUUCUCCACUCAUGUAGGUCAUCCACUCCCCUCAAGCUUCCUGCCACUGUAAUAAUUCCCAAUGGCAAACCAGCACAUUCCUUGCAACAGCUUUCGCAAUUCCUUCCACUUCUGGUGAAAGUGCUACAUCACGUGAAGUUUCUCCAUGAACAAAGUCCAAGCUUCUCCAUUAGAAAGUGGCUUCACUUUGAUUUUGUGCUGGCAAGCCAUCGAUGACAAACCGUUUCUGAUCGAGUUGUCAUAAUCAGCUUGCAUCCUUCCAACUUUCAGGAAUUCCCACUUUGUGUAGCUCAAAAUUGUUCCACAAAUCAUCUAAAAUGAGAAUCCAUUUUUGUUUCUUCCUUAGUUCUUCUGACAAUUUGGCAGCUCUAUGCAGAUCAUCAUCUUCGCUUGAAAGGUCUAGAUGAAGACGUUUAGCAAUAAGAUUCUGCAAUCUAUUAAUGCUGAAAUCUUGAGACACAGUCACCCACCAAACAUGAUCACAAAUAUCUGGUCUUUGUAGAAGCUCAUUAUGGAUAUGUUGCAGUAUUGUGUUUUACCAACUCCCCCCAUCCCAUAAAUGCCAAUGGUUGAGACUUCCAUCCAUUAACAAAGACCAUAUCACCUUCGUAUUCUCUUCGAAUGCUUGACCCACUGGCUUUGUAGAGCUAGUAGGUAAUGGAACUCCUCUAGUCUUGUUGUAUUUCAGACUUUCAGAAGAUCUAGCUCCAGCACUAACCUGCACUGAUCUUCGACUAUUCUCCACAUCCUCCUCCACUGGUUCUGUCCUCACUCUAACCCGAUUAAUUCUCUCUUCCCCGGCACCUUGUUCCAGCACCCCCUGAACUCCCACUUGUAUCCUUCCAGCAGCCCCUGCCAAAUUGCCAAGUACUGCAUUGUUUUGUUCCAACGAUCGAUCCACUGGUUCUGUCCUCGGUCUGCUCUCGAGUGCCCCUUCAGAAACUCCAUCUUCUUGUGCUCUCAUUCUGGUCAUGCUUACUACGUCGUUUCCUGCUAUUGCAUGUGAAGUAAUCCUCUCUUCCCCUACUCCGGGUUCUACAACCUGAACUUCUCUUGUACCCUUCCAAUUCCUCCUCCCAUAUUUUCAAUCUCAAUGUUUUGUUCUUGUGGACAAGUUGAAAUUCUAGAAUCAUUAACAUUGAUUGAACUUUCUGUGCUUUUAAGUCUUUUGUUGCCACGACACAUAGCUUUCCAGGCUGCUUCUUGAACUUCUUUAGCCACCCCACGACAAAUGGAAACACCAUGCCCUUCUUCUCUUGAUAAAUGCCAUUUGAUCCUUGAAAUGGAAGUUAGUGGCAUAUGUAUGUGGACAAAACUUACACUUCAUGCUACCAUCAGCCCUUUCUUCAACAUAAUUCCGAAAUGAAUCAUUUGAUCCACCCAUUUCAACCUAUAGAAAAAAAGGGGUGGGGUCAAAAUAUAGAAUAAAAAUCAGUCAAAAUAAAGAAUAAAAAUCCUAUCCGGAUGGAUGAAAAACUACUUCUUUAGUGUUGUUACCCUUAUUUUGCUAUUAAAAUUGAUAGUUAGUUUAUUGCACAAUCAUAGGAGGUAAAAAGACGACGAUAAUUUAAUUAGACUUCUUACUUGUUGAGUAUUUAAACCCCUAUUUUGACUUUGCAGGGAAGUGUCAAGGCCGGGAUUUGAGGCAUUUGGCAUAGCAGUUUGAUUUUGCAAUCCUCGGACUUGGAGGUUAUCCAUCUGUGACCUAUAUAUAUACAAAUGAAUUGAUCAUAUUAUAAAACCUUUCCAUAAUUGGUAGUCUCUCUUAAACAGUAAAAGUUAAUGGUGUUAAAACACAACAGAUAGAAGUCAGUCAGUACCCAGGCACGAAGUUCUCUUGCUGGACAUUGUCUAUGUUAGGAAUUACAGCAGCUGGAUCGACUUGUCCUUGAUUAGAAAAAUAUUGACUCCUGAAUCCAAAAUCAUUUGCAAACAAUAUGUUUAGCUUAUUGGGUUCAUGUUCAAGCUAUGAUGUUUCCUUCCUGGUUGAAAAACUAUUUUUUAUAUAUAUAUAGAAAAUACUAAACGUGAAAAAUUGGAUACCGGGGAGCAGGAAAAGAAGGUCCAGGUUGAAUGAAGCCACCAUGUUCUGAAGUGGUUGCGUUCGGUGUCAUAUAGGCAUGUCCCGGCUGAGGUUGAUGAAUAUUGGAGUACUGAUGCCUGAAUAAUAUUCAAAUAGUUAAACUUAGAACUGUUAUUCUAACUUGGUUGAUUUUCUAGUUCCAUUAUGUGCACAAGACAAAAACAAAAAAUAGAGAUAGAGAGCUCAGAAAGACUCGAAAGAUCCUCGUCAAUUCUGGUCAAGUUUAUUGUUUUCAUGAUUAAAUAAGUGUAUAUUCAAAGUUAAUACCAUUGAUUCAAUGGAGGUUGAGGUCCAGGUAGCAUCGCAGGCACUUGAUUCCUCAUUGGUAACUGAUAAUUAGUCCAUUGUUGGUCCCUAAAUUAGCAACAUUUGUUAGUAAUUUCUUUAUACAUAUACGCGUAAUUCUUUACUAUUACUCCACUAAGCAUUUGAUAUCAUUUUAGCUUACCUCAAAGGCAUUGACGGUCCAGGUAGCAUGGGAUUGGCACAUCGAGGAUCAGAUAAAUUAGGAUGAGGCAGAUACCUAUAUUCAAAUAUAAUGAAUUCAUUUAGUGUAAUAAAUUGGCAUCACUGAUAAGAAAAUUAGGCAGAUAAGUAGAACAACAACAAGAAGUUAAAUAAUUAUGAAUAUUAUGUACAAGAAGAAUUUAAAUAAUGAUUAUUCUCACUUAGUUGAUUUUCUAGUUUCAUUAUGUGAUGCAAAUCAGGAGACAGGGGAAACAGGGGACUCUUGAAAGCUGAUUAUUAACUGUAGUUAUUAUUUUUCAAGUUUAUUGUUUUCAUGAUUAAAAAAGUGUGUAUUCAAAGUUAAUACCAUUGAUUUAUUGGAGGUUGAGGUCCAGGUAACAUCGCAGGCACUUGAUUGCUCAUUGGUAACGGAUAAUUAGUCCAUUGUUGGUCCCUAAAUUAGCAACAUUUGUUAGUGAUUUCUUUAUACAUAUGCAUAAUUGUUAGCUAUUAAUCCACUAAGCAUUUGAUAUCAUUUUAGCUUACCUCAAAGGCAUUGAUGGUCCAGGUAGCAUGGGAUUGACACAUUGAGCAUCAAAUAAAUUAGGAUUAAGCUGAUACGGUGAUACCUAUAUUCAAACAUAAUGAAUUCACUGAUAAGUACAACAACAAGAGGAAGAAAAGAAGAAGUUAAAUAAUGAUUGAAAAACUUUUUUUUUUAACAGAAAAUACUAAAAAUGAAAAAUUGGAUACCGGGGAGCAGGAAAAAGAAGGUCCAGGUUGAUUGAAACCACCAUGUUCUGAAGUGGUUGCGUUCGGUGUCAAAUAGCCAUUUCCCGGCUGAGGUUGAUGAAUAAAGGAAUUAUGAUGCCUUGAUGGAGUUUGAGGCCAAUUUUAUAUAAAACUUAACGAUAAAAAAAUAUCAUAAAAAAAGUCUAAAUCUCCCAAUUGUUGUCUGUUUGUUUAACAAUAAACAUUUUGAAGAUGCUCGAGAUAAAUUGAUACACGAAAACAUAAAACUUUUUGAUCCAAUGGGUGAUACAAACACUUGCUAAUUCAAUGGACAUUGUAGCAAAUUGGAGUAGGCAUGAGCACUCACCAUGGUUUGACGAAAUGAAGGUGGAAACAGAGUUGUUUGUUGAAGACUAUCGUUGAUCACAUUGUUAUCCACCACCAUGUUCUGUCCAUCUUGAUCAUUGCAUAAUAUGGAGCUUUGGUUGCCUGAAACCUCCGGUGGCGACCUGCUUAAUUUGUUAUUAGGAACAUUAUUCUUUUUGGGGAAUAAUAAGAAAAACUGUAGAAUAACUAAAUUGCAAGUAAUCAUCUUCUGAUAAAAUAUGCUUAAGAAUGACGUACGAGAGAAACUCAGAAAUAUUGAAUGAAUCUUCUGGUGAUUGAAAAUCGAACUGAUUCGAUGUCAAGUUGACAUCAUCCUCAUUACAAGACGGUGGGACUCCUUCCAUCUGAGGUUUAAAAAAGAACAGAAAGCACAGAUUAGAUAAGAAUAUAUAUAUAUAGAUUAGAUAAGAAUAUAUAUAUAUAUAUAUAUAGACACACACACAUGACUUAUUUAUUUGUUAAAGAAAUUCGGAUGAAAAAUAGGAAAUAUAAAUGUUGCUGUUAAUUAUUUAAUUCUUUGUUUUAAUGCUAAAUUAUUUGUCACUUGUUGUGAACAAGUUUAAUGAAAGGUAAUUAAUACUGAUCAAGUUAAUUCAUGAAUCAGUAAAAAACAACUUCAUUGAAUCAUUAUGUCAGAAAAAUAUUGGAUAAAAAUAAUUAAUGGCAGUCCCACAGGGCAUGGAUUACAAAAUCCCAUAUAUAAGGAGUUAAAAACAGCAAAGAAUCUUCAAAAGACAAAAACACUGAAUUCAAGGUUUAGGGUUAAUUUAAUCAGUAUGAACACCACAGGGCAUGGAUUACAAAAUCUGAGAAAAAGAUCGAUUUAUUUAUCAUGGAUUACUUUAAAGAUUCAGACAAGAUGAAGUACAAAUAAUUUACCUGGAUUCAAGAUAUUCUUCAAGUGCUCGCUUGUUUGCUUAAGCAGUGAUCAGCCAAAAGAAAAGGAAGAGAAAUCACAGAUCAGAGAAGAAUAAAUGGCUUGGAAAAAUAAUAAAGUUGCAGCAUACAUAAAUCUAGUUCGCACUGAUCAUGAGAUGGGGAAAGGAAAAUAGGGAAUUCUACAAUGAGAUGAGAUGUGACGUGGAAGAGAAUGUUACAGCAGCAAGGUCGCCUCAAUAAUAAUAAUUAAUUAACGUAUUGUUUGAUAGGAAGGAAAUUGCCAGGAAGCAACCCAAACAUAUUACAUUAUCAGUUAUAGAAAAAUAACGUGUGGACCCGCCCCAUGUUCACACUUCGAAGAAGCUGCCAAGAAAAUGUAAACACAUGAAAAUGAGAAUGAAUAGCAUAUUUGUGCAUUGAGUGAAGUUUUUUUUUUAAUUAUUUUUUAUUUAAAAAUAUAUUUAAAUUUUUUAUAAAAAUUUUUUAUAUUGCCACAUAAAAACAAUUCAAAAAUAUUAAUUACAAACAGUCACUUGAUAUAAUUUUACAGACUUUUAAUUAGCCUCACUCAUUUGAGCCAUGUCAUGGAUUAAUGGUUCACAGCAACUCUUCAUUCUGUGAUCUUUCCUGCCCUACCUAGAACAACCACCGCCCCGACAUAAAUAAUAAUAAUUUCACAGUUGAAUCAUGUUUUUUUUAAAAACUUAAUAUUUUUUUAUUUUAAAUUAAUUUUUUAAAUAUUUUUAGAUUGUUUUAACAUUUUAAUGUUAAAAAUAAAUUUUAAAAAAUAAUAAAAAUAUUAUUUUAUUAUAUUUUUUAAUAAAAAAAUAAUUUAAAAAACAAUUAUUAUCUCAAUAUCAAACAUUAUCUUAUUAUAUGAUACUAUACUUGAACUUUUCCACACCAAUGGAAAUUUGUUUUUCCCAACACCCUUCUACACAUUUAUAUUUUUAGCCCUCAGACCUAUAAAGUAUGAUUUGCUAGCCAAUCUGCACACUAGUUUCCCAUUAAUACAAAGAUGAUCGUGUUUUUUUGGUGCCAAAAUUGUCGGCCAAUAAUUUUCCAUUUUUAUCCGAGUUUUUAAUGAUUUUUUUUUAUCUCAAAUUUAUAAAUUAAAAAAUUAAUAAAAUAAAAUUUUAAAUCAAAAUUAAAAAUCAAAAUUAAAAUGCAAAAUGCAAAAACUUAGGGAACAGAAUUUUGAAAAACACGCCAGGCUACUUUUUGAUUUCAGUAUCAUAUUUGGUGUUCACAGUUUCAAUUAUUUAUAAUGAAUUAAAUUGAAUACAAUUUUAUCACAUCAAAUGCCAACUUAAAUUAAUCUUCCUUUUUUUUUUACCUUGAGAACUUUAUAAUUAAUUAAAAUAAAUUAUCAACCUCAAAUUUCCAUGAAUAUAAAAUUAAAAAUAAAAUAAUCAGCUCAAAUAAUAAUUAAUUAACGUAUUGCCUGAUAGCAAGGAAGUUGUCAGGAAGCAACCUACCGCUCACCUACCAAACAUGAGAGUGUUUGGAGAUUAUUUUGGUUUUUUUUUUUUAUGGUCAUAUAAAAAAUAUUUCUUUUAAAUUUUAAAAAAUAUAAUGUAUAUUUUAAAAAAUUAUUUUUUUAAUAAAAAAAUUAUCACAUCUCCAUACCAAACACACAUAUUAUAUUAUAAGAUAUAAAAGUUAACAUGUGGACCCCACCAAUGUUGAAACUUCGAAGAAGCUGCCAAGAAAAUGUAAACACAUGAAAUUUUCAAAAAAGAAUAGUAUAUUUAUGCAUGCUGUAAAUGUUUUUUAAAAAUAUUUUUUAUUUAGAAAUAUAUUAAAAUAAUAUUUUUAAAUUUUUUACUUUUUAUAUCAUAAUAUCAAAAUAAUUAAAAAAUAUUAAAAAUAUAUUUUUAAAAAAUACAUUAGGAUUGUAAAGAUAAACCAGUUCUAACAUUUAAAUUGUUUUAAAAGUAUUUUUAAAAUGUAAAAAUAAACAGUAUUUAAGGUGUAUUUGGUAGUUUUUAUCCUUCUGCCUUUGAGUGUGUCUAUCAGAGCAGAGUGAUUUUACUUAACCAUGAAAUUUUUGUGAGAUAAAUUAUAAUGAAUUUUUUUCUAUUUUACUAAUAUACCCAAGGUGUUUAUAACUAGAUGCUACUUGCUGAGGUGGAUAUUAGCAACAGAGGAAAGCAUACAAAAGUAACAAAAAAAAAAAUGGAUAGCAAAGACGAAAGCAUAUGAAGCUAACAAAAUCAACCCCACCAUUUCUCAAAUAUUCAGAUUUUAAAAAACACAUGGAAAUAAUAAUUUAAGAAGAAACAUGUUUUCAAGCUGUGUCAAAUGCAGAAUGCUUUAAUUAAUACGAGGAAAAUCUUGUUGAUAAUAUAGUUCGGUAUAGCGCACUGCCAGUUUAAAAUUACAAUCAUUAUUGAUUUUUAAAGUAUUUUUUAUUUAAAAAUAUAUAAUAAUUUCAGAAUCAUGUUUUUUUAAAAACUUAAUACUUUUUAUUUUAAAUUAAUUUUUUAAAUAUUUUUAGAUUAUUUUGACAUUUUAAUGUUAAAAAUAAAUUUUAAAAAAUAAAAAAUUAUUAUUUUAAUAUAUUUUAAAUAAAAAAAAUAAUUAAAAAAAAAUAUUAUCACACCAUCAAACCUUAUCUUAUUCUAUGAUAGUAUACCUGAACUUUUCCACACAAAUGGAAUUUUUUUUUUUCCAACACUCUUCUACAGAUUUUAUAUUCCUAGCCCUCGACCUAUAAAGUAUGAUUUGCUUCCAAUCUGCACACUAGUUUUCCAUUAAUACAAAGAUGAUCGUGUUUUUUUGUUGCUAAAAUUGCCGGCCAAUAAUUUAAGAGGUGCGUUUAUUUAAGAGGUACAUCAGUCAAUGAGUUUGGAGUACAAAUUUAUAUUUUCCAUUUCUAUAAAGUAUGAUUUGCUAUCCAAUCUGCACACCAGUUUUUCAUUAACACAAAGAUGAUAGUGUUUUUUUUUUUUUUCUGCCAAAAAUUAUCAACCAAUAAUUUUCCAUCAUUUUCCGAGUUUUUUCAGUGACUUUUUGUCAGUUAAAAAUAUAAAGAUUUUUGCGGUGAUUUUAGCCCAACUUUGGGGUAUCGAGUCUCCACUGAGAAAUUAAAAGAAUAGAAAAAAAUAUUACAUGGAGACAAAUUAAGAGAAUAGAAGAAAAUAUUAAAUGAUUUAAUAGAGAAAAAAAUUUAAUUUUAAAUGCAAAUUAAAAUAAAGCAAGGUGACUAAUGGAGAAAGUAGUGGAAUUCUACAAAGAGUAGAACGUCGAAAAUCCUUGCACACAUUUGAUAUUUUAAUUAUUCUUAUUUCGUUUAAUAACUCAAUUGAAAAUUCAAUUCCCAGAAUAUCCGCUUUCGAAAAAUCAUUCAUCACUUUUAAAUACGCAAAUGAUUAUUAAGAAAAUUCAACGACAACAAUAUACUCAAGAGCAAUAUUACAGUAAAGAAAUCAAAUCAAUACAGAUAAAUAUAUGAUCCAAAUAUAAUAAAGAAUUAAUCCAUUUAAUUGAAAAAAAACAUGACUGAAUCCAUAAACUACGUCGCCGUGGUCCCACAUGUUUUUAAAUACAUGCAGGCUGGUUCAAAGUGAAUUUCACGACUUUGGGCCUUGACUUGUCUGUGAGAGCUUCAACUCUACAUUGAAAUGUUUUUUCUUAAACUGUGAGAGCCUCAUAAUAAGCUUAUUGAAAUAAAUUAUUAUAAUGAAAUUAAAAACAAAAAUGCUUAAAAAAAAACAGAGAGACGCCGUGUUUUCUCUGUUGCUACAAGGUAAAAGUCUGAGCAUAUUUAUUUUUUUAUUUUUAUUUUUAUUUUAAUAAUAUUACUGUUAUAUCUACCGCCUAGAAAUCAAGAACGCUAGUUUCAUUUAAAAGAUUCUAAAGUUCAUAUUUAGAUAAAUUAGCAGAAAGGACGAAAACACAACAAAUCAUACCCAGAGAAGAAAUGCAGCGUGCCCACUUGGAAUUACACAUCAUCCAAAUUCCAGGGCAAAUAAUUGGUUGGAAUUGUUUUUUGAGGAGUCAUCUCAAAUUUGAAAAUAAAAACAGAAAAUAGAUCCAGCAAAUGAUUCCAAAUAUCUUCUAAAAAGAACAAUGAAAUAUGUUUUUUAUUUACUGUAAGGAAAUAUAUUAAUGGAAAAAAUAAAAAAAAUCAAUUUAAAAAAUAUAUAAUAAGUCAAAAUCUAGACUUAAAAUCUAACUCGUAUCAGGUUCCUAGUUGAAUUGAAUAAUUGAAUAAAAAGGUGGGAAAGGGAGACAUCGAAAGGUGUCAAAUAGAAAAAAAAGAAGAAAAAAAGAUGGUGGCUGGUUCAAAGGACGAGCUUAAUCUCAUGAAUCAUUUUUUAACCUUUAUGGUAAGACUUGACACGUGUGCUCUAAACCCUCCUGUCCCUCUUCCAUUAGCGUAAACCUAUGCUUCUCUGGACUUAAUUUGAUCCCAAUAAACCAAUCCAUGGAGUUGGUGCUAAUGUAAUUGAUAUAACUUUUUAAAUUAUUUUUAUUUAAAAAAAUAUCAAACUAAUUUUAAUGUGUUGGUAUUAAAAAAAUUUAAAAAUAUUCUAAAAAUAUAUUUUUAUUUGAAAAAUAUUUUUUUAAAAAACCGUAUGUAGAAUUAUUAAACACCCUUAAGCCAGUGGACAAAGACACAAACGACAAAAUACAAAGGAAAAGGGAUAAAAGCAUAUAUUUGGAGAUGAUAAAAGGGCAUGAGAUCAAAGAGGAUAAGUUUUCCAGUGAUGGGAUUGGAUGGUGAUGAAGGAUUGUGUGGAUAAGAGCAUAGUAAUUAAUCCUUUACUAAAAAGUUCUUCAAUGACCUAAUUCUGUGGCCCAACAAAAUUAUCAUUAUCCAAUAAACUAUUUGAUUAAUUCAGUGUUGCUUAAUCCCAGUUUGCUAUUGCGUUUUAAAUGGGUAUUGGUUAAAAUCAGAACCCAUUUAUGUUUCUCCAUUAUUUCUUUUUUCAAUUCGACCACUCUAUGCAGCUCCUCAUUUUCAUUAGAAAUAUUCAGACCAAUACGUCUUUCAUUUCCACCAUGUUCUGCACAUCACACAUAAUGACAUCUUUGUUUAGCGAUGGAGCACAGAGUUGAUCAUAAUAAAUAUCUUCCAUGGUCAAGACACAAUGAAUCUCCAUCACAACCCAACAUCAUUAGCUUAUCUGCUAUCCCUUUCAAGAGAAGAAGAUUUCGAAUCAGUCCAUUCAUUCCCAUCUGUAGGCAUCUUUCUCAAACAUUAAGAAAAAAAAUGAAAAAUAAAUAAAAAAGGAAAUUUUUUUAUCUUAAGCUAUAUAUCCAACACUCACUUGAAAGAUAUUGAUAACCAUGCAAGCAGUUUACAUGUCAGUAUUUGACAAGGGGUGGGAGAUAUUGGAAACAAAUUAGAGUACACAAAUAGAAUGUACUUGGUGAAUUGCCCGCGCGGUGCCGGGGUCAACAUGAACUGAGAAAAACCUAAAAGCACUGAGAUCGAACUGAGCAACCAUGUGCAGUAAGCUAUUUGGCUGCCAGAACAAUUCAAAAAGGGCCUCCGAUUAAACAUCCCGAGGGCAAAUGUAAACACAUGAAAUUUUCAAAAAAGAAUAGUAUAUAUAUUUAUGCAUGCUGUAAAUUUUUUAAAAUAUAUUUUUUAUUUAGAAAUAUAUUAAAAUAAUAUUUUUAAAUUUUUUAUUUUUUAUAUCAUAAUAUCAAAAUAAUUAAAAAAUAUUUUUAAAAAACACGUUGUGAAUAAGUUCUAUCAUUUAAAUUUUUUUAAAAGUAUUUUUAAAAUAUAAACAUAAUUUAAAGUAUGUUUGGUAGUUCUUGUGCUUCUGCCUUUGAGUGUGUAUAUUAGAGCAGAGUGAUUUUACUUAACCACGAAAUUUUUGGGAGACAAAUUAUAGUGAAUAUUUUUCUAUUUUACCAAUAUACCCAUGGUGUUUAUAACAGAGUGAUGCUACAUGCUGAGGUGGAUAUUAGCAACAGAGUAAAGCGUACAAAAGUAACCAAAAAAAAAUAUUGUGUUUUUUAAAAUCUGAAUAUUUGAGAAUUGGUGGGGUUGAUUUUGUUAGCUUGAUAUGCUUUCCUCUUUCCUCUUUGCUUUUCAUUUUUUUUUGUUACUUUUGUAUAAAUUAGUGAAUUUUAUCUUAGUCCAUUAGAAAUUUGCCUUUCCAAUUUUUUUUAAAAACAAAGAAAAGUAAAAUUCAAGACUUAUGUCUGUUUGACAACACCAGUCUAAUGGACUCGUGUUGUUGAAAUAACUUAAUAUUCUAAUAAAGUUUGUUACUGAAUAUAUAUUCUCCAAAUCCUUACUAAAUUAUUAGAAAGUAACAUUAUAAUAUUUUUAGGUCUGCUUAAUUUAUUUGGUUUAAAAUAAUUUUUUAAUAUAGUAUCAGAUAUUUAAUAACUUAUGAGUUAUUUGUUAAGUUAAUUUAAAUUAAUUAUUUUUAUUAAAAUAAUAUUAUUUCAUUAUUUUUUAUUAAUCUAGUCAAAUAUGAACUAGAUUGGUUUUAUUAAAUUUAUCAAAUUUCAUCAAAUUAAUAUUUUAUUUGAUACAAUUACAAAUUCAAUUUUUUUAAGGUCAAUAUUUAGAAAUAAAUGAAUAAAUAAAUAAAAGCUACAUACCAAUAUUUAAUUUAAGUAACCUCAAAGACUACUAAUUUAGCUUUUGAUAUUAAAAGGGUGUAUGUCUUUAUUCUCUGUCUAGUUGAUGAGGCAAAUAUCAGGCUAAUAGCUUUUUAAGUGAGUUUAGAUAAUAACUAAUAAUAUAUCCCUAGUGAUUCCCCUAAUGAUUAUAAAAUAUUGCGUGGGAAAUGCAGGUGAAGAAUUAGAAACAAGGAAAAAUGUCGACACAAUGAAAAUUAAUUGUUAUAUAAUUGUACAUGGCAUACACUUUAAAGCUCUGAACUUCAGUAAAUGAUUUAAUAGAGAAUAAAAUUUAAUUUUAAAUGCAAAUUAAAAUAAAGCAGAGUGACUCAUGGAGAAAUUAAGCACAACUGGAAUUCUACAAACAGUAGAGCGUCGGGAAUCCUUGCACACCUUUGGUAAUUUAAUUAUUCUUAUUUCGUUUAAUAACUCAAAUAUAAUAAAGAAUGAAUCCAUUUAAUAGAGAAAACAUGACUGAAUCCAUAAACCACAUAAAUCCCUUUUUGUUAUCUGGUGCAAUUCCCACGCGUCUUCUUUAUUCCAAAUGCCCCUCUUUUCAAAUUAGGCAUCUUCAAUCUCCUUUUUCAUCACGUCUCCAUGAUCCCCGUUGUGUCACAAACAAAUUGCCUAAAGUUUAGGAUUUUUUUUUGGCAGCCACAUACAUGCUUUAGGAGUUCCUUUUUUGAAAUCCUCAUCAUAGAGUAAUUUGUAGCCCUUCAAGAUACCUUUCCAACGCGUCAAGAAUCACAGCAAUCCGAUAUGUGAGUGGAAAGUUAUGAUUAAAAUACUUUAGUUCAAAGUGAAAUUUCACGACUGCUGGCCUUGACUUGUCUGUUUAAUUUCUAUUAUUUUUAUUCACAUUUUAGCAUUUUAUUCCAAUGAUAGAACGCACUUUCAUAGACUCAUCAAAACCCCACGAACGUCAUCAAGCUUUAGCUUCAAACAACCAGAUCGGGAGAUUUAGUGCAGUGGAGAACUUCAACAUCUACUAUGAAGCUUGAUUUGCUAUCCAAUCCACACACAAGUUUUCCAUUGAUACAAAGAUACUGUAUUUUUUAUACAAAGAUACUGUAUUUUUAACCGUCUAGUAAAUAAUUUAAUGGUAAAAAUUUAAGAUCAAGAGAUUUACUAUCUACUGUGGUCUCAAGUUCGAGUCAUGUGAUUGUCAAUAUUAAUGGUUACUGGAAGCUUACUUGCUCAUUAAUUUUAAAAUUUGUAAAAAUUAGUUAAUGUGCGUGUAAGUUGAUCUAGAUACCCCCAAUUAAUAAAUAAAUAAAAAUGGUGUAUUUUUGUUGCCGGAAAAUUGUCCACCAAUAACUUUUUAUCUUUUUCCAAGUUUUCUAGGUGACUUUUUUCUUUCAUCUCAAAAUCAUGGAUCAAAAGUGAAUAAAAUAAAAUUUUGAAUCAACACUAAAAAUAAAAAAAUAAAAAAUGCAAAAAGUCUAGUGAUCAAGAUUUUUAAAAUCACGCCUAUGCUACUUUCUAGUUUUAAAUAUUCAAAACAAGGCUCAUUAUCAUAUAUUCAUAGAGACAUACCAAUGUAGCUUUUGAUGUUUACCGGUUUGGGUAUGUCCAUAUACUUUUAAAUAUUUUUUAAAAUUUAUAUUUGUUUAUAAAAAAUAUUAAAUUAAUAAUUUUUUAGUUGUUUUUAAUGAUUUUGAUGUAUUGAUAUUAAAAAUAAAAUCUAAAAAAAUUAUUUUUAAAAAAUAUUCUAUAUAACAGUAUCAAACACAUGAUAACCUGGUCCAAAAGCUUUCGACCGAGCAUAAAAUGGUUUUCAACCCAAUCAUACUUUUUCCUCAUUAUAAAUAUAAAAUAAAGUUCAACUAUUCAAGUUAAGUAGGGUCCAAUCAAGGUUGUUAAAAUCACGAUUUUAACAUGAAACAGAAAGUCUUUCACAAAUUCGGAUCGUAAAAUCAUAAAAAAAUCGUAAGGAAUUUUAAAAUAUAUUAAAAAAAAUUCAUAUUUCAAAAUAAUAAUAAAAUAUUAAUUAAAUUUUAAAAAAAAUAAAAAGAACAGGAGAAUUGCAAUGCCAAAAGAUGUCGUCGAAAGGGAUUGGAGAACAUUUUAUUGUUAUUUUUUUAGGUUUUAAAUGAUAACAAUCAGUAUUAUGGAAAUUCCAUCCUGUCACAGUAAUUGAUAACAAGCAGCACUAUUUUGUGGCCCACACUUUUGCCAUUUGUCCAGGAGACUUCAAGCCUUCAAGGCCGAAGCAGAGAAGCGAAGACUGUGCCAUUUGUCCAGGAGACUUCAAGCCUUCAAGGCCGAAGCAGAGAAGCGAAGACCGAAGAUGAAGAAUUGAAGACCAAAGACAGGUGGACAUGGGGCGGGGGACUUUCAGUGCAGGUUUUAGAAAUUAUAUUGAAAUCGUAAAAUCGGUCCUGAUAUCGCGAUUUUGCAUGAUAUCAUCUAAUUUUUGCGAUUUUACCUGAUUUCAACCCGAUUUUACUCAUUUUCAAUUUUUUCAACCGAUUCAACCCGUAAUGCAUGUUUUGACUCGUAAAAUCAUACGAUUUUACAAGUCAAAACGCGAUUUUGACAACCUUAAGUCCAAUCUUAAAUGGUUCAAACAUUAUUGUUAGAACGUGACAGUGUCCCAGCAUUAGUAGUGUAGCACGUGCCAUGUCUUAAGCUUAUGUGAUCCGAAAACAAGGCAAUUGAUAAAAAACUGAUGUAUAUUACUCUUUCACACAGGAUGCUUAGAAUAAUACAAUGAAUUGAUCAAAUGAGACUAAGGCUUAAAUAGCCAGAACAAGAAACAACAGAAACAGCUAAAAAUAAGUUCACGUCUUCAACACCCUGAAGAUGUGGAUCCUUGCUUAAAAAUAGGUAAAACUAAAACAGAAUAUCAAAUGCUAACAACACUGUCCUAAUAGCUAGGACACUUAUUAAAAUUAUUAAGACUAAGUCUAACAAUUGCUCCCCUAAACUGAACAUGCUUGAAGCAGUUUAGUUUAUUUCUUCAGCUGAAUUCACCCCAAGUGCAGCUCUGAAUUUCUCGAACAGUUCCAGCCUUAGAGGCUUGGUCAUAAUAUCAGCCAGCUGCUCAUUUGUACCACAAUGCUCUAUGUCAAUUACUUCAUCCUUUGUAAGAUUCCUCAGAAAAUGGAAUCUUACGUCAAUAUGCUUACUCCUACCAUGAAGAACUGGAUUCUUGGCAAGUUUUAUUGUAGAAGAAUUAUCACACAGAACUUUGACACACUUCCUUUCAGUACCUCCAAUUUGUUUAAGUAUCUGUUGCAACCAAAUACAUUGACAUGCACAAGACGCAGCUGCCACAAACUCUGCUUCUGUAGUUGAGAGUGUCACCACCGGCUGUUUCUUUGAUGACCAAGCCACUGCUCCUCCACUUAGCAUGAAAACAUAUCUAGAAGUGCUUUUUCGAUCAUCCAAGUCCCCUGCAUAGUCACUAUCUGUAUAAGCUAGCAUCUCAUCUUACAUCCCUUUCUGUAGAAUACACCAAGAUCAGUAGUGGCUCUAAUAUAUCUGAGAAUUCUUUUGGCUGCCAUCAUGUGAGAUUCCAUAGGAUUGGCCAUGAAACGGCUUAUCAGACACACACUAUAAGCCAAGUCAGGCCUUAUGACUGUUAUAUACAUUAAACUCCCCACUAUUUGUUUGAACAAGGUUGCAUCUGCCUUCUUGCCAUCUUCUUGUUUUGUCAGUCUAUUGCUUCCUGGAACCAUGGGAUUCUUAACACCAUUACAAUUUUCCAGCCCAAAUCUUUUCAAGAUUUCUUCUGCAUACUUUUUCUGACCAAUAUGAAUGCCUUUGGAACUUUGCCGAAUUUCAACUCCCAGAAAAUACUUCAUUUCACCGAGAUCAGUCAUUUCGAAUUCCUUUUUCAUUGACUCUUUGAACUUGCUCACCAUAAUUGAAUCAUUGCUAGUAAAAAUGAGAUCAUCGACAUAUAAACUUACAAUUAGAAUUCUGUUCUUCUCUUCCUUCUUUAUGAACAAUGUGUGUUCAUAGCUACUUCUCUCAAAUCCCUCCUUAGCAAAAUAACCUUCAAUUCUGUUAAACCAUGCUCUUGGUGCCUGUUUUAAGCCAUAAAGUGCUUUCUUCAAUUUAUAAACUUUCUUCUCUUCCCCGUUAAUCUCAUAGCCUGGAGGUUGUGCAAUGUAUACAUCUUCAUUCAACUCGCCAUAAAGAAAAGCACUUUUGACAUCAAGUUGAAAAAGUGUCCAUCCAUUCCUUGCUGCCAAAGCUAUCACUGUGCGAAUUGUGUCCCACCUAGCAACUGGGGCAAAAACUUCAUUGUAGUCUACCCCCUUCUCUUGUGCAUAUCCUUUUGCCACAAGCCGAGCCUUGCAUUUGUCCACCUCUCCAUUUUCAUUUAACUUGGUUUUAUAAACCCACUUUACUCCAAUUAUUUUUGCUUGCUUUGGUGCAUCAACAAGCUCCCAGGUCUCAUUCUUUAAGAUUGCACCAAUCUCCAUAUCCAUUGCAUCCCUCCAUUGUUUCAUUUUUGCAGCUUCUUCAUAAUAAAUAGGAUCAGCAGAAACCAUAAACAAUGAAAAACUUUGUACCUCUUCUUCUGCUUCAAAGUUUCCCCUCUUAUGUAGUCUUGAAGAUAGGCUGGAGCUCGAGUGACUCUUCUCUCGGGCAGAGCAGGUGCUGCAGCAUUACUGGGGAUGCUACCGUGAGAUAUUGCAGCAUCAUUGGAUUGACUGGAUUCUCCUUCUUCUAGUGAUUCUUCAGUUUCAUUUUCUUCAUCACUGGAGGCAUAUAUGUCUGCAUCAACUUCUCCCCAAUCAAGCAUAUCAUUCUUGUCUUCUUCUGUUCUUCUCCAAUCCCAGCUUUGCUCUUCUUCGAACACAACAUCUUUACUAACUAUCACUUUUUUUGUUAUGGGAUCAACCAUCUUGUAUCCUUUGGACUCUUCACUAUACCCCAGCAUCACACACUUUUGACUCCUGGCAUCCAAUUUCAGCUUCUGUGGAUUUGAUACAUGCACAUUUCCUAUGCAUCCGAACACUCGGAAAUAAUCAACAUUAGGCUUGACUCCACUCCAGCAUUCUUCUGGUGUUUUAUUCUUUACAGCAGAGGUUGGGCUUCGGUUGAGGAUAUGGCAUGUCCAUUUCACAGCAUCUGGCCAAAAACGAGCAGGCAUCUGUUUCUCUUCUAGCAGACAUCGUACCAUGUUUAGAAUGGUACGAUUUUUGCGCUCCGCAACUCCGUUUUGUUGAGGAGUGUAAGUUGUUGUCAACUGUCUUUUAAUGCCUUCAAUUCUGCAAAAUUCUGUGAAUUCUUUGGAGGUGAACUCCCCUCCUCUAUCUGUUCUUAACCCAGCAAUAGAUAGACCAGAUUCUUUUUCCACAGCAUUUUUAAAACUUUUGAAUGUCAUGAAAGUUUCACUUUUCUCAUGCAGGAAAUACACCCAAAGUUUUCUACUCAUGUCAUCAAUGAAGGUCAACACAUACCUUUUGUUGCCAUGUGAUUCCGGAGUGAUAGGUCCGCAAAGGUCUGAGUGUAUGAGCUGCAGCUGCUGUGUUGCUCUCCAAUUGCUUUUCUUUGGAAUAAUUUCUCGGUGCUGUUUUCCUUUCAUGCAGCUUGUACACACAGAGGUUGGCACUUGAAACUUUGGAAGUCCUUGGACAAGUUCCUUUUGUUGCAGUAAAUUCAGACUUGUGAAGCUUAGGUGGCCAUAUCUUUUAUGCCAUAAAUCACCGAGAUGAUUGCUGCUCACAUUUAAACAAGUAGAUGAUGCAUGCAGCACAAUAUUUGCCAAUACUACGAACAUCCUAUUUGAUGUCAUCUGUGUAUGCAUAAUUAAACCCCUUCUAGGAUGAUAAACUCUACACUCUCCAUUUUGCAUCAAAAUAGCCAAAUUUUUCUCUUGCAACUGGCCAAUGCUCAACAGAUUAUUUUUUAAUUCAGGAACAUAGUAAACUUCUGAUAUUACUUGAGUUAUACCUUCUAUUUCAAGUCUGAUGUUGCCCUUCCCUUCCACUGGCAUUCUGAGGUUGUUUCCAAGUUUCACCGAGUGACUGAAUUCUUCAUCUAGUUCCACAAACCAUUGUUUGUUUCCUGUCAUAUGGUUAGAGCAACCAGAAUCAAGAAACCAUACGACCUCUCUCUUCGAAUUGUGAAGUUCAACGUAAGACAUCAAAAGGAGUUCUUCUUCUUCAUCCAACUCAGCGUAAUUAGCCCUUUUUUCCCAAUCAGGACACUCAUAUUGAAAGUGUCCCAAUUUAUGGCAUUUGAAACAUUCAACCAGAGCCUUGUUGGAUGUUUGUCUGCCUCGUCCUCUACCUCGUCCUCCUCUAUACAUGCUUCUGCCUCUUCCUCUGGUUGAUCUCUCAUCAUAUGCGACUUUCAACACCUGUUCCUCUAUUUGUUGUCCUUGCAUCCUUUGUUCAUGGACAAGCAGGCUUCCAUGUAAUUCAUCAAUACUCAGGACACUUAGAUCAUUUGACUCCUCUAUUGAACAAACAACAUAGUUAAAUUUUGGAGUCAAUGAUCUAAGUAUCUUACCCACCACUGUGCUUUGUUCCAUCGCCUCACCAUUUGUUUUCAUUUUGUUAACCAAGGCUAGAGUUCGACCCAAGAAGCUGUCAAUUUUCUCUCCUUCUUUCAUGGCUAGUAACUCGAAUUCCUUCCUCAAAGCUUGAAGUUGUGCUCUUCUAACCUUUGUGGACCCUUGAUAUUUCUGCUUCAUUGAGUCCCAAAUAGCUUUUGAUGUUCUCUUGUCGAGAAUUGUCUCCAAAAAUCUCCCUUGUCAAUUGCUUGAAACAAGAAAUUUUUAACUUUCAAGUCUUUGAGUUUGAUCUCCUCUACACUCUUCCUCUGUGCCUCACUUGCUGCUGCAUUUCCAACAGCCAGUGUUGGAAUCCCUUCGUCCACAAGAUUCCACAUCUCCUUGCUCCUAAGGAAAUUCUCCAUUGUCAUUGCCCAGAAAUCGUAAUGGCCAUCAAAUCUCGGAAUGGAAGGCUGCACGAAUUUGUCUGCGGUUGACAUCUCGAUUUUCUCCUCCUUUUUUUUUUUUUUUCUCACACACUCUGUGUUGAUUUUCACUCUCACCCUUUUGUUUUGUCUCACACACUGUGUUUGAUUUUCACUCUCACACACUUUCACUCACACUCGUGUUUGCUCUUACUGUCACACACUCUAUACUUGCUCACACCCCCACACAAUCAGGUCCCCUUUUAGGCUCUGAUACCAAAUGAUAAAAAACUGAUGUAUAUUACUCUUUCACACAGGAUGCUUAGAAUAAUACAAUGAAUUGAUCAAAUGAGACUAAGGCUUAAAUAGCCAGAACAAGAAACAACAGAAACAGCUAAAAAUAAGUUCACGUCUUCAACACCCUGAAGAUGUGGAUCCUUGCUUAAGAAUAGGUAAAACUAAAACAGAAUAUCAAAUGCUAACAACACUGUCCUAAUAGCUAGGACACUUAUUAAAAUUAUUAAGACUAAGUCUAACAGCAAUUGGUGUUUGAUGGAAUUAGCUGUCACUAAAAAUAAAAUAAAUAAAAUCCUCUGUGAACUAAUUAAUUCCUAAAUUAUUUUUUUUAUUGUUUUUCACAAAAUUUAUAAAAAUAAAAAUAUUUUAUUAGAUAUUUUAGAUACUCCACUAUUAUAAUAUUUUAUUUAAGUUUAGAUUUUUAUUUCAAAAUUGAAUUUUAUUUAAGUUUAGAUUUUUAUUUCAAAAUUGAAUUUUAUUUAAUAUAACAAAUAUUACGAUGUUUUAUUUUAUCUGAAAUUUUUUGAAAUGUUAUUUGAUUUUAUUAAUUUAACUCUUGAUUGUCUCAGGUCCUCCAAGGCAUUCCUCCACUCCUUGGUUAACUAUCUCAUGGAGGUUAACUCCCUCCACCUCUCUUACGGAUAAAGUAAAGAAGCCAUUUACACUUCAUAAGAAACCGUAAUAUAACAAACAGAGGAUCUGUAAGUUUCAGAGAACGACAUCAAUUUAAUUAUGCGAAGUUCAAUCUUUUUUCCUCUACAAAUUAAAUCAUGUACGUAAACCUGUUACCUACAUUUUGUAAUAUUUCUGGAUCUGCUCUUUGAUUCAUCAAGGACAGAGUUGAUUGCAGCUUCGUCAUAGAAAAGUUCGUCUUCUUCAUCUUCUUGGUUGGCGAGGAAAUAUAAGUGGACUCUUCUCCAGUUUAAGGAUUCCAACCUAGCACAUGAAUGAUAAAGGACAGAGUCAUCAUUUAAAUAAUAAAGGGACGAAGGACAUCCUUAGCAUUAGGAUGCUCCCAUUCCACCACUGACUCUCACCAUUCUUUUGGAUGUACUCCAUCACUCUAAGAGAAGGGGGAUGAGAUAGCUGGCCAUUUUCAAGCAACGGAAGAUGAAUUGCCAGCCUUUUCAGCAUCUGACAAUUUGAUAUCCCAAUUUGUUGGAGAGAAUCGCAGAUCAAACUCUUUAAAAAUAGAAAUAUACCAUGAUAAGAUGGAGAUGAUGGUGGAGCGGAGCGGAGCAGAGCCAAGAAGACGAAACCAAGCUCUCCAUGUUAUAGCGCUUCCAAAUGUUGGUACUGGCAUUUUAUUGAAAUGAAACUUAGAAUCAACUGUUUUGAAAGCCAUUUGAUAGCUAAGAACUCAGAAUCCAUGAGAUUAAGUAUUUGGCAAAGCCUUCCCCGUGAUUGGAGCAAUCUCACUAAUUUAUCGACGGAAUGGCUAGAAUUGUCUUCCUCUUAACUAAUCUUUAGCAAACCAAGCUUCAAACAAUAAGAGGGAGCUUCAGUUCAGUAGGAAACUUCAACAUCUAUUAUAAAAAUCGUGUUUGGUUACGCUGUGUAAAUUAUGUAUUUAUAAAUUUUAAUUUUUUUUUAUUAAAAAUUAUUAUUAUUAUAUUUUCAGAUUAUUUUGACGUGUUAUAUCAAUAAAAAAUUAAAAAAUAUUAUUUUGAUGUAUUUCUAAAUAAAAAAUACUUUGAACAAUAAUCACUACCACAAUCUCAAACAAACUCUUGUGAUUUGCUAUCCAUUAAUACAAAGAUCGUGUUUUUUUGUUGUUGAAAAAUUAUCAACCAGCAACUUUUUAUCUUUUUCCAAGCUUUUUGGUGAUUUUUAGGUAGCAGCGUGAAGCCUCGCCAAAAGCCCAAGAUUAAAAAUAACCAUGCUCCUAGCCCAAGCCCACCAACAUCACCCCCAGCAGAUUGGAAAAAUGCUCAUAAGUCAUAACCAUUCCGGAAAAAACACACCUAGGCUAGUAUGGUAUACUAGAAAGUGGAAAUAAAUCGAUAUUAAUCAUCAAAUAAAUCGUUAGCAGAAACCAAAAAUAAAUAAAUAAAUUGUUCAUGCUACUCCAUCUUAUUGAUGGGAAUGACUUUUGACCAACAUACAUACGACUUUGCUAAAAUUAUCUGACAAAUUAUUAGGCUUAUAAAAACACUUAAUAAAAUCAGAAAAAAAAAAUCAUUUUUAUUCAAUAAAAUAAAAAAGAAAACUCAGGUAAUAAAUAUUCAAUUCACUUUCCAGCCGCCAAUAAAAAAUAAAAGUAUUUUUAUUCAAUAAUACUUCUUGGUAACAAAUAAGCUGCCAAGAAUUAUAUGAGAAUCAAAUCUCUCCGAUCACAUGGUCGUUUAAAAUGCUCAACACUCAGAAAACAAAUUUACAGAAUAAUAAGUCUAGUAAACUUCUUGAUAUAUAUAUAUAUUAUUCAACCAAAUAAUUGCUUGUGACAUAUACAUGGAGAGCUUCCUAGUAUUAAAAAUUUAAGAUUAUCAAAUAAUUAAACUUUUUAUUCAAACCAAUAAAUUUUAUGUGUCCAUGCUACUCCAUCUUAUUGAUGGGAGUGACUUUUGACCAGCAUACAUACGACUCUGCUAAAAUUAUCUGACAAAUUAUCAGGCUUAUAAAAAAACUUAAUAAAAUCAGAAAAAAAAAUCAUUUUUAUUCAAUAAAAUGGAAAAGAAAACUCAGGUAAUAAAUGUUCAAUUCACUUUCCAGCCGACAAUAAAAAAUGAAAGUAUUUUUAUUCAAUAAUACUUCUUGGCUCAUAAAUAAACUGCCAAUAAUUAUAUGAGAAUCAAAUCUCUUCGAUCACAUAGUCGUUUAAAAUACUCAACACUCAAAAAGUAAAUUUACAGAAUAAUAAAUCUAGUAAACUUUUUGAUUUAUAUAUAUAUUAUUCAACCAAAUAAUUGCUUGUGACAUAUAUGUGGCGAGCUUUCUAGUAUUAAAAGUUUAAGAUUAUCAAAUAAGUAAAAUUUUUAUCUAAACCAAUAAAUUUUAUGUGUCUAUUUUAAAAUUUGGUUUUAGAAAGAAAAUCAAAAUGAAAUAUCAAACAUUACCUAUAAAUCUUUAUAUUACAGAUUAACUAUAUCACCCAUUUAUCAUUCUUAAGGUCAAUAUUUAGGAAUAAAUAAAUAAAAGCUACGUAUCAAUAUUUAAUUUAAAUAACCUCAAAGAUUACUAAUUUAGCUUUUGAUAUUAAAAGGGCGUAUGUCGUUACUCUCUGCCUAGUUGAUAAGGCAAAUAUCAGGUCUUCUAUCUCCACCACUCCCUGCUAACUCUUUGCCUCAUAUCUUACGUUAUAUCUAUUAAGUUUGCUUAAUUAAGAUGGAAUAUUUAUGACUUUUAUAUGUAUUAAAUCAAUUUAAUUGUUUUGACUUAUCAUGAUCAACAUGAAGUCAUCAUAUUAUAAAACCAAAAAUCAAUGGUGUAUCUAAUUAUCAAAAAGGUAUAAAUAUUGCUAUGAAGUUAACGUGUGGACCACCCCAAUUAUGAAGCUCGGAAGAUGCCUAGAAAAUGUAAACACGUGAAUAUUGAAAACAAUAACAUACUUUCCUUUUUAAAUUUUUUAUUUUAUUUUAAAUAAUAAUUUUUUAUUUUGAAAAAAAAUUUAAUAAAAAAAUUAAUAAUUUAAAAAGUAAAAAAAAAUCAAUUUUGUUGAAAAACGUGUGCUUUAACAAUGACAUAUUAAAUAUGUGAUUAAUUAAGAGCAUGUGAUUGCUUUUGUUUUUAGUUGUUUUUUCAAAAAAGAUAUAUAGAUAUUUUUAAUGUUUUUUUAUAAUUUUAAUGUAUUAAUAUUAAAAAUAAAAUAAAUAAAUAAAUAAAUCAUGUAGUCUAUUUCCAAAACAAUCUAAUAUUGGAGGUUGAAAUUAAAAAAAAAAAAAUUAAAAAAAUAUAUAUUCGAUCAGUGAAUAAAUCUAUCAAACCAGUGAAUCAGGUAACUUGAGCUAACACAUCAAACUAAUUAACAAGGUUAUGGACUCCAGUAGGAUUAUUUUUUUUUAAUUUUUUUAUUUAACAAUAUGAUAAUAAAAAUGGAUAAUUAUGAAACUAAAUUUUAAACCAACUCAAAUAUGAAAUAGAAAAAAAAAAUUAAAAAAAUUGAUAACCAAAAAAAGAAAAGGGAAAGAAAAAAGAAGAAGCAAAACAAUAUAGAUUAUUAUUGUAAUUCAUAAUGAAAUGGGUGUGAGUGAAUAUUGGUUCUCCCACACCUUUUAGCUUUUUUUUUAAUUAAUAAACAAAAAAAUACUUCAUUAAACCAAUAAACUAGUAUAAAUCACGUUAACUUUAUAAAAAGAUAGAAUAAAAAUAAAUAAAUUAUAAAGUUGAAUUUUAAACCACCCAAUAUGAAAUAAACAAAAACAAAUUUUAAAAAAUAAUAAUAAAAAAAAAAACACAUUAGAUUACUUAUAAUAAUUUAUAAUGAAAUAGGUGUGAAUACGUCUCUUAACUAUUCGUGAGCUUCUUAUUCAUUCUUAGUUUUUCUUGAAGUUAUUCUAUUGAGGAAAAAGAGAAGAAGAAACCCUACCUUUUUUUCCCUCUUCAUAAUGCAUGGAUUUAAGUUGGGUGGAGAUUCAGUAAUCAAAAUAUUUUUUUAUUUUUAAUAUUAAUAUAUAAAAAAUAUUAAAAAUAUUAAUUUAAUAUUUUUUGCAAAAUAAACAGAUUUUUAAAUACAAUCAAACAUAAUUCUGAGUACAAAAACAAAUUACGUUUUGAUUACGAGCAUAACAAUCUUGGCAGUAAGUACCAUGAUCCUUUCCAAUUAAGUUAAUUUUAGGAUUUUUUUUUGGCAACCACAUACAUGUUUUAGGAGUUCUUUUAAUUUAUUAAAUCAAUAUUAAAGUAAAAAAAUUAAAUCAAUAUAGAUAAAUAAAUGAACUAAAUGUAAUCAAACAAUUAAUCCAUUUAAUAGAAAAAACCUUACUGAAUCCAUAAACUACAUUAAUCCCUUUUCUUUUCUUGUUUUUUUUUUUUUCUCUGGUGGAAUUCCCACUAGUCUUCUUUAUGGGCAGCCCCACUUUUAAACCCUCUUUUUCAUCACGUCCCCAUGGUCCCCGUGUCCCACACGUUUUCAUCAAAAACCUAAAUUUUAGGACUUCUUUGGCAGCCAUCUAACAAUAUAUAAAAAUAAUAUUUUUAUUUUUAAAAAAUUAUUUUUAACAUCAAUAUAUUAAAAUAAUCUAAAAAUAUAAAAACAUUAUUUAAAAAAAUCAAAAUUUUUAAAAACACAAGCAUUCCCAAAGAAGGUAACGCGUCAAGAAUCAUAGCAAUCAGACAUGUGAGUGGAAAGUUGUGAUUAAAAAACAUUACUAUUUUUAGAGUGAUUUUGACAGCAUAGCAGGAAACGUCAUUAUUGUUAUUUUUAAAAAAAAAAUUUAUUUAUAAAUAUAUUAAAAUGAAAGUUGUCAAUUUCGUUUCGUUUUAUUUGUAAUGAUUUCAUACCAAUUCAAAAAAUAAAAUAAAACAAAAUAAUUUUCAUCUUAUUUCAAAUCUCAGUCCCUUCCAAAUGUUUCAGCUAAAUUCCAUUCAGAAUGUUCCGGUUUCAUUCUACAUGUUCUGUUCUGGUCUUAAAAAGCCAUUGUAUCAAAUUGAACCUGGUUCAAUUAAUUAAUUAAACCAUCAAAGUAUAAAAAGCUCUUUUUCAUUACUAUUUUCAUUAACUAUGAUAUUAAUUUUUUAAAAUUUGAUUUAUCACUAAUAUAUAUGAUUUAUUUUCAUGUACUUUGUAGGAGUUUAAGCAAAAAAAUAGAUGUUUUAGAUCUCAUUAGCCUUAAUAACAUUGACCUAGCUUUAUAUUUAAAAUAUUAGUGUUAAAAUAUUUUAAUUUCAUAAUAUUUUGAUAUUUUAUUAAAGUUGAAUUGUUUUAAGUUAAAAAUUAUUUAAUUUAAACUAUUUAAAAAUAUUUUAAAUUUUAAAAUUAUAUUUCAUCACGUCUCUAUGAUCCCCGUUGUGUCAAAAACAAAUUGCCUAAAUUUUAGGCUUUAGCAGUUCCUUUUUUAAAAUCCUCAUUAGUGAAAUUUCACGACUCAUUAUUUCUAUUAUUUUUAUUCCAUUUAAGCAUUUCAUACUCAUCAAAACCACUGGAACACAAUCAAGCUUUAGCUUCAAACAACCAGAGGGAGAUUUUAUAGGGAUAAAAUUUUAAAAAUCACGCUUAUGCUACUUUCUAGUUUUAGUAUUAAAUUUAGUAUUUAAAAAAUAUGUUUAUGAAUAUGGCAGUUUCAGGUUUAGAAACCAAAACUGCCAUAUUCAUUCUCUUAGACAUUUUAAAAAUGUGUGUAGAAGAAUACUUUCAAUGUUGAUUUAUAAUAUUAGGUUACUUUAAUGAUAAAUCAAUAUAGUAUUUUUUUUUUUUUUUGGAUUUUCAUCUUGGAGAAAUUCAAUAGGAUGAAAAUAUAAUAUUAAUCAAACUUCAAAUUAUAAUUGUUUAUCUAUCGAGUUAAAAAAAAUAUGACAAUUCAAUAGUCUUUAAAGAAAUAAAAAAAAUGAAAAAUGUUAUUUAUGUAAUUGUAAGCAUACUAUAUUAUAUUACUUUACAAAGGGACGAAGAACAUCCUUUGCAUUAGGAUGCUCCCACUCCACUACUGUCUCCCACCAUUCUUCUGGACGUGCUUGGAUAUUUUGAAGAGAAGGGGGAGGAGAUGGCUGGCCAUUUUCAAGCAAUGGAAGACAAAUUGGCAACCUCUUCAGCUCCUCACAAUAUAUUACAUUAAUAUCUUCAAGAGAAUUGCAAAUCAGUUUUGCACUACAAAUGCUUUUCAAUUUUGGUAAAUCAAACAAUUCCAGAAUUCUUAACUUUGGGAGAAUGACUUCCGUGAUGGAAUUGGAGGUGCUGCUUUCUUCAUCUGCUGUUCCUAUUAUCUCCUCCAUUUUCUCACAAUCAUGAACAAUCCUUUCCAGGUUUACGAGGUUUGGUAGCAACACAAGCGGGAACAGCUUCUUCAUACUUUCACAAUGAUAACAAAAAAACUCUUUAAGACCAGAAAACGUACCGUUACAUGAUGGCAAUCGUGGUGGAGCAGAGCAGAACCAAGAAGAUGAAACCAAGCUCUCCAUGUUAUAGCAUUCCCGAAUGCUGAUGCGCUCCAGUUCAGUUGCAUUCUCUAAUGACAAAACAUCACAUAAACUUCUUGCAUCGAUGCAUUCACAAAUCAGUCCUUGAAUGCCAUUUAAGAACUUGACCUGAAAAUCUCUAUCUCCGUUGAUACUCAAAUUACCCAACCCAACUGUUUUACUUGGAAAAUAUUCAAUGCAUUGCUCUAAAUAUCUACCCACCUCUCCUACUAAAAUCUUGCAUGUGCUUAAUGAUUGGAUCCCAUCCCGAGAUCUGAGAUACUCCACAAAGUCAGAAAAACCUUUGAAAUGGCACUUCAAAGUUUCCAAAUUUCUCAAGGAUCCUACUUCCUUUCCUUUAACUGAUAUCGGAGCACUCGUAAACUUUUGUAGUACAAAGACUUGCAGGUGAGAGAGUUUUGGUAAUAUCCCACUAGGAAACUCCUUUUCACCACAUCCAUUCAUUAUAAGAUACCUCAGGUUGUUUAGGCAUUCCAUUCCUUGCGGCAUCUUUUCAAGCGCAGUACAAGAGAGGGCCAACCUCUUCAGUUCCCUUAGCUUCUUUAAUGAUGGAACACGUCUUAAUUUCUUACAAUAAUUGAGCAAUAAUGCUGUAAGACUCACCAAAUCAGAGACAGAGUCUGGCAAGUUUUCAAUACCUGUGCAAGACAGAUCGAGGACCUUGAGCCUAUGCAAUUGCUUGAAAAAUGAAUCCGCAACAAAUCUCAACCCUUUAUUAUCACAUAGAAAUAGAGUUGAUAGAUAGGGACACCUUGGUGAAUAGCUGGAAGGAAUUUCUUCUAUCUCGUUUCUCAUUAGUGAAACCAUCGUCAGAUUCUCCGUCCACUCCUCUGCAUCUGGCAACUCUUUUAAUUGCGCACCUGCUUUAACCAUGACUUCAUAUUUGUCUUGCAGUAUUUUGAUGGCCAUGUCCCUAAUCAAGUCAUGCAUCUUGACACAUAUAGUAUCAUGGUACUCCAUUUUAGCAUUUUCCAAUAGGCAGACAUUUACAAGUCUAUUAAGCAUCGUGUGGCCCUCAUCAAAUGCAUCUCCCCUGCUCCUCUUUCCUUUAAUUAUUCCCUCAUCGAUCAAAUAACCUAUCAACUCCUGCCUUGCAAUCAUAUCAUCUUCAGCAAAUAAUGCACAGUACAAGAGACAUCGUUGUAGUGCAAAAUCACCUAACUGAUUAUAACUAAACCUCAAUAACCUGAAUACUUUCUUAUCUAUGUCCCUAAAUUCUGAUUCUCUCAAUUUGUUCAAUGUAUUUCUCCACUCAUGUGGGUCAUCCACUCCCCUCAAGCUUCCUGCCACUGCAAUAAUUCCCAAUGGCAAACCAGCACAUUCCCCAGCAAUAUCUUUGGCAAUUCCUUCCACUUCUGGUAAAAGUGCUAUGUCACGUCCAAGUUUUUCCAUGAACAAAGUCCAAGCUUCUCCCUCCGAAAGUAGCUUCACUUUGAUUUUGUGGUGGCAAGCCAUCCGAAGACAAACCGUUUCUGAUCUAGUUGUCAUAAUCAGCUUGCAUCCUUUCAACAGCACAGGAAUUCCCACUUCAUCAAGCUCAAAAUUGUGCCACAAAUCAUCUAAAAUGAGAAUCCAUUUUUGUUUCGUCCUUAAUUCUUCUGACAAUUUGACAGCUCUAUGCACAUCAUCAUCUUCGUUUGCAAGGUUUAGAUCAAGACAUUUAGCAAUAAGAUUCUGCAAUCUAUUAAUGCUGAAAUCUUGAGAUACAAUCACCCACCAAACAUGAUUACAAAUAUCUUUUCUUUGUAGAAGCUCAUUAUGGACAUGUUUUAGUAUUGUUGUUUUACCAACUCCUUCCCAUUCCAUAAAUGCCAAUGGUUGAGACUUCAUCAUCCAUUAACAAAGACCAUAUCACCUUCUUAUUCUCUUCAAAUGCUCGACCCACUGGCUUUAUAGAGCUAGUAGGUAAUGGAACUCCUCUAGUCUCACUUGUGUUGUAUUUAAGGCUUAUAGAAGAUCUAGCUCCAGCGUCAGGCCGCACUGAUCUUCCACUAUUCUCCAUAUCCUCCUCCACUGGUUCUGUCCUCACUCUAACCAUGUUCUGCACAUCAUACAUAACGACAUCAUUGUUUACUGAUGGAGCAAAUAGUUGGUCAUAAUAUCUUCCAUGAUCAAGACACAAUGGAUCUGUUGGUUGGGAUGAAUCUCCUCGAGGCUCAUCAGCUUGAUUAAUUGAUGGCCUCUCACAAGAGCUACCUCUCUCCAGAUGCUGCACUUGUUCUGUUCUCGCUACAGUUUCAAAUCCAUCAUGCAUUAAAUAUUGAUCCACUACAUCCUCAUCUUCCUGCAUUAAAUAGGUAGAGAUUUCAUUCAGCUGCUGCUCCUUUGAAAGGGCAGAGUGUAUCUGAACCCAAGUACCAUCAGCAAAUUGAUCCACUAAAUCUGUUCCUGGUGUUGCUUCUCCUCUAUUCUCAUGAGCAUCAACUCUGAGUCUCCAAGGAGAGAGACUUCUGUCAACAUGCUGAAACGAUCCUUCACCAGUGUAUUCCAUGCCACUUGCCGCUUCUAAACGCCAAUGAAUUCUCUCAGGCCCAACACCUUGUGCCAAAUUAAUAAGUACUGCAUUGUCUUGUUCUUGUGGACAGGUGGAAAUGUCAACAUUGCUUGAACUUGCUAUGCUUUUAUGUCUUUUGUUGCCAACAUGCAUAGCUAGAAAGGCUGCUUCUUGAACUUCUUGAGGCACCUGACCACAAAUGCCAACACCACGCCCUCUCUCUCCUGAUAAAUGCCAUUUGAUCCUCGAAAUGGAAGUACCAUUGGCAAAUAAAUGACCACAAAACUUACACUUCAUGCUUCCAUCAUUCAUAUCUUCAACUUCCUUCCAAAACGGAUCAUCUGAUCUAACCAUUUUGUCCUAUAGAUAAAAAGGGUCAAAAUAUUGAAUAAAAAUUAAUGGAAGUACAUUAAUUGGAAAAGGAAGGUUGAAACUAAAAUAAUAAGUUACAAACAGCAAAGAAACUAAGAAGAAAAAACAAUGAAUUCAAGGUUAACUUGGGGUCAAUUUAUUAUGAACUCCUUAAGGCAUGGAUUGUUACAACUGAGAAAGAUCAAAUUAUUUAUUUUUGGAAACUGUUGAUGAUCCUAACUCCAAAGUUUCUCAUUAGAAUUUCUACAACUUGUGUUUUCCUUGAAAGAUUCAAACCAGAGUUACAUGUGAAAAACAAAAUGAAGAAGAUGGAUUAUAAAUAAUUUACCUGGAUUCAAGUUGUCUUCAAGUGCUGGUUUGCUUAAGUAGUAUUCAGGAAAAAAACAAGAACAGAGAAGAAUAUAUGGUUAAAAAUAACAAGGAAGUUGCAAGAUGUUUAGCUCCGGAUGAUUCGAUUCAAUCGGAAAAGGAAGCACUGAUCAUCAGAAAGGUUUAAGAAAUUUGAUGAGGGAAAUUGGGAAAUCAAUGGUAUAAUGAGAUGAGAUUUGGAAGAGAAUGUUACAGUAGCAAAGAUUAUUGUAUUGUUUGAGAAGAAGGAAGUUGCUAGAAAGAAAGCCACAAACUUUAUCUAAUUUGCUUUUCUUUUGUCUAGCGCUGCAUAUAAUAAAAAUCUUCAACAUAAGAAUUAGAAGCUAAUUGCUGACUGAGUUAACGUGUGGCCCACCCCAUUGUUGAAACUUUGAAAAAGCUAUGCCUCUCACUUCAUUAUCUGAUCCACUCCAACUUCCAUUCCCUACAGAUUCAAUAUUUUUUUAAGGUCAGUAUUUAAAAAUAAAUGAACAAAUAAAUAAAAGCUACGCACCAAUAUUUAAUUUAAGUAACCUCAAAGACUACUAAUUUAUAUUUUUAUAUUUUGAUAUUAAAAGGGUCUCUAUCUCCACUCGCUGGCAACUCUUCUUUAAAACAAAAGGCGGAUGACAUGGAUAUGGCUUAGAAAUUAUAGAGAAUCUGUGAGUUCCAGUUUUGUAUAUAUCUUGGUGUGCUUCUCAUUAGUGAAAAAGGCUAAAUGCUGUUUAUUGCUUUUCUUUUGUCUAGCGCUGCAUAUAAUUAAAAACUUCAACAAAAGAAUCAGAAGCUAAUUGCUGGCUGAGUCAACGUGUCGACCCACCCCAUUGUUGAAACUUAGCUUCAAGAGCUGUAAGUACUAUGCUAUGAAUGAUGCCUCUCAUCAAUUUUAUCUAAAUGUUGUUUAUUGCAUUAGUGAAAAAGCUAAAUGCUGUUUAUUGCACGCUGCUAAUUGAGAAAUACAGAACUCAGUUCAACCCAGCAAGUUGCUGCAUCAGAGUUAAAACUCCAUAGCAGUCAGCACAAUCUAUGAAGAUAAAAUUGAAAACAAAACAAUCAAUGACUAAAAUUAAAAAAAUGCAUCUAAGGCUUAGAAAAAACUGAGAUAAAACACUAUUUUUCUCUCUUGAUACAUGGUAGAAGCCUGAGCAUAUUUAUUUAUUUUUAAUUUUAAUUUUAAUAAUAUUUGUGUUCUUUCUACCCCGAGAAAUCAAGAACGCUAAUUUCAUUAAACAAGAUUCUAAAGCCCGUAUUUAGAUAAAUUAGAAGAAAGGACUCCAACCCUAGCGCAAAAGACCUAUAAACUAGCCUAACAAAUCAUACCCAGAGAAGCAAUAUGUUUAUUGACAUAAAUAAUUCUAAAUUUAAUAAGUCUAUUUAAUAAAAAAAAAAAUUUGAGCUAGCUUGUUUCUGGCUUUUGCUUCUCUGGGUAUGAUUUGUUAGGCUAGUUUAUACUUUAUAGGUCUUUUGCGCUAGGGUACGUGGUUAAAAUCAAGGUUGUCAAUUUCGUUCCGUUUUGUUCUACUCGGAAAGGCCGAAACAUUCCAUACCAAUUCAAAAAACAGAACAAAACGGAACAAAUUUCACAUCAUUUUAAAUCUCGAUCCAUUCCGGAUUUUUUGGCUAAAUUCCACCCGAAACGUUCCGGUUUCAUUCCACAUGUUCCGUUCCGCUCUUGAAAAGUCAUUGAAUGAAAUUGAACCUUACUCAAUUUUAUUAAUUAAACCACCCAAUUAUAAAAAGCUCUUUUUCAUUAUUAUUUUCAAUAGCAAUGAUAUUAAUAAUAAUAUUGAAAUUUAUUAUUACUAUUUUCAUUAACAAUGAUAUUAAUUUUUUAAAAUUAGAUUUAUCACUAAUAUAUAUGGUUUAUAUUCAUGUUUUUUUUUUUUUUUAUGUUUAUACUUUGUAGGAAUUUGAGUAAAACAAUGGAUGUUUUAGAUUCCAUUAGCUACUUGAUAACAUUGACCUAACUUUACAUUUAAAAUAUUUUUGUUAAAACAUUUUACUUUCAUAAUAUUUUGAUAUUUUGUUUAAGUUGAAUUACUUUAAGUUAAAGAUCUAUUUAAUCUUGACUAUUUAGAAAUAUUUUAAAUUUUAAAAUUAUAUUUGUUUGGCAUUGUAUUUGUAUUGCAUAAUUUAUAAUUAAUUUAUCUUGAAUUUGAAUUAUGUUUGUUGAAUAUAUAUAUAUAUAUAUAUAUGAACAGUACAACCCCGAAACGGCACGCCGAAACACUCUGAAACUGAAACAUUUCAUUCCAAUUGAAAAAACAAGAUACCUACCGAAACAGAAUUGACAACCUUGGUUAAAAUAACUAAACACAUUGACUUUUAGCUACCCAACUAGCUUUUGUGAGAUUUAUUUAUUUUUUUAAAAAAAUAUAAAAUAUAAAAUAUAAAAUUUUUUUAUUUAAAAUUAAUAUUUUUUUUAUAUUUUCAGAUCAUUUUAAUGUACUGAUAUCAAAAAUAAUUUUUAAAAAUUCAAAAAAUAUUUUUUUAAUAUUUUUUCAAAUAAAAAAUACUUUAAAAAACAAUCAUAACUACACUUCCAAACAACUCUUUUUAACCCAAAAGGUCAAGUACAUGUCCCAAAUGCCAACAACCGAGCAUAGAAAGGUUUCAAACCCAUGGUGCCUUUUCCUUAUUAUAAAUAUAGAAUAAAAAUUAAGUCAAGGAGGUCUAGUCUUAAAUGCUCCAAACAUUAUCCAUGUCUCAAGCUUAUGUAUGAUCCAAGAAUUCAUAUUUAUUACAAAAUUAUAAUUUUAUAUGAGUUUUUAUCUUUAUGAUCCAAGAAGUUUAUAUUGUAAAUUCAAGAGUUUUAAGUUAGUAGUCAAUUUUAUAAUUCAUAAAAAUAUUUGAUCCCUGAAUUAGUUUUCUAAUUGUGUUCUUAAUCCCUGAAUUAAUUAGUUUUCUAAUUGUUUUGCAUAAAUUCUUAAGAAUAAAAAUAUUUUAACAAUAGUUUUAGUGCUAAAAAUGCUACUCUAUUCGACUUUUAAUUCAAAUUGUAUUUAUAUAGUUAAAUGUUUUUCUCUUUAAUAAAUCCAUUAUUGGAUAUGAAAUUUAUAACUUAUUUUAUAAUUCAAAAUGGAGAUUUGGUUUGUGUUUUAAGUUUUUUAUUUUUGUAAAACUGAUUGAAAAAAUAAAAAUUUACAUCAAGCCAUGUUGGCUUAACUCGAAUAGGCAAGAUCAAAGACACAAGUGAAUAAUAAAUUUUAAUAUUCAUAGUUGAUGACUGGUGGAGCAAAAUCCAACUCGGAGCUAUAGCGUUGCACUGCAUUCUUUUAAAAUUUGAUAUUGUUUUUGCUAAAAUUAAUUUUUUUAUAUAUUUUUAAAUAAUUUGAUGUUUUAAUAUCAAAAAUAAUUUUAAAAAAAUAAAAAAAAUAUUAUUUUAAUAUAUUUUUAAACAAAAAUUAUUUUAAACUAUAACUGUUAUUAUAUUACCAAAGACACCCUCAUCCCGUUACUUUGUAUAGACCUCGUAAUUUCCAAGAGAACCUUAGCCAUUCCUUUAUGCAUGUGCACGCUUUGCCAAACAAUCCUUUAGGACUAAUUUCGACUCUUCGUUGGCGAUAGCAGUGAUGGGAAUGAUGACACUUCUCUCCAUCCUUGACCAUUUCAAUUCCGAGAAACUCCCCCACCAUCCCAUAAAAAAGUAGUCCUCUUUCUUUGAAGAAUUUUCCUAAUUAGUCCUUAUAUUUUAGAUAUGGUCUUCAACAUAUUACUCUUAAAUUGCCCUUAAGACAUUUUCUAAUCUAUCCUUUUAAUAAGUAUCUUUCUUUAAGCUAAUAAAGAUAAAAUUAUUAAUUACUUUAAAAAACUCAAUCCUACCUAAUUUAUUAAAAUUAAUAAUAAUUAAAAUUUGUUUUUAUGUUAAUUUUUUCUCAUGGUUUUCUGUAAAGAAGAAACUGUAUCUAACUAUUAACAUUUUAUUUAAUAAUUAAUUAAAUUUCAAAUCUUUUGUUUUAUUAAUUUUGACUUAAACUAAUAAAAUCAACCCAUGACACUAUCAAUUUUAUUAUUAAUUAAUUUUUCCUAAAUAAUAUUAUUUUAAUUUUAAAAAAAUUAAUUCAAAAUUCUUGAAAGGAAACUAUAUUGAAUUGAUUUAUAUCAACUUGGAUUAAUUCAAACUCAAACUCAUAAUGUCAGUCAUUAUUUUUAUAAAUUUAAUCCAUGUAAAUAAAGUUUAAUAAAUCUAGAGACACUAUUGAGUAAUUUGGGACCAAAGUCUAGGACUUCGAUAAUACUUAAAUAAUAGUAAUGUUCCUACAAUAACAAUGACGUUACAUAACUUAAAGAAUUGUUUUUUUUUUUGGGAUGUACAAAGCACAAAUAAUAAUAAUUCUGGAUGCAAAACACAGGCUGCAACGCAGAUGGAGCAAGAAAUUUCGCCCCAAGAAAAAUCCAAAUCAAUGAGAGGCGAAGAGUUCUUGGUGUUUCUGCCAUUAUCAAUUUUAUUUUUAUUUUUUACUCUCUUCAUGUGAGUAUAUAAACUAUCUUAACAUUUACAAUUCAAGCCAAAAUUGAUAAUGGCAGAAACACCAAGAACUCUCUUCGCCUCUCAUUGAAGACCAGGUUCCUCCUCGCCGCCCACUCCUUUGGGAUUCGCGCCGCCAGCCGUUCCGACCACACCGUAAACCGCAGCGUAUUGAACAUCUUCGACCCCAAGGCCGCUGCUUCCGCCAAACCAAUCAAUGGGGUCUCCUCUUUCGACAACACUAUUGACCCUACCCGCAACCUGUGGUUCCGCUCUACGCCCCCACAUCCACCGCCACUACCGAUGCUCUGCCUGUGAUCAUAUUCUUUCAUGGUGGGGGCUUCGCAUUCAUGGCGGCUAACUCAAAAUCUUUUGACGUACUCUGCCGGCGACUUGCCCGUGAAAUUAAUGCAGUUGUUAUCUCUAUAAACUAUCGGCUUGCUCCUGAGUACAAGUACCCAUGCCAGUACGAAGAUGGCUUUGAUGCAUUGAAUUACAUCGAUGAAAUGACCUUUGAGAAUUUCCCAGCAAAUUUGGAUCUUGGAAGGUGUUUUAUUGCCGGUGAUAGUGCAGGAGGUAACGUGGCUCAUCAUGUCGUGCUCAAAGCUUGUGAACACACAUUUUCUAACAUAAAGAUCAAGGGACUCAUAGCAAUGCAGCCAUUUUUCGGAGGGGAAGAAAGAACAGAAUCAGAAAUCAAGCUUGUUGGGGUUCCUUUAAUAUCAGUGGAAGGUACAGACUGGAUGUGGAAGGCGUUUCUGCCUGAGGGAUCGGACCGAAACCACUCGGUGGUUAAUGUUUUCGGACCAAAUGCGGUGGAUAUUUCAGGCGUGAAGUUCCCUGCGACGUUACUCUUUGUCGGAGGGUUCGAUCCCUUGCAAGAUUGGCAGAAGAGGUACCAUGAGGGGCUGAAGAAAUCUGGGAAAGAAGUACAUUUGGUAGAGUAUCCAAAUGCUUUUCAUGGGUUUUAUUGCCUGCCUGAAUCGCCUGAAUGUUCUUUGUUGAUCGGUGAGGUGAAGAGUUUUGUGCAAAAGCAGUCAUCUCUUACAUAGGGUGAGGAGACGACGAUCUCUAUUUUAUUAUUAUAUCUUAUUUUAUUCACAUUCAAUAAUUAAAUCGUAUUUAAAUUGCAAUGAUUUUAUUUACUAUUGAAGAUAGAUUAUUAUAUGUGUAUUGAAUUGUUCAAUUAUUUGAUGUAUUAGAUUUAACAUUAAAAAAAAUAUUUUGCUUUCUAUUACCAAUCACACUAAAAUAAUGCUGCGUCCUUUGAGCCAUUUGGUGAGGAAUGGUGAUGGUGGUUUUUUUUUUUUUUUAUACUAAUUCAUAAGUUGUGGGGUUGGCAUGUUAAAUUUUUAUUUUUAAUUGAAUAAUAUUAUUUUAAAGAAAAAACUUACACAACAUUCUUUUAAAUAAAUAAAAACUCUUUGGACUUCAUACUAGUAGAUUUCACAAUAGUUUACUUGGAUUAAUCGAGUCAUAAAUUAAUCUGUUAAGUUUUUUGAGUGCUAAUUGAUUUGUUAAGUUAUUUAAAUUAAAUUAAAUUAAUUUUUUAUUUAGAUAAAAAGCAAACUCAGUUUGAAUCAGAUUUCAAAUCAGUAACUGGGUUGAUCCUUCUAAAUAAUGUAUAAUGAAAUGUGCAUGACAACUGGGUUGAUGGUUGAUAGUUUGACACAGUUCAUUUUUCAUUGUAUGUGGGAGAAAGCAAUGAAGAAGAGAAGAGGAAAAGAUGCCAAGAAAUAAAACGAAGACUUAUUGGAUGUUUGGUCUUAUUAGCAUAGCCAGUUGGAAGUGUACUGUUUCAUGGGGCUUAUUUUCACCUAUCAAAACUUUGGGUUUGUUUGGAAUUAUAGUAAUUAUAGUAGUUUAAAGUGUUUUUUUAGAAAUACAUCAAAAUGAUAUAUUUUUUAUUUUUUUAAAUUGUUUUUUAAAUCAACACAUCAAAACAAUUUAAAAUAUAAAAAAAUAAUUUUUAACAAAAAUAAAAUUAAAAUUUAAAAAAUACGAUUUCAACCACGUUUUCAAAAACUAUUUUUCUCUCUUGAUUUCUACCCCAAGAAAUCAAGAACGCUGAUUUCAUUAAACCAGAUUCCAAAGGCCAUAUUUAGAUAAAUUAGAAGAAAGGCCUAUAAACUAGCCUAACAGAUCAUACCCAGAGAAGCAAAAGCCAGAAACAAUCUAGCUCAAUUUUUUUUAUUAAAUAGACUUGUUAACAUUUUUUUAUUUAUUAGCAUAAAUAAUUUUAAAUUUAUUUAAUUAAAUAUAUAUAAGACAAGUUUAAAAAAACUAAACACACUGAUUUUUGGCUACCAAACUAGGUUUUGAUAUUAGAGCGUGUUUGAAAAUGUAGUAAUAAUUAUUUUUAAAAAUACUUUUCAUUCCAAGACACAUUAAUUUAAUAUUUUAUUAUGUUUUAAAAAUUAUUUUUGAUAUCAAUACAUCAAAAUAAUAAAAAAAACAUCUUCAUUUAAAACAAAAAAAAAAUAAUUUUAAAUUUUUUAAAAAAUACUUUCCAAAACAUAAAUGACUAACACACCUUAAGUGGCUUGACCCAUAACCUAGUCGCAAAUGCCAUCAUUUGAGCAUAAAAAGGUUUCAAUCCCAUGGUGCCUUUUCCUUAUUAUAAAUAUAAAAUAAAAUAAAAUUUAAGUCAAGGAGGUCCAGUCUUAAAUGCUCCAAACAUUAUCCAUGUCUCAAGCUUAUGUGAUCCAAGAAUUCAUAUUUAUUAUAAAAUUAUAAUUUUAUAUGAGUUUUUAUCUUAUGAUUCAAGAAGUUUAUAUUGUAUAUUCAAGAAUUUUAAGUUUAUAGUCAAUUUUAUAAUUCAUAAAAAUAUUUGAUCCCUGAAUUAGUUUUCUAAUUGUUUUGCAUAAAUUCUUAGAAAAAAAAAAUAUUUUAACAAUAGUUUUCGUGCUAAAAAUGCUAUUCUAUUCGACUUUUAAUUCAAAUUGUAUUUAUAUAGUUAAUUUUUUUUCUCUUUAAUAAAUCCAUUAUUGGAUUUGAAAUUUAUAACUUAUUUUAUAAUUCAAAUUAGAGAUUUGGUUUAUUUAUUAAGUUUUUUUAUUUUUGUAAGAUUGAUUGAAAAACAAUAGAUCGGGUCACGUCGGUUUAACUCGAAUCAGCAAAAUAAAAGACAUAAGUGAAUAAUAAAUUUCAAUAUUCAAAGUUCAAGACCGGUGGAGCAAAAUCCAACUCUGACCUAGACUUGUUUGGGAUUGUGGUAGUGGUUGCGGUUCAAAGUGUUUUUCGCUUAGAAAUGCAUCAAAAUAAUAUUUUUUUUAAUUUUUUAAAAAUUAUCUUUGAUAUCAGCAUAUCAAAACAAUCUAAAAUUAUAUAAAAAAUAAUAAAAAUAAAAUAAAAUUUUAAAAAAAUAUAAUUUACACGGAGUUACCGCACACUUGUCCAAUCAACACACAUCCAAUCUCGUUACUUUUUAUACACCUCUUAAUUUUCAAUAGAGCCUUAACCAUUCCUUUAUGCAAGUGCACGCAUUGCCAAACAAUCCUUUAGGAAAAUGAGUUGCCCUCCGACGACUUUCCAUAACUGGCCAGGAUUAAUUUGGACUCUUCGCUGGCGAUAACAGCGAUGGGAAUGAAGACACUUCUCUGCAUCCUUGACCAUUUCAAUUCCGAGAACUCCCCCACCAUCCCAUAAAAAAGUAGUCCUUCUUCUUUGAAGACUUUUCCCAAUUAGUCCUUAUAUUGUUUUUAGGUUUUUUUAAUAUAUUAAUAUAAAAAUAUAAAAAAUAUAUUAUUUUAAUUAAAUAAAAACAUUAAAAAUAUAUAUUUUGCUUUCCAUUACCAAUCACACUAAAAUAAUGUUGUGUCCUUUGAGCCAUUUGGUGAGGAAUGGUGAUGGUGGUUUUUUGUUUUUUUUGUUUAUCCUAUUUGUCUGUCUAAAGAUAAGUUGCCAUGGUGAUGGGUUGCCAUGUUAAAUUUCUAUUUUUAAUUGAAUAAUGUUGUUUGAAAGAAAAACUUAGAUAAAAAAUAAAUAAAAAAUCCUUCGAGUUGGUAUUAUAUUUUAUAAUAAUUUAUUUUUUAAAGUGUUUUUUAUUUGAAAAUAUAUCAAAAUAAUAUAUUUUUUAUUUUUUAAAAAUUAUUUUUGACAUUUACACGUCAAAAUAAUCUAAAAAUAUCAAAAAACAAUUAAUUUAAAAUAAAAAAUUAAAUCUUUUUAAAAAUACUUUUAAAACCCAAAAACAAAUAUAUCUUAACAAAUCACUAAUUAAUUUGUUAAAUUACUUGAGUACCGAUUAAUCUAUCGGAUUAUUUAAAUUUGAACGGAUCAAUCUUUUACUUGGAUGAAAAGCAAACUCGGUUUGAAUCACAUUUCAAAUCAGUAACGUCACCAGGUGACCCAGCUAGCUGGUUUUUGCUGGCUGUGUUUUUGUACAUGUCUAGGGGCAGGGAAAUGUAUAAUGAAAUGUCCAUUUUUCAUUGUAUGUGGGAGAGAAGCAAUGAAGAAGAGAAAGAGGACAAGAUGCCAAGAAAUAAAACGAAGACUUAUUGGAUGUUUGGGGGCAUAUCAAAAUUUCAGGCCUAUUUGGAUUUAUAUUACUAUAGUUUGAAGUAUUUUUUAUUUAAAAAUGUAUUAAAAUGAUAUUGUAUUAUUUUUUAAAAAUUAUUUUUUAGAUCAAAAUAUUAAAACCAUCUGAAAACAUUAAAAAAAAAUUAGCAAAAAAAAUUGAAAUUUGAGGGAACGCUAUUUCAACCGCGUUCCCAAACGCUUUCUUCAUGUUUUUUCAAUCAUAAAGUUACUAUAAAAACACAUGUGUGUUUGGUAUUAUCGUAUAAGAUAUUUUUCGUUUAAAAAUAUAUUAUUUUUUUUAACAUCAACGUAUCAAAAUCAUUGAAAAAUAUGAAAAACCCAUCAAUUUAAUGUUAUUUCGAAUCAAACACAUUUUUAAAACAUACUUAAAUGCAUUUUCAAACCCAAAAAUAAAUGAUAUCUUUAUAAUUAUAGUUCAGAAAACAAUCUCCUACAUCUAAGCACAAAAAGGUUUCGAAGUUAAAAAUAAUCUUAUAGAAGCAUGUGUAUCGUCUUAACUCUAGAUGUAGGGAUCAAGAUUUUAUAAAUCACGUCUAUGCUACUCUCUAGUUUUAAAUAUUCAAAACAAGGCUCCAUUAUCAUAUAUUCAUAGAGACAUACCAAUGUAGCUUUUGAUGUUUACCGGUUUGGGUAUGUCCAUAUGCUUUUAAAUAUAUUUUAAAAUUUAUAUUUUUCUUAAAAAAAUAUUAAAUUAAUAAUUUUUUAGUUGUUUUUAAUAAUUUUGAUGUUUUGAUAUUAAAAACAAAAUCUAAAAAACUUAUUUUUAAAAAAUUCUCUAUAUAACAGUAUCAAACACAUGAUAACCUGGUCCAAAAGCUUUCCACCGAGCAUAAAAUGGUUUUCAACCCAAUCAUACUUUUUCCUCAUUAUAAAUAUAAAAUAAAGUUCAUGUGAAGUAGGGUCCAAUCUUAAAUGGUUCAAACAUUUUUUUUUUUUUAUUAACGUGGGUGUCCGGGCCAGCUUGCACGCACCUCGACUAAUCCCACGGGCCCUAAAGUUAACGACCAUAUAAGCCUCCAGUUGCCAUCAUAUGAGCAAUCUAAGGAUUGAACCUGAGAUCAUAGAGGAAGCAAAGCUUUUGGUCCCAAGCUUUUACCGUUGGGCCACCACCUAGAUAGUUAAUGGUUCAAACAUUAUUGUUAGAACGUGACAGUGUCCCAGCAUUAGUAGUGUAGCACGUGCCAUCUCUUAAGCUUAUGUGAUCCGAAAACAAGGCAAUUGGUGUUUGAUGAAAUUAGUUGUCACUAAAAAUAAAAUAAAAUAAAAUCCUCUUUGAACUAAUUAAUUACUCAAUUAAUUCCUAAAUUAGUUUUUUAUUGUUUCUCACAAAAUUUAUAAGAAUAAAAAUAUUUUAUUAGAUGUUUUAGAUACUCUACUAUUAUAAUAUUUUAUUUAAGUUUAGAUUUUUAUUUCAAAAUUGAAUUUUAUUUAAUAUAACAAAUAUUACAUGUUUUAUUUUAUCUGAUAAAUUUUGAAGUAUUAUUGGAUUUUAUUAAUUUUUUAAAAAUAAUAUUUUAAAAGAGUACGAAAUGUUGGAUACGAUGUUUUUACAAUAACGCAAAACACAACAAACAUUGAUGCUAUGCUGAAUCCUUGAAACCGUAAUAUACACUUCAUAAGAAACUGUAAUAUAACAAACAGAGGAUCUGUAAGUUUCAGAGAACGACAUCAAUUUAAUUACGCGAAGUUCAAUCCUUUUUCCUCUACAAAUUAAAUCAUGUACGUAAACCUGUUACCUACAUUUUGUAAUAUUUCUGGAUCUGCUCUUUGAUUCAUCAAGGACAGAGUUGAUUGCAGCUUCGUCAUAGAAAAGUUCGUCUUCUUCAUCUUCUUGGUUGGCGAGGAAAUAUAAGUGGAAGUAUUUGAUAGCUAAGAACUCAGAAUCCAUGAGAUGAAGUAUUUGGCAAAGCCUUCCCCGUGAUUGGAGCAAUCUCACUAAGUUAUCGACGUAAUGGCUAGAAUUGUCUUCCUCUUAACUAAUCUUUAGCAAAUUAUCUUAAUAUGGUUUUACCAAAAAGAAAAUAAUAAAUUUCAGGAACGUCAUCCUCGUGGAUGCUAUAAUCUGUAAUUAUUGGCAAGGCUUUAAUAUAUUGUACAAAUAGAUUGAAGAAACAGGAGGCCUACGCAUUUAAUUUGGACUUCCUCGUGGAUGCUAUUCCUUCAAAUAUGGACUAAAAUUGUUUUAUAUCACAGAAAGCCUUAAUUAGAAAAUAACUUCAUAUUCUGGCGGUAGAAACCCCACGAACGCAAUCAAGUAUUUGCUUCAAACAAUAAGAGGGAGCUUCAGUGCAGCAGGAAACUUCAACAUCUAUUAUUAAAAUUGUGUUUGGUAAACGCUAGGUAAAUUAUGUGUUUAUAAAUUUUAAUUUUUUUUAUAAAAAAUUAUUAUUAUUAUUAUGUUUUCAGAUCAUUUUGAUGUGUUAUAUCAAUAAAAAAAAUAAAAAAAUAUUAAAAAAAUUAUUUUGAUGUAUUAUUAAAUAAAAAACACUAGUUUAUCUUUUGAUGUUUUUCGGUUUAUAAAAUGAACAGUGAACAGUUUACAUUGAUAUACUAUUCUUGUGAGCAAGAGAAUUGUACUGUUCACUUAAAAAAUAAUGAACAGUGCAAUUCACUUGUACUAUUCACGGAUGAAUUGCACUGCGAGUACUUUUUUUUUUUAGUGUUAAUUUUUUCAAUAUAUUUUUCUAAAAAAACACUAGUUUAGAGUGAAUUAAAUUCACUUGCAAUGUGAUGUGAAUAAUAUUUGUUUUCCCUGAAAAAGUAGUCUAGAUUGAAUUAAAUUCACCCGCAUUGUAAUAUCAAUUUUAUACCCGAUAAUAUUUUAUUUAAUUUGAUUAUAUGCUCAAAACAUUAUAGAAAUUGUAGUUCUUGUCGGAUGUAUUUUGUACAUAAUGGAAUUGUAGAUGGUUUCAUGGAAUAAUAAAAAAUAUUUUAUAUAAAGUAUGAUUUAUUUCAUGAUGUAAUAGCAAUAGUUAAAUCUACAAUAUUUAAAUUAAAAAUCAUCAAUAUUAAUAUAUAUUUUUUAAAAUUAUUUUAUAACCUCAAUUUCAAAAGCAUUCUUACCCAAACAUAUUAAAUUACUUUUUUUUUCAACUUCAAUUUCAACUAUAUUUUUAACCAAACACCUAUUUUUUCAAACCAAUCUCAACUAAAAAUAUUUUUUAUAAAAAUAAUUUUUUUCAAAUCACAACCACAACAUCUAUCGCAAUACUAAACACACUGAAAGACCUAUAUACCAGCCCAACAAAUCAUACCCAGGGAAGCAAAAGCCAGAAACAAGCUACCUCGAUUCUUGCUCCACCUGGGUAAGAAAUGCAGCAUGCCCACUUGGAAUUAUACAGCGUCCAAAUUCCAUGGCAAAUAAUUGGUUGGAAUUGUUUUCUGAGGGGUCAUUUCAAAAUCUGAAAAUAAAAACAGAAAAUAGAUCCAGCAAAUGAUUCCAAAUAUCUUCUAAAAAAACGAUGAAAUAUGUUUUUUUAUUUACCGUAAGGAAAGAUAUUAACGAAAUUUUUUUUAAAAAAAAUCAAUUUAAAAAAUAUAUAACAAGUCAAAAUCUAUACUUAAAAUCUUUCUCGUUUUAAAUUUAUAAUUGAAUCAAAUAAAAUAUUAAUUUAAUAAAACAUAGUUAAGUUUUUGAUAGUUGAAUAUUUAGUAUAACGGUGACGUACUAAACUAUUAAAUCUUAACAUAAAAAGGAAUUUUUAUUAUAUACCCACGAAUCGGUACAAAAUCUAUAGGUUUUUAUAAAAUGAAUUCCUGAACCUAGUCGAAGAACUGUGGCAAAAACAGUUUCAGGAUUCCAACCUAACACAUGAAUGGGGUGGUUAUAUUUUGUGUUGUACACUUGAGAUUAUUUUUUCUCGGUAUCAUUUUUACAAAAAACUAUUAUUAUUAUAUGAAAUCAACAAAAAUUCACUCACCAAUCAUUCAUGGAAAAUUCAACUUUUUUAUAUAUAAAAAGGAUUUUUAUCAAAGAGGUUGAAUUUUUAAGUUGGUGGUGGAUUGACUUCUAAUAAUUCCAGGGUAAAUAAUAAUUCCAGCAUUAGAUUGAUUAAUUAAUUACACUUUAUUAGUUAUUUUUUAGAUCUUAUUAGCUUUGAUAACAUUGAACUAGUUUUAUAUUUAAAAUAUUAGUGUUAAAAUAUUUUAAUUUUAUAAUAUUUUGAUAUUUUAUUGAAAUUGAAUUGUUUUAAGUUAAAAAAUUAUUUAAUCUUAACUAUUUAAAAAUAUUUUAAAUUUUAAAAUUAUAUUUCAUCACGUCUCCAUGAUCCCCGUUGUGUCAAAAACAAAUUGCCUAGAUUUUAGGCUUUAGCAGUUCCUUUUUUGAAAUCCUUAUUAGUAAUAUUUCACGACUCAUUAUUUCUAUUAUUUUUAUUCCAUUUUAGCAUUUCAUACUCAUCAAAACCACUAGAACACAAUCAAGCUCUAUCUUCAAACAACCAGGGAGAUUUUAUAGGGAUAAAAUUUUAAAAAUCACGCCUAUACUACUUUCUAGUUUUAGUAUUAAAUUUAGUAUUUAAAAAAUAUGUUUAUGAAUAUGGCAGUUUCAGGUUUAGAAACCAAAACUGCCAUAUUCAUACUCUCUUAGACAUUUUAAAAAUGUGUGUAGAAGAAUAUUUUCACUGAUGAUUUAUAAUAUUAGGUUACUUUAAUGAUAAAUCAAUAUAGUAUUUUUUUUAUUUUUUGGAUUUUCAUCUUGGAGAAAUUCAAUAGGAUGAAAAUAUAAUAUUAAUCAAACUUCAAAUUAUAAUUGUUUAUCUAUCGAGUUAAAAAAAUAUAUGACAAUUCAGUAGUCUUUAAUGAAAUAAAAAAAAUGAAAAAUGUUAUUUAUGUAAUUGUAAGCAUACUAUAUUAUAUUACUUUACAAAGGAACGAAGGACAUCCUUUGCGUUAGGAUGCUAGGAUUUCUUUAAGAGAAGGGGGAGGAGAUGGCUGGCCAUUUUCAAGCAACGGAAGACAAAUUGGCAUCCUCUUCAGCUUCUCACAAAACUCUACAUAAAUAUCUUCAAGAGAAUUGCAAAUCAGUUUUGCACUGCAAAUGCUUUUCAGUUCUGGUAAUUUAUACAAUCGCAGAGUUGUUAACUUUGGGAGAAUGACUUCCGUGAUGGAAUUGGAGGUGCUGCUUUCUUCAUCUGUUGUUCCUAUUAUCUCCUCCAUUUUCUCACAAUCAUUAACUUCAAUCCUUUCCAGGUUUACGAGGUUUGGCAGCAACACAAGUGGGAACAGCUUCUUCAUAUUGUUACAUCCAUAACAAAAAAACCUUUUAAGACUAGAAAAGAUACCAUUAUAUGGUGGCAAUGGUGGUGGAGCAGAGCAGAACCAAGAAGAUGAAACCAAGCUCUCCAUGUUAUUGCAAUACCGAAUGCUGAUGCGCUCCAGUUCAGUUGCAUUCUCUAAUGACAAAACAUCACAUAAACUUCUUGCAUCGAUAAAUUGACAAAUCAGUCCUUGAAUGCAAUUUAAGAACUUGACCUGAAAAUCUCUAUCUCCGUUGAUACUCAAAUUACCCAACCCAACUGUUUUACUUGGAAAAUCUUCAAGGUAUUGCUGUAAAUAUCUACCCACCUCUCCUACUAAAAUCUUGCAUGUGCUUAAUGAUAGGAUCCCAUCCCGAGAUCUGAGAUACUCCACGAAGUCAGAAAAACCUUCGAAAUGGCAUUCCAAAGUUUCCAAAUUUCUCAAGGAUCCUACUUCCUUUCCUUUAACUGUUAUAGGAGCAUCAUCUUGCAUCAUAAACUUUUCUAGUACAAAGACUUGCAGGUGGGAGAGUUUUGGUAAUAUACCACUAGGAAACUCCUUUUCACCACAUUCAUUCAUUAUAAGAUACCUCAGGUUGGUUAGGCAUUCCAUUCCUUGCGGUAUCUUUUCAAGUGCAGUAUGAGAGAGUCUUAAUUUCUCACAAUUAUUGAGCAAUAAUGUUGUGAGGCUCACCAAAUCAGAGACAGAGUCUGGCAAUUGCUUGAAAAAUGAAUCCGCAAUAAAUCCCAACAACCGAUUUUCACAUAGCAAUAGAGUUGAUAGAUAGGGACACCUAGGUGAAUGGUUGGAAGGAAUUUCUUCGAUCAUGUUUUCCAUUAGUGAAACUCUCGUCAGAUUCUCCGUCCACUCCUCUGCAUCUGGCAACUCUUUUAAUUGUGCACCUGCUUUGACCAUGCCUUGAGAGUUCUCUAGCAGUAUUCGGAUGGCCAUGUCCCUAAUCAAGUCAUGCAUCUUGACACGUCUAAUAUCAUCAUACUUUAUUUUAGCACUUUCCAAUAGGCAGACAUUUUCAAGUCGAUUAAGCAUCGUGUGGCCCUCAUCAAAUGCAUCUCCCCUGCUCCUCUUUCCUUUAAUUAUUCCCUCAUCGAUCAAAUAACCUAUCAACUCCUCCCUUUCAAUCUCAUCAUCUUCAGGAAAUAAUGCACAGUACAAGAGACAUUGUUGUAGUGCUAAAUCACCUAACCGAUCAUAACUAAACCUCAAUAACUUGAAUACUUAAUUGUCCCUAAAUUCUGAUUCUCUCAAUUUGUUCAAUGCAUUUCUCCACUCAUAUAGGUCAUCCACUCCCCUCAAGCUUCCUGCCACUGUAAUAAUUCCUAAUGGCAAACCAGCACAUUCCCUUGCAACAGCUUUCGCAAUUCCUUCCACUUCUGGUGAAAGUGCUACAUCACGUUGAAGCUUCUCCAUAAACAAAGUCCAAGCUUCUCCAUUAGAAAGUGGCUUCACUUUGAUUUUGUGUUGGCAAGCCAUCCGAUGACAAACCGUUUCUGAUCGAGUUGUCAUAAUCAGCUUGCAUCCUUCCAACUUUUCAGGAAUUCCCACUUUGUGUAGCUCAAAAUUGUUCCACAAAUCAUCUAAAAUGAGAAUCCAUUUUUGUUUCUUCCUUAGUUCUUCUGACAAUUUGGCAGCUCUAUGCAGUUCAUCAUUUUUUCUUGAAAGAUCUAGAUCAAGAUGUUCAGCAAUAAGAUUCUGCAAUCUAUUAAUGCUGAAAUCUUGAGACACAGUCACCCACCAAACAUUAUCACAAAUAUCUGGUCUUUGUAGAAGCUCAUUAUGGAUAUGUUGCAGUAUUGUGGAUUUACCAACUCCCCCCAUCCCAUAAAUGCCAAUGGUUGAGACAUCCCCAUCCAUUAACAAAUACCAUAUCAUCUCCGUAUUCUCUUCGAAUGCUUGACCCACUGGCUUUGUAGAGCUAGUAGGUAAUGGAACUCCUCUAGUCUUGUUGUAUUUCAGACUUUCAGAAGAUCUAGCUCCAGCACCAACUGAUCUUCGACUAUUCUCCACAUCCUCCUCCACUGGUUCUGUCCUCACUCUAACCCGAUUAAUUCUCUCUUCCCCGACACCUUGUUCCAGCACCCCCUGCCUGAUGCGAACCUCGUGAUCACGUGUUCACGCAACCCACAAUCAAGAUUGAGACCUGAUCCCGGAAAGCCAAAAUAGGUCUGAUAUGAGUGCGGCACAAUGGAAACCUGCCCUAAGGCACCAACACUAUUGGAAUAAGUAGAAUGACGCCACGAAGCCAGUUAAUCUUCGAUAAGUCAGAUUCAGUUCGUUCAAGAACUGAAGAAUGCAAGAAUCACUCUCACACGUUAAAACUGAAAAAUUCAGAAUAAUAAUCAUCAAAGCUGCCGAAACAUGAGUUUAAAUAGUUCUUAGAAAAGUUAACCCUAAUGGACCCUUUAUGUGGACUUAUAUGAGGUCCACUCAAAACUGGCUCAAAACCCUAAAAUGAAAAGCCCAUAACUUAAUCCAAACAAGCCUUGGAUCCUAGCUUAAAACAAAGUAUGAAUUAAGCCCAAACAAGCCUUGGGCUGUAGCUAACAAAAUAAAAUAAAGCCCUUAUCUCAUGGCCCAAAUAAGGUUGUAUUGGACCCCUCUUGCACAUGGAUAAGAUGUACUAGGAUCUCCUCUUGAUACUCCAAUGGACCUUCCAAUUCUGACUUGGUGGAAACCUUCAAAACCAAUGCAUUCAAUGUGUCUUUCAAUGUCUUUGUCUUGGACCGAGUCAUUGGUCCAUUUGGAACAUGUAAUGGGUCCUUGCUGGUGUUUCUGGGCUGGUCCGCAUCAUCCCCUCUCCCUUCGAAAGGAUUCGACCUCGAAUCAAAAUCUGUGUCAAACAAAGUAAGAUCAGCAACAUUAAAGGUAGCACUAACACUAUACUCACCUGGAAGGUCAAUUUUGUACGCGUUGUCAUUGAUUCUCUCUAAAACCUGAAAAGGACCAUCACCACGAGGCUGUAAUUUUGAUUUCCUUCGGUUAGGAAAUCGUUCCUUACGCAUGUGCACCCAUACCCAAUCACCGGGUUGGAAAACAACCAGUUUACGUCCCUUAUUUGCUUUAGAAGCGUAAAGUCUGUUCUUUUUCUCUAUUUGUAGUCGAACUCCCUCAUGGAGUUCUCUCACCAUCUUUGCCUUCUUUUCACCAUCUAAACUUACCCUUUCUUCAAAAGGUAAAGGAAUUAAGUCCAUAGGAGUUAGUGGAUUAAAACCAUAAACAAUUUCAAAAGGAGAAAAAGUAGUAGUUGAAUGCACAGUUCUAUUAUAAGCAAACUCAACAAAAGGCAAACAUUCUUCCCAACUUUUCAAAUUCUUUUGAAUUACAGCACGUAAAAGUUGGGAUAAUGUUCUAUUCACUACCUCAGUUUGUCCAUCUGUUUGAGGAUGGCAUGUUGUCGAAAAUAAGAGUUUAGUUCCCAACUUUCCCCAUAAGGUCUUCCAAAAGUAACUAAGGAACUUAACAUCACGAUCUGACACUAUACUCUUAGGAAUGCCAUGCAAACGUACAAUUCUCUAAAGAACAAGUCUGCGAUAUGAGAUGCAUCAUCUGUUUUAUGGCAUGCAAUGAAAUGCGCCAUUUUAGAAAACCUAUCAACCACAACAAAGAUAGAGUCUCUACCUUUCUUUGACCUAGGUAAACCUAAAACAAAGUCCAUAGAGAUAUCUACCCAAGGUUCAGUAGGCACAGGUAGUGGUGUAUAUAGUCCAUGCGGUUGUACUCUAGAUUUUGCCUUUCUACAAGCAAUGCACUGUUCACAAAUUCGUUGCACAUCUCUUUUCAUCUUUGGCCAAUAGAAAUGCUCAUGCAAUACAUCCAAGGUUUUCGCAACCCCAAAGUGACCCAUUAAACCACCCCCAUGUGCUUCACGAACAAGCAAUUCACGCAAAGAACUAGCAGGAACACACAAUCUAUUCUCUUUGAACAAAUAACCAUCCAUCAAAUAAAACUUACCGAAAGCCGAAUGUCCACAUGCAUUAUAAAUCUCAGCAAAGUCAGAAUCAUUAUCAUACAAUUCCUUCACAUAUUCAAAACCUAACAAUCUAGUAUUCAUGGUGUGUAAAAGAACAUACCUGCGCGAGAGUGCAUCAGCUACGAUGUUCUCUUUCCCUUGCUUAUACUUGAUUACGUAAGGAAAGUUUCAAUGAAUUCAACCCAUUUUGCAUGCCUCCUAUUCAACUUACCUUGUCCUUUCAGAUGUUUCAAGGACUCAUGAUCCGAAUGGAUUACGAACUCUUUUGGCCACAAGUAAUGCUGCCAUGUCUCAAGUGCUCUUACCAAUGCAUAGAGUUCUUUGUCGUAAGUUGGAUAGUUCAAGGUCGCUCCACUUAACUUCUCACUGAAAUACGCAAUAGGUCUCCGAUCCUGCAUCAAAACAGCACCUAUUCCUAUUCCAGACGCAUCACAUUCUAUUUCAAAUGCUUUCGUAAAGUCAGGUAAACCCAAAACAGGUGCAGAACAUAAUUUCUCUUUCAAAAGAACAAAUGCCAAUUCUUGUUCCUCCCCCCAUUUAAACCCAACUGAUUUUUAACAACUUCAUUUAAAGGGCAGCUAUUGUACUGAAAUCUUUCACAAAACGCCUGUAAAAACUAGCUAACCCAUGAAAACUCCUUACCUCACUUACCGAUUUGGGUGUAGGCCAAUCCCGGAUGGCCUUAACUUUCUCCUCAUCCAUCUCGAUACCCUGUGCAGUUACAACAUAGCCAAGAAACACAAUUUUUCCAUGCAAAAGGCACACUUUUAAAAUUAGCAUACAAUUUCUCACUACGCAACACACUAAGUACAUUACGCAAAUGAUCAAGAUGCUCAGUUAAGUUCUUGCUAUAUAUCAAAAUGUCAUCAAAAUACACAACCACAAACUUACCUAUGAAUGCACGCAACACAUGAUUCAUUAAACGCAUAAACGUACUAGGUGCAUUUGUAAGUCCAAACGGCAUUACUAACCAUUCAUACAAACCAUGCUUAGUCUUAAAUGUUUUUCCACUCAUCACCUUCUUUCAUCCUAAUUUGAUGGUACCCACUUUUCAAGUCAAUUUUAGAGAAAAUACAGGAUCCAUGUAACUCAUCUAACAUGUCAUCAAGCCUAGGAAUGGGAUGUCUAUACUUUACCGUUAUGUUGUUGAUGGCCCGACAAUCAACACACAUCCUCCAUGUUCCAUCCUUCUUUGGCACAAGUAGCACGGGUACAGCACACGGGCUCAUACUCUCACGAAUGUAGCCCUUUUCCAUCAGCUCAUCAACUUGCCUUUGAAGCUCCUUCGUCUCCUCGGGAUUGCUUCUAUAAGCUGGUCGGUUAGGAAUUGAAGCUCCGGGUACGAAAUCAAUCUGAUGCUCUAUCCCCCUCAAUGGUGGUAAUCCGCUAGGAGUAUCGUCGGGGAACACAUCAUCAAAUCCCUGCAACAAAGAAAUAGCAACACUAGGCACAAUAUGAUCAAGAUCAUUAGUAUUAAAGUAAGCCUCUUUGUACACAAGUAAGAUCAUUGGCUUGUUAGUGAAAAAUGCAGAUCUGACCUCACCCUCUCUAGCAUAAAAAUUGGGUUGUUUCUUUAGUUUUUCCACACAAUUCUCAUCACACUUGCUGACUUUCUUCACUCCUCUUGUCUUACCUCCACUCUCGGCCAGAUUUGGGUGUUUUUGAGUUGUGGUCGAAUGGUUUGAUUUGUUUGGAGUGUUGGCCGAAUAUUUGCUUGUGUUUGGAUGGGUGGCCGAAUGGGUUGUAGUGGUUUGGGUUCUAGCCGAAUCUGAUGGUCUUCUCUCCCCUUGUUCCUCACCUUGAUUUUCUCUCCCCAUCGCCUCAUGCUCACUUUUUAGCUUUAUUUGAUCAUCAUACACCUGUUUGGGUGUAAGAGGUACAAGAGUGAUGGUUUUACCAUCUUUUACAAUGGUAUACCUAUUUUUAACCCCAUCAUGAAUUGCCUUCCUAUCAUAUUGCCAUGGUCUCCCCAACAAGAUGUGACUUGCUUGCAUUGGUACCACGUCGCACAGAACUUCAUCAACAUAUUUCCCAAUCGAAAAUGGAACCACAACCUGUUUAGUCACUUUCACUUCACCACUAUUCAGCCAUUGCAAUCUAUAUGGUUUAGCAUGCUUAGCAGUACACAAAUUCAGUUUACUAACAAGGGUGGCACUACAAACAUUAACACAGCUUCCACUAUCUAUAAUUAAACCACACACCUUUCUUUGUACGUAACAACGCGUAUGGAAGAUGUUCUCCCUUUGUUCAUUAGUAUCAUCUUCUUUGACCUGAACCUGAAGUGUUCGCCUUAUAACCAAGGACUCCUCAACCGGUAAUGCUAACUCAUCCCCAUCACUAUCCUCCAAUGGUGGCAUGCCUUCACAAUCAGAACUGUCACUUUCAGAUUCCACAUCACCAUUAUCUCUAAUCAUCAUGAUUCUCUUGUUUGGACACUCUGAAGCAUAAUGUCCAUGUCCCUGACACCUGAAACAUUUAACAUCACGAGUACGUUUAGGUUGAGUUUCAGAUUUACCUUUGGCAUCAGUAGGGACAUCAACUUUAGCCUUUGGUGGUUCAGUUCUAGAAGACCAAAGGAUCUUGGCGGACAACCCUCUCUCUUUAGAUUCGGCUUCCAAGAUGAUGACGAACCCGAAUUAAACGCUGGCCGAGCAUGCCCUUCCUAAGUUGUCUCUCCACCUUCGUCGCCAUGUGAACCAUGUCCUCUAGCUCCACAUAGUGUUGUAGCUCAACCACAUUAGCAAUGUCCCGAUUCAACCCAUUAAGAAUCUAGCCAUGGUGGCUUCUCUAUCCUCAACAACAUUAGCCCGAAUCAUUGCUAUCUCCAUCUCUUUGUGAUAUUCAUCUACUGUCUUAUAACCUUGAUUCAGAUAUAAGUCUCUGUAAUAGUGGUUUGGCACAAAUCGUCUCCUCAUUAAGACUUUCAUCUCCCCCCAAGUCUGAACGGGUCGCUCGCCAUUCCUCCUCCUACUGAUCACAAUCUGAUCCCACCAAAUCAAUGCAUACUCCGUAAACUCAAUUAUCACCAAUUUCACCUUUUUUUGUUCAGAAUAGCUAUGGCAAUCAAAAAUCCAAUCCACCUUUUUCUCCCACUCCAAAUAAGCCUCGGAUCGUUUUUACCUUGAAAGCUAGGAAUUUUCAGUUUAAUGGUGUCCAAGUCCCCAUCCAUAUCUUCAUAAGUGCUCAUGCCACGAAAAUUCACAUUCCUCCUAGCCCUGUUCGGUCCAGACCUGAUUCCUUGGCCAGCUGAUGCAAAAUCAUAGUCAUCUUCACCCCAUCUGCGUUUUCAUCAACAAACUCUUCAAAAUCAGAUCUACAUUCCGUGCGCCAUACGGACCGUAUUUCCCCGGCGAUCAGCCCCACUAUUCUGUUGCUUUAUCGAAUUCACCUCAUCUUUCAGAUCCUUGUAUGUCCUAGACAACAGCUCAAGUUGCUGGCCUAUGGAUCGCAAUUGGAAAGCUACGUCAACGUUUUGUGUCGCUGAUUCGUUGUUUUCAGACAUUCUUUGAAUCUGCAAAAUUUGGUCAGUAGCACAAAUAUAUCCUCACACCUCUCGUGUAUCACACAAAAUAAAAUCAAGGCUUUUCACUCUAUUAAGCUCUCUACGCCUUUUACCUCACAACUUGCUUUCUUUUGGUUCUUUAGGAACUGAAAUCAACAAAUCAAAGUCAGUAGCUUUCGCGCGCACUCUAAUUAUAAUUUUCAGACUCAAGAAGAAAAAAAUAUACUGAAAACAAAGCAAAACAAACUAGAUUACGAUUUUGCGAGUAGCAAUGCAAAUUCGUGCGAAUUGUGGACGAAACGAAGACACGAAAUAAAACAAAAGCGAAUAUUAGCGAAAACAAUUACUUGACUCCUAGAUAACCCAAAUAUAAUAGAAAUAAAAAGAUUAACAAAACUAAACAGUAUAGAUCAUGUUCUCAAACUUGACGCAAAUCUAUCCUAUUACGCAAUUUUACGUAACAGAAUUGAAACCCAGACCAAACGAUCUCGAAAUGACCUCAAAUUCAAUAUUUGUAAUACAAUACUAUGAAAACACUAAUACUCAAUUUAUAGGUCGUUCUCUUAUGUCUAGGUACCCAAACCCCUUGUAUGAUCAGUUUGCGGCAGAAUUGAACCUCCAAUUAAAACCUCCAGAAACCGAUAUCAAAAUAAUCCCAAAUUUAAUAUGUGGUGCAAUCGCAUACCCAAUACUCAGAAUAUGAAGUUUCAAUAGAUUCCAAGGUGUUUUACCUAGGGUUCACUAAGAGUAGUGUUUUGCGGCAGAAUUGAAACUCGAAUUAAAACCUCAAGCAAAUAAUAUCAGAAUAAGCCCAACUUUGAUAUAUCAUGCGAUCCCACCCCCAAUAGACUGAAUAUGAAGUUUAAAUUGAUUCCGAGGUGGUUUGCUUAUGGUUCACCAAGAUUUGUGUUUCUGCGGCAAAAAUUGAAUGAUCCUUCAAAUUUCAACUAAUCACUCUUUUCUCUAUUUCUUUCUGAUUUUUUUUUCUUUUUAACAAACUGAUAUGAUUAGAGACAGUAACAAGAUGAAAUAUAAACUUUUUUUUUUUUUUGCUUAGAUGACACAGACACGAAGAACAAGAAGAUGGAUGCAAACACUGAAAAACUUAAGGGACACUAAAAAAAAAACGAAAAUAACAAUGAUAUGACCUUGUUUCGGAGCCUAGCUCUGAUACCAACUGAUGCGAACCUCGUGAUCACGUGGUCACGCAACCCACAAUCAAGAUUGAGAUCUGAUCCCGGAAAGCCGAAAUAGGUCUGAUAGAGUGCGACACAAUGGAAACCUGCCCCAAGGCACCAACACUAUUGGAAUGAGUAGAAUGACGCCACGAAGCCAGUUAAUCUUCGAUAAGUCAGAUUAAGUUCGUUCAAGAACUAAAGAAUGCAAGAAUCACUCUCGCACGUUAAAACUGAAAAAUUCAGAAUAAUAAUCAUCAAAGCUGCCGAAACAUGAGUUUAAAUAGAUCUUAGAAAAGUUAACCCUAAUGGACCCUUUAUGUGGACUUAUAUGAGGUCCACUCAAAACUGGCCCAAAAUCCUAAAAUGAAAAGCCCAUAACUUAAUCCAAACAAGCCUUGGAUCCUAGCUUAAAACAAAGUAUGAAUUAAGCCCAAACAAGCCUUGGGUUGUAGCUAACAAAAUAAAAUAAAGCCCUUAUCUCAUGGCCCAAAUAAGAUUGUAUUGGACCCCUCUUGCACAUGGAUAAGAUGUACUAGGAUCUCCUCUUGAUACUCCAAUGGACCUUCCAAUUCUGACUUGGUGAAAACCUUCAAAACCAAUGCAUUCAAUGCGUCUUUCAAUGUCUUUGUCUUGGACCGAGUCAUUGGUCCAUUUGGAACAUGUAAUGGGUCCUUGCUGGUGUUUCUGGGCUGAUCUGCAUCAUCCAAUUGUCAAGCACUGCAUUGCUUUGUUCCAACGAUCGAUCCACUGGUUCUGUUCUCGGUCUGCAAUGCCCCUUCAGAAACUCCAUCUUCUUGUGCUCUCAUUCUGGUCAUGCUUACUACGUCGUUUCCUGCUAUUGCAUGUGAAGUAAUCCUCUCUUCCCCUACUCCGGGUUCUACAACCUGAACUUCUCUUUGUACCCUUCCAAUUCCUCCUCCCAUAUUUUCAAUCUCAAUGUUUUGUUCUUGUGGACAACUUGAAAUUCCAGAAUCAUUAACAUUGAUUGAACUUUCCGUGCUUUUAAGUCUUUUGUUGCCACGACACAUAGCUUUCCAGGCUGCUUCUUGAACUUCUUUAGCCACCCCACGACAAAUGGAAACACCAUGCCCUUCUUCUCUUGAUAAAUGCCAUUUGAUCCUUGAAAUGGAAGUUUUGGUGGCAUAUGUAUGUGGACAAAACUUACACUUCAUGCUACCAUCAGCCCUUUCUUCAACAUAAUUCCGAAAUGAAUCAUUUGAUCCACCCAUUUCAACCUAUAGAAAAAAAACGGGGGGAGGGGGGGGUCAAAAUAUAGAAUAAAAAUCAAUCAAAAUAAAGAAUAAAAAUCCUAUAUGGAUGGAUGAGAAACUACUUCUUUAGUGUUGUUACCCUUAUUUUUCUAUUAAAAUUGAUAGUUAGUUUAUUUUGCUCUUAAUUUAAUAUUUUUUUCAAAAUAAACAGAUUUUUAAAUGCAAUCAAACAUAAUUUUGAAUACAAAAACAAAUUAUGUUUUGAUUGCGGAUUGCGAGCAUAACAAUCUUGGCAGUAAGUACUAAAGAAAAUCUGAAGACGUGAGUAGAACAAUUUGUUCUAAUGGUUUGUUUACUGAAACGUGAACAUACAAUCUUGAUUGAUUCAUUACACUGCCAUUAGCAGAGUAUUUAAAGUUUACUGAAGAUGACAUAUACAAGGAUUCAAAUAGCUAACCAACUAAGGAUUAUCUUGAGUGUUUAUCUUGAUAAGCAUGAACAAGGACAUGAGGCAGCUUCCAUGCAUUGUCAAUUCUGACUUGGAAUCACAGAGUCCCUUUUACUUUCGGAUGAAUCACAGCAGUCUCCUUAUCUUGUUAGACUACCAUUCUAACUUGAAUUUGUUACCCUUGAAGACAUCUUUAUCUCCUGACUUUUCUCCAUUAAACUCGGAAGUUUUGUAGAACAAUGUGGGCAGCAUCGUAGGGAGCUUUGUGAGAGAAUUCUGCCUUAUUACUCCAGUAGCAUAAACACCCUUAUCUCUCCACUGAACUCUCACAAAGCUUGUUGUCAGAUUGUGUUGUGCUAACACCCUCCCGCAAACUUGGCCGGGGCUGGAGGCAAAGUUUGGUUUGGAAGUAAAUGAGGGCAGCUUUUGACACUGGUUUGGUAAAUAUGUCAGCAAUCUGAUUACUGGAGUUUAUAUGUCGGGUGAUAAGAUGUCCAAGUGCAACUCGUUCUCGUACAAAAUGAUAGUCCAACUCAAUAUGUUUACUGCGGGCAUGGAAUACUGGAUUAAUUGUCAAGUGAAGUGCACUGAGAUUGUCACAGUAGAGUACUGGAGUAGAUUUGAGUGGGAUGUUCAGAUCUUUGAGAAGAAAGGUCAGCCAAGUAAUUUCGGCUGUAGUGUUAGCCAUGGACCGAUACUCAGCUUCAGUGCUGGAGCGGGAGAUUGUAUGUUGUUUCUUCGAACACCAAGAGAUUAUAUUUUUCCCGAGAAAGAUGCAGUAGCUAGUAGUAGAGCGUCUUGUAAUAGGACAUCCUGCCCAAUCUGCAUCUGAAAAAGCAGAGAGAUCAAGUGUAGUUUGUGAAGUGAAAAAUAACCUGGUAUGGAGAGUUCCUUUCACAAAACGUAGGAUACGAUUGACCAUUUUUAAAUGUGUAGUAUUUGGGGCAUGCAUGAAUUGGGACACAAAAUUAACACUAUACGAAAGGUCAGGACGUGUGAGAGUAAGGUAUUGUAAAGAGCCAACAAGACCCCGAAAAUAACUCAGGUCAUCCAAAGGGGUGUCAGCGGAGGAGGUCUUUGUCUUUGCUUCAAGUGGUGUACUCAUGGGUUUGCAAUCUAUCAUGUUCGCACGUUCAAGGAUGGUGAGGGCAUAAUGAGAUUGAGAGAGGUGUAGACCAUCUGAUGUGUGAGAUAUUUCAAUCCCAAGAAAGUGAUGAACAUGGCCGAGGUCUUUCAUUGCAAAUUCACCACUGAGCAGUUGUAUAAAUUCUGUAACAAGGGUUGCAUUUGAACCUGUGAGUAGUAUGUCAUCAACAUAGAGAAGAAGAAUUAAUGUGCCAUGAUCUGUAUGAGAAAUAAAUAAUGAAGGAUCUGCUAAACUACAAAAGAAACCAUAUUUAAGUAAAAAGGUGCUGAACCGAUCAAACCAUGCACGGGGUGCUUGUUUAAGGCCAUAUAGAGCUCGUUGGAGCUUGCAGACAUGCAUUGGAUACUGGGAAUCUGACAUUCCAGGCGGUUGUUCCAUAAAUAUAUCUUCGGAGAGGAAGCCAUAUAGGAAUGCAUUUUUGACAUCGAGUUGUCGAAUGGACCACUGUUGAACAAGUGCAACUGUUAUAACCAUGCGAAUGGUGCUUGGUUUUACCACAGGGGAGAAGGUUUCGGUGAAGUCAAUGCCAUCAAUUUGAUGAAAUCCUUUGGCAACAACCCUGGCUUUUAAACGAUCUAGGGAACCAUCAGGUUUAAGCUUUGUCUUAAGUACCCAUUUGGACCCGAUAACAUGCAUAUCAGAGGUGCGGGGAACCAGUAUCCAGGUUUGGUUUUGAUGCAGGGCAGUUAAUUCUUCAUUCAUUGCUGCUCGCCAACCUGGAUGAGCUAGUGCUGCUUGAACACUCCUUGGCUCUCGUGGGACAGAAGAGGAGUAUGUUGUUGAUAAAGCAUACUUAGGAUUUGGCUUAACAAUCCCAUGGUGUGACCGUGUAGUCAUAGAAUGAGGGAAAAUUACCUGGGGAGACUGAUUCGAACUAGGUGGAUCAGCUGGUAGAGCUGAUUGGGGAGAAAGUAAACUAUCAGCGUCAUUUGGUUGAACCAUAUGCAGAGUUGGUGUUGAUUCAUCUGAUUCAGGCAUAAUAAGUUGGUUUUCCUCAUGAAACGCAGCAGCAGGGGCUAAAGGAGCAGAGGAUGUGGGGCCAGUUCUAGGAGAAGAACUAUCAUCUUCCCGCACACAGUGAUGGGUGAUACUAUCAGUAGGAAGCAUCAUCGAAGCAAGUGACUCUGAGUCCUUAAACAUUUGGGGGAGUGGGGCAGGAGACAAGGAUACUUCACCAAGCGGGAUUGAUGAAGGAGUGUCGGAUGUAGGCAAUGAUGAGGUUGCUGCUAUCUUAGAGGACUCUGCAAGAAUAUUAGUACAAGGUAACCAAGCAUCAUAAAUGCUAAGGGCAAGUUGUGGAGAAGGAGUAAAAGCAAGAUCGUUGACAGGUUUAUAUGGAAAGAGCAAUUCAUCAAAGACCACAUGCCGUGAAAUGAAAAUUUUUUUGCUUUUUGGAUGGAAACAUUUAUAUCCUUUAUGAGUACUGCUAUAUCCUACAAAGAUGCAGGGGACAGUUUUGGGAUCAAAUUUGUUAAUUCGUGUGUCCCAAGUGUAAGGAAAGCAUUUUGAGCCAAAAAUAUGCAAUGAAGAGUAAUCCGGAUGAGUAUGAUGUAGCUUAAAGUAUGGAGUUUCAAAAUUAAUGGAUGAUGAGGGCAAGCGAUUGAUGAGAUAGACAGCAGUAGUGAAUGCUUCUGCCCAUAGAAAUAAUGGUGCACAACUAUGAAAUAACAUGGUCAUACCUAGCUCUCGUAUGACACGAUGGCGUCGUUCAACCAUACCUGUUUGUUCUGGAGUAUAUGGACAUGAUAUCUGAUGAAUAAUUCCUGUGGAAAGAAAAUGACUGGAGAGUUUUGAGUUGACGAACUCACCACCUCCAUCAGAAUGGAAAAUUUUGAUUUGUUUGUUGAAUUGUCUUUUGGCAUAUUGUUCAAAGGCAAAAUAUGUAUUCGUAAAAUCAGAUUUAUAUUUGAGUGGGAUUAUCCAAGUAUAUUUAGAUAAGUCAUCAACAAAACAAGCAUAGUAUCUGAAUUUUCCAAUAGAUAAAGUUGGGGCAGGUCCCCACAAAUCACAAUGAAUUUUUUCAAAAAUAUCAGUACUUGAGUGUUCAGAGCUAGAGAAAGGAAGUCUACUGAGUUUUCCUAACUGACAGCUAUCACAUAUAUGUUCAGUUUUUAUUGCUCCUAUGACAUCAAUCAAUCCUUUAUUUUUUAAUAAUUGCAAAGCUGAAACUUGAGGGUGUCCUAAACGUUGAUGCCAAAUAUCUGCUGAUCCGGAUUUAAAACGAUGAGAAAAAUAAAGUUCUGGUGAGUUGUGAAGAACAUAAAGAUCACCCUUGCGUCGUCCUGUGAUCACUGGUUGUCCAGUUGCUCGUUCCUUAACACAAAAAUCAACAUCAGAAAAUUCACAAUUAACUGGAAAUUGAGUAGUUAGUUGACUUACUGAGAGUAGAUUCUUUUUCAAUUCAGGGACAAACAGAACAUUCUUGAGGGGUAAAGCAGUAUUCUUUUGUUUAACAAGAGUAUCACCAAUACCAAGAAUUGGUAGGGAAGAUCCGUUGCCUAUAAUAACACAAUCUGUACCAUAAUAUUCACGAAUAUUCACAAAGCUUGUUGUCAGAUUGUGUUGUGCUAACAAGUACCAUGAUCCUUUCCAAUUGAGUUAAUUUUAGGAUUUUUUUUGGCAGCCACGUACAUCCUUUAGGAGUUCUUUUUAUUAAAUCAAUAUUAAAGUAAAAAAAAUUAAAUCAAUACAGAUAAAUACAUGAACUAAAUAUAAUCAAACAAUUAAUCCAUUUAAAAACAUUACUAAAUCCAUAAACUACAUUAAUCCCUUUUCUUUUCUUGUUUUUUUUUUCUCUCUGGUGGAAUUCCCUCACGUUUUCUUUAUGGGUAGCCCCACUUUUAAACCCUCUUUUUCAUCACGUCCCCAUGGUCCCCGUGUCCCACACGUUUUCAUCAAAAACCUAAAUUUUAGGACUUCUUUGGCAGCCAUCUAAAAAUAUAUAAAAAUAAUAUUUUUAUUUUUAAAAUUUUAUUUUUAACAUCAAUAUAUUAAAAUAAUCUAAAAAUAUAAAAAAAUUAUUUAAAAAAAAUUAAAAUUUUUAAAAACACAAGCAUUCACAAACAAGGUAACGCGUCAAGAAUCACAACAAUAUGACAUGUGACUGGAAAGUUGUGAUUAAAAAACAUUACUACUUUUAGAGUGAUUUUGACAGCGUAGCAGGAAAGGUCAUUAUUGUUAUUUUUAAAAUAUUUUUUUUAUUUAUAAAUAUAUUAAAAUCAAAGUUGUUAAUUUCGUUUCGUUUUAUUUGUAAUGAUUUCAUACCAAUUCAAAAAAUGAAAUAAAACAAAAUAAUUUUCAUCUCAUUUCAAAUCUCGGUCCCUUCUAAAUUUUUCGGUUAAAUUCCGUUCAGAAUGUUCUGGUUUCAUUCCACAUGUUUUGGUCUGGUCUUAAAAAGUCAUUGAAUCAAAUUGAACCUGAUUCAAUUAAUUAAUUAAACCAUCAAAGUAUAAAAAUCUCUUUUUCAUUACUAUUUUCAUUAACUAUGAUAUUAAUUUUUUAAAAUUUGAUUUAUCACUAAUAUAUAUGGUUUAUAUUCAUGUUGUUUUUUUUCAAGUUUAUACUUUGUAGGAAUUUAAACAAAAAAAUAGAUGUUUUAGAUCUUAUUAGCCUUGAUAACAUUGACCUCGUUUUAUAUUUAAAAUAUUAAUGUUAAAAUAUUUUAAUUUUAUAAUGUUUUGAUAUUUUAUUGAAGUUGAAUUAUUUUAAAUUAAAAAAUUAUUUAAUCUUAAUUAUUUAAAAAUAUUUUAAAUUUUAAAGUUAUAUUUUAUCACGUCUCUUUGAUCCCCGUUGUGUCAAAAACAAAUGGCCUAAAUUUUAGGCUCUAGCAGUUCCUUUUUUGAAAUCCUCAUUAGUGAAAUUUCACGACUCCAACUGGGCCUUGACUUGUCUGUUUAAUUUCUAUUAUUUUUAUUCCAUUUUAGCAUUUUAGCAUUUCAUACUCAUCAAAACCACUGGAACGCAAUCAAGCUUUAGCUUCAAACAACCAGAGGGAGAUUUUCUAGGGAAAAAAUUUUAAAAAUCACGCCUAUGCUACUUUCUAAUUUUAGUAUUAAUUUAGUAUUUAAAAAAUGUGUUUAGAAACCAAAACUGCCACAUUCAUACUCUCUCUUAGACAUUUUAAAAAUGGUGUAGAAGAAUAUUUUCACUGAUGAUUUAUAAUAGUGAAUAGAUUUAUUAUUUUAUUAGGUUACUUUAAUUUAUUUUAUUAGGUUACUUUAAUGAUAAAUCAAUAUAGUAUUUUUUUUAUUUUUUGGAUUUUCAUCUUGGGGAAACUCAAUAGGAUGAAAAUAAAAUAUUAAUCAAACUUAAAAUUAUAAUUGUUUAUCUAUAGAAUUAAAAAAAAAUAUGACAAUUCAGUGGCCUUUAAUGAAAUAAAAAAAAAUGAAAAAUGUUAGUUAUGUAAUUGUAAGCACACUAUAUUAUAUUACUUUACAAAGGGACGAAGGAGGAUGCUCCCACUGCACUACUGUCUCCCACCAUUCAUCUGGAUAUACCUUGAUUUCUUUAAGAGAAGGGGAGAUGGCUGGCGAUUUUCAAGCAACGGAAGACAAAUUGGCAUCCUCUUCAGCUUCUCACAAUACAUUACACUAAUAUCUUCAAGAGAAUUGCAAAUCUGUUUUGCACUGCAAAUGCUUUUCAGUUCUGGUAAGCAAUCCAAUUCCAGAGUUAUUAACUUUGGGAGAAUGACUUCCAUGAUGGAAUUGGAGGUGCUGCUUUCUUCAUCUGUUGUUCCUAUUAUCUCCUCCAUUUUGUAACAGAAACUCACUCUAAUCAAUUCCAGGUUUACGAGGUUUGGCAGCAACACAAGCGGGAACAGCUUCUUCAUACUUUUACAGUGAUCACAAAAAAACUCUUUUAAGACCAGAAAACGUACCGUUAAGUGGCAAUCGUGGUGGAGCAGAGCAGAACCAAGAAGAUGAAACCAAGCUCUCCAUGUUACGGCAUCCCUGAAUGCUGAUGCGCUCCAGUUCAGUUGCAUUCUCUAACGAUAAAACAUCACAUAAACUUCUUGCAUCGAUGCAUUGACAAAUCAGUCCUUGAAUGCCAUUUAAGAACUUGACCUGAAAAUCUCUGUCUCCGUUGAUACUCAAUUUACCCAACCCAACUGUUUUACUUGGAAAAUCUUCAAUGCAUUGCUCUGAAUAUCUAACCACCUCUCCUACUAAAAUCUUGCAUGUGCUUAAUGAUAGGAUCCCAUCCCGAGAUCUGAGAUACUCCACGAAGUCAGAGAAACCUUCAAAAUGGCAUUCCAAAGUUUCCAAAUUUCUCAAGGAUCCUACUUCCUUUCCUUUAACUGUUUUGAAAGCCAUUUGAUAGCUAAGAACUCAGAAUCCAUGAGAUUAAGUAUUUGGCAAAGCCUUCCCCGUGAUUGGAGCAAUCUCACUAAUUUAUCGACGGAAUGGCUAGAAUUGUCUUCCUCUUAACUAAUCUCUAGCAAAUUAUCUUAAUAUGGUUUUACCAAAAAGAAAAUAAUAAAUUUGUUCUAUUACUAUCAACUGCCAGAACUCCUGACAAGUAAUUACGACCAGUUUUUUAACAUCCAAGCUCUUGUAAUCUCACAAACGCUUGAGACCCAAACCCAAUCAACAGAUCAGAGAACCUUUAUUUGUCAAGGCUCCAUACACUUUCUCGACAAGAACCGGAGGAGGAGGCUGUGGGGUAUUCGAUGGUUGAAAAAGGAACGUGAAUUAUGCUGGAGAGCAUGCAGGUGGCCAUGUGUUUGGAGCUUAGCCUGGUGUUCUCCAAAUCCUUACUAAAUUAUUAGAAAGUAACAUUAUAACAUUUUUAAAUCUGUUUAAAUUUUUUGGUUUAAGAUAAUUUUUUAAUAUUAUAAAGUCAUUUAUUAUGUUUAUUCAAAUUAAUUAUUUUUAUUAAAAUAAUAUCAUUUCAUUAUUUAAUUAAUCUGGUCAGAUAUAAACUAGGUUUGAUUGAAUCGGUCAAAUUUUACCAAUUCAAUAUCUUAUAUGGAAAAAGAUUGACUGUAGAGAAAAAUUUAAUGAACGUCAUCCUCGUGGGUGCUAUAAUCUGUAAUUAUUGGCAAGGCUUUAAUAAUCACAGCAGCAGAAGAUGAUAUAUUGUACAAAUAGAUUGAAGAAACAGGAGGCCUACGCAUUUAAUAUGGACUUCCUCGUGGAUGCUAUUCCUUCAAAUAUGGACUAAGAUAUUGUAUUUUUGUUACCGGAAAAUUAUAAACCAAUAACUUUUUAUCUUUUUCCAAGCUUUUUGGUGAUUUUUUUAAUCUCAAAUUCAUGAACUAAAAAGGUAGCAGCGUGAAGCCUCGCCAAAAGCCCAAGAUUAAAAAUAACCAUGCUCCUAGCCCAAGCCCACCAACAUCACCCCCAGCAGAUUGGAAAAAUGCUCAUAACCAUUCCGGAAAAAACACACCUAGGCUACUAUGGUAUACUAGAUAGUGGAAAUAAAUCGAUAUUAAUCAUCAAAUAAAUCGUUAGCAGAAACCAAAAAUAAAUAAAUAAAUUGUUCAUGCUACUCCAUCUUAUUGAUGGGAAUGGCUUUUGACCAGUAUACAUACGACUCUGCUAAAAUUAUCUGAUAAAUUAUCAGGCUUAUAAAAGGCUUAAUAAAAUAAAAUAAAAAAUCAUUUUUAUUCAAUAAAAUAGAGAAAAAAACUCAAGUAAUAAAUGUUCAAUUCACUUUCCAGCCGACAAUAAAAAAUGAAAGUAUUUUUAUUCAAUAAUAAGCUACCAAUAAUUAUACAAGAAUCAAAUCUCUCCGAUCACAUGGUCGUUUAAAAUGCUCAACACUCAUAAAGCAAAUUUACAGAAUAAUAAGUUUAGUAAACUUCUUGAUUUAUAUAUAUAUAUUAUUCAACCAAAUAAUUGCUUGUGACAUAUAUGUGGCGAGCUUCCUAGUAUUAAAAAUUUAAGAUUAUCAAAUAAUUAAACUUUUUAUCCAAACCAAUAAAUUUUAUGUGUCUAUUUUAAAAUUUGGUUUUAGAAAGAAAAUCAAAAUGACAUAUCAAACAAUACCUAUAAAUCUUUUAUAUUACAAAUUAACUAUAACACCCAUUUAUCAUUUUUAAGGUCAAUAUUUAGGAAUAAAUGAAUAAAAGCUACGUACCAAUAUUUAAAUUAAGUAACCUCAAAGACUACUAAUUUAGCUUUUGAUAUUAAAAGGGUGUAUGUCGUUAGUUUCUGCCUAGUUGAUGAGGCAAAUAUCAGGUCUUCUAUAACCACUCCCUGCUAACUCUUUGCCUCAUAUCUUACGUUAUAUCUAUCAAGUUUGCUUAAUUAAGAUGGAAUAUUUAUGAUUUUUAUAUGUAUUAAAUCAAUAUAAUUGUUUUGACAUAAACAUGAAGUCAUCAUAUUAUAAAACUAAAAAUCAAUGGUGUAUCUAAUUAUCAAAAAGGUAUAAAUAUUGCUAGGAAGUUAACGUGUGGACCACCCCAAUUAUGAAGCUCGGAAGAAGAUGCCUAGAAAAUGUAAACACAUGAAUAUUGAAAACAAUAACAUACUUUCCUUUUUAAAAUGUUUUUUAUUUUAAAUAAUAAUUUUUUAUUUUGAAAUUUUUUUUUAAUAAAAAAAUAAUAAUUUAAAAAGUAAAAAAAAUUCAAUUUUGUUGAAAAACGUGUGCUUUAACAAUGACAUAUUAAAUAUGUGAUUAAUUAAGAGCAUGUGAUUGCUUUUGUUUUUAGUUGUUUUUUCAAAAAAAGAUAUAUAGAUUUUUUUAAUGUUUUUUUAUAUAAUUUUAAUGUAUUAAUAUUAAAAAUAAAAUAAACAAAUAAAUAAAUCAUGUAGUCUAUUUCCAAACCAAUCUAAUAUUGGAGGUCGAAAUUGAAAAAAAACUAAUUAAAAAAAUUAAAAGAUAAAAUUAAAAAAAAACAUAUUCGAUCAGUGAGUAAAUCUAUCAAACCUGUGAAUCAGGUAACUUGAGCUAACACAUCAAAUUCAUUAACAAGGUUAUGGACUCUAGUAGGAUUAUAUAUUUUUUAAAUUUUUUUAUUUAACAAUAUGAUAAUAAAAAUGGAUAAUUAUAAAAUUAAACACUAGCCCAAUACUAAUAUAUAUUUUUUUAUACCGUGAUAACAUCAUCCAAAGAAAAAUAAACUAAUUAUGAAACUAAAUUUUAAACCAACUCAAAUAUGAAAUAGAAAAAAAAUUAAAAAAAAUUGAUAACCAAAAAAAGGAAAGGGAAAGAAAAAAAAGAAGCAAAACACUAUAGAUUAUUAUUGUAAUUCAUAAUGAAAUGGGUGUGACGUGUGAGUGAAUAUUGGUUCUCCCACACCGUUUAGCUUUUUGUUUUUUAAAUAAUAAAAAAAAAAUACUUCAUUAAACCAGUAAACUAAUAUAAAUCACGUUAACUUUAUAAAAAUAUAGAAUACAAAUAUAAAUUAUAAAAUUGAAUUUUAAACCACCCAAUAUGAAAUAUACAAAAACAAAUUUUAAAAAAUAAUAAUAAUAAUAAACACAUUGGAUUGCUUAUUAUAAUUUAUAAUGAAAUAGGUGUGAAUACGUCUCUUAACUAUUCGUGAGCUUCUUAUUCGUUCUUAGUUUUUCUUGAAGUUAUUCUAUUGAGGAAAAAGAGAAGAAAAAACCCUACUUUUUUUUUCCUCUUCAUAAUGCAUGGAUUUAAGUUGGGUGGCGAUUCAGUAAUCAAAAUAUUUUUUUUAGUUUUAAUAUUAAUAUAUAAAAGAAUAUUAAAAAUAUUAAUUUAAUUUUUUAAAAAAAAAUAAUUAAAAAAACAGAUUUUUAAAUGCAAUCAAACAUAAUUCUGAGUAUAAAAACAAAUUACGUUUUGAUUGCGAGCAUAAUAAUCUUGGCAGUAAGUACCAUCAUCCUUUCCAAUUGAGUUAAUUUUUAGGAUUUUUUUUUUUUGUAGCCACGUACAUGCUUUAGGAGUUCUUUUUAUUAAAUCAAUAUUAAAGUAAAAAAAUUAAAUCAAUACAAAUAAAUAAAUGAACUAAAUAUAAUCAAACAAUUAAUCUAUUUAACGGAAAAAAAACAUUACGGAAUCCAUAACCUACAUUAAUCCCUUUUCUUUUCUUUUCUUGUUUUUUUUUCUUUGGUGGAAUUUCCACGCGUCUUCUUUAUGGGCAGCCCCACUUUUAAAGUCUCUUUUUCAUCACGUCCCCAUGGUCCCCAUGUCCCACACGUUUUCAUCAAAAACUUAAAUUUUAGGACUUCUUUGGCAGCCAUCUAAAAAUAUAUAAAAAUAAUAUUUUUAUUUUUAAAAAAUUAUUUUUAAUAUCAAUACAUUAAAAUAUCUAAAAAUAUAAAAAAUUUAUUUAAAAAAAAUCAAAAAUUUUACAAACACAAGCAUUCCCAAAUAAGGUAACGCGUCAAGAAUCACAACAAUUUGAUAUGUGAGUGGAAAGUUGUGAUUAGAAAACAUUAUAACUUUUAGAGUGAUUUUGAUAGCGUAGCAGGAAAUGUCAUUAUUUUUAUUUUUAAAAUAUUUUAUUUAUUUAUAAAUAUAUUAAAAUGAAAUUUGUUGUUAAUUUUGUUUCAUUUUAUUUGUAAUGAUUUCAUACCAAUUUAAAAAAUAAAAUAAAACAAAAUAAUUUUCAUCUCAUUUCAAAUCUCGGUCCGUACCAAAUUUUUCGGCUAAAUUCCGUUCAGAGUGUUCUGGUUUCAUUCCACAUGUUUUGUUCCGGUCUUAAAAAGCUAUUGAAUCAAAUUGAACCUGGUUCAAUUAAUUAAUUAAAUCAUCAAAGUAUAAAAAGCUUUUUUUCAUUACUAUUUUCAUUAACUAUGAUAUUAAUUUUUUAAAUUUUAAUUUAUCACUAAUAUAUGGUUUAUAUUCAUGUUGUUUUUUUUUUCAAGUUUAUACUUUGUAGGAAUUUAAGCAAAAAAAUAGAUGGUUUAGAUCUCAUUAGCCUUGAUAACAUUGACCUAGCUUUAUAUUUAAAAUAUUAGUGUUAAAAUAUUUUAAUUUCAUAAUAUUUUGAUAUUUUAUUGAAGUUGAAUUGUUUUAAAUAAAAAAAUUAUUUAAUCUUAUCUAUUUAAAAAUAUUUUAAAUUUUAAAAUUAUAUUUCAUCACGUCUCCAUGAUCCCCGUUGUGUCAAAAACAAAUUGCCUAAAUUUUAGGCUUUAGCAGUUCCUUUUUUGAAAUCCUCAUUAGUGAGAUUUCACGACUCAUUAUUUCUAUUAUUUUUAUUUCAUUUUAGCAUUUUAGCAUUUCAUACUCAUCAAAACCACUGGAACACAAUUAAGCUUUAGCUUCAAACAACCAGAGGGAGAUUUUAUAGGGCUAAAAUUUUAAAAAUCACGCCUAUGCUACUUUCUAGUUUUAGUAUUAAAUUUAGUAUUUAAAAAAUGUGUUUAUAAAUAUGUCAGUUUCAGGUUUAGAAACCAAAACUGCCAUAUUCAUACUCUCUCUUAGACAUUUUAAAAAUAUGUGUAGAAGAAUACUUUCACUGAUGAUUUAUAAUAUUAGGUUACUUUAAUGAUAAAUCAAUAUAGUAUUUUUUUAUUUUUUGGAUUUUCAUCUUGGAGAAAUUCAAUAGGAUGAAAAUAUAAUAUUAAUCAAACUUCAAAUUAUAAUUGUUUAUCUAUCGAGUUAAAAAACAAAUAUGACAAUUCAGUAGUCUUUAAUGAAAUAAAAAAAUGAAAAAUGUUAUUUAUGUAAUUGUAAGCAUACUAUAUUAUAUUAAUUUACAAAGGGACGAAGGACAUCCUUUGCAUUAGGAUGCUCCCACUUCACUACUGUCUCCCACCAUUCUUUUGGCCAUGCUCGGAUUUGUUUAAGAGAAGGGGGAGGAGAUGGCUGGCCAUUUUCAAGCAACGGAAGACAAAUUGGCAUCCUCUUCAGCUUCUCACAAUACAUUACACUAAUAUCUUCAAGAGAAUUGCAAAUCUGUUUUGCACUGCAAAUGCUUUUCAGUUCUGGUAAGCAACCCAAUUCCAGAGUUAUUAACUUUGGGAGAAUGACUUCCAUGAUGGAAUUGGAGGUGCUGCUUUCUUCAUCUGUUGUUCCUAUUAUCUCCUCCAUUUUCUCACAGAAUAUCACUCUAAUCCUUUCCAGGUUUACGAGGUUUGGCAGCAACACAAGCGGGAACAGCUUCUUCAUACUUUUACAGUAUUAACAAAAAAACUCUUUAAGACCAGAAAACGUACCGUUACAUGAUGGCAAUCGUGGUGGAGCAGAGCAGAACCAAGAAGAUGAAACCAAGCUCUCCAUGUUAUGGCAUUCCCAAAUGUUGAUGCGCUCCAGUUCAGUUGCAUUCUCUAAUGACAAAACAUCACAUAAACUUCUUGCAUCGAUGCAUUCACAAAUCAGUCCUUGAAUGCCAUUUAAGAACUUGACCUGAAAAUCUCUAUCUCCGUUGAUACUCAAAUUACCCAACCCAACUGUUUUACUUGGAAAAUCUUCAAUGCGUUGCUCUAAAUGUCUACACCUCUCCUACUAAAAUCUUGCAUGUGCUUAAUGAUAGGAUCCCAUCCCGAGAUCUGAGAUACUCCACGAAGUCAGAGAAACCUUCAAAAUGGCAUUCCAAAGUUUCCAAAUUUCUCAAGGAUCCUACUUCCUUUCCUUUAACUGUUAUGGGAGCAUAUCUUCCAUAAAUUAACCUUUCCUCUAGUACAAAGAUUUGCAGGUGAGAGAGUUUUUGUAAUAUCCCACUAGGAAACUCCUUUUCACCACAUCCAUUCAUUAUAAGAUACCUCAGGUUGGUUAGGCAUUCCAUUCCUUGCAGCAUCUUUUCAAGCCUAGUAUAAGAGAGAUCCAACCUCUUCAGUGCCGUGAGCUUUUUUAAUGAUGGAACAUGUUUUAAUUGACCACACUUACUGAGCAAUAAGGCAGUCAGAUUCACCAAAUCAGAAACAGAAUCUGGCAAAUUUUUAAUACCUGUGCGAGACAGAUCAAGGACCAUGAGCCUAUGCAAUUGCUUGAAAAAUGAAUCUGCAACAAAUAUCCCAACCCUUUAUUAUCACAUAGAAAUAGAGUUGACAGAUUUGGACACACUGGUGAAUGGUCGAAAGGAACUUCUUCAUCUCGUUUUGCAUUAGUGAAACUAUUGUCAGAUUCUCGUCCACUCCUCUGCAUUGGCAACUCUUUUAACUGCGCACCUGCUUUAACCAUGCCUUGAGAGUUCUCUAGCAGUAUUUGGAUGGCCAUGUCCCUAAUCAAGUCAUGCAUCUUGACACAUCUAAUAUCAUCAUAAUCCAUUUGAGCACUUUCCAAUAGGCAGACAUAUUCAAGUCUAUUAAGCAUCGUGUGGCCCUCGUCAAAUGCAUCUUUCCUGCUCCUCAUUCCUUUAAUUAUUCCCUCAUCGAUCAAAUAACCUAUCAGCUGCCUCCCUCUUAAUCCAUGAUCUUCAGGAAAUAAUGCACAGUACAAGAGACAUUUUGGAGUGCUGAAUCACCUAGCCGUUCAUAACUAAACUCAAUAACUUGAAUAAUUUCUUGUCCCUAAAUUCUGAUGCACUCAAUUUCUUCAAUGUAUUCUCCACUCAUGUAGAUCAUCCACUCCCAUCAAGCUUCCUGCCAUGUAAUAAUUCCCAAUGGCAAACCAGCACAUUCCCUUGCAAUAUCUUUCGCAAUUCCUUCCACUUCUGAUGAAAGUGCUAUGUCACGUCCAAGUUUCUCAUGAACAAAGUCCAAGCUCUCCCUCAAAAGUGGCUUCACCUUGAUUUUGUGGUGGCAAGCCAUCCGAUGACAAACCGUUUCUGAUCGAGUUGUCAUAAUCAGCUUGCAUCCUUUCAACGGGACAGGAAUUCCCACUUCGUCAAGCUCAAAAUUGUUCCACAAAUCAUCUAAAAUGAGAAUCCAUUUUUGUUUCUUUAUUAGUUCUUCUGACAAUUUGGCAGCUCUAUGCAGAUCAUCAUCUUCGCUUGAAAGGUCUAGAUGAAGACGUUUAGCAAUAAUAUUCUGCAAUCUAUUAAUGCUGAAAUCUUGAGACACAGUCACCCACCAAACAUGAUCACAAAUCUGGUCUUUGUAGAAGCUCAUUAUGGAUAUGUUUAGUAUUGUUGUUUUACCAACUCCCCCCAUCCCAUAAAUGCCAAUGGUUGGGACUUCAUCAUCCAUUAACAAAGACCAUAUCACCUUCUAUUCUCUUCAAAUGCUUGACCCACUGGCUUUGUAGAGCUAGUAGGUAAUGGAACUCCUCUAGUCUCACUUGUGUUGUAUUUAAGGCUUAUAGAAGAUCUAGCUCCAGCGUCAGGCUGCACUGAAUCUUCCACUAUUCUCCACACCCUCCUCCACUGGUUCUGUCCUCACUCUAACCAUGUUCUGCACAUCAUACAUAACGACAUCAUUGUUUACUGAUGGAGCAAAUAGUUGAUCAUAAUAUCUUCCAUGAUCAAGACACAAUGGAUCUGUUGGUUGGGAUGAAUCUCCUCGAGGCUCAUCAGCUUGAUUAAUUGAUGGCCUCUCACAAGAGCUACCUCUCUCCAGAUGCUGCACUUGUUCUGUUCUCGCUACAGUUUCAAAUCCAUCAUGCAGACGCUCCACAUCCUCAUCUUCCUGCAUUAAAUAGUAGAGAUUUCAUUCAGCUUCUGCUCCUUUGAAAGGGCAGAGUGUAUCUGAACCCAAGUGCCAUCAAAAAAUUGAUCCACUAAAUCUGUUCCUGGUGUUGCUUCUCCUCUAUUCUCAUGAGCAUCAACUCUGAGUCUCCAAGGAGAGACACUUCUGUCAACAUGCUGAAAAGAUCCUUCACCAGUGUACUCCAUGCCUUGAACUCCCGCUUGCAUCCUUCCAGCAUCCCCUGCCAAAUUAACAAGUACUGCAUUGUCUUGUUCUUGUGGACAGGUGGAAAUGGCAUAAUCAUUAACAUUGCUUGAACUUGCUAUGCUUUUAUGUCUUUUGUUGCCACCAUUCAUAGCUAGGAAGGCUGCUUCUUGAACUUCUUUAGGCACCUGACCACAAAUGCCAACACCAUGCCCUCUCUCUCCCGAAAAAUGCCAUUUGAUCCUCGAAAUGGACGUACCAUUGGCAAAUAAAUGCCCACAAAACUUACACUUCAUGCUUCCAUUAUUCAUAUCUUCAACUUCCUUCCAAAACGGAUCAUCUGAUCUACCCAUUUUGUCCUAUAGAUAAAAAGGGUCAAAAUAUUGAAUAAAAAUUAAUGGAAGUACAUUAAUUGGAAAAGGAAGGUGAAACUAAAAUAAGUUACAAACAGCAAAGAAAUUAAGAAGAAAAAACAAUGAAUUCAAGGUUAACUUGGGGUCAAUUUAAUUAGUAUGAACUCCAUAAGGCAUGGAUUGUUAAAACUGAGAAAGAUCAAAUUAUUUUUAUUUUUGGAAACUGUUGAUGAUCCUAACUCCAAAGUUUCUCAUUAGAAUUUCUACAACUUGUGGUUUCCUUGAAAGAUUCAAAUCAGAGUUACAUGUGAAAAACAAAAUGAAGAAGAUGGAGUAUAAAUAAUGUACCUGGAUUCAAGUUGUUCUUCAAGUGCUGGUUUGCUUAAGCAGUAUUCAGCAAAAAAGACAAGAACAGAGUAGAAUAUAUAGUUUAAAAAUAACAAGGAAGUUCCAAGAUGUUGAACUCCAGAUGAUUUGAUUCAAUCAGAAAAGGAAGCACUGAUCAUCAGAAAGUUUAAGAAAUUGGGAAUUUGAUGAGGGAAAUUGGGAAGUCAAUGGUAUAUGAGAUGAGAUGCGGAAGAUAAUGUUACAGUAGCAAAGAUAUUAUUCUAAUAAAUCUAUAAAUCAUGUUAAUUUUAUAAAAAAAUAAAUAAAAAUAAAUAUAUUAUCAAACCAGCCAAAUAUUAAAAUAAAUAAAAAUAAAUUUUAAAAAAACCAAAAAAAAAAAGUUGAAUUAUUUUGUAAUUUACAAUGAAAUAGGUGUGGAUAGAUAAUGAUUCUUCCACGUCUUUUAACUUUUCUUUUAAUAGAAAUUAAUAACCCUAUAAUAUUUUCCUCGAUGAUGUUGAAUGAUGCCAAAUUAAAACAUCUUUUUUAUUGCAAUAAAGUGAAACUUUUUAAAAAAUAUAAUAUUAAAAUAAACAUUGUUAUUUUAGUUUUUUUUAAUUAAAUAUCAUCGUUGUAUGUUCUUGGUUGACCUAGCAGUACCGUUUGUUUGGACUUUGAGCAGCAGUAGAUAUCUCCAGCGUACUGUUACCUGCAGGCUAGAAAAUGUAUGUUGCCGUUUUUUAGUUCACUAGAGAGAGGGCAGAAAGCCUUAAGAAAAUAAUUUCACAUUCUGUGUGGCAGAAACCUGAUUCCACCCAAAAACAAUAACACAGUAAUUGAAGCAAAUUAAAAGAAUAAAAGAAAAUAUAAAAUGAUUUAAUAGAGAACAAAUAUUAAUUUUCAAUGCAGAUUAAAAUAAAGCAAAGUGAAUAUUGAAAAAAGUACUUCAAUUCUACGAACAGCAGAUAUAUAGUUCAAUUCGAAGUUGAAUUCCCAAAAUUCCCACUUAAAGGGUAUAGAUAAUUAAAUCAACACUAAACCAAAUAUAACCCUUUUGAAAAACCAUUCAUUCAAUAGAAAAUAAUUAUCCCUAUUAAGAAAAUCCAAUGACGACAAUAUACUUAAGGAGCAAUAUUACAGCAAAGAAAUUAAAUCAAUACAGGUAAAUAAAUGAUCCAAAGAUUAAUUCAUUCAAUAGAAAAAACAUGACUGACUCCAUAAACGGCAUAAAUCUGAACAAAAGAGUUAGAAUAAUUGGAAAUCUGAACAAUUUGUGUACCCAUCACUGUAUUGGACAUUAAAAUUUCCCGAGAAGAUUUUUGCACCAAGCAUUCAUAGCCAUUCCUUUCCUUGCAUGUUCUCCUUCUUUCUUUUUCUUUCUCUGGUGUAAUUCCCACACGUCUUCUUUAUGCCAAAUACCCCUCUUUUCAAAGGAGGCAGCCCCACUUUUCAACCUCCUUUUUCAUCACGUCUCCGUGCUAUAUUUUAGGACUUCUUUGGCAGCCACGUACAUGCCCUAGGAGAUCUUUUUUCUUUUUUUUUUUAGAAGUUUAGGAGAUCUUUUUUCUGAAAUCCUCAUUAGAGGCUAAUUUGUAGUCUUUAAGAAACCUCGUCAACGCAAGAAUCACAACAAUCUGAUACGUGGGUAGAAAGUUAUGAUUGAAAUAGUAUCACUUGGGUAAAUUUGAAAGUAUAAUUGUGGUUGUUUUUUAAAAUAUUUUUUAUUUAGAAAUAUAAUAAGAUAAUACUUUUUUAUUUUUAAAAAAAUAUUUUUAACAUCAAUGCAUUAAAAUAAUUUUAAAACACUAAAAACAUAUUAAUUUAAAGCAAAAAUAAAAUUAAUUUUAAUUUUUUAAAAAAAUGUUUUUGAAACACAAAAACAAACAGGGUUUUAUCUUUUGAUGCUUACUGGUUUUCAAAAUGCGCUUAAGCUUUUAAAUGUAUUUUUACAUUUGUCUUUAGAAAUUAUCAAUUUGAUAAUUAUUUUUAGUGUUUUUUAAUAAUUUUAAUAUAUUAAUAUUAAAAAUUAAUAAAAUUUACAAAAAUUAUUUUUUUAAAAAAAAUUUUAAUAUACAUUUUAUACCACAAUAUCAAGUGAAAACAUAAUCCCAAUACCUUCACCAAUCAUAAAAAGGUUUUCAACCCAAUCAUGUUUUUUCCUCAUUUUAAAUACAAAAUAAAGUUCGAGUGAAGUAGGGUACAAUCUUAAAUGGUCCAAACAUUAUUGUUAUUUUUUUUUUUGGAUUUAAGUGGGUGUCCGGACCAGCUUGCGCGCACCACGACUAAUCUCACGGCCCACUGAACAUCCUGCAAACUCAGUGAGCAUGUAAGGCAUCGCGGGGGUGACAGACGUGCACGAUGAGGUUUGAACCCUGAUGGGGUGGAAAGGAACAAGCCUCUUCCACUACUAGGCCAAAACCUCAAUUGCAAACAUUAUUGUUAUUGUUAGAAUGUGACAGUGGUCCCAACAUUAGUAGUGUAGCAUGUGCCAUGUAUAUAUCAAUCUCUUGUGGUCCAAAAAUCAGGUUAUUGGUGUUUGAUGAAAUUAGUUGUCCCUAAAAAUAAAAUAAAAUCCUUUGUGAAUUAAUUAAUUACUCAAUUAAUCCCUAAAUUAGUUUUCUUGUUUUCCACAAAUUUUUUAAAAAUAAAAAUAUUUUAUUUGAUGUUUAGACCAUAGUUAUUAAAACCGGACAGGCCCGGUGGGUCGACCCGGGACCUGGUCGACCAGGUGGCUAGAUUGGUCCGAGUUUGUCAAAAGACAGGCCUGUGCAACGACCCAGUCAAACCUGGAUGAGACUCGGUUUUUUUUUUCAAAUGUGGGAUUUAAAACCCAUUAGUAUAUAUAUUUUAUGUUUCUAAAAAAAAGUUAUGUUUUUUUAAUGUGGAAUAAAAAACUUUUUGGAUUAAAUACUUUAACUUAAAAAGAUAACAUAAUAUCUUUUCAAUGUGGGAUUUGAAGUUCUUUGAAUAUAUACUUCAUGUUCCCAAGAAAAAAUUUAUGUUUUUUCAAUAUGAAAUUUGAAACCCAUUAAUAUAUAAUAUAUUCUUUGUUUCCAAGAAAAAAAUUAUUUUUUUAAUGUGGAAUAAAAUUUUUUUUUGAUUUAAAUACUUCAGCUUAAAAGCUUAACAUAAUAUUUUUUUUAAUGAGGGAUAAAAAACUUUUUAAAAUAUUCAUUUAAACUUUCAUUAUUUACAAUAUAUAUAGCCUAUAUUUACAUGGAUUUUUUUCUUACUUUUUUUCAUAUGAAAUAUUAAAACUUUAAAUAUAUUUUUUUAAAUUUUCUGGAUUGAUCCGGGUUGACCCAUAAAACCCAGGACAAACUUGUUGCAAUGCUGAAUCAAGUGCGUAUAACAGAAAAUAUUAAGUUAAAUAAUUGGUUGGAAUUGUUUUUUUGAGGAGUCAUCUCAAAAUUGAAAAAUAAAAACAGGAAAUAGAUCUUCAACACAAUCAUGCUUUUUAUUUAUUAUAAAUAUAAAAUAAAGUUAAAGUGAAGUUGGGUCCAAUCUUAAAUGAUCCAAACAUUAUUGUUAGAAUGCGACAGUCCAAUCUUAAAGGUUUUCAACACAAUCAUGCUUUUUUCCUUGUAGCAUGUGCCCUGUCUCAAGCUUCUGUGAUCCAAGAAUCAGGCUAUUGGGGUUUGAUGAAAUUAGCUGUUACUAGAAAUAAAAUAAAAGAAAAUCCUCUGUAAGGUAAUUAAUUACUCAAUUAAUCCCUAAUUAAUUAAAUUAGUUUUCUGAUUGUUCUUCACAAAAUUUCUAAGAAUAAAAAUAUUUUAUUAGAUGUCUUAGCUGAAUUCCAAACCAGCCUAUAAUAAAAUAAACAAAAAUAAUUUUUUUUUUUUUAAAAAGAGGCAAAACAUCUUUUAUACAGUGAUUCUCUCCCAAGUCUCUUAGCUUUUCUUUUAAUGAAAAUUAAUAACCUUAUAAUAUGUUCAUUGUGGAUGCUCUAUCAUUGCUAAAUUAAAGCAUGUUUUUUUUAUCUACAACUAUGUGAAACUUUUUUAAAAUAAAAAUAUUAAAAAAGAUAAUGUUAAAAAAAUUAUUAUUUUGGUUUUUAUAAAUAAAUGAUAUAAAAUAAUUAAUCAGUUAAUCUGUGAGUUGUGAGUCAACCAGUAAACUAAACUUUGAAAUACGUGUCUUAACUAUUCGUAAGCUACCUAUGAUUUGAUGUCAUGAGUAUUUUUCUUGAAGUUAUUCUAUUUUAUGUCAUGAAUGUUCUAUUGAGGAAAAAAAUAAAAAAAAAUCUACUUUUUUUUUCCUCUUCAUAAAACAUGGAUUUAAGGUAGGAAUCAAAAUAUAUUUUUUUAUUUUUAAUAUUAAUAUAUUAAAUUAAUAUUUUUAAAAAAAUAAACAGAUUUUUAAAUACACUCAAACGUAAUUCUAAGUACAAAAACAAAUUAUAUUUUGAUUGCGGGCAUAACAAUCAUGGCAGUAAGUACCAUGAUCCUUUCCAAUUGAGUAAAUUAUAGGACUUUUUUGGCAGCCACGUACAUGCUAUAGGAGUUCUUUUUAUUAAAUCAAUAUCAUAGUAAAACAAUUAAAUCAAUACAGAUAAAUAAAUGAUCUAAAUAUAAUCAAACAAUUAAUCCAUUUAAUAGAAAAAACAUUACUGAAUCCAUAAACUACAUUAAUCCCUUUUCUUUUCUUGUUUUUUCUUCUUCUUAUCUGGUGUAAUUCCCACACGUCUUCUUACUUGUUGAGUAUUUAAACCCCUAUUUUGACUUUGCAGGAUUUGAGGCAUUUGGCCUAGCAGUUUGAUUUUGCAAUCCUCGGACUUGGAGGUUAUCCAUCUGUGACCUAUAUAUAUACGAAUGAAGUGAUCAUAUUAUAAAACCUUUCUAUAAUUGGUAGUCUCUCUUAAGCAGUAAAUGUUAAUGGUAUUAAAACACAACAGCUGGAAGUCAAUCAGUACCUAGGCACGAAAUUCUCUUGUUGCACAUUGUCUAUGUUAGGAAUUACAGCAGCUUGAUCGACUUGCCCUUGAUUAGAAAGAAAUUGAAUCCUGAAUCCAAAAUCAGCAAAUACUAAAUAAGAAAAAUUGGAUAUCGGGGAGCAGGAAAAGAAGGUCCAGAUUGAUUGAAACCACCAUGUUGUGAAGUGGUUGCAUUCGGUGUCAUAUAGCCAGGUCCCGGCUGAGGUUGAUGAAUAAAGGAGUUCUGAUGCCUGAAUAAUAUUCAAAUAGUUAAACAUAGAACUGUUAUUCUCACAAAAAAGAGAGAUAGAGAGCUCAAAAAGACUUGAAAGAUCCUCGACCUCGCCAAUUUUGGUCAAGUUUAUUGUUUUCAUGAUUAAAAAAGUGUAUAUUCGAGGUUAAUACCAUUGAUUCAUUGGAGGUUGAGGUCCAGGUAGCAUCGCAGGUACUUGAUUGCUCAUAAUUGGUAACUGAUAAUUAGUCCAUUGUUGGUCCCUAAAUUAGCAACAUUUGUUAAUAAUAUCUUUAUACAUAUGCAUAAUCGUUAGCUAUUAAUCCACUAAGCAUUUGAUAUCAUUUUAGCUUACCUAUAUUCAAACAUGAUGAAUUUCAAUAUAUUUUUAAAAUAAUGAUGUUAAAUAAUGAACAUUUGAACAAGAAGAAGUUAAAUAAUGAUGAAUAUUAUGUACCUUGAUGGAGUUUGAGGCCAAUUUGGUUCAUUUUGGUUGAUCCAUGAUGAUGAUGUUCCAUGUAAAUCUCCCAUUGUUGUCUGUUUGUUUAACAAUAAACAUUUUGAAGAUGCUCGAGAUAAAUUGAUACACGAAAACAUAUAACUUUUUGAUCCAAUGGGUGAUACAAACACUUGCUAAUUCAGGGGACAUUGCAGCAAAUUGGAGUAGGCAUGAGCACUCACCAUGGUUUGAGGAAAUGAUGGUGGAAACAGAGUUGUUUGUUGAAUACUAUCGUUGAUCACAUUGUUAUCCACCACCAUGUUCUGUCCAUCUUGAUCAUUGCAUAAUAUGGAGCUUUGGUUGCCUGAAAACUCCGGUGGCGACCUGCUUAAUUUGUUAUUAGGAACAUUAUUCUUUUUUGGGAAUAAUAAGAAAAACUGUAGAAUAACUGAAUUGCAAGUAAUCAUCUUCUGACAAAAUAUGCUUAAGAAUGACGCACAAGAGAAGCUCAGAUAUAUUGAAUGAAUCUUCUUGUGAUUGAAAAUCGAACUGAUUCGAUGUCAAGUUGACAUCAUCCUCAUUACAAGACGGUGGGACUCCUUCCAUCUGAGGUUUAAAAAAGAACAGAAAGCACAGAUUAGAUGUGUGUGUGUCUAUAUAUAUAUAUAUAUAUAUAUGACUUAUUUAUUUGUUAAAGAGAUUCAGAUGAAAAAUAGGAAAUAUAAACGUUGCUGUUAAUGAUUUAAUUCUUUGUUUUAAUGCUAAAUUAUUUGUCACUUGUUGUAAACAAGUUUAAUGAAAGGUAAUUAAUUAAUACUGAUCAAGUUAAUUCAUGAAUCAGUAAAAAAACAAUUUCAUUGAAUCAUUAUGUCAGAAAAAUAUUGGAUAAAAAUUAAUGGCAGUCCCACUAAUUGGAAAAGAAAAGGGUGAAACUAAAAUAAAAAGUUUGUCGCACGUGUGCAGCGUUGCGGCAAAAACAUCCACUCUCAAAUCGUUAUUUAAUGUGGCAAAUGUGAGGAGACAAGGAAUUCUUGUUUUUUAUUAGUGAAAAAAUAAAAUGGGAGUCACCACCUAGUAUUUUUGUAAUUAGGAACUCUAACUGGUCUCAGAGAUCAAGUAUGGGGACUGUUUGCGUAAAUGGAAGGUUUUAGCACCCAAAAUACGCCCUACCUAAAGUAAGCUGCAUUGUUUAAUUGUUUGAUAAAAUCUAAGGUCUUGUCGUGUUUUUUAGUUGUUGGUUCGUCUAUAGAUUUUAAAAAAAAAUCAUCUUCAGUAAAGAGAUCCUUAUCUUAUUGGGUAUGACCUAACUGUUUUAACGUCAACAAAAGAAUUUUAAUAUCCGGAAUACAUCUUACAUAUAAGAUCAUAACCCUAGAUAUUAAAGGAAAACAAAAUAAGUUUUUUUGAAAUUUUUGAAAUAUUGGCCUAGUUCUCGUGACUUUAAUAAACUGGUUAUUAAAGCCAAAAUGCAUGUUAAUAUAAAUUUUUGAAUCUUUGUUGUAUGAAAAUAUGAUAUGAUUUUUUUUUUUUUUGAAAGAGUAGACCAUAUGCAUGAAAACAAAAAAUAUAUUUUUUAUGUUUUUAUCAAAAACCGGGUAUUUUAAUAUCAAAUUUAUAUCUUUACAGUAUAAAAAUACAAACCAAUAUUUAUUAAAAUACAAUAGAAAAAUUUGCAAAAAUCACUAAUUUUUGAAAAUAUUUAUUCUAUUUUAUUAUAAUUAUUUUUUUUAAACUGGGCCCAUCUCAGCACAUGUGGCUGGGCUGAACCCAACUGAUUUCUACCCGCAAGCGUGCGUUAACAAUUCACGCACGCCUGCUAUGGUGUAAUUAAUCUUCAAGUGCACAGUGUUUGUGCAUUGUCUGAAAAAUUGGAGAAGCUUACCUGGAAGCAACGAAGGCAACAACAAGCGACCUCUAUCUUCUUCUUUUCGUUUGUAAAUUCUGGUUCAACUGGUUUCCCUGUUUUCCUUUCCUAUUCUUCUUUCUCCUCUCUCGUUCUCCCCACUGUCUCGUUCUUUUUUCUUCUUUUUUUUUGCUGUGUUUCUGCCUUGUUCUUUUUUCUUUCCCUCUCUAUGUCGUCUUUGUCUCCCUCCUUCAACGUUCUCCCCUCUCUGCACUGACUUCGUGGUGGUGCUGCUGCGCUCGUUGGUUCACAGUGGCGGCUUCGCGGUUGCAGAUGAAGAUGACAGUGUGGAAGGGCUGAUCCACCAACACCUCUCCUCUCUCCUUUCUUCCUCUUCUGUCCGUUCUCCCCCCUGUCUUUCCCCUCUCUCGCUGUCUUUUUUUCUCUGUCAUUCUUUGCUGUCUAGUUCCCUCUGUCCCCCCUCUGGUUUUUCUUCUCUCCCUCUCUGGUUCUCUCAAACGUCCCCUGGAGCUGCUGCCUGAAGAUGAAGACGAAGUUGAGGGUGAUCAGUGCUGUGAUCGAGCGACGUUUUUUUCUUUCCUUCUGCUACUGUUUUCAUUCCUGCACUCUUCUUCUUUGUUUCUGAUUUUCUGAAAUGACGAAGACAAUGGAAACGCUGGUUCUGAUCUCAAUGAUUUCCUCUGUUUACAUUAUUUCCUUCUGCUUUUCUGAUCCUCUUUCUUCCCGGCUCCUCCCUCCUUUUCCUUCUCUCGUUCUCCCCUUUUAUAGCCAAAACUGCAUACGUUCAGGACCAUUAUUGCAGUGGUAACGGUAGAUAAAUAAUAGCUGUGAAACGUUACCAUAAUCUGUGGCAUUUGUUGCUGAAAACGGUUCCUGUUUGCUGAAACGGCUGCUUUGAAGAGGGUGAUGAACAGUGUCUAAGGAAACGGCGCCGUUUCACAAUUCAAAUGAAUAUUUUGGAUUCGGUCCCUGGUUGUUUUGACAAUUUUGUAGUCAAGCCCCCCGGAUGAAUUGUAAUUGGAUCCCUUUAUUUUAGCCCCUUUUUCCGGUUUGGUCCUUGGUUUCUGAUUGUUUUAAUUAAAUCCCUAAUUGACCAUCAAACUUCAAUAAUUAUGCAAUUAAACCCCUGAUUUGACCAAAUCAACUCUUUAAAAUUAUAAUUGGACCCUAUAACUUUAAUUACUUUCAAUAAAAAUCUAAAUUGACUUAAAAAAUCAAUUUUCUUGCAAUUAAACCCUUCAUAAAUUCAAUUAAACCUUGAAUAAAAUUUAAUUGAGUACAUAAACAUUUUAUUUUGGACUUUUCUUUUUCAACUUAAAUUUUCUUUGUCAAGAGACUCUUAUCAGUAGAAAAUAUAAAAUAUAACAUCAAAUUUCAAUUCUUAUAUUUCUGAACCUCCUCAACUAAUUUUUAGGUAUUUUGUGAGCGUUCAGCGUCAUUUUCUUACUCUUGUUAUUAUUAUUAUUUUUUAUUUUUUAUGAAUUUUUUUUUUAUUAUUAUUUUUUAUAUGGAACCCAAAAAUGAGGAACAAUAAAGUUAAAAACAACAAAGAAUUUUGAAAAGAUUAAAACAAUGAGUUCAAGGGUUUAGGGUUAUAUAAUUUAGUACGAACACCACAGGGCAUGGAUUUUAAAAUCCGAGAAAAAGAUCGAUUUAUUUAUCAUGGAUUUCUUUAAAGAUUUAGAUAUAGAAAAAUAAAAACACCAACAAGAUGAAGUACAAAUAAUUUACCUGGAUUCAAGAUGUUCUUCAAGUGCUAGCUGGUUUGCUUCAGCAGUGAUCAGCCAAAAGAAAAGGAAGAGAAAUCACAGAUCAGAGAAGAAUAUAUGGCUUAGAAAAAUAAUAAAGUUGCAGUUAACAUAAAUCUAGUUCGUACUGAUCAUGGGAUGUGGAAAGGAAAAAAGGGAACUCUAUUAUGAAAUGAGAUGUGACGUGGAAGAGAAUGUUAGGUCAGCUAAAUAAUAAUUAAUUAACGUAUUGUUUGACAGGAAGGAAAUUGCCAGGAAGCAACCCCCGCCUACCUACCAAACAUUAUAUUAUAAGAUAUAGAGAGUUAACGUGUGGACCCACCCCAAUGUUCAAACUUUAAAUGAGCUGCCAUGAAUAUGUAAACACACGAAUAUGAGAAAGAACAGCAUAUUUCUGCAUGUGUGAAGUUGUUUCUGAUAAUAUGUUUUAUUUAAAAAUAUAUUAAAAUAUUAUUUUAAUUUUUUUUAAUAUCAACAUAUUCAAAUAAUUCAAAAAAAAUAAAAAUUUUAAAAAAAGAUCACUGCGACUGUAAAGACAAACCAGCUGUGACUAUACUAGCAAGUGUUAGAUUGAUAGCAAAGACGAAAGCAUACCAAUGCAACAAUCACAUUCUCAAAUAUUCAGAUUUUAAAAAAGCAUAUCCAAAUAUAGUUUUAAAGUUGUGUCAAAUGCAGAAUGCUUUAAUUAAUACGAGGAAACUCUUGUUUAUAAUAUAGUUUUACACAGGGACCCGUUAUAAAUAAUUUGGUGUUAUAAUAACAAUUAUUUUUUUAAGUAUUUUUUAUUUAAAAAUAUAUUAAAAUAAUAAUUUUUUAUAUUUUAAAAUUUAUUUCUGAUAUUAACAUAUUAAAAUAAUAUAAAAAUAUCUAAACACUAAUUUAAAAAAUAAUAAUUUAUUUGCCUGGUACUGGGCUUCCUCGGGACACAACGCUGCACUUCCUUAAAUGAAAAUAUUAAAGUCGGUGUGUGCAUCAGACCUCAUCCUCAAUUGACUCCGAUUGUUGAAAUAACUUAAUCUUCUAAUAAAGUUUGUUUUUGAAUAUAUAUUCUAUCCUUACUAAAUUAUUAGGAAGUAACAUUAUAACAUUUUUAAGUCUGCUUAAUUUAUUUGGUUUAAGAUACUAUUUUAAUAUAGUAUUAGAUAUUUAAUAACUUACGAGUUAAUUACUUAUUAAGAUAAUUCAAGAUUAAUUAUUUUUAUUAAAAUAAUAUUAUUUCAUUUAUUUCUAUUAACAUUGCUAAAUAUGAAGUAGUUUGGUUUGAUUAGAUGAUUCAAUUACAAAUCCAAUCUAAAUUAAGGUUAAAAUUUUGAGUUUUUUAAAAUAAAUCAUCAAACUAGACAGGUUUAACAACUAAUAUAUAUAUAUAGAUAUAUAUAUAUAUAUAUAUAUAUAUAUUAUUCAACCAAAUAAUUGCUUGUGACAUAUAUGUGGCGAGCUUCCUAGCACUACAAGAUUUCACAGUUUUACCGACGGUCAUAUUCCGUCGGUGUAUGAUUGAGAGUUCGUCUGUAAAUUAUUUAUCGACUCAAUUACCGACGGAAUACGCCCGUCGGAUUACCUUUUGUCGGUGAUUCCACAUUCCAUCGCUAUAUCAGUCGGAAAAAAAAAAUGUACAUGUCGCACGUGUGCGGCGGCGCGGCGAUCGUCCACCCCCAACCCUUCAUGAGGGUGUGGUAUGUUGUCUAUUUGGCAUGGAAAAUAUGGUGAGACAAGGAGUUCUUUGUCUCUAAGCUAAAAAUGGACAGCGAGUCGCCACCUAGUAUUCUGGUUACUAGGAACCUUAACUGGUCUUUAGAGAUCGGGUACGGAGACUGGUUGCGUAAAGGGAAGGUAUUCACCCAACUACGCCCUACCUAAGGUAAGCUGCAUUGUUUUAAUGUCUGAUAAAAUCCAAGGUCGCGUUGUGGUUUUUUAUUGUUCGGAAUACGCAUUACAUGUAAUGUCAUACCCCAGGUUCUAUUGUCCAAAAAAAAAGAGGAAUUAAAUAUCUGGAAUAUGCAUUACAUGUAAAGUCAUACCCCGGGUACUAAGAGACAAACAAAAUAAAAUUUUUGUUGUUUUUGAAAUAUUGGCCAAUAUUCUCUUGACUUUGAUAAACUGGUUAUUAAAGUCAAAAUGCAUGCUAAAAUAUUUUUUUUUGGUGUAUGAAAAAAAUACAAUAUGAAUUUUUAGCUUUGAGACACUUGGCCGUAUGCACAAAAACAUUUUUUUUCUCUUUUUUUAAUUUUUUUGUAUUUUAUGGAAGUUUUUUUUUUUGACGAAAACCGGGUAUUUAAAAAUCAGAUUUUUGUAUUUUUAACAACAUAAAAAAAAAACAACCAAAUAUUAAUCAAAAUGACAUAAAAAUUACGCGGAAAAAUUAUAAAAUGCUGAAACAAAUAUUUUUGAUUUUUUUCUUUGAAAUGGGCCGGAUCAGGCCUAAAUAUAUGGGCUGGGCCGAACAUGGCCCAAAGAAAUGGGUUGGUUACUGUGCACAUAGUAACCGGGUUACUGUGUGUACAGUACAGAGAAUUAAUCUACGGGCAGUAACUCGCUAAUUAAUCUUCAUCUGCUGCACGUAAACGUUCUGCAUGCAGAUGAAGCCGAACCAAAAAAAAACGACGGGAAAGGCUACCUGGAGCGGUGGUGAUGUUGGCAGCAACUGAUGUGGCAGGGGUGGCGGCGGCGGAACUGGCUGUUCACGGUGGCCGGCGGUGCUGUUUUCCUCUCUCUCUCUCCUCUGUUUUACAAUCUUCUCUUCUUCUUCUUCUUCUUCGCUCUCUCUCCCUUCUCUUCUCCUUUCUUUCUCCCCCCUUCUUUUUUCCUUCUGUUCUUCCUCCAUUUAUAGCCUGUGAGCAUGUGUUUUUUUUUUUCAUCGUGGGGUCAUGCGGCGGCUGGUCGGGAGUGGCUGUCCAGGCGGUUCUCCUCAGUUUCGGCGGUGCGGUAGGCGGUCGGCCAAUGUUCUUCGUCGGUGGGCUAGGGACUGGCGGUCGGUGGGCUGGAGGGACCAACGCCAUUAAAUAUACAUCUUUUUCCUUCUUUACUGCUGUAUGUUAGGCGGGGAAGAAAGGGGAACAGUGCCGUUCAAAACGGCACCGUUUAGCCCUUUUCUGUUUUUUUUUUUUUUUUUUUUUUUAUUAUUUUUUUAUGGGGACCCAAAAAUGGGUUACAACAGUACCGACGGUUUUACAGAUGGAAAAUGCGCGCUAAAAAAAAAAUUUCUUCUUGGAAUAUACCGACGGAAAAUACUCUGUCAGUGAAAUUCUAAUUACCGACGAAAAAAAUCCGUCAGUACAUUGGUCGGUGUGUGUUUGAGAUACCGACCUAGGUAUGCAGACCUUGUAGUCAAGCCCACGCCCUUUAGCGUGGUUUUGCUUUUUAAAAUUUUAGACCGAUGCAUCAUUGGUUGUUUGUAGAAUCUAGCGAUGGAGGGUUCCUGGAAAAACAAGACUAUGGUUUUGUUUUUUGCUAAAAAUCUGUUUUUCAACCCAAAACAUCUAGAAAAUAUAAUAAACACCUUGAUGAAUCUAUUUAUGGUCUUAAACAACCUAAAAAAAGCUCAAAAAUCUAAAAUCAACUCAAACCUGAAAAUCUUCUUGUUGAGAGGUCUCCUUCAUCAAGUACGGAAAAAAAUAAGAAAAAAACACCUAGGUAAAACUUCCUUGAUCAAAUGAAAUCCAUUAACACCAAGAUUGACCAUUUUGGUAGUCGAAAUAGAAGUCAAUAAUAACAUUUUCUCUUUACAUCGGAAUCCAGCAAAUCUCUCUCUUCUUUUUAUAAACAAAGGACUAAAAAAAAAGUUUGGUACCUAAAUUGAAUUUCUAACAACUAAAGAGAUAAAUCACCUCUUAAUUAAAACAAUUGGGGACCAAACUAAGCUUUUCAUAUGAAAUUUGAAGUUGCCACCUAUUUUCCCCAUGUUUUUCACUUUGAUCAUCUUUCUUUUAAUUCAACCAUUUCUUCAUAAAAAAGAAGCAACUUGCUAUUAAUUUGGGCUCAAAAGGGUGCAAUAGUGCAUGCUAAAAAAAUUGAGGAUCAAAUUGAGAAUUUUAAAAAAAUUAAUUGUUUUAAUCCAUAAUAAUUUGUGAAAGAAUGCACAGUAAAGAGAAAAAACAUCACACAGCUUUGAAACACUUUAAUGUGUUGACUGAAAUUGACAAGUGAGUUUACUCACAUAUUGUUAUAUUGGUUUUGAGUUCAAAUAGACGUUUAAAAAGGGAGUUUUUCAUGAAUACAACCCUUCAUGUAUUCAAUAUGAAUGAUGGGAGAUUUUAAUGUCUUGUGAAUGCAUUCAUUUAUAUAUGGAUGAUUUUGCUAAUAAUUGAUUGGUAAAAUACUUAAUUUCGUUAUAUAAAAACCAAAGAGAGAAUAAUAAAUAGCUAAGAAUUGAAAUGCAAAAACAUAAUUUGCAUAUAACACUAAGUUCUGCAACCAUUUCUCUACUUUCUAUGCUCUUGGCUUGCUAAAAACUAAAAAAAAGACAUUGCUCUAGUUGCCUGCCUUCACUCUUCAGAUUGCUCAACAAAUCCCUUGAGACCUUCUCCAUAGUUAACACAUCACAUAAUGGCUAUUCUAAAAAAAUUAGCCAUAAGCAUUGAACACCUUGAGCAAUCAACGUGCCUUCCUUCACAAUAUCCAUCACCCAUAAAUCUUUCUUUUGGGAUGUCGUCGGGAGUUUAAUCUUCGAGUGUAACAAUUAUGUAUAAAUUUCCAUUCUUUCCUUCCAUCCAUUACUUGUCCUCUAUGAAGAUUCUAUUUAUGAAGUCUCGGAAUCUUUUCGAGUAUAACUUGGGAUCAACAGCUGAGAUAGACAUGAGAUCCACUUGUAAGGACUUGUAUGCAUGCUCUAGCUGUUUGCUGAUAUCAUAAUCCUGGAGGAUGUCAAUGAUACCAAAGUGAAGAACUACAUUGAAGAUCUCAUUACCAUUAUGUGAAGGUGUUGAAUUAUUACUUCCACCCCCCCAUGCACUUAUCCAUUUUAGUAGUCCUCAUUACACGCUCGGCUCUUGCAGGCACAUUUGCCCCCAGCCAGAUGAGUGGCCCCCUGGAAUAGAUUUCAUAUGAGUACUACAAGCAUGCAACGCCAGAUAAAAUCUUGACAUUGCAUCACACAAUCACCAAAAUUCAAAGUAACAAAACGAAGAACAAAAUUUGAUAACAAUGACAAUGAUCACUCAACCACAACCGAAUCUUAUGCUUUAAAGACACUUUUCAUCAUUAAUUUUCCUUUUCACAUUGAUUUUCAAUGUUCCAGACAGAUAAAAUAGCAUUAAUUUACAACCAUGGUUUUAAGGCAUCAUUAUUGGCAAAAACAUUGUAGGACAGAGCAAACUUAAAGAUCAAUACUUCAGUUGUCAAUCACAUUAAUAAUUUAUAUUUGAUCGUCUGAAAGGGCCUAGAAUAGGACCAGGUAAAAGUUUGUUUCUAUCUAAGAAAGCAAGAAAGUCUCCACAAACUACCCCCAAUUUCGCCACUACAGCUCAAGUAGCUUUGAGUCAUUCCAACAAAUUGGAAUUGAAUUCAAAGGAAUAAAUCAUUAAAUGCAGGGCUCCUACGUGGGAAAGGGAAAAUGAUUCACUAUUAAAAAAAGAAAGCUCAAACACAAAUUAUAGCUUCACUUUUUGUGAAUUAUAUCUCAUAUUUCUUUGACUAUAUGUGGAUGAUUUAUUGAUAUUUUAAGAAAGAAGCAAUCUUCAUUGCUUUUCAAAACCAUACUAUGGGUCCAUAGGCAACUAAAGUUAAACAUGUGGCACAUGUGAUUAGUACUUAAAAGUGCAUAUUUAUCAAGGUUUUGUAUCAUCAUUUUGCACUUAAAGUAUCAAUAACUCCUUAACUAAAGCAUGUUUUAUAAUAAUAAGUCUAAUACUAUAAAAUGCCCUAAUAUAUGGUAAAUGUUUAUCUUAAAUAUAGGCAUAACACAUAAAUUAAAGGAUUGAUUGAUGAAUUCAACUACUGAAAUUUUGAAGAUAAAGAGAAGGUGAAACUUAGAAAAGAGAUGUUGGUGCAGUCCAAACUGGAACACUGUUUGGUGUUUGGGUCAUAUUUCGAGUUCUAGAUGUCCAAAUGACCUCAAAGUUUUACACAAACUUGGUGAGACAUAGGCCUACAACUUUCAUGUGAACAUAAAAAUCCAACAAGGCCAUUUUCAAGUCCAAAUCAUAGCAACAACGGAGAAGUCCGAAUCUGUCCUGCAGCCCGAACACUGUUCAGUGUUUGGCCCAUAUCUGGAGUUCUAGAAGUCCAAAUCACCUCUAUUUUUUUUUCCUGGAAAGCUGAGUCAAUUUCCUACAACUUUCAUGUUUUCCAGAGGACCCAGUUCGGAUGGUAGCAUUUUUGUUUUAUUCAGACAAGAAGAUAAGGAUUUUCACCAAGUCAAAAGUUGGCCACCCACUCAACAAUUAGUCAUCAAAUCAAUAAUUCCGAAUUUUGGCCUAUAAAAGGAGGCAUUUGCCAUGUAUUAUGGGGCUUGGUUGUUCAGAUCAAGCUCAUGCUCUUUAUUUCUCUCUUUAUAUUUUUUGUAAUUUUUAAGUUUUGCUUUCAUUAAUAUCUUGUUUAUGCUUUUCAUUUCCUUUCCUUUACUUAGUUAACUUGUAUUUUCUUUAUGUUCUUGUUUUGUUUAUUUAUGUUUCUCUUCUUCAUUAUGUUUAGCUAAGUUUAUUAUGUUAAUGUGAAAAGGUUACACUAAUGGUGUAAGAAUAAAUAUAGUGUAAACUCAACAUGGAUCUUAAUGUUUAAUAUUAACAUGUCUUAUCUUUUUAUCUUACUAAUUCUUAAUACCUUGCUUGUUAAAUGGUUAAUCUAGAUUUGUGUUGUAUAAUAUUUGGUACAACAAAUGCUUGACACUCUCAUAGCCUAACAAUAUGGUAUUACAUACACCUGGGCUAUGAAAGGAACUUGAUUUGUUGUUAACAUCAAUUAACAUCAUGAAUUCAUGACAAUAUUUAAAAGUUUGGUGUUAUGUAAAUAAGAUAAUUAAUAUGAUCAUGUUAAUAAUUUAUAAUGAGUUAUUAAUGACAAAUCAUCUGAUUGGAACCUCCCUCGUGUGUGGUUUCCAAAUUGAAUAAUAAAAGUUUAUACUAUACUUGUUAAAAUACCAUUGGUGAAUUGGUGAAUCCUCUAACCUUGACAUUUAUUUUAUCAUUGUUUAAUCCUUACAUUAAUCUUUUUAUCUCAAAGUUCUCAUUAAUUUCUUUAUCUUCUUCUUUUAUUAUUAUUAUUAUUAUUAUUUAUAUUCUAUUUAUAUUAUAUAAUAUAUCUCUUUGAUCUUCUCAUAAACUCAGUAUAUAGGCUGGAAACCUGUGACCUGAUCUUUUAGAUCAUUCUCAAGUGUAACAACGCCACAUACUGAGUAUUAUUAUUAUUAUUACUAUUAUUGCUAUUAUUGUUAUUAUUAUUGUUAUUGUUGUUAUUAUUAUUGUUGUUGUUAUCUUGUUAUUUAUAAUUUAUACAAUUAACCUCUCUGUGGUUCGACCCCGGUCUUGCCGGGUUAUUUAUUACUUCGACACUCCUGCACUUGGAAGAAGAUAUCAAUCUUUUGGUCGUGUCAACAUGCCUUGUAGAAAAGAAGAUGCCACACAACUUCAGGGCCCCAACAUUUAGACUUUUGAUGGAACCAAAGCUAAAUUUAAAAACAGGACCAUCUGAGAAGCCGGCAGACAACAACAAGUCAAAGAUCCAAUUUCCAAAAAUAGACUAUGUAUCAUGUAGUUUAACAUCUCUAAGCAUAAUCUUUGCGAUAAUCAUCUAUCCUUGACGAUUCAUAUGUUUCAUCACAGUUCUCUGUCACCACUUCACAUGCACAUAUUCCCAAAAAAGAGAUAGCAUGGAAAAAUGUCUUUGCUUGUCGUAAAAAAUACAAAGGCUAAAACCUAACAUAGGGAAAAUAGAUUUGGAAAAAGGAAAGCAGAAACAAAGCAAGGCACUAACAAUUAGGAGGGGCAAAAACAUGAAUUCAGAAAAGGAAAAUACAUAUUGGCCUUCCAUGACCCAAUCCAUAUUGGGCAGCAAAUGAUAACCCCGCAUCGAUGUUUCCUCGUGUUGUGAAUUUCUUUUUUUAUGAUACAGAAACACAACCAAAUUAGCUCAAGGUCGAUUAUUGUAAAUUUUUAAGGUAGCGGAAUUACAGGAUAAAACAAACUUACCAAAAUGCUUGUCAUUUGGCGACAUCAUCUCCUCACUAGAGUAAUCAUCACGGAUGUGAAGACCAAUUAGAAGACUAUAAUCCAUAAUUCUCUUUGCUUCUAAGAAUUCACAGUCCCUAUAAAUUUGACUGAGAAAGAAAGAACAUAAAACAAACACAUGUUUACCUCUCAAGAUUAGUGCCUUACCAAAGAACAAGAUAAAGGAUGCAAAACUUGGAACAAAAUGAAAAAAAGUGCAAUGAUGUGGAAUCUAUCUAAUGAGUUCAUUAAACCAUGACCAUUCCAGGUCCUUAAGUGUGGUUGUUUCAUGAAUUUCACCCUCAAGCUUGUCAGUUUGGCGUCCAUGAGAAGGACCUUUCAUUAAGCAGACUUAAAGAUUAAUGCUUUAGUUUUCAAUCACAUUAAUAAUGUAUAUUUCAUUGUCUAAAACGGACUGGAAUAGAACAGGAAAAAGUUUGUAUCUGAUGAGAAUUAUAUAAAGUAUAUUUUGAAUUUUAUUUAUAAAUUGAAGUUUUUGAGUGAAAUAAUUUUUUUAUAUAUUAUCAAAGUUUUAUUAAUUAAGUGAUUAUAAAUUUAAAUUUUACAAUUUUUAUACUUAUACUAUGUAAUAAAAAUUAAACAUAAAACAUUAAAGUUACGUGAAAACCAAAAGCGGCAUGGGUUUUGACUAGUUUCUUUCAAGUACCAGGAAUAUUAUUUAUGAGAAAAAACAAAACCUAACGGAUCAUACCAAUAAACAGGCAUUCUAUCAUUGGUGGCGCAACAAAACUGAAAGGAAACCACACACUCAAUUUUAUCGCCUAACAAAUAAAUAAGAUCAACACCACAAUGUUGAUGAUAUAAAGAGACCAUCUGACACAAAAGAAAAAUCCAAAAACUUACAGAGAAUUCAAUCAUGGAUAUAAUAAGCUUGCUCAAAAGUAGUGUUUUUUGACAAAUGAAUCCCCCCUCCCAGGGCCCACCCAUUCCCAACCCACCAAAUGUAAUUGAAAAUUAAAAAAACUUAAUUCAAGGUUGAUUUCCGAGAUAAAAUAUUUAUUUAUUUUCCAUGGAUCCCUCAUUUUGUUUCAGUUUUCAGUUUUCAAUUUGUAUCCGUAUCUAAAACAUUUCUUCCCCAACCAACCACACAGACAUGCACAGAAAGAGGAACCAAAAAAUAUAUUGAAACAAAAUCUACACUCGUUCAACUCUGCCCGGACCCCCUCCCAAACCUGGCAUGCUUGUUAAGGUAAGUAUGACAUCCUAACCACACCCCCUAUGCUCUAAUUCCACAGCAGCAACCUUCUGCCCUUUCAUGCAUAAGUGCAAUCAAAAUAACAUGAAUGUUCGACACUUUGGCAUUUGUAUUCAUGUAAAUGUCUGCAUGAAUACCAUGUGUUCAAACUUCAACACAAAACUUCAUAUAAUAACAUAACUUAAAAACUCUUAGAUGCGAUCUUCGAGAACCCAAACCAAGUUCCUUAUGUUCUUCCUUAUUUAACUACGAGAUCAUCAGUAUGCUGAUGAAUUCAUGACACAACCUUGAGCAUUUGAGAUUCAAACCGAGUUGUAAAUUUGACAAGACAAACACGGACAACACUUUGACUUGCAUGGGUAUUUAAUUGUAUGUCUAGAACUUAGUCAUACAUCUUUCAGCUUCAAAGAAAUUGACCAAAGAGAUAAACUGACAUGCAGCUGUAAAAUGGUGAACUGCCACACAACCUCGCAUGUCCUUUUUUCCACAGCCUCGUACAAUAGAAAGAAUUGCAUUCACAUAGUAUUUAGGCUUUACUUAAUUAGCAAAACAGCAGUACACCUGGUAAGGAUAUGCAGAUAGGGAUUGUUCUGCCAUGGUAGAAAAAAAUGAGCCAAGAUACUUCCAAGAAAUAUACAAGGAAAUGGGCAACAGUGUGCACUCUGCAGAUAGGUAUUUUUCCAAGGAAAUAUAUUAUCCAGCACAUAAAGAUUAUAACUCAUAUCAUGAAAUCCAGAUAUAUGGGAAGAAAGAGCAAAGUAUAUGGUAAAAGAAAAAAACUUUAUAGUUGAGAUAUGACAGGAACAUACCUUCCAGAACUAUGAUAUCUGAGGAUCAGUUUCCUUGUAGCCAUUGUACUCAGUGUGUGCCUUCCAAUCUUCCACACAGAUAGCAUUUUCACUUCCAUAUAGCAUCCAAUCGAGAUCCUCAAGCUCUAAACUCUGGAAGAACAGCUUCUGUAGCCCAGAGUUUAAAAGAAUAUCAGCAAAACCACGUGCAAAUCUAGAUACUGGUUCAGAGAUAGAUGUGACAAAGCGAUGCUGAAUGAGAAGAUCAACAUAUUUCUCCCGAUUCUUGCUAUUUACAACAAUACUCUUCCCACCAGGGCAAAGUUCCACAACUUUCCUGGAUCCUAGUUCCUCAACUUCUCUAACGAAUGUCAGACUCAAAGCAUCUGAAUCAAUGAACUCAGGAUCCAUCUGCAGAAUCUGUUUGCAAUUGCUAUACAAGCAUGGAUCUGCAUCCCGUAUGUCUUCCAAAGUAAUAUGCAUCCCAGCCAAUUGCAAGAAAAAUGCCCGAUCAAAUACAAUGCCGACUUGCACUUUAUACAUCAAAGCUAAAGCCAUCACUCGACCAGAGAAUGUGAAAUACUCAGGGUGCCUGGGAUCCACCUUGGAUGCUGCACAUAAAAUGAAUACAAUGAAGUCCAUAUAUAUACUUUUGUUUGUUAGUGGUUAUCCAUGCCAACAAUUGAAUCCAAGCAAGAUGAUGCAACUUAAUUCAAGUCCAGAAACAGAAGACAAUAACAAACCUCAAUUAUGAUUCUUUGAAGAGGUAUUUCAGAAAUAACCAAUUGCAAUUUUAAUGCAGUGGAAGAAUUAGACAUGUUAAUCCCCAAAGGAACCAAUAACAUAUUAGUGAAACACGGAAUUCAGGUAACAGAGUUGGAGAAACAUGGGAAAUAUUCCUGUAUAAUAACCCUAGGGACUCAGGUACUUCACAAUAAAAUAUUUGUGACACACAAGGUUCAGGAAUUUUCCCUUAACAAACCUUUGCUAGUGAGCCUAUUGUACAGGAUGUAAUGCCCUUAUCCCACAUCCAUCAGGAACUCACAUGGUAAACAACUUUUCUACAUAUAAAUGUUAGAGAAAGAACACUAAGAGAAUGCAGUGAAUGAUCUCUCGUACAGUUAAAAUCCAAGCAAUAUUAGUGAAAUAUCUUUGAUUAAGGUCACUGAGAAGGUUCACCGCGUUAAGCCACCCAGUAUUACAUCAAGUGUAGGAAAACUGUCGAACUUCUAAAAAAUGUUAAUUCAAUCCUGACUAUGCCUAAAAUUGAAUAUUAAAUGUCACAUUCUCCAGAUUUAGGUGUAACACUUCCAGAUGUCCUCCCACUAACAUAUAUCAAAAUAAUGAAGAAUAAUAGUCCAAUGGUUGUAAGUGAUUGAGACAGCAUCGACACAUAUUAAUGUCAACUCAUAUAAACUGUUGGAGCUCUCCACCACCAUUUAGUGAAUGUUUACUUUCCAGUGUAAAUUAAAACAAAUACUCAGCCCACAAUCUGAAACAUUAGACACACGGCAAUGAAAACGUAUUGUUUACAUAGUCAGUAUUACCUGGGAAUAAAAAUUCAGUUGAGAAAAGAGAAAAUCCAACUUACAGAAUAAAACAUUCACGAACCUAAUUGCAACUGUUGUUCAAAAAAAAAAAAAUCCUACUCUCAGAAAAACAUGAACGGUUAAUUACAUGAAGUUUCACCCCAACCAAAAAUCAUUACUUCAAUCCUAAUUUCGACUUCCAAAAUUAAUUUGGGUGAAACAAUUCCAGAUGAGCUCAUCUCACCCACUAGCAACAUAAACUAAAUGACGUACAGGUGCUUCUUGAAUGGUUGUAGGUGAUGGAUACAGCAUCAUUACACAUUAAAUGUAAGUUCCUAUAGAUUACAGGAACUGCACAUUUUGUUCAUCUGAGUAAAUUUUUAUUAUCCAGUGAGAAUAUAAGCAACAAUGUUCCAAACUCUAUGCUAGAGUGACACAUUAGACACAAGGCAAUCCAAUAUAUUGUUUAACCAUUCGUAUCAUCAAAAACUAUAUUCAAUUGAGAAAAGAGAGAACCCUGUAGCAUUGUUCAUGUAAGGCAUUCAUGAUUAGGGUUUUCUCGUUUUGUUACCAGGAUUGGUAACCCUAUAUCCAAUCAAGAAAAGAGAAAACCCAAUAGCAUUCAGGCAGCAGAAACUUACCAGGAUUAGGAUAGAACCUUCUGCGAUCACUUGGGCAUGCCACAAAAAGAGCUUUUUGAGGAUCAAAUAGAGCUUGUGUAACCAAGAAAAACCACUCCCGCAAUACACCAGGACCAGUAGCUUCCUCAUUUUUAAAUUCCAGAAAUAGACCACCAUGCAGUGCAUCUGAGUCGGCAUGCACUAUGUACUCAAAUGACUCUGACAACAAUUGUGACCGAUCAAUGAGCAUCUCGUGAAGCUCCUCGUAAUCUUCUUUCACCUCAGGGAACAUCAUCAUAGCCAAAUGCCUCCUAGACUCAAAAUCAGUCACAUCCUUGUUCCGAAGAAGCCAUUGAUGAUCUUCAGUUCUUUUUGCAUAUCUAACAAUCAGCGCACACAAGGAAGCCUUUCUAAGUCUCAAAACUGUCCAAAACUUUUCCUCAGCACCCUUAUAGAGUUUAGCAAUGUUAUUCAACUCCUUCAAAAUAGCCAAAUAUUGAGACCACCUGUAUGAUUCAACUCACCCUCUCCAUUCAUUUUCAAAUUUGAAGAAUUCUGCAUUUUCCAAGACAUUUCUCCAUAAUAUUCAGCAAAUCCAAAAAUAUCACGUGAAGAUGCUCAAUCUCCUUCGCAUACAAUGGAUAAUUUAAUGCCCUCUUGUUCAACGGCAUCGAAAGCAGACCCCUACAUGCCCCUUGCUCUGAAAUCAUACUACACAACGGUGCCAAAAACGCUGAAAAAUCCUUCACAUCAGCUACUGAUGGCCCCACACUCCCCGCCACAAUCCCCAUGAAAUCUUUAAACAACUUACUCCCCAGCUCACUAACAAACGGAAAAAUCUCCUGCAUAACAACAACUCCCUUCCCCUCCUCCCCUCCUCGAUACCUCCACCCACACGCACCCCAAACAUUCUCCAACAAUGAACCAAGAUUAGUCCUACACACAAUAUACAAUGGAUCAUCACUCCCAACCUUCCUCAACAAAUUACAAAACUCAUCAAUCGGAACACACUGCAAAUGCAAAUUUUUGGCAACGAAAUCCUACAUGAAUUCAAAAAAUGCCUGAUCGCACCCUCCGCGCACUCCUUAUUCCCUUUAACACUCGAAACAUAGAGUGUAACCAACGCAGCUGGCGCACUAUUCGAUAAAAACACAUUCAAAUGUCCUAAAGCAUCCUCAUUAUCAUCCUUCGGUGUCAAGCUAAAGAACUCAUUCAUCAACUUUUUAUAUGCUUUGAAACACAUGGAUGAAAACCACACGGCAGAAUAGACUUACAAAUUCGACAAAUGUAGGAAACCAUAUCAUUGAUCAAUUGACAAGUACGGGGAUGCCUAGUGCUCCGCAUUCGGCCAACUAAAUGAAGAAUCGAAUCCUUCUCGAUAGAGUAAUCGGAGAGUUUGUUUUCGUAUUGCAAUUGCUUACCUUUGUAGAUUAGUCGUUGCUCGAUCACCGGAAUCCCGGUCAUCACGCGAAUCCGUUCAUGGAGUGAUUUGACGGAAUCAGUCAAAUUCGCGGUGAUCACAAUGUGAGUACCGUCGGAGAUCAUUCUGAUGAAGAAUUGGAGCCUCGAUUGAGACCGACGGGGAGGGGAGGGAGUGGAGGGAAAAUCGGUGGUUGAUGAUGAGGCGGAGGCGGAGGCGUCGGAGACACGUGUGGGGAGCUGAUUGGUGGAGGAGAUGGAGGGAGGUUGCUGCAGGUUAUGGCCGGUGGAUGACUCGGUGUCGUCUUCACGCAUCCUGAAGGAGAUUAAGUCAGAGAAAACGGCGUCGUGGUCAUCGACAUCGUCUAGUUUGCGUUUGGAGGAGCCGCGGUGAUCAACGGUGGAGGAGCGCUGUUGAGGGAGGGAAUCAACGGCGGGAGAUUGGGGAAGUGACAUUUGAUGAACGGUGGUGACUGUGUUCUCCCCGACCUGUAAGUUUUUAAGGUAGGGGAGAAGGCAUGAGAUCGUUGUCUUAGAGGAUGAGACGGUGUGGUUUUGAUAUACGGAGAGAGUAAACGGCGAGGGAAGGAUUGAACGGAAAUUGUGUCGUCUCAACUCGGUGGGGCUUUUUCUGUGUUUUUUUUUUAACAGCCGUCAUCAACGAAGAGACUGGUAAUCUUACGCUAGUAUUAUUAUCAUCAUCUAUAUUAUUGUGUGCGACGUUCUUGUGUGGCUAAUUACCACAGUAGCCUCGAGAGCGAUGGCUAGCUGUGGUUUAGCUCAUGGCGUUUCUGUUAGGUUAUAAUAUCAUUACUUGUUAAACCCGAUCUAAUAUAAUCUAAUUAAUAAGCUGAUUUAAAAUUUAACAAGAUAAUUUAUGAACCGGUCGGGUUAAUCUAAAAUUAAAUGAUUCUGGAAAGAUGCACACCUAGCUGCCUGUGUUUGGCAAGAAAAAUCAUCAUGUGCCCCUAGAAAAAAAAAAAAAGUAUAUAUAUAUAUAUAUAAAGAAAGUGAAGCUUUAUUUUUCUUGGAGAAAUAAAGUAAGUGGAACUUUUUGACCUACGUUUAGGUGCCUCGUCUGCUAUAUAAUUUGUGUUUUACACAAAGCGUCCACCUAAGCAAAUAUUGCUUUGCAUGGGAGUAAAGAGCAAUGGCGUCAAUCUCUCUUCCACGACAUAUUUCUCAAGAAUUAUAAAAGAUUAAAUAAAACAAAAUUAUGAUUAAUAAUCCGUGUAUAUAAUUGUUGUCGCACGUGUGCGGCGGCGCGACGAUCGUCCACCCUCAAAGAAAAACACGGAAUAUUUAUUCCUGGCAAAUAGGGAGAGAUAAGGAAUUCUUGUCUCUAUAUGUGAAAAUAUGGACUGGGAGUCGCCACCUAUUAUUCUGGUUACUAAGAACCUUAACUGGUCUUUAGAGAUCGGGUACGGAGACUGGUUGCGUAAAGGAAAGGUAUUAGCACCCCAACUACGCCCUACCUAAGGUAGGUUGCAUUGUUUUAAUGUCUGAUAAAAUCUAAAAUCAUGUUGUGGUUUUUGAAUUGUUGGUUCGUUUAGGGUUUAAGAAAAAUCCUCCUCCGUAAGGAGAUCCUUAUCUUUAUCGGGUAAAAAAACUAACUAUUCAAAGUCAUCAAAAGAAAAUAUCUUUUUAAUAUCAGGAAUACGAUUUACGUAUAAAUUCAUAAUCCUUGAUACUAAAAUCAAACAAAAUAAAAUAUUUUGUUGUUUUUGAGAUUUUGGCCAAUGUUCUCUUGACUUUAAUAAACUGGUUAUUAAAGCCAAAAUGCAUGCUAAAAUAUUGUUUUUUGACAUAUGAAAAAUACGAUAUGAUAUUUUAGAUUUGAGACACUUGGUCGUAUGCACAAAAAUAUUUUUUUAUUUUUUUUCAAUUUUUUUUAUUUUUGGAAGUUUUUGUCGAAAACCGGGUAUUUUAAUACCGGAUUUAUAUUUUUACGAUGUAAAAAUACUGCCCAAUAUUAAUCAAAAUGACAUAAAAACUACACGGAAAAAUUAUAAAAUGUUGAAGCAAAUAUUUUUUAUUUUUUUCUUUUUGAAUGUGUGAACAGUACCGUACGAAAAACCGGGUAUUUUAAUACCGAAUUUAUAUUUUUACGAUGUAAAAUACAGACCGAUAUUAAGCAAAAUUGAUAAUAUAUAUAUAUAUAUAUAUAUAUAUAUAUAUGCUGGGAAGUUGUAAAAAUAAUUCUGACAAAUUUUUUUUUUUUAAAACAUUUGAAAUGGGCCGGACCCGGCCCAUAUCAUUGGGCUGGGCCAAACCGGCCCAUUACCAAAUGGGCUGGUUAAUGUGCCUAAGCACAGUAACCAGCCUCCUUCAGCUGCAGAACGUGAAUUAAUUCACGUUCUGCAUGCAGACGAAAACAGGAGGAUAGCAAGCGGAGAAGGAGAUGGGGCGGUGAGAGAUUACCUGCGGUGGCGUUGCCGGUGGUGCUGCUGGCGGUGGAGGCACGGUGGCCGGCGUUGCUCUGUUUCUCUCUCUCUCUCUCCUCUGUUAUUUUUGCUCUUUUCUGCUUCUUCUUCUUUUUGGUUUUUCUUUCUUUCUUUUCCUUUCCUCUUCUCCUCUUUUCUGCUCUGUCCUCUCUCCUCUUCUCCCUCUCUUUUCUCUCCUUCUGUUCUUGGUUUUUUUCAAUCCCCAUCCCCUGUUUUUAUAGGCAAAAACAGGGGGGGGUGUCGGGUGUCGUGGUGGGGCGGCCACUGUCGGCCGCCCCCUCCACUACCGUUUCAAUGGAUAACAAUGUUAGGCAAUGGUGGGCGUCUUUUUGCGCCAAAAACGGGAAAGAAAGUAGGCGAAAAGGGAGAAGAAAAAUCUUCUUCUUCCCCUGCCUCGCGCGUCCAGGGGAAGAAGAAGAGCUACAGUGUCGUCAAAACGGCACCGUUUUGGGCUUCUGUUUUUUUUUUUUUUUCAACAGUGAAUGAAACGGCGCCGUUUUGGUCAAAACACGUCGUUUCAUUUAAAAGAAAAAGGCGCCAAAACGCGUCAGAUUUCAAAGAAGGCCCUCCAUUUGUGCGCGUUUUACAAUUUCGUCCUUGGUCUCGGAUUGCUUCAAUUUAGUCCCUAAUUGGCCAUUAAACUUCAAUAUUUUAUGCAAUUAAGCCCCUGAUUUGACCAAAUGAACUUCAAAAAUUAUAAUUUGACCCCAGAAAAUUAAUUUCUCUUAAUUAAAGCCCAAAUUAACUCCAAAAUCAAUUUUUUUGCAAUUAAAAUCUUCAUAAAUGCAAUUAAACCUUUAAUAAAAUUUAAUUGAGUCCAUAAACUUCUGAUUUUGCAUUUUUCUUCCUCAAAUUGAAUUUUCUUUAUCAUCGGGGCUCUCAUCAGUCAAUGAUAUACUGUCAAAAAUUAAUUUUUGAUAUUUAAACAUCCUCAAUCAAUUUUUGAACAUUUUUAGGGCGCUUUGGCAUUUUUUCACUGUUUUAUUUUUUGAUAAUAUAUUUUUUUUGAUUUUUUUGAAUUUUAUUAUUUUUAUGUGGGGAACCAGAAAUGGAUUACAACAAUUGUUAUAAGGGACAUGUUCACAAACAAAAAUAUGACUAUGUCAUGGGCUGGCGGGUCGAGUUAAAAAAAAAUUAAGAUGAAAGUUAAUUUAGUUAAAUUUGAGGCACCCAAAUAAAUUUAUAACUUAAAAUCUAGUUUGAUUUUUUUAAAAGUUUAUCUUUUUAAAAUAAUAUUAUCUUAGAUUUUUUUUAAAUUAAAUUAAAACAAUAUCAGAUUAACCCAUAUAUCUUAUAACCAUCAGAAAUAAAACAUGUUUAAUAACUUUAUUUAUAGAAACAGUAAAUCAUUGAAUUAUGAUACACUAACACUUUAAAUCUGUAAAUUUCAUUAUAUAUAGUUGAGAGGUAUAAAAAAAACCCAUUAAAAUUAACAGAAUUGGCUUGUUGCAAACCAUCUCCAAAGUAUAAGAGUUUAUCAUUGCUUUCUUAAAAUAUAAAUAAAUAAAUUAACUUAUGAAUGUGAGUUUAUCAUUGUGGUACUAAAAUUUAUAGUAGUAAUUAAAAGAUAAUAAGAAUAAGUAAAAAAUAUUUGUAUUUUUAGCCCUUAUAUUUCAAACUAAACCGGUAACCAUCCUAUUCUGCAGGCCAAUAAAAUUUUGAACAAAAAAAAAGAACUCGAUAUUGAGACCAUUAACUUAACUAUAUCUAAUAAGUUAGGUUAAUCUAAUAAUCUGAUUUAAAUUGAAGGCAACAAUAAAAAAGAAUGAUUAAAAGAAAAGGCAACCCCUACCAAAAGUCUUUAAAUUAAGUUAAUUUUUCAAACUAGAAUAUGUGAAAUUUCAAACUGAGGUUAAACAAUAAGCUUAAAUCCAAAUCAAUUAAAUGAUGAAGGAUGAAAUUGAAUAUUAAAAAAAAACUAAAAACUUUAGCGAAGCGAAAAACACAAGGACAAAAUCUAACAAGGAAAAAAAAUGAUCAAAAGUGAAAUCAUAAAAAAAGUUAAAAGUUACAUUAUAAAAAUGAUCAUAGAUGACAUAAAUAACAAUUAAGAAAUGAGACUAAAUAAGAUAAAUUUAAAAAAUUAAAUGAUGAUGAAAUUGAAAAAAAAAUACUUUUCAUGUGUUAUUUCAAAUAAAAACAAAUAUCAACCAAAAUAUCAGGAACUAAAUAACAAAUAAACAAAAGUAAAAAAAAUCAAAUGAUGAUAAAAUUGAAACAAAUCUUGAUUUUCAUAAGUUAUUUGAAAUAAAAUAAAUAUUAAUAAAACAAUUAGGGAUAAAAUAAAAAAAUAAAGAGAAGCCAAGAGGCUAAUUUGAAAUUUGCGGGGCAUGAUGCAAUAAUAGAUGAACGGAGAGGGAAAAAAGAAGAAGAAAAAAUAGCCACUGAAGUCAAACCGAAGCUCUAUUUUCUACACGCGUCGUUUCUACAUAAGAAAGACACCAAGACAAAUCUAAUGACGCUUAGAAUGGUAUUUUUGGUUGCUAAAAUCAUCUGCACGCACCAUCCGAAGAUAGUGGAGCGUCUGGCGUUUACCCAUCACACACCAUCUUUUUUAAAAAAAAAAUCCUUUUAAUUUUUCAAAAGACAAAAAUAACCUUCACUUUACCUGAUAACAACAAAAAAGCCAAUAUGAUAAUAACCAAAAUACCCUCAAAUACAAGGUAUGAAAAAUUAAAACCCAAGGGUAAGGAGGUAUUCUACAAAAACAAAUUUUCUAGUCGGCCAAAAUAUUUUUAUAUAUAAAGUUAAAUUGAUUAUUUUAUUAUACACUUUAAAAAUAAGAAUACAAAUUUACCUCUCAAUGACACAAAACAAGGAAUUAAUUUUAAGGAUAUUUAUAAUAAUUUAUUGUGUAAUUUUAAAAUAAAUACCUUUUUUACCCUAAUCAAUUUACAAAUAUCAAAAUGAUCUAUUAAAAAGACAACCAUUCUCUAGCUAAAAAGAUUUUUAUAAAGAUAAAAUAGUAAAUUUAAUUUUCCUAUCCACAAUAAAAAAAAAAUGAAUAGGAAACAAUGAAUCCACAGUAUUUUUAUUUUUUUUUGUUUUAUAAUGUGCGAAAGGAAAUGGUUCUUCAUGGAAUUUGCUAAGCUACUUCCAAGUUGCUUCCUCUUUCCAUUAAAAUCCAUGAUAUAAUAUAAAAGAUUCUCUUGUCAUUCUUUGCUUCCUAACUUUUCCCCCACCAGUAAUCACACAAGUCAUAAAAAGCUUGAAAAGUACAGGCUAGGGCUACUAAUCUAUGCAGUUAUCUCAACAUUUUCCCUCCCUAUAUUUGAUAUUCUCAAAUCCAUGAUAGAACAUAAAAGAUUAUGCCAAUGCAUGCACAUGCUAAUUACUUAGCUUAAUUAUGCAAAAUGCUCAUUAAUGUACUUUUUGUCGUAAACAUCAAAAUAGUAUUAUAGUCUUCAAACACUAAUCUUAACCUCAAUCCUCCUGUAAAUGCCAAUCUUAGACACCAUUUGAUUCUGCGUUUGGUUAAAUUUUUUAAAAAAAAAAAUUUAAAAUUGAGUACGGUUUGUAUUUUUUGGAUCGUUUUGAUGUGCUGAUGUCAAAAAUAAUUUUUAAAAAAUAAAAAAACAUCAUUGACAGGUAUUUUGACAUGAAAAACUAUUUGAAAAGCAACCAAUAUCACACUGAUAAACACGCUUUUAGUCAAAGUGAACUUUAAGUGUUUUGCUGUAAUCGAGGAAGUUUUCGUGAAUUGGUCCCUACAUCUAUCCGUAUACACACUUAGCCCUAGCCCAUAAAAUAGAGAUAUACACUGGCCCAUGAAAUAACAUAACAUGCUUGCGUCCAAACAGUCAAACUCCCUUUUCCUUUCUUCUUUCCUUGUCACACAAGGAUUGGGUAUAUAUUGUUACCACGAGGUUCUUUAAUCAAUCCAAGAAGUAGCCGGCUGGGGGAUUUUUAGUCCUUCACGAGUUGCUUUAGGGUUUCUUGAUUGUUGAAGCGUUUUGUGGUCAGUGUUGUUGCAUUUAGUUAGAGAUUUACACAGAAAUAGAUGGUUGGCUUUGUUUUCAGGGUUUUGUCCAAAUGGGGUCUAAACUACCACCACUAAGUUUUUUAAUCAAUCCAAGAAGUCGCCAUUCGAGGAAUCUUUAGUUCUUCAAGAGUUCCUUCAGGAUUUUUAUUAUUUUUUAAGCACUUAGUGGUAAGUCUUACAGCAUUUUUCUUGUAGUAACAGUUUGGUUCUUAUAGUGGGCCAUGGAAAGGUACAGGUUAAUUAAAGAAUUUGGGGGAGGGAACCUAGUGUCCUGAAGGCGAUUAAUAAGAAGUUGUUGCCAUUAAGCAGAUAUGGCGCCGUUUGGUAACUUAGGUUCACCCGCAGCCACACAUAAUUCUGUUUGGUAAGUAAAAUAUUCUGCUUUUUAUUGGUAGGGCCCACGAAAAGUUGAAUUAAAACCGGAGAAGCAACAUUAUGCUGCUUCUCCUGAUUUUAGAAAGCUGGAACAGUGGAGCCAUGCUCCUCUGUACAGUGCGAGUGCAUCAGUUUAGGUUUUUUUUUUUUUUUUUUUUUUCCUGAAAAACCAGAUAAAAUUACAUGAUUUCACUCGUAUUAUUCAUGUGAACGUGAACAAUAUUUUUUUUCAUUUUUUUUUAAAUCAUGAAAACUGUAGUUUUUGUCGAAUGAAUUUUGUACGUAAUGAAAUUGUAAAUUUUUUUUUUAAAAAAUGAGUUUUAGUUGAAAAAAUAGUAUUUAAUAUUAUUUAAUAACACUACAUAAAUUAGAAGGAUAUAGCAUGAUGACGUAGCAUUUGUGAAAUUUGAUCACAAUUCCAAUUAUGUUCUUGCCGUGUCCGACCCAAUUAAAAAAAAUUAAUUUUUAUUUGUAUUUUAAUUGUGUUUUAUUCAAAAAAUUAGAAGGAUAUCACUUGAUGACGUAACAAAAAAUUUAGUUUUUGUUGUUGCGUGUUUAAGAAACCAUGAAAAAUAUAGUUAUUGUUGGAUAGAUUUCGUAUUCAAUGACAUUGCAUAUAGUUUAAUAGAAUAAUAAAAAAUAUUUAAUAUCAAUAUUAUUUAUUUCAUGAUGUAAUAAUAGUAGUUAAAUCUACAAUAUUUAAAUUAAAAGUAUUUUUUAAUUAUUUUAUAACCUCAAUUUGAAAAGCAUUUUUUUAACCAAACACAUUAAACUACUUUUUGUUCAACCUCAAUUUCAACCACAGUUUUAACCAAACAUAUAUUUUUUCAAAUUAACCUCAACUAAAAGUACUUUUUAUAAAAUAACUUUUUUAAAACCACAACCACAACAGCAACCGCAAUACCAAACACACCCGAAGAAACGAUAUGAUUCGUGGGAAGAAUGUUUGAGUUUGAGAGAAUUGAAGUCCUUGCAGAAUUUGCAUCAUCCAAACAUUGUGAUGCUUAAGGAGCUUGUCGCCAAAACAGCACUACAAGAUUUCACAGUUUUACCGACGGCCAUAUUCCAUUGGUGUUUGAUUGAGAGUUCGUCGGUAAAUUAUUUAUCGACUAAAUUCCCGACGGAAUACGCCCGUCGGAUUACCUUUUGUUGGUGAUUCCACAUUCCAUCACUAUAUCGGUCGGAAAAAAAACAAAAACACGUACCGACGGUUUUACAAACGGAAAGUGCGCGCCAAAAAAAAAUUUCCCGUUUGAAACAUACAGACGGAAAAUACUCCGUCGGUGAUAUUGUUAUUACCGACGGAAAAAAUCCAUCGGUACAUUGGUCGGUGUGUGUUUGAGAUACCGACUGAAUAUAUCCGUCUGUAAAUUCGUCGGUGCGUUUCAAAUUCCGACGGAUUAAAUCCGUCGGUAACUCUGUCGGUGAGUGUAUGGAAUACCAACCGAAUUUAUCCGUCUGAAUAUUCGUCGGUGAUGUCCAAUGCCGACGGAGUUAUUCCGUCAGUAAAUCCCUAUGUAAUUGUUUUUUUUUAAAUUAUUUAAAAUACAUAAUAUAAAAUGAUAUAAAUUAAUGGUAAUACAAACCAAUUAUGCAAAUAAAAUUCAUAUUAAGCAUCAAAAAUAAAAAAUCAAAGUUAAAUAAUAUUCAUUACAAAAUGAAUGUGUUUCAAAAACACAUUAAACGAAAUUUUAAAUGUAAAUAAUGUUUAUUAAAAAUUAAUAUAAAGGUGGUGGAGGAGGAGGAGGAGGCUGGGGGUUAGACGGCCAAAAAGGAUUAGGUGCACAUGUUCCACCUUGUGCCAUGUUCAUGACCAUUUGACGAAGCUCUUCAUAGGCCGCUCUUUGUUGUUCAGACUCUGCUAUGUGUUGUUCUUUGAGUUGUUCGUACGCCACUCUUUGCUGUUCUUUGAGUUGUGUGUACGCCUCUGAUAGGUGGUCGCACUUUUGCUGCAAGGCCACGAACUCCUUAGAUUGGGAGCUCGAUACUGAUUGGGAGCUCCCGACGGUUGAAGCAGUAUCGGCCAACCGCAAGUUGGCGGCCGUAGUGUUGGAGAGCCCGUAAACCCGAUUUUUAUCGGGUCCACCUGACGAUCCAGCCUCCAUCCACAAAUCCGGAUCGAAUUCCGGAUGGGUCGAAGGAUCGUCCCCGUAUCUCUCCCUCAACCGAUUAUUAUAGGUCUCCUGAAAAAAAAAAAGUAAUCAUCAUAUUCAAUUCAAUAAACAUAAUAAUAACUUACAAAAUAAAAUGGUUGAACAAACAUACCACAAACUGUUGAGCACGGUUGUCAACGAACUGUUGCGUCCCCUUUUGGCGGUCUUGACUCCGCACGUGCGUCUCCACAAACAGCUCCAUAGGGCUCAGCUCACGUCCAAGAGACGUAGCCUAUAAUGAAAAAAAAUUUAUUAACAACAAAUUAAUUGAACGAUAUAUUUCAUUUAAAUUAAUCUUACCAUCUGUUUCGCAUGUGCAGCAAACGGAACGGAGCCGCCGGUGUGCGUUGUGACCGAGCCAUGAAUUGGCCGAUUCCGGUUGCCAGCACCGGACUGUGAGCAUCGUGUGAACCGCUCAGACGUCAUGCUGAAGAUAGUGCGGCCAUAUAUCUUCCGGGAUGUAUAUCGGUUUGAAAUCCCUCCAAACCGCAACAUCGUUCCAGCCUUGGAACCCCUUAUCCCUCGCUUUUUUUUUGCCUUUUUUUGGGUUUCGUACCAAAAAUCACGCAACCUAAUUCACACAAGCAAAAAUUACAUUUCGAAACAUAAAUUUUUAUGUAAAAAAAAAGUUGUAUUGUUUUCGAUGUUACCUAAUUGCCGCGUGAUUUUCCCACACCCUCCUCACAACAGUGUUAUGUUCAUCGUCCCAGCAGAAUCGAUGCUGUGUAUAAAAAAUUAUUUUUUAAAAUGUUAAUAAUUUAUUUACAAUUAUAUGUAGAAUUUAUUAGAAAUAAGCUGAAAAUUAUAUAUUAACACGAACCUCAAAUCUGCGAAACCAUGCAUUGAUUUGAGGCAUCCAUUCAGGAUGCCUGGAUAUCUGACUCCAUUGAAACAAUGGAAUCUCCUCGACGCUUUAAACGCCGAUGAUAUUACUCGGGCGGCCUCAAUGUUUGUGAACCUGAAAAGAAAUGAAAUUAAUGAAAUAGUGAUUACUUCAUAAAUUAUGUUUUAAAUUUAUUUUUUUAAAAAAAAAAAAAAAACUAAAACCUUAACAAACUUACAUUGAAAGAUCUUCCUUCCACUGUGCCUCGUACUUGCGGGUAAAUUGAUUCCGCUGCGAAGGCACGCAGCUUCUGCGAUGUGAAACAUCACUGGAAGAGGCAACAUCGGUUGACGACCCAAGUGGUGUAGGUGCCUCUUCUUGAGAGGCACCUAAGGAAAUAUCAGCAUCGCUGCUAGACGAACUUGAUUCGACUGGACGUGUAGCUUUGGUUUUCAUUAUGCGCAUCUAAACAAUUUUAUAUAAAUAAUUAUAUAAUAAAUUCAAAAGUUAAAAAAAAUCGGCAGCACCUCCCCUAUACUGGAUACUACCCAAAUCCACAAACCUGCAAAUAUUAACAAUAGCCACAACCAAUUGACCCAAUCUAUACUAAUUAUUCCAACAUAUUCAAUUACUAAUCCUAAGAUAAAUUCAACAUUAACAAUUACAAUUCAACAAAUUAUUCAAUAAUUAUGUCAAUACAACAAAACUAUAAAUUCAAAAUAAAUAGAAACAAUUAAACACAAAUCAUCAAGUUAGAGUAAAAUUAAUAAUUCUUCCAACAUAUUCAAUUACUAAAUCUAAGAUAAAUUCAACAUUAACAAUAUUAAUUCAACAAAUUAUUAAAUAAUUAUGGCAAUACAACAAUAAAAUAUAUUCAAUAAAUUAAAUAUAAACUAACAAUUAAACAUAUGCAAUUACUAAUCAACAAAUGCAAUUACUAAUUUAAGGUAAAUUCAACAUUAACAAUAUUAAUUCAACAAAUUAAUCAAUAAUUAUAUUGGCAAUACAACAAAUUAAAAAAAUAUAUAGACUAACAAUUAAAAUCAAUGGAAAUAAUUAAACACAAAUCAUGAAAUAAUAGAGUAAAAUUACUAAUUAUUCUAACAUAGUCAAUUACUAAUUCUAAGUUAAAUUCAACUUUAACAAAAAAUAUUCAACAAAUUAACUAUUAACAAUUAUGACAACACAUCAAUGAAAAAAAUUCAAAAAAUUCAAAAAAAAAAACCUACAUCAAGAAAAGGAACGAAAUAUACGUACCUUAAUAAUGUGUCAAUUCAAAACUUUAUCUACAUUAUAAAAAAAUACACCAAAACAACAAAAUAACAAAAAUAAAAACAACUAAAAAUAAAAUAAAAUAAAAUAGAAAAAACCACAUACCUUUAUUCAAAUCUUGCAAGAGAUUCAAGGUGAAAGCCUUGAAGGAUUGAGAGCAAAAAACUGAAAAUUAUAGGGCAACGAAGGAGAAGAAAAACAGAGGAGAAAAAAAAAUGAGGCGAAGCGGCGGGCGCUGAAAGUUAUAGGUUAUAUGGCAGAUUUACCGACGGAUUUACCAACGGAUAUUAAAAAAAUAUUAUUAAUUUUUUAAAUCCGUCGGAAACAGGUCAAAAGUCUGUCAGUGAUUCCGUCGGUAAUAUGACACGGUCAGCGGUGCAUUCAAUUCACACACUUUGGAAAUCGCACGGGCCGUCGGUAUUUCUAUCGGUAAUAUUUGAGACCGACAAAUUACCGACGGACGUAUUCUGUCGGUAUUGGCGUCGAAAACUCUGUCGGUGUGUCCGUCAGUGAUUGUGGUAUUUUGUUGUAAUUAUUUUCGAACUCUCUGUGAGAUACCGACGGAUGGAGGUCCAUCAGUGUUGCUGUCGGUGAUUGUGGUAUUUUGUUGUAAUUAUUUUCGAACUCUCUCUGUGAGAUACCGACGGAUGGAGGUCCGUCGGUGUUGCUGUUGGUGAUUGUGGCAUUUUGUUGUAAUUAUUUUCGAACUCUCUGUGAGAUGCCGACUUAAUAUAAUCUGUCGGUGUAAGUGUCGGUGAAUCCGUCAGUGAUGGCGUCGGUGAUUGUGGCAUUUCGCAUAAUUAAUUUUGAACUCUCUAUGAGAUGCCGACGGAUGUUUAUCCGUCGGUAUGGACAUCGGUAAGUUUGCAUUUUGCAGGAAAGGUUGUAUUUGUAUUGCCUAUUUACUUUCCUGCAAAAACUUAACUGAUAAACUGUCCAUCGCAUAAAACAAUAACAACAUUGCUUAAACAACAAAUAUUUUGUUUUACAAAAUACAUCAUCCAUCAUCUAAAUUACAUGAGAAAAAUGGUUUUACAUAGGGCUUCAUUUUGAUAGUUAGUCGGAAUUUUCUUCUUCUUCCUCAUCAAUUGAAUUGUCAUCAUCUUCAUCGCAAUCUUCAAUAUGGAUAUCAUCUUCUUCAUCGACAUUUGCUUGUUCGCUAGAGCUCAGAACAACAUUCAACUCCUCUCCGUCAUUAUCAACAAGACUAUCAUUGAGAACUCAAAAAUUUGAAUUUUCUUCCAAUUCAAUCGAAUGAGCAACUCGAUAUGGUUCAACCAACUCACGAACUUGAAAGACUUCAUCUCGCACACUUGUGUCUUCGUUCUCAUCCUGAACAACCUCGACACGACCCCGUGGUUUCGUUUUUAAAACGGACAACCAAUCAACUCUUGACGAUCCUUUCUAAAUGAAGGGGUGUAUGUGUAAUAAACUUGUUGACAUUGCUUUGCGAAAACAAAGACAUCAUUUAUGUUGCGGAGUCUAGCUUUUGAGUUGAUUUUGACCAGACCAUGGUGCGGAUCAACUCUGAUUCCUCUAUCCGUUGUGUCAUACCAAUAGCAUUUGAAUAAAAACACUUUAUUCUGCUCGCUAUGAUAUUGCAGUUCGACGACCUCUUCUAAUCUACCAUAGUAGUCAACUUCUAACUGGCUACUUGUGGAUCCCUUAACACAAACACCGCAGUUGUAUGUCUUUCUUCCUUGCCCGUAUUCUUCAGUAUGGAAAACAUAUCCAUUGACAAAAUACCCGUUGUAGCACUUAACUUUUCUUUCAGGGCCGAGGCUUAGUGAAGACAAUGACUUGGGCGCACUCCUUCCCAUUUGAUAAACCUUGUAAAUAUAUGUAAUUAAAUGUACAAUAAACACGGUAAAUGAACGAGAAUCUCGUAAUGACAUGCAUACGCAUACGUUAGAAUGAGUUUGUGAUAGUGCUUACAUGUGUUCUGAACCAUGUGGCAAAUUGUUCAUCUUGUAAUUGAAAGAUCUGGGAUUCGGUCAGCUGCGAGUUAUUGGAGAGCAAAUAUUGUCGAUGUUGCCUGCAAGUGAUAAUGAGUGUAUGAUAUUACAAUAUAUAAUUAACAGUAUAUUACUGACAAAGUUUAAUUAGUAUUACACAUAUAUAGACUUACUGAAUAAAUGGUCUCAGCUCAUCACAGUUAAAUAGAACAUAGUUGUGUGCUUGUUUGAAUUCUAUUUCCGACAAAUAUCUUCCUCUUACGGCAUUUUUAGGUGUGGGUCGUCCAGUAUUGGAGAAUAUUGACAAGUUCCCACUGGAAGGCACUUCACCGCCAUCGUCAUGCCGUGGAACGCGAUUGAUUCUUGUUCUCAGAUGAGGUUCGAAAUAGUACGAGAUAAAUGUUGAUAUCUCUUCAACAAUAUAGGCCUCAGAUAUCGAAGCCUCAACAUGCGCCUUGUUCUUAACCUUUUUUUUUAGAUUAAACAAGUACCUGCAUUGAAGUACAAUUCAAGUAUUUUCAAUUAAGAAAAACAUAGAAAAUACUUUAAGAUAUGAAUUCCAUUGCAACUGUAAUAUCUCACCGUUCGAAUGGGUACAUCCAUCUAUACUGGACCGGUCCUCCAGCUUUUGCCUCGAACGGUAGAUGUAUAGGGAGAUGCUCCAUUGAGUCAAAAAAUGAAGGAGGGAAUAUCAUCUCAAGUUUGCAUAGUGUCUCGAUGAUAUUCGUUUGAAGCAUCUCAAUGUGCUCAACAUUCACUUGCUGGAGCAUAUAUCUCUGAAGAAAUGACUGAUCUCCGUUAGUGCAUCCCAUAUUCCCUUUGGCAACAAAUCACGAAAAGCUAAUGGGAUGAGUGUUUGCAUAAACACGUGGCAGUCAUGACUCUUCAUUCCAUACAAUCUGCAGUCCUCUAUGUUAACAAGCCUUGAUAUGUUCGAUGCAUGUCCAUCCGGGAAACGCAGACUCUUAAGCCAUUUGUAGACUAGCAGUUGUGCGUUUUUCUCUAACACGAAGCUUGCCCUUGGUUUUGCAACCCGUGACUCUCAUAAACCAACUCCAUAUUUUUACGGUUACAGUAUAAAGCUAUAUCCAAUCUAGCCUUCAUGUUGUCCUUUGUCUUCCCCUUCACAUCCAUGACGGUGUUGAAAAUAUUCUCAAACACGUUCUUUUCGAUGUGCAUGACGUCAAGGUUAUGGCGGAGAAGAUUAGUCUUCCAAUACGGAAGCUCCCAAAAGAUACUUCGCUUUACCCAAUUAUGGGUCAAACCAAAACCAGGAAACUUUUGCUUACCUGAUUGAAGGCCAAACACAAUGUCACCGUACUCUGAUACAACAUGAUGCAAUUCUUCACUAGAAAGACGCGGGGAUGCAACAUCUUUUUCAACUCUACAAAGAAAUCUUUUAUGUUCUUUCUGAACCUGUGAUUAAGUGGCAAGAAGCGACGGUGACAGUCAAAAAAAGAAGUUUUACCUUCGUUUGCUAGCGUGAAUGCCUUGUUGUUUUCCAUGCAGUAUGGACAUGCGAGUUUCUCAUGCGUGCUCCAACCAGAAAGCAUUCCAUAAGCUGGAAAAUCACUGAUAGUCCACAUCAAAGCCGCCCUCAUAAGGAAAUUUUGUUUCCUCGAUAUAUCAUAAGUCAGAGAUCCGGAGGACCACAACUGCGCCAGCUCAUCUAUCAACGGUCGAAGACAAACAUCUAUAUUCCGCCCCGGGCUGCUUGGACCGGGUAUGAUAGUAGAUAGAAACAUGAACUCCGGCCUCAUACACAUUCCCGGUGGCAAGUUAUAAACUGUGAGAAUGACCGGCCAACAAGAAUAGGGAGCAGCAAAUGACCCAAAUGGGUUGAACCCGUCUGUACACAACCCAAGUCGAACAUUCCUUGAUUCAGCAGAAAAGUCAGGAUGAACACUGUUAAAGCGUUUCCACGCUUCGCCGUCAGAAGGAUGCACCAUCACACCAUCAACGCAUCGUGUGUUUGGUGCCAUGUCAUGUGCUCAGCAGUCCUUGGUGACAUAAAUAACCUCUGCAGUCUAGGUGUGAUCGGGAAAUAUCUAAGUUUUUUAUAUGCCACUAGAGUCUUCCCCUGCCAGUUCUGGGUUUGUAACGGGAAUGCCCGCAUGUCAUGCACUCGGUCAUCUCAGCAUUUUCAAGGUAGUAUAACAUAGAAGUUAGGGCACAUGUCAAUUUUCUGGUAUCCUAAACCGAGGGGUUUCAUCAUGGACUUCGCAGCAUAGAAGUUCUCUUUGAGCCUGUUCCCUUCAGGUAAAAUGCUUCUUGCCCAAUCAAUAAUUUUGUCAUACCCGGCCUCACUCAACCCGUGAUCUGACUUGAUGGUGAACACCUGUGCCACCGAUAAUUUACUGUGGUUUGUGCAGCCAUCCCAUAAUGGUUCGUCAGAAUCUUUCAACAAAUCAAAAAACCUAGCUGCAUUUGCAUUAGGUUCUUCUUCUAUGAUUGGACAUUGAUUGACAUUACCUUGAUUCAUUCUCAUUGCAACCAUAACCAUGUUUCUGUAAGGAUUAGUGUUGUCAUUUACCGCUUCAUGCACGUUGCUAGCACUAGAAGUUGACCCAACCACCGUUUCUCCCAUUCUCCUAUUACUAACAAAUACCUCUCCAUGUGCAUACCAACACUCGUAAUCCUCCACAAACCCUUUGUGUAGAAGAUGCAUCAUUACAACAUCUGGAUGCAGAUACUUUUUAUUUUGACAAUUCUUGCAUGGACACCUAAUACCGCCUCCAGUAAAAUUUCUAGGAAUAGAUGUUGAGAAAUUAAUAAAACCCUGAACCCCGUUACAAUAAUCCAUCCUCCGCAAUCCUUGGGGUGAAUCUAGAUACAUCCAUGAACGAUCAUCCAUGACUUCUAUCGAACCUCUAUAAAAUUAUGAUGACAUCAUGUAUAUAUUAAUUAACUAAGUUAGGUAAAUAAACUUGUAACAACUUCUCAUAAAUAUUAAUAUUCAUUAUCAUUUAUCAACGUUCAUACAAAAUAAUAUAUAUAUAUAUAUAUAAAUUAACAGAAAUUACCACUCUGCAAUACCAUAUAUAAAACUUUAAAAGGACCCAUUAAGCAAGCUAUUAAUUAUUUCAAAACAUAAUAUAUAAUUCGGUAAUUCCACAAAGUUUUAACAAUUUACAAACAAAUACAAUCUUACAAAAUCUAAAACAAACCACAACAGGUAUAAAAUUAUACAUUCAUAUACUAGCUACAAGUUUGUUUGAGAAAUAACAAUAAAACAUGUACAUCUACUAAUAAAAAUACAUAUACUAAAAAAACAAUAAAAUUGACAUUUAAAUGUUAAAAUUUUAAAAAGAUAGAAUUACUUACAAAAAUUGAUAAAAUCCGUCGGUAAAUUAGAACACGGAUGCUGUGACCACAAAACUUCAAGAAAUACAACUUGUUGUGCUGAGAUGAGGAAGAUUUUUGUUUAGGGGCGAGGAAGGGGCUGGUUAUUUACAGAUGGGGAGACUUAGGAUUAGGAAUAAGAAGGAGAAAUGAGGGAGGAGAGUGUCGGUAGAGUGACCAUAUAUUCACUUUUACCGAUGGAAUCAUCGAUGGCAUAACAUCGUCGGUGACUCCGUCGGUAAUUCUAACGGUAAAUAGGCACGUCACCGUACGAACCUGCUUUUCAAAUCCCUCGGUGAUUCCGUCGGUAUUUUUUACGGUGCACCAGUCACGUCACCCGUACAGAUCUGGCAUUUCAAAUCCGUCGGUGAUUCCAUCGGUAUUGUUGACGGUGAAUCGGUCCGAUCACACGUACGGGUCCCCAGUUUUGAAUCCGUCGGUGAUUCUGUCGGAAAAAUCAUCCGCGCCAGCUACCCGCCCUUUUUUCAUUAAUUCUGAACUUUCCGUCCGUCGGUGAUUUCGACCGCAAAAUAUCGACAGAAAUAUUCCAUCGGUGAUUCCAUUGGUAUUUAGCGAAUUUCUAGUAAUGUAGUAUUAAAAAUUUAAGAUUAUCAAAUAAUUAAACUUUUUAUCCAAACCAAUAAAUUUUAUGUGUCUAUUUUAAAAUUUGGUUUUAAAAAGAAAAUCGAAAUGACAUAACAAACAAUACCUAUAAAUCUUUUAUAUUACAGAUUAACAUAACCAGUGCACCCAUUUAUCAUUCUUAAGGUCAAUAUUUAGAAAUAAAUAAAUAAAAGUUACGUAACAAUAUUUAAUUUAAGUAACCUCAAAGACUACUAAUUUAGCUUUUGAUAUUAAAAGGGCGUAUGUCUUUACUCUCUGUCUAAUUGAUGAGGCAAAUAUCAGGUCUUCUAUCACCGCUACUCCCUGCUAACUCUUUGCCUCAUAUCUUAAGUUAUAUCUAUCAAGUUUGCUUAACUUAAGAUGGAAUAUUUAUGACUUUAUAUGUAUUAAAUCCAUAUAAUUGUUUUGACCUAUCAUGAUAAACAUGACGUCAUCAUAUUAUAAAACCAAAAUUCAAUGGUGUAUCUAAUUAUCAAAAAGGUAUAAAUAUUGCUAGGAAGUUAAACGUGUGGACCACCCCAAUUAUGAAGCUUGGAAGAAGAUGCCUAGAAAAUGUAAACACGUGAAUAUUGGAAACAAUUACAUCCUUUCCUUUUUAAUUUUUUUUUAAUUUUUUUAAAUUUUUUUAAUAAAAAAAUAAUAAUAAAUAUGUGAUUAAUUAAGAGCAGGUGAUUGCUUUUGUUUUUAGUUGUUUUUUCAAAAAAGAUAAAUAGAUUUUUUUAAUGUUUUUUUUAAUUUUAAUGUAUUAGUAUUAAAAAUAAAAUAAAUAAAUAAAUCAUGUAGUCUAUUUCUAAAUCAAUAUGAUUUUGAAGGUAAAGAAAAAAAAUCAAUUAAAAAAAAAAACAUAUUCGAUCAGUGGGUAAACCUGUCAAACCUGUGAAUCAAGUAACUUGAGCUAACACAUCAAACUCAUAAACAAGGUUAUGGAUUCCAAUAGGAUUAUAUUUUUUUUUUAAAAAAUUUAUUAUUUAACAAUAUGAUAAUAAAAAUAGAUAAUUAUAAAAUUAAACACCAGCCCAAUAAUAAUAUAUAUAUUUUUAGACCGCGAUAACAUCAUACAAAGAAAAAUAAAACCAAUUAUGAAACUAAAUUCUAAACCAACCCAAAUAUGAAAUAGAAAAAAUUUUAAAAAAUUGAUAACCAAAAAAAGGAAAGGAAAAGAAAAAAAAAGAGAAGAAAAAGCAAAACACUAUAAAUUAUUACUGUAAUCUAUAAUAAAAUGGGUGUGGGUGAAUAGCUAUUCUCCAACACCGUUUAGCUUUUUUAAAAAAAUUAAUAAGCAAAAAAAAUACUUCAUUAAACCAAUAAACUAGUAUAAAACAUGUUAACUUUAUAAAAAAAUAAAAUAAAAAUAAAUAAAUUAUAAAGUUAAAUUUUAAAUCAUCCAAUGUGAAAUAAACAAAAACAAAUUUUAAAAAAUAAAAUAAAUAAAAUAAAACACAUUGGAUUACUUAUUAUAAUUUACAAUGAAAUGGGUGUGAAUACGUCUCUUAACUAUUUGUGAGCUUCUUAUUCGUUCUUAGUUUUUCUUGUUUUUUUUUUCUCUGGUGGAAUUCCCACACGUCUUCUUUAUGGGCAGCCCCAUUUUUAAACCCGCUUUUUCAUCACGUUCCCGUGUCCCACACGUUUUCAUCAAAAACCUAAAUUUUAGGACUUCUUUGGCAGCCAUCUAAAAAUAUAUAAAAAUAAUAUUUUUAUCUUUUAAAAAUUAUUUUUACCAUCACUACAUUAAAAUAAUUUAAAAAUAUAAAAAAAUUUAUUUAAAAAAAAUCAAAAUUUUUAAAAACACAAGCAUUCCCAAACAAGGUAACGCGUCAAGAAUCACAACAAUAUGACAUGUUAGUGGAAAGUUGUGAUUAGAAAACAUGACUACUUUUAGAGUGAUUUUGACCGCGUAGCACGAAAUGUGCAUGCUUUAGUUUUUUUUGUCAAAAAAAUCAUCAUCAGAGACUAUUUUAUAUACCGGGGAGCUUGUUUUGAACGCGAUAGUAAUGAUAUUUUAAAGUAUGUUUUAUCUAAAAAUAUAUAAAAUAAUAUUUUUAUUUUUAAAAAAUUAUUUUUAACAUUAACAUAUUAAAAUAAUCUACAAAUAUAAAAAAAUUAUUUAUAAAAAUCAAAAAUUUUAAAAACACAAGCAGUCCCAAACAAGAUAACGCAUCAAGAAUCACAACAAUCUGACAUGUGAGUGGAAAGUUGUGAUUAAAAUACUUAAAGUACAUCCAGGCUAUUUCCAAGGAAAAAAAAAAACAUUACUACUUUUAGAGUGAUUUUGACAGGGAAGCAAGAAAUGUAAUUAUUAUUAUUUUUAAAAUAUUUUUUUAUUUAUAAGUAUAUUAAAAUAAAAAUUGUUAAUUUCGUUUCGUUUUAUUUGUAAUGGUUUCAUAUCAAUUCAAAAAAUAAAAUAAAACAAAAUAACUUUUAUCUUAUUUCAAAUCUCGGUCUCUUCCAGAUUUUUUGGCUAAAUUUCGUUCAGAAUGUUCCGGUUUCAUUCCACAAGUUCUAUUCCGGUCUUAAAAAGCCAUUGAAUCAAAUUGAACCUAGUUCAAUUAAUUAAUUAAACCAUUAAAGUAUAAAAAACUCUUUUUCAUUAGUAUUUUCAUUAACUAUGAUAUUAAUUUUUUAAAAUUAGAUUUAUCAUUAAUAUAUAUGGUUAUAUUCAUGUUAUUUUUUUUCAAGUUUAUACUUUGUAGGAAUUUAGGCCAAAAAAUGGAUGUUUUAGAUCUCAUUAGUCUUGAUAACAUUGAUCUAUCUUUAUAUUUAAAAUAUUAGUGUUAAAAUAUUUUAAUUUCAUGAUAUUUUGAUAUUUUAUUGAAGUUGAAUUGUUUUAAAUUAAAAAUUAUUUAAUCUUAAUUAUUUAAAAAUAUUUGAAAUUUUAAAAUUAUAUUUCAUCACGUCUCAUGAACCCCGUUGUGUCAAAAACAAAUUGCCUAAAAUUUAGGCUUUAGCAGUUCCUUUUUUGAAAUCCUCAUUAGUGAAAUUUCACGACUGCUUUAGCGGUUCCUUUUUUGUGUGCUUUCAUCUUAAAUUCAUGACCAAAAGGUAAAAUAUUCUACUUUCUAGUUUAGUAUUAAAUUUAGUAUUUAAAAAAUAUGUUUAUGAAUAUGGCAGUUUCAGGUUUAGAAACCAAAACUGCCAUAUUCAUACUCUCUCUUGGACAUUUUAAAAAUGUGUAGAAUACUUUUUAGUGAUGAUUUAUAAUAGUGAAUAGAUUUAUUAUUUUAUUAGGUUACUUUAAUGAUAAAUCAAUAUAGUAUUUUUUUUAUUUUUUGGAUUUUCAUCUUAGGGAAACUCAAUAGGAUGAAAAUAAAAUAUUAAUCAAACUUAAAAUUAUAAUUGUUUAUCUAUCCAAUUAAAAAAAAUAUGACAAUUCAGUGGUCUUUAAUGAAAUAAAAAAAAAUGAAAAAUGUUAUUUAUGUAAUUGUAAGCACACUAUAUUAUAUUACUUUACAAAGGGACGACGGACAUCCUUUCCAUUAGGAUUUCUUUAAGAGAUGGGGGACGAGAUGGCUGGUCAUUUUCAAGCAACGGAAGACAAAUUGGCAUCCUCUUUAGCUUCUCACAAGAUAUAAUUACCUUAAUAUCUUUAAGAGAAUUACAAAUCAGUUUUGCAUUGCAAAUGCUUUUUAGUUCCGGUAAGCCACAAAAUUUCACCUACCAGAGAAUUACAAAUCACAAGAAGGAAGUUGCUAGGAAGGAAGCCACAAAAUUUCACCUACCAGAGAUUAUAUUAUAAGAUAUGGCAAGUUGCUGUACACCUCAAAUUUGCUUUUCUUUUGUCUAGCGCUGCAUAUAAUUAAAAACUUCAACAAAAGAAUCAGAAGCUAAUUGCUGUCUGAGUUAACGUGUGGACCCACCCCAUUGUUGAAACUUUGGAAAAAGCUGGCCUGAAAAUGUAAGAGCCUGAAGCUUAGCUUCAAGAGCUGUAGCAAAGCAUUGACCGUCAUUAUCUGAUCCACUCCAACUUCCAUUCCCUACAAAUUUAACGAAGAACAGCAUUAGCAAUAAAAAGAGUUUUAUAUAUAACUUAAAGAAAUUCUAGUUAUGAAUUAGCAAAAAAAAAAAAAUCGUGCUUAGGGGUACUGAAACUACCGUUUUAUAGAUAACUUAAGAAAUUUUACUUAUGAUUACCUACUUAGUUCACAUCUUGAGCUUGAGAGCUCAGGCAGAAACACAAGUUUGAUCGCUCCCAGAAAGGUUCAAAAACUGCUUUUCCUAGUUAGCAUUUCCAUGAGCAGUAAGCGUCCUAUUCGUUUCGUUGCCCACGCUUAGUUUCGAGGUGUCAGCAACGUUCUUCUGAGCAUAAAUUCUUCUUUAAAACAAAAGGCGUAUAUGGUGAUUGUAAGGCAUAAUCCCGCAAAGUGUUCCAGUUUUUUUGCCUCUAUGACAUGGAUAUGGCUUCUCAUUAGUGAAAAAGCUAAAUGCUGUUUAUUGCACGCUGCUAGUUGGGAUAUACAGAACUCAGUUAAACCCAGCAAGUCGCUGCAUCAGACUUAAAACUCCAUAGCAGUCAGCACAAUCUAUGAAGAUAAAAUUGAAAACAAAACAAUCAAUGUAAACACAUGAAAAUGAGAAAGAAUAGCAUAUUUCCGCUUUUGAAAAAUCAUUCAUCACUUUUAAAUACGCAAAUGAUUAUCCCUAUUAAGAAAAUUCAACGACAACAAUAUACUCAAGAGCAGGGGCGGAACUAGGGGAGGUAGGCAGGGGUCCGGGCCAAAAUAUUUUGAAGGUUUGUAUUUUUAAUGUUUAAAUAUAAUAUAAUAUAAUAUAAUAUAUUUUUAAUUUAAAUAGAUAAGAUUUUUAAUAAUAAAUUAUAUUUUGAGUUUUGGCCCUUCCUAUUAUAUCAUUUCAGCUCCGCACCUGUCAAAAGCAAUAUUACAGUAAAGAAAUUAAAUCAAUACAGAUAAAUAUAUGAUCCAAAAAUAAUUAAAGAAUCAAUCCAUUUAAUCGAAAAAAACAUGACUGAAUCCAUAAACUAUAUGCCAUUCUUUUUCUAAAGGAGGCAGCCCCACUUUUUCAUUAGGUCGCCAUGGUCCCCGUGUCCCACACGUUUUUAAGUGCGUCCAGGCUGGUUCAAAGGGAAUUUCACGACUUGUCUGCGAGAGCUUCAACUCUACAUUGAAAUGUUUUUUCUUAAUCUGUGAGAGCUUCAUAAUAAGCUUAUUGAAAUAAAUUAUUAUAAUGAAAUUAAAAACAAAAAUGCUUAAAAAAAAACAGAGAGACGCCGUGUUUUCUCUAUUGCUACAAGGUAAAAGUCUGAGCAUAUUUUUUUAUUUAUUUUUUUAUUUUUUAAUAAUAUUACUGUUGUAUCUACCGCCUAGAAAUCAAGAACGCUAGUUUCAUUUAAAAGAUUCUGAAGUUCAUAUUUAGAUAAAUUAGCAGAAAGGACGGAAACACAACAAAUCAUACCCAGAGAAUCAAAAGCCAGAAACAAGCUACCUCAAUUCCUGCUCCACCUGGCUAAGAAAUGCAGCAUGCCCACUUGGAAUUACACAUCAUCCAAAUUCCAUGGCAAAUAAUUGGUUGGAAUUGUUUCCUGUGGAGUCUUUCAAAAUUUGAAAAUAAAAACAGAAAAUAGAUCCAGCAAAUGAUUCCAAAUAUCUUAUAAAAAUAACAAUGAAAUAUGUUUUUUAUUUACUGUAAGGAAAUAUAUUAAUGGAAAAAAUAAAAAAUAAAUCAAUUUAAAAAAUAUAUAAUAAGUCAAAAUCUAGACUUAAAAUCUAACUCGUAUCAGGUUCCUAGUUGAAUUGAAUAAUUGAAUAAGAAGGUGGGAAAGGGAGAGAGCGAAAGGUAUCAAACAGGAAAAAAGAAAAAAAAAGAAAAAAAAAAAGGAAAGAUCCAUAUUGUAGUAGUAUUCCGGAGGAGAGGGUCAAAGAUGGCGGCUGGUUCAAAGGACGAGCUUAAUCUCAUGAAUCAUUUUUUAACCUUUAUCGUAGGACUUGACACGUGUCCUCUAAACCCUCCUGUCCCUCUUCCGAUCCUUGCUAAACCCUUGUUCUGGUCGUAAUCAUCCAUUAGCGUAAACCUACGCUUCUCUUGACUUUGAUCCCAAUAAACCAACCUAUAGAGUUGGUGGUAAUGUAAUUGAUAUUAUUUUUUAAAUUAUUUUUAUUUUAAAAAAUAUAAAACUAAUUUUAAUGUGUUGGCAAUAAAAAAAAUUAAAAAUAUUUUAUUAAUGUAUUUUUAUUUGAAAAAUAUUUUUUUAAAAAUCGUAUGUAGAAUUACUAAACACCCUUAAGCCGGUGGACAAACACACAAACGAGAAAAUACAAAGGAAAAGGGAUAAAAGCAUAUAUUUGGAGAUGAUAAAAGGGCAUUGAGAUCAAAGAGGAUAAGUUUUCCAGUGAUGGGAUUGGAUGUUGAUGAAAGAUUGUGUGGAUAAGAGCAUAGUAAUUAAUUAUUUACUAAAAAGUUCUUCAGUGACCUAAUUCCGUGGCCCACAAAAUUAUCAUUAUCCAAUAAACUAUUUGAUUAAUUCAGUGUUGCUUAAUCCCAGUUUGCUAUUGCGUUUUAAAUGGGUAUUGGUUAAAUUUUAUUUUUUUAUAUUAUUUUGAUGGGUUGAUAUAAAAAUAAUUUUAAAAAAAUAAAAAUAAUUUUAAAAAAUAUUAUUAUAACACCAACUUAUGAUAAUUUUCUUUAUUGAUUAGUGAAUUUGAUUAGACUAAGAAUCUCCAUCACAGCCCAACAUCAUUAGCUUAUCUGCCAUCCCUUUCAAGAGAAGAAGAUUUCGAAUCAGUCCAUUCAUUCCCAUCUGUAGCAUCUUUCUCAAGCGUCAAUGGAGAAUUACUUCUGGAUUCUGAGUUGCCAAUAAAAAACAAAAAACCCUUAUAAACUAGUUCGUCUCCCAGUUCUUAAAUUAGUUUCCACAUUGUUUUUCACAAUUUUUAAAGAAAAAAAAAAUAAAAAUAUGAUCAUAAGCUAUAUAUCUAACACUCACUUGAAAGAAACUGAUAACCAUGCAAGCAUUUUACAUGGCAGUAUUUGAUAUGGGGUAAGAUUUUGGAGACAAAUUAGAGUACUCAAAUUGAAUGUACUAGGUGAAUUGCCUGCGCGGUGCUGCGGGUUAUAACAUGAACUGAGCAAAAUCUAAAGGCACUGAGAUCAAACUGAGCAACCACACAGAGUAAAUCUGAAAACAUUGUAACCAUUGAGAUCGAACUGAGCAACCAUUUUGGAAAAAAUAAAAUUUAAAUUAUUUUUUUAAAUGUUUUUUAAUCAUUUUAAUAUUAUGAUAUUAAAAAUAUUAUUUUAAUAUAUUUUUAAAUAAAAAAUAUUUUGCAACGCAACUUUUACCUCACUCUUAAAUAAAUCCUUAUUCUAUUGCACAUAAACAUAUGUUUUCAUGUAUAGUGGAUUAACCAAUCUUUUUAGUUUUCUUAUAUUGUUCAUAAAGACCGGAAACGCUUAAAAAUAAAAUUUUAAUAAUCAAGAGAAAAAAAAAUAGUUGAAUUUUUGUACCUCUCACAAGAAAAAUAGAUAGAUGUAUGAAAUUUUAUUCUAAAUAUAUUCUUAUAAAAAUUUCAAAAUUCCAAUUCAUGUAACUCGAUUAUUAUUCUUUUUUUAAGUUUCUUCUCUCUCUCCCUCUCUCUUUUUUCUUUUUAAUCUGUAUUAUGCAUUUUUAAAAUAUAAUUUAUUGCUAGUUAAUGAUAUAAGAUGAUUUGUACUAGUGAAUAGAUCUAUUAUUUUAUUAGGUUAUUUUAAUGAUAAAUCAAUAUAGUAUUUGUUUUUGGGAUUUUCAUCUUGGAAAUACUCAAUAGGAUGAAAAUAUAAUAUUAAUUAAACUUUAAAUUAUAAUUAUUUAUCUAUCCAGUUAAAACAAAUAUGACAGUUUAAUAGUCUUAAAAGAUAACGAAAUAUAAAAAAAAAUGAAAAAUGUUAUUUAUGUUAAUUGUAAGCACACGAUAUAAAUAAGAAAUAUUUCAUAUUAAUAAACGCUUUACGAGUCCAAUCAAUCAGAUGUUAAUUAACAUAAAGAAAUUAACAUGGUGUUUGCAGAGAAUGAAUUGUAGAAAGAGAGAUUGAGAGUGUGAGCAAUAAAAGAUGAUGCUUACCCUUUAUUCUAUAUUAUAUUAUAUUAUAAUAUAGAUUGAGAAGAUAACCUUACAAAGGGAAAAAAGACAUCCUUUGCGUGAGGAUGCUCCCCCUCCAUUACUGUCUCCCACCAUUCUUUUAGACUUACAUAUAUGUUUUUAAGAGAAGGGGGAGGAAAUGGUUGGCCAUUUUCAAGCAACGGAAGACAAAUUGGCAUUCUCUUCAGCUUCUCACAAUACAUUACAAUAAUAUCUGUGAGCCUGACUGCAACACCAGACCCAAGAAUAAUGGAUGUGGGUCUGGCUAUAAGAUCGUGUCAUAAAAGUAUGAUAAUUAAUAGAUUAAUUAAAAAAACAAAGAAAAAAAUCAACAGUAUUUAGGAUGGGUGGAGGCUGUGGUCGGGUUGUUGUUUGGAGUGGCAAAGCGGAGUGUUGUGGGCUGUUUGGGUGGCUAGUGAAAGUGGGUGGCGGUAGGUGGUUUAGCAAAUUUGGGAGGGUGACAGUAGUGGGUGGGGUGGGGGUUGUGGUGGAGACCUUUGCAAUCUGUUCAGAAUUAUCAAAUGGAAACACAUGUUCAUGAAAGCGAACAUGACGAGAAAUAUAAAUACGGUGAGAUGCAAUGUCAAAACAUCGAUAACCAAUAUGCGAGGAACUAUAUCCAAAAAACACACAUGGAGAGGAACGAAAAUCCAAUUUAUGAUUAUUAUAUGGACGCAAAAAAGGAAAACAGAGACAGCCAAAGGUACGCAAAAAAUGAUAAUCAGGAGACCGUUGAAAUAAACAAUCAAAUGGAGAGCGAUGGGCAAGAAUAGGAGUAGGCAUGCGAUUUAUAAGAUAAACAGAGGUUUCAAAAGCAUAAUUCCAUAAUCGAAAAGGUGCUUUACAUUGCCCUAAAAGAGUAAGAUCUGUUUCCACAAUAUGCCUAUGACGAUGCUCUACUGUUCCAUUUUGUUCAUGAGUGUGGGGACAAAUUAGACGAUGAUGAAUACCAAUGGUCUGAAAAAAUGUGGAUAGUUUUCGGUAUUCACCGCCCCAAUCAGUUUGAACAGAUUUUAUUUUUAAUAAAAAUUGACAUUCGACAAGAGUCUGAAAUUGAUGAAAAACAGAGUAAACAUCAGACUUGGCAACGAAAGGAUAAUACCAUACAUAUUUAGUAUAAGCAUCAAUAAAGAUAACAAAAUAACGAUAGCCAUCUGAAGAAAAAAGAGGAGUAGGGCCCCAUACAUCACUAAAAAUUAAUUCAAAUGGAGCAGAAGUUUUGUGACCCGUAGGUCCUAAAGACAAACGCGAUGAUUUUCCUAAAGGACAACUUUGACAUUGAAAAUUAAGACGUUUGUUGUUACAAAUGAUCUUAUUUUUCGAGAUUAACAAUUGAAAAAUACGUGAAGUAGGAUGACCUAGUCGAUGAUGCCAUAAAUCGACAAAGGCAGAAGUGUAGGGAGACCAAUAGGCUUGAGGAACUGACGUGAUGAAAGACUUGGUCAGGGCAUAGAGACCAUCUUUACUCUGACCUGAGAGAAGGACUUCAUGGGUGUUGAAAUCCUUGACAUAAAACACACGAGGGUGAAAUUUAAAAUAAACAUUAUUAUCAAGACAAAAUUUCUGAACAGAGAGCAGAGGUUUCGUGAUUGCAGGAACAGGAAGAACAUUAGAUAAGGUGAAAGAACGAUGUGGUGUAUAUAUUUUUGUAUGACCUAGAUGAGAUAUAGGAAGGCCCUUACCAUCACCAACAUGCAAAUUAUCAUUACCAAGAUACGGUUCUGAAGCGGUCAAGGUGGCAAGAUCAGGUGUGACAUGUUGAUUGGCACCGGUAUCCGGAAACCAAUCAACAGAACCAGUUGAGGAGAGAUUGCGUUGCACCAGGUUGGCAGUAGGUUGUUGGCCAUAACCUCACUGCUGGAAUUGAGGGCAAUGGGGAGCUGUAUGGCUAAAAUUCUAACACAGUUGGCAGCGUGGAUUAUGCCCCAUAUUGCGCUGCCAAGAGCCCUGCCUAUUGUCACCAAAGGAGGAGUUUUGGAAGCUACGGUGAUCAGGUCUGGAGCCAGCAAAUCGGUUGCCUCUGCUGCUGGACUGGUUGGGAAGCCAGCCACCGUUGAAGCGACCCCUACUGCGGCCAGAAUUGCCAAAAGUCUGGUGCUGCGCAACAAGAGCAGAAGAUGGAAUGCUGGGUGUGGGCAGAAGAGGAGCAUGUAUGGCAGCAGAAGAUUUGUGAAGAAAUUCAUGUGUGAGGAGAUGGCUGUGAAGAUCUGCGUAUGAUAAAGGUUCAGCCUUGGUAAUAAGAAUGGUAACUAAGUUUUUAAACUCUCCCCGAAGACCACGAAACACAUAUAAAUUGAAAUCUUCAAGCGAAACUGGCCGACCAGCAGCGACCAAUUCAUCAAAUAAGGCCUUCGCUUUUUGCAUAAAUUGAGUUACUGAUUCAUCACCCUGUCGAAGAUCCUGAAGAGAGCCGUGAAGUUGCAUAAUACGAGAGUUAGAGGUGGAAGCGAGAGCUCGCUCAAGAGUGCCCCAAGAUGAACAAGAACUUUGACAGCCAACAACAAGAUGCAAAACUUCCAUAGAUAGGGAGGAAAGAAGAGCACUUAGAAUGAAUUGGUCUUGUUGUUUCCAGGUUUGAAAAAGCAGAUUUACCUGAAGAGAGAUAGCAUCAUGGGCAAGAACAUGUGUUGAUGGAGAUGUGUUGGAGCCAUAAAAAAAAACCAAAAACUUCUUGGCCUAGGAGAUAAGGCAGCAUCUGCAUACGCCAAUAUAAAUAACUGGUGUUUGUUAAUUUGAGGGAGAUGACUUGAUGAGUGUGAGAAAGGGAGAUAAUGCUUGCGGCAGCAGAGGCAGCAGACGUGGGCUGCAAGAGGAGGCGUUCACCAGCCAUGGAAGAGGAGAAUCCAGGCGGUGAUGCAGCAGAGGAAAGCAGAGGAGGCGUUAUAAGAGAAGAGGGUUGCACUGUCGGAGAAGAAGAAAGCUGGACUGCUGGUGCUGUAGAAUUUGAAGAUGUAUGUGGCGACUGUUCCAUUGAAGAAGGAAGGCUGUGAGAAAAGUAGGUUUAAUUUAUUUUAAAGUUUUGUGGCUCUGAUACCAAGUUGAGAAUAAUGGAAUGUGUUGGGUUGUGCCUUAACCAACCUUCCUAUUUAUAUAAAGGCAGCAGAACACUACAAUAACUAUAAUGAUUACAACAUCCUAUAUUAGAAUCCUAUUCUGAUAGAUACAUGAGUAACUGUAAUGAUUACAACAUCCUAUAUUAGAAUCCUAUUCUAUAAUAAACAUGAAGAAAAAAACUAAUGAAGAAAAAGAAAAAAAAUUGAAUUAAUUGGGUUAACUCUUUAAACCAGGUUAUCCCAUAAAAUAUGGGAUUCACAUCAUAAAAGAUUGAUAACUAAAUAGAAAAAAAAAUAACGGGUUUACCCAUAAUUAACUGGGUUAACCCAUCAAACGAAGUUAAUCUGUCAAGCCCAAGAUACGUGUCAUGAAAGUCUAAUAAUUAAAUAGAAAGAAAAUUAACUUUAACAAACUAAACUAAAUGAAAAAAAUAAUUAAAAAAAAUCUAGGUUAACUCGUCAAAUCAGGUUAACCCAUCAAACCUGGGAUUCGUAUCAUAAAAAUCUGAUAACUAAAUAAAAAAAAUUAACAUUAAAAAAAAACAAAAAAAAAUUAAAAAAAAAGAAGAAAAAAAAACAGUUAUAUAAUAUAAUAUAAUAUAAUAUAACAUAAUAUAAUUAUAAUUAUAAUUAUAAUAUAAUAUAUUAAUAUAUUAAUAUAUUAAUAAGUAAAUAUAUUAAUAAAAGUUGUGGGAAAGCUACAGUAGUUUUCCACACCUUUUAGAGUAUUAGAUUUAUCAAGUUUGCUUAAUUAAGAUGGAAUAUUUAUGACUUUUUUAAUCUAUAGUGUUUUUCUCCUGGUACAUGGUAAAAGCCUGGGCAGUUUUUUUUUUUUUUAAUUUUAAUAAUAAUUCUAUUCUUUCUAUCCCAAGAAAUCGAGAAUGCUAGUUUCAUUCAUCAAGAUUCUAAAUCCUAUAUACAGAUAAACUCAAGAAUGUGUCUUCUCUCUCUUUUUUUAUUUUUAAUCUGUAUUAUAUAUAUAUUUUUUAAAUAAUUUACUGCUACUUAAUGAUAUAAGAUGAUUUAUAAUAGUGAAUAGAUUUAUUAUUUUAUUAGGUUACUUUAAUGAUAAAUCAAUAUAAUAUUUUUUUUAUUUUUUGGAUUUUCAUCUUGAAAACUCAAUAGGAUAAAAAUAUAAUAUUAAUCAAACUUCAAAUUAUAAUUAUUUAUCUAUCGAGUUAAAAAAAAAAGGUACAAAGGGAUGAAGGAUUAUUUCAAUAUUAAUUAAUAAGAAUAUCCUUGUUGAUUUAAAGGACUAUUUUCAUCAUUCAUAUCGAAAAUAAUUAUGUUUUGCACCUGAUUUUUAACAAAAAUGAUUGAAAAAAUGAUAUAUUAUUGAAUGUGAGCAAAUUUAAGAUUACAAAAAUGAUUAAACUUUUUACAGAUGGAUAGAAUUGAUAAAUGAUGCAACAAAGAAGGAUACGUAUUAUUACAUUUAACAGAGUAAUUAACCAUUAUACAUAUUAAUUAUUUUAAGAAAAAAAAUGUCCUUUGGACAAUAUUCUUUGCAUUAGGAUAGAAUUGAUAAAUGAUGCAACAAAGAAGUAUUCUUACGUGUUAGGAUAGACGACGAAAGGAUUAACAAUACGAAAGGUACAAUUUGAUUGAGAGAGAUGAUGCUUACCCACUCCACUACUGUCUCCCACUAUUUUUUUGGAUAUAUUCUGAUUUUUUUAAGAGAAGAGGGAGGAGAUGGCUGGCUAUUUUCAAGCAACGGAAGACAAAUUGGCAUCCUCUUCAGCUUAUCACAAUACAUUACACUAAUAUCUUCAAGAGAAUUGCAAAUCUGUUUUGCACUGCAAAUGCUUUUCAGUUCUGGUAAAUCAUACAAUUCCAGAGUUCUUAACUUUGGGAGAAUGACUUCCGUGAUGGAAUUGGAGGUGCUGCUUUCUUUAUCUGUUGUUUCUAUUAUCUCCUCUAUUUUCUCACAUCCACUAACAUCAAUCAGUUCCAGGUUUACAAGGAUUGGAAGUAGCACAAGCGGGAACAACUUCUUCAUACUGUUACAGUUCUCACAAUAAAACCUUUUAAGACUAGAAAACAUACCAUUACAUGAUGGCAAUGGAGUCCCAUCUCCGUUGAUACUCAAGAAGAUGAAACCAAGCUCUCCAUGCUAUUGCAAUCCCAAAUGUCGAUGAGCUCAAGUUCAGUUGCAUUCUCUAAUGACAAAACAUCACAUAAACUUCUUGCAUUUAUACAUUCACAAACCAAUCCUUGAAUGCCAUUUAAGAACUUAACAUGAAAAUCUCAUCUCCGUUGAUACUCAAAUUACCUAACCUAACUGUUUUACUUGGAAAAUCACCUCUGUUUGCCCAAUAAUCUUCACCCACCAUUCCUACUAAAAUUUUAUAUGUGCUUAAUGAUUGAAUCCCCUCUCGAGAACUGAGAUACUCCACGAAGUCAGGGAGACCUAUGAAAUGGCAUUGCAAAGUUUCUAAAUUUCUCAAGAAUCCUACUUCCUUUCCUUUAACUGUUAUCGGAGCAUAACAUUCAUCAAUUAACGUUUCCUCUAGUACAAAGACUUGCAGGUGAGAGAGUUUUGGUAAUAUACCACUAGGAAACUCCUUUUCACCACAUCCAUUCAUUCUAAGAUACCUCAGGUUGGUUAGGCAUUCCAUUCCUUGCGGUAUCUUUUCAAGCACUGUAAAAGAGAGAUCCAACCUCUUCAGUGCUCUGAGCUUUUCUAAUGAUGGAACAUGUCUUAAGUACUCACAAUUAUUGAGCAAUAAGGCAGUGAGACUCACCAAAUCAAAGACAGAGUCUGACAAUUUUUCAAUACCUGUCCAAGACAGAUCGAGGACCUUGAGCCCAUGCAAUUGCUUGAAAAAUGAAUCCGCAAUCAAUCCCAGCCCUUCAUUAUCACAUAGAAAUAAAGUUGACAGAUUUAGACACAUUGGUGAAUGGCUGGAAGGAAUUUCUUGAAUCUCGUUUUGCAUUAGUGAAACAAUCGUCAAGUUCUCCAUCCACUCCUUUGUAUCUGGCAGCUCUUUUAAUUAGUGACUUGCAUUAGUAUUUGGAUGGUCAUGUCCCUAAUCAAGUCAUGCAUCUUGACACAUCUUUUACCAUCAUAAUACAUUUUAGCACUUUCCAAUAAGCAGACAUUUUCAAGUCUAUUAAGCAUCGUGUGACCCUCAUCAAAUGCAUCUCCCCUACUCCUCUUUACUUUAAUUAUCCCCUCAUCGAUCAAAUAACUUAUCAACCUCUCCCUCCAAAUCCAAUCAUCUUCGGGAAAUAAUGCACAGUACAAGAGACAUUGUUGUAGUGCUAAAUCACCUAACCGAUCAUAACUAAACCUCAACAACUUUAAUACUUCCUUGUCCUUAAAUUCUGAUUCUCUCAAUUUCUUCAAUGUAUUUCUCCACUCAUGUAGGUUAUCCACUCCCCUCAAGCUUCUUGGUACUGUAAUAAUUCCCAACGGCAAACCAGCACAUUCCUUUGCAACAGCUUUUGCAAUCCCUUCCACUUCUCGCGAAAGUGCUAUGUCACGUCCAAGUUUCUCCAUGAACAAAGUCCAAGCUUCUCCAUCAGAAAGUGGCUUCACUUUGAUUUUACAGUGGCAAGCCAUCUGAUGACAAACCAUUUCUAAUCGAGUUGUCAUAAUCAGCUUGCAUUCUUUCAACUUCUCAGGAAUUCCCACUCUGUCAAGUUCAAAAUUGUUCCACAAAUCAUCUAAAAUGAGAAUCCAUUUUUGUUUCCUCCUUAGUUCUAUUGACAAUUUGGCAGCUCUGUGCAGAUCAUCAUCUUCACUUGAAAGAUCUACAUAAAGACAUUUAGCAAUACGAUUUUGCAAUCUGUUAAUGCUGAAAUCUUGAGACACAGUCACCCACCAAACAUGAUCACAAAUAUCUGGUUUUUGUAGAAGCUCAUUAUGGAUAUGCUGUAGUAUUGUGGAUUUACCAACUCCCCCCAUCCCAUAAAUGCCAAUGGUUGAGACUUCCCCAUCCAUUAACAAAGACCAUAUCACCUUCGUAUUCUCUUUGAAUGCUCGACCCACUAGCUUUGUUGAGCUAGUAGGUAAUGGAACUCCUCUAGUCUUGUUGUAUUUCAGACUUUCAGAAGAUCUAGCUCCAGCACCAACCUGCACUGAUCUUCGACUAUUCUCCACAUCCUCCUCCACUGGUCUGCUCUCGAGUGCCCCUUCAGAAACUCCAUCUUCUUGUGCUCUCAUUCCGGUCUUGCUUACUACGUCGUUUCCUGCUAUUGCAUGUGAAGAAAUCCUUUGUUCCCCUGCUCUGAGUUCUACAACCUGAACUUCUCUUUGUAACCUUCCAGUACCUCCUACCGUUGUUGAAAUUCCACAAUCAUUAACAUUGAUUGAACUUGCUGUGAUUUUAUGUCUUUUGUUGCCACCAAACAUAGCUUUCCAAGCUGCUUCUUGAACUUCUUUAGGCACCCCACGACAAAUGGCAACACCACGCCCUUCUUCUCCUGAUAAAUGACAUUUGAUCCUUGAAAUGGAAGUUUUAAUGGCAUAUGUAUGUCGACAAAACUUACACUUCAUGCUACCAUCAGCCUUUUCUUCAACAUAAUUCCGAAAUGAAUCAUUUGAUCCACCCAUUUCAACCUAUAGAAAAAAAAAGGGGGGGGGGGUUCAAAAUACAGAAUAAAAAUCAGUCAAAAUAUAGAAUAAAAAUUGAUGCAAGUUACACCAUAUCCGGAUGGAUGAGAAACUACUUCAGUGUUGUUACCCUUAUUUUGCUAUUAAAAUUGAUAGUUAGUUUAUUGCACAAUCAUCGGAGGGAAAAAGACGACGAUAAUUCAGUUAGACUUCUUACUUGUUGAGCAUUUAAACCCCUAUUUUGACUUUGGAGGGAAGUGCCAAGGCCAGGAUUUGAGGCAUUUGGCAUAGCAGUUUGAUUUUGCAAUCCUCGGACUUGGAGGUUAUCCAUCUGUGACCUAUAUAUAUACAAAUGAAUUGAUCAUAUUAUAAAACCUUUCCAUAAUUGGUAGUCUCUCUUAAGCAGUAAAAGUUAAUGGUGUUAAAACACAACAGCUAGAAGUCAAUCAGUACCUAGUUACGAAUAAGUUCUCUUGUUGGACAUUGUCUAUGUUAGGAAUUACAACAGCUCGAUCGACUUGUCCUUGAUUAGAAAAAUAUUGACUCCUGAAUCCAAAAUCAUUUGCAAACAAUAUGUUUAGCUUGUUGGGUUCAUGUUCAAGCUAUGAUGUUUCUUUCCCGAUUGAAAAACUAAUUUUUUUUAUAUAGAAAAUACAAAACAUGAAAAAUUGGAUACCGGGGAGCAGGAAAAGAAGGUCCAGGUUGAAUGAAGCCACCAUGUUCUGAAGUGGUUGCGUUCGGUGUCAUAUAGCCAUGUCCCGGCUGUGGUUGAUGAAUAUUGGAGUACUGAUGCCUGAAUAAUAUUCAAAUAGUUAAACUUAGAACUGUUAUUCUAACUUGGUUGAUUUUCUAGUUCCAUUAUGUGCACAAAAAAAGAGAGAUAGAGAGCUCAAAAAGACUCGAAAGAUCCUCGUCAAUUCUGGUCAAGUUUAUUGUUUUCAUGAUUAAAAAAGUGUAUAUUCGAAGUUAAUACCAUUGAUUCAAUGGAGGUUGAGGUCCAGGUAGCAUCGCAGGCACUUGAUUCCUCAUUGGUAACUGAUAAUUAGUCCAUUGUUGGUCCCUAAAUUAGCAACAUUUUGUUAGUAAUUUCUUUAUACAUAUACGCAUAAUUCUUUACUAUUAAUCCACUAAGCAUUUAUUAUCAUUUUAGCUUACCUCAAAGGCAUUGAUGGUCCAGGUAGCAUGGGAUUGGCACAUCGAGGAUCAGAUAAAUUAGGAUGAGGCAGAUACCUAUAUUCAAAUAUAAUGAAUUCAUUUAGUGUAAUAAAUUGGCAUCACUGAUAAGAAUAUUAGGCAGAUAAGUAGAACAACAACAAGAAGUUAAAUAAUUAUGAAUAUUAUGUACAAGAAGAAUUUAAAUAAUGAUUAUUCUCACUUAGUUGAUUUUCUAGUUUCAUUAUGUGAUGCAAAUCAGGAGACAGGGGAAACAUGGGGAAGGCAAGGACUCUUGAAAGUUGAUUAAAGCUUAUUAGCUGUAGUUAUUAUUUCCUAUUUAGCUGAUAGUUUCCUAGUCAGAUUAGUAUUAGAUUUCAAUUACGUAUUAGAUCGUAAUUCCUUAGCUGUAGGGUAUUUAAGAGGGGAACAGAACAAAAGAUGGGACAUUAUUUGUAUUCUUGGCAAUUACUUUCUUUAAAUACAAAUUGGAGUGAUUCCUCUACAUAGAUAUUCUGUAUUAAAUUAUUUAUUGUUCUUACUGGGAGCAACGAGAGGUUGUACCGGAGGGCAUUUACAUUAAUAUGUGCACAAAGAGAGAGAGAGAGAGAGAGAGAGAGAGAGAUAGAGAGCUCAAAAGAAGUAAAAUAAUGAUGAAUACCUUGAUGGAGUUUGAGGCCAAUUUGGUUCAUUUUGGUUGAUCCGUGAUGAUAUGGAGCUUUGGUUGUCUGGAACCUCCGGUGGCAGCCUGCUUCCAUUGACAGUGACAUUAUUAGGAUAAACGGAAGAACAACUAAAUUGCAAGCAAUCAUCUUCUGAUAAAAUAUGCUUAAGAAUGACGUACGAGAGAAACUCAGAAAUAUUGAAUGUAUCUUCAAUGGUGUAUCUAAUUAUAAAAAUGAAGUGAUCAUAUUAUAAAACUUUUCAAUAUUUGGUAGCCUCUCUUAAGCAGUAAAUAUCAAUGGUGUAUCUAAUUAUCAAAAAGGUGUUAAUACCGUGUUAAAACACAACGGCUAGAAGUCAAUAAGUACCUUGUAGAGUUGCUAGAGUUUCGAGGCACGAAGUUCUCUUGUUGCAUAUUGUCUAUGUCUGGAAUUACAGUAGCUUGAUCGUCUUGUCCUUGAUUAGAAAGAAAUUGAAUCCUGAAUCCAAAAUCAUUCGCAAGCAUUAUGAAGCAUUACAAACUUAUGAUUAUCUAGCUGGGUUCAUGUUCAAGCUAUGAUGUUACUUUCCUCUUUGAAAAACUAUUUCUUUUUUUUUUUACAGCAAAUACUAAAUAUGAAAAAUUGGAUACCGGGGAGCAGGAAAAGAAGGUCCAGAUUGAUUGAAGCCACCAUGUUGUGAAGUGGUUGCAUUCGGUGUCAUAUAGCCUUGUCCCGGAUGAGGUUCAGGAAUAUUGGAGUUCUGAUGCCUGAAUAAUAUUCAAAUAGUUAAACUUAGAACUGUUAUGCUCACUUGGUUGAUUUUCUAGUUCCAUUAUGUGCACAAAAAAGAAGAGAGAUAGAGAGCUCAAAAAUACUUGAAAGAUCCUCGUCAAUUUUGGUCAAGUUUAUUGUUUUCAUGAUUAAAAAAGUGUAUAUAUAUUCGAGGUUAAUACCAUUGAUUUAUUGGAGGUUGAGGUCCAAGUAACAUCGCAGGCACUUGAUUGCUCAUUGGUAACGGAUAAUUAGUCCAUUGCUGGUCCCUAAAUUAGCAACAUUUGUUAGUGAUUUCUUUAUACAUAUGCAUAAUUGUUAGCUAUUAAUCCACUAAGCAUUUGAUAUCAUUUUAGCUUACCUCAAAGGCAUUGAUGGUCCAGGUAGCAUGGGAUUGACACAUUGAGCAUCAAAUAAAUUAGGAUUAAGCUCAUACAGUGAUACCUAUAUUCAAACAUAAUGAAUUCACUGAUAAGUACAACAACAAGAGGAAGAAAAGAAGAAGGUCCAGGUUGAUUGAAACCACCAUGUUGUGAAGUGGUUGCGUUCGGUGUCAUAUAGCCAUUUCCCGGCUGAGGUUGAUGAAUAAAGGAAUUAUGAUGCCUUGAUGGAGUUUGAGGCCAAUUUUAUAUAAAACUUAACGAUAAAAAAAUAUCAUAAAAAAAGUCUAAAUCUCCCAAUUGUUGUCUGUUUGUUUAACAAUAAACAUUUUGAAGAUGCUCGAGAUAAAUUGAUACACGAAAACAUAAAACUUUUUGAUCCAAUGGGUGAUACAAACACUUGCUAAUUCAAUGGACAUUGUAGCAAAUUGGAGUAGGCAUGAGCACUCACCAUGGUUUGAGGAAAUGAAGCUGGAAACUGAGUUGUUUGUUGAAUACUGUCGUUGAUCACAUUGUUAUCCACCACCAUGUUCUGUCCAUCUUGAUCAUUGCAUAAUAUGGAGCUUUGGUUGCCUGAAACCUCCGGUGGCGACCUGCUUAAUUUGUUAUUAGGAACAUUAUUCUUUUUUGGGAAUAAUAAGAAAAACUGUAGAAUAACUAAAUUGCAAGUAAUCAUCUUCUGAUAAAAUAUGCUUAAGAAUGACGUACAUGAGAAGCUCAGAUAUAUUGAAUGAAUCUUCUUGUGAUUGAAAAUCGAACUGAUUCGAUGUCAAGUUGACAUCAUCCCCAUUACAAGACGGUGGGACUCCUUCCAUCUGAGGUUUAAAAAAGAACAGAAAGCACAGAUUAGAUGUGUGUGUGUGUCUAUAUAUAUAUAUAUAUGACUUAUUUAUUUGUUAAAGAGAUUCAGAUGAAAAAUAGGAAAUAUAAAUGUUGCUGUUAAUGAUUUAAUUCUUUGUUUUAAUGCUAAAUUAUUUGUCACUUGUUGUAAACAAGUUUAAUGAAAGGUAAUUAACUAAUACUGAUCAAGUUAAUUCAUGAAUCAGUAAAAAACAAUUUCAUUGAAUCAUUAUGUCAGAAAAAUAUUGGAUAAAAAUUAAUGGCAGUCCCACUAAUUGGAAAAGAAAAGGGUGAAACUAAAAUAAGAAGUUUGUCGCACGUAUGCGGCGUCGAGGCGAAAACAUCCACUCUCAAAUCGUUAUCUAAUGUGACAAAUGUGAGGAGACAAGGAAUUCUUGUCUUUUAUUAGUGGAAAAAUAGAAUGGGAGUCGCCACCUAAUAUUUUGGUAACUAGGAACCCUAACUGGUCUCAGAGAUCAGGUACGGGGACUAGUUGCGUAAAGGGAAGGUUUUAGCACCCCAAAUACGCUCUACCUAAAGUAAGCUGCAUUGUUUAAUUGUUUGAUAAAAUCUAAGGUCUUGUCGUGUAUUUUAGUUGUUGGUCCGUCUAUGGUUUAAGAAAAAAAUCAUCUUCAGUAAAGAGAUCCUUAUCUUAUUGGGUAUGACCUAAUUGUUUUAACAUCAACAAAAAAAUUUUAAUAUCCGGAAUAUGUCUUACAUAUAAGAUCAUAACCCUAGAUAUUAAAGGAAAACAAAAUAAGUUUUUUUGGAAUUUUUGAAAUAUUGUCUAGUUCUCGUGACUUUAAUAAACUGGUUAUUAAAGCUAAAAUGCAUGUUAAUACAAAUUUUUGAAUCUUUGUUAUAUGAAAAUAUGAUAUGAUUUUUUUUUUUGAAAGACUAGGGCGUAUGCAUGAAAACAAAAAAUAUAUUUUUUAUGUUUUUGUAGAAAACCGGGUAUUUUAAUACCAAAUUUGUAUCUUUACAAUAUAAAAAUACAAACCAAUGUUGAUUAAAAUACAAUAGAAAAAUUUGCAAAAAUCACUAAUUUUUGAAAAUAUUUGUUUUAUUUUAUUAUAAUUAAUUUUAUCAUGGAUUUCUUUAAAGAUUCAAACCAUAUAUAGUUACAUAUAGAAAAACAAAAACACCAACAAGAUGAAGUACAAAUAAUUUACCUGGAUUCAAGAUGUUCUUCAAGUGCUAGCUGGUUUGCUUGAGCAGUGAUCAGCCAAAAGAAAAGGAAGAGAAAUCACAGAUCAGAGAAGAAUAUAUGGCUUAGAAAAAUAAUAAAGUUGCAGUUAACAUAAAUCUAGUUCGUACUGAUCAUGGGAUGUGGAAAGGAAAAUAGGGAAUUCUAUUGUGAGAUGAGAUGUGACGUGGAAGAGAAUGGUAGGUCAGCUAAAUAAUAAUUAAUUAACGUAUUGUUUGACAGGAAGGAAAUUGCCAGGAAGCAACCCCCCGCAUACCUACCAAACAUUAUAUUAUAAGAUAUAGAGAGUUAACAUGUGGACCCACCCCAAUGUUCAAACUUUGAAGGAGCUGCCAUGAACAUGUGAAAGAACAGCAUAUUUCUGCAUGUGUGAAGUUGUUUCUGAUAAUAUUUUUUAUUUGAAAAUAUAUUAAAAUGUUAUUUUAAUUUUUUUUAAUAUCAACAUAUUCAAAUAAUUUAAAAAAAUAAAAAAAAUAAAAAUUUAAAAAAAGAUCACUGCGACUGUAAAGACAAACCAGCUGUGACUAUACUAGUAAGUGUGAGAUUGAUAGCAAAGACGAAAGCAUACCAAUGCAACAAUCACAUUCUCAAAUAUUCAGAUUUUAAAAAAACAUAUCCAAAUAUAGUUUUAAAGUUGUGUCAAAUGCAGAAUGCUUUAAUUAAUACGAGGAAACUCUUGUUUAUAAUAUAGUUUUACACAGGGACCGUUAUAAAUAAUUUGGUAUUAUAAUAACAAUUAUUUUUUUAAGUAUUUUUUAUUUAAAAAUAUAUUAAGAUAAUAAUUUUUUAUAUUUUAAAAUUUAUUUCUGAUAUUAACAUAUUAAAAUAAUAUAAAAUAUCUAAAAACUAAUUUUAAAAAAAUUAAAAUUUAAUUUUAAAAAAAAUAUUUAUUUGCCUGGUACUGGGCUUCCUCGGGACACAACGCUGCACUUCCUUAAAUGAAAAUAUUAAAGUCGGUGUGUGCAUCAGACCUCAUCCUCAAUUGACUCCGAUUGUUGAAAUAACUUGAUCUUCUAAUAAAGUUUGUUUUUGAAUAUAUAUUCUAUCCUUACUAAAUUAUUAGGAAGUAACAUUAUAACAUUUUUAAGUCUGCUUAAUUUAUUUGGUUUAAGAUACUAUUUUAAUAUAGUAUUAGAUAUUUAAUAACUUACGAGUUAAUUACUUAUUAAGAUAAUUCAGAUUAAUUAUUUUUAUUAAAAUAAUAUUAUUUCAUUUAUUUCUAUUAACAUUGCUAGAUAUGAAGUAGUUUGGUUUGACUAGAUGAUUCAAUUACAAAUCCAAUCUAAAUUAAGGUUAAAAUUUUGAGUUUUUUAAAAAUAAAUCAUCAAACUAGACAGGUUUAACAACUAAUAUAUAUAUAUAUAUAUAUAUAUAUAUAUAUUAUUCAACCAAAUAAUUGCUUGUUACAUAUAUAUGGCGAGCUUCCUAGCACUACAAGAUUUCACAGUUUUACCGAUGGCCAUAUUCCGUCGGUGUGUGAUUGAGAGUUCGUCAGUAAAUUAUUUACCGACUAAAUUACCGACGGAAUACGCCCGUCGGAUUACCUUUUGUCGGUGAUUCCACAUUCCGUCGCUAUAUCAGUCGGGAAAAAAAAAAAACACGUACCGACGGUUUUACAGACGGAAAGUGCGCGCCAAAAAAAAAAAUUUCCCGCUUGGAAUAUACCGAUGGAAAAUACUCCGUCGGUGAAAUUCUAAUUACCGACGGAAAAAAUCCAUCGGUACAUUGGUCGGUCUGUGUUUGAAAUACCGACUGAAUAUAUCCGUCUGUAAAUUCGUCGGUACGUUUGGCAGCUACUGUCACAUGCCGACGGACUAAAUCCGUCGGUAACUCUAUCGGUGAGUGUAUGGAAUACCGACCGAAUUUAUCCGUCUGAAUAUUCGUCGGUGAUUUCCAAUGCUGACAGAGUUAUUCUGUUGGUAAAUACCUGUGUAAUUGUUUUUUUUUUAAUUUGUUUUUUUUUAAAUUAUUUAAAAUACAUAAUAUAAAAUGAUAUAAAUUAAUGGUAAUACAAACCAAUUAUGUAAAUAAAAUUCAUAUUAAGCAUCAAAAAUAAAAAAAAUCAAACUUAAAUAAUAUUCAUUACAAAUGAAUGUGUUUCAAAAACACAUUAAACGAAAUUUUAAAUGUAAAUAAUGUUUAUUAAAAAUUAAUAUAAAGGUGGAGGAGGAGGAGGAGGAGGAGGCUGGGGGUUAGACGGCCAAAAAGGAUUAGGCGCACAUGAUCCACCUUGUGCCAUCUUCAUGAUCAUUUGACGAAGCUCUUCAUAGGCCGCUCUUUGUUGUUCAGACUCUGCUCUGUGUUGUUCUUUGAGUUGUUCGUAUGCCACUCUUUACUGUUCUUUGCUGUUCAGAUUUCACAGUUGUUCAGACGCUGUUCUUUGCAGAUGAUGAAUUGGAACUACACAUUUCUUCAGAGCCAACAGAGUAUGCACUGCACAUGGGUCUUGCAUGGAAACGAAGGGUUAAAGAAUGUGGGGUCCAUGUGAUCGCAGGGAAGUCAGAAUCAUUUGAAGAGUCGGCAGUGGGAAGAGAUACAGUGAUGCCUUCACCACCGCCAUAUCAUUUGCUUCCUCAUCCUUAUCGUGGCUCAAUUACAGCGUCUACACCUAAACAGUGGAGUGAAUUUUUAUUUGCGGAGCUGCAAAACUAUAACCUCAAUUUAUGGCUUUUUGGUAAGAAUACAUAUUUCCUUUAGUUAUUUCUAUUUUAUUCUAUUUAAUUUAAGAGAUUAAUUUAAUUGUUACAUUUUUCUUAUUUAAUCUAAAAAAUUAAAUAUUAUCUUUAAAAAUAUUUUUAUUAAAUAUUUAGAGUCUGAUUGGUUUUAUUUUUAAUUCUUGAUUUUAUGAUAAAAUGUUUCUUAUUUAAUUUAAAAAAUAAAUAUUAUAUUUAAUAAUUAGAUCUAUCGAAUAUCACUUAACUAUAUCAUUAUUUUAUUGGUAGGAACUUAUGAGUCUUUUAAGCCAAAAGAAUAGUAGGAAGAGCUAAAAUUAGCAAGGAAUAUUUAGAGUCUGUUUGAUUUUAUUCUUUGAUUUCUUGAUAAAAAAUUUAAAAUUCUUUAAAACAAAAACUAAAUACUUAUAAGUGUUGAUUUUGAUUUUAUUUAAAAAAAAAAACAAAAAGUCAACAAUCACUAACAUAAUUUGUUAAAAUCACUUUAGUUUAUUUAUAAAAUAUUGAAAACUGAUUUUUUAUUUUUACAUUAAAAUAAAAAAAUUAAAUAAUGUUUUUAUAUUUUAUUUCAAAUUCAAUAUUUCAAAACAAAAACGAAAAUGAUGUGAUAUUAACCUCUUUGAUUAUAAAGUAAGUUUCUUAAUUAAAAGUAAAGUAAUAACAAAAUGCAUAUACAAUCACGUACAUCUAACUUUCUUUUCAAACUUGGAAGUUCUACUGAAUUUUGUUGGUUUCUUAGGGAGAAGAAGAGCUUUAAAAGAUAAAUGACUGAUAUGAAUUUUGUUGGUUUUUUAGGGAGAGACGUUUAAAGCCACUCCAAAUUAGUAGGAUACAUCUCUUUUUGCCGAAUUGAUAUGAAUUCGUUGGCUUGAUGAAAACUACAGAAAGUUCUGAAAGCAUCCUUAAUUAGUAUAAUUAGUAAACUCUUGUUAGUUUUGGUUAUAAGAUUUUGCUAUGUAUUUUUGCAUAGUUUUUACUAUUUUUUGGCCCUUAUUGUUUUUGUAAAUACAACUUUUAUUUUUAUUGUCGAUUUGUCAUUAGCUUUAUGGCACUAACACCAAUUAAUAAUAAAUCUUGGACUAUUAUUAAAUAAAAAAAAAAUAAAAACAUUGUUAAAACACCAAACUUGCAUAGUUCAAACCUAGAGAAACCCGAUGACAAUAAUCCAAUUUAGAAAAUAAUUAAUUUGUCCUUGUAGUCUUAGAAAAUAGUAUUUAAUCCUUAUGUUUUCAUAUUCAUCUAUGAUUUAAUCUCUUACAUCCAUUUCAUUUUCGUAUUAUUUUAAUCUAAAAAAAAUCACAUAUCAUGAAUAUCAAUUCAAAAUAAAUAAAAUGUUUAAAAAAUCUUUUAGUAUUGCACCUUUUGUUUUAAAAGAAAAUAAAACUACAAUAUAUUUGAUCAACUUAAAUUUCAUGGCCUUACCACACUAUGACAAUCAUGUAAAAAUUAAAUUUCAAAAUAUUAACCUCAUAGAAAAAAAAUACAUUGCGAAGACAAAUAUAAAAUAAACCAAAUGAUUAAAAAAAGUUCAAUCAAACAUAUCUUGUAAAAAUAUAUCCAGACAAUCAAAUAUUGGAUUGACAAAGGCAUUAUGGAAUAAUCUAUCAAAUCUACCGCUCAAGUUAUGAACUCAAGUAAGUUUAAUGAUUUUUUAUUAAAUUUAAUUUUUAUCUAAAUAUAAAAUAAUAAAAUUUUAAAAAAAGAAGAAGCAAAAAGGAGUCUAAAAGAGUGGGUUUGGUGGCCCAGCAUUCUUGAGCCUUCUUUUAAAAAAAGAAAACCUAGGUGUGCAGACCUUGUAGUCUAGCCCACGCCCUUGAGCGUGGUUUUGCUUUUUUAAAUUUUAGACCGAUGCAUCAUUGGUUGUUUGUAGAAUCUAGCGAUGGAAGGUUUCUGGAAAAACAAGACUAUGGUUUUGUUUUUUGCUAAAAAUAUGUUUUUCAACCCAAAACAUCUAGAAAAUAUAAUAAACACCUUGAUGAAUCUAUUUAUGGUCUUAACAACCUAAAAAAAGCUCAAAAAUCUAAAAUCAACUCAAACCUGAAAAUCUUCUUGUUGAGAGGUCUCCUUCAUCAAGUAAGGAAAAAAACAAAAAAAAAACACCUAGGUAAGACUUUCCUGAUCAAAUAAAAUCCAUUAACACCAAGAUUGACCAUUUUGGUAGUUGGAAUAGAAGUCAAUAAUAACAUUUUCUCUUUACAUCGGAAUCCAGCAAAUCUCUCUCUUCUUUUUAUAAACAAAGGACUAAAAAAAAAGUUUGGUACCUAAAUUGAAUUUCUAACAACUAAAGAGAUAAAUCACCUCUUAAUGAAACAAUUGGGACCAAACUAAGCUUUUCAUAUGAAAUUUGAAGUUGCCACCUAUUUUCCCCAUGUUUUUCACUUUGAUCAUCAUCUUUUAAUUCAACCAUUUCUUCAUAAAAAAGAAGCAACUUGCUAUUAAUUUGGGCUCAAAAGGGUGCGCAAUAGUGCAUGCUAAAAAAAUUGAGGAUCAAAUUGAAAAUUUUAAAAAAAUUAAUUGUUUUAAUCCAUAAUAAUUUGUGAAAGAAUGCACAGUAAAGAGAGAAAACAUCACACAGCUUUGAACACUUUAUGUGUUGACUGAAAUUGACAAGUGAGUUUACUCACAUAUUGUUAUAUUGGUUUUGAGUUCAAAUAGACGUUUAAAAAGGGAGUUUUUCAUGAAUACUGUCGCACGUCAAAAAAUCCACGCGCGCGGCAUCAGCUAGCAAUUUAUGUCUCGUUGUUUGUAUUUACUUGAAUACUUGAAUUUGUUUGUAUUUACUUGAAUUGAUUCGUUAGGAACGCCACCUAGUAUUUAAUUGAGGUUACUAGGAAACCCUGAUUUACUGGUCAUGAUCAGAGAUUCCCGGGUAGAAGACUGAUUGUGGUUAAAAAAGAUAUUAGCACCCCUAACACACCCUACCUGAGAUAAGCUGCUCCGCGGACUUGGUGUGUUAAAGAAAUUUUAAAAAAUUUAUCUUUUCAUUGGAUUUUAGAAAUACAACUUCCGUACAAGUUUGUACUUCUACACCGUGAUUCAAUCAAAAUAUUUAAAUCCUUCUUCAUUCCUGCCAACUUUAUCAUGAAAAAUUCACAAAAUAACACACACACCACAUUCAAACUUCGUGAGCUUGAUGUAAUUUAAAAAAUAAAAUUUUAGCCCACUUCUAAGGCUUCGAUACAUCAGUUAUUAAUUCCCAAAAUAUAUGUAGAAACAUGUUCUUAUAUUUUCAUGGAAAAUACAACAUGAUUUUAUCUAUUCUUAGAAUUUGUGCAUGUUCAAAUUAAACAAUUAAUUCUUUUUUAUCCUUUUUUAUUUUUAUAAUUCAACAACAUAAAAUAAAAAAAAACACCAACACACACACUCUUUUUAUUAUUAUUUUCUUUUCUUUUCUUUUCUUUUACAUUCACAUACUACAAAUUUAAAAUAAAUAAACAAAAAUUACAUUAAAACUUUAAAAUUUACAAAAUGGUCCCCCAAAACUCCGGGAAUUGCAGAGGAACACUUCUGGAAUCGCAGCAACAGUGCUGGAACAGUGGCGGCGCGUCUUCCCACGCGUCACUGCCACUGGCGGCGCGUGGGUUCACGCGCCGUCGCUGGAAAACCUGACAAACAGGGGUGCGUGGAACGGCUUCCUCCCCUCUUCAAUUUUCUGCCGGCGGUGAGCGUUCGGUCACCUGCAAACACAUAAAAAAACGCAAACAAAGCAGUUGAUUUUAGUUUUUUUUGUUUCAGAUCUGUUUUUAAAUUUUUUCUUCUGCCCGUUUCGGAGGCCCUGUACUUUGGUGGCGAGAAGGGGUGACGGCGCUGCUGUGGCCGCUGUCGGGUGGUCUGUGACCGACAGUGAGGGAACAGACGAGGUCUGUGCUGCUGGGUCUCCAGUGAUGGCUGGUCGCAGAGGAUGAAAAAGAGAGUGUCGGUCGCCGGAGAAGGUGCUGGAAGUCAGAUCGUCCGGGGAGAGAGGAGCUGUUGUUGGUGCUGAAAAGGGGAGGCUUCUGGCGAGAAGAUCUUGGCCGAGUGAGAGUCGGGUCUGUGAGGAGGAACUGCUGAGAGGGAGAUCGGAUGAGGUGGCUGUCGGUUCUGGUUCGUUUUUAGAGAAGAUGGAAAUGGGGCUCUGGUUCUGUGAGCUGGAGGAUGGCAGAUCGGUGAGGGAGAAAAAUAAGAGGUGAAGUCUUUGGUUCUCCGUUUUUUUCCUUUCCAAAAGGGAGUAGGGGGCUGCGGCUAUAGUGUUGGAAAAAUGGGGAGAAAGAUAGGGCCGGCCGCUGGAAAUGGUUCUGAGGAAGAGAAUCAGGGGUUGUCUUGUGUUAGAGGGUGAGAUUUUUGGCAAGGAAAAAAAAUGAUGAUGGCUUCGGGUAGUUUUUGAAAGAAGGGUGGUGGCCGGGGAGAAGAGAAAAUAAAUCAAAAGGGGAGCUGGCAGCUGUGAUCGGAGAAGAAGGAAAAAAUUUCCCAAAAGGGGGGGGGGACUCCCUGGCGGCUGCUUUCAGUAGGGAAGAAGAAAAGUUUAGUUUUUUAGGGUUCUCUCUUUCCUCCCCAAAAUUACAAAAUGAACCCCUCCACUAAUUUUUGUAGGCUGCUAUUUAUAGGCAUAGCAUUUUUUCGGGUCUCAAAAUUGGUCCCUCAAUUUUUCAAUCAAUUCACUUGGUAAAAAUUAAAUUUGGUCUUAAAAUUUCAAUCUUUUCAAUUAAGUCCAAAUUAGGCUCCCAAACUUAAUUUUUCACCAAUUAAGCCCCCAAAUUAAUUUGACCCAUUUAAAGUAUAAUUAAGUCCUUGCACUUAAUUAAAUCCUUCAAUUGGACCUAAAUUAAUUCUUAAACAUAAUUAAAAUUUAAUUUGGCCCAUGAUUAAAUCAAAUUGGCCAUUAAAAAUUUCAUUAUGUCAUUGAACUUAAUUUUUAUGCAAAUUCAUCCAAUAAUCAUUUAAUUUGACCUUCGAAUUUGCAUUUAAUUUGACCUUCGAUUUUUGCCUAUUUUUGCAGUCUUUUUUCAUUGGCUUCCUCCACAGUGCCAGCCUUUAUUCUAUUUUUUUAUUUUUAUUUUGAAAAUUUGGGGAAUGACCCAGAAUUGGGUUAUGACAAAUACAACCCUUCAUGUAUUCAAUAUGAAUGAUGGGAGAUUUUAAUGUCUUGUGAAUGCAUUCAUUUAUAUAUGGAUGAUUUUGCUAAGAAUUGAUUGGUAAAAUACUUAAUUUCGUUAUAUAAAAACCGAAGAGAGAACAAUAAAUAGCUAAGAAUUGAAAUGCAAAAAACUAAUUUGCAUAUAACACUAAGUUUUGCAACCAUUUCUCUACUUUCUAUGCUAUUGGCUUGCUAAAAACUAAAGAAAAGACAUUGCUCUAGUUGUCUGCCUUCACUCUUCAGAUUGCUCAACAAAUCCCUUGAGACCUCCUCCAUAGUUAACACAUCACAUAAUGGCUACUCUAAAAAAUUUAGCCACGGUCCCCAGCCCCUUUGGGAUUUUCUUCUUCUCCCCUGCACCCGAAGGAGAGGGGGUGAUUUUCCAUUUUCUUCUUCCUCAGCUGCUGGACCCAACAACAGACCUUCUCAGCCGGUUCACUUCCACUUUCUCAGCCGGCUCCCCCUUUUCCUUUCCUUUCCUUCUUCUCCUUCAACCAGAAACAACAACGCCUCCCUCUCUCACCCCUCACCGGCCAAACACAGCUCCCCCCUUCAGCCGGUUCUCCCUCUCCCGAGGUCGCCUCCUCUUUCCCUCACCAGACUGACCCGUCUUCUCCCCUCAGCCGCAAGCCUCCCCUUCAGCUACACGACAGCCACCCCAUUUCCCCCGAUCUGUCCUUCCUUCUCUCUUGAACCAGCCAGCCACCGAGCCUUCCCCUCAGCAGCGUCUUACUUCUCUAGUCUCCUCAACACUCUCCUCUCGCCGACUAGCCUAACAGGCGACAACAGCAAGACCCGCGGACAACGACAGUCAGCGAUCUUCUCAAUCAAGCACCGGGCGAGCCAUCGCCCUCCUCCGUUCGCCUCAACAGUAGCCCGAAGCUACAUAACCGCCGGAUCUGUUACCUGUAGAAUAAAAAUCAACAAACCAUGAGAAGGAGAGAAGCCAUGAAAGAGCAGAUCGGAGAGGGGGAAAACGAAAUAAAAACCAUUGCUCGUUGCGUUUUCUUGGCUUUGUAGGUGAUGUUACUCCCCACCGCCGGUGCUGAAGGGGACAGGAGGAGAAAACGGCUAAGAUCCAUCCAUUUCCAGUUGCUGGCGGUGGCGCGUGAACCCAAGCUCCGCCAGUGGCGGUGGCGCGUUGGCGACGCGCCGCCAUUGUUCCUGCGGGUGGCAGAAGGGCAAUGCUGCAAUUUCUGGAGUUUAGGGACUAUUUUGUAAAUUUUGUAAAUUAUGUAAUGUAAUUUUUAUUUAGUUUGAAUUGUUUUUAUAAUUUGUAAUGUGAUGUAUAAAAAGAACAAAAAAAGAAAAGAAAAGAAAAGAUUGAGAAAAUAAUAAUAGAAAAGGAGUUGUGUGUGUGUUUGGUAUUUUUUCUAUGUAUGUUAUUGAAUCAAAAGAAAAAAAUGAAUUUAAUAUUUUAAUUUAUAUGCACAAAUAUCUAAAGGACAGAUAAAAAUCAUGUUGUAUUUUCCAUAAAAAUGUAGAACAUGUAUCUACGUAUAUUUUGGAAAUUAAUAACUGAUUUAUCAAAGCCUUAGAAUUGAGCUAAAAUUUUAUUUUUAAAUUCAUAUCAAGUCUAUAAAGCUUGAAAGUGAAUGUGUGGUGUUUAUUUUGUUUAUGAAUGUUUUUCUUUUAUGAUAAAAUUACAAGAAUAAAGAAGAAUUUAAUAUUCUGAUUUGCUCACGGAUAAAGAAUUAUGAACUUACACGUAAGUUGUAUUUUCUAAAAUUCGAUGAAAGAACAGAAUUUUUAAGACUUCUUUAACACAUCAAGUCCACAAAGCAGCUUACCUCAGGUAGGGUGCGUUAAGGGUGCUAAUACCUUCCCUAACCACAACCAGUCCCUUACCCGCGAUCUCUGACAAUACCAGUACAUCAGGUUUCCUAGUAGGCCUCAAUGAAUUACUAGGUGGUGACUCUAAAGAACCAAAUCAGCAAAACAGAACGAGAAAUCGCCAGCCGAUGCCGCGCGGAUUUUUUUCGACGUGCGACAUCAGUAGUCCUCAUUACACGCUCGACUCUUGCAGGCACAUUUGCCCCCAGUCAGAUGAAUGGCCUCCUGGAACAGAUUUCAUAUGAGUACUACAAGCAUGCAGCGCCAGAUAAAAUCUUGACAUUGCAUCACACAAUCACCAAAAUUCAAAGUAACAAAACGAAGAACAAAAUGUGAUAACAAUGACAAUGAUCACUCAACCACAGCCGAAUCUUAUGCUUUGAAGACACUUUUCAUCAUUAAUUUUCCUUUUCACAUUGAUUUUCAAUGUUCCAGACAUAUAAAAUAGCAUUGAUUUACAACCAUGGUUUUAAGGCAUCAUUAUUGGCAAAAACAUUGUAGGACAGAGCAAACUUAAAGAUCAAUGCUUCAGUUGUCAAUCAUAUUAAUAAUUUAUAUUUGAUCGCCUGAAAGGGCCUAGAAUAGGACCAGGUAAAAGUUUGUUUCUAUCUAAGAAAGCAAGGUCUCCACAAACUACCCCCAAUUUCGCCACUACAGCUCAAGUAGCUUUGAGUCAUUCCAACAAAUUGAAAUUGAAUUCAAAGGAAUAAAUCAUUAAAUGCAGGGCUCCUAUGUGGGAAAGGGAAAAUGAUUCACUAUUAAAAUAAGAAAAGCUCAAACACAAAUUAUAGCUUCACUUUUUGUGAAUUAUAUCUCAUAUUUCUUUGACUAUAUGUGUGUUGUAACCCAUUUUUAGAUCCCCAUAAAAAAUAAAAUAAAUAGCCAAAAGAGGUUAGAAAAAUAACAGGAGGCAGAAGCGCUCAGAAAACAGUCAGAAAAAUUGGUCAAGGAAUUUAAAAAUACAAGGAUUAAAUUUUUGACAGUAUAUUCUUGAAGGAUGAAAUCCCUAUUGAGAAGGAAAAUUUGAAUUUUGAGGAGAAAAGCCAAAAUUUGGAUGUUUAUGGACUUAAUUGGAUUUUUAUUUGAAUUUAUAGAGGAUUUGAUUGCAAGAAAAAUUGAUUUUUAAGUCAAUUUGGGCUUUAAUUAGAAGAAAUUUAAGUUCUGGGGCCAAAAUAUAUUUUUUAGGAAUUUAUUAGGUCAAAUCAGGGGCUUAAUUGCAUAAAUAUUGAAGUUUAAUGGCCAAUUAGGGACUUAAUUGUGAAAAUCCGAAACCAGGGACCAAUUUGGAAAAGGCGCAAAGAUAGAGGGGGCUAUUUGGAAUUGAUUCAGGGGCUUAAUUGAAGAAAUUGGAAGUUUAUUGAUCAAUUAGGGGGUUAAUUGUGAAAAUCAGAGGCCAAGGACAAAAGUGAAAAACGCGGCCAACUAUAGGGGCAGGGACCGAAUUUGGCAGGGACGCAAUUGAAUUUUAUUCUUAAAAUCAGGACUCGAUUGAAGGACUUAAUAGAACAAAUGAUAAAUUAAGGACUGAUUCAAAAACAAAUGUUCUGGCGCCUUUUUUUAAAUGAAACGACGCAGUUUCAUACAUAAAAAAAAAAAAAAAGAAGAGAGAGAAGACCGAACGGUGCCGUUUUGAACAGACAGCGGGGAAGAAGGAAAAGAUUGCAUUGUUUAAUUCGUUUUGAACCAACCAAGGCCCCACGCCGGUGGGCCACCGACAGAAGACACUGGCCGACCACCCGCCGCGCUCCCGAAACCGAGGGAGGCCCGCUUGGACAGCCGCUCCUCGACACGCUCCUUGGCUCCACGGUGAAGCCACGCUCACUGGCUCUAUAAAUAGAGAACCGAAAGAGAGAACAGGGGAUGAAAAAAGAAAAAGAAAAGGAAUCCGAAGAAAACUAAAAAAUGAAGAGAGAGAGGAAGAGAGAGAAACAACCCAACUGAGGAGAGAGAGCAACCGAAAACCCAAAAAAACCAAGAGAAGAGUGAAAGUUUGACGCUGGGAGGGAAUUUAGAAAACAAAAACCAAGAAAUAGAACCGAGAGGGCGUCGCCGGAUUGUUUGGAAAUCACCGUGAGGAGUCGCCGUCCGUGAUCUAGGACGCUGCAACCGCCUCCACCGCAGCACCGCCAGCAAGUCGUCGUCUCCGCUGUGCCAGGUACGCUUCCUCCCCCCGCAUUUUUUUUCUUCUGAAACUUGCAUGAGUUGGCCUCUUGCAUGCAGAAUCGUUCUGCAUGCAGGAGGCGGGGGGGAAAAUAAUUCCCCCCCGUGCUGUAGUUUUCUUUAUUCUCUAGGCCAGAUGAUUUCUGGCCCAGAAAUAUAUGGGAUGGGCCAGAAGGAUUCUGGCCCAACCCGGCGGUCUGGGCCGGUUCCGGCCCAGACCCAGGUAGGAUAGUUGUUGGGCCGAGAUCGGCCCAGUCCCUUUUGGCCCGAGUCUGGCCCAACGAUUUUUGGGGCUGAGUCCCGCCCAUUUAGUUGGGCCGGCCCAGCCCACUUAAUAUAUUAAUAUAUUUAUUAAAUUAAAUUAUAUUAUUAUAUUAUAUUAUUAUAUUAUUAUAUUAUAUUAUGCAUGUAUAUAUAUAUUUUUUUAAAAAAAUAAAAAAAAAUCCGAAAAGUCUAAAAAAUAUUGUUGUUUUCUUUUCAUAUAUAUAUAUAUAUAUAUAUAUAUAUAUUUAUAUACAUUAGUUUGUAUUUUUAUACUGUGGAGAUACAAACUCAGUGUUUAAAAUACCCAGUUUUCGUCAAGACAUUCAAGAUUUUCAAAGACAAAAAAAAAACAUGUCUGUUUGCUUUCAAAAAUUCUAAAAAAUUCCUUAAAAAUAUUAUUGAUUUUUCCUGCACAUUGUUUUUUGUUUUUUUAUAUUGGUUUGUAUUUUUAUACUGUGGAGAUACAAAUUCAGUAUUAAAAUACCCGAUUUCGUCAAAAAAAAAUGUUUACAAAAAAAAAAAUGUGUUUUCUUGCGUGUUGCAUACGGCCAAUACUCUAACAUGUUUUGAAUGUUCUUUUUAUAAAAAACAAAUAUUGGAAGCUUUGAAAAUGUGUUUUCGCAUAGAUUUCUUAAACACAAACUACUUUCUUGCAUUUCUGGAUUUUACAACAUGUUUGUAAAACUCCAAAGGGUAUUGGCCAAUAUUCCAAAAACUAUAAAAAAUUUUAUUCACCGCUAAUGUUUGGAUAAAGAAAUUCUUAAAGGACGAAUAUCCAAAAUAUUAGUGGGAGUAAUAAAUCUGCACACAUCUUUGAAAGAAGCCUUGAUUAUAAUCGAGGACAUUUCAAAAUUUCAAAAAAAAAAUUUCCCUUCACGGUUUACGAGCCGUGAAUGUAUGAAAUACUAAGGCAAGAUGUUUUUUUUAAGCAUUGUGAAUUUUCUUAGAUUUCUAAUUUGUUCCUCCUCCUUGCGAUUUACGAGUCGCAAACUCUUGAAAUACUAAGGGAAAAAUGAGCUUUCAAAGCACAUGGAAUCUCCUUAGAUUUCUACCCAAAAUAAAUUGACGGGACUAGAAAACACCAACACCAUAGAUUAUAGAGCAAACCAAACACCAAGCAGCUUACCUUAGGUAUGGCGUACUAGGGGUGCUAAUACCUUCCCUUUACGCAACCAGUCCCUUACCUUAGAAUCUCUGAAAGACCAGUUAGGGUUCCUAGUGACCAAAAUACUAGGUGGCGACUCCAAAACACCAAAUCAGUAAAAUAAUGAAAAAUCGCCAGUCGAACCCGCAAUUGGAUUGGAUUUUUUUUGGGGUGCGACAGAAUGGCGACUCCACUAGGGACCCUUGGACUAAGCUUGAUUUGUUUGUUCGUUUAUGCUAUGUGUGAUUGGUUUUUAUUUUCUUAUGAUGCUUUGUUUAAAAGCUUUAGCAUAUUUCUUUACAUUCUAUCAUACAUGGCAUAGUCAUGCAUUACUUUAUUAUUAUUAUUAUGUUUUGGAGGGCACACACAUGUAACUUUAAGAUUAAGUGGGGGACUAGCAGCUUGCCUUAUGACUUGAGUCAAGGUUUAAGUUUGUGUAAACCCCAACUCUUUGCUGAGUGUUUAGACUAUUGUGAUUGGUACAUGUACCAUCCCACUAUCUGCUAGACCUCCAUAUCGCCUUUACGAGGUUGAUCACUGGAACAACAAGAGACCCUCUUUUAGAGACCCAGUAGUAAACCUACCCUAUGUCUCACGUAGAGGAACUAGAACCUAUCCUUAGGGUGUAUGUUCCAAUAUAUCUUUUGCAUCAAAACAAGUCUAAACCCCAAUGCAUUUUGAAUUGCAGGACUUGUGAACGAAAUGACCAUCAUCACUAAAUCUUCCAUCUUAGAGUAUGGAAACAAUUCUGAACUGUCACAAUUGACUGAAGGAGACUACCUUAGAAGCGAUGCUAAGAAGAUGUCACCAAUCAAGAACCUGAAUUGCAUAUUGAAUGAGGUGAACAAAUUAACGACUCAUUUUCAGAAUGUGGAUAAAGAUGCAUUUUUUAGGAAAUACGGACGUUUGAUGGAAAUUGCAAAGGUAGAAGUUUUAAGCCCAGCUGUGCGAGCUUUAGUUCAUUUUUGGGAUCCAGACUACCGAUGUUUUUCCUUUGGAAGCAUAGACUUGUGCCCAACGGUUGAGGAAUAUGGAUUGUUGACCGAGUUUCCCAACGACCUGUAUCAGAUUUAUUCUCCUUUAAGAUCCGACAAGAUCAUCCCUGAACUGUCAAAAUUGCUCAGAAUCUCCAACUUGGAAAAGUUUAUGGAAAAGAAUGGUACCGGUUUGAAAUGGAGGAUGCUAGAAUUGGAAAAGAAGUCGGGAGUAGAAAAAGAGAGAUUGAUUGCCCUAGGUAUAUUUGGCCUUGUGUUGUUCCCAAGUCAGAUUGGUUUAGUGAGUUUGGAGGCCGCUGCUGCUUAGGUGGAAUAUGAGAAUACACAAAUCAAUCUAGUGGCUGCUUUUUUAGCCGAAACAAUUUUGACACUUAAUCAUUAUAGGAGGGCCGGAAAAGGAGCAAUGAGAUGUUGCACGCAACUGUUGUAUAUUUGGAUGGUUAGCCAUAUCGAAACAAAGAAACCUGUCUUCAAUAAUUUUUGGUGGUUCACCUAAAAACCCCUAAAGUUAGUAGAAGAAGAAGAAUGGGGAGAUCUAGACAACCAGGGUUGGGUUGAUAAAUUAGAAGGUUUACCUAAUAGAGAUUUUAAGUGGAGAGCCCCAUGGGUAACGACAGUGAAGGUCCUAAUGAGUUGUGGACAAAGGCGUUGGGUACCAUUGGUGGGGAUUACGGGUUAUGUGAGUUAUGCUCCUGCCUUAGUGGUAAGACAACUUGGGGUCAUGCAGUUCGUUCCCAGGACUAUGGGAAUCGCUUAAUUCUCUGGUUUGUUCAAAGAUCCCAUGGCAGAUGAGGUUUUGGAGAUCAUCAAACAAGAUUGGAAGCAUCUAGUGUUGGUGGAGAUAGAAGGGUUGAGAGAUCCAAGUGUGAGCGAAGGAUAUGUAAAAUGGAGAGACUCAGCUACUUCAGCCACGCCUUGCGUAGAAGCUAAAUCUCCUCAAGCUGUAGCGGAGCCUAUUAAGAGAAAAAGGGUGAACAUUGAAGAUGAUUCAGCUGCUUCAGCCAUGCCUUGUGUAGAAGUCAAAUCUCCUCAAACUGUAGAGGAGCCUAUUAAGAGAAAGAGGGUUAGCAGUGAAGAAGAAUUGAGAAGGCAAGUGGAAAAACUGAGAAUAGAGUUGAGCAAGAGCAGAAAAGACAAGGCAAUGUUGGAAGAAAUGAUGCUAGAAGAGGAUAAAAGAAGAACAUUUCUAGAUGAGCAAAUACAGUCUAGAGAUGCGAAAAUAACAAAGCUGGAGUUAAAGUUGGUUGAGGAGAAGAUUGCUAGGGAAGGAAGUGAGAAGGAGCUUAAAGGGUUGAGUUUGGAUUGGAUGCAAAGUUGCUCUGAACUUGAAGCAAUGGAGAUGGACUUUAGCGAUUGCCAAGAAAGUGCAGAAUAUUACCAAGAAAAAUUUGCGCAAGUGCAAUUCGAACUAAUGGAUAGGAUUAGGAAGUAUGAGGAUUUGAAUAAGAAAUAUAUGGAGUUGGAAAGCGAAAGGGGAGGAUGCGAGGAUGUUAAAGCAGAGUUAGCGGUCAAGAAAAAUGAGAUAAAAGUUAUGAGGAUAAAGCUUGACAAAGAACGCGAAAAGUCGAAGCAUUUAGACGAGAAGCUAGUAGCAAUGGAAAAGCAUAAAGAUCAAAUUGACGCCAACAACACUGCUUUGAACAGAACCAACAUGUUGCUAAUAGAAAAAAUGACCAAAACAGAUGAGCAAAUGGACGAAGCUGCUGCACAUGCUCGAAUUGUUAGAAUCAAUGCGCGGAAUGUAGGAGGAGACAUCAUUCGCUAUCGCCGAAGCCUAGCUGAAACUGAUGCCUUUCUAGGGAAGAUUGAGAACCGCGGCUUUGCUUUCUUACCUUUGGCUAAAGAGUUUAGGGAGGAAAGGGAUUAGCAUGUUGUAUUUCUUUUAUUUCUAAAUGUAUUUUUAUCCAAGCGUUAAUGAAAAGGGCGUUGACCCAUCUUCUUAUGCAAAAAUCUGUCUCUUGGUGAACAUGAUUCAAGCAAACGACUCGAAAGGCAGAACUCCUAUCAAAGCAAUGUGACAAGAGAAUGCUUAUAAUGUGAUGGUUGUUAUUCGUUCACAAAAAAAGGCUGCAUCCAUACCCAAUGAAACAUGCAUUUUUCAAUCAUGCAUCCAUCACAAUCAUACAUUUUUCUCAUACAUCUAUGCAUGCAUCUGCAGAUUAAGAAACAUAGGUCCCCCUUCUAGAAUCCACAACACUCGACAAAGAACAAGAAUGGAAAACGAAGAAAGGUCACAACCAGAAGCUCAGUACCAAAGAGAACUUGAAGGAGUUCGGAAUGAUGUGGCGCACCUAACCAGUAUGUUAGAGCAGAUAUUGAGAGCCAGAGAUGGAGAGGGAACGUCUACUCAACCUAAUGAAGCACCAGCAGCAGCUCAAAUUCCUGUCGCACCUAUAAACAUAGGGGCAAAUACACCAACUAAGCAGAGUCCUAGUCCUGCUCGGCCCAUCCAAAUCCCUAUUACAAUGGAUUUAACAAACGAAGAUCCACAUGACUUUAAAUUCUUUAAUCAUGAAGGAGAUGAUAAGUGGACUGCACUAGAAGAGAGGCUAAGGGCAAUUGAAGGAAAUGAUUUGUUUGACCCCAUUAGGGUCGCUGAAGUAUGUUUAGUGCCUAACAUUGUUAUUCCAAAGAAGUUCAGAGUGCCAGAGUUUGUUAAGUAUACUAGGAUGGAAUGCCCAAAGACCCAUCUCCGCUCCUACUAUAACAAAAUGGCAGAGGUUAUCCACGACGAUAAAAUGUUAAUUUACUUCUUCCAGGAUAGCCUGACCGGAUCGACCCUCAGUUGGUAUAUGAGGUUAGACAACAUUAGGAUCAAGAAGUGGACGGACCUGGCAGAUGCUUUCUUAAAGCAAUACAAGUUUAAUCUUGAGAUUGCUCCUGAUAGGACCAGUCUGAUUACCAUGGAGAAAGGAACUCAAGAGUCAAUGUACAACCUCCGCUAAUAGAAACAGAAAUGGUGACGUUGUUUGCUAAUACUUUUAAGGCUCCAUACUAUGAACACCUUAUGGGUAGUUCAGCACAACAUUUCUACGAUGUUGUGCAGAUUGCUGAGAGGAUUGAACAAGGAAUCCGAAGUGGGAGAAUUGCACCUAUAGAGAAGAGAGGUUUCAUUGGAAAGAAGAAAGAAAAUGAGGUGAAUAACCUAGAAAGGAGAAGCAAAAACUACCAAAUACCUACCACCUGAGUCACUAGUAUUAACUUUUCCAAACCCCCCAUUCCAAACCAACCCAAUCAAAUAAAAUUCCCAGCAAAUAACCACAUCAAUUACCAAAGAAAGGAUAACCAACCAUCAGAAGAACAACUACCUCCUUUACCAAUAACCUUAAAAGAAUUGUAUGCCAAGCUGUUGAGUAUUGGACAGAUAGCUCCCCUACCCAUACCACCUAUGCAACCACCUUUCCCUACCUGGUACAACCCCGAGGUGACUUGUGAAUACCAUGCUGGUCACGCGGGCCAUAACAUUGAGUCUUGCUUUGCUUUUAAAAGAAAGGUGUUGUAACUGAUCAAAGUGGGAUGGGUCACUUUCGAGGAUUCGCCUUUUGAAAAUGAUGUGUAAAUGCAUAGUAAGACAUCAAGAUGAAUUUUGAAAAUGCAUGAUCUCAUUAAAAACAAAAGAUUGGCUCACAAACAAAAUAAAAUCCAAUUGACAUCUUGAGCCUCGAUUGUCAAUGAAUAAAAACAAAACAGAAAAAAGGCAAACAACAUAGUUAAAAAUAUAAUCCAACAAUCAUUGUUGAUUACAUUUUAAAAACCAAUGGAGCUUCUUGGGUCUCCCAAUUCUAGAACUUCUCCCCUUCGGCUAGCUUCCGAACAAAAGUCUUGACGGUGACUUCUUCCAAAGUGUGGAUGGUUAAUUGUGGCAGCUCUUCAUCCCUCCUUUCGGAUUCAAUUUUCUCAGCAAUGUCCUUGACUUGAUUUUCCUCCAGAAUGUUUAUGCCCUUUGGGACGCUGGUUUUUUGGAAGUAGUGAAGUAUCCACAAUGGGUGUCAAAACAUAGUGGUGGUACCCAAAAAGGAAGGUAAAAUCAGAGUUUGCGUGGACUUUAGGGACUUAAAUCGGGCUAGCCCUAAAGAUAAUUUCCCUUUACCACACAUAGAUAUGUUAGUUGAUAAUGCAGCACACAGCUCCACAUAUUCCUUCAUGGAUGGGUUUUCAGGCUACAAUCAGAUAAGAAUGGCGCCAGAGGAUAGGGAGAAGACAACCUUUGUAACACCAUGGGGAACCUUUUGCUACAAAGUCAUGCCAUUUGGUUUAAAGAAUGCUGGGGCCACUUACCAAAGGGCUAUGGUGACUUUGUUUCACGACAUGAUGCACAAAGAGAUUGAAGUAUACGUGGAUGACAUGGUUGCUAAAUCUAAAGAGGGAGAGAAUCAUGUCCAAAUAUUGAAGAAAUUAUUUGAAAGAUUAAGGAAAUAUAAGUUCAGGCUUAGCCCAACAAAGUGUUCAUUCGGGGUGUAAUCCGGUAAGCUGUUGGGGUUUAUGGUGAGUGAUAAAGGGAUAGAAGUGGAUCUUGAAAAAGUAAAAGCUAUUCAAUCUAUGCCACCCCCCAAGACUGAGAAGGAGGUGAGAGGUUUCUUAGGAAGGUUGAAUUACAUCGCUCGGUUUAUAUCCCAUUUAACCGCGACUUGUGACCCGAUCUUUCGUUUGUUGAGGAAGAAGAACCCUGGAAUAUGGAAUGAAGAGUGUGAUAAAGCUUUUGAGAAAAUCAAGCAGUACUUGCUAAAUCCACCUCUGCUUGUUCCUCCCGUACCAGAAAGGCCAUUGAUUUUAUACCUAACAGUAACCGAAACAGCAAUGGGAUGUGUGCUUGGGCAACAUGAUGAAACCGGAAGGAAGGAAAGGGCCAUUUAUUACCUAAGCAAGAAGUUCACGGAAUAUGAGUCUAGGUAUACUGUGAUUGAGAAGCUGUGUUGCGCACUAGCAUGGGCUACAAAGAGAUUACAUCAGUAUAUGUUGUAUCACACUACAUGGUUAAUUUCCAAGUUAGACCUAUUAAGGUACAUUUGUGAAAAACCUUAUCUAUCUAGCCGAAUUGCAAGAUGGCAAGUUCUUUUGGCUGAGUAUGACAUAGUAUAUAUGACAAGGAAAGCCGUGAAAGGGAGUGUUAUUGCCGAUCACCUGGCUGACCAUGCUAUGGAAGAUUAUGAGCCGUUAAACUUUGACUUUCUCGAUGAAGAUGUGUUUGCAAUCGAGGAAGAGAAAUCAGAUUGGUGGGUUAUGUACUUUGAUGGUGCUGUAAAUGUAUGUGGUAACGGAGCAGGUGCAAUAAUAAUCUCUCCUGAUAAGAAGUAGUAUCCGGUUUCAGUUAAGCUGCAGUUUGGGUGCACCAAUAACACGGCUGAGUAUGAAGCUUGCAUUCUUGGUUUAGAGGCUGCCUUAGAGAUGAACAUAAAAAAGAUAGAUGUGUAUGGAGACUCAAUGCUGAUCAUUUGCCAAGUAAAAGGAGAAUGGCAAACCAAAGAAGAGAAGUUAAGGCCUUACCAAGAAUACCUAUCUAAGCUAGCUAAAGAAUUUGAGGAAAUAGAGUUCACCCAUCUAGGAAGGGAAGGGAACCAGUUUGCAGAUGCUUUGGCCACACUAGCAUCUAUGGCCAAGAUAGACUUUGGGCACAAGGUACAACCAGUACACAUCAAUAUCAGAAAUAACCCCGCUCAUUGCUGCUCAGUCGAAAGAGAAGUGGAUGGAAACCCGUGGUACUAUGAUAUCAAGAAUUUCAUCCAAAACCAGGCAUAUCCCAUGGGGGCAUCCAAAAUCGACAAGAAGACCUUGAGAAGGUUGGCAAUGGAUUUUUAUCUUGAUGGGGAGAUUUUGUAUAAGAAAUCAUCUGACGGGACUUUGUUGAGAUGUUUGGAUGAAUUUGAGGCAAAAAGCACGGUACGGGAAGUCCAUGAAGGGAUUUGCUCAACUCAUGCUAGUGGACAUGUGAUGGCCAGGAAGAUACAAAGAGCCGGGUACUUCUGGAUGACAUUAGAGAAGGAUUGUAUCGAUUAUGUCCGGAAAUGUCAUAAGUGCCAAGUAUACAGUGAAAAUCAAUGCUCCUCCGGCUCCUCUGUUUAAUUUAACAUCUCCAUGGCCUUCGCGAUGUGGGGAAUUGAUGUGAUUGGACCGGUAAACCCAAAAGCCAGCAAUGGUCAUAGGUUUAUUCUCGUGGCUAUCGACUACUUCACAAAAUGGGUAGAAGCUGGGUCAUUUGCUCAUGUGACGCAAAAAGUGGUGAAAAAUUUAUUGAGAGAGAUUUGAUAUGUCGGUAUGGUCCACCAGAAAAGAUUAUAACUGAUAAUGCCCAAAUUUCAACGGCAAGAUGAUAAUAGAGCUCUGCACUAAAUGGAAAAUCAAGCAUUCCAAUUCUUCGCCAUAUAGACCAAAGAUGAAUGGUGCGGUAGAAGCUGCUAACAAAAUGUCAAAAAGAUUAUUCAGAAGAUGGUAGUCACCUAUAAGGAUUGGCAUGAGAUGUUGCCAUUUGCCCUUCAUGCAUAUCGCACCGCAGUUCGAACCUCAACAGGAGCCACCCCGUACAUGUUGGUAUAUGGAAUGGAGGCGGUGAUGCCUUUAGAAGUGGAAAUCCCAUCAUUGAGAGUGUUGUUAGACUCUGAGCUGGAAGAGGUAGAAUGGGCAAAGGUUAGAUAUGAACAGUUGAAUCUGAUCAGUGAAAAGAGGAUAGCCGCGAUCUGUCAUCAUCAACUCUACCAAAGAAGGAUGGCUAAAUCAUAUGACAAGAAGGUUCGACCUCGAGGAUUCCACGAAGGAGAUCUUGUACUAAAGAAAAUAUUACCUUUACCUGGAGAAGAUCAGAGUAAAUGGGCACCUAACUACGAGGGGCCUUACGUGGUGAGGAAAGCAUUCUCAGGAGGAGCUUUGUUACUGUCUAGAAUGGAUGGAGAAGAUCUAGCUAGGCCUGUGAAUUCCGACUCUGUAAAGAAAUACUACGCUUGAUGUAUUUCGUAAUUUCCCAGUCAAUAAAAUAAAUUUCGGCCAUGAAUUCUCUUUGUAAAGAGUCCUUUUUAUAUAUAUAUAUAAAACAUAUGAUCUCAUAGCAUUUGAAAUCUUUUACUUAAAAGAAUUUUUUUGCAUGACUAAGAAGAUGACUCCAUCAAUUGGAGAGAACCAAAUCAAAUCUGCUUGACAUAUAGUUGCACAUCACACUAGGGGGCAAAAGGUGCACGAAGUGCACAUAAGGGUCCAUAGUGAACCCAAGCCAAAAAGGGGUAUCAUAAUAAAAACUUCUGAAAAAGGCAUCUUUUAUAAGAUUUGCUAAUUGCAUUAAAAGUUUCAGUUUUCAUGAACAAAACCAAUUUUUCCUUUUAAAAUAAUAAAGCACAGAAAUCAAUGGAGCAAGAAAGGGCCCCAUAAGGAACCAGAGAUCUCUUCACUAAAAGGAUAUGAAGUAUAUUUCGGUUCAUGAGAAAAGCUUGAAACAAGAGCUCGAAGAGGUUUACGACGAAAGGGGGACCUAUGUUUUCAAGAUAGGUAACAAAAACAUACAUCCAUAUUGACCAUAAUACAUUUCUUUCAACAUUUGUCAGAUCGGGGUUUCAUCACCACUUCUCGGGUUGUGCGUUUGUUUUUAAACCCUACCUCAUUUCGAGUGCGCAUUUGAGCCCUCACUUCUUGGGUAGUGCGUUUUCUAACCCUACUUCUUUUUUAGUGAGCUGUGUUGUAACCCAUUUUUGGGUCCCCACAUAAAAAAAAUAAAAAUUCAAAAAAUAUAUUAUCAAAAAAUAUAACAGUGAAAAAAUGCUAGAGCGCCCUAAAAAUGCUCAAAAUUUGAUUGAGGAUGUUCAAAAAUCAAAAAUUAAUUUUUGACAGUAUAUCAUUGACUGAUGAGAGCCCCGAUGAUAAAGAAAAUUCAAUUUGUGGAAGAAAAAUGCAAAAUCAGAAGUUUAUGGACUCAAUGAAAUUUUAUUAAAGGUUUAAUUGCAUUUAUGAAGAUUUUAAUUGCAAGAAAAAUUGAUUUUGGAGUUAAUUUGGGCUUUAAUUAGGAGAAAUUAAUUUUCUAGGGUCAAAUUAUAAUUUUUGGAAGUUAAUUUGGUCAAAUCAGGGGCUUAAUUGCAUAACUAUUGAAGUUUAAUGGCCAAUUAGAGACUUAAUCGAAGAAAUCCGAGACCAAGGACUAAAAUGCAAAACGCGCGCAAAUUGAGGGACUUCUUUGAAUCUGACGCGUUUUGGCGCCUUUUUCUUUUAAAUGAAACGGCGCGUUUUGACCAAAACAGCGCCGUUUCAUUCACUGUUGCAAAAAAAAAAAAAAAAAAAAAAAAACAGAAGCCCAAAACGGUGCCGUUUUGACGACACUGUAGGUCUUCUUCUUCCCCUGGACGCGCGAGGCAGGGGAAGAAGAAGAUUUUUCUUCUCCCUUUUCGCGUACUUUCUUUCCUUCUUUUGCUCAAAAAGACGCCGAAACAAGGACACCACUUGCCCAAGGAUUUCCACAUGUUGGACGAACAUUGGAGGGGCGGCAGCAUAGUGGCCGCCCCAGCCACGUCUCCCCUGUUUUUCGCCUAUAAAAACAGGGGAGGAAGAAGGAGGAAGAGGGGAAGAAAAGAGAAGGGAGAGGGAAGAGAGAAGAGAAGAGAAGAGAAGAGAAGAGAAGAGAAAGAAGAGAGGAAAAGAAAAGAAAAGAAAAACAGAAACAGAAGAAGAAAGAAAGAAGCAGGGGAGAAGAGAGAAGAAAUCGUCGCCUCUGCCACCCUUCGAUCACCAGCAGCACCGCCGGCCACCGCUCCAGUUGGAAGCUCCACCGCGUCAGGUAACCUCCUGCUCCCUCGCCAUCAUUUUUUUUCUUCUCGCCCUCGCUGUCCCUGCCUGCACUUGCAUGCAGAACGUGAAUAAUUCACGUUCUGCUGCAAAAUGCAGCGUGGGCUGGGCUGGGCCGUCAGCCCAGCCCAUGUAAAAUGGGCUUGGCUGGCCCAGCCCACGCAUUUGGGCCGGGUCCGACCCAUUUUAAUUUUUUAAUUUUUUUUUAAAAAGAAUUUUUACAAUUUUUCCAGCACAUGUUUUUAUCAAUUUUGCUUAAUAUCAGUCUGUAUUUUACAUCGUAAAAAUAUAAAUUCGGUAUUAAAAUACCCGGUUUUCGUCCCGCGGUACUGUUCACACGGCACUAUUCACAAUUCAAAAAAAAAAAAACAAAAUCAAAAAUAUUUGUUUCAGAAUUUUAUAUUUUUUCCGCGUAGUUUUUAUGUCAUUUUGAUUAAUAUCGGGCAGUAUUUUUACAUCGUAAAAAUAUAAAUCCGGUAUUAAAAUACCCGGUUUUCGACAAAAACUUCCAAAAAUUAAAAAAAUUAAAAAAAACAACAAUUAAAAAAAAAAUGUUUUUUGUGCAUACGCCCAAGUUUCUCAAAUCUAAAAAAUCAUAUCGUAUUUUUCAUAUGUCAAAAAACAAUAUUUUAGCAUGCAUUUUGGCUUUAAUAACCAGUUUAUUAAAGUCAAGAGAACAUUGGCCAAAAUCUCAAAAACAACAAAAUAUUUUAUUUUGUUUGAUUUUAGUAUCAGAGAUUAUGAAUUUAUACGUAAAUCGUAUUCCUGAUAUUAAAAAGAUAUUUUCUUUUGACGACUUCGAAUAGUUAGUUUUUUUUUUUUUUUUUUUUUUUUUUUACCCGAUAAAGAUAAGGAUCUCCUUACGGAGGAGGACUUUUCUUAAACCGUAAACGAACCAACAAUUCAAAAACCACAACACGAGUUUAGAUUUUUUCAGACAUUAAAACAAUGCAGCCUACCUUAGGUAGGACGUAGUUGGGGUGCUAAUACCUUCCCUUUAUGCAACCAGUCUCCGUACCCGAUCUCUAAAGACCAGUUAAGGUUCCUAGUAACCAGAAUACUAGGUGGCGACUCCCAUUCCAAUUUUUUUUCACUUGUAGAGACAAGAAUUCCUUGUCUCUCCUUAUUUUUCAGGAAUAAAUUAUUCCGAUUUUCCCUUGAGGGUGGACGAUCGCCGCGCCGCCGCACACGUGCGACAGAAUGGCGACUCCACUGGGGACCUUGUGGACUAAGCUUUGUUUUUGUCUGAUUAUUGUGUUUUUUGUUGUGGUUUGCGUGUUUUUAUUUUUAAAUAUACAUUUCCUUUAUUUUUUCUUACACGCUUUAAUUUCUGUAUAUAUUUUUCAAACCAUACACAAGCCUUUAAGUUAAGUGGGGAAUUAACGAUCUGCCCUAUGACUAUUGGUCGGGUUCAGAUGCGUGAAACACCCAACUCAUAUCUGAGAGCCUGCUUGGUAAUGGUGGGCAUACGUGUCUUAACUGUUCUUUGCAACGCCCCCAUACUGCCUUUACGAAGGACGUCACUGGGCAGAUAUGAGACCCUUUUGAGACCAGGUAGAAAACCUAUUCAUGAAUAGACCCUGUCUUUAGUUUGUAUGCGCUAUCUUUCUUUACAGAAUAUGUCAUACAAAAAAAAAAAAAAAAAUCAUGUCACCCCUUUGAGGGGCAAGUGCAUCAUAUAAAUUACAUGUUCAAACAUUUAACAUGCAUACAUGCCAGAUCGAAAUAUAGGUCCCCAAAAAGUCUACAACACCCGACUUCGAGCAAGAAACAUGGAAGAUGAAGAGCGUGCUCAACGUGAGGCCUAUUUGCACAACGAGUUGGAGUCUCUGAAAAUAAGUGUGGCUCACCUCACUAGCUUACUCAAGCAAACACUAAGAAAUACCUCUGAUGAAGGUAUUUCUAAUCGACCGAUUACCUUUGAUCCGACUCCUACUACAGUUCAGCCUGAGGAAAGAAUGAGCGAACAUGGUCAAGAACCUCAGCAAAAUCCAACAUUUGUGCAGUCAACGACACCUGCACCAUCCCCAACAGUCGUGAAGGCAUCUGCUAAUGAGUCCUACAAGGCUAAGUCAUCUGAUAGCAUUGAUCAAGCUAAGAUAGAGGCGUUGGAGGCCAGACUCAAAGCCAUUGAAGGGAUAGACUUAUAUGACCCGGUACGGGCAGCAGAGAUGUGUUUGGUCCCAAAUGUGGUUAUCCCAAAGAAAUUUCGUGUUCCUGAAUUCAUCAAAUACAGUGGAACACAAUGCCCCAUGACCCAUCUCAGGUCCUACUGCAAUAAAAUGGCUGAGGUAGUACAUGAUGAAAAACUACUAAUGCACUUUUUCCAAUACAGUUUAAGUGGGGCAACUUUGAGUUGGUACAUGAGAUUGGAUAACACAAAAAUUCGCAACUGGAAAAAUCUUGUGGAUGCUUUCGUCAAGCAAUACAAGUACAACAUGGACAUUGCGCCCGACAGAACCAGUUUGUCCAAUACAGAGAAAAAGGAUAAAGAAAGCAUAAGGGAAUAUGCUCAAAGAUGGCGAGAAUUAGCUGCUCAAGUACAUCCCCCACUUCUGGACAAAGAGAUGGUCUCUUUAUUUGCCAACACACUUAAAGCACCAUAUUACGAACAUAUGAUGGGUAGUUCAGCCCAACAAUUCACUGAUGCUGUGAUAGUGUGUGAACGCAUAGAGCAAGGUGUCAAGAGUGGUAGAAUUGCUGCACCAACCGAGAAAAGAGGCGUCGAAAGAAAAGAGGUUCACCAUGUUGAAGAUGACUACAUGGGUAAAACAAAUACAUCCCGAAAUUACCAUACUAUUCAUACGGUACUGUUCACACAUGCAUAAAAAAAAAAACAAAAUCAAAAAUAUUUGUUUCAGCAUUUUAUAUUUUUUCCGCGUAGUUUUAUGUCAUUUUGAUUAAUAUCGGGCAGUAUUUUUACAUCGUAAAAAUAUAAAUCCGGUAUUAAAAUACCCGGUUUUCGACAAAAACUUCCAAAAAUUAAAAAAUUAAAAAAAACAACAAUUAAAAAAAAAAUGUUUUUUGUGCAUACGCCCAAGUUUCUCAAAUCUAAAAAAUCAUAUCGUAUUUUUCAUAUGUCAAAAAACAAUAUUUUAGCAUGCAUUUUGGCUUUAAUAACCAGUUUAUUAAAGUCAAGAGAACAUUGGCCAAAAUCUCAAAAACAACAAAAUAUUUUAUUUUGUUUGAUUUUAGUAUCAGAGAUUAUGAAUUUAUACGUAAAUCGUAUUCCUGAUAUUAAAAAGAUAUUUUCUUUUGACGACUUCGAAUAGUUAGUUUUUUUUUUUUUUUUUUUUUUUUUUACCCGAUAAAGAUAAGGAUCUCCUUACGGAGGAGGACUUUUCUUAAACCGUAAACGAACCAACAAUUCAAAAACCACAACACGAUUUUAGAUUUUUUCAGACAUUAAAACAAUGCAGCCUACCUUAGGUAGGACGUAGUUGGGGUGCUAAUACCUUCCCUUUAGCAACCAGUCUCCGUACCCGAUCUCUAAAGACCAGUUAAGGUUCCUAGUAACCAGAAUACUAGGUGGCGACUCCCAUUCCAAUUUUUUUUCACUUGUAGAGACAAGAAUUCCUUGUCUCUCCUUAUUUUCCAGGAAUAAAUUAUUCCGAUUUUCCCUUGAGGGUGGACGAUCGUCGCGCCGCCGCACACGUGCGACAAGCUGUUUGAGCCCUCACUUCUUGGGUAGUGCGUUUUCUAACCCUACCUCUUUUCGAGUGCACCGUUUGAGCCCUCACUUCUCGGGUAGUGCGUUUUCUAAACCUUACCUCAUUUCGAGUGCGCCUUUGAGCCCUCACUUCUUGGGUAGUGCGUUUUCUAACCCUACCUCUUUUCGAGUGCAUCGUUGAGCCCUCACUUUUCGGGUAAUGCGUUUGUUUUUAACCCUACCUCAUUUCGAGUGCGCCUUUGAGCCCUCACUUCUUGGGUAGUGCGUUUUCUAACCCUACCUCUUUUCGAGUGCGCCGUUUGAGCCCUCACCUCUCGAGUAGUGCGUUUUCUAACCCUACCUCAUUUCAAGGGCGCCUUUGAGCCCUCACCAACAUUUUUCUGGGUAGGUCACUCAUUACAACGCGACCACUUCUCCAUUUUUUUUUUUUACUUUGGUAGGUCACCCAUUACAAUAAGGCCAUUCUUCCACCUGGGUAGGUCACCCAUUACAAUGAGACCACUCUUUCCUUUUUCUUUGAGUAGGUCACCCAUUACAAAUGAGACCGCACUCCACAUUUUUUUCUAUUUGGGUAAGUCACCCAUCACAACGAGACCGUUUUUUCAUAUUCUUGCCACUUGGGUAGGUCACCCAUCACAAUGAGACCAUUAUUAUUAUUAUUAUUUUCUGGGUAGGUCACCCAUAAGAAUGAGACCAUUCUCCAUUUUUUUUUUACCUGGGUAGGUCACCCAUAAUAAUGAGGCCAUUCUUCCCCCUAGGUAGGUCACCCAAAGAAUGAGACCACUCUUCCUUUUUUCUUGGGUAGGUCACCCAUCACAAUGAGACCAUUAUUUCUUUCUGGGUAGGUCACCCAUAAGAAUGAGACCAUUCUCCAUUUUGUUUUUACCUGGGUAGGUCACCUAUAAGAAUGAGGCCAUUCCUCCCCCUGGGUAGGUCACCCAAAGAAUGAGACCACUCUUCCUUUUUCCUUGGGUAGGUCACCCAUCACAAUGAGACCAUAUUUUUUCUAGGUAGGUCACUCAUAAGAAUGAGACCAUUCUCCAUCUUUUUUUUUACCUGGGUAGGUCACCCAUAAGAAUGAGGCCAUUCCUCCCCCUGGGUAGGUCACCCAAAGAAUGAGACCACUCUUCCUUCUUCCUUGGGUAGGUCACCCAUCACAAUGAGACCAUAUUUUUUCUGGGUAGGUCACCCAUAAGAAUGAGGUCAUUCCUCCCCCUGGGUAGGUCACCCAAAGAAUGAGACCACUCUUCCUUUUUCCUUGGGUAGAUCACCCAUCACAAUGAGACCAUUAUUUUUUCUGGGUAGGUCACCCAUAAGAAUGAGACCAUUCUCCAUUUUUUUUUACCUGGGUAGGUCACCCAUAAUAAUAAGGCCAUUCUUUCCCCUGGGUAGGUCACCCAUAAGAAUGAGACCUCUCUUUCCCUUUUCCACUCGGGCAGGUCACCCGUCAUAAUAAGACCACACACAUUUUUUUGUAUUGGUUAUGGGUAACGGAAUCGCCAGAUGGGAUUCCAAAUUCAAAGGAGAUCACCAGAUGGGAUCUCGAAUGGAUUUCCAUGUUGAUCAAACUGAAGUAAGAAUUCAGAGGAUCGCCGGAUAAGGAUCUCGAGAUGACUAAGUUUUGAUCAUAGUUUUUGGGCUACGGAGGAUUGUUGUAAAACACAAAGUUUCAGAUCAAUUAAGCUUCGACCAGAACAGUUUCGGGAGUUCCGUUUUGGGUUUAUCUUUAUAACACUUACUGUGCAAAACCCAUGCUCCAUAAGUAUUAUAAAGAGGGGGCAUCUGUUGUAACCCAUUUUUGGGUCCCCAUAAAAAAUAUAAUAAAUAGCCAAAAGAGGUUAGAAAAAUAACAGGAGGCAGAAGCGCUCAGAAAACAGUCAGAAAAAUUGGUCAAGGAAUUUAAAAAAACAAGGAUUAAAUUUUUGACAGUAUAUUCUUGAAGGAUGAAAUCCCUAUUGAGAAGGAAAAUUUGAAUUUUGAGGAGAAAAGCCAAAAUUUGGAUGUUUAUGGACUUAAUUGGAUUUUUAUUUGAAUUUAUAGAGGAUUUGAUUGCAAGAAAAAUUGAUUUUUAAGUCAAUUGGGCUUUAAUUAGAAGAAAUUUAAGUUCUGGGGCCAAAAUAUAUUUUUUAGGAAUUUAUUAGGUCAAAUCAGGGGCUUAAUUGCAUAAAUAUUGAAGUUUAAUGGCCAAUUAGGGACAUAAUUGUGAAAAUCCGAAACCAGGGACCAAUUUGGAAAAGGCGCAAAGAUAGAGGGGGCUGUUUGGAAUUGAUUCAAGGGCUUAAUUGAAGAAAUUGGAAGUUUAUUGAUCAAUUAGGGGGUUAAUUGUGAAAAUCAGAGGCCAAGGACCAAAGUGAAAAACACGGCCAACUAUAGGGGCAGGGACGCAAUUGAAUUUUAUUCUUAAAAUCAGGACUCGAUUGAAGGACUUAAUAGAACAAAUGAUAAAUUAAGGACUGAUUCAAAAACAAAUGUUCUGGCGCCUUUUUUUAAAUGAAACGGCGCGUUUUCCCCAAAACAACGCCGUUUCAUACAUAAAAUAAAAAAAAAAAAGAGAGAAGACCGAACGGUGCCGUUUUGAACGGCACUGUUCACCUUUCUUCUUCCCCCGAACAUACAGCGGGGAAGAAGGAAAAGAUUGCUUUGUUUAAUUCUUUUUGCAGGUACCUCUAGCCCACCGACCAACCAAGGCCCCACGCCGGUGGGCCACCGACAGAAGACAUUGGCCGACUACCCGCCGCGCUGCCGAAACCGAGGGAGGCCCGCCUGGACAGCGGCUCCCCGACCAGCCGCUCCUCGACUUGCUCCUUGGCUCCACGGUGAAGCCACGCUCACUGGCUCUAUAAAUAGAGAACCGAAAGAGAGAACAGGGGAUGAAAAAAGAAAAAGAAAAAGAAGAGGAAUCCGAAGAAAACUAAAAAACGAAGAGAGAGAGGAAGAGAGAGAAACAACCCAACCGAGGAGAGAGAGCCACCAAAAACCCAAAAAGACCAAGAGAAGAGUGAAAGUUUGACGCUGGGAGGGAAUUUAGAAAACAAAAACCAAGAAAACGAACCGAGAGGGCGUCGCUGGAUUGUUUGGAAAUCACCGUGAGGAGUCGCCGUCUGUGAUCUAGGACGCUGCCACCGCCUCCACCACAGCACCGCCAGCAAGCCAUCGUCUCCGCUGCGCCAGGUACGCUUCCUCCCCCCGCUAUUUUUUUCUUCUGAAACUUGCAUGAGUUGGCCUCCUGCAUGCAGAAUCGUUAUGCAUGCAGGAGGCGGGGGGGAAAUAAUUCCCCCCCCCGUGCUGUAGUUUUCUUUAUUCUCUGGGCCAGAUUAUUUCUGGCCCAGAAAUAUGUGGGAUGGGCCAGAAGGAUUCUGGCCCCACCCGGCGGUUUGGGCCGGUUCCGACCGAAUUACCGACCGAAUUACCGACCGAAAAUUCAGAAUCAAUGAAAAAAGGGCGGGCAGUGGCGCGGAGGUUUUGGCGGGUGAUUUUUCCGACGGAAUUAAAAACUGGGGCCCGUACGCGUGAUGGGACCUAUUCACCAACAAAAAAUACCGACGGAAUCACCGACGGAUUUGAAAUGCCAGAUCCGUACCGGUGACGUGACGGGUGCACCGUUAAAACUACCGACGGAAUCACCGAGGGAUUUGAAUAGCAGGUCCGUGCGGUGACGUGUCGAUUGCCCGUCAUAAUUACCGACGGUUUCGCCGACGGAUUCACCGACGGAAUAAAACCCGUCGGUAAGUCCGUCGGUAAAAGUGAAUAUAUGGCCCCUCUGCCGACACUCUCCUCCCCCAUUUCUCCUUCUUCUUCCUAAUCCUAACCCUCCCCAUCUGCAAAAUAACCAGCCCCCCCUCGCCCCAAAACAAAAUCUUUCUCAUCUCAGCACAACAAGUUGUAUUUGUUUUGUGGUCACAGCAUCCGUGUUUUGAUUUACCGACGGAUUUUAUCAUUUUUUGUAAGUAAUUCUAUCUUUUAAAAUUUUAACAUUUAAAUGUUAAUUUUAUUGUUUUUUUAGUAUAUGUAUUAAUUUUUUUAGUAGAUGUACAUGUUUUAUUGUUAUUUCUCAAACAAACUUGUAGUAUAUGAAUGUAUAAUUUUAUACUUGUUAUGGUUUGUUUUAGAUUUUGUAAGAUUGUAUUUGUUUGAAAAUUGUUAAAACUUAAUUUGUAGAAUUACCGAAUUACAUGUUGUGUUUUGAAAUAAUUAAGAGCUUGCUUAAUUAAUGGGUCCUUUUUAUAGAGGUUCGAUAGAAGUCAUGGAUGAUCGUUCAUGGAUGUAUCUAGAUUCACCCCAAGGAUUGCGGAGGAUGGAUUAUUGUAACGGGGUUCAGGGUUUUAUUAAUUUCGCAACAUCUAUUCCCAGAAAUUUUACUGGAGGCGGUAUUAGGUGUCCAUGCAGGAAGUGUCAAAAUAAAAAGUAUCUGCAUCCAGAUGUUGUAAUGAUGCAUCUUCUACACAAAGGGUUUGUGGAGAAUUACGAGUGUUGGUAUGCACAUGGAGAGGUAUUUGUUAGUAAUAGGAGAAUGGAAGAAACGGUGGUUGGGUCAACUUCUAGUGCUAGCAACGUGCAUGAAGCGGCAAAUGACAACACUAAUCCUUACAGAAACAUGGUUAUGGAUGCAAUGAGAAUGAAUCAAGAUAAUGUCAAUCAAUGUCCAAUCGUAGAAGAAGAACCUAAUGCAGAGGCAGCUAGGUUUUUUGAUUUGUUGAAAGAUUCUGACGAACCAUUAUGGGAUGGCUGCACAAACCACAGUAAAUUAUCGGCUGUGGCACAGGUGUUCACCAUCAAGUCAGAUCACGGGUUGAGUGAGGCCGGGUAUGACAAAAUUAUUGAUUGGGCAAGAAGCAUUUUACCAGAAGGGAACAGGCUCAAAGAGAACUUCUAUGCUGCGAAGUCCAUGAUGAAACCCCUCGGUUUAGGAUACCAGAAAAUUGACAUGUGCCCUAACUUCUGCAUUUGGUUGAACCAUAUCGAGUUGCUCCUUCGAUUGAAUUGGAAGAAAAUUCAAAUUUUCGAGUUCUCGAUGAUAGUCUUGUUGAUAUUGACGGAGAGGAGUUGAAUGUUGUUCUCAGCUCUAGCGGACAACCAAAUGUCGAUGAAGAAGAUGAUAUCCAUAUUGAAGAUUGCGAUGAAGAUGAUGACAAUUCAAUUGAUGAGGAAGAAGAAGAAAAUUCCGACUAAUUAUAAAAAUGAAGCCCUAUGUAAAAACAUUUGUCUCAUGUAAUUUAGAUUAUUGAUGAUGUAUUUUGUAAAACAAAAUAUUUAUUGUUUAAGCAAUGUGGUUAUUGUUUUAUGUGAUAGACAGUUUAUCAGUUAAGUUAUUGCAGGAAGGUAAACAGGCAAUACAAAGACAACCUUUCCUGCAUAAUGCCACAAUCACCGAAGUCCAUACCGACGGAUCAACAUCCGUCGGUAUCUCACAGAGAGUUCGUAAAUAUUUACGCGAAAUGCCACCAACACCAACGAAAUUACCGACGGCUUCACCGACAACUAUACCGACGGAAUGCAAUCCGUCGGCAUAUCACAGUGAGCUCGAAAAAUAUGCCACCACCAUCGACGGGAUUACCGACAGACAAUAGUCCGUCGGCAUCUCACAGUAAGCUCGAAAAACAUCCACCACCAUCGACGGGAUUACCGACGGAACAUAGUCCGUCGGCAUCUCACAGUAAGCUCGAAAAACAUCCACCACCAUCGACGGGAUGACCGACGGAAUAUAGUCCGUCGGCAUCUCACAGUAAGCUCGAAAACAUAACACCACCAUCGACGGGAUUACCGACGGCGUAGGUCCGUCGGUAAUUUGUCGGUUACACAUAUUACCGACAGAAUUACCGACGGACCGCGCAUUUUCCAAAGUGCGUUAAUUAAUGCGCCUCUGAACUUGUCAGAUUACCGACGGAAUCACGGACGGACUGCGAAAAUUUUGGAGGGCUUUUAAAAAUUCGGGGCGAAAUUCGAAAAAUACCGACGGAAUUUUGAUCUGUUACCGACGGAAUUUUGACCUUUUACCGACGGAUGUAAAUUCCGUCGGUUAUGCCGUCGGUAAAAUUGACCUAUAAGUUCCAGCCCCGCCGCUUCGCCUCAUUUUUUCUUCUUCUCCCCGCCGCUUCUUCGCUUCUCCUCCGUUUUUCACCUUAGAUUUUUCAUUUUUUCCCCCUCAAUCCUUAAACACUUUCACCUUUAAUCUCUAGCAAGAUUUGGUGUUGUAAAUCUUCAUUAUAUCAAAAGGUAUGUGUUUUUUUUCUAAUUUAUUUUAUUUUAUUUUAUUUUUAGUUGUUUUUAUUUUUGUUGUGUUGGUGUUUUUUGUUGCAAUGUAGAUAAAGUUUUGAAUUUGACACAUUAUUAAGGUAUGUAUAUUUCGUUCCUUUUUUUUUAAUUUUUGAAUAUUUUUUGAAUUUGUUGAAUAUUUGUUAAUUUAAUUGUUGAAUAAUUGAAUUUAAUUGUUGAAUUAUUGAAUAUUUUUUGUUGUUGUUGUUAGAAUUGUUAUUAGUUAAUUUAACUUAGAAUUAGUUAAAGUUGAAUAUUUGAAUAUUUUUUGAAUUUGUUGAAUAUUUGUUAAUUUAAUUGUUGAAUAAUUGAAUUUAAUUGUUGAAUUUAUUGAAUAUUUUUUGUUGUUGUGUUGUUAGAAUUGUUAUUAGUUAAUUUAACUUAGAAUUAGUUAAAGUUGAAUAUUUGAAUUUUUUUGAAUUUUUUGAAUUUGUUGAAUUAUAAUUGUUAAUGUUGAAUUGUAAUUGUUAAUGUUGAAGUAUAAUUUGUUGAAUUUAUUGAAUUUAUUUUUUGUUAUAUUUUUUAUUGUUUUGAAUAUAAUUAUUGAUUAAUUUGUGAAUUGUAAUUGUUAACGUUGAAUUUAUCUUAGGAUUAAUAGUUGAAUAUGUUGGAAUAAUUAGUAUAGAUUGGUUCGAUUGGUUGUGGCUAUUGUUAAUAUUUGCAGGUUUGUGGAUUUGGGUAGUAUCCAGUAUAGGGGAGGUGCUGCCGAUUUUUUUUUAACUUUUGAAUUUUAUUUUACAAUUAUUAAUAUAAAAUUGUUUAGAUGCGCAAAAUGAAAACCAGAGCUGGUCGUCCAGUCGAAUCAAGUUCGUCUAGCAGCGAUGAUGAUGUUUCCUUAGGUGCCUCUCAAGAAGAGGCACCUACACCACCUGCGCCGUCAACCGAUGCUGCCUCUUCCAGCGAUGUUUCACAUCGCAGACGCGGCAUGCCUUCGAAGCGGAAUCAAUUUACCCGCCAGUUCGAGGCACAGUGGAAGGACGAUCUUUCAAUGUAAGUUUGUUAAGUUUUAGUUUUUUUUAUAUAUAAAAAACAAAUUUAAAACGUAAUUUAUGAAGUAAUCACAAAUUAAUUUCAUUUCUUUUCAGGUUCACAAACAUUGAGGCCGCCCGAUUAAUAUCAUCGGCGUUUAAAGCGUCGAUGGAGAUUCCAUUGUUUCAAUGGAGUCAGAUAUCCAGACAUCCUGAAUGGAUGCCUCAAAUCAAUGCAUGGUUUCGUAGAUUUGAGGUUCGUGUUAAUAUAUAAUUUUCAGCUUAUUUCUAAUAAAUUCAAGUUAUAAUUGUAAAUAAAUUAUUAACAUUUUAAAAAAUUAUUUUUUUAUAUACAGCAUCGAUUCUGCUGGGACGAUGAACAUGACAGUGUUGUGAGGAGGGUGUGGGAAAAUCACGCGGCAAUUAGGUAACAUCGAAAACAAUACGACUUUUUUUUACAUAAUUAUUUAUGUUUUGAAAUGUAAUUUUUUCGUGCGUGAAUUAGGUUGCGUGAUUUUUGGUAUGACGCCCAGAAAAAAGCAAAAAAAACAGCGAGGGAUAAGGGGUUACAAGGCUGGAACGAUGUUGCGGUUUGGAGGGAUUUCAAACCAAUAUACAUCCCGGAAGAUAUAUGGCCGCACUAUCUUCAGCACGUGACGUCUGAGCGGUUCACUCGACGCUCACAGUCCGGUGCCGGCAACCGGAAUCGGCAAAUUCAUGGCUCGGUUACAACGCACACCGCGGCUCCGUUCCGUUUGCUGCACAUGCGAAACGGAUGGUAAGAUUAAUUUAAAUGAAAUAUAUCGUUCAAUUAAUUUGUUGUUAAUAAUUUUUUUCAUUAUAUAUAGGCUACGUCUCUUGGACGUGAGCCGAGCCCUAUGGAGCUGUUUGUGGAGACGCACGUGCGGAGUCAUGACCGCCAAAAGGGGACGCAACAGUUCGUUGACAACCGUGCUCAACAGUUUGUGGUGUGUUUGUUCAACCAUUUUAUUUUGUAAGUUAUUAUUAUGUUUAUUGAAUUGAAUAUGAUUUUUUUUUUCAGGAGACCUAUAAUAAUCGGUUGAGGGAGAGAUACGGGGAUGAUCCUUCGACCCAUCCGGAAUUCGAUCCGGAUUUGUGGAUGGAGGCUGGAUCGUCAGGUGGACCCGAUAAAAAUCGGGUUUACGGGCUCUCCAACACUACCGCUGCCAAGUUGCGGUCGACCGGUACUGCUUCAACCGGUGGGAGCUCCCAAUCUGUAUCGAGCUCCCAAUCUAAGGAGUUUGUGGCCUUGCAGCAAAGGUGCGACCACCUAUCAGAGGCGUACACACAACUCAAAGAAGAGCAAAGAUUGGCGAACGAACAACACAGAUUGGCGGACGAACAACGCAGAGCAGAGUCUGAACAACAAAGAGCGGCCUAUGAAGAGCUUCGUCAAAUGGUCAUGAACAUGACACAAGGCGGAACAUGUGCGCCUAAUCCUUUUUGGCCGCCUAACCCCCACCCUCCUCCUCCACCUUUAUAUUAAUUGUUUUUUUUUUAAACACAUUCAUUUUGUAAUGAAUAUUAUUUAACUUUGAGUUUUUGUUGCUUAAUAUAAAUUUUAUUUACAUAAUUGGUUUGUAUUACUAUUAAUUUAUAUUAUUUUUUCUAAAUAAUUAAAAAAAUAAAAUUACACAGGGAUUUACCGACGGAAUAAAUCCGUCGGCAUUAGACAGUGUCUGAGGUAUGCCAUCCCAUCACCGACAUACUCACCGACGGAAAUAAUCCGUCGGUAUAAAAAUACCGACGAAUUUAUAGACGGAUUUAUUCGGUCGGUAUGAAAUAUCACCGACACUUUUGCCGACGGAGGUAGUCCGUCGGUAUUUAUAUAAAACCGACGGAAUAUAUUCCGUCGGUAUAUUCCCAGCGGGAAACUUUUUUUUUUUGGCGCGCAUGGGCCGUCGGUAAACAUGUUUUUUUUAUUACCGACCGAUAUAGCGACGGAAUGUGGAAUCACCGACAAAAGGUAUUCCGACGGGAGUAUUCCGUCGGUAAUAUAGUCGGUAAAUACUUUACCGACGAACGUUCUGUCACACACCGACGGAAAUAUUCCGUCGGUAAAACUGUGAAAUCUUGUAGUGUCAUGUAAAUGUCUGCAUGAAUACCAAGUGUUCAAACUUCAACACAAAACUUCGUAUAAUAACAUAACUUAAAAACUCUUAGAUGCGAUCUUCGAGAACCCAAACCAAGUUCCUUAUGUUCUUCCUUAUUUAACUACGAGAUCAUCAGUAUGCUGAGGAAUUCAUGACACAACCUUGAGCAUUGGAGAUUCAAACCGAGUUGUAAAUUUGACAAGACAAACACGGACAGCACUUUGACUUGCAUUGGUAUUUAUUUUAUGUCUAGAACUUAGUCAUACAUCUUUCAGCUUCAAAGAAAUUGACCAAAGAGAUAAACUGACAUGCAGCUGUAAAAUGGUGAACUGCCACACAACCUCGCAUGUCCUCUUUUUCCACAGCCUCGUACAAUAGAAAGAAUUGCAUUCACAUAGUAUUUAGGCUUUACUUAAUUAGCAAAACAGCAGUACACCUGGUAAGGAUAUGCAGAUAGGGAUUGUUCUGCCAUGGUAGAAAAAAAUGAACCAAGAUACUUCCAAGAAAUAUACAAGGAAAUGAGCAACAGUGUGCACUCUGCAGAUAGGUAUUUUUCCAAGGAAAUAUAUUAUCCAGCACAUAAAGAUUAUAACUCAUAUCAUGAAAUCCAGAUAUAUGGGAAGAAAGAGCAAAGUAUAUGGUAAAAGAAAGCAACUUUAUAGUUGAGAUAUGACAGGAACAUAAGAAUGCAAGAACAUACCUUCCAGAACUAGGAUAUCUGAGGAUCAGUUUCCUUGUAGCCAUUGUACUCAGUGUGUGCCUUCCAAUCUUCCAGACAGAUAGCAUUUUCACUUCCAUAUAGCAUCUAAUCGUCGAGAUCCUCAAGCUCUAAACUCUGGAAGAACAGCUUCUGUAGCCCAGAGUUUAAAAGAAUAUCAGCAAAACCACGUGCAAAUCUAGAUACUGGUUCAGAGAUAGAUGUGACAAAGCGAUGCUGAAUGAGAAGAUCAACAUAUUUCUCCCGAUUCUUGCUAUUUACAACAAUACUCUUCCCACCAGGGCAAAGUUCCACAACUUUCCUGGAUCCUAGUUCCUCAACUUCUCUAACGAAUGUCAGACUCAAAGCAUCUGAAUCAAUGAACUCAGGAUCCAUCUGCAGAAUCUGUUUGCAACUGCUAUACAAGCAUGGAUCUGCAUCCCGUAUGUCUUCCAAAGUAAUAUGCAUCCCAGCCAAUUGCAAGAAAAAUGCCCGAUCAAAUACAAUGCCGACUUGCACUUUAUGCAUCAAAGCUAAAGCCAUCACUCGACCAGAGAAUGUGAAAUACUCAGGGUGCCUGGGAUCCACCUUGGAUGCUGCACAUAAAAUUAAUACAACGAAGUCCAUAUAUAUACUUUUGUUUGUUAGUGGUUAUCCAUGCCAACAAUUGAAUCCAAGCAAGAUGAUGCAACUUAAUUCAAGUCCAGAAACAGAAGACAAUAACAAACCUCAAUUAUGAUUCUUUGAAGAGGUAUUUCAGAAAUAACCAAUUGCAAUUUUAAUGCAGUGGAAGAAUUAGACAUGUUAAUCCCCAAAGGAACCAAUAACAUAUUAGUGAAACACGGAAUUCAGGUAACAGAGUUGGAGAAACAUGGGAAAUAUUCCUGUAUAAUAACCCUAGGGACUCAAGUACUUCACAAUAAAAUAUUUGUGACACACAAGGUUCGGGAAUUUUUCCCUUAACAAACCUUUGCUAGUGAACCUAUUUACAGGAUGUAAUGCCCUUAUCCCACAUCCAUCAGGAACUCACAUGGUAAACAACUUUUCUACAUAUAAAUGUUAGAGAAAGAACACUAAGAGAAUGCAGUGAAUGAUCUCUCGUACAGUUAAAAUCCAAGCAAUAUUAGUGAAAUAUCUUUGAUUAAGGUCACUGAGAAGGUUCACCGCGUUAAGCCACCCAGUAUUACAUCAAGUGUAGGAAAACUGUCGAACUUCUAAAAAAUGUUAAUUCAAUCCUGACUAUGCCUAAAAUUGAAUAUUAAAUGUCACAUUCUCCAGAUUUAGGUGUAACAUUUCCAGAUGUCCUCCCACUAACAUAUAUCAAAAUAAUGAAGAAUAAUAGUCCAAUGGUUGUAAGUGAUUGAGACAGCAUAGACACAUUAAUGUCAACUCAUAUAAACUGUUGGAGCUCUCCACCACCAUUUAGUGAAUGUUUACUUUCCAGUGUAAAUUAAAACAAAUACUCAGCCCACAAUCUGAAACAUUAGACACACGGCAAUGAAAACGUAUUGUUUACAUAGUCAGUAUUACCUGGGAAUAAAAAUUCAGUUGAGAAAGGAGAAAAUCCAACUUACAGAAUAAAACAUUCACGAACCUAAUUGCAACUGUUGUUCAGAAAAAAAAAUCCUACUCUCAGAAAAACAUGAACGGUUAAUUACAUGAAGUUUCACCCCAACCAAAAAUCAUUACUUCAAUCCUAAUUUCGACUUCCAAAAUUAAUUUGGGUGAAACAAUUCCAGAUGAGCUCAUCUCACCCACUAGCAACAUAAACUAAAUGACGUACAGGUGCUUCUUGAAUGGUUGUAGGUGAUGGAUACAGCAUCAUUACACAUUAAAUGUAAGUUCCUAUAGAUUACAGGAACUGCACAUUUUGUUCAUCUGAGUAAAUUUUUAUUAUCCAGUGAGAAUAUAAGCAACAAUGUUCCAAACUCUAUGCUAGAGUGACACAUUAGACACAAGGCAAUCCAAUAUAUUGUUUAACCAUUCGUAUCAUCAAAAACUAUAUUCAAUUGAGAAAAGAGAGAACCCUGUAGCAUUGUUCAUGUAAGGCAUUCAUGAUUAGGGUUUUCUCGUUUUGUUACCAGGAUUGGUAACCCUAUAUCCAAUCAAGAAAAGAGAAAACCCAAUAGCAUUCAGGCAGCAGAAACUUACCAGGAUUAGGAUAGAACCUUCUGCGAUCACUUGGGCAUGCCACAAAAAGAGCUUUUGAGGAUCAAAUAGAGCUUGUGUAACCAAGAAAAACCACUCCCGCAAUACACCAGGACCAGUAGCUUCCUCAUUUUUAAAUUCCAGAAAUAGACCACCAUGCAGUGCAUCUGAGUCGGCAUGCACUAUGUACUCAAAUGACUCUGACAACAAUUGUUACCGAUCAAUGAGCAUCUCGUGAAGCUCCUCGUAAUCUUCUCACCUCAGGGAACAUCAUCAUAGCCAAAUGCCUCCUAGACUCAAAAUCAAUCACAUCCUUGUUCCGAAGAAGCCAUUGAUGAUCUUCAGUUCUUUUUGCAUAUCUAACAAUCAGCGCACACAAGGAAGCCUUUCUAAGUCUCAAAAGUGUCCAAAACUUUUCCUCAGCACCCUUAUAGAGUUUAGCAAUGUUAUUCAACUCCUUCAAAAUAGCCAAAUAUUGAGACCAACCUGUAUGAUUCAACUCACCCUCUCCAUUCAUUUUCAAAUUUGAAGAAUUCUGCAUUUUCCCAAGACAUUUCUCCAUAAUAUUCAGCAAAUCAAAAAAUAUCACGUGAAGAUGCUCAAUCUCCUUCGCAUACAAUGGAUAAUUAAAUGCCCUGUUGUUCAACGGCAUCGAAACCAGACCCCUACAUGCCCCUUGCUCUGAAAUCAUACUAUACAACGGUACCAAAAAUGCUGAAAAAUCCUUCACAUCAGCUACUGAUGGCCCCACACUCCCCGCCGCACUCCCCAUGAAAUCUUUAAACAAUGUAUCAAACGAAUGUGAAGUAGAGGAAAAACAGAAUUGUAAAGAGAAGUUUUCUCUUGUGUAUUGAAUAAUACCGCUCGUCGAAAUAUAUACAGCAAGCAAAAAAUAUUCUAACUAACUUAUCUCAUGCAAUAUCAAUACUACCCUUUAUGUACAGUGCUUUACAGAAGCAGUUAAAAAAUAAAUAACAGAGUAACAGAAUUCAGGUAACCAUGCCAUCCUUCUCUGUAGUGACGUGGUGUAUUGAUGAGUCAUCCUCUAAUAUCCCCCCGCAAGAUGGAGAGUAAAAAUUUACGAUGCCCAUCUUGGAUAAAUGAAAAUUGAGAACAGAGGAUGAUAGAGCCUUUGUCAUGAUAUCAGCAAGUUGAUUAGAGCUGGAGACAUAACGAGUGCAGACGUGGCCAGCCUGAAUCUGGUCUCGAAUAAGAUGGCAGUCGAGUUCAAUGUGUUUAGUCCUCUCAUGGAAUACUGGAUUUGCCGCAAUAUGGAUAGCAGCUUGGUUGUCACAGUGUAAGAAAACUGGUUGUAGAUGUUGGACAUGGAGUGCAGACAGAAUGUAUUUCAGCCAGGAUAAUCCAGUGCAGGUUACAGCCAUGGAAUGGUAUUCGGCCUCUGCCGAAGACUUAGAGACCACAGAUUGUUUCUUAGAUUUCCAUGAGAUCAAGGAAGAGCCAAGAAAAAUACAGUAGCCACUAAUAGAACGUCUGGUAUCAGGGCAAGAAGCCCAAUCAGAAUCGCAAUAAGCCUCAAGAUGUAAAGAGGAAGAACUGGAAAAUAAAAGCCCCUGACCUGGUGCUCUCUUAAGGUAACAAAGAACUUUGUGAGCUGCAUGUAAAUGUGCAUCAGUAGGAUUAGCCAUGAAUUGGCUCAAAUUGUUGACACUAUAACAAAUAUCAGGCCGAGAGACUGUAAGAUAAAGGAGCCUGCCAAUAAGACGUCGGUAAAUACUGGGAUCAGAUAAGGGAGUGCCCGUGGUCUGAGUAAGGUUAAGAUUUUGUUGCAUUGGAACUUUAGCAGGGGUGCUGCCUAAGGUGCCAGAAUCUGCAAGAAUAUCCAAUGUAUAUUUCCGUUGGCAAAUAUAAAUGCCUUUGGAGGAUCUUGCAACCUCUAUGCCGAGAAAGUAGCGUAAAGGGCCAAGGUCCUUGAUCUGAAAAUGCUUGUGAAAAAUGGAUUUCAAUUCUUGCACAAUAGUAAUGUCACUACUUGCAACCAGUAUAUCGUCGACAUAAACAAGAAUAACAACAAAAGUGCCAUUAAUGUCACGGGUGAAAAAGCUAUAAUCAGCCUUGGAUUGAGAGAAACCUGCAGCAAAAAGAACAUUAGAAAAUUUGGAAUACCAUUGCCUUGAAGCUUGUUUGAGACCAUACAAGCUUUUGAGCAAUUUACAGACUUGAGUAGGGGAUCCUUUGGUGUAGCCAGGAGGUUUAUUCAUGUAGAUAUCUUCAUGCAAGUCCCCAUGCAAAAAUGCAUUAUUUACAUCGAAUUGAUGUAAAUGCCAACCUUUAACUGAGGCAGUAGCUAAGAGACACCUCACGGUAACCAACUUAGCCACAGGAGAAAAAGUAUCUUGAUAAUCCACUCCCUCAAGUUGGGUGAAACCGCGAGCCACAAGUAUUGCUUUAAGACGUUCAACACUCCCAUCAGAAUGAUACUUAAUUUUAUAAACAUAUUUGCAAUCAAUGGGAACUUUGCCAGGAGGUAAAUCCGUAAUCUGCCAAGUGUGAUUGGCCUCCAAGGCUGCUAAUUCAGUGUCCAUGGCUUUACACCAUCCAGGGUCUUUAAGAGCUUGCUUAUAUGUUCUUGGUUCAAUAUGAGUGGAAAUAGUAGUUGAAAAAGCUUUAUAAGAAGGAGAAAAAUACUAGUAAAGAAAUAGUAUUAUGAAGGGGGGAAGCAGUACCUGAAGGGGAACAUAACAGCUGGUCCAACGGUGGGAUAGGAGGAGUUAGAGCAGUCUGAUGACAAUGGUAAUCCUGCAGGUACUCAGGAGCGCGCCGAGUUCUGGUUGGCCUGCGAGAAGGUGAAACUAAAGAAGAAGGAGAAGGUAAGGGAGUAUGAGGUAAUUCAGGUGAAGGAUGUAAAGACUGUGGUGGGGAAGGAGGAGAACUCGGAGCUAAAAAAUAUGGAGAGGAAGACUGGGAAUUAGUAAUGACAGGUGAGGGAGUAAUGGUGGGGAGUAAUGGAGGAGAUGAUGGUGGAGUAGGAAUAGAGAGGGAAGGUGAAACAGAAGGUGAAAAAUGAGGAUGGAAGGGAAAAAUAGAUUCAUGAAAAUGAACAUCACGGGAUAAAAAAAAUGUGAUCAGUUUGUAUAUCAAGUAAUUUAUAUGCUUUAACCCCAAAAGGAUAGCCUAAAAACACACAUGCUCUGCCUCUAGGAUCAAACUUCUUACGCCCUUGUGACAAGGUAGAGGCAUAGGCAAGGCAACCAAAAACUCUCAAGUGUUUGUAUUGAGGAGGAGUGUGGAAGAGAUAUUCAUAGGGUGUUUUGUUAUGAAGAAGAGGGGUAGGAGUUCGAUUAAUUAGGUACAUCCAGGCUAUUUCCAAGGACAAAAAAAACAUUACUACUUUUAGAGUGAUUUUGACAGCGAAGUAGGAAAUGUAAUUAUUGUUAUUUUUAAAAUAUUUUUUUAUUUAUAAGUAUAUUAAAAUAAAAAUUGUUAAUUUCGUUUCAUUUUAUUUGUAAUGGUUUCAUAUCAAUUAAAAAAAUAAAAUAAAACAAAAUAACUUUUAUCUUAUUUCAAAUCUCGGUCUCUUCUAGAUUUUUUGGCUAAAUUUCAUUCGAAAUGUUCCAGUUUCAUUCCACAUGUUCUGUUCCGGUCUUAAAAAAUCAUUGAAUCAAAUUGAACCUAGUUCAAUUAAUUAAUUAAACCAUUAAAGUAUAAAAAGCUCUUUUUCAUUACUAUUUUCAUUAACUAUGAUAUUAAUUUUUUAAAAUUAGAUUUAUCAUUAAUAUAUAUGGUUUAUAUUCAUGUUAUUUUUUUUCAAGUUUAUACUUUGUAGGAAUUUAAGAGAAAAAAUGGAUGUUUUAGAUCUCAUUAGUCUUGAUAACAUUGAUCUAUCUUUAUAUUUAAAAUAUUAGUGUAAAAUAUUUUAAUUUCAUAAUAUUUUGAUAUUUUAUUGAAGUUGAAUUGUUUUAAGUUAAAACAUUAUUUAAUCUUAACUAUUUAAAAAUAUUUUAAAUUUUAAAAUUAUAUUUCAUCACGUCUCCAUGAUCCCCGUUGUGUCAAAAACAAAUUGCCUAAAUUUUAGGCUUUAGCAGUUCCUUUUUUGAAAUCCUCAUUAGUGAAAUUUCACGACUCCAGCUGGGCGUUGACUUGUCUGUUUAAUUUCUAUUAUUUUUAUUCCAUUUUAGCAUUUUAGCAUUUCAUACUCAUCAAAACCACUGGAACGCAAUCAAGCUUUAGCUUCAAACAACCAGAGGGAGAUUUUAUAGGGAUAAAAUUUUAAAAAUCACGCCUAUGCUACUUUGUAGUUUUAGUAUUAAAUUUAGUAUCUAAAAAAUGUGUUUAUGAAUAUGGCAGUUUCAGGUUUAGAAACCAAAUCUGCCAUAUUCAUACUCUCUCUUAGACAUUUUAAAAAUGUGUGUAGAAGAAUACUUUCACUGAUGAUUUAUAAUAUUAGGUUACUUUAAUGAUAAAUCAAUAUAGUAUUUUUAUUUUUAUUUUUUGGAUUUUCAUCUUGGAGAAAUUCAAUAGGAUGAAAAUAUAAUAUUAAUCAAACUUCAAAUUAUAAUUGUUUAUCUAUGGAGUUUAAAAAAAUAUGACAAUUUAGUAGUCUUUAAUGAAAUAAAAAAAAGAAAAAUGUUAUUUAUGUAAUUGUAAGCAUACAAUAUUAUAUUACUUUACAAAGGGACGAAGGACAUCCUUUGCGUUAGGAUGCUCCCACUCCACUACUGACUCCCACCAUUCUUUUGGAUAUGCGUCGAUUUCUCUAAGAGAAGGGGGAGGGGAUGGCUGGCCAUUUUCAAGCAACGGAAGACAAAUUUAUUGUAUCCAUGUAUUUAUGUAUCCUUUCUCUAUCUCUAAAUAAAAUGAGAGAUGGGAGUUGAGUGGAUGUGAUCCUCCUCCAUGUAUUUAUUGUAUCCUUUCUUUAUCUCUAAAUAAAAUGAACCUCUCCCAUGGAUGUAGGCGGUUUUGUCGAACCACGUAAAAUAUUGUGUCAAUGUGCUUGCACUCCGUUGAGCAAUUAUCAGUACAUCACCGGUCGGAUUUUCCCAACAAUUGGUAUUAGAGCUGAUGGUUUAAGUGGUGUUUGAUUUUUGCUAAAAAAUGAAAGUUGUCAAAAUUGUGUUUUGACCAUAUCACUGUGUAGAGGAGGAAGAGACGAAGCCACUGUUGAAAACCGCGUCGAAAUCGAACGUCGGACAUGGCCGCACGCGCCGGAAUGGUGGUUGGCCACGCGCGCCACGCGUCUUCUUCGCCCGGAUGGGCCGACCCGACCCGACCCGAAUACCAUACGACCCAACCUACGUGGCUGACCCGGAUAAGGAUGAUGUCAGCAUGACAUCAUAAUUAUGUCAGCAUGAACAAUAGCAUAGCCCAGGAUGACAUCAGCAUGAUGUGAUGGUGACGUCAACAUGCACAGUCAGCACCUGUCAGAGACCACCACUAGAAAUUCGCUAAAUACCAACGGACAUACCGACGGAAAUUUUUCUGUCAGUAUUUUUCGGCCGAAAUCACAGACGGACAAUAUUCGUCGGUAAUUCGGUCGGUAAUUACCGACCGAAAAUUCAGAAUUAAUGAAAAAAGGGCGGGUAGGUGGCACGGAGGUUUUGGCGGGUGAUUUUUCCGACGGAAUCACAGACGGAAUUAAAACCUGGGGCCCGACGCGUGAUGGAACCAGUGCACCGUUAAAAAUACCGACGGAAUCACCGAGGGAUUUGAAAUGCCAGAUCCGUGCCGGUGACGUGUCGAUUGCCCGUCAGAAUUACCGACGAUGUCGCCGACGGAAUCAAAACCGUCGGUAAGUCCGUCAGCAAAAGUGAAUAUAUGGCCACUCUACCGACACUCUCCUCCCCCAUUUCUCCUUCUUCUUCCUAAUCCUAACCCUCCCCAUUUGCAAAAUAAUCAGCCCCCCCUCGCCCCAAAACAAAAAUCUUCCUCAUCUCAGCACAACAAGUUGUAUUUCUUGAAGUUUUGUGGUCACAACAUCCGUGUUCUGAUUUACCGACGGAUUUUAUCAUUUUUUGUAAGUAAUUCUAUCUUUUAAAAUUUUAACAUUUAAAUGUCAAUUUUAUUGUUUUUUUAGUAUAUGUAUUUUGUUUUAGUAGAUGUACAUGUUUUAUUGUUAUUUCUCAAACAAACUUGUAGUAUAUGAAUGUAUAAUUUUAUACUUGUUAUGGUUUGUUUUAGAUUUUUUUAAGAUUGUAUUUGUUUGAAAAUUGUUAAAACUUAAUUUGUAGAAUUAUCGAAUUACAUGUUAUGUUUUGAAAUAAUUAAGAGCUUGCUUAAUGCGUACUUUUUAUAGAGGUUCGAUAGAAGUCAUGGAUGAUCGUUCAUGGAUGUAUCUAGAUUCACCCCAAGGAUUGCGGAGGAUGGAUUAUUGUAACGGGGUUCAGGGUUUUAUUAAUUUCGCAACAUCUAUUCCCAGAAAUUUUACUGGAGGCGGUAUUAGGUGUCCAUGCAGGAAGUGUCAAAAUAAAAAGUAUCUGCAUCCAGAUGUUGUAAUGAUGCAUCUUCUACACAAAGGGUUUGUGGAGGAUUACGAGUGUUGGUAUGCACAUGGAGAGGUAUUUGUUAGUAAUAGGAGAAUGGGAGAAACGGUGGUUGGGUCAACUUCUAGUGCUAGCAACGUGCAUGAAGCGACAAAUGACAACACUAAUCCUUACAGAAACAUGGUUAUGGAUGCAAUGAGAAUGAAUCAAGAUAAUGUCAAUCAAUGUCCAAUCGUAGAAGAAGAACCUAAUGCAGAGGCAGCUAGGUUUUUUGAUUUGUUGAAAGAUUCUGACGAACCAUUAUGGGAUGGCUGCACAAACCACAGUAAAUUAUCGGUUGUGGCACAGGUGUUCACCAUCAAGUCAGAUCACGGGUUGAGUGAGGCCGGGUAUGACAAAAUUAUUGAUUGGGCAAGAAGCAUUUUACCAGAAGGGAACAGGCUCAAAGAGAACUUCUAUGCUGCGAAGUCCAGUGAGAUCGGAAGAGCUUCGUGUAGGAAAGAGUGUAGAUCUCGGUGGUCGCCCGUAUCAUUCUGAAGACUGCCAAGGCACACAGGGGAUACCGAGUGCAUGACAUGCGGGCAUUCCCGUUACAAACCCAGAACUGGCAGGGGGAAGACUCUAGUGGCAUAUAAAAAACUUAGAUAUUUCCCGAUCACACCUAGACUGCAGAGGUUAUUUAUGUCACCAAGGACUGCUGAGCACAUGACAUGGCACCAAACACACGAUGCGUUGAUGGUGUGAUGGUGCAUCCUUCUGACGGCGAAGCGUGGAAACGCUUUAACAGUGUUCAUCCUGACUUUUCUGCUGAAUCAAGGAAUGUUCGACUUGGGUUGUGUACAGACGGGUUCAACCCAUUUGGGUCAUUUGCUGCUCCCUAUUCUUGUUGGCCGGUCAUUCUCACAGUUUAUAACUUGCCACCGGGAAUGUGUAUGAGGCCGGAGUUCAUGUUUCUAUCUACUGUCAUACCCGGUCCAAGCAGCCCGGGGCGGAAUAUAGAUGUUUGUCUUCGACCGUUGAUAGAUGAGCUGGCGCAGUUGUGGUCCUCCGGAUCUCUGACUUAUGAUAUAUCGAGGAAACAAAAUUUCCUUAUGAGGGCGGCUUUGAUGUGGACUAUCAGUGAUUUUCCAGCUUAUGGAAUGCUUUCUGGUUGGAGCACGCAUGGGAAACUCGCAUGUCCAUACUGCAUGGAAAACAACAAGGCAUUCACGCUAGCAAACGGAGGUAAAGCUUCUUUUUUUGACUGUCACCGUCGCUUCUUGCCACUUAAUCACAGGUUCAGAAAGAACAGAAAAGAUUUCUUUGUUGGUAGAGUUGAAAAAGAUGUUGCAUCCCCGCGUCUUUCUGGUGAAGAAUUGCAUCAUGUUGUAUCAGAGUACGGUGACAUUGUGUUUGGCCUUCAAUCAGGUAAGCAAAAGUUUCCUGGUUUUGGUUUGACCCAUAAUUGGGUAAAGCGAAGUAUCUUUUGGGAGCUUCCGUAUUGGAAGACUAAUCUUCUCCGCCAUAACCUUGACGUCAUGCACAUCGAAAAGAACGUGUUUGAGAAUAUUUUCAACACCGUCAUGGAUGUGAAGGGGAAGACAAAGGACAACAUGAAGGCUAGAUUGGAUAUAGCUUUAUACUGUAACCGUAAAAAUAUGGAGUUGGUUUAUGACGAGUCACGGGUUGCAAAACCAAGGGCAAGCUUCGUGUUAGAGAAAAACGCACAACUGCUAGUCUACAAAUGGCUUAAGAGUCUGCGUUUCCCGGAUGGACAUGCAUCGAACAUAUCAAGGCUUGUUAACAUAGAGGACUGCAGAUUGUAUGGAAUGAAGAGCCAUGACUGCCACGUGUUUAUGCAAACACUCAUCCCAUUAGCUUUUCGUGAUUUGUUGCCAAAGGGAAUAUGGGAUGCACUAACGGAGAUCAGUCAUUUCUUCAGAGAUAUAUGCUCCAGCAAGAUGAAUGUUGAGCACAUUGAGAUGCUUCAAACGAAUAUCAUCGAGACACUAUGCAAACUUGAGAUGAUAUUCCCUCCUUCAUUUUUUGACUCAAUGGAGCAUCUCCCUAUACAUCUACCGUUCGAGGCAAAAGCUGGAGGACCGGUCCAGUAUAGAUGGAUGUACCCAUUCGAACGGUGAGAUAUUACAGUUGCAAUGGAAUUCAUAUCUUAAAGUAUUUUCUAUGUUUUUCUUAUUUGAAAAUACUUGAAUUGUACUUCAAUGCAGGUACUUGUUUAAUCUAAAAAAAAAGGUUAAGAACAAGGCGCAUGUUGAGGCUUCGAUAUCUGAGGCCUAUAUUGUUGAAGAGAUAUCAACAUUUAUCUCGUACUAUUUCGAACCUCAUCUGAGAACAAGAAUCAAUCGCGUUCCACGGCAUGACGAUGGCGGUGAAGUGCCUUCCAGUGGGAACUUGUCAAUAUUCUCCAAUACUGGACGACCCACACCUAAAAAUGCCGUAAGAGGAAGAUAUUUGUCGGAAAUAGAAUUCAAACAAGCACACAACUAUGUUCUAUUUAACUGUGAUGAGCUGAGACCAUUUAUUCAGUAAGUCUAUAUAUGUGUAAUAAUUAAACUUUGUCAGUAAUAUACUGUUAAUUAUAUAUUGUAAUAUCAUACACUCAUUAUCACUUGCAGGCAACAUCGACAAUAUUUGCUCUCCAAUAACUCGCAGCUGACCGAAUCCCAGAUCUUUCAAUUACAAGAUGAACAAUUUGCCACAUGGUUCAGAACACAUGUAAGCACUAUCACAAACUCAUUCUAACGUAUGCAUGUCAUUACGAGAUUCUCGUUCAUUUACCGUGUAUUGAUGUACAUUUAAUUACAUAUAUUUACAAGGUUUAUCAAAUGGGAAGGAGUGCGCCCAAGUCAUUGUCUUCACUAAGCCUCGGCCCUGAAAGAAAAGUUAAGUGCUACAACGGGUAUUUUGUCAAUGGAUAUGUUUUCCAUACUGAAGAAUACGGGCAAGGAAGAAAGACAUACAACUGCGGUGUUUGUGUUAAGGGAUCCACAAGUAGCCAGUUAGAAGUUGACUACUAUGGUAGAUUAGAAGAGGUCGUCGAACUGCAAUAUCAUAGCGAGCAGAAUAAAGUGUUUUUAUUCAAAUGCUAUUGGUAUGACACGACGGACAGAGGAAUCAGAGUUGAUCCGCACCAUGGUCUGGUCGAAAUCAACUCAAAAGCUAGACUCCGCAACAUAAACGAUGUCUUUGUUUUCGCAAAGCAAUGUCAACAAGUUUAUUACACAUACACCCCUUCAUUUAGAAAGGAUCGAUCAAGAGUUGAUUGGUUGUCCGUUUUAAAAACGAAACCACGGGGUCGUGUCGAGGUUGUUCAGGAUGAGAACGAAGACACAAGUGUGCGAGAUGAAGUCUUUCAAGUUCGUGAGUUGGUUGAACCAUAUCGAGUUGCUCCUUCGAUUGAAUUGGAAGAAAAUUCAAAUUUUCGAGUUCUCGAUGAUAGUCUUGUUGAUAUUGACGGAGAGGAGUUGAAUGUUGUUCUCAGCUCUAGCGGACAAGCAAAUGUCGAUGAAGAAGAUGAUAUCAAAUGUCGACAAGCAAAGUGUGCACCUCGAGCUGCCAAAUUUGGCAGCUACAGGCUGUGAACUGCCCGAGGUGGCCACUUUGAGCCACUCAACGGAGCCGUUUCUAAAUUUUCCGACCCGACCGGACCAUUCUCCGGGAUAAAGGGUUUCAUAUGGACAUGUUGGUGCAGUUUUGUCGGAUUUGGAGGCCACACGAGCCGGAAAAUGCGCCUGGAAAGCAGCCACUAAGGCAGUUUUUUUAGGAAGAAAGUGAACAAUAACAAGCGCUGUUGUUUUUAAAUUAGUCCUCCAGUUUUCAAUUUCUUCAAUUUUGACCCCGGAUCAAUCCAAUACAGCCCCCUCUAUCUUCGCGCCUUUUCCAAAUUGGUCCCUGGUUUUCGGAUUUUCACAAUUAAGCCCCUAAUUGAUCAAUAAACUUCCAAUUUCUUCAAUUAAGCCCCUGAAUCAAUUCCAAACAGCCCCCUCUAUCUUUGCGCCUUCUCCAAAUUGGUCCCUGGUUUCGAUUUUCACAAUUAAGUCCCUAAUUGGCCAUUAAACUUCAAUAUUUAUGCAAUUAAGCCCCUGAUUUGACCUAAUAAAUUCCUAAAAAAUAUAUUUUGGCCCCAGAACUUAAAUUUCUUCUAAUUAAAGCCCAAAUUGACUUAAAAAUCAAUUUUUCUUGCAAUCAAAUCUUCUAUAAAUUCAAAUAAAAAUCCAAUUAAGUCCAUAAACAUCCAAAUUUGGGCUUUUCUCCUCAAAAUUCAAAUGUUCUUAUCCACCAGGGCUCUUAUCAUUCAAGAAUAUAUUGUCAAAAAUCCAUCUUUGUAUUUUAACCUCCUUGACCGAUUUUUCUGACCAUUUUCUGAGUGCUUUUACCUUCCGUUAUUUUUCUAACCUCCUUUGGCUAUUUAUUUAUUUUAUUUUUAUUUUUUGUGGGGACCCGAAAAUGGUUACAACAGAUGCCCCCUCUUUAUAAAGCUUACGGAGCAGGUUUUUGCGCAGUAAGAUUUAUAAAGAUAAACCAAAACUGAACUCCCAAACUGAUCUGGUCGAAGCUUGAUCGAUCUGAAACUCUUUCUUUACAGCAAUCCUCUUAGGCCCAAAAAACUAUGAUCAAAAUUUAGUUAUCUCGAGAUCUCUUCUGGCGAUCUCCUUUAACCAAAAACUUGGAAUCCCAUCUGGCGAUUCCUUUUAACAAAGGCUGAAAUAUGAGGUCCCUUCAGGCGACCUCCUUUGACCAAUAUCAAAAUGCGAAAUCCUUAUGGCGAUCUCAAAACUUGGAAUCUCAUUUGGCGAUUCCACAACCAAAACAAAAAUGCAUGUGUGGUCUCAUUAUGAUGGGUGACCUGCCCGAGUGGAAAAGGGAAAGAAUGGUCUCAUUCUUUGGGUGACCUACCCAGGGGGAGGUAUGACCUCAUUCUUAUGGUGACCUACCCAGGUAACAAAAAGAUGGAGAAUGGUCUCCUUCUUAUGGGUGACCUACCCAAAUGGAAAAAGGAAGAGUGGUCUCAUUCUUUGGGUGACCUACCCAAGGGGAAGAAUGGCCUCAUUAUUAUGGGUGACCUACCCAGGUAAAAAAAAAAGAUGGAGAAUGGUCUCAUUCUUAUGGGUGACCUACCCAAAUGGAAAAAGGAAAAGUGGUCUCAUUCUUUGGGUGACCUACCCAGGGGAAGAAUGGCCUCAUUAUUAUGGGUGACCUACCCAUGUAAAAAAAAAAGAUGGAGAAUGGUCUCAUUCUUAUGGUGACCUACCAGAAAAAUAAUGGUCUCAUUGUAUGGGUGACCUACCCAAGUGGAAAAAGGAAGAGUGGUCUCAUUCUUUGGGUGACCUACCCAAGGGAGGAAUGACCUCAUUCUUAUGGGUGACCUACCCAGGUAAAAAAAAGAUGGAGAAUGGUCUCAUUCUUAUGGGUGACCUACCUAGAAAAAAUAAUGGUCUCAUUGUGAUGGGUGACCUCCCUAAGUGGAAAAAGGAGAAGAGUGGUCUCAUUCUUUGGGUGGCCUACCCAGGGGGAGGAAUGGCCUCAUUCUUAUGGGUGACCUACCCAGGUAAAAAAAAAAGAUGGAGAAUGGUCUCAUUCUAAUGGGUGACCUACCCAGAAAGAAAUGAUGGUCUCAUUGUGAUGGGUGACCUACCCAAGUGGAAAGAAUAUGAAAAAGUGGUCUCGUUGUGAUGGGUGACCUACCCAAAAUAGAAAAAAUAUGGAGUGCGGUCUCAUUGUAAUGGGUGACCUACCCAAAUGGAAGAAUGGCCUCAUUGUAAUGGGUGACCUACCCAAGUAAAAAAAACAUGGAGAAGUGGUCGCGUUGUAAUGGGUGACCUACCCAAAUAAAAACAUGGAGAAUUGGUCGCGUUAUAAUGGGUGACCUACCCAGAAAAAUAUUGGUGAGGGCUCAAAGGCGCCCUUGAAAUGAGGUAGGGUUAGAAAAUGCACUACCCGAGAGGUGAGGGCUCAAACAGCGCACUCGAAAUGAGGUAGGGUUAAAAAAAAGCACUACCCGAGAAGUGAGGGCUCAACGGCGCACUCGAAAAGAGGUAGGGUUAGAAAACGCACUACCCAAGAACUGAGGGCUCAAAGGCGCACUCGAAAUGCGGUAGGGUUAAACAAAACGCACUACCUGAGAAGUGAGGGCUCAAUAGCGCACUCGAAAAGAGGUAGGGUUAGAAAACGCAUUACCCAAGAAGUGAGGGCUCAAAGGCGCACUCAAAAUGAGGUAGGGUUAGAAAACGCACUACCCGAGAAGUGAGGGCUCAACAGCGCACUCGAAAAGAGGUAGGGUUAGAAAACGCACUACCCAAGAAGUGAGGGCUCAACGGCGCACUCGAAAAGAGGUAGGGUUAGAAAACGCACUACCCAAGAAGUGAGGGCUCAAACGCGCACUCGAAAUGAGGUAGGGUUAAAAAAAAUGCACUACCUGAGAAGUGAGGGCUCAACAGCGCACUCGAAAGAGGUAGGGUUAGAAAACGCAUACCCAAGAAGUGAGGGCUCAAAGGCGCACUCAAAAUGAGGUAGGGUUAGAAAAUGCACUACCCGAGAAGUGAGGGCUCAACGGCGCACUCGAAAAGAGGUAGGGUUAGAAAACGCACUACCCAAGAAGUGAGGGCUCAAAGGCGCACUCAAAAUGAGGUAGGGUUAGAAAACGCACUACCCAAGAAGUGAGGCUCAAAGGCGCACUCUAAAUGAGGUAGGGUUAAAAACGCACUACCCGAGAAGUGAGGGCUCAACAGCGCACUCGAAAAGAGGUAGGGUUAGAAAACGCACUACCCAAGAAGUGAGGGCUCAAAGGCGCACUCAAAAUGAGGUAGGGUUAGAAAACGCACUACCCGAGAAGUGAGGGCUCAACGGCGCACUCGAAAAGAGGUAGGGUUAGAAAACGCACUACCCAAGAAGUGAGGGCUCAAAGGCGCACUCAAAAUGAGGUAGGGUUAGAAAACGCACUACCCAAAAGAUGAUGAAGAAACACCGAUACAACAAAUGUUGAAAGCAAUGCAUUAUGAUCAAUAUGCAUGUAUACUUACCUGAGAAAAAUAGGUCCCCCUUUCAUUGUAAACUUCUUCAAGCUCUUGUUUCCACCUUUUCUCAUGAACCGAAAAUAUACUUCAUAUCCUCUUAGUGAAGAGAUCUCUGGUUCCUUAUGGGGCCCUUUCUUGCUCCUGAGUAUUGUGCUUUAUUAUUAUUUCAAAAGGAAAACUCAAAAGAUUUGGUUUUGUUCAUGAAAACUGAAACUUUCAAUGCAAUUAGCAAUUCUCAUAAAAGAUGCUUUUUUAGAAGUUUUUAAUAUGAUACCCUUUGGGCUUUGGUUCACUAUGGACCCCUAUGUGCACUUUGUGCACCUUUUCCCCCUAGUGUGGCGUGCAAAAAUAUGUCAAGUUCGGAGUCAUCUCCUUAGUCAUGCCAUAAAAGUUCUUUUAAGUAAAAGAUUUCAAAUGCUAGGAGAUCGUAUGUUUUAUGAAAAAAAGGUUCUUUACAAAGAGAAUUCAUGGCCGAACUUUAAUUUUAUUGAUUGGGAAAUUACGAAAUGCAUCAAGCGUAAUAUUUUUUACAGAGUCAGAAUUCACGGGCCUAACUAGAUCUUCUCCAUCCAUUCUAGAUAACAAUAAAGCUUCUCCCAAAAAUGCUUUCUUUACCACUAAAGGGCCCUCAUUGUUUGUCGUCCAUUUACUCUGAUCUUCUCCUGGUAAAAGACAACAUUUUCUUCAAUAUAAGAUCUCCUUCGUGGAAUCCUCAAGGUCGAAUCCUCUUGUUGUAUGAUUUGGCCAUCCUUCUUUGAUAAAGUUGAUGAUGACAGAUUGUGGCUAUCCUCUUUUCACUUAUCAGAUUCAACUGUUCACAUUUAACCUUCUCCCAUUCUAACUCUUCUAGCUCAAAGUCUAUCAAUACUCUUAAUGAGGGGAUUUCCACUUUUAAAAGCAUCACCGCCUCCAUUCCAUAUACCAACAUUUACGAGGUGGCUCCUAUUAAGGUUCGAACUGCAGUGCGAUAUGCAUGAAGGGCAAAUGACAACAUCUCAUGCCAAUCCUUAUAGGUGACUACCAUCUUCUGAAUAAUCUUUUUGACAUUCUUAUUAGCAGCUUCUACCGCACCAUUCAUCUUUGGUCUAUAUGGCGAAGAAUUGGAAUGCUUGAUUUUCCAUUUAGUGCAGAGCUCCAUUAUCAUCUUGCCGUUGAAAUUCUAGGCAUUAUUAAUUUUUCUAGUGGACCAUAUCGAUAGAUCAAAUAUCUUUCCAUAAAUUUCUUCACCACUUUUUUUCACGUCAUCGAAACAUCUCAACAAAGUUUCGUCAGAUGAUUUCUUAUACAAAGUUUACCCAUCAAGAUAGAAAUCCAUUGCCAACCUCCUCAACGUCUUCUUGUUGAUUUUUGGAUGCCCCCAUGGGAUAUGUCUAGUUUUGGAUGAAAUUCUUGAUAUCAUAGUGCCAAGGGUUUCCAUCUAUUUCUCUUUCAAACUGAGCAAUAAUGAGCUAAGUUAUUUCUUAUAUCAAUGUGUAUUGGUUGUAACUUGUGCCCAAAGUCUAUUCUAGCCAUAGAAGCUGGCGUGACCAAAACAUCAAAAUGGUUUCCUUCCCUUCCUAGAUGGGUGAACUUUAUUUCCUCAAAUUCUCUAGCCCAUUUAGACAAGUAUUCUUUGGCAAGGUCUCAACUUCUCGUCCUUGGUUUGCCCUUUUCCUUUCACUUGACAAAUAAUCAAAAUUGAGUCUCCAAUACACAUCUAUCUUUCUGAUGUUUAGCUCUAAUGCAACCUCUAAAAUCGAGAAUGCAAGCUUCAAACUCAGUUGUGUUGUUAGUGUACCCAAAUUGCGACUUAACUAAAACCGGAUACUGUUUCUUAUUAGGAAAGAUUAGCACUGCCCCCACUCUAUUACCACAACACCCUCAAAGUACAUAAUCCAACAAUCUGAUUUCCCUUCCUCGAUUGAAAGCAUAUCUUUAUCCGAAAAAUUAAAUUUUAACAGCCCAUAAACUUUCACAACAUGGUCAGCUAGGUGAUCGACGAUGACAUUCAUGGCUUUCCUUGUCAUAUAUACUAUGUUGUACUCAGCUAGUAGAACUUGCCAUUUUUCAAUUCAACUCGAUAGAUAGGGGUGGAUUCAGUAGGUAUUGCUUGAUUUUCGUGAAAGCUUCUUCACAUUCUUAUUCCAAAUUCCAAGAUUCUUCUUCCUUAACAAUUGAAGAUGAGGUCAUAAGUCGUGGUUAAUUGGGAUAUAAAUUGAGCAAUGUAAUUCAACCUUCCCAAGAACCUCCUUACAUCCUUCUUAGUCUUGGGAGUUGGCAUAGGUUGAAUAACCUUUACUUAAUCAGGGUCCACUUCUAUCCCUUUGUCACUCAUCAUAAAUUCCAACAACUUCCUAGAUUUCACCCCGAAUGAACACCUUGCAUGGUUAAACCUCAACUUGUACUUUCUUAGUCUUUCAACUAAUUCCUUCAAUAUUUGGACAUGAUUCUCUCCCUCUCUAGGUCAUGUCAUCCACGUAUACUUUAAUCUCUUUAUGCAUCAUGUCGUGAAAUAGAGUCAACAUAGCCCUUUGGUAGGUGCCCCCAACGUUCUUUAACCCAAACGGCAUGACCUUGUAGCGGGUUUCCAAGCUUGUUCAUGUUGUUCGUUUUUGUGAAUCCCCUAAUGUUAUUUUCCUACCAUUCUUCCUCUUCUACAACUAAUAUGGAUUCUUUAAAGUCCGGCCAUUCAUUCUCAGUGUAAAGCGCAGGUGUAGUUAUGGAAGAUUCGUUUUGAAAAGAAAAAUGAUGUGUAAAAACACCAAGAUGAACUUUUGAAAAGGCAUUUGGAACCUCGAUUUAAAAAGUUGAAAAAGGAAAACAACACAAUAUCACGAUCAAACAAGCAUUGUUGAUUAAAUUUUGAACACCAAUGGAGCUUCUUGGGUCUCCCAAUUCUAGAACAUCUCUCCCUUGGCUAGCUUUUGAAUAAAGGUCUUGAGAUUCAAGAUGCUUUGAGCUUAGGCUUGUUUGGAUGCAAAAAGAUAUUAUGGAGCAUACAUCCUAAGGAUAGGCUCUAGUUCCUUUAUGUGAGACAUUGGGUAGGUUUACUACUAGGUCUCUAAAAGAGGGUCUCUUGCUGUUCCAGUGGGAUGGUACGUGUACCAAUCACAAUCAGUCUAAACACUCAGCAAAGAGUUGGGGUUUACACAAACUUAAACCUUGACUCAAGUCAUAAGGCAAGCUGCUAGUCCCCCACUUAAUCUUAAAGUUACAUGUGUGUGCCCUCCAAAACAUAAUAACAAUAAUAAUAAAGUGAUGCAUGACUAUGCCAUGUAUGAUAGAAUGUAAAGAUGUAUGCUAAAGCUUUUAAACAAAGCAAACCAUUCAUAGUAAAAAAAGAAAAACAACAACACAUAGCAUAAUAAAAAAACAAUUACCAAGCUUAGUCCAAGGGUCCCCAGUGGAGUCACCAUUCUGUCGCACGUCAAAAAAUCCGCGCAGGCGUUCGAUGGCGAUUUUUCUUUUGUUUUUGCUUGAUUUGGUUCUUUGGAGUCGCCACCUAGUAUUUUGGUCACUAGGAACCCUAACUGGUCUUUCAGAGAUUCUAAGGCAAGGGACUGGUUGCGUAAAGGGAAGGUAUUAGCACCCCUAGUACGCCCUACCUAAGGUAAGCUGCUUGGUGUUUGGUUUGCUCUAUAAUUGCUAUGGUGUUGGUGUUUUCUAGUCCCGUCAAUUUUCCUAGGUUUGAUUCAAAUAAAAUUUAUUUGGAUAGAAAUCCAAGGAGAUUCCAUGUGCUUUGAAAGCUCAUUUUUCCCUUAGUAUUUCAAGAGUUUGCGACUCGUAAAAUCGCAAGAAGGAGGGACAAAAAAUUUAGAAAUCUAAGGACAUUCAAAGAGCUUUUAAGAGCCUCCUUUUGCCUUAGUAUUUCAUACUUUCACGGCUCGUAAACCGUGGAGUAAAAAAUUUGAAGUUUUGAAAUGUCCUCGAUUAUAAUCAAGGCUUCUUUCAAGGAUGUGUGCGGAUUUAUUACUCCCAAUAAUAUUUUGGAUAUUCAUCCUUUAAGGAUUUCUUUAUCCAACAUUAGCGGUGAAUAAUAGAUGAAUUCCCCUCCCAAAAUAAGAUUUUUAUAGUUUUUGGAAUAUUGGCCAAUACCCUUUGAAGUUUUACAAACAUGUUGUAAAAUCCAGAAAUGCAAGAAAAAUAAUUUGUGUUUAAGAAAUCUAUGCGAAAACACAUUUUCAAAACUUCCAAUAUUUUUUUUUAUAUAAAAAGAACAUUCAAAACAUGUUAGAGUAUUGGCCGUAUGCAUGAAAACAAAACAUUUUUUUCAAUAAAUAUUUUUUUUUGUUGACGAAAACCGGGUAUUUUAAUACCGGAUUUGUAUCUUUACAAUAUAAAAAUACAAACUGAUAUUGACCAAAAUACAGUAAUAAAAUUACAGAAAAAUCACAAAUUCUUUGAAAUAAUUUUCGAAGAAUUUUUAUUUUUUAUAUUUUUUUUAGGGCUGGACCUAGCGGGGCCCACGUGGCUGGGCUAAACCCAGCAGGCCUCAUGUGAACAGUGAAAUAUGCCCCACUAUUCACGUGAAUUAUAUUUGUUAUGAACAGUGAAUUAGCAUUUCACUGUUUGCGCGAAUUAUAUUUCACUUGAACAGUGAAAUGCAAGGAAAUGCAUGCACAGCGACGAAGGGGGUGCAAACCUGGUGGCAGAAACGAUGUUGAAGACGAUGGCGAACACUCCCAGUGAUGCUGGUGGCGGUGGAGAGGCAGUCGACGAGGUCUGCCGGUGGUGCUGACGGUGGAGUUGGAGGAAGACGGCGUCGGUUUCCUGUUGCAGAGGAAGAAAGAAGAAGAAGAAGAAAAAUCUGCAGAAAUUGGGCUAAAAUGCUGGUUUUUGGCUGACUUUGGACCUGAAUUUUUCCUCUCUCAGAUCAUCAAAUCCGACUCUAUUUAUAGGCUGUGAAAGAGGGCAAUCUUGUCUACAUUGGGGAAACAUUUCAGCCCUUGAUUCAGUUGGGAAGCAUCUCAACCAUUGGCUCAAAGUGUGCACCUCGAGCUGCCAAAUUUAGCAGCUCCAGGUUGUGAACUGCCCGAGGUGGCCACUUUGAGCCACUAAACGGAGCCGUUUCUAAAUUUUUCGACCCGACCGGACCAUUCUCCGGGAUAAAGGGGUUUCAUGUGGACAUGUUAGUGCAAUUUUUGUCGGAUUUGGAGGCCACACGAGCCGGAAAAUACGCCUGGAAAGCAGCCACUCAGGCAGCUUUUUUAGGAAGAAAGUGAACAGUAACAGGCGCUGUUGUUUUUAAAUUAGUCCUCCAGUUUUCAAUUUCUUCAAUUUGACCCCGGAUCAAUCCAAUACAGCCCCCUCUAUCUUCGCGCCUUUUCCACAUUGGUCCCUGGUUUCGGAUUUUCACAAUUAAGCCCCUAAUUGAUCAAUAAACUUCCAAUUUCUUCAAUUAAGCCUCUGAAUCAAUUCCAAACAGCCCCCUCUAUCUUUGCGCCUUCUCCAAAUUGGUCCCUGGUUUCGGAUUUUCACAAUUAAGUCCCUAAUUGGCCAUUAAACUUCAAUAUUUAUGCAAUUAAGCCCCUGAUUUGACCUAAUAAAUUCCUAAAAAAUAUAUUUUGGCCCCAGAACUUAAAUUUCUUCUAAUUAAAGCCCAAAUUGACUUAAAAAUCAAUUUUUCUUGCAAUCAAAUCUUCUAUAAAUUCAAAUAAAAAUCCAAUUAAGUCCAUAAACAUCCAAAUUUGGGCUUUUCUCCUCAAAAUUCAAAUGUUCUUAUCCACCAGGGCUCUUAUCAUUCAAGAAUAUAUUGUCAAAAAUUCAUCUUUGUAUUUUUAACCUCCUUGACCGAUUUUUCUGACCAUUUUCUGAGUGCUUCUGCCUUCCGUUAUUUUUCUAACCUCCUUUGGCUAUUUAUUUUAUUUUAUUUUUAUUUUUUUGUGGGGACCCGAAAAUGGGUUACAACAACCAAUAUUCGUUUGCAGGUGUGUUUGGUAGUUCUUAUGCUUCUGCCUUUGAGUGUGUACAUUAGAGCAGAGUGAUUUUACUUAACCAUGAAUUUUUUGUGAGACAAAUUAUAGUGAAUGUUUUUCUAUUUUACCAAUAUACCCAAGGUGUUUAUAACAGAGUGAUGCUACAUGCUGAGGUGGAUAUUAGCAACAGAGGAAAGCAUACAAAAGUAACCAAAAAAAAAAAAUAUUUGAUAGCAAGGACGAAAGCAUAUCCUGGUGGCCUCCCUCGGAACACAACGUUUUUAUUUUGUAGAUUAUUAGUUUUUAUUUUUCAAUCCAAGUACAGUAAUUGAUUGCCAACAAUCACUUUGUACAGUAAACAGACUUUGUACGCAAAUGAUUAUCCCUAUUAAGAAAAUUCAACGACAACAAUAUACUAAAGAGCAAUAUUACAGUAAAGAAAUCAAAUCAAUACAGAUAAAUAAUUGAUCUUAUAAUCAAAGAAUUAGUCCAUUUAAUAGAAAAAAAACAUUACUAAAUCCAUAAACUAUAUAAUUCCCUUUUCUUUUUUCUUUUUUGGUUCUUCUCUGGUGCAUUUCCCACAGGAAAUACUCUUUUCAAAUUAGGCAUUAAUUUGAGUACCCAUCACUGUAUUCAUGGCCAUUCCUUUCCUUGCGUGUCUCCUUCUUCCUUUUUCUUUCUCUGGUGCAAUUCCCACACGUCUUCUUUAUGCCAAAUACCCCUCUUUUCAAAGGAGGCAGCCCCACUUUUCAACCUCUUUUUUCAUCACGUCUCCAUGAUCCCGUUGUGUCAAAAACAAAUUGCCUCAAUUUUAGGCUUUAGGAGUUUCUUUUUCGAAAUCCUCAUCAGAGACUAAUUUGUAGCCCUUCAAGAUACCUUUCCAACGCGUCAAGAAUCACAGCAAUCCGAUAUGUGAGUGGAAAGUUAUGAUUAAAAUACUAAAGUGUGUGUAGGCUGUUUCCAAGAAAAAAGAACAUUACUACUACUUUAAGUAUAUCUUUUGAUGUUUUCCGGUUUUGAAAAUAAACAGUGAACAUUGUAUAUUAAUAUACUUUUCAUCUGAACAAUACAAGAAAAUUAACUGUUUAUUUAAAAAAUAAUGAACAGUACAAUUCACUUGCACUGUUAAUGGGUGUAUUGCAACUUUUUUUUAGUGUGUUAAUUUUUUUAACAUUUUUUUUAAAAGAACACUAGUUUAGAGUGAAUUAAAUUCACUUGCAAUGUGAUAUAUGAAUAAUAUUUUUUUUUUCGAAAAAAUAGUAUAGAGUGAAUUAAAUUCACCCGCAUUGUAAUAUCAAUUUUAUACCUGAUAAUAUUUUAUCUAAUUUUAUUAUAUACUCAAAAAGUUAUGAAAACUAUAGUUCUUGUUGGAAGUAAUUCGUACAUAAUGGAAUUGUAGAUGGUUUCAUGGAAUAAUAAAAAAUAUUUUAUAUAAAAUAUGAUUUAUUUCAUGAUAUAAUAACAAUAGUUAAAUCCACAAUAUUUAAAUUAAAAAUCAUCAAUAUUAAUAUAUAUUUUUUAAAAUUAUUUUAUAACCUUAAUUUCAAAAUCAUUCUUAACCAAACACAUUAAACUAUUUUUUUUUCAACCUCAAUUUCAACUACAGUUUUAACCAAACAUCUAUUUUUUCGAACCAAUCUCAACUAAAAAUACUUUUUAUAAAAUAAUUUUUUUCAAACCACAACUACAAUAUCAAUGGCAAUACCAAACACACUAAAAGGCACAUAAAGUAGCCCAACAAAUCAUACCCAGAGAAGCAAAAGCCAGAAACAAGCUACCUCGAUUCUUGCUCCACCGGGGUAAGAAAUGCAGCAUGCCCACUUGGAAUUAUACAGCGUCCAAAUUCCAUGGCAAAUAAUUGGUUGGAAUUGUUUUCUGAGGGGUCAUUUCAAAAUCUGAAAAAAAAAAACAGAAAAUAGAUCCAGCAAAUGAUUCCAAAUAUCUUCUAAAAAGAACAAUGAAAUAUGUUUUUUUAUUUACCGUAAGGAAAGAUAUUAAUUAAAUUUUUUUAAAAAAAUAUAUAUAACAAGUCAAAAUCUAUACUUAAAAUCUUUCUCGUAUUAAAUUCUUAAUUCAAUCAAAUAAAAUAUUAAUUUAAUAAAACGUAGUUAAGUUUUUGAUACUCUAGUUGAAUAUUUAGUAUAACGGUGACGUACUAAACUAUUAAAUCUUAACAUAAAAAGGAAUUUUUAUUAUAUACCCACGAAUCGAUACAAAAUCUAUAGGUUUUUAUAAAAUGAAUUCCUGAACCUAGUCGAAGAACUGUGGCAAAAACAGUUUAAGGAUUCCAACCUAACACAUGAAUGGGGUGGUUAUAUUUUGUCUUGUACACUGCUGGGCUAGAAAAUGAAUGUUGCCGUUUUUCAGUUUAUUAGAGAGAGGGCAGAAAGCCUUAAGUAGAAAAUAACUUCAUAUUCUGGGGGUAGAAACCCCACGAACGCAAUCAAGCAGUGGCUUCAAACAACAAAAGGGAGCAUCAGUGCAGGAGGAAACUUCAACAUCUAUUAUAAAAGUUGUGUUUGGUAAUGCUGUGUAAAUUAUGGAUUUAUAAAUUUUGAUUUAUUUUAUUAAAAAUUAUUAUUAUUAUGUUUUCAAAUUAUUUUGAUGUGUUAUAUUAAUAAAAAAUUAAUAAAUAUUAAAAAAUAUUAUUUUGAUGUAUUUCUAAAUAAAAAACACUUUGAACUACCAUCGUUAUCACAAUCUCAAACACACAUUUAUGAUUUGCUAUCCAAGAUUUUUCCAUUAAUACAAAAGAUGGUGUUUUUUUGUUGUUGAAAAAUUAUCUACCAAUAACUUUUUAUCUUUUUCCAAGCUUUUUGGUGAUUUUUUUAAUGUUAAAUUCAUGAACUAAAAAGGUAGCAGCGUGAAGCCUCGCCAAAAGCCCAAGAUUAAAAAUAACCAUGCUCCUAGCCCAAGCCCACCAACAUCACCCCCAGCAGAUUGGAAAAAUGCUCAUUACCAUUCCGGAAAAAACACACCUAGGCUACUAUGGUAUACUAGAAAGUGGAAAUAAAUCGAUAUUAAUCAUGAAAUAAAUUGUUAGCAGAAACCAAAAAUAAAUAAAUAAAUUGUUCAUACUACUCCAUCUUAUUGAUGGGAAUGACUUCUGACCUGCAUACAUAUGUAAUGACUCCUGCUAAAAUUAUUUGAUAAUAAAUUAUCAUGAAAAAACUUAAUAAAGUCAGAAAAAACAACCACGAAAUUCUUCUUAAAUUAAAUAAAAUGAAGAAGAAAACUCGAGUAAUAAAUGUUUAAUUCACUUUCAAGCUGAAAAUAAAGAAUGAAAGCAUUUCUAUUCAAUAAUACUUCUUGCUCACAAAUAAUCUGCCAACAAUUAUAUGAGAAUCAAAUCUCUCCGAUCACAUGGUUGUUUAAAAUGCUCAGCACUAAGCACUAGGAAAGCAAAUUUACAGAAUAGUAAUUCUAGUAAACUUCUUGAUUUAGUGCAACUAGAUAAUAUAAGCAAAAUGUAACGGUUGAACUCACUUUUUCUUAAAAAAGGAUCCAGAUUCUCUAUUACCAAUAACUUUUGGAUUCCUAGGUCAACUCUAUUCAACAAGCAUCCCUCAAACGGGUUGGAAAAGAUACCAGAGGCAAGAAGAUUUGUAACACCCUCAAAUUAUUAUGUCAUUAAAUCUCAAACAUUUCUUUACUAAUAUCAAGUAUUGAAUAAUAUGUCUAAGAUUAUGAGAUUUUUUUCUUUUUUUUUUUUAAAAAUUUCGGCAGAAUUUCCUUUGUUUUCUGAUGUUACCAAGUUAUCGACUAGUCUUUAUUCAAUCACAAUACUCAAAUCUUCCACUUUGAUCCAACCAUCCCGAAUCAUAUCCCAUCUCAUCAUACAAUAUUCCACAUAACUAUACUUCAUUGUAUUUUGUCAACCUUAUAUCAUCAACAAAUAAAACAUUAAUUACAAACAAUUAUAAACUCAAAGAUUCAUAUUAAACUAAUUAUUACAUUAAAAUGCAUCCAUCUUUUAAACAUGCAUGAUUAUAAUUACUAAAUAUUCUUUUUGAAUAGUUUAAUAAUAUUAGUUCCUUACUCAUACUUUUUAAUGUAUAAGUACCAAAAGCAAACAUUUUCAUGAUACAAAUAUUACAAUCUACGUAUAAUACAAAUUACAUAUAAAACAAAUAUAUUACAUCCCACAAAAUAAAUAGAUUAAAACACAAAGUCUAUAUAUAUAACGCUCCGCAUCACCUCAUGAAUAACUUGUAUACAUAACAUUAAUAAGAAAUAAGUAAGAUAACAUAUUAAAAAAAAAUAAUAAAGCUAUUAUAUUCACAAGUCUUCAAAAUAUAUCAACACUAAUAACCCUUUCAUAAUUUAUUAAUCCUGUACUUAUAAGACCUAUGUAACCAACACUCAUUGCUUAAUUUUUAAUUUGGUAAUUCAUAAUUUUACCUCAAACCUGGCUAACCCUCUUAAAUGGCCAACAAUCAAACCGGUAAUUCCAUACAAAUUACCCAACAUCCGGCUAUUCUCUAUCAAUAACCAAUAGAACCUGCAAUUCCAUACGAAUUACCCAACAUCCGGCUAUUCUCUAUAAUAGCCAAAAUAGCCAAUAUAAUUGGUAAUUCCAUACGAAUUACCCAACAUCCGACUAUUCUCUAUCAAUAGUCAAUCUAACCGGUAACACCAUACGAAUCGGUAAUUCCAUACUAACAGGUAAUUCUUUACUAACCAGUAAUUCAUGCUAACCAACCGAUAAUUCUAUACUAACUGGUAAUUUUACACUAACAUGUAAUUCUAUACCAACCAACCGGUAAUUCCAUACUAACCAGUAAUUCAUGUCAAUCAACCAGUAAUUCUAUACCAACCGGUAAUUCUAUACUAACCAGUGAUUCUAUACCAACCAACCGGUAAUUCCAUACUAAUCGGUAAUUCAUACUAAUCAACGAGUAAUUCCAUACCAACCACCCGACAUCCCCAUUAUAAUACCAACAGUUUCUUCUACUUCUUCCAUAUCAACAUGUCAUAAACAACUCAUAACUAAUAAUACAACUUUGAAUUUUAAAGAAAGGGAUGAAUCACCUACCAUCUGCUCGUGAUGACUCAGCUCCUCCUGCCUGAUGCCCUGCUCCCGAAACAAAUCCUGAAUAAAUCAAAUUGUACUACAUUAUUAAUCCAUUAUUAUUUCUCUUAUGUGCCUAAAUUUGAAGAACGUAAUAUUUUUUUUUAUUUAAUUGGGGUUUACAUCAAAAUUUUCUUUCAUUUAUCACUUCAUUUUCAACAUAUAGUUUUAAUCAAUUUUCUUCUUUUAAUUCACUUAAAGAAUUCUCCCAUGAAUUAUUCCACCAUUUAUUUAUUCAUUCUUUUUACAUUCUCAUGAUAUUUCUUUGCUUGUUCAUAUUUUGAAUACUUCAAAUAAGAUAAAGUAUUAAAUUCUCCCAUGAACUAUUCCACCAUUCUAGUUUUAGUAUUAAAUUUGUUCGUAGAAGUUUCAUUUAUUUUUAAUCAAUUAAAUUGAAUAAAAUCUUGUCAAGUCAGACAUCAACUCUUUAUUGAAUCGUCUUUUCUUUUUGGAUAAUAAGAGCUUCUUAAAAAGCUUAUUAAAAUAAAUUAUUAAUUAAUGAAAUUAAAAAUAAAAAUGCUUUUUUUAUUUAAAAAAAAAAAGUAAAACAGAGAGACAUCUACCGUGUUUUCUCUAUUGGUACAUGAUAAAAGUCUGAACAGAUUUUUUUAUUAUUAUUUUAAUUUUAAUAAUAGUACUGUUAUUUCUACCGCCAAGAAAUCAAGAAAGCUAGCUAAUUUUAAUACAAUGCUAGAGUUCUUGACUUUGGGAGAAUGAAUUCCGUGAUGGAAUUGGAGGUGCUGCUUUCUUCAUCUGUUGUUCCUAUUAUGCACUGAUCAUGAGAUGUGGAAGAGAAUGUUACAGUCGCUAUCUCUUUUACAUAAUAUUAUUUAUUAGUAAGGUCGCCUCAAUAAUAAUUAAUUAACGUAUUGUUUGAUAUAUUAUAAGAUAUAUAAAGUUAACGUGUGGACCCGCCCCAAUGUUGAAACCUGGAAGAAGCUGCCAAGAAAAUGUAUACACAUGAAAUUUUCUAAAAAAAAAUAGUAUAAUUAAAAAAAUAUUUUUAUUUAAAAAUACAUUAAAAUUAUUUUUUUUAUCAACACAUCAAAAUAAUUGAAAAAUAUUAAAAAUUAUUUUUUAAAAAAUCAAAUUUUUUAAAAAACACAUUAUGACUGUAAAGAUAAACCAGUCAAUAUUCUCAAGGUAGCAAUUACUAAUUGGGAUACAAAGAAAUUAAAAGACAAAUUAAAGGUUUUGAGUCAACGCCAUUACCAAUAUUCGCUUGCAGGAGUGUUUGGUAGUUCUUAAUAUUCUUAUGCUUCUGCCUUUGAGUGUGUCUAUUAGAGCAUAGUGAUUUUACUUAACCAUGAAAUUUUUGUGAGACAAAUUAUAGUGAAUGUUUUUCUAUUUUACCAAUAUACCCAAGGUGUUCAUAACAGAGUGAUGCUACAUGCUGAGGUGGAUAUUAGCAACAGAGGAAAGCAUACAAAAGUAACAAAAAAAAAACAUCAAAUGAAAAAAAAAAAAAAAAAAACAACCUUUAGAAACACGCGUCUUUGGAUUAACCAAUUCUUUUAGUUUAUUUUUUAUGUCUCAUAAAGACAGAAAAAACUUUAAAAUACAAAUUAAAAAAUCUUGAGGAAUUGAUUAACCAAGCCUUUUAGUUUUUUUUUUUUUUAAUGAAGACAGAAAAAACUUAAAAACACAGAUUAAAAAUAAAGAUUUAAUAGAGAAUGAAAUUUAAUUUUAAAUGCAAAUUAAAAUAAAGCAGAGUGCCUAAUGGAGAAAGUACUACUGGAAUUCUACAAAGAGUAGAGCGUCGGGAAUCCUUGCACACAUUUGGUAUUUUAAUUAUUCUUAUUUCGUUUAAUAACUCAAUUGGAAGUUCAAUUCCCAGAAUUUCCGCUUUUGAAAAAUCAUUCAUCACUUUUAAAUAACGCAAAUGAUUAUUAAGAAAAUUCAACGACAACAAUAUACUCGAGCAAUAUUACAGUAAAGAAAUCAAAUCAAUAUAGAUAAAUAAAUGAUCCAAAUAUAAUCAAAGAAUUAGUCCAUUUAAUAGAAAAAACAUUACUGAAUCCAUAAAGUACAUAAUUCCCUUUUCUUUUUUCUUUUUUUCUUCUUCUCUGGUGCAUUUCCCACACGAAAUACUCUUUUCAAAUUAGGCAGCCCCACUUUUCAACCUCCUUUUUCAUCACGUCUCCAUGAUCCCCGUUGUGUCAAAAACAAAUUGCCUUAAUUUUAGGCUUUAGGAGUUCGUUUUAUGAAAUCCUCAUUAGAGGCUAAUUUGUAGCCCUUCAAGAUACCUAUCCAACGCGUCAAGAAUCAAAGUAAUCCGAUAUGUGAGUGGAAAGUUGUGAUUAAAAUACUUAAAGUGUACCAGGCUGUUUCCAAGAAAAAAAACAUUACUAUAUUAAGAGCGUCCAGGCUGGUUCAAAGUGAAUUUCACGACUCCUCGGCCUUGACUUGUCUGUGAGAGCUUCUACUCUUUGAAAUGUUUUUUCUUAAACUGUGAGAGCAAGUUUGUCAAAAAUAUUUUUUUAACACGAUACAAAAUAUAUAAUAUAAACUUGGAUAGUAAAUUUGAAUUAUAAAAUAAAAAGAAAAAUAUUUUAACUAAUUAUAUAUUGACAAUUUCAGUCAAGUAGUAAACAAUAAUAUAACACAAUUAAAAUAAAAGUGAAAUAAACAAUAUAAAUGUCCAAACACCUUAAAAUACAUAAUUCAAAUAAAAAUUCAUACAUAGUUUAACUAACUUAAAAGUACGAAAAGAAAAAAAAAAUUAGAUUGAACAACUAUGUUUUAUUGAUCGAGUUUCAGAACAUUUUCUAGAGGACAAGUCUUGAAACACACUGUAGGCAACUAGUGAGAUGAUACAAGGUAUAUUACCAACUUUUAAAAAAUUUAACAGAGACAAAUACAGUGAACCCGUGACAACGAGAACAAAAACUUAUAAAAUAACAUCAAUUUAAUCUCAUGCCACCUCACCUUGCACCUUUUUUUUAUGUUAGUAGCAAGUCCGAGAAAUAAUGUUCAAAUAUCCCACAAAGCAAGACAUGUAUUUCAAGUUCUCUCUGAGUCUUUGUCGUCUUUCUUUAUAGUUAAUAAAUGGUUAGUCUAAAACACAUUAUUUCUCCCUAUAUAGGUAUUCAUAUCUCUUAUUUUACUCCUUUGAUUCCUCACCAUCUACCUUUGUCUUCUUAUGGUUUCGAUCCUCCGAUCAUGCUUUCCUGGCCUAAAAUACAGUAUAUGGCUUCCUCAUAUCCAAGAUCCUCUAAUGCUGGUGUUAGUCUGCUAAGAUUGAAAAUUUGAGAUUUGGGCAACGGGAAAAGGGGAGACUGGGAAGUGGGGACUAUGUAGUGGAGUGUCAGGGGACUCGGACAAGGAGGCAGUAAAUUUUUUAACUUUUGCGGGUUAAAACUCGAAAUCGGUCAAACUCGUAAAAUCGGUCCGAUUUUAACCGAGUUUGACCGAGUUUUACCGAUUUUGAAUUUUAACCCGAUUUAACAUGUUAUAUACAUGUUGAGUUGUAAAAUUUUAAGAGUCAAUUUGCGAUUUUAACAAUACUGUACGAGAGCUUCAUAAUAAGCAUGCUAAGCUUAUUGAAAUAAAUUAUUAUAAUGAAAUUAAAAACAAAAAUGCUUAAAAAAAAACAGAGAGACGCCGUGUUUUCUCUAUUGCUACAUGGUAAAAGUCUGAGCAUAUUUAUUUAUUUAUUUUUAUUUUUAUUUUAAUAAUAUUACUGUUCUCUUUACCGCCUAGAAAUCAAGAACGCUAGUUUCAUUUAAGAGAUUCUAAAGUUCAUAUUUAGAUAAAUUAGCAGACAGGACGAAAACACAACAAAUCAUACCCAGAGAAGCAAAAGCCAGAAACAAGCUACCUCAAUUCCUGCUCCACCUGGCUAAGAAAUGCAGCAUGCCCACUUGGAAUAUACAUCAUCCAAAUUCCAUGGCAAAUAAUUGGUUGGAAUUGUUUCCUGAGGAGUCAUUUCAAAAUUUGAAAAUAAAAACAGAAAAUAGAUCCAGCAAAUGAUUCCAAAUAUCUUCUAAAAAGAACAAUGAAAUAUGUUUUUUUAUUUACUGUAAGGAAAGAUAUUAAUGGAAAAAAUAAAAAAAAUCAAUUUAAAAAAUAUAUAAUAAAUCAAAAUCUAGAUUUAAAAUCUAACUCGUAUCAGGUUCCUAGUUGAAUUGAAUAAUUGAGAGCGUAACGUGUCAAGACUGACACGAGUUCAGAAUAGACUCCACAACAGUAAAAAAAAGAGAAAAAAAACGAUCCAUAUAGUGGCCCGUAGUAGUAUUCCGGAGGAGAGGGUCAAAGAUGGCGGCUGGUUCAAAGGACGAGCUUAAUGUCAUGAAUCAUUUUUUAACCUUUAUAGUAGGACUUGACACGUGUCCUCUAAACCCUCCUGUCCCUCUUCCGAUCCUUGCUAAACCCUUGUUCUGGUCGUAAUCAUCCAUUAGCGUAAACCUACGCUUCUCUUGACCUUGAUCCCAAUAAACCAACCCCAUAGAGUUGGUGGUAAUGUAAUUUAUAUUACUUUUAAAAUUAUUUUUAUUUAAAAAAUAUCAAAUUAAUUUUAAUGUGUUGGUAUUAACAAAAAAUUAAAAAACAUUAUAUUAAUAUAUUUUUAUUUGAAAAAUAUUUUUUAAAAAACCAUAUGUAAAAUUACUAAAAAACCCUUAUAAACUAGUUCGUCUCCCAGUCCUUAAAUUAGUUUCCUCAUUGUUUUUCACAAUUUUUUAAGAAAAAAAAAUAAAAAAGGAAAAUAAAAAUAUGAUCAUAAGCUAUAUAUCUAACACUCAUUUUAAAGAAAUUGAUAACCAUGCAAGCUGUCAUUUUAAAGAAAUCAAUAAUAUAUCAUUCUUUCAAUCAUUUUUGUCAAAAAUCAUGUGCAAAACAUAAUUAAUUAUUUUUGAUAUGAAGGAUGGAAAUAGUCCUUUAAAACAAGGAUAUUCUUAUUAAUUAUAAUUUGAAAUUUGAUUAAAAUUAUAUUUUCAUCCUAUUGAGGUUCUCCAAGAUGAAAAUCCAAAAAAAAAAAAAAUACUAUAUUAAUUUAUCAUUAAAGUAACAUAAUAAAUUAUUUUUUUAAUUUUUAAUUUGAUUAUUUUUUUUAUGUUUUCAAAUUAUUUUGACAUGUUGAUAUUAAAAAUAUAUUUUUAAAAAUAAUAAUAAAAUAUUAUUUUAGUGCAUUACCAAACACAAAAGAUUUUAAAAAAUAAUUAAUAUUACAUUCUCAAACACCCCUAAAUGCUCUAUUAUUGACGGAUUGUUUUGGCUAAAUUUCAUCCAGAAUAUUCCGAUUUCAUUCCAUAUGUUUUGUUCCGGUCUUGAAAAGUUAUUGAAUCCAAUUGAACCUGGUUCAAUUAAUUAAUUAAACUACCCAAGUAUAAAAAGCUAUUUUUCAUUACUAUUUUCAAUAACAAUGAUAUUAAUAAUAAUAUUGAAAAUUAUUAUUAUUAUUUUCAUUAACAAUGAUAUUAAUUUUUUAAAAUUAGAUUUAUCACUAAUAUAUAUAGUUUAUAUUUAUGUUUUGUUUUUCAAGUUUACACUUUAUAAGAAUUUGAGCAAAAUAAUGGAUGUUUUAGAUCUCAUUAGCCUUGAUAACAUUAACCUAGCUUUAUAUUUAAAAUAUUUGUGUUAAAACAUUUUAAUUUUAUAAUAUUUUGAUAUUUUAUUUAAGUUGAAUUGUUUUAAGUAAAAAUCUAUUUAAUCUUUACUAUUUUUAAAUAUUUUAAAUUGUACAAUUAUAUUUCAUCACGUCUCCAUUGUGUCAAAAACAAAUUGCGUAAAUUUUAGGCUUUAGCAGUUCCUUUUUUGAAAUCCUCAUUAGUGAAAUUUCACUAUUGAGCUUACCAAAAAAAAGAAAUUUCACGAUUGCUGGGCCUUGACUUGUCUGUUUAAUUUCUAUUAUUCUUAUUCACAUUUUAGCAUUUUAUUCCAAUGAAAGAAUGCACUUUCAUAGACUCAUCAAAACCCCAGGAACGCUAUCAAGCUUUAGCUUCAAACAACCUGAGGGAGAUUUAGUGCAGUGGAGAACUUCAACAUCUACUAUGAAGCUUGAUUUGCUAUCCAAUCUUCACGUCAGUUUUCCAUUGAUACAAAGAUACUGUAUGUGUUUUUGUUGCCGGAAAGUUGUUCGAUCAAUAACUUUUUAUCUUUUUCCAAGUUUUUGUUGUGUGAUUUUUUUUUCUUUUCAUCUCAAACUCAUGAACUAAAAGGUAAACAAAGUAAAAUUUUAGAUCAAAAUAAAAAAUAAAAAAUAUAAGAUGCAAAAAAUUAUAAGGUAAACGAUAAACUAAAUUUUAGAAUAUGUCUCUUAACUAUUCGUAAGCUUCCUAUUCCUUUUUAGUUUUUCUUGAAGUUGUUCUAUUUGAUGUCAUGAGUGUUCCAUUGAGAAAUAAAAAAGAAGACUAAUUGCCAUCCUCUUCACCUUCUUACAAUGCAUUACAGUAAUAUCUCUAAGAGAAUUGUAAAUCAAUUUUUGCACUGCAAAUACUUUUCAGUUCCGGUAAAUCAAACAAUUUCAGAAUUUUCCAAGAUAAACAGAUUUUUAAAUACACUCAAACAUAAUUUUAAAUAUAAAAACAAAUUAUGUUUUUUGAUUGCGGCAUAACAAUGUUGGCAGUACCGUUGUUGUUUGGACUUUGAGCAGCAGUAGAUAUCUCCAGCGUACUGUUACCUGCCGGCUAGAAAAGGUAUGUUGCCGUUUUUUAGUUUACUAGAGAGAGGGCAGAAAGCCUUAAGAAAAUAAUUUCACAUUCUGUGUGGUAGAAACCUGAUUCCACCCAAAAAUAAAAUAACACGGUAAUUGAAGCAAAUUAAAAGAAUAAAAGAAAAUAUAAAAUGAUUUAAUACAGAACAAAAAUUAGUUUUCAAUGCAGAUUAAAAUAAAGCAAAGUGACUAAUGAAAAAAGUACAUAAAUCCUACAAACAGCAGAUAGAUAGUCGGAAUCCCUUGCGCACACAUUUGAUAUAUAGAUAAUUAAAUCAACAUUAAACCAAAUUAAUAUAACCCUUUUGAAAAAUCAUUCACUACUUUUAAAUAAUUAAUUAUCCCUAUUAAGAAAAUCCAAUGACGACAAUGUAUUUAAGGAGCAAUAUUAAAGCAAAGACAUUAAAUCAAUACAGGUAAAUAAAUGAUCCAAAGAUUAAUCCAUUCAAUAGAAAAAAACAUGACUGAAUCCAUAAACUGCAUAAAUUCGGAGAAGAAUACUUCUCAACAACAAAUUGAGAAUGAUAAAACAAAAGAGUUAGAAUAAUUAGAAAUCUGAACAAUUUAGUUACCCAUCACUGUAUUAGUCAUUCCUUUCCUCAUCUGUGCUCUCUUUUUUCCCCUCUCUCUAGUGCAAUUCCCUCACGUCUUCUUUAUGCCAAAUAGCCCUCUUUACAGAGGAGGCAGCACCCUUUUUCAUCAGAGGCUAAACUUGUAGCCCUUUACGAUACCUUUCCAACGCAUCAAGAAUCACAGCAAUCCGAUAUGUGUGUGGAAGGUUAUGAUUAAAAUACUUUAAGUUUAUUAAAAAGUCAAGAAAAUAAAGUUUUAGAUUAAAAUAAAAUAAACUAAAAACUUUAAGGAAAAAAAAAAGGCCUAUGAAGCUUGAUAGUAUAUCCAUUAGCAAGUCAACUGUCAAUCUUUAUUUUCUAUAUUUAACAUCCUUGGUUUACUGCUUAAUUGAUUUGUAUUGAUUUAUAUUCUAUUUUAGUUUCUUUGAUUUAAGAUAGUUUCCUUGAUUUAAGAGCUAAUUGAAGCUCCUUUUUGUAUAUAAGAAUAUCAUUCAUUAGUAAUGAAAUACAGAGUUGAGUAUCUCUCAUUUUAUAAUUUCUCAUAGUAUCAGAGCAGUUAAAAUCCUAAAUUGUAGCCCUUUACGAUACCUUUCCAACGCAUCAAGAAUCACAGCAAUUCGAUAUUUGUGUGGAAAGUUAUGAUUAAAAUAUUUUAAGUGUAUGCUGUUUUUAAGAAAAAGAACAUUACUUUAAGUUUGUCGCACCCCUAAAAAAAUAAUAAUAAAAAAAAAGUUUUGUUUAUUUUAAAAUUUGUUUUGCGACAUUCGACUGGCAACUUUCGUUUUGUUCUGUUUUGUUGAUUUUGUUCUUUGGGAGUCGCCACCUAGUAUUUUGGUCACUAGGAACCCUAACUGGUCUUUUAGAGAUUCUAAGGCAAGGGACUGGUUGCGUAAAGGGAAGGUAUUAGCACCCCUAGUACGCCCUACCUAAGGUAAGCUGCUUGGUGUUUGGUUUGCUCUAUAACUGCUAUGGUGUAGGUAUUUUCUAGGCUCGUCAAUUGAUUUUGGAUAGAAAUCUAAGGAGAUUCCAUGUGCUUUGAAAGCUCAUUUUUCCCUUAGUAUUUCAAAAGUUUGUGACUCAUAAAUCGUGGAGAAAAACAAAAUUAAAUUAAUUUUGAAAUGUCCUCGAUUAUAAUCAAGGCUUCUUUCAAGAAUUGUGUGCGGAUUUAUUAUUCCCGAUAAUAUUUUGGAUAUUCAUCCUUUUAAGGAUUUCUUUAUCCAAACAUUAGCGGUAAAUAAUAAAUAAAUUCCUUUUUCCAAAAUAAGAUUUUUAUAGUUUUUUUGAAUAUUGGCCAAUACCCUUUGGAAUUUUACAAACACGUUGUAAAAUCCAGAAAUGCAAGAAAAUAAUUUGUGUUUAAGAAAUCUAUACGAAAACACACUUUCGAAGCUUCCAAUGUAUUUGUUUUUAAAAAAAGAAUAUUCAAAACAUGUUAGAGUAUUGGCCGUAUGCAACACGCAAGAAAAAUAUUUUUUUUUUAAAACAAUAUUUUUUUUUUUGACGAAAUCAGGUAUUUUUAAAACUGAAUUUGUAUCUCCACAAAAGAAAAAUACAAACUAAUAUUAAGUCAUAAAAAAAAAAUAUGCGGAAAAAUCCACAAUAUUUUUUAGGAAUUUUAGAAAUUUUUGAAAGCAAAAAAAAAAAUUAUCUUUGGAAAAUUUCGGGUGCUACGACGAAAAUCAGAUAUUUUAAAUACUGAAUUUAUACCUUCACAGUAUAUAAAAAAAAAAAAACCCCCUUAAAAAUAUAUAUACAUGAAAGAAAAAUAACAAUAUUUUUUUUAGAUUUUUUACAAAUAUUUUAUAUAUAUAUAACAUAUACACAUAUAUAUAUAUAAUAUAAUAAUAUAAUAUAAUUAUAUAUUAAUUAUUAAGGGGCUGGGCCGGCCCAACUGACUGGGCCGGGCUCAGCCCACAGUGACUGGGCCGACCUCGGCCCAGGAAAGGUUACUGGGCCGACCUCGGCCCAUAAGGUACUGGGCCGAACUCGGCCCAAAGGUACUGGGCCGAACUCGGCCCAGAAACUAAUUAACCUCGGUCUGGGCCGGACCCGGCCCAGACCGCCGGACUGGGCCAGAUCCCUCUGGCCCGUCCACAUAACUCUGGGCCAGACACAAUCUGGCCCAGAGAAAAAAAAAAAAGAAAACGGGGGGGGGGAAUUAAUUUCCCCCCCGCCUCCUGCAUGCAGAACGAUUCUGCAUGCAGGAGGCAAAACAUAUAUAUAUAUUAACAGAAAAAAUGCAGGGGGAGGAGAGGAAGCGUACCUGGUGCUGGCGGAGCUGCGGUGGUGGUGGCAGUGUCCUCGCUUCACGGACGGCGGCUUCUCUCUCCUCUGUUACAGGGUUUCUCUCUCUUCCUCUCUCUCUUCGUUUUUUUUUUUGUUUCGGGGUUCCUCUCUCUCUCUUUUUUUUUCGUUUUAUUCUUUUCUCUUCCCCUCUAUCUCGCUGGUUCUAUCUCUCUCUUCGGCCUCGUCUCUCUCUUCGGUCUUCCUCUCUCUCCUCUCGGCCUCUCUCUAUUUAUAAGCAAAAAGGAAACGGCGUGCCUUCGUUAGUGCGCCUUCAAUCACGCAACGGCUGGUCGGCCAUUCUUGCUUUCGGUGGUGGUGGUGGGGACGAGGAGAGAGAGGCGGGAAGUUUUGAAAUUUUUCCUUUUUUUCUUUCGUUUCUGUUCUGUUGAAACGGGGGAGGAGGAAGAUGAACAGUGUCGUUCAAAACGACACCGUUCUGAUCUUCCUCUUUUUUUUUUUUUUAUAUAUAUAUAUGAAACGGCGUCGUUUUGGGUAAAACGCGCCGUUUCAUUUAAACGGCUAAACUUCAAAUCGGUCCUCCAAAUUCGGUCCCCGUCCCUCUUGUUGGCCGCCUUUUUCACUUUGGUCCUUGGCCUCUGAUUUAUGCAAUUGAGCCCCUAAUUGAUCAAUAAACUUCCAAUUUCUUCAAUUAAGCCCCUGAAACAAAAAUUAGCAGCCCCUCCAUUUACGCGCCUCUUCCAAUUUGGUCCCUGGUUUCGGAUUUUCUUAAUUAAAGUCCCUAAUUGGCCCUUAAACUUCAAUUUUUAUGCAAUUGAGCCCCUGAUUUGACCCAAUAAAUUCCUAAAAAAUAUAUUUUGGCCCCAGAACUUAAAUUUCUUCAAAUUAAAGCCCAAAUUGACUUAAAAAUCAAUUUUUCUUGGAAUCAAAUCUUCUAUAAAUUCAAAUAAAAAUCCAAUUAAGUCCAUAAAAAUCCAAUUAAGCCCAUAAAAAUCCAAAUUUGGGCUUUUCUCCCUAAAAUUCAAAUUUUUCUUCUCAAUAGGGCUUUCAUCCUUCAAGAAUAUACUGUCAAAAAUUCAAUCCUUGUAUUUUUAAAUUCCUUGACCAAUUUUCUGACUGUUUUCCGGGCGCUUCUGCCUCCGGUUAUUUUUCUAACCUCUUUUGGCUAUUUAUUUUAUUUUUCAGGGGGACCCAAAAAUAAGUUACAACAAAGUUUAUGCAGGCUGCUGUUUAAAAAGUCAAGAAAAUAAAGUUUUGGAUUAAAAUAAAAUAAAAUAAAAACUUUAAGGAAAAAAAAAAGCACGCCUAUGAAGCUUGAUAGUAUAUCAAAUUAAAUAGAAGCUCGAUUAAAAAAUGCCCUUUAAUUUCUAUUAUUUCUAUUCACAUUUUAGCAUUUUAUUCCAAUGACAGAGCAUUUGGAAUGCACUUUCAUAGACUCAUCAAAACCCCAGGAACGCCAGAUCGGGAGCUUCAGUGCAGUAGAAAACUUUAACAUCUACUAUGAAGCCUGAUUUGCUAUCCAAUCCACACAUCAGUUUUCCAUUGAUACAAAGAUACCGUAUUUUUAACCAUCUAAUAGUAAGAGUUUGUGAUCAAGGAGUUUGCUUCCCCUGUGGUCUCAGGUUCGAGUCAUGUGGUUAUUAAUAUUGAUAAUCAUUGAAGACUUACCUGGUCGUUAAUUUCAAGAUCCGUAAAAAUUAAUCGAGGUAUGCACAAACUGACUUAGACACUCAAGUGAAUAAAAAAAAGAUAAUGUAUUUUUGUUACUGGAAAAUUGUCAACCAAUAACUUUUUAUCCUUUUCCAAGUUUUUUAAGUGACUUUUUCUUUCAUCUCAAAAUCAUGGAUCAAAAGUGAAUAAAAUAAAAUUUUAAAUCAAAACUAAAAAUAAAAAAAUAAAAAAUGCAAAAAGUUUAGGGAUCAAGAUUUUAAAAAUCACGCCUAUGCUACUUUCUAGUUUUAAAUAUUCAAAACAAGGCUCCAUUAUCAUAUAUUUACAGAGACAUACCAAUGUAGCUUUUAAUGUUUACUGGUUUGGGUAUGUCCAUAUGCUUUUAAAUAUUUUUUAAAAUUUAUAUUUGUUUUUAAAAAAUAUUAAAUUAAUAAUUUUUUUGUUGUUUUUAAUGAUUUUGAUGUAUUGAUAUUAAAAUAAAUCUAAAAAAUUAUUUUUUAAAAAUACUUUAUAUAACAGUAUCAAACACAUGAUAACCUGGUCCAAAAGCUUUCGACCCAGCAUAAAAUGGUUUUCAACCCAAUCAUACUUUUUCCUCAUUAUAAAUAUAAAAUAAAGUUCAAGUGAAGUAGGUCCAAUCUUAAAUGGUUCAAACAUUAUUGUUAGAAUGUGACAGUGUCCCAACAUUAGUAGUGUAGCACGUGCCAUGUCUCAAGCUUAUGUGAUCCAAAAACAAGGCAAUUGGUGUUUGAUGAAAUUAGCUGUCACUAAAAAUAAAAUAAAAUAAAAUCCUCUGUGAACUAAUAAUUACUCAAUUAAUCCCUAAAUUAGUAUUUUUUUAUUGUUUUUCACAAAAUUUAUAAGAAUAAAAAUAUUUUAUUAGAUAUUUUAGAUACUCUACUAUUAUAAUAUUUUAUUUAAAUUUAGAUUUUUAGUUCAAAAUUGAAUUUUAUUUAAUGUAACAAGUAUUAUGAUGUUUUAUUUUAUCUGAAAAUUUUUGAAAUAUUAUUUGAUUUUAUUAAUUUUAAAAAAAUAAUAUUUUAAAAGAGUACGAAAUGUUGUAUAAAAUUUAUAUGUAUUUAUUUUCUGAUAUACGUGUUCCAAGAAUUAGCAGGGAUACGAUGUUUUUACAACAACGCAAAACACAACAAACAUUGAUGCUAUGCUGAAUCCUUGAAGUGCGUCUAACAAAAUCUCAAUAUCCGGAAUGCCUCUUCUUCCAUGGCAUCUUGCCUAACUCUUGAUUGUCUCAGGUCCUCCAAGGCAUUCCUCCACUCCUCUUAAUUGGCAUCUUGCCAUUUAUUGACAAUACCCCACCACCAAGCAAGUGGUAGCACCAUUAGUGCCACUAAUGGUGGCAUGUUUUAAGGGAGUUUUGGCCCCUCCAUGUUGACCAUGAAAUGCCUAUAAAAGAGGCAUAAUUAUUUGAGAGCAAUGAGAAAACGUGAGAAUGAAGUGAAGAGAAGAAGAGAGAAAGAGGAGUUGCUGCCAUUGCAGCAAUGAGAGAUGGGAGUUGAGUGGAUGUGAUCCUCCUCCAUGUAUUUAUUGUAUCCUUUCUCUAUCUCUAAAUAAAAUGAACCUCUCCCGUGGAUGUAGGCGGUUUUGCCGAACCAUGUAAAAUAUUGUGUCAGUGUGCUUGCCAUCCGUUGAGCAAUUAUCAGUACAUCACCGGUCGGAUUUUCUUUUGUUUAAAAUAAAAUAUUUUAUCUUUAAUUAAGAGCAUGUGAUUGCUUUUGUUUUUAGUUGUUUUUUCAAAAAAGAUAUAUAGAUUUUUUUUAAUGUUUUUUUUUAUAAUUUUAAUGUAUUAAUAUUAAAAAUAAAAUAAAUAAAUAAAUCAUGUAGUCUAUUUCCAAACCAAUCUAAUAUUGGAGGUCGAAAUUCAAAGAUAAAAUUAAAAAAAAAAAAAACAUAUUCGAUCAGUGAGUAAAUCUAUCAAACCUGUGAAUCAGGUAACUUGAGCUAACACAUCAAACUUAUUAACAAGGUUGUUGCUAUCCAUUUUUUGACCCAUGUUUUUGAUAUAUUUUCAAAAAAAUUCAAAAAUAGAGAAAAACAAAGAAAAUCCAAAAAAUAUGUUUUUUUAAUAUAUUUUCGUCAUUUUAGUAGUUUCAACGUCGUCUAAAAAAAAAUUUAAAUUUUUAAAAGAUUUUCAAACGCGUUCAACUUUUCACGCGUCAUUUUUAAAAUCAUUGAUUUUCCUCGUUGAGUCGACGUUGAUAUUUCUCUUUUUCAAAAAAUACAAAAAAAUAAGAAAAAUCAAAAUUUACAAAAAAGAAAGAAGUUGAGGGACCAAGUUGAAAAACUUGGCAACAUUUUUUGCCUAUAAAUACUGGUUUCCAACACUUGCAAUAAGGGGGGGGGGCAAUUUUGAAACAUCACAAAAAAAUCUGAACCCUAAAAAUCCAAACACAGCCGCCCCACCUUUGGCCUUGGAUUUUUUCGAGACCAGCCCUCUCGGCCAACAGAACAAACAAAACCGCCCCCCACUGAUUUUUGAUUUUUCUCACCAGCCGUCGGCCAAAGCUUCAUCUCCUUCACCCAUCUCCUGAACCCAGACGCCCGACCAUUUUCCCUCUCCUCGCUCACAACCCCUUUUCCUCACAAAACCGAACCACUCCCCUCCUCCAGCUCGCCGAAUCCCGGCACCAUAACAGCCACGAAUCAAACCCCCCUCUACAGAUCCUCCAAAAUCUUCCUCAUCCCUCUCUCGGCUGAAAAUCAGAGGACCCGUGCCUCUCCUCCUUUCCCCCACAACAAACCCACAGCCCCCUCUCUUUCAAAACCAAACCGGAGCAGCCACUCCAUUCCCCCUCUCUUUUUCUCUUCCCCGGCCAAAAGAGAGCAGCCCACCAGCCGACCACCACACCGACACCCAUCGAUCUGUCCGCCACCGCCAUCAUAGGCCGCUACCACCGACAGGGGUGAAGACCGUUCAACAGCGACGGCCUCCACAGAAGCAAGCCACCGUUCCCAUCUCCUCAGACCAUCGGUUUCCUUCUUCGGCCAGCAGGUCUUUCCUUCCUCAGCUGCCGGGGACACCGGCAGAUGACAACUUUCUUCCUCCAGCGCCGCCCGCAGAUCCCCCCAUUUCCAACUGAUAAUCAACGGGCGGAUCCGCAACCAGCAGAGCAUAACGAAACCGAGAAGAAGAUCUGACAAAAAGAAAACAAAAAAACUGAAUCAGAUUUUAAAAGCAAAGAAAAUAAAAACUAAAAUCGACUGUUGUUGUGAUUUUGUUUGUGAUUGCAGGUUAUUGUGUUCCUCACAACCAGUAGAGAAGAGAAAGGGAGAAGAAACAGAGCCAGGCAACCCAUUUUUCCGGCGAUUCUCACGGCGGCGCGUGAACCCACGCGCCGCCAGGGGCGGUGGCGCAUGGACGAGACGCGCCGCCGCUGUUUUCUGCUCCAGAAGCCUUCCAGCACUGUUACGUGCACUGUUCCUGCAUGUUUUAGAAGACUUAGGAUGUUUUAGGGUUUGUUUUGUAAUUUUGAAUUGUUUUAAUGUAAUUGUUUUUGUUGAUUUUUGAACCAUUUGUAUUUUGUAAACAUGUGUAAAAGAAAAGAAAAGAAACAAAAAUAAAAUAGUGAAAGUGUAUGUGUGUGCUUGUAUUUUGUUUUAUUUAUUUGUAUAUAUUUUUUAAUGAUAAAAUUGCAAAUAUAUUAAAGAAGAAUUUAAUAUUUUGAUCGGAUCACGGUUAAGAAUUAUUAACUUAUACGUAAGUGAUAUUUCUAAUUUCCGAUGAAAAGACAAUUAUUAAAACUUCUUUAACACAUCAAAUUCGCGAAGCAGCUUACCUCAAGUAGGGUGUGUUAGGGGUGCUAAUACCUUCCCUAACCACAACCAGUCCCUUACCCGCGAAUCUCUGACGAGACUAGUACAUCCAGUUUCCUAGUAGCCCGCAAUCAAUUACUAGGUGGCGACUCCAACGAACCAAAUUCAAGCAAACAACAACAACGAGACGAUAAAAAUUGCCAACCGAUGUCGCGCGCCGGAUUUUUUUGGGGUGCGACAAAGGUUAUGGACUCUUGUAGGAUUAUAUAUUUUUAUAAUUUUUAUAUUUAACUAUAUGAUAAUAAAAAUGGAUAAUUAUAAAAUUAAACACCAGCCCAAUACUAAUAUAUUUGUUUUAGACCAUGAUAACAUCAUCCAAAGAAAAAUAAACUAAUUAUGAAACUAAAUUUUAAACCAACUCAAAUAUGAAAUAGAAAAAAAAUUAAAAAAAAUUGAUAACCAAAAAAAGGAAAGGGAAAGAAAAAAAAGAAGCAAAACACUAUAGAUUAUUAUUGUAAUUCAUAAUGAAAUGGGUGUGACGCGUGAGUGAAUAUUGGUUCUCCCACACCGUUUAGCUUCUUUUUUUUAAUUAAUAAACAAAACAAUACUUCAUUAAACCAGUAAACUAGUAUAAAUCACGUUAACUUUAUAAAAAGAUAGAAUAAAAAUAAAUAAAUUAUAAAAUUAAAUAUUAAACCACCCAAUAUGAAAUAAACAAAAACAAAUUUAAAAAAAAAAAAAAAAACACAUAGGAUUACUUAUUAUAAUUUAUAAUGAAAUAGGUGUGAAUACGUCUCUUAACUAUUCGUGAGCUUCUUAUUCGUUCUUAGUUUUUCUUGAAGUUAUUCUAUUGAGGAAAAAGAGAAGAAAAAACCCUACUUUUUUUUUCCUCUUCAUAAUGCAUGGAUUUAAGUUGGGUGGAGAUUCAGUAAUCAAAAUAUUUUUUUUAUUUUUAAUAUUAAUUUAAUAUUUUUUUCAAAAUAAUCAAAUUUUUAAAUACAAUUAAACAUAAUUUUGAGUACAAAAACAAACUACGUUUUGAUUGCGAGCAUAACAAUCUUGGUAGUAAGUACCAUGAUCCUUUCCAAUUGAGUUAAUUUUAGGAUUUUUUUUGCAGCCACGUACAUGCUUUAGGAGUUCUUUUUAUUAAAUCAAUAUUAAAGUAAAAAAAUUAAAUCAAUACAGAUAAAUAAAUGAACUAAAUAUAAUCAAACAAUUAAUCCAUUUAAUAGAAAAAACAUUACUGAAUCCAUAAACUACAUUAAUCCCUUUUCUUUUCUUUUCUUGUUUUUUUUUUUCUGAUGGAAUUCCCACACGUCUUCUUUAUGGGCAGCCCCAGUUUUAAACCCUCUUUUUCAUCACGUCCCCAUGUUCCCCGUGUCCCACACGUUUUCAUCAAAAACCUAAAUUUUAGGACUUCUUUGGCAGCCAUUUAAAAAUAUAUAAAAAUAAUAUUUUUAUUUUUAAAAAAUUAUUUUUAACAUUAAUACAUUAAAAUAAUAUAAAAAUAUAAAAAAUUUAUUUUAAAAAAAUUAAAAUUUUUAAAAACACAAGCAUUCCCAAACAAGGUAACGUGUCAAGAAUCAUAGCAAUCUGACAUGUGAGUGGAAAGUUGUGAUUAGAAAACAUUACUACUUUUAGAGUGAUUUUGACAGAGUAGCAGGAAAUGUCAUUAUUGUUAUUUUUAAAAUAUUUUAUUUAUUUAUAAAUAUAUUAAAAUGAAAUUUGUUGUUAAUUUUGUUUCGUUUUAUUUGUAAUGAUUUCAUACCAAUUUAAAAAAUAAAAAUAAAACAAAAUAAUUUUCAUCUCAUUUCAAAUCUCGAUCCCUUCCAAAAUUUUUGGCUAAAUUCCGUUCAGAGUGUUCCAGUUUCAUUCCACAUGUUUUGUUCCAGUCUUAAAAUCCUAUUGAAUCAAAUUGAACCUGGUUCAAUUAAUUAAUUAAACCAUCAAAGUAUAAAAGCUCUUUUUCAUUACUAUUUUCAUUAACUAUGAUAUUAAUUUUUUAAAUUUUGAUUUAUCACUAAUAUAUAUGGUUUAUAUUCAUGUUGUUUUUUUUUUUCAAGUUUAUACUUUGUAGGAGUUUAAGCAAAAAAAUAGAUGUUUUAGAUCUCAUUAGCCUUAACAUUGACCUAGCUUUAUAUUUAAAAUAUUAGUGUUAAAAUACUUUAAUUUCAUAAUAUUUUGAUAUUUUAUUGAAGUUGAAUUGUUUUAAAUUAAAAAAAUUAUUUAGUCUUAACUAUUUAAAAAUAUUUUAAAUUUUAAAAUUAUAUUUCAUCACGUCUCCAUGAUCCCCGUUGUGUCAAAAACAAAUUGCCUAAAUUUUAGGCUUUAGCAGUUCCUUUUUUGAAAUCCUUAUUAGUGAAAUUUCACGACUCCAGCUGGGCCUUGACUUGUCUGUUUAAUUUCUGUUGUAACCAAAUUUUGACCCACUUAUUGUUAAAUUAAUUUUAAGGAGGGUAAAUCUUGAAAAUUAAAAGACCAGGGGUUCGAAUGCAAGGAUUUAGAAACUUCAAGGACUAGAUUGGAAAUGACCAUUCUCAGCCCAAAACAGCACCGUUUCAAUCAGGUGUUGUCCGUCAUCUUCGUCUCACCGAACGUCCGCCUGCAAAGAAGGAAACAAAAGCGUGAAACACCAGUAUCCUAACCCAUUCAAAAUACAGAAAAGCAAUAAUUAUCUUCAUGAUAAUUACAACCCGACGAGAUAAAGAUUGCACUUUGAAUUCAAGUCCUAGCAGGAACCGUCUCCCUCAGUCGUGCUUAUCAAGAGGAGAGACGUGAGGCUGAGGGGGAGGAAAAUUGAUCCCUAUAAAUACCCAACAAUUAACAACGCCAAAAAAGAGGAAAAAACCCAGAAUUUACCCAGAAAAACAGAGAUAAGAACAGGAAACCGAGCAAAAAAAAAAACCAAAAACAGAGCAAUUAACAAAAAAAAAACAGAGAAAACAAAACACAAAAAAAAGAGACAGAGAAGAACAGUAUCACCAGCCAGAUUUCAUCCCUUCUAGAAAUCAGUUUUCAUCCGAACUGUUUUCACCCCUACAGAAACCCAAUUGAUCACCGAACCGUAGAUCAUUGACAUAAAGCAGUCGAGCCACACCGUCGCCUCAACCUGCCUCAGCAUCGCCAGAAACAGAAAGCAGUCGACUCAAAGGAACCAGACCCGCGUUGCAAUCUUCUUCAAUCUCCAAAAACAGGUUCGCUUCCUUUUUCAUUUUUUCUCUGCUCUUCGUGUUCAAAUAAUUGUUUGAACAGUGCGAAGGUAAUUUAAUUACCUUCGCACUGUUGAUGCACGCGUGAUCUGUUUCACGCGUGCAUCUUGUGUAGCCGGGUCACUGGCUUGGGCCAGUGACCCGGGCCGGGCUGGCUGGGUUCAGCCCAGCCACCAAUAUAUAUACUUGCUGGGUUGGAUUUAGCCCAGCCCAGCCCAAAGAUAAAAAAAAAAGUAAAAAAUAUAAAAAUUUUAAAAAUAUAUAAUAAAAAUUGUGUAUGUAAAAAAUAUAUACAUAAAUGAAUUUUUUUUUAUUUCAUUGACAAAAAAAAAACACAUAAAAUAAAAUAGGAUAAAUUUAUUUAGUAUAUUCACCGACGCCAGAGUCGGGAAUAAAAAAAUACUAGGGUAAAUUUAUUUUAUUUUAUUUUGUUUCGCAUGCAUAAAAAAUAAUUUGAUAAAGAAAUGAAUUGAUUUUUAUUUGUUUAUUCACAUAAGAUAAAAUAGGAUAAAUUUAUUUAGUAUAUUCACCGACGCCAGAGUCGGGAAUAAAAAAUACUAGGAUAAAGUUAUUUUAUUUUGUUUCGCAUGCAUAAAAAAAUAAUUUGAUAAAAAAAUAAAUUGAUUUCUACUUGUUUAUUCACUGACGCCAGAGUCAGGAAUAUAAUAAAAUGAUGAUAUGAGUUUAUUUAUUUUGAUACCUACGUAAUAUUUACCAACGCCAGAGUUGGAAAUAUACGUAGUUGAAUAUUCACUGGCGCCAGAGUCAGGAAUAUCGUACACAAGAAAUUAUAGUAUAAACCAAUAAAGAUGUUAGCAAUUAAUAACAAAGACCAACAAUGCAGCCUACCUUAGGUAGGACGUUUAAGGGGUGAUAAUAUCUUCCCUUUUACGUAACCAGUCUCGGAUCAUAGAAUCUCUGUUGACCAGUUAGGGUUCCUAGUGACCAUAAUACUAGGUGGCGACUCCUUAAACAAAGACCUUUUCCCCCAAAAGAACACGAUGCCUGAAAUCGGUUCUUUUUCCAUAAUUCAAGAAUUAAUUUUUAAGGCGGCCGCGAUGUCGGGUGCGACAUUCUAUUAUUUUUAUUCCAUUUUAGCAUUUUAACAUUUCAUACUCAUCAAAACAACUGGAACGCAAUCAAGCUUUAGCUUCAAACAACCAGAGGGAGAUUUUAUAGGGAUAAAAUUUUAAAAAUCACGCCUAUGCUACUUUGUAGUUUUAGUAUUAAAUUUAGUAUCUAAAAAAUGUGUUUAUGAAUAUGGCAGUUUCAGGUUUAGAAACCAAAUCUGCCAUAUUCAUACUCUCUCUUAGACAUUUUAAAAAUGUGUGUAGAAAAAUACUUUCACUGAUGAUUUAUAAUAUUAGGUUACUUUAAUGAUAAAUCAAUAUAGUAUUUUUUUUAUUUUUUGGAUUUUCAUCUUGGAGAAAUUCAAUAGGAUGAAAAUAUAAUAUUAAUCAAACUUCAAAUUAUAAUUGUUUAUCUAUGGAGUUUAAAAAAAACAUGGCAAUUUAGUAGUCUUUAAUGAAAUAAAAAAAAUGAAAAAUGUUAUUUAUGUAAUUGUAAGCAUACAAUAUUAUAUUACUUUACAAAGGGACGAAGGACAUCCUUUGCGUUAGGAUGCUCCCACUCCACUACUGACUCCCACCAUUCUUUUGGACAUGCCUCGAUUUCUCUAAGAGAAGGGGGAGGGGAUGGCUGGCCAUUUUCAAGCAACGAAAGACAAAUUGGCAUCCUCUUCAGCUUCUCACAAUACAUUACCUUAAUAUCUUCAAGAGAAUUGCAAAUCAGUUUUGCACUGCAAAUGCUUUUCAGUUCUGGUAACACAUACAAUUUCAGAGUUAUUAACUUUGGGAGAAUGACUUCCGUGAUGCUUUCUUCAUCUGUUGUUCCUAUUAUCUCCUCCAUUUUCUCACAAUCAUUAACUUCAAUCCUUUCCAGGUUUACGAGGUUUGGUAGCAACACAAGCGGGAACAGCUUUUUCAUACUUUUACAGUCAUUACAAAGAAACUCUUUAAGACCAGAAAAUGUACCGUUACAUGAUGGCAAUCGUGGUGGAGCAGAGCAGAACCAAGAAGAUGAAACCAAGCUCUCCAUGUUAUGGCAUUCCCGAAUGCUGAUGCGCUCCAGUUCAGUUGCAUUCUCUAAUGACAAAACAUCACAUAAACUUCUUGCAUCGAUGCAUUCACAAAUCAGUCCUUGAAUGCCAUUUAAGAACUUGACCUGAAAAUCUCUAUCUCCCGUUGAUACUCAAAUUACCCAACCCAACUGUUUUACUUGGAAAAUCUUCAAUGCAUUGCUCUAAAUAUCCACCCACCUCUCCUACUAAAAUCUUGCAUGUGCUUAAUGAUAGGAUCCUAUCCCGAGAUCUGAGAUACUCCACGAAGUCAGAAAAACCUUCGAAAUGGCACUCCAAAGUUUCCAAAUUUCCCAAGGAUCCUACUUCCUUUCCUUUAACUGUUAUCGGAGCAUUCGUAAAAUUUUCUAGUACAAAGACUUGCAGGUGAGAGAGUUUUGAUAAUAUCCCACUAGGAAACUUCUUUUCACCACAUCCAUUCAUUAUAAGAUACCUCAGGUUGGUUAGGCAUUCCAUUCCUUGCGGCAUCUUUGCAAGUGCCCGAGUGCCAGAGAGAUCCAACUUCUUUAGUGCCCUGAGCUUCUUUAAUGAUGGAACAUAUCUUAAAUUGUCACACUUACGGAGCAAUAACGCAGUGAGACUCACCAAAUCAGAGACAGAGUCUGGCAAAUUUUCAAUACCUGUGAAAGACAGACUGAGGACCUUGAGCCCAUGCAAUUGCUUGAAAAAUGAAUUCGCAAUCAAUUGCAGCUCUUCAUUCUCAUGUAGAUAUAGAGAUGACAAAUUUGGACACAUUGGUGAAUGACUGGAAGGAAUUUCUUCGAUCUUGUUUUUCAUUAGUGAAACAAUCGUCAGGUUCUCCGUCCACUCCUCUGUAUUUGGCAGCUCUUUUAAUUGCGCACCUGCUUUAACCAUGACUUGAGAGUUGUCUUGUAGUAUUUGGAUGGCCAUGUCCCUAAUCAAGUCAUGCAUCUUGACAGCUCUACUAUCAUCAUCAUCCAUUUUAGCACUUUCCAAUAGGCAGACAUUUUCAAGUGUAUUAAGCAUCGUGUGGCCCUCAUCAAAUGCCCUGCUCCUCAUUCCUUUAAUUAUUCCCUCAUCGAUCAAAUAACCUAUCAACUCCUCCCUUUCAAUCUUACCAUCUUCAGGAAAUAAUGCACAGUACAAGAGACAUCGUUGUAGUGCUAAAUCACCUAACCGAUCAUAACUAAACCUCAAUAACUUGAAUUCGUUGUCCCUAAAUUCUGAUUCUCUCAAUUUGUUCAAUGUAUUUCUCCACUCAUGUAGGUCAUCCACUCCCCUCAAGCUUCUUGCUACUGUAUUAAUUCCCAACGGCAAACCAGCACAUUCCUUUGCAACAGCUUUUGCAAUCCUUUCCACUUCUCGUGAAAGUGCCAUGUCACGUCCAAGUUUCUCCAUGAACAAAGUCCAAGCUUCUCCCUCAAAAAGUGGCUUAACCUUGAUUAUGCGGUGGCAAGCCAUCCGAUGACAAACCGUUUCUGAUCGAGUUGUCAUAAUUAGCUUGCAUCCUUUCAACGGGACAGGAAUUCCCACUUCGUCAAGCUCAAAAUUGUUCCACAAAUCAUCUAAAAUGAGAAUCCAUUUUUGUUUCUUCUUUAGUUCUUCUGACAAUUUGGCAGUUCUGAGCUGAACAUCAUCUUCCCUUGAAAGGUCUAGAUGAAGAUGUUUAGCAAUAAGAUUCUGCAAUUUAUUAAUGCUGAAAUCUUGAGACACAGUCACCCACCAAACAUGAUCACAAAUAUCUGGUCUUUGUAGAAGCUCAUUAUGGAUAUGUUUCAGUAUUGUUGUUUUACCAACUCCCCCCAUGCCAUAAAUGCCAAUGGUUGGGACUUCAUCAUCCAUUAACAAAGACCAUAUCACCUUCUUAUUCUCUUCAAAUGCUCGACCCACUGGCUUUAUAGAGCUAGUAGGUAAUGGAACUCCUCUAGUCUCACUUGUGUUGUAUUUAAGGCUUAUAGAAGAUCUAGCUCCAGCGUCAGGCCGCACUGAUCUUCCACUGUUCUCCAUAUCCUCCUCCACUGGUUCUGUCCUCACUCUAACCAUGUUCUGCACAUCAUUGUUUACUGAUGGAGCAAAUAGGUGGGCAUAAAAUCUUCCAUGAUCUGUUGGUUGGGAUGAAUCUCCUCGAUGCUGCACUUGUUCUGUUCUCGGUAUAGUUUCAGAUCCAUCAUGCAGACGCUCCACAUCCUCAUCUUCCUGCAUUAAAUAGGUAGAGAUUUCAUUCAGCUGCUGCUCCUUUGAAAGGGCAGAGUGCAUAUGAACCCAAGUACCAUCAGCAAAUUGAUCCACUAAAUCUGUUCCUUGUGUUGCUUCUCCUUUAUGUCUUUUGUUGCCACCACUCAUAGCUAGAAAGGCUGCUUCUUGAACUUCUUGAGGCACCUGACCACAAAUGGCAACACCAUUCCCUCUCUCUCCUGAUAAAUGCCAUUUGAUCC
rnacentral:lncRNA from 1 species